ACGGAUUAUGUAAGAUGAUUUCGUAAGACUUUUCCACUCCGGAGUCCAGACAUUUAUCAUUUUCUCGUUAAAAAAAAUUGCAUAAAAUUAAAAAUCCAUUGGCAACGGAAAGAGAGAAACAAAGUAAGAAGAAUUCAGAAGAUGGAACCCGAAGAAGAAACCCUAGCAACAAUCCCAGAUGAAGAAUUUUCUUGGGUUGCGAUAAAAAUGAAUUUUUUUUUUCAGUAUAUAAGAAAACUGUGUGAGAUACAGAAGUUGAGACAAGCUAGAGAAGCCAUGAAUGAGAUUUUUCCUUUGACUCCUGCUAUGUGGCAAGAAUUUGCGAGAGAUGAAGCCUCUAUUUCAACCGGGUAUCUGUCAUUUCCUUUUUGCAGUGGUUUUUGAUUUUGUGAACAAAUAUUUUUUUCGCUUAGAGAUAUAGAUGUUUAUGUUCGUUAUUUGCUAAUGUAAAAAGGAACAAAAACUGCUUAAAAGGUAUUAAAGAAAGAAAAAAGGAACCAAUUUGAAGAAGGGGAUACUCAUAGCGGGAGUUCUGCUUUGGGGUUUAAUUGAUGGGAAGAAGAAAUAGCUUAUAUGUUUACAGAAUUAGACAAUUGAUCACUGAGUUAGUUGAGGAAGAUAAUUAAUCACAAUGUCUGAAGCUGUUGCUUUUGGCAUCACCUAUUGUUAAGAUUUCAUACUUUUUUAUGGUUUUAUAUAGCUGUAACCUAAAGCUUAAUGUAUACGUUGAUAAUUACAUAAUUGGUUUCUUGCUGAUACUUGCCUUUAAUUUGUAAGCCUGAGGCUCUUUUGGGAAUUGAGAAGAUUUACGAAAGAGGAGUUUCUGAUUAUCUGGUUUGUUCUCUUUAUGCUUACAGAAUUUGAAUUAACGCUAUGCAUGAAUUUAUGAUUCUUUUUUUUUUGGAGAAAUAUUUUAUGAAAUUGAAGCAUUGUAGUAAAGUGUACUAGUCGUAAGCUUGAUUCACUUUGUUUUCAUUUUAUUACCAAGAGGUGCUAACAGUUCAUGAUGCAUAAAAGAGGGGGAAAAAACUCUUCUUGGUAGAUACAUAAAUUUUAAUUUCUGAAUCAUUUUCAACCAAAGAAAUAAUUUUACAGAGGCUGAAGAGCAGCAUUUUCAUUUAUAUGAAAGUUCAAUUGUUAUAUCAUCUGUUUCCGUAUCUUUUGUGGUAAAUAAAGUCCUUGAUGAUGGCAAUAAGAAGCACAGAAGAAGUUGUUAGUUUCAUAUGUGGAGAUUUUCAUCAUAGUAGUUCAUCGAAAGUGAAGGCAGCUGAAUACCCUUUUUUCUGAUGCAGUCUGUCCCUCUUUGGUGUGAUUAUUUGAAAUUUGUGCAAGAAUAUGAUCCAUCUAUACACGAAUGUUUACCCGAUGGCACUUCAAAGGCAAGGAAUCUAUUUGAGCGGCUAUUACUGCUGCUGGUCUGCAUGUUUUAGAAGGCAGUGAAAUAUGGGAAUUGUACAGAGAAUUUAAGCUAGCUAUAUUUAGUAGGAUUGAUAAGAUUAACUUGAAGGUGAGAUAUUUUAAUUUAUUUUACUUUUUUUUUGGGAUUAAAUAACGAGUUUAUUCCCAUCUAUAGAAAGAAAAAGGGAAUUUUUUUUUUGGUUGGGGGGGGGGGGGGGGGGGGGGGGGGGGGUGUUUCCAACCCUAGCACAUGACAAGCAUUCCAAGACCCUUGCUGCUUGUUUUGCAGGAAAAGGAAAACAGGUUCUGCGGAUUCGAAGUAUAUUUCAUCGCCAGUUGUCUGUUCCCCUUGCUAACUCAAGUGCAACUCUUCUUGCCUACAAGUCUUGGGAGGUCGAACAGGGGGCUGUCCUUGAUGUUGAAUCUAGUAAUCUAGAUGGGAUUUCUUCUAAUGUUGCCUCAGCAUACCAAAAGGCAUUGGAGAUGUGUAAUGCACGAGCUCAUGUUGAAGAGCAGAUUUCUAGGCAGGAUUUAUCUGACUCAGAGAAAUUUCAACAAUACAUGGUAGAUGACUUUACUAUCGUCAUUUGAUAGCUUUUUAUAGUAAGUGAAAUCUAGCACUAAAAAUUUUAUUAAUAUGAAUUUUUUUUUGGGGGAUUUCUUCUUAUGGCAUUAUUAUUUUGCUUUUGUGUAGCUAACAAUUAAUAUCUGCACUUUAAAUAUUAUCUAUUGUUUCUUAGCAAAUAAUAGUAAUAAUAAUAAGUAAUAAAUAAUUAAUAUCUGCAUUCUCAAAAAAAAAAAAUAAUGUCUGCUCUUUUUACUCUGGGGGGGGGGGCAUUCAGUGUCAUUAUCUUCCUUCUUCUCCUUUUUGUAUUUUGUGCCUUCAAGUUUAAUAUUAUUAUAUUAAUCUGUUAUUGUUGUAGAUAUACUUGAAGUAUGAGCAAUCUUCUGGAGAUCCUGGCAGAGUUCAACUUCUUUAUGAACGUGCUAUUACCGACUUUACUGUAUCAAGUGAUCUCUGGCUUGAUUAUACUCGUUAUCUUGACAAAACAUUAAAGGUUUAUCCUUCUAUUUUCUAUUUUACUUCUUCUGUUGCAGCUAUUUGUAUACUAAUCGACUUUCCUCUUCAGGUAGGUAAUGUUGUGAGAGAUGUUUAUUCCAGGGCUACAAAAAAUUGUCCCUGGGUAGGAAAACUUUGGGUACGAUCUUUGCUUUCUCUGGAACAUGGCCGUGUUUCUGAGGAGGAGAUAUCCACUGUAGGUUUAAUUGUUACCCUUCAUUCUGACCUUAAUCAAUUUUCCUGAAUGUAAUUGAUUUUGAAUGUUUGAAGUUAAAGAAAUGAUCAGCUUCCUAGGCAAAUUUCUUGGCAAGCACUUGAUUGUGGGAGUAACUGAGGAGAAGCAUUCCCUAAUGUUUUUUAGUUUUUCUCCUCCCCUAAAAUUGCAAUAUACUUCCCUUGAAGAGUAUUUUUUGCUUUAGCAUUUACACAUCUGUACAGAAGCAAACAUGAAUCAGAGAGAUUUAGUGGGCAAAUUCACCUGUGCUGACAAAUUAAUGCCUAUUAAAUACCGCAGUGUUGGAAUGUUCCAAAAAUUGUUUUCUUGGUGCUCCUGCUCCUUUUGCACUUUCAUAGCGUUUUAAUAACUGGGUUGUUUAAAUGUCCUGUACUUAUUUUCUUUACAAAUGUCUUUGUAUUUUUUUAAAUUUAUAAAAGAUUGUUCUAAUUAUAUUAAUAGCAACAUAUUGCGCAAACUCAAAUCUUAAUUUCAUUCUGCCCCUAUUACAUAUGUACGGGAUUCUCCUAUUAUUUCAUCAAAUUUUCCAUUACUAAUUUCAGGUCUUUGAGAAGUCACUACUAUGUACUUUUUCAACCUUUGAGGAGGUAGAGAUAUAAAUUUAUGUCUUCUGUACAUACCUUGGUUUCUUGAGCUGUAUGAUUUGGUAUAUAUCUACUUCUGAUUCAUCAUGCAUUUUUUUGUUAACUGGUUCUUUUUUGUUUCAGUACCUAGAUCAUUCCUUACUUGAAUAGAUGGUUUGAGGCGGAGAAUUUUAUUCUCCGGUGAAGUUGAGGGCGCCUUGGAUUAUUCAUUUAUAACGGAAACCUUUCAGGUUUGUAAACUUAUACUGUUGGCUAUUCAAUAUUAAAAUUGGUUUUACUCCUUAAUAUCAAGAAAUUGAAGCUUCCCAAAUCAUACCCAAGAAAUGCUCUAUUGUGGAUUACUGGAUGGAGCUAGUUGCUAGAUGAUACCUUUAAGAUUCAAGACAUAUGUUGUUUUGUGUAUGGCUAUCAAGUACUUUGGCCUGCAAUUGUGGCAGAUUGGUCUUACGCCAGCAUCAGGAAUAACAUUGUGUCUGGCAUAUAUACCAUUGGAAUUCUGGGUUUCUGUUGAAUGGGCUCCAACAGCUAUAUCUGUGUCCAAUGUUGUGGGGUCCUCUUCUUUGGUGCUUUUAAGUGAAGUUUUAAGUUUCCUUGUCAAUAUUUUGUUACAUAUCAAGUAGAAGGCACUGCACUGAAGCAUUGGUACUUCUAGAUCGCUUGUUCUGCAUGGUAGAUUUCAAUCCAUUGCUUUUAUUUCUUGGAUCAUGUUUAUCAUUGAGGACUUUCCUGGCCAGUGAUAGAGCUGACUGGUGCUACCAUCAUCAUUGGUAGGCAAAAAAGUCAAUUCCUAUGGGAUGCUUUCUGACUUAGAGAAGAUGUCUUCAAGAAUUUGUGGAUUUAAGUCUUCACAUGAUGUUCAACUCUUGAUAGUCUAACCUUGGUACAGGAUUUAUAGCUGUCUUCAAAGUUUGUGCUCAUAAAUGAGUAACCUGUCUGUCUUUAUGAUACCAGUUAAAUUUGUUAGCUUUAUGGGAUUUGGAGGUUGUAAAUGUCCAUAAACAACAAUGUCUUCUCUUCCUUGCAGCGUGCAUCAGAUUACUUGUCAGAACAGAUGAAAAAUACCAAUGGUUUGCUGCGUUUGUAUGCUUAUUGGGCACGUCUUGAACAAAGUAUGGGAAAAGAUACGGUUUCAGCUCGUAGUGUCUGGGAGAGGCUACUUAAGAUCAGGUUCACCAAUUUUAAUUUUUGCCAGUGCAUACAUAGCAAAAUUUCUUUAUAUCUAUAUAUUUUCGGAUAACUUGUGCUUCUCUUAAUGCAGUGGUACAAUGUUGGAAGCCCGCCAAAGUUAUAUAUCUAUGGAAAUUGAAUUGGGUCAUAUUAAUGAAGCUAGAUCCAUCGACAAGAGAUGCUACAGAGAAGAUUUACAAGCACAGGUUCAGAGGUAAAUUUCUUUCGUCCAGCUUCUUUAAUUAAUAUUAACUGCUUAACAACGUACCUUGUUGUUUCCAUCUUGUUUGUUUAACUGGUCUUAUUUGUAAACACCUGAAAUCAUACAUCUUAAUUUCUGAUAAUUAGAUGUUAUUUUAGAUAUCUGUAUCUGUUAACGUUCUUUCAAGUCUGAUUCCAAUGCAUAUUUAGUUAAACUGCUCUUUACUGCAUUUUGGAUUAGUUGAUAUCUUCCUUUCCUAAAAACAGAAUCAUUCAGGACAUAUGCCAUGCUUGGCUGCAAUUUGAACGGGAAUUUUGUAAUAAAAUUUUUAAUGAAUUUAUGGGUUUGAUGAGUAAAAUUAGGGGUUCAUAUAGACUCACCCAUAAAUUGAACCCUUAUUUUAUGUGUCAGAAUCAAUUUCACUGAAAACUGAGGUAUCCAAGUCAUUUAACUCAUCAACUGUUUUGUCAACAAAUUUUUUUAAAAUUUGAUAUGAAAUCUGGUUUUUGGCAAAUUCAAAUUCACCCUAAAGACCGUUACAAAACUGUUUUUACUGUUCUAUUUGGACAGUACGAAUGGACAGUAAUGCCAUUCAAAUUCAAAAAAUUAUAAACAGUAAUUCAUUGCAAAAUAUAUAACAUGACAUGACUAUUUUUAUUUUUAUAAAAUAAAUUGUGAAAAAAUGAAAUAAAAUUGAGAAAGGAACAGAAAAAGAACCAGACUUUGCACCGGCAGGACGGCAUGGUUGAGCCGUGCGGUCGAACGAGAGAAGAGAGAGAGGUCUCACAUCUGCUGCUUCAGUUGCAUUUUGGCCCCCGCCGACACACAGCGUUUUCUGUUCUUUUUUUUCUUGAGAAGAGAGCGUUUUCUUUCUCUGCCGUUUAUAUUUCUUUUUUACCCGAGAACGAAUCGCCUUUUUUUCUUUUUUUUUUUUAUUACUCCCGAAAUGUUGCUUUAAAUUUUGUAAUUUAAAUUUCUUUUAAAAUUAUAAAUAAAAUAAUAAAAAAAAAUUUGUGGCUGACAUGGGUUGAUUGUGACAUAACAAGUAUAACAUUUAAUAAAAAGAACAAAAAGUUAAAAUUCGUAAUUAUUAGAUCUGAUGUUAAUUAUUAGAUCUAAUGUUAAUUAUUAGAUCUGAUGUUUGAAUUGAUUAAAAUUUAAAAAAAUUAAAUUUAUUACGCUAAUUGAUUUGAUAGUAAUAAGUAAAGCUGACAAAAUUUGAUACGAUCCGAUUAUCCGAUACGAACACGAUAUAAAUAAAUAGGUACGAGUCGUCGAAUUUGACACAAUUAUUAAAUAUGUUGGGUUUGAGUCGACACGAUUUUUUUUCGUGUUGGAUUAGGGUUAAAGUUCUUGAUCCAUUUACCCAAUCAAUGACCCGAUUAUAUUUUUAUUUUAAAAUAAUUUGUAGGUUCUUGUUAUCAAAACUCAAAUAUUAGAGAUGAUUCUCUCUUUUAUUUUUAUUUUUUGAAAUGAUGAAUAUAAACACAGUAUUUUAUUUAUAAAAUUUUAUAUACAUUUAGAGCUUUAAUAAUGUAAAUGUGUAAAAUAUUGUUAGACAUGUAUAUUUUAUAAUAUUAAUAUAUAAUAUUAUUUGUAUAUAUAUAAUUAAAACUUCAAUAGUGUAAAUGUGUAAUAUUUUCUUAGAUAUGCACAUUUUAUAAUAUCGAUAAAUUAUGUAUUUACGAUAGUGUAUGAAUGUUUGAUGUAAAUUUUAUUUAAUAUAUAGAUAUUAAGUAGGUUAUUGGGUAACCUGAUUAUUUUUCCGUGUCGGGUUUGGGUCGAUAUAAAUUUGACACAGCAUCAAGCUGACACGACAAGAACAUGACCCGAUGACCCAUUUUGCUAGCUCUCAAUUGAAAAAUAUAUAAGUUAAAUCCACAUCCAGAUCUAUAUUUUUUGUGUGGAUAUGAAUGCGGAUCCGGUUUCACAAGUCACAUUUUAAUACUUUUCAAUAAACUCAUCACUAUUUGGUAUUUUAGCAAUAUAUUGUUAGAUGUAAUCAAUAGUGCACAUUAAUUUUAAUAAAAAAAUUUGUAUUAUUUUGAAAUAAUACAACCAAUUAACAAUUAUAGUAUAUUAUAAAAAAAUUAUAUUAUUUUGAAAUAAUACAACCAAUUAAUAAAUAUAUUAUUAACUAUAAUUAUUAAAAAUUAUAGUUCUUGAAUAAAUAAUCACAAUAAUUAAUUUAUUAUUAUUGUUAUUUUAAUUAAUUAUUUAUUUAUUUAUUUAUUUAUUUAAUAUACAAUUAUAAUAAUUAUUAAUAUAAUAAAUUUAUAUAUUAUUAUUAAUGAAUUAAUAUAAUUAUUACUAUUAAUUAAUAUAUUAUUAACAACAAUUAUUAAUAAUUAUAAUUUUUGAAUAAAUAAUCACAAUAAUUAAUAUAGUAAUAAUUAUAUUUUUUAUCUUUUGCUUUAAAAGAUAUACUUUCAUAAUUGACAGUAUAGGGGGUAAUGAGAUUUAUGAAAAGAGUUCCUAAAAUGACAGUAUGAUGUAUGUCAUUUGUGAGAAGGAAAGAGGUUUUAAAUUCAAAAUCAUUGUUAUAAAUUGAAGCAUCAACUUUGGAUUUAACAUUGAGUUUUGAAUUAUUGGCGCAUUUGUGAGAAGGAAAGAGGUUUUAAAUUCAAAAUCAUUGUUAUUAAUUGAAGAAUCAACUUUGGAUUUAACAUUGAGUUUUGAAUUAUUGGCGGCAGAAAGCCUUUCUUUAGUUUUCUCAUGAAAUCUUUUAGGGACAAUGUCUUCUUUAAUGACAAUCCUGACUAUUUACCUUGAUCCUCUGAUACCAGUAGGUGUAUGUCAUUUGUGAGAAGGAAAGAGGUUUUAAAAACUUGUUUGGAUUUAAGAAUGACAUUGAUUUGGUUCUGGUAAAUAGAGAAAUAGAUAGAUCAAUCGAAUUGUUUUCGAUAAACGAAAUAUGCUUGCAGUAGAGAAUGAACUCAAAGGAGACCCGAGGCUACAUGGUUUGGAGAAGCAGAUUAAGGCAAAUGCACAGGAUACAUUUCAUGAAUUAGUAUAGCACUCUCUGUAAGGUGACGAGAAAAAUAGAGUCAUGGGAUUUAAUGUGGGAAAAGAGCAGUUGUUCGUUUUCUGGUUUGUUGUUAAGGUGUAGUGCAGAAGAUUGAAUAAUGCGAUUUAAUGUGGGAAAAGCAACAAUUGUUUGUUUCCCAAUUUGUUGUUAAGGCUAGGGAUUUAGUAUUUAAGGGUUAGGAUUAUGGACGGGAGCGUGUAGCUGACAGAACGAAGAUAGGAUUCUCUCACAGCGGGAACCCUUUCAAACACAAAUAACUGUAAAAGAACUAAAAGAAAUUAGUAUUCAGGUUUUGCAACAAUAGAAAUACCAAUAGCAAAUUCAAAGAACAUGUGGCUGGUCCUCACCAUAAGCAUAUACAAAAAACCACCAAUAUUUGCAUUCCUUUUCUUUUUGAAAGCCUUCAAGGAGGUAUGAAGACAAGCUAAAACUGCUGCCCCCCAUGCAUAAUCAUUUACCCUAUCUAAAUCUUCCAAAAGAGGAAGGUAAGAAGAUGAAACAAUAUUUGUAGAUGUACUUGUAAAGAAAAAAGACCCAAGCAAAUAUAAAAUGUAUGCUCGGGUAGCACACGAAACAGCUUCUUCGCUGUCCAGAAGCAUACCUUUAAAAUGAGCUCUAAGUUUGCUCAUAUUAACAAAUUUUCCUACAAAAAAACCUACAUCUUCUCUAACACCCAAGUAUUGGGCAGCUUUCUCUAUACUUAUUACUUUUUCUGUAACUGGCAGGCCAUCUACUGGCAAACCAGUGAGGAAAUAAACAUCUUCUAAACCUAAAAACAAAGACAAAAUUUUGAAAAAGAAAACAAGACGAUUUUACAUCAUACUUCCUAGCUAGAUAUUCUAUGAGGUCUAAAUCCUUUUCCAUUUUAUCCUUUAUUUGUAAAAAGGGUGAAAAACAGGUAUCUUUCCUUUUUUCUUCAACCCUUUCAUCUGGUCUCCAGCUGAGUAGGUUGUUCAUAAAACAACUAAUUUUACCUGCAUAAUGAAAGACAGUGUUAGCGAAAUGAAACUUAUUGUUCAAAUCUAAAAAUAACUUAGCAAAAUGUAGUUUAGACUUAAAAAUAACUUACUUUUCGUGCCAUAGCAGCUGAUGUAUAUAACAGGGCACUUGUCACUGAACAAGAAUAACUGUGAUCAACAUUUCAACAACCACUUAUGAUUUUGCAACAAAAAAUAGGUUAUCAUUACAAAAACUCAAAAUUUCAUAAUGUUAUAACUUAUAAUAUCCUAAAUUGAACAACUAUCACGAUUUAAUUAAUAAUAAAAACAAUAACAGCAACAACAUUUGGGAAUAUAUAUAACUUUGCCGAACAACAAUUAAGUUAAACAAACAAUAAUAAUAACACUAAUAAUAACUACGAAUCAGCAAUUCAGCAUAUUGCCAUUUUCUAAAUUAAAAAAACAGCACAAAUUAAUCAAUUAAUCAAUGAAUUAAUUAACAAUCUCCAAUUUAAUUAAUAAUAACAGCAACAAACCCACUCCAAUUUAAUUAAUAAUAGUCUCCAAUUGUUCAAUUAUCAGUAAACCCACUCCAAUUUAACUAAUAACAAUCUCCCUUGGUUCAAUUACCGGUCAACAACAACAAACCCACUCCAAAUAAUUCAAUAAUUGCCAAUCAAUUAAUUAAAAAUAUACAAUUUAAUUAAUAGCAACAGGCUGUUAAAAUUCGAUUCCGGUUUCGUCAAAAAAAAAAAAAAAAUUCGAUUCCGGUUGCCAACAGCUGCGUGCAAGUCAGCAACUAACCCACUCCAAAAUCCAAAUAUCAGUAUUAAGUGAAAAACCUUGAUCUCGGAGAAGCUACAGCGUCGGCAGAGCGAGAACGUGUUAGGCUGAGUGGGACCCGAGGUGAACGCACGGCGCGGCUGCGGGCGAGGCGUGCUGGCUGACGGCGAGUGGGCUGCGGUGAAUGGCUGGUGUCUGUUGGAGCUGGACGGGGCUGCUGGCUGCUGCUGUCGAAAGUGAGAGUUUAGGGAUUUUAACGGUUGCCGCUGCCCGCUGGUAAUGAGAGGAGUAUGAGACCGAGUGUGAGAAACUGAGAAGUGAAGAUUCUCUCAAAGAGGGAGCAGGGAUUAGGAAUGCAAAACAUCGGGUCGAGCUCGGGCUUGGCCAAACCCGACCCGACCCGAUCAACCAAAAAAAAAUCCGACCCUAACAAAAAAAAAAGGUCGAGGUAGGCCUUUGUUAGGGUCGGAUUUGUUUUUGGUUGAUCGGGUCGGGUCGGGUUUGGCCAAGCCCGAGCUCGACCCGAUGUUUUGCAUUCCUAAUCCCUGCUCCCUCUUUGUUAGAAUCUUCACUUCUCAGUUUCUCACACUCGGUCUCAUACUCCUCUCAUUACCAGCGGGCAGCGGCAACCGUUAAAAUCCCUAAACUCUCACUUUCGACAGCAGCAGCCAGCAGCCCCGUCCAGCUCCAACAGACACCAGCCAUUCACCGCAGCCCACUCGCCGUCGGCCAGCACGCCUCGCCCGCAGCCGCGCCGUGCGUUCACCUCGGGUCCCACUCAGCCUAACACGUUCUCGCUCUGCCGACGCUGUAGCUUCUCCAAGAUCAAGGUUUGUCACUUAAUACUGAUAUUUGGAUUUUGGAGUGGGUUAGUUGCUGACUUGCACGCAGCUGUUGGCAACCGGAAUCGAUUUUUUUUUUUUUUUUUGACGAAACCGGAAUCGAAUUUUAACAGCCUGUUGCUAUUAAUUAAAUUGUAUAUUUUUAAUUAAUUGAUUGGCAAUUAUUGAAUUAUUUGGAGUGGGUUUGUUGUUGUUGACUGGUAAUUGAACCAAUAGAGAUUGUUAUUAGUUAAAUUGGAGUGGGUUUACUGAUAAUUGAACAAUUGGAGACUAUUAUUAAUUAAAUUGGAGUGGGUUUGUUGCUGUUAUUAUUAAUUAAAUUGGAGAUUGUUAAUUAAUUCAUUGAUUAAUUGAUUAAUUUGUGCUGUUUUUUUAAUUUAGAAAAUGGCAAUAUGCUGAAUUGCUGAUUCGUAGUUAUUAUUAGUGUUAUUAUUAUUGUUUGUUUAACUUAAUUGUUGUUCGGCAAAGUUAUAUAUAUUCCCAAAUGUUGUUGCUGUUAUUGUUUUUAUUAUUAAUUAAAUCGUGAUAUUUGUUCAAUUUAGGAUAUUAUAAGUUAUAACAUUAUGAAAUUUUGAGUUUUUGUAAUGAGAACCUAUUUUUUGUUGCAAAAUCAUAAGUGGUUGUUGAAAUGUUGAUCACAGUUAUUCUUGUUCAGUGACAAGUGCCCUGUUAUAUACAUCAGCUGCUAUGGCACGAAAAGUAAGUUAUUUUUAAGUCUAAACUACAUUUUGCUAAGUUAUUUUUAGAUUUGAACAAUAAGUUUCAUUUCGCUAACACUGUCUUUCAUUAUGCAGGUAAAAAUUAGUUGUUUUAUGAACAACCUACUCAGCUGGAGACCAGAUGAAAGGGUUGAAGAAAAAAGGAAAGAUACCUGUUUUUCACCCUUUUUACAAAUAAAGGAUAAAAUGGAAAAGGAUUUAGACCUCAUAGAAUAUCUAGCUAGGAAGUAUGAUGUAAAAUCGUCUUGUUUUCUUUUUCAAAAUUUUUUCUUUGUUUUUAGGUUUAGAAGAUGUUUAUUUCCUCACUGGUUUGCCAGUAGAUGGCCUGCCAGUUACAGGAAAAGUAAUAAGUAUAGAGAAAGCUGCCCAAUACUUGGGUGUUAGAGAAGAUGUAGGUUUUUUUGUAGGAAAAUUUGUUAAUAUGAGCAAACCUAGAGCUCAUUUUAAAGGUAUGCUUCUGGACAGCGAAGAAGCUGUUUCCCGAGCAUACAUUUUAUAUUUGCUUGGGUCUUUUUUCUUUACAAGUACAUCUACAAAUAUUAAAACUCACUAUUACCGCUUUUGUUUUCAUUCUUAGAACAGAUUAGUUUCUUUUGAGAAAAUUCAAACUCAUUCCCAUUACUUCCUUUUCAAUAAUCACCUCUCAAUUUUUUCAUCAAUCACUCAAUUUCGACUUUCAUAUCCAUUCUCUUUCGAAGAAGAACGCACGAAUAAUUUUAGCUUGCUUUAGCUGCUUCUCGAAUUUCAGGUAUUGUUUCCUUUAAUUUUGAUUUUUUUUUUUUACUUCUCUCUUUCUAGUUUGAUAAUUUAGGGUUUUAGUUAAAUUAAUUGUAUUUUUAAGCAACCUAGAUUGAUUUAAUUGAUUCCAAGUCUCAAUUUCCUGUUCAACAAACAAGGAACGCACAAAUAAUUUUCAUUUUCAUUCUCAAUUUUGAAAGAAUCAAUCAAUUUAUUUUAUCUUUGGUUAGUACACUUCUGUUCAAUUUUUGUUUAUUUAACUUAAGACAUUAUUUUCAUUCUUUUCUUCAAGCAGAUUAUAGCGUUGCUCCUCCCAUUGAUUAUAUUGAUAAAAUUACAACGUUGAUUUCAGGUAAUAAUUGAAUGUGUGAUAUUUUCAAUUGAAAUUAAUUGAAUCUCGUAAUAAUAAUAGGGAUUUGAGGUUUACAUCCUGUUGAAAUGAUUUUAGAGUGUUCUGCUAUUUGAAUGCGCAUUAAUUGUUUGAUUAAAUGUCUCUUUAAAAGAUUAUUUUUGUUUUUCGCAAACAUCUUACUGAGAUGUCUCUCGUAAUAGUAUUACCGUAAUGCACUUUGCUUCAAUUUGGUCUGUUUAUACAUUUUAACAAGGGAAAAUUAUAGAACUGCAACAGUUUUCAAAUUGAUUGCAUAUUAGAAGUAAUGUUAAUUUAUGCUGCAACAGUUCAAUGGGCUGGGCACAAGUUUAGGACUUUAGUUGCUCAAUUAAUGAAUCCACCACUCAUCAGACUUGGAACUUAUAUCUACUGAAUCAAUAAAAAUAGUUGAUGGAAUCAAUACCGAAAGCUCCAUUUGAUUAAUAAUGAACUGCAGACAUUUAUUUACAACAUCUGUUAGUAGCAGAAACUAUGAUCGAGACACUGUAGUUGCUUAAUUAGUGAAAUUGUGAUCUCAUUGCCCCCUUUUUUUGGUUGAUUUUAUAAUUUUAUUAGUUGUUCUUGGGGUUGUAAACAAUAUCAAUUUCUAAUAUUAAUAAAACUGAAUGAAUAUAAUGCAAUGCAUUUGCAGGAAAGUUAAUAGUUUAAAUAUGGAAAAAUCUUGGAUGUUGAUGGAUAGGUCUAUAGAAUAUGAGAACGCGGUAAAUGAGUUUCUCAAGUUUGCAGUACUUCAUGCUAGUCAUCCUGAGCUUUUGAGAUGUCCAUGCCAAGCAUGUCUUAGUUUAUAGGCUCAAACAAUUAAGAGUAUAGAAAAUGCAUGAUAGAACACAGAACUCAUAUUUUAGCAACAAUCCUCGGCUCACUGGCCCUUAGUUCAGAAUGACAAUUCUUAUUAGCCAAAGAUUCAAAAUGAUUUUUAGUUGUUAAUAAGUAGAGCACUAGAUCAACAAAUAAUUGAAGCACUAUACGAUGAUGGCAAUUCGAAGACUACAACUUGACUCUGCCAUUUGAAGUAAGCAACGCAGCUGCCCAAAGUCUGCCAAGCCAUCAAGGCUCCAUCAAGUAUACUUCAAAGCCACAUCAAGACAAUACUAAGAUACAACGUCAAUAAUAAUAACACCAAGAAAUACAUGGAGGCCAUUGCAUGCUACAGCCACCCCAAUAAGAAAUUAAUAAAUACAGUCCUAGAAAUUUACAAACCCAUGCAGUAGGAAUAACUAAUUAAUUUAUACAGUUCAGUACUUGUUCCUCUGUUUCAAAUCCAAAUCCACUGGUCUACUAUUCAUUAUGACGCAAUGCAUAUGCCGAUAUUGUCUUCCACCCUUUAUGUAACUUUCAAUUUAGUGAGGUUUAGACAGGGGUUCCAGAUUUGGUAAAUCAACAAUCACCAGAUAUGAUAGAGCGGCCGGAAGAGAAGCAUGGUUCCUAAUCCUAAUCUUGAUUUAGAGCAGAUUAGGUAACAUGUGGCAUUCUACAGGUUAAGCAGAUCAAAUAAACAGAACAGAGGAAAUAAGUGAUCAAUUUAUUACUUUGUGCAAUGGCCACAGCAACAGCGAAAAUAUGUCUACAUGACUACAUUAUACGACUGGCAUGGUAGUAUCACCGUGCAGCAUUACACUAACAUUUCCUUAUCAAUCAAUUGUGAUGGAAUGAUAUUAAAAACAUCGAUUUCAUAAUUUUAUGUAAUUCAAAGAAAAGAUAUAAUUGAUUUGAGUUAGUUUAACAUAAAAGGAAAGAGUAAUGGGGAAUAAUGUCGAUGUGGCAUGUGAUGAGUAAAGAUAGACAACAAAUAUUGAUCGUGUAAUAAUGAAAUAUGUAUUUAAUGAAAAUAAAUUGACAAUUAAAAUUAAUAGAUAUUUAUCCAAUGCAUCGAGUUUAUUUUAUCACUUUGCUAACCAUUUUGUAACUACAUGUUAAUUAGAAGUUCAAUUAAUUUUGACCAAAGACUCUAGAGAAUGUUGAAAAGAGAUUUGAUUUUUGUCUUAAAAAAAAUUAGAAAUGAAAUAAGUCAAAAUCAAUCACAAGAACAACAAUAAGAGCAUAUUUUAUAAAACCACAAAUACAUAAUAUAAAUUUAGUUUCGAAUUAGAUAAUUAUUAAUUUGUAUAGUAAGAGAGUCUUAUAGAAAAAUAGGAAUUUUUUAAAAGGAGAUUUGCUUAAGGAACAACUUUAGUUUGGUUUAAUUUGUGAAGACUCGAGUAAUUGAAAGCAACGCAAUGGAAGGAAAUACAAGCUUUUGAUUUUGACAAAAUAAUCACUAAAAUAUUUGACAAGUUUGAGAUGUUAAAAAACUGGAAAAAUAGACAAAUAAUGAAAACCCUACAAGUUGGCAAAGCAAAUAAACAGAGGAAAACAGAGCAAAUAUUUACCGUUGUACAUAUAUUUUUUUAUUUUUUUCCGAAAAAGAAUGUUGCGAUAUUUUUUCCCAAAAAGAAGCACAGUUUGAUAUUACUACCAUAGAACUUUAGCUACCAUAUGUAAGCACGUGUCUAAUUACCAAAUGAAUUCCGCUAUAACAAAGAAUAAAAGGUAAAUUCAUUGAUGGCAUAUGUUGUGCUUUCUUUUAUUUUAUUUUAUUUUAUUUUAUUGAAGUUACUUUGUAAACUGCUCCAAGCUAAAUACAAAAUUUACUCUUACACUAGGAUCUUUGCAAUGGUCCAGCAAUUUGUAUUUCCUUUCGGUGAGAUUGGUUUUUUUCUUUAAAUAAAAUUUCAGGGAUGAGAAAUCUUAUCCAUUGAACAUCAACUUUGAAUUUUCUUAAUAUUCAAACUUAGAAAGUACUGCAGGAACAAAGUGCAUUCAUAGCAGAAAAUGCUAAGGAGCGAGAGGAACGAGAGAAUGAUGAGAGAAACGGCAUUCUCUCCUGCCGUUUCGCUUCUCGUUCCUCUCGCCACAUAAAACAUUAAAAUAAGAAAAGAAUGAAUAAAGAAAGACUGAUUUAUCACUUCGUGCAGAGGGAAAUCUUAUCAAGUUAUCUCCAGUCCUCACUUUCCUCUCUCCCUCACGGCUUCCGGCGUGCCUCACCAGCUUCUCUCCCUCACGCUUCCGGCUUGCCUCACCAGCUUCUCUCUCCCUCAUGCUUCCGGCUUGCCUCACCAGCUUCUCUCUCCCUCACGGUUCCAGAAACUCCCUCACGGCUUCCGGCGUGCCUCACCAGCUUCUCUCUCCCUCACGCUUCCGGCUUGCCUCACCAGCUUCUGUCUCCCUCACGCUUCCAGAAGCUCCCUCACGCUUCCGGCGUUAUGACGAGAUGGCUGAGAUUUCUAGGGGGAUUGCGAAGCAAAAGACAAAAUUGGACUCACUGAGGUGGCAAACACAGCAAGGGAUAUCGAGUAGCGCUUUUCAAAGAUUGAGAGUGGAUGCUGAGCAACUUAGUAAAGCUAGGGAAUUUGGGUUGAAGAAAGCGGGCAUGCAUAGCAAACUGCUGUGAUUUUUUUUUUUUUUUUUUGUAAAUUACCACAUUAAAGCCAAUAUCCUUUGUAUUAAAUUCGCAAUAAACCAUUUGGCUGAUGUAUUUCUGGUUUAUUAGUAUUGGAAAGAUGACUUUUUGUUUUACUUGAUGAAUUUGCUGUGACUUUGGAGGUUAGCAUUAUGCAGUUUAUUUAUCAUUAAUUUGGUUUUCCUGUUUGGUUGUUGUACUUUUUUACCCAUCAAUAUUCAAGUAUUUCUGUUGAAUAGCUAACCUGAGUUUUGCUAGAAAUUACGUUAUGGCCUUGAAUAUUGUUGAAAGGUGAAAAUAUAAACUCUUUAGAGGGCAAAGGUGAAAUUAUAAUUCACUUAAUCUAUUUUCGGUAAUUUGUAUUUAACUUUCAAGAUUAGUUUCUCUGGGGUUUUAAUUCUCGCAACUUCACAACUCAUCAUUUAUUGGUUGGCACUUUUGGUAAUACAUUAAAAACAUAUUUUUAAUCAACAAUUGAAGCAGUUCUAAAAUCCAAUAUUAUUUUGUAAAAAUUAAAUGUAAUUUUGUGAUCUGAAACCUUUGCUGAAGGAAUUUUAUUGGUUGUUGUCUAUGCACAAAAUAAUUACUAUUUAAUAAACAAUUUGUUAUAGAAAAUUGCUUAAUUCACUUAUGCAUAAAAAUGAACCGUGAGGGAGAGAGAUGAUCGGCCAAGCUUAAGGAAUGUGCAUAGAACCGUAAAUUUUAUGCACAAAAUAAUUUUAUUGGUUGUUGUCUAUGCACAAAAUAAUUAACAUUUAUAUUCAGUUUCAUAAAAAUUAAAUUUACAAAAUUUCUAAAACAAAUAGUAUUGAGAUAAAACAAAAUUCAUAAUAUAUCCCACAACAAAAUUCACAACAUAAACACCAAAUAAAAUAAAAUUCAUAACAUAACCCGCAACAAAAUUUACAUUGCUUAAAUUCCAGAAGCUUACAUUCCAACGAGACCCACCAAAAUUUCUAAAACAAAUAGUAUUGAAAUAAAUUCUGCAUACCAUAAGAUAACCCGCAACAAAAUUCACAACAUAAACACCAAAGUUGAAAUAAAACAAAAUUCAUAACAUAACCCGUAAUAAAAUUUACAUUGCUUAAAUUCCAUAAGCUUAAAUUCCAACGAGACCCAGCAACAACACCCAAAAAAAACAAACUUAAAUUCCACAAUACGCUUAAAUUCCACGCCAGAUCUUUCACAUAACAGAAAAUUAAAACAAAAAGAACAAGCUGAAAAAAGCCACCGCUCACUUAAUGUUUGCCGAGAGAGCCGAGAGAGGGGGAGAGGGAGGAGGUCGUGAUCGGUUGCUGGCUGGAGAGGGAGGAGGCCGUGAAUAGUUGCUCGGGCUGGAGAGGGAGGCCGUGAUUUGCGUGAGAGAGGAAAGUGAAGAGUGAAGCCUGCGUGAGAGAGAGAGGAAAGUGAAAGCUGGAUUUCACGCCAUUUUUUAAUUCAUUUUUUUUUAUUUUUUUAAUGUUUAAUGAGUGAGAGGAACGAGAGGAGAAACGGCAGGAGAGAAUGUCGUUUCUGUCGUCCUUCUCUCGUCCCUCUCGAUACCUAGCAGCACUCAUUCAUAGCCGGUUACACUAUGUCUAGCUACAAUGCAAGUUUCACUUUUACUUAAUUAAAUAUACAAAAUUAAAUCACAUGAGCCUCUCGUUUCAUUAUACUUCAACUCAAAAUUAAAACACAGAAUUGACGGUAUUGGAGUUUCAUAUUUAAUUUAAGUAGAGCACUAGAUCAAACUGGCUCAACAAAUAAUUGAAGACUUGCACACAUAAAAAAUCUCCAUUUUAUUGUUCAAACUGGCAGUUCUUAUUAGUCAAAGAAUCAAAUUGACUUUUAGUUGUAUAUAAGUAGAGCACUAGAUCAACAAAUAAUUGAAGACUUGCUUGGCUGUGGAACCAUAGGAAGGCAAUUCGUGAACAGCCUUGAUAUUUCGUUUGGUUUUAUUUAAUUCUUUGUAUAGUUGUAUUUUAAGUAAAAUUUUUGUUAAAUGAAAUCGGUAGGUGAAGAGAAUUUUUAAAAGCAACCAUCAAAGUCACGAUCAAAAGGAAGAAAUCAGUAUAAAUAUUGAUUGUCUCAAGUUAGAUUAUACAAAGAUGAAAUAAUGCUAAUCUAAAAAAUUCGAUGAUUAUAAUUUGAUUUCCAUUAUAUUAAUUAUAUUCAAUCAUGCUAUUUAAAUGAAGAACACUCUAGCAUUUAUAUACACUCAGCUUAUGAUAUUAAUUACAAAACGAUCUUUGACAAAGUCUGAUGAAAAAAGUACAAACUUAGACUUCCCGAUCAUGCAACCACCCAUCGAAUUGUGUAUUGUGUCAUCGUUGAGCUCUUAGAAGGAUUCAGCGUCUGAGGAGAAGAUAUAAUCUGUUUUUGUGUGAGAAGCUAUGUACUAUGCUUUUAUGGUGUUUCUCUUGGUAGUUGUCGGACAAACUGUAAUGUGAAUUUCUAUCUAAUGGGUAUCGUUUUAGUUAGUUUGGGAUUGUUGAUUUAUAUAUGAUGUUUGGUAUCUAAAAUUCAGAUUAUGAUAAUCUUGGCAGUACUUUUGUCAAAUUUUCUUGUGUUGUUGUUGGUUUAAUAAAAUAUCACAAAGGUGCAAAAUACAGUAAAAUUAACAUUAGAUAUAUUGAAAAAGACAUUGACACAAGAAACUGGAAAUUAGUUGUUAAUUAUGAUGGGAAUAUGAUCUUGGUAUUUCAAUUAUAUCAUUUGCACUAAUCUCAUUUGUGUCUAUCACUGAAAAGCAGAGUGACUUGAUUGAAUAGUGUCAUAUUACGUCACAGCAAUCACAGAAACUCACCCAAAAGUACAUGAGCAUUGAACAUUCAGCUAAUUUAUACUAAUUAAUUAAUAAUACUAACAAGAGAAGUUGGAUCUCGUCUUCUCUUGGAUAUAUCCGAUGACUUUGAGCUCUCCAGCCUCCCAGCCGGAAAUGUUCUUCCUUCACAUUCGGUGAUUGUUUUUCAUUAUUGCGGCUACUUGACUCAAAUAUGCUAUUGCAAGAGGAGAUUUCUAUUUUGUCUGAUUUAAGCCAUAAGACGGGUUUCAAGGUUCAUUCUGAUUGGUUAUCUGUUAGCUUUUUUGUUUUAAGAACUUCUUAUUUACGGAAGCAAAAUUCUCCUUUCCAGGAUGAUCUAGAUUUAGAAGUUGCUUUUGUCAUAUCAGACGAAGAGGCCAUCUUUAAGGCCUUGUCUAAGAUUGUUGAAUUUACUAGAAGGGACUACUGCUCUGAUUGGUCAAAACUACUAUGGCUGUCUUUUUCAUGAGCUUCUAAUAUCGAAUCAGUUUUAAUGGUAUGAUAUUAAAAAAAUCGAUUUCAUAAUUUUAUGUAAUUUCAUAGAAAAGAUAUAAUUGAUUUGAGUUAGUUUAACGUAUAAAGAAAGAGAGAUGGGGACUGAUGUUGAUUUGGCAUGUGAUGCGUAAUAAUAGACACCAAAUAUUAAUCAUGUAAUAGUGAAAUAUAUAUUUACUGAAAAAUAUUUGGCAAUAAAAUGAUGCUUCAAAAAAUUAAUAUUAUUUGCAAGAAAGUAAUUCGACAAUUAAAAGUAAAAGAUGUAUAUGCGACACUUCGAGCUUAUCUUAUCACUUCACUAGCCAUUUUGUAACAACAACUUUAAUAGAAGUUCAAUUAAUUCUGACCAAAGACUUUAGAGAAUGUCGAGAAGAGAUUUGAUAUUUGCAUUUCAAAAAAUUAGAGAUGAGAUAAGUUAAAAUCAAUUACAAGAACAACAAUAGGAACACAUUUUGUAAAACCCACAAAUAUAUAAAAUAUAAAUUUAAUUUCGAAUUAAGUAAUUACUAAUUUAUAUAGUAAGAGAGUCUUAUAGGAAAGUAGGAAUUUUUUAAAAGAGAUUUGCUUAUGGAAAAAGUUUAGUUUGGUUUAGUUUGUGAAGGCUCAAGUAAUUGAAAGCAAUGCAAUUGAAGGAAAUAUAAGAUUCUAAUUUUUUUAAAGUAAUCGCUAAAAUAUUUGACGAAUAGUGAAGACCCUACAAGUUGACAAUGCAAAUAAACCGGGGAAAAUAGGGCAAAUAUUUACUUUCUUCCAAAAAUAAUAAAAGCACAGUCUGCUACUACUAUUAUAGAAUGUUAGCUACCAUAUAGCUACUAUAUAUGAGCACGUGUCCAGUUACCAAAUAAUUUCCACUUUAAAAAGGAAUAAAAGCUAAUAUCAUUGUUAGCAAAUUUUAUUUAUUUAUUAUUAUUUUUUAUUAUCCUUUUUUUUUUUUUGCGCUUUUAGUUAUAGGCCUAAAAAGAUAAAGCUAAAAAUCAAUCCCAAAUCUAAAGUGAAAAAUUGUGUCUAGAACAGAAUCUAUGUUUUGAUGUCUUUGUUUACAAGCUUAAACAAUUCAUAGUAUACAAAAUGCAUGAUAGAGAACAGAACUCAUAUUUUAGCAAUAAUCCUCAGCUCACUGGCCGUUAGUUCAGAAUGACAAUUCUUAUUAGUCAAAGAGUCAAAAUGAUUUUGAGUUGUAUAUAAAUAGAGCACUAGAUCAACAAAGAAUUGAAGACUUGCUUUUGCUAUUAAACCACGCGAUGGCAGUUCGAAGACUACAGCUUAGCUCUGCCAUUCGAAGUAAGCAAUUCAGCUGCCCAAAGACUGCCAAGCCAUCAAGACAAUACCAAGAUACAACAUCAAGAAUCACGUACAGGCCGUCACAUAUUACAUUUGUCGUCUGUUUUAAGAAAGAUUUACGAGCCCAUGCAGUAGGAGUAAUUUAUUAAUUUAUACAGUUCAGUACUCAUUCCUCUUUCUUCUGUUUCAGAUCGAAAUCUAGUGCUCCAUCAUUUAUUAUGACGCAAGGUAUAUGGGUUAGCAUGUGUCGAUAUUGUCCUCCAUUCUUUGUGUACCUUUCUUCGAACAAGGGACAACCCGAGAUCUCUAAUCGCAAAAGAGAGGCAGGCAGGCCCUUCUCUGGAAAGUACUUGAGCUUGGGACAAUUACAGAGUUUAAUGAAAUGAGGUUUUGAUGCUCAACAAUUGAAGAAGACAGGCGUUCCAAAUUUAGUAAAUUAACAAUCACCAAAUAUGGUAGGGUGGCAGGCAGAGGAAGCGUGGUUCCUAAUCCUAAUCAUGAUUGAUAACUGGCUAUGUAACAUGUGGCAUUCUACAUUCUUGCAAUGCCAUUUCUUGUUAUGGCAGCAGCGUUCUUUCAUCAUGGCGUCACAAGCAAAUGUUUGAUUUGAAGACUUGCUUAGCUGAGAAAAAUAAGGAGAGCAAAGGUAAUGAAUUUUGGUGUGAUGAAUAUUUUUAUGGAUGUACUAAGAAAAAUAAAGAUAAUAGAAGUGAUGUUAUUGAGGAGCAUUUUGAUAUUUACAAAAGUGUUCAAAGAAAAAAGUUAUUUUUUGAAAUCUAUUUGCUGGUGCACAUAACAAAAGGGCAUUCUGAGUAAAUUUAAAACUACAAAUAGUCUCACUCUUUUAAUAAUAUUCUUCAAUUAAUUCUGUUUAUUUAAAAAUAAAUAUUCUAUCUCUUUAUUACUUUCUAACUAGUCAUGCUAAUAUGCUAAUAAUUAUGAAGAACUAGUGUAAUUUAUAUGAUAUAAGAAGCCCUUUAGCACAUUAACCCGAAUUUUGCUAAUACAUGUGCCUAAUAUAGCGAAAUCAACAUUCAGCGCAUUAGAGUGCCAUUAUAUAUAUUGAGAGAGAAAUUAACACAAAAAAUGGAAUAUUAAUUGACAUUGGAUCAUGUUGGAUUGUCAGUUGUUAAUUAUGAUGGGAAUACAAUCUUCAUCUUUUGAUUAUCAGCUAGCUAAUGCAUGUGCACUUUCAUUUGUGUCUAUCACUGAAGAGUAAAGUUACUUGAUUGAGUAGUAUCAUAUCACAGGAACUCCAAACUCAAUUUCAUUGCCGGAGCAUACUAUGCCAUAUGUAGCUUAAAAGUGCAGCUAUCUUAUACUAAUUAUUUAAUACGACUAUUAGCUCUUUAUGAUUAAUUAAAAGAGAAAAUGUUUGACAAUCACGAAAAUAAUAACAAUUCACUCCUAUAAACAACAUAACAAUACAUGGUCUAUAUUGCAAAUCUUUUUAUGAUUAUAAUUAAAAGAGAAAAUACGAAGACAUAUUUUAUAUAAUAAUUGAAUGUUCUCCUUGAUAAUUAGACAAAAUAACACCAAUCUAGCUAAUUAAUCCAAUCAUCAUACUAAUCCAAUUUUCAUUAUUUAAUUAUGUCCAAUCAUGCUAAUUUAAUAAAGAGCACUGAACACUCGAGUACUUAUAUGUUCAACAACUUUGGCCGAGUUUGAAAAAGAUUAGAGCUGCAUUUAUGCUUUGUGUUAUUACUGACGACAUGAUCAUAUUAUGUCGCAUUUGUCAGAGAACCGAAAAACUGUGGGGGAAAAAAAAAUCCUAAAAGAGAUGUAACGAAAGCAAAAUGAGAAAAUAAUGCACACAUCAUAGCAAUGCUUCAUUCAUUUUGAUUCUAUCUAUACAAAAACUUGUAUCCGAUGGUUUACAUUUGUUUAAUCUAACGGCUAUAACAUGUAUACAGUCAAACGCUACUGCUGCCAUCUUUCUUUGUCCUCGUUGUAUCCUUGAUCUUAUAUUAUCCUGGUGAUUCUUGAAAGAUCUUCUCAUUCUCAUAUGCUGAGUCGCUUGUUGGGAUGAUUAAUACUCGAAGGUCCUUCAUUGAGACAUUUCAGCAAACACCUGAUUCAUUCUAUCAAACAUCUGCAUCACUAAUCGCUAAAUGAUAUAAAAUAGUUCUGUUUUGAAAAAUUGAUAUAAAUCAGUCGCCUUAGAUUUUCUUAGUCUCAGAGCACAACGGGUGAUGAUUCGAUGAGAAAUAUUAAUAUGCAUGCAUCCGCUGCAUUAGUUAGAGCUGCUUGUCAUUUUCUUCUUUCUUUUGGAUACUAUUUUAAAUUUUUAAUCAGUCUAAUUCAGCUGCAUGUUUGCUUUCAGUCCAAAUCGAAAUCAGAUAUUAAGUGCUUCUACUGGUAUGGACACACCCAAAAAUCUAUGGGAUCCGUAGUUCUUGCAGAAGCGGCAGAAUGCUGCCAGCAAUUCAGGCAGAUAGAGGCUUGGCUGAGUGGUUGUUCUUCAAUGUGAAAUUCUACAUAAUGGCGAUCCUUUUAAUGGGGUUUAAAUUUUUUUUUUUUUUUGAGUUGUUGAUUUAGAGCAGAUUAAGUAGCAUGUGGCAUUCUAUAUUCUUGCAAUGCCAUUUCUUGUUAUGGCAUCAACAUUCUUAAUUUUGAUUUGCUUAAUUUUGCUUUCUGUUUUUGAUAUUUUCUUCGCAUUGUUGUUGUGGGAUUUGUUAUUUGUAGAUAGUGUAUAUGUAUGAAGAUAACGUAAUAAAGUGCUUUUGAUAAAUUCCCCUGGUCUGUUUACUUCACUAAUUCAUUAAUGAGCAAGUCCUCUAUAGAGCUGUGUUGUGCGUACAAGUUUUGCUACAUGAAAUCGUUAGGUGAGGAGAAUUUUUAAAAGCAUACAUCAAAGUAAUGAUUAAAGGGACAAAAUCAACGUAAAUAUUGAUUAUCUUGAGUUAGAUUAUACAAAGAUGAAAUAAUGAUAAUCUAGUAAAUUUAUCAGAAUACACUACUAAAAAAUGCAUUUUAAUGACACAAAUUUUAUGACAUACAUCUUUACGUCAUGAAAAUAUUAUGAAAAUACUUGCAUGAUGUAUAAUGCUUUCGUGAUUAUUUGAUGAUAAAUUCAUAAUUGACGCUAAUAUGAAAUGAAGUGAUCAUAGGUAAAUAUCAUGCAUUUUUUUUUUAUGGGUAAGAAUAUUUGAACCCACCAAAUUACUCUUUAAAUUUAUUUUUUUAUUGAUAAUUUUAUUACAAAAUUACCGAUAAUUUGAAUUACUAUUACAGACAAACAAUAAUUAUAUAAAAUUAUUUUAUUUUUACUCAUUGUUUAAACCUACCGCAAAACUCAAUCAAAGUAUGCUUAUUUUUUUCUUCUACAAGUGUUUAAUAAGUUCAUCCUUCAUCCACAGUUGAGAACUUUCUAAUUUUUUUUCUUGUUCUAGUAAUUUGGAUAUGCUGUGUUAGAUACUGAAUUUAUUAAAUUUCUUCUUCUCUUUUGAAUAAAAUCUCUUUAAAAUUCAAUUCAUAAAAAAAUAAAAAAUUAAUCUCCUUAUAAUUUAAUAUGUUUCAGCUGUCUUAGUGGAAUGAUGCAAUUUGUUUCCAUCAAAGUUUUGAAGCAUCCCGAAAUUUUGAGAUCGACAUGAUAACAAAUUAAUUUAAUUCAUUGUGUACUCUAAAUUUUCAGCCACAAAAAAAUAGCCAAAUUGAAGUGUACCUGGGCAAGAAGAAACUGCGAUUAUACAAUUUCAGUGUUCGACUCUAUCAAUAAAAAAGAAAAUAAAAAAGAACUCUCAUUGUUCCAUUAUUUUUCCCAUAAAUAAUGAUAUACAGAGAAUUCAGUUUGAUAUGGGAUAUAAUAAGUAUUUAGGUGAGUUUAUAAAGUAAAUUUUAAAAUUUUAAAAUUUAGUAAUGGGUUUAUAAAUAAUUGAGUUCAUAUAAUAUUUUAAUAAAUUCAAAUAACCCACCCUUUUUUUUUUUUAAAAAAGAUCUAAUUACAAAAAUACCAUUCCAAUCGGCAGCAUUUUAUAUUUUAUUUUAUUAAAUAUUAUUUUAUUUUUAAAUUACUAGUGACGCAAGAAACGGCAUCAUUUAUUGAUAUUUUUAAAUUGUUUAAGAUUUGUUUAAUUAGAAAAUUGCCAUUGUUGAUAUUUAAUUAAUUUUAAAAAAUAAAAAUAAUAAAAUUGGUAAGCUCUACUCCAUAAGUGAUGAACGAAUUGACAAAUUUGCAGUAAGUGAUGAACGAAUUGAUAAGCUCUACUCCAUCGGUUCCUUAAUUGAGAAAAAACCCAAGCCCGUGCAGCGCAGCCUCACAAUUGAUAGAGACCCUAAGCCACCAAACUCGACAAUCAUCACUCAACGUCGUCGCAAGCUACCGGUCGCUCAACAAGCACCAGUUCCUUGCUCUACAGCCAUCGCUCAACCGCUGCCAUUACCUGUUAAUUAUUCGCUUGAAUUAGGGUUCUGAUAUUUUGGGAUUUUUUGUUAGUCGUGGAAUUAUGAAGCAAGGACGACGAUGACGAAGAUGUGGUGGUUGACGACGGCAAUGGCAACGUUGAAUAUUGAGGCACCGGAGGAAAAAGCAUUGGCUAUGUAUCUUGGUCGAUUUGCCUCGAAUUGAUCACUAAACAUGGGGAUAUCGUGGGCCGAGCUUCAACGCAGUGGCAAAUUUCAUUUGGGUAACUGAAUUUUUUUUUUUGUUUAAUUUGUUUAGAGUUCAAUUGUUUAGAUCUAGGCUAAUUUUUAAUGAUAAUUUUUAUGAUUAAAUUAUAUGAGUAUGCUUAAAUUUUUUUUCCUUCAAAUUUAUUUUCUGAUGUUGCAUUUGGUUAGCAAAAAGAUAAAAAUAGUAGAAAAUGUCAGAAUUAUUGUUAUGAAAAUGUUGUUUUAGUCUGAUAUUGGGAAAAUAUCAUUAUACAUAUUGGCAUGAUAUUCAUGGGAGACAAAAUUGAGAAUGAUGACAGACUAUGCAUUGCUCACAACUAAUUUAAAACUCACUAUUUCUAUUGUUUGUGUUUCAGUAACUUUGGGGGAAUUCCAACUAUAGUUAAUAAGCUAUAAACUUGUUUAGGAUUGCUGAUCAAUUUGCUAGAAAGAGUUGCAAAGUAAUUAGCUUUCUCUUAUAACUUUUACAGAUCAUCUGUGGAGGAGAACUGCAAGGAGUUGAAGACUCUAGACCCUAAACUUCAUAUCUUGAUUUAUAAGUGCAAUGGGCAUAAGUCCGAAUUAUGGGCUGGAGAUGGUAUAUGUAAUCUUUCUACUCUUGGUGUUUUUUUUUCCUCUAGUUAUUUUUUGUUCUCUACUCCAUUGUAUAUUUGUAUUCAAAAGUAUUUUUUCUUUGUUUUAAGCUUUUAAAUUUAUGGAGAUGAUCUUAUUAGGUGUUAAAAAAAAUAGUUGUAGAGCUUUACUAAAACUAUGUAAACUCCUAUUGAGAUUUGGGUUUGAUUUUGUAAGAUUGCUAAAAAUUUCAUAUUUUAUACUUGUUUUAUACUUUUCUAGUUGAAUUUCUUGCUUGUGGAAGAUAAAAUAAAAGUCCAAUUCAUGUUGUAAAAUUUUUUUUCCUCCCUUCUUUCUUUCCUUAUAAUCUGGCUCUGGCUUUGGUGCUAUGCUUGGUGCAGUUUAUGGUUUCAAUGCAGGGAACCAAUUUCAUCAUAAUCAUCUUAAAGGAUCAAAAUGGCUUUCUUUUGUAACUGGGUAAGUCAAUGCUACUUCCUGAAUUCGAUUUGGAGUUCUUUCGGAAUAGAUUUCCUUCCCUUACAUCACUUGGCUUCUAGUUGCAUCUUCUUGGCUUUCUCCAGCGGACUUUUUUAUUGGCAAAAUUCCUUUGUUUCUAUUGUUUUCAAGUGCUAGUGCUGGAUUUAGAGGUAUGAAUGGUGCCUUCAUUUUUAUUUUUUUAUUUUUAUUUUGGGUGUAUAGUACUGUAAUAUACUUCUUUGUAUAGCUAGUACAAAAUAGUUCUUCAACUUCUUACUUUUGGCUUUAAUGGGUUCGAUAUAUGAUAGCGGAGCCCUAUCAGCAUUUGAUGUCAGACAACAAAUAGGGGACAGAUGGGAUUAGAAAAAUAAGAAACAUGACCAAAAUAAAAAUCUAAUCUACUCAUAUAAGCAACUCAUCAAAUAAGUGUAUCACAUACUUAAGUGAAUAAGAUUCCGUGAUUUCUAGGAAUCCAAGUCAAAUUAUAACAUUCUUUAAAUAAGACUCACAAGCUUAUUAGGUGUUAUAUUGAAUCAUCUAAGUUGAAUAAUCUUUUGGGUUGAAUAUGUUAAUUUCUUAUUCCAUAUGUUUCAGCCUCUCAAUAGUUGAAUUAGCAAUGAAAAUUUGAAAAUGGAAAAACUCAGUGCAAUUAUUUUAGGUGCUUAUCAUAGAUAAGAAUUUCACUUUUUACACUUCAUUGUCUGUUGUCAAAUUUAUUAAGUAUGAACCCGGAUUAGGUUUGUGCUCUCAAGGAUUUAUAAAUAAGUGCUACUUGACUUAGAUGUAAGAAAAUUGAAAAGCAGAGUUGCUUGAUUGAAUAGCUUCAUAUUUUACAUCACAGAAACUCAAUUUUCAUUGCCAUAUGUAGCUCAAAAGAGCAUGAACAUUGAACAUUCAGCUAAUUUAUACUAAUUAAUUAACACAACUAUCAGUUCUUACUUCUUGGUACCCGGCAACAUCCAUCCAUAAGAGUGAAACCCCCAUUGAUUUCAUAUAUACAAAAUAAAUAACUUACAAAGACAAUACCUGACAAUCACAACAAAAACACCAAUUCACUCCAAUAAACAACAUAACGAAUACAUGGUCUAAAUUGCAAGUCUUGUUACGAUUUUAAUUAAAAGAGAAAAUGCGAAGGACAUGUUAUAUAUAAUUGAAUGUUAUCCUUGAUAAUUAGACAAAAUAACACUAAUGUAGCUAACUAAUCCAAUCAUUGUAAUAAUUGGAUUUUCUUUUUUUAAUUAUGUCUAUUGAUGCUAAUUUAAUCAAGAACACUGAAUACUUGAGUGUUUUUAUGUUCAACAACUUUGGCUAAGUUUGAAAAGAUCAUAUUAAUUAUUAAUAUAAAUAAAUAAGCCAACAAGGUACAUAUUACAUAUAUGUGUAGUUGCAAUAAAUACAUAUGUAAUAAAGAUCAUAAAGCUCAGGGCCAUUAAUUCAACAUUACCAAAUCAAUAUCCCAAUAAUGGUUUGAUUACUAAUCUAAGCAUUAAAUGAUCAGCAAACUUUAUUUGGCCAAAACAAAUGCUUCCUUGUUGCCUCCUUGAUCUUUUCCUGGCUGGUGAUUCCUGAAUGUUCUUCUCAUUUUGAUAUGCUGAGUCGUUUGCUGAUUAUAAAUGCUAAUCACCUUAAAUUUUCUUAGUCUUCUUCUUCAUGUGAAAUUCUACCUAAUGGCUAUCCUUUUAUCUGGUUUGAAUUCUUCUUUUUUCUUUGAAUUGUUGAUUUCUAAUGUUCUUGUCAUUCGCACAUGUGGCGUUCUGCACUCUUGCAAUGCCAUUUCUUAUUAUGGCAGCAGCAUUCUUGGUCAUGGCAUCACAAGCAAAUGCUUUUGAAUUGCUUUGUUUGAUUUUUGUUUCUAAUAUUUUUUUUUUUUGGCAUUGUGGGAUACUGUUUCUCUUUUGAUUUUCUGUCUUUGUUGUUAUGGGAUUCUGGUAUAGUAUGCAUCAGUACACAUAUGAAGAUGAUGUGAUAAAGUGCUUUUGAUAAAUUGCCCCAGUCAGUUUACUUCACAAACCAACCAUUAAUGAGCAAAUCCUUCUAAUGACCCUUGUACACAUUAGAAUAAAUACAAUUCUAUAUAUACACAAAAAUAAAUAACUCUCAAGUAUAUUAUUUGAUAAUCGCAAAAGCAACAAUUCACUCCAAUAAAUCUCAUAACACACUCAUGUUCUAUGUUGCAAGUCUUUGUAGAGAAAAAAUGAAGGACACACAAUUGAAUUUUUUCUAUAAUAAAGAACUCUAAACAAAUUCAUAUACAUAUUGCAGUACCCCUUACAAAUUCAUUUGUUUCUUCUUUUCCUUUGAUCAAGUGCUAAUUACAGCCUUGAUAUUUCAUUUGGUUUUAGUUAAUUUUCUAUAGGGUUGUGUUGUGUGAAAUUAAUUACAAAACAAUCUUUAACGAAGUCUUAUGAAAAUACCAUAUUAUAACUACAAAGUUAGGCUUCCUAAUCAAGCUACUGUUCAUCAGAUUGUGUAUUGUGUUACUGGUGAGCUCUUAUGUCAAUUAUGACCAGAUGGCGCCUUGGCUAACUGUGAGUUAUGUGCGAACAUAAGAGCUGCAAAUGAGUUAUGUACUAUUUUUAUGUGACAAGGUAUGUGCUCUGUUUUUAUGGUCUUUCUCUCUGUAGUUCCCUCUGUAGUUUUUUUUUUUUUGGGAUACAUUGAUAAUAAAAUUAGAAGUCUACUAAUAUGUACAACCAGAAACCUAUUGGGGACUUUUUGUCUUUUGAUGCAGUUGUAGGGCACAGCUCAAAUAUUCUUUCCUCAUUUAAUAUUGGAGAAAUCCGACUCCCAAGCGAUUCUGUCUACGGUUGUUGGACAAACUGUAAUGUGAAUUUCUAUCUAAUGGGUGUAUCAUCCUUGCAGUCAGUUUGGGAUUGUUGAUAUAGAUAUGAUGUUUAGUCUCCAAAAUUCAGAUGAUGAUAAUGUUGUGAGUACUUUUUGUCAUAUUUUCUUUUGUGUUGGUGUUGGGAUCUUAAUUUUGUAUCCACUGUUAGGACAAUAUGAACCCAUUUUAAGUGAUAUGAUGCAAGUUCAUGUUCAAGAAUCCAUUUAAUGAAACAUUCCAGUGUUUAAUAAUGAGUAAUUGGUUUAAGAUUAAUACCAAAUAUUUUAAGUAACAUGUGGCGUAUUCUAGUGAGAUCCUCCAACUCAGAUUUCUAACUCAAAUGGAAACGUUUCGAAUUUCUUCAGAACAUUCUGCAGAACGGUUCGUCUUGUCUUUACAGUUUCUUUUGUGAAUUUCUCCCAGUUUCUUUUGUGAAGACUUCUGAAUAAGCUUCCAGAUAUUGAGAUACAAUCCAAUCUAAGCCCAUACGUAUAUACGCCUCACAUUUGUCCAUUUCCCCAGAAAAUCAAAAAGCACUUUAGUUCGAAACAAACACUCUAAAAAAAACCAUCUAGCUACCCAGAUGGCGAAAUCAAGAAUCUUGCAAUGGCAAUGCCAUUUCUUGUUAUGGCAGUAGCAUUGAUGAUCAUGGCAUCACAAGCAAAUGCUCUGAUGCCGUACACACGAUCACCUUUCUUUGACGUGAUGUUCCCAAUGACGGAAGAUCCUUUCAGGGUUCUUGAACAAACCCGUUAACAAUCCCAAAAGGAGCUGAACAUCAUCAAACUCUAGCACUGGCGAGAGCAGACUGAAAGGAGACACCAACAUCACACGUGAUCACACUCGACAUUACAGGGAUGAAGAAAGACGAUGUGAAGAUUGAAGUUGAAGAGAACAGUGUACAGAGAGUGAGUGGGGAGAGGAAGAGUGAUGAUUAUUAUAAGGAGGAAGUUGAAGGAGAAAAAUGACACAGAGCUGAGAGAACAUUUGGCAAGUUUUGGAGGCAGUUUAGGAUGCCUAUGAGUGCUGACUUGGAUCAUGUUAAGGCUCAUUUGGAAAAUGGUUCUAAGGAUCACAGUGCCAAAACUUGCUGAGGGGAAGAAGAGGCAGCCUAAGGUUAUUUAAAUAUUUUUAUUAGUUAUAAUAAGUUAUAAAUUUAUUAAUAAAUUAUAAUGUAAAAAUAAAAAAUGCUAUUAUUGAAUGAUAAAUUAUUUAUUUAUUAAUUUAUAUUAAUAAUUAUAAUGUAAAAACAAAUAAAAUAAAAAUAUUAUAUUAAAUUAAAAACUAUAUUUAUUUAUUUAUUAUUUUAGUAUUAUAAUAAUAAUAAAACAAAAAGCAAAAGUUAAAAGCAAAAGCAAAAAAAAAAAAAACAAAGCUAAUGUGUCAGUUGAUGCAUUAGCUACAGUGCUUUUAACCCAUGUCAUGUUUCCCCAAACAUGGUACAAGUAUUAACUUAAUGUAAAUAGUAAUUUAAUACCCCCUUAAUACUACAACCAAACACAUUCAAAGAUAUUCAUCUUCUGUCAUAUUAAUGUGUUAGUACGAAGGUUUAUUGGAAUUAUAAUAGUUUAGAUUAAUCCAAAAUAUUCAAUAAUUGAUAAAUAGUAUAUAUAAAUAUUAAUAGCAAUGGCACAUAAUCAAUUAAUUCAAGAACUUGCCCAUAGUGCAUUAAGUUAAAAGAGUAAAAAUAACAUUGCAAUCAGGGAUAUUUAUAACACUGUUGCUGAUGAGGCAGCUGUUAAUUCUUCUGGUGAAGAUGUUAAGACCACUAAAGCUGGAAUGUAAUCAGGGAAAUAUAAUGUAUUCACUUAGUUUGCUAUUUGUGUUUUUUAUAUUUGUUUGGCUAAUUCUUUGCUCAGAUUGCUUUUUUGUUUUUGAGAUUUUAUUGGCUUAGUCGUGGGAUAUUAUUUAAUCUUUUAAUUUUGUGUUUUUAUUGUUAUGGGAUUUGAUGAUGGCAUACAUAUAAGAAAAUUAUGCAAGAAAGUGCUUUUAAUAAAUUAUGGUCAGUUUACUAUUAAUUAACCAAAUUUAAUUUACUCAAAUUACUCCUAUACACGAUCAAAAUAAUUUCAAUUCCAUGAUAUAAAUACGCGCAUGCGGACACACAAAAUGUAAGUAACUUUUAAAUACAAAAUAUUUAAAAUAAUCAUCACACUAACAAUUCACAAGUUAGAUUAUAUUAAGGCCACCAAGGCUUAAAUGUAAUUGAUUAAGGAAAGAAGUGCUUGCUUUGCUUGAUGUGCCAUUUGUCUAUGAUGUUUUCUUGAUUUUGUUGUGUGAUGCUUCUCUUUAGAUGUGCUGUUUAUUGUAUUUUGAUGGGUUUUUGAGGAUGGUUGUAUGUAUUAGCAACAACAAGGUGCUUUUUAUAAAAUCCGGGUUCUAAUUUUGUAAAAGAAAUUAAUACUCUCGGUUUAUUGUUAAUAAAAAAGAAAAAAGAAAAAGCCUUUUUUCUUUGGCAUAUAUUAUGCAUUUUAAGAAAGAAAAAAAAUCACAUUCCAAUUCAUGAAAGACAUUCAUUCUGUCAUAUUGAUGUGUUAAUAGAAAGAUUUAUGUGAAUUAUAACAAUUUUGAUGAAUCUAAAUAUUUAAUAACUGAUAAAUUGUAUUUAUAAAUAUUAAUACCGGUGGCACAUAAGCACUUAAUUCAAGAACUCGCCUAUAGUGCAUUAAUUUAAAGAGUAGAAAUAUUUAAUAAAUCAUGCUCGGUUUACUAUUAAUUAAUCAAAUUUAAUUUACUCAAAUAUACUCCUCUACAUGAUCAAAGUAAUUUCAAGUAUACAACACACAAAAAUGUAAAUGACUUUGAAAUAUAAAAUAUUUAAAAUAAUCACCCCGCUAACAAUUCACCAGCAAGAUUAUAAAUAGUCGAAAUAAUGAUAAUCUAGGGGGUACAGUCAUAAUAAUUUGAUUUUUAUUUAUAUUAAUUAUAUCAAAAAGAGUACUCGAGAUUAUAUAUAUCCAACAGCUAAAAUUUCAAAACAAUAUUUGUCAAAGUCUGAUGAAGAGAAUAUAUAUAUAUAUAUAUAUAUAUCAUGCACUCGCACACAUUCUAUUGUUUAAUUAAAAAAUUUGAAAGCCCAUUAUAUACAUGAUAAAGACUCACCGACACUGAACCAUAUUCAUUUAAAGGAAUUGUUUUCAACUGAGAUUUGAAAUUAUAUACACAAACACACCCGUUUUUUUUUUAAAAUUACUAAUAAUAAAAUAUUUCAGUCGUGCUCUGUUCAGCCACCAAAAAUCCAUUUAUAUAUCUAACAGAUAAGAUGUCAAAACAAAUUUUGCCGAAAGCAAAAAGUCUGGUGAAAAGAAAUGUUAUAUGUAUAUAACCGUACAGGCGCAGGGGAAGGAUAAGUCAAAAGAAAAACGAAGUUUCAACAAGAAAUUAAUUACACAUUUACACUUAAUGAGAAAUUAAUUCAUUACUUUCUAGCGCUUGCAGUCUAUUUUUUAAUAAAAAAAAUUCGAAAACCGAUUACAUGAUAAAAACUCACCGACACCGAACCUUAUUAAUUUAAAAUAGUUUUCAACUAAAAUCGACACGCGGUAGAAAAUGGUAAACAAACUAAAGGAAGACUAAAGGACGACAAAAAUUAGCGUGGUUUCACGCGUUCUCUUACGUCAAUUCAAAAAUGCAUGGGACCAUAAUAAAUAAUAAAAUAAAGAAUAAGAAAAUGAAAAAGCAGCUCAAAUUUCUUCAUUUUAUCUUUUUCCUUAUACUUUAUCCAGCAAAUCUCCCCAGAGAGAUAGAGAGGAUAGGAAACUAAUUUUAAUCCUUUUUCCUCUUAAUUUCAGCUUAGCACCGUGUGAGCAUUCCCUUUUCAUCAAACGAUGUCGCUCUGCUUUGCUUCAAUUCAUUUCAGCUGGUCAGCACGUUGUGAGCUCUGCUCUGUUUCGAAAAUAAAUCAGAACAUAAAAAAUUUUGUGCCCAGGCCAAACUGACAAAAUUGGAAAACUGAACUGACUUUUAUUGAUUAUCUCUAUUACAAACAUUGAUUUUGUGCCGAGGCCAAACACUUAUUAUAGAAGCUUGUAGUUGAGACAGGAAUAGAAACAGAGACAAACAAAAACACACAAACACAAAAAAAAAAAAAAAAAAAUUCCAGCAGCAACAACUCCAGCAUCAAUUCCAGCACCAAUAACACUUUCAGCAAAAAAAAUUCCAGUAACACUUCCAGCAAAAAAAUUCCAGCAGCAACAACCUGGCUAAGGGGAGCCGUGGUGUGGCGCUUUGUGAGUGGAUGAGGAGAUGAGAAGGGAGAGAGGUUGCCCCAGUUUGACCCACGAACCCGACCCGCGAACGUGACCCGGUUGGAUUUCACGAUCCCGGCCACUCUACCGGCCAAUCAAGGUAUUGAUCUGAAGCUUGGAAGCCAGCCCUCGUUUCCCUGCCAUCCUUGCCGCCGAAAACCAACAAGAACGCCGUCGAUUUAGCUCAAAAACCGCGAACCCGACCCGACCCACGAACGUGACCCAGUUGGAUUUCAUGAUCCCGGCAACUCCACCGGCCGAUCAAGGUAUUGAUCUGAAGCUUGGAAGCCGACCGUCGUUUCCCUACCAUCCUCGCCGACGAAAACCAACAGGAACGCCGACCUUUUAGCUCGAAAGAACCACGGCUCCAACACACCACCGCGUGAGUUCUACUCCCUCGAUCACGUGAUGGUUGUGGUCCGUCGUCUGUGGGCUCGUCCGUCGUAUGUGGUUUGUCAAACGGAAAGUAAGAGUGCGUGGCUGAUUGUUGAUUGUGGGUGUGAUUCUGUGGUUUGUCAGAAGGGAAGUAAAGAGUGCGUGCGUGAGUGAGUUUGUGGUUUCUAUUCCAGCUAAAAGGGAGGUGAGAGAGAAAAAAAAAUUCUUGUUAAUGCUUUAUUGGCUCACGCAUUAUGUUUAAUUUAAUUUUUUAAAUUGAUUGUGGGACUAACUUAAAAUUCACGCAUGCUCAUUUUCUAAAGAGAGAGGAUAGGAAACGACAGCAUGUGCUGCCGUUUCUGUCUUCCUUUUGUCGUCCCUGAGUCUCAAUAUAAGCACUCUAUUUCAUUCGUCCAAUUUAAAAAAAAAACUAAUAAUAAAAUAUUUCACCAACACAUAAUACACGCCCAAUUUAAAAAAAAAACUAAUAAUAAAAUAUUUCAUUCGUCCUAUGUUGAGUCGUCAAAAACCACUGGAAGAUGGAUUCUAACACGCGGUAUAUGGGUUAACAAGUCCCAAUAUUGUCCUCCAUCCUUUCUGCACUUCUCUUCUAUCAACGGACAUUCGUCGAUGUAUAAUCGCAAAAGUGAGGAAGGCAGGCCCUUCUCCGAAAAGUAUUUGAGCUUGGGACAAUCAUAGAGUUGCAAGUAUUUGAGGUUUUGAAGAUCAACAAUUGAAGAAGAUAGGCGUUCCAGAUUUGGAAAAUCUCCAAUCGUCAGGGAUGCUAGAGAGGCAGGAAGAGGAAGCGUGGUCCCCAAUCUUCUGUCCUCUGGUGGGAAUGACACCAUGUCGUCAUCACAUCCUUCGAUUGUAAGAUGUCGCAGAGAGGAGAAUUUGUGAAAUCCCCGCUCAAUCAUUGACUUCCAAAUCUCCAUAUUACGCUCAAUCUUCAGAAAAUGAAGGUUGGUGGGAAGGCCAUCUUCUUCAAGGCUUGGAAGCUUACCUCCUAUUCUUAAUUUUUUAAGAGACUUCAGAUUGUGCAAUCCCUUGGGUAAGGCCUCUAGUCUCUCACACCUAUAGAUCCCGAGCUUACUCAGUUUCGCACAAGGCAAUCCCCCUUCGGGAAAGGACACCAGAUUUUCACAUCCCCAUAAUUGGAUCUCUUGAAGCUGGCGGAGAUUAUGUAAACCACUCGGUAAAAAUUUCAGAUUUUCACACCAUAAAAUACUGAUCAUUUCAAGAGAUGUGUUGUUGUCCAACCUUUCUGCUAUUGACUCCAGCUUUGAACAACUCCAAACAUUAAGGCUCUUAAGAGACGGAGGUAGAUUGCCAACUUCAAGGGACUCAAGCGUGGCAGGUAACUCGUUUUUUGAAAAUAUACAUGUCAGUGAUGGACAAUCCCAAAUUUCCAACUUCUCGAGAAGAUAUGAGGUGUACCUUCUGCUGCUACUCUGGAUGCCGUCUUCCACUGUCAAAGUCCUUAUAUUAUCGCAAUGGCUGAUGUCCAACCUCUUAAGGCUCGGUGGUAGCUGGACUCUAGCAAUAUAUGGCAACGAAUGGCAACUCCAAAUCUUCAAGAUCUCGAGAGAUGAAUUGGUGCCGCACAUCCAUGCCUCUGGUAACGAUUUCAGUGCAUCACAUUCUCUAAUCUCAAUUUUCUUCAACUUGGAAGGCAGAGCAACCUCAGGAAAGGAAACAAGGGAAUGACAACGGCAGAUUUCUAUCUCUCUCAAGGAACUGAGGCUGAGAGAUGAUUGUGGCAGCUUCACAAGGCCUUUGCAAUAUCUCAAUAUUAGAUAUUCGAGUCUGCAUGACAACUCGCAGAGCUGCUGUUGUUGGUCUUUCUCUUCCUCCGCCACCAAGGAUUGAAGUUUGGGACAGCUGUCAAUCGUCAAUCUUUUGAGAGAGCAAAUGUCUUGUAGUAAUCCGUCAUGACUCUUCCAUAUAUAUGUUUGCUCUUUUGUCGACAAAAUUAAUUCUUCCAAUUUCUGUAGUUGUGGCUUCAAUGGCCCCGCAAGAAACACUUGAUUUGAUGUAUCUCUACAAACCACUGAAUUCUGUGAUCCGAGAUGAUCAGUUGCACUUCUCCACACAACCUUUUUACAUCCACCAAUCUGUAAUUUGCAAAGAGCUGGAAGACUCGAAACUGAAACUGACAAUUCUUCACAUCCUUUAAUAACAAGCUUCUCCAAUGCAGGAAGGUGCUCUGGAAAUGUUCCUUGCAGCUUAGAACAUCUUAAAAUGUGAAGCUCUCUCAAUUUAGGAAACCCUUCAACUCCUUGACCGGAUCCAUGAGGAAUCCAGUCUUCCCAUUCUUCCAUGUCUUCAAAACGAAGAGUCUCCAAGUAUGGAAAAGGAAUUGAAGCAUCCUUCCCAUAGAACUCUGGAUCUAAUCUCCUUACGCUGCUCAUUCCACAUACUACGAGAUGCUUUAGAGAGGGUAGUUGCCCGACUGACGGAAGGGCCGUACAUAUGCCACAAUUUUCAAAUUUUAAGGUCACUAAAUUUGAGAACAAGGAAUCUCCCAACCAAGUUGGAAAUUUCAUACCUCCAUAGCCUUUGAUACAAAAUUGCUCCAGAUUUGCAUGAGGUUUUAGCACGUCAAGCACGCCCAUUUCAGUUUCUGCCUCCCUUGAAGAUGAACCAUCGGUACUGCAAGUCCAAUUAAGCGAUAAUUCUUUCAGAUUCUUCUUUCCAUCCAUUUGAGCCUCCAUGGCAUCACCAACGCAUUUUACAUUCUCCAAUUUUGAAAUUUUAAGUGUCCUCUCAAGAUGCGUCAACGACUUCAGCUCUCUUAACCCGGAACCACUGUCUUUUGCCACAACAAAAUUACACAACGUUUGAAGACAAGUCAGCCUGACAAUUCCUAGUGGCAUUUCCUCCAAGGAAUCUGUAUUUGAAUUUUUAAGAUGAUGCAAUUUGAUGAGGUUUCCCAUGUCUGCACACAACUUCUUCAGCCGAUCACAAUCUUCCAACAAAAGACUAUGCAAAUUGUAAAGCUUGUUGACUGAUUCAGGCAGAGAUCUAAUCACAGCUCCAGACAGGUUAAGGUACCUUAAAUACCUCAAAUCACCAACUGAAUCCGGCAGCUCAGGGAUGCAGUAUCCACGCAAAGAGAAGACCCUCAAGCGUUGGAGUUUGAGCAACUUAGGAAGAAUGCUAGGAGCCAAGUAGCAAGGCCCACUAUUUGUCAACAUUACUGGUAAAAAAGUUCUCAAAUGUUGGAUAUCAUACAAGUCCCCAAACCUUUGAACGCCAUCAUAAUCUCCACGAAUGUAUGAUAGAUGACGAAGAUUUCUGGAAAAACAUUGUCGCUUGUUAACCUCAGAGGUAUACUCCAGUGUGAAGUAUGUCUCCCCCCCUGCAGCCCAACGGGCAAGGCCGUUGAUAAGAUCGUGCAUAACAAAUCGUGAUGCAUCGGUGGCCGAUUGCUGGAAAAAAGAUCUUGAACGUAGCUCUUGAAAGAACUUUCGACCUAGAUCUUCGUUAGGAUUCCCACUCUCUUUAUGAUCCAAGAAACCCGAGGCACACCAUAACAAAAUUAUCUCCUCCUCGUCAAAUUCAUAAUCCUUCGGAAACAACGAGCAGUAUGCAAAGCAUUGUUUCAAAAUUGGAGGAAGAUAAUAAUAGCUCACUGCAAGAGCUGGUAUAAUGGGACAUCUAUCUUCUGGUAAUUCCCAUAUCUUGCUACUGAGCACGCCUUUCCACUCACGUUUGUAAGGUUUUCCAUGUAAAAGUCCUCCCAGUGUUUUUGCUGCCAAGGGCAAGCCGUUGCAUUUGAUCACUAUCUCCUUGCCAAUUUCCUCCAAUGACUUGUGUGAACUGAAAUCUGUUGUCUCCAAAGAGUGCUGAGCGAGUACAGACAGACAGUCCUCAGUUGACAAGCUUUUGAGUUCAUAAGCUUGAUCCAGGCUCAUGAUUUUGGCAACCUCUUCAUUGCGAGUAGUGACAACAAUCUUACUUCCCUGUGCGCCAGCUUGAAAUGGAAGGCUGAGGCGAGCCCAAUCAGUGUAAUUCUCAUUCCAAACGUCAUCUAAAACAAGCAAAAAUUUCUUUCGAGACAACUGCUUCUUUAGCUCCUCUUGAAGAAAAUUUAAAUCAUUAUUAUCAACAGUCUGCUUAGUAAUGGAGCUUAGAAUUGUUCUUGUUAGCCCCUUAACGUCGAAAUCCUCAGAGACACAAGUCCAUGCCUUGAGAUCAAAGUGAUCCUGCACUCGCUUAUCAUUGUAGACAAGCUGAGCAAGAGUGGUUUUACCCAGCCCGCCCAUACCUAUAAUAGGAAUAACUGCGAAUCCACCAUCAUUUCUUGAAUCAUCCUUCAACAACAAUUCAACAAUUUCCUUCUUUUCUGUUUCCCUGCCAUAAACUUUGGCCUCCACCAAAGAAGUUGUAUCUCGCCUUUGCCUGGCUUUUUUGGACCCCCCAGCUGAACUUUUUAUCAAAUUCAGCGGGCCUAUUCCUUCUUCAAUAUCUUGAAAUCUGUCGUUGAUCUUUUUGAUUUUGGACAUCAUGGCGUAAUCGAACUGAAUCGACCGUGGAGUUAAAGUGGUGCAGCAAGUAGGAAUGAGCUUCCGAAACUUACUCUUCGUGCUUGUACGACUGCUGCUGGCUUGAUCAUGAGCAGCAGCUGGUUCUCCAUUUCCAAGCAGCAACUUCCUCCGGAAAGCCUCAGUUUGGAACUCAUCCAACAAGUCUUCAACGUCAUAAACCAAGUUCUGAAGCUCGCCAAGCCACAACUUCACAGCAUCAUUAGUCGUCUUCUUCUCCUCAGCAUCAUCAAGCACCGCCUUGAUCGUCACCAACUUAUUCUUCCACUUCACUAGAUCUGCUUGGAUUCGACCUUGGCGUGCAAACAACCGAAUCCCCUCUGAAGCUAAUUUAUUGAUCAGCAUCUCAACGGACGCCGUAAGGAUUGCCUCUCCGAUGAUCGACAUUUUUUCUUUUUUCUUUUUUUGGGUUUUUUUGGACAGAGAAAGAAACUGAAUUAUGAGUUUGUGGAAAGCAAAAUGAGAAAAGUGAAUAAGCGGAAUGUGUUUGUGAUUGUGUCUAGCAAGCCUAGAAAUCAAGAAAAACCCACUGUAAAAGUGAAAAGUAAAACGGAUCCCACCACAAAUAUAAAAUCAGAGGAGCACAGAAAUUAUAAAAAAAAAAAUCAAACAUGUAAUGAUUUGUAAAGUUAUUAGCGAUUUGUAAAAAUCAAACACGCGUCUUCUUCCUCUGAUUGUAUUUUUUAUUUUUUCUUUUUCAAAAGAGAUGGUGGGGUUGGGUUGUUUGCAAAGUUAAUUGCGUGGGUCUAUUUGUUUUUUUUUUUAACUUUAUUAAUUAAUUAGUGAAGCAUGUAAUGAUUUGUAAAGAUCACGGGCAUCAAAUUAUUGAGAGGUAUUGCGCUUAGUAUUCACAAUUUCUUGUAAGAUGAAUUUGUAAGACUUAUUAAUUUUGAUGAAAAUAUAUCGUUAUUAAGUUAUUAUUUAAUUCAUUAAGUUAACUUGAGGUAUUAAUAUUCAUUAAUUGUGGUGCACUGGUGCUGGUGAAUUUACUUAAUUUGUCAUUAUUUAUAAUUAAAGAAUGAGGUUCAAUCAAUUUAUUGGAGAAAAUUUGAUUUUAAUUCUUAGGAUUUGAUUUCACUCUCUUUUAUUUUUUGACGUUGCUAAAGAUGCAGUAACAAACUUGCUAAAUGUCAUCAAAUGCUUGUAUCUUAUCUCACAAAUUGGCAAUAUUUGUUUGGUAUUUCAUCUCAACGGGACGCCGUAAGGAUUGCCUCUCCGAUGAUUGACAUUUUUUUUUUCUUUUUUCCAGCACAGAAAGAAACAGAAUUUUGAGUUUUAAAGCAAAAUCAGAAAAUUGAGCAAAAUGCAGGUAGCAAGUCUUCCGCUUGUUUAUUCCAGUAAAGUGAAAAUAAAAACAGAGCCCACCACCCAUUGAUAAUUGGAAAAUGAUAAACGAACGAAAGCGCAACGAAGGGACGACAGAAAACGCGUUUCCUCAUCCAAUUUUAUUCUUACCGAUAAUAAAUAAUAAAAUAUUUUUUUAUGGGACCGACAACAAAUAGUAAAAUAAAGAACCAAAAAAAAAAGAUAGUGUGAACGAACGGAAGCACAACGAAGGAACGACAGAAAACGCGUUCGCGCAUCAAAAUUUUCUUUUAUGGGACCGAUAAUAAAUAAUAAAAUAUUUUUUUGUGGGACCGAUUAUAAUAGUAAAAUAAAGAAUAAAAAAUGAAAAAAAGGAUAGUGUGCAAUUUUUCUUUUAAUAAUUUGGCAAUUCACCAAUCACCAGUCACCACCACUUGUUACCAGAUUCAAUGAACGUAAAAUCGCACCUCGACAUUUGUAGGGUCAAGCAACAUUAAUCCAGUUGUCCGGGUAAAUGCUGAAUAAAGUGGAAACUGGGAUGUAUCUACUACGAACCUUCCCUUUACAAAUCUUCAAACUGAUAAGCCAGAGGCAGCCCCCACCACCAUCAAUAAUUCAGCAAGUUUCACAUGCUUGUGCUUGUCUGCUUGACGAACCGGAAAUGGGUGGACCAGGCACCAUUGAAUAAUUGGAAAAAAAAUGAAAAAUAAAAAUCCGUGUCCAGCAAAAAGAAUGCAUCUUCAUGUGUUGCUUCCUAUUCAGUACCUCUAGUCAUCUACCUAGCAUUUAAAAAAAUGGAAGUAGUAAUUAAAUCUGACUUUUUUAGAUAUGGCUCAUAUAUAUUACAAGUAUCAAGAUUUAAUUAGAGUACACGUAUUUACAAUGCGUCUAGUUUUAAUUGAGAGAUAAACUAAUCAUUAAUAAUCAGGUUUUUCUAAAUGAUUGAAUAAUGAUAUUAAUUAUUGAUAUUUAUAAAAUUUCUAAGAAGUGAUAACUAAUACGUUGGGGAUAUGUAUUUGUGCGGAAUGGUAAAUAUAAAGAAUAGCAAUAAAAAUGGUGGAACUUUAAUAUGAUAAAAAAAGUAAACUGUAGAAAAUUAAUAUGUAAUUUAAGGCACGUUAUAAAUAUCACUUUUCUUAAGACAUUAUUUACCCCUACCAAUUGAGUGAUGCACAUGAGUUAAACAAAUAUACCUCUAGGAUAUAAUGAAAUGCUUCUUUAUUUGCUUGCGUUGUGCAUCGAAGAAAGUAAACCUGAAUACUCUUGAAUGUUGCAAGCCUGCUAGGAAUCAAUAUGUUGAUUCUGUUAAAAAAACAAUGUAUUGGAUAUUUGAUGCAUAAAAAAUAGAUGUUAUUUGAUGAAAUUCAUUUUAAGAAAUAGGGGUAAGAAAAGAGUAGUGCAUGAUUAUCUUAUUCAUAUCUAAAAUUCUAAAUAUAUGGAUUUAUUUAUUAUGGAGACAUAAUAGUAAUUGUAAAUUAAAAAUAAAUUUAUUAAUAAAAAUAAGGGUUAUAUAUCUUUUUUAAAAUGUUAAGAAGUUUAAUAUCCUUUUUUAGAUUAAAUUUUCUAUUUCAUAUUAAGCAAAACCCACGUCAAAAGUGAAAAGGAUAAACAGAGCCCACAAAACAGAGCGCAUUACAAAUAUAAAAUCGGAGGAGCUCAUGGUCAUGCCUUUUGCUUUACCUACUAAAUUAAAUAAAAGCCAAACCAAAAUCUUACCUUUGCUUAACAUGAUUAAUUAGGCACUGCAUCAGAGAGAACACGAAGGCAAUGAACCAUUUUGUUAAUCUUAAAUGUCAGGAGUAUAAUUAGCUUGGAAUAAAGUUGCAUUCUUCUCCUCUGACCGUCUCUUCAGGUUCAUUUCAAAAGUUUGAAGAGAGUUUCAAUUCUUCUACACUUUAGAUUUUCUAUUUUUUAAUUGUACAGAAAAUGGGACUAAUUUUCAAAUAUUUUCAAAUUCACUUAUUAACAAAAGCUGUACAAAAUGAUUUCCUUUUUAUUUUGAAAUAUUAUACGGAAUCAAAUAACAGUGAUUGAAAGAGUGUAAAGUGGUAAUUUUCUGAUCGUAUUUUCUCUCUUUUUUAAAAGGAGAUGGUGGGGUUUGGUUGUUUUGCAAAAUUAUUGGUGUGAGGGUCUAUUUGUUUUUGUUUUCACUUUAUUAAUUAAUUACGAAGCAAACAUGUAAUCAUUUGUAAAGGGGCAACUAGCAUCGGAUCAUGUAAGAUGAAUUACUUAUUAAUUUCGAUGAAAAUGGAGCAUUAUUAAGUUAUUAAUUCAUUAACUUGAGGUACUAAUAUUUACUAAUUGUGGUGAUUAAUUUAUUUAACUUUGUCAUAAUUUUCAAUUGAGAAUGAAGUUCAAUCAAUGUAUAAAAAGAUAAUUUUUUUAGAUUUUUAAUUCCUAUGAUUUAAUUUCUCUCUGUUUCGAUUAUUGACGUGUUAAAAGCUUGUAGAAUAUCAUGAAAUGCUUGUAUCUCACCUCACAAAUUGACAAAUAUUGGUUGGUUUCUCCAAAGGCUCCCUUGACGAAUUGAAAGUAAAAACAACCACCAUUGAAAAUUAAAUUUUAAAAAUCUUUUUUACUUGAAAUUUUUUAAAAGAAAAAUUAAGUAAAUUAGAUUACAGAUAUCAAUCUUAAUAUUUUGUUGAUGAAAAUUAAUUAAUUAAUCCCAGUACUUUCUUAAUUUUGUGUUGUGCACCGCAUUGGCCACUUCUGAUUGUGUUGCACAUUUGUUAAUUCAAAAAAAUAGAACUUUUGUAUUGAUCAAACUUAUUUUAUUAGUAUUAUUCAUCAUAUGGUUAAUGGCUUAGCCAAUGAAGGAGAAGGGGUCAGCCAAAACAAAUAAAGUACUUUCUCAUGCAUUAACCUUUAUUAAAAAGCUUUAUUAACUGUUGUAGUUAAAAUAAUUUUAAAACAAGUUAAAACAGUUCCAACUCAAAAUCAGUAGGCUGCAAUUGGGUUGUUACACAUAUUUCUAAAUUUCAGUCUAAUUUAAUUGUGUAUGGACAAACUAAGAAAUAAAGUUUCCACCACCGUACCAGUAUGUCGAUUUGCGAAUACAUUCAUUCAAAUAUUAAACGUUCAGAGAAGAAAGCAAACCGUGGCAGGAUAGCAAAACCUGCGAAUGGUCAUUCCCAACACGAACCCCUAUGGCUGUUUUCCUUUUAAUUUUCUUCUUUGAAUUCUCCUUUUAUUAAUAAUUAGAAAAACUCCCUUUUUUUUUAAAUCACGUGUUAUUAACAUUUACAUGGUUAAUGUCAUCGAAAUCAAAUGGUUUUUAUCUACGAAAAGAAAAUUGCUAGAAAUUUUGUUAGUCCCAUUGCAACAAUAUAUUGUUAUAAAUUGCAUUGUGUCCCAUAUAACAAAUAUAAUAAAAUCUCAAUAAAUUAAUAAUUUUGGGAACCAUAAAAAAAUUUAUUAAAAUUUAACAAAUAUCAAUUAAUCAGUAAAUUAAUAAAUUAUUAAUUUAUGAAAAUAUUCAUUAUUUUGGAAAAACAUGAUCACGUUUUUAAUAUUGAUUUACCUUGAGUUAAUAUCUAUUAUGUUUUAUUUGUCUAUUAGUUUUAUCUUGGGAAGAUUUUUCAAGAGUUAGCUGCUUUAUAUUAAGUUAUUAACAGUAAUAAAAUUAUUAGUUGAUACAGGCGAAUUUUCUGACCAAAAUCGUACAAAGAAGUUGAAAGUGUUUAUUUUUGUUAUUUCAAGACAUUCUAACAAACUAUAAGGGGUCACAAAAAGGUUGAUACCCCUACUUGUUCUUUUUUUCCUCAAGAGUCAAGCAAAAUACGACAUAAAAUGUGGCAAGUCUUCCCACUUGUUGUUCUUUGCAGCUAAGAAAAGAAAAACAGAUUCCGCAAUGGAGUCCCCUUAAGUGGCUUGACUGGGUUUGCUCCCCAGUUCGAGUCGCAAGGAAGUCGCCUUUGUUGGGAGAACCUGUGUCCCCCAGUUCGAGCGGGGACUUCUAGUCUAGGUUAUGGUACGGGUUUAAAAGUGCCUCACACAGUUGGGACCUCCCCAGGAUACCUCGUGGUUAAAAAAAAAAAACAAGAAAAACAGAGCCCGCCACCCAUUAAUAAUUUAGCAAUUCACCAAUCACCACAAAAUUCCAUUAGAUAUUCGUCGAUCAAGUAGUUAAUCCAGUGUCUGUUACGUAGAGCCUUCACUUUACAAAUCUUCAACUCAUAAACCAAGUUAAAUCAAGACGUUUCUCUGUAUAUAUAUAUAUAUAUAUUAACUCCUAAAACGUUUCUUUUUAGGAAUAUUUUACUUUAUUCAUCUAAUAUGUUAUCUAACAAAUAGACACAGAUGAAAUCACUCUAAAGUGAAGAUGAAAAGGGAGAAAAAAACAUUCCAACCACCAAUAAUUUAGCAAGCUUCACUUUUAUUCCACCAAAGUGUAAAUAAAGCCAGCCCCCACCACCAUCAAUAAUUUAGCAAGCUUCACACGCUUGUUGUCUUCUCCUUGACGAACUGGACGGGGUGGACCAAGAAUCAAUGAAUGAAUUUUAAAAAUAAUAAUAAAAGAAAAACAUAAACAUUUUGGACUCAGAGUAGAACCGUAAUUAAUGCUAAAAUUUAUUCCGCUAACGUUUUCAAAAUAUUGUUCUUUAUAAUUGUACAGCAAAUAAGACUAAGUUUUGGACAUUUUCAUAUUCACUUACUUUCAAAAGCAGUAUUUCGAAACAUUUUACAGAAUCAAGUAACAGUUAUAUAACGAGAAAAGUGCAAAGUUGUGUAAUUCUAAUGUUUUUUUUUUAUCACAGACACUCAGAUAAUUUUUUAUUUGGGUCGCCAACUCGCCAAUGAACCCAUGAUUGAAUGAGUGUUUAGAAAGAAAAUCAAUAAAAAACAGUUUAUUUUUUGUCGUCGAAAUAUAGUAAGUGAGAAAGAUUAUUCUGUUUUUUUGUUAAUUAGGCUAGUAUUUAUGAUUGAGUGACUCAGAACUAUAUUUUAGAUUGAGAAUCAAUGGUUCUCCCACACUGAGAGGCUGUAAGUUUAAGAUUGUCGUUUGCUAUUUCAUCGACAAGAGAGCACUCGAUUUUAUUAAAUGGAGAAAGUCUUCCUUUUUACUUGAAAAUUUAAUAUACAAAAACUUACUAAUAAAUGACAUAUUAUACAUAAAUUAUUAAUUCAUUUGAUAGUUGAUUAUCGAAUGACAUGUGACCCAUGGGAGCAUGCAGUCUAUAAAAUAAUUCUUCUUUUUUUUUUAAACAAAAAAUCGGUGAUGUUGAAAAGCAUUUCUGUAUAUUAUUAUUACUCUAAUUGGGGUGAACAUUUCAUAAAAAGAAUGCCGUAUGAAACUAAAUUAUUAAUUCAUUUGAUAGUUGGUUAUCGAAUGACAUGUGACCCACAACAAGACAAACUUAAAGCAACGCAGAGGUUUUCCUUCGAAAUACAUAAACAGUUCGAAUAUGAAAUUUCAAUAUCACAAUAAUAUUGAUCAUGAUUCAAUUUCUUUUUCUUGUUUCUUUUUUUGAUUUCCAAUCUUUACCAAAAGAAAAAAUUUAUUGAUCCCUUUUAUCAACUUGCUUUUAUUGACUUUCUUCCAAUAAUAGAAGUGAAAAAGAGAAACCAAUAAUUUAGUACAUGUAUAUAUAGAUAUACACAUGCACAUGCAGCACAUCUAUCUAAAAUUUAAAAAAACUGAAUUAGAAACCUUCUUGAAUAAAUGAAUAGGAAUAGAAAUACUCUCUAAUAAUACUUCCUAAAAUAAUUAACCCUAAAUAAUUUGUCCUGCAUCAUCGAACUCCAGAUCUUAUAAAGUAUAACAGACAAAUUUGAGUUUUUUUUUAAUUAAAAAAAGGAUUGGAAAAAUAAACAAAUAAUGAAGACAGAAGUUAAGCAGACAGAGGAAAAUGAAUUACAUACUGUCCUUGAGAACUCAAUUCUUUAAUAAACUCAAAUUUUUAAAUGUAUAUUUUUUUUUUGGGUAAACUCAUGUCAUAUACUAUAGUCUUUAAUUCGGGCUUUGUUGUAUCAAUUUUUUGGUGGUUAUCUUGUUUUAUUUAUUUUUUAUGCAAUAUUUUUGGUAGAAAUACAUCAGGAAUAAAAGUGAAAUCUCAAUUUUAAAAUUUAGGGGAAACGAAAUACGAUAUAUUUUUUUUAUGAAUAAAAAAAAUUAAUUUUUUUUAAUUCUACCAGGAAAAACUAUUAAUUUAUCAACCCAUCAAGUUAUUGGUUUCAUUUUACAACUGACAGUCGGUUUCUUAGUUUCAUUCCUUAAUUAUCUUUUAAAAGAUAUUACAAUGCUCUGGCCAUUUGGUAAUUACAAAUUAGAAAAGUCAAAUAUUUCUGGCCAAAGACACUAGUGGAAGAGAUUUUGAUUCAUUUUUGUGUACACGCACAACACAAUUAUUUAAACGUCAAAUAAUUGUGAAAUAUAAAUGACAGUUUAUUUAAACGUCAAAUAAUUGUGACGUUUUAUCAAAUAAGUGACAAAUAUAUUACAUAUUUAUUGAAUCAUUAUCAUUUACCUUUUCCUUUUAUUGACUAAGAAAAAAAAAACAAAAAACUUGCUAUACCGCUUCUGUUUUCGUUCUUGGAACAGAUUAGUUUCUUUUGAGAAAAGUCAAACUCAUUCCCAUUACUUUCUUUUCAAUAAUCACCUCUCAGUUUUACAUCAGUCACUCAAUUUCGAAUUUCAUCUCCAUUCUCUUUCAAAGAAGAACACACGAAGAAUUUUAGCUUGCUUUACCUGCUUCUCAAAUUUCAGGUAUUGUUUCCUUUAAUUUUGAUUUUUUUUUUUUACCUCUCUGUUUCUAGUUUGAUAAUUUAGGGUUAUACUUGAAUUAAUUGUAUUUUUAAUCAUCCUAGGUUGAUUUAAUUGAUUCCAAGUCUCAAUUUCCUGUUCAACAAACAAGGAACGCACGAGUAAUUUUCAUUUUCAUUCUCAAUUUUGAAAGAAUCAAUUUAUUUUAUGUGUUCAAUUUUUGUUUAUUUAACUUAGGAUAUCUUUUUCAUUCUUUUCUUCAAGCAGAUUAUAGCGUUGCUCCUCCCAUUGAUCAUAUUGAGAACAGUGCUUUCUCCUUAAUUCCGCCAAGAACAACUUUGAUUUCAGGUGAUAAUUGAAUGUGUAAUAUUUUCAAUUGAAAUUAAUUGAGUCUCGUAAUAAUAAUAGUGAUUUGAGAUUUACAUCCUGUUGAAAUGAUUUUAGAGUGUUCUGCUAUUUGAAUGCGCAUUAAUUGUUUGAUUAAAUGUCUCUUUAAAAGAUUAUUUUUGUUUUUUAGCAAACAUCUUACUGAGAUGCCUCUCGUAAUAGUAUUUACCGUAAUGCACUUUGCUUCAAUUUGGUCAGUUUACACAUUUUAACAAGGGAAAAUUACAGAACUGCAACAGUUUUCAAAUUGAUUGCAGAUUAGAAGCAACAUGUGGCAUUCAACAUUCCUGCAAUGCCAUUUCUUGUUAUGGCAGCGGCAUUCUUGGUCAUGGCAUCACAAGCAAAUGCUUUGACUUGAAGACUUGCUUGGCUAUGAAAAAUAAGGAGAGCAAAGGUAAUUAAUCUUGGUGUGAUCAAUAUUUUUAUGGGGGUACUAAGAAAAAUAAAGAUAAUAUAAGGAAUGUUGUUGAGGAGUAUUUUGAUAUUUACAAAAGUGUUUAAAGUAAAAAUUGAUUUCUUAAAACUCAUUAGCUAGGGCACAUAAUAAUGGGGAGUAAAUUUUAGACUACGAAUAAUCCCACCCAUUUAAUAAUAUUCUUCAAUCAAUUAUGUUUACUUCAAAAAAAAAAAAAAACCCAUCUCUUUAUUACUUUCUAACUAUUCAUAUUAAUGUGUUAAUAAUUAUGAAGAACCGGUGUAAUUUAUAUGAUGUAGGAAGCACUUUAGGCAAAAUCAUCUGAAUCUCAAAAUUUCGUGAUAUUGUGCCAAAUAUCCAAAACAGAGCUUCCUACAUUGCUAUAGCAGUUUUUAAAAGUUGAGGACUCCAAAUAUCCAAUAACUGAUAAAUUGUGUAAAGAAAUAUAAAUAUUAAUGGUGAUGACACAUAUGCAUGGAAUUCCUCUGUUUUGAGUUUGACUAAAACAACCUGAAUAAUUUCAAACAAUCCAUCAGCCCAAAGUCCUUGAGAGAUCGAACUGGAUUUCAGUGCAUCACAUUCUGAAAUUGAAACUAACAUUAAUUAGAAAGGCAGAACAACCUCUGUUUUUUACUAUAAUACAAAAGGGGAAGUCAAACCAAUUCAAGGAACUCUCCUAUUUUUGACUGAAACAUACAUAAUCCGAACAAUUUACAAUUAAAUAAAUCGUUCAAAAUCUCGAACCCCCAUUUCCAUGGUUUAAUAGAAUAUCAUAAAGGUGCCCAAUACAGUGAAAUUAACGUUCAGCUCAUGAAGUUGCCGUUAUAUAUAUUGAAAAAGAAAUCAAUAAAAGAAACUGAAAACCAAUUGACACUGGAUCACGUAAGAUUGUUCGUUGUUAACUAUGAUGGGAAUAUAUACUUGGUCUAUUACUUAUCAUCUAGCUAAUGCAUGUGCACUUUCAUUUGUGUCUAUCACUGAAGAGUAGAGUUACUUGAUUGAAUAGUAUCAUAUCACAUAAACUCAAAACUUAAUUUCAUGGAAAAUGCUUGGUGUAGAGAAGCACAAGAGAAAGAUGAGAGAAACAAUGAAGAAAUGGGUAGAGAGAGAGUGAGUGGGUAGAGAGAGAGAGAGCAAAAUUCUCUCGUCUUUCUCUCAUGCUUCUCUCUCUCUAGCACUACUCUAAUUUCAUUGCGCGAGCAUACCAGGCCAUAUGUAGCUCAAAAGUGCAAUAACAUUGAACAUUCAGCUAGCUAGCUUAUACUAAUUAAUUAAUACGACUACUAGUUCUUUAUGAUUAAUUAAAAGAGAAAAUAUUUGACAAUCACGAAACAUUGUACCAUCACUGAAGAGUAGAGCUUCCUACAUUGUUACCCAAGCUCUUUUAUAUCUCCCAAACAUUAUUAGAGUCCCACAUUUGUGGCACAUCAUUAAGUAAAAUGUGCCGAUUAGGAAGAACUAGCUUCUUUUUUCUGAUUUCUUGAAUGUGUUGCAACUUUUAAGUAUCACUCAAAAUUUUACACCAUCAACACAUGAAAAUUAUACAUAUUCUGUCAGCACUUGCAUAUGUUGCAAGUGCUGACAGAACUUUUCAUUUGAUUUGAUAAUUGGCUAAGGGUGAUUUCAAUAACAUUUCCAAAGAAGAUAUAGAACAUAGAUCAAAAAGAAAAAUAAGUAAUUUGAUCAGUCGAUGCAAAAAAUGAGCGAGCUUCGUAGUCUGACUAACAAGACAUGGCUUGGAGCAAGGAUCAAUGGACAAGUUUGAGGUUUAUGAAAUAUUGGGAUAAGAGAAAUAAUAAAGCCACUACAAGUUAAGCAGAUCAAAUAAACAGAACAGAGGAAAUAAGUGAUCAAUUUAUUACUUUGUGCAAUGGCCACAGACAGCGAAAAUAUGUCUACAUGACAACAUUAUCCGACUGGCAUGGUACUAUCACCGUGCAGCAUUACACUAACAUUUCCUUAUCAAUCAAUUUUGAUGGUAUGAUAUUAAAAACAUUGAUUUCAUAAUUUUAUGUAAUUCAUAGAAAAGAUAUAAUUGAUUUGAGUUAGCUUAACAUAUACGGAAAGAGUAAUGGGGAAUGAUGUCGAUGUGGCAUGUGAUGAGUAAAGAUAGACAACAAAUAUUGAUCGUGUCAUAAUGAAAUAUGUAUUUAUUGAAAAUAAAUUGACAAUUAAAAUUAAUAGAUAUAUAUCCAAUGCAUCGAGUUUAUUUUAUCACUUCGCUAACCAUUUUGUAACUACAUGUUAAUUAGAAGUUCAAUUAAUUUUGACCAAAGACUCUAGAGAAUAUCGAAAAGAGAUUUGAUUUUUGUCUUAAAAAAAAUUAGAAAUGAAAUAAGUCAAAAUCAAUCACAAAAACAACAAUAAGAGCAUAUUUUAUAAAACCACAAAUGCAUAAUAUAAAUUUAGUUUCGAAUUAGAUAAUUAUUAAUUUGUAUAGCAAAAGAGUCUUAUAGAAAAAUAAGAAUUUUUUUAAAGGAGAUUUGCUUAAGGAACAACUUUAGUUUGGUUUAAUUUGUGAAGACUCAACUAAUUGAAAGCAACGCAAUUGAAGGAAAUACAAGCUUUUGAUUUUGACAAAGUAAUCACUAAAAUAUUUGACAAGUUUGAGAUGUUAAAAAAGCUGGAAAAAUAGACAAAUAAUGAAGAUCCUACAAGCUGGCAGAGCAAAUAAACAGAGGAAAACAAAGCAAAUAUUUACUGUUAUACAUAUAUUUUUUUUUAUUUUUUUCCAAAAAAGAAUGUUGCGAUAUUUUUUCCCAAAAAGAAGCACAGUUUGCUAUUACUACCAUAGAACUUUAGCUACCAUUUAUAAGCACGUGUCUAAUUACCAAAUGAAUUCCACUAUAACAAAGAAUAAAAGCUAAUUUCAUUGAUGGCAUAUGUUGUGCUUUCUUUUAUUUUAUUUUUCUCCUUUUAGUUAUUGAAGUUACUUUGCAAACUGCUCCAAGCUAAAUACAAAACUUACUCUUACACUAGGAUCUUUGCAAUGGUCCAGCAAUUUGUAUUCCUUUCGGUGAGAUUGGUUUUUUUCUUUAAAUAAAAUUUCAGGGAUGAGAAAUCUUAUCCAUUGAACAUCAACUUUGAAUUUUAUUAAUAUUCAAACUUAGAAAGUACUGCAGGAACAAAGUGCAUUCAUAGCCGGUUACACUAUGUCUAGCUACAAUGCAAGUUUCACUUAAUUAAAUAUACAAAAUUAAAUCACACGAGCCUCUCGUUUCUGUUGAAAAUUGAUUAAAAAAAAGUUGAAAAGUCAAAUUCAAAGACAUCAUUUGAAUUCAAAUGGGAGGUGGCCGAGAACUUUGAAAAGUAAUUGGAAGUGGCCAAAACUAUUUUGAAUGUUGAAUGGUGGCUAUUGAAUGUUGAAAAAAUAGAUUGAUUUUAGGCAAAAUUUUGCCUAUAAAAGGAAGCUCUCAUUUGAGAGCUUGGCAUCCCAAAUCCCAGAGAAGCGAUCCAAGUUUUGGUGAGAAAUUGAGAGAGAGAAAUGUUCUUAAGCAUGUAGUUAUAUUGUAGGAGUAUUUGACUCCUCAAUAUAGGUGUUACGGGUUUGCUUUGUUAAAGGAUAUUUCUCAGGAUUAUGUAUUUGGGGAUUGGGUGAGAGAAAAUUAUUUCUCAGAGUGUGGUUGUAAUAAUUUUCCACAUAGUGAAUAUUUUUUCUCUGGUUGGCUUUUGACAACGGCCGUGGUUUUUCUCCAGAUUUGGAGUUUUCCACGUAAAUCUACUGUUGUGUGAUUGGUGUAUUCUCCAUUUAAUUUUUUCUGUUAAUUUGUUGCUUGACAAAUUGCUUAGAGUGAUCUUGGGAGGAAGCUCAAUUUCCUAACAGUUUCAUUAUACUUCAACUUAAAAUUAAAACGAAGAAUUGACAGUAUUGGAGUUUCAUAUUUAAUUUUGCUGCAGUUAUGGGGAAUCAGAUGGCCAUCCAUUUUGACGUCUAUUUUAUGGCCAUCCCCACUAAGUAGCUUGGUCAUAUACAAUAUGUGUGUGCGUGUGUGUGUGUGUGUAUUGGGAUGUCACAGGCGCUAAAAGAUAAAGCUGAACAUCAAUCCCAAAUCUAAAGUGAAAAACAGUAGCUAGAACAGAAUCUUUGUUUCGAUGUCUUAGUUUAUAAGCUGGAACAAUUGAUAGUAUACAAGAUGCAUGAUAGAACAGAGAACUCAUAUUUUAGCAAUAAUCCUCAGCUCACCGCCCCUUAGUUCAGAGUGGCAGUUCUUAUAACAAAUAAUUGAAGACUUGCUUGGCUAUUGAACCACACGAAGGCAAUUCGUGAACAGCCUUGAUAUUUCAUUUGGUUUUAUAUAAUUCUCUGUAAAGUUGUCUUGUGUGUAAAAUUUUUGUUAAAUGAAAUCGGUAGGUGAAGAGAAUUUUUAAAAGCAAACAUCAAAGUAACGAUCAAAUGGAUGAAAUCGGUAUAAAUAUUGAUUGUCUCAAGUUAGAUUAUACAAAGAUGAAAUAAUGCUAAUCUAGAAAAUCCAAUCAUUAUAAUUUGAUUUCCAUUAUAUUAAUUAUGUUCAAUCAGGCUAUUUUAAUGAAGAACACUCGAGCAUUUAUAUACAUUCAGCUUAUGAAAUUAAUUACAAAACGAUCUUUGACCAAGUCUGAUGAAAAGAUCAUCUUGCAAGUACAAAGUUAGACUUCCCGAUCAUGCAACUAUGCAUCAAAUUGUGUAUUGUGUUAUCAUUGAGCUCUUAGGAAGAUUCAGCUGCUGAGGAGAAACUAUCCAUCAAAUUGUGUAUUGUGUUAUCGUUGAGCUCUUAGGAAGAUUCAGCUGCUGAGGAGAAGAUAUAAUCUGUUUUUAUGUGACAAGCUAUGUACUCUGCUUUUAUGGUGUUUCUAGUUGUUGGACAAACUGUAAUAUGAAUUUCUAUCUAAGGGGUAUUUGUAGUUGGUUUUGGAUUGUUGAUUUACAAAUGAUGUUUGGUAUCCAAAAUUCAGAUGAUGAUAAUCUUGGCAGUACUUUUGUCAAAUUUUCUUUUAUGUUGGUGUUGUUUUAAUUAAAUAUCACAAAGGUGCAAAAUACGGUAAAAAUAACAUUGAGCUCAUGAGAUUGCCAUUAGAUAUAUUGAAAUAGAAAUUGAUACAAGGAACUGAAAAUUAGUUGUUAAUUAUGAUGGGAAUAUAAUCUUGGUAUUUUAAUUAUAUCUAUCUAACGCAUGUGCACUAAUCUCAUUUGUGUCUAUCACUGAAAAGCAGAGUGGCUCGAUUGAAUAGUAUCAUAUUACAUCACAGCAAUCACAGAAACUCACUCAACAUUCAACUAAUUUAUACUAAUUAAUUAAUACGACUAACAGGAAAAGUUGGAUCUCGUCUUUUCUUGGACAUAUCCAGUGACUUUGAGCUCUCCAGCCUCCCAGGUUCCGAAUGGGGUCCUAAAAUAUCUUGCCGGAAAUGUUCUUCCUUCAGAUUCGGUGGUUAUACGUGGCCUUGCUAAAAAUCAGGUGAUUGUUUUUCAUUAUUGCGGCUACUUGACUCAAUUAUGUUAUUGCAAGAGGAGAUUUCUAUUUGUCUGGUUUAAGCCAUAAGAUGGGUUUCAAGAUUCAUUCUGAUUGGUUAUCUGUUAGCUUUUUGUUUUAAGAACUUCUUAUUUACGAAAGCCGAAUUCUUCUUUCUAGGUUUAUUCAUAUUCAGAAGUUGCUUUUGUCAUAUCAGAAGAAUAGGCUACGACUGUUGAAGUACUAGAAGGGAACUUAACAAUGCCAUUUAUUUUUUUCCUCGUGUGACCUCUUCACAAUGCCAUUGAUUCCCAUAGUUCAUGUUGCUAGGUGAACUUAACAACAACCAUCUAUUAUGCCUUGUGGAUAACUGAGAAAAUUUAUUGCUUUUGACAAAUUGCUUUUUGAAAUAGAGUGCAAGUAGAUUGACCAAUAAUGAACUUAUUGUAUCAAGUUGUUACAUUUGAACAUAUUAAGGUCAUAUAAAUCAUACUUGUUAUACUUCUUUUUUUCUUUUUUUCCCUCCCCAUUUCCCUGUCUGGAGGGUUUCGUGGACGAUCAGUUUGGCUUCGGUCUAAUUGCUGGAGCAGUUAAGGAAUUACUGUUAUCAAAAUAAAGUUUCCUCUCACUCACUAGCCAGUUAAGCAGCUCGUCACCAGUCGGAUUCAUUGCCGAUUGUAGCCCAUCUCCAUUGCUCAUCACUGUUCGGAUUCGUCAGUUCUGUCAUGUCAGUUCAGUAGCUUGUCGCCGCAGUCAUGGUCGGCCUCUUUGUUGUCAUCGAAGAACCAAUCAAUAAUGAUAACGAUGAUGUUUUAUGACAAUAAUGAUGAUGAUUGAUGAUGAUGAUGAUUAUUACCAUUGUUGAUGAUUAAUAUUAUCGAUGAUGAUGAUGUAGAUGAUGUAAUUGCGGUGAGAUGAUGAAGAUGAAACUGAAUUGUGAUGUUGAUAAUGAAAUUGACAGAAGGAAGAAGAAGAUAAUUGUGGUGAUGAUGAUGAUGAUGUUGAUGGAGAAGAUGAAAUUGACAUGAUUGAUGAUGAAGUAACGAAGAAUUUGUAAAACAGAGAGAGAGAGAGAGAAAGGAGAAGAGGAUAAAAAAAAAAGAAAGAAAAACAGGAGAGAAAAUAAUAAUAAAAACAAGAGGAAAAUAAUUAUUAUUGUUAUUAUUAUUAUUAACAAUAACUUUCUUAAUAACCAUAAUCAUAUAAUAGAUAAUAAAUAUAGUGGUAAUAAUGAAUUUAAGGGUAUUUUAAUAAUUUAAAUAAUUCAUUGUAAUUUUAAGGUAAAGUAAAUACAUUAAUGAUAAUACAAUUUAUUUUAAUUUUGAUUCUUAUAGUUGAAGUAAAUAAUUUAUUUUAAUUUUUUUAUUUCACAUUUCAAUUUUAGUCCAUUCCGAAUUAGUAAACGUAUCAUAAAAUCAUGUGAUUCUACUCCUUUAAAUGUGAGAUUGAUUUUUUUCUUUAAGGCCUACGACAUCCCAAUACGUCUAUAUAUGACCAAGCUACUAAGUGAACGGCCAUAAAAAAGGCAUAAAAUUGGAUAGCCGUCUAAUUAAUUCCCCAUGACCUACAACAAAAAUUUAAGAAGGAACUCUGAUACCAUCAAUUAUGCAUUUUAAUUUGAAGUUGGAAAAUAGUGAAAACAGAAGGUUCGGGUGAUUUAUACAUAUUUAAUCAAGUAAAAAUGGCACCUGUUGUAAUUUGCACAUUUAUCUUUACUUUGAAUAAUAACAAAGUUCAAAUUUUGUAUUCAGUGAAAAAUCAAAUCUAAAGUGAAAAACACUAGCUAGAAAAAAAUCUAUGUUCUGAUGUCUUAGUUCAUAAGCUCAAACAAUGAACAGUUUACAUACAACGCAUGAUAGAACACAAAACUCAUGUAGAUUUUCAGUUUCGAAAUUCAUUUCAGAAAAUCUGUUCUGUUCAACAGGUUAAAGUAGAUUAUCAACUAAACUCUACCCACAUACUUGCGUACAAUUAGAGCACUAUGUCAACAAAGGAGCACAUCUUUCGGAAGAUAAUUGAAGACUUGUUUGGCAAUUUGAAGAUUACAUCUUUGCUCUGCCAUUGGAAGCAAGCAACUCAGCCACCCAAAGACCGCCAAGCCAUCAAGACAACACCAAGAUACAACAUCAAUAAUAAUAACAUCAAGAAUUACAUAGAGGCCGUCGCACGUUACACCCACCCCAACAAGAAACUAAUUAAUACCGUCUUAGCUCCUCUGUAAUUGUCCUCCAUCCUUUUGAGUACCUUUCUUCUACCAAGGGACAACCCGAGAUCUCUAAUCACAAAAGAGAGGGAGGCAGGGCCUUUUCUGGAAAGUAUUUGAGCUUCAGACAAUUACAGAGUUUCAAUUUGCUGAGGUUUUGAUGAUCAGCAAUUGAAGAAGACAGGCGUUAAUAAUUAUGAAGAACCGGUGUAAUUUAUAUCAUGUAGGAAGUCCUUCAGUUACUUCUUUGACCUUGCCCAAGCUCUUUUAAGGGCUAAUAUCAAAAUUUCGUGAUAUUGUGCCGAAAGAGCUUCAUACCUCAUUGUAACUGUUUCUAAAAGUUGAUGAGCCCAAAUAUCCAAUAAGUGAUACAGACGCAUGGAAAUCCCCCGUUUUGAGUUUAUGCUUGUUCUUGUCUGCUUGACAAAUAGGACAUCGGUGGACUAAGCAUCAUUGGAUAACUUGGGGGAAAAAUAGUGUCCAGCAAAAAGAAUCCAUCGUUAUGUGCCGCUUCCUAUUUAAUUACAUUUAUCUAACAUUUAAAAGAUGGAGGUAGAAAUUAAAACUCAGUUUUUCAGAUAUGGCUUAUAUACAUUAAUGCAAGUAUCAAGAUUUAAUUAGAGUUCACAUAUAUACAUGCGUCUAGUUCUUAUUGAGAGAUAAACCAAUCAUAAAUACUCAGUUGCUUCUAAAUGAUUGAAUAAUGAUAUUAUUGUUAUUUAUAAAUUUAUAAGGAUAAAUAACUAAUAGUCCAUCAUAAAUACCGAAAAGGGUCCCCAGCAUAACUUGAACAACUUUACUUGUGUUUGCUCAUUGAAUAAUGUUAUCAAAAAGAAAUACAUAUGUCAGAAGAUUCAUAGUAUAUUGGAGUGUUUUUUGUACUUGAAUGAGAAUGAAUGAAGGUAUGUUAAUUAUAUUUAAAUAAUUGUCUAAAAGGAAUAGAAAUGCUCUAUAACAUAUCAAAUACUACCUUAAUCAAAAUUUAGUUGACAAAAUUUUUUUAAAAAUGGAAUAAAACCCUAAUUAAAUAAUUGUCUUACAUCACCAAACUCUUUUUUUUUUUUUAAUUUUAAGGCAUCACCACACUCUGUAAAGCAUAAAAUAUAAUAGGCAAAUUUGAGUUAAAAAAAAAUGAAGUUAGGAAAAUGACUUGCAUACUGUCUUUGAUGAGCGCAUAAUUUUCUUGAAAAAAAAAGGAUUUUUGUGUGUUUUUUUUUUUUUGUAAAUUUAUGUCGUUUACUAGUCUUUUGGGUUUUGUUGUAUCAAUUCUUUGGAACGUGUUUAUCUUGCUUUUGUAUAUGUUAGGAAACGGAGUGAAAUCCCAAUCUUAAAAUAUGGAAAAAUGAUUUUUCAUGAAUAAAAUGAUUUAAUUUAUUUUUAUUUCUACAACAAAAAUUAUUAAGUUAUCAACAUAUUGAUUUCAUCUGUAAGUUCCAGUCAGUCAGUUUCUUACGUUCCAUUGUUAUCUUUUAAAAGAUACUGCAAUGCUUUAAGUGUGUUUGAUCACUUCACUAAUCAUUUGAUAUUUACAAAUUGAAAAAAUAAAUUAUUUCUGACCAAAGGUACUAGAGAAUGUCGAAAAGAGUUUGAUUAAUUUUUGUAUACGCACACAACACAAAAUUAAAUUACAUGGCAAUGUUGAUAGUGAGUCGUUUUUGGGAAUCCAUAAGUUCACAUGUGCACAGACGUCUGUUGCCUGCCAGCCCUUUCCUUUUUUUAUAUCUUCAAAACAUUUAUUAGAGUCCCAAAUUUAUCACACAUCAUUAAGUAAAAUGUGCCAAUUAGUAAGAGCCAGCUUCUUUCCUCUGUUUUCUUGCGUAUGCUGCAUUCAAGUAUCACUGAAAAUUUUAAUUAUACCGUCAACAGCUGCAGGAAAAUUAUAUACAUUCUAUCAACACCUGCAUGCUGCAAUCCUCAAUGACUGCCAAAUCUUCAUACCAUGAAUAUCAAGUAACUUCCAACUCUUCAUAUAGUGAAUCAGCAGGAUUCACGUCCGACCAACUCCACAGGCACGGCUAAAGCGAAAGAUUAUUUUUUCAGAUAUUAUCAAGAAAUUAAUUUAAGUGAAAUAAGCUAAGAGUGAUUUCGAUAAGGUUUUCAGAGAAGAUAUAGAAAGAAGAUAAAAUAAAUAAAUAAGUAAUUUCAGUCGAUGCAAAAAAUGGGCAUGUGUCUGACUAACAGGACAUGGCUUGGAGCAAAUAUCAAUGGAGGAAAUAUCAGCUUAUAAUUUUAUAAAAUAAGCAUCAAAAUAUUCGACAAGUUUGAGGUUUAUGAAAUAUUGGGAAAAUAGACAAAUAACAAAGACGCUCACACUACAAGUUAAGCAGAUCAAAUAAACAGAACAAAGGAAAUAACUGAUCAAUUUAAUUCUUUGUGCAAUGGCCACGGCAACAGCGAAAAUAUGUCUACAUGACUUUAAUGCUACUGGCGCGGAUGGUACCAUCACCGUGAUGAUAUGAGAUUAAAAGCAUUGAUUUCAUAAUUUUAUAAAAUUUCAUAUAGAAGAUAUAAUUGAUUUGAGUUAGUUUAACAUAGAAAGAAAGAAUAAUAAGGAAUGAUAUCGAUGUGGCGUGUAAUGAGAAUUGAUAGAGACAAAUAUUGAUCAUGUAAUAAUGAAAAAUUUAGUUACUGAAAAAUAUUUGGCAAUAAAAUGAUGCUAUAAAAAUUUAACAUUGUUUACCAGAAAAUAGUUUGCAAUUAAAAGAGAUAUAUAUGCAAUGCUUUGAGUUUAUUUUAUCAUUUCACUAACCAUUUUGUAACUACAUAUUAAAUAGAAGUUGAAUUAAUUCUGAUCUAAGACUCUAGAGAAUGUAGAAAAAUGAUUUGAUUAUGUAUACAAACAAUAUUAGAGAUGAGAUAUCAGAUAUGUCAAAAUCAAUGACAAGAACAAUAAAAAGAACAUAUUCUACAAAAGUUUUAAUUCAUAUAAUAUAAAUUUAGUUUCAAAUUACAAAAUUAUGAAUUUGUAUAGUAAAAGAGUCCAAUAGAAAAAUAGAAUUUUUUUAAAAAGAGAUUUGCUUAGGGAACAACUUUAGCUUGCUUUGGUUUGUGAAGGCUCAAGUAAUUGAAAGCAACGCAAUUGAAGGAAAUACAAACUUCCGCUUUUGACAAAGUAAUCGCAAAAAUGCUAAAAAUGUUGGGACAAUAGACAAAUAAUGAAGACCCUACAGGUUUGUGGAGCAAAUAAAUAGAGUAAAAUAGAGCAAAUAUUUACCAUUAUACAUAUAUUUUUUAUUUUUUAUUUCAAAAACGAUUGUUGCGAUUUUUUUAAGACAAAAAUGAAGCACAGUCUCCUAUUACUACUAUAGCAUGUUAGCUAUUAUAUAAGCGCGAGUCUAAUUAUCAAAUAAAUUCCACUUUAACAAAGAACAAAAGCUAAUUUCAUUGAUACUGCCUGUUGUGCUUUCUUUUAUUUUAUUUUCUUUUUGUUAUUGGAGUUGCCUUGCAAACUACUCCAAGCUGAUUACAAAAUUUCCUCUUGCUUUAGGAUCUUUUGAAUGGUCCUGCUAUUUGUAUUCGUUUAUGUGGGACUGGUUUUUUCUUUAAACAAAAUUUCAGCGAUGAGAAACCUUACCCAUUGAAUACCAACUUUGAAUUUUAUUCUUAUUCAAACUUAGAAAACUGCAGAAACAAAGUGCCUUCAUAACACCAGUUAAACUGUGUCUAGCUACCAUGCUGGUUCUACUUUUACUUUAUUAAUUAUAUACAGCAUUAAAUCACCUGAGCCUCCAGUUUCUCUAGUUUCCAACUUGAAAUUAAAACGUAGAAUUGAUGGUAAUGGAGUUCCUUAUUUAAUUUUGCUGUAGGUCAUGGGCAAUUAGACGGCCAUCCAUUUUUAUGUCUAUUUUAUGUACUAUUGGCCACUAAGUAGCUUGGAUAUUUUAUACGUAGUUUGAAAUAAGUCAAAAUCAAUUACUAGAACAACAAUAAAAGCAUAUUUUAUAAAGGCCAAAAAUACAUAAUAUAAAUUUAGUUUUGAAUUUUGUAAUUAUUAAUUCAUAUAUUAAGAGAGUCUUAUAGAAAAAUAGGAAUUUUUUGAAAGAGAUUUGCUAAAGUAAAAAAUUUCGUUUGGUUUAGUUUGUGAAGGCUCAAGUAAUUGAAAGCAAUGCAAGUGAAGGAUAUAUGAACUUGUAAUUUUUACAAAGUAAUUGCUAAAAUAUUUGACAAGCUUGAGAUUUUAAAAAGGCUGGGAAAAUAGAAAAACAAUGAAGACCCUACGAGUUGGCAGAGCAAAUAAACAGAGGAAAACAUGACAAAUAUUAUGUUGAUGCACAAUCUUAUUUUAUGUUGAUGCACAAUCCAACUUUUUAACAAAAAUAAUAUUUAAAUUGUCACAAAACGUAUUAUUCUUUAAAAAAAAUUCAUAUACAGUAGUUAAUUUUUCUUUACUCCAGGAUCCAACUACAUACCCCUCUUUUUUGUCGUUAUUCUGCUCAGUCGUUAGAUUUUAAUUACUGUAAAGAAUUGUGGAAAUGCUCAUAUAUUAUUUGUUGCUGUGUACAAGAUCCUUAUAUACAAAAAUACUAGAAUCAUCUAAGGCAAGUACCAAACGGUCAAAUAAUAGAAAAGGAAAGAAUAUAAAGGAGAAUGAAUAUUACAAUAUGCUAAGUUAGUGGCUAAGAUCAAGGACUGAUUGAUUCUUGUUCUAAUACUCCCCCUCAAGUUGGGAAGUGAAGAUCCGUAACUCCCAACUUGCCAAGAAGAUAUUGAAAUUGAUGUUUACCAAGAGCUUUGGUAAAAAUGUCAGCCAAUUGUUGUCGUGAAGGCACAUAAGUUAAGGAAAUGAUUUUGGCAUGAAGCUUUACACGAACAAGAUGGCAGUCUAUUUCUAUGUGCUUGGUACGCUCAUUGAAGAUGGGAUUGGCAGCGAUAUGAAGCGCAACUUGAUUGUCACAAUGUAAAGUUAUAGGCAUUGGAUGGGUCACAUGAAGAUCACGAAGUAGAGUUUUCAACCAAACCAAUUCACAUGUUGUUGUCGCCAUGGCUCGAUAUUCGGCUUCAGCGGAAGAGCGCGAUACAACUGGUUGCUUCUUGGUUUUCCAAUAAAUAGGACUAUUGCCAAGCAUGAUAAAAUAUCCAGUAGUGGAUCGACGGGUCAUGGGGCAACUUGCCCAAUCUGAAUCUGAGAAGGCAGAGAGUUCCAAAGAGUUAGUGGAGGACAAGAGGAUACCAGCGCCGGGAGAAAAUUUGAUGUAACGUAAGACACGCAGGGCAGCAUCAUAAUGUGGUCAUCUUGGAGUGUGCAUAAAUUGACUAAGUAUGUUCACAGCAUAUGUAAUUUAUGGCCGGGUGAUUGUCAAAUAGAUGAGACGUCCUACAAGUCGUCGGUAUUGGUCAGGAUUUUGACAAAGGGUUCCUUGAUCGUUAGAGAGCUUCAAGUUUUGUUCCAUUGGAAAAGAAGAUGGCCGUGUGCCUAAUUGUCCACUGUCUUGAAGUAUAUCUAAAGCAUAUUUCCUUUGAUUGAAGAAAAUCCCUUGCUUUGAGCGAGCCACUUCAAUUCCUAAAAAAGAUUUCAAAGUUCCCAAGUCUUUAAUAUGAAAUUGAGCCUGCAAAAACAUCUUCAAUGCAGUUAUAGUGUCAAGAUGGUUACCAGCAAUUAUUAUAUCACCAACAUACACAAGCACCAAUGUAAAAUGAGAAUCAUGCAUUUUAGUAAACAAACAAGAAUCAACAUAAAAUUGAAUGUAACCAAUUUGUUUAAGAGCGGAUGAGAAUUUUUCAAACCAAUUUCGAGAAGCUUGCUUGAGACCAUAAAGGGACUUGUUUAACUGACAAAAUUGAUAAGACUCCCCCUGUUUACAAACUCCUGGAGGUAAGGUCAUAUAAAUUUCCUCAUGCAAGUCACCAUGAAGAAAUGCAUUAUGAACAUCUAACUGAAAUAAUAACCACCCUCGAAUAGCUGCCAUUGCCAAUACACAUCUAACAGUCACAAGUUUUGCAACAGGUGCAAAUAUCUUAUGGUAAUCCAAACCUUCAGUUUGUGUGUAUCCUUUAGCAACAAGGCGUGCUUUGUAUCUCUCAAUAGAACCAUCAGCUUUUCUUUUAAUUUUGAACACCCAUUUACAACCAAUUGGUUUCUUGCCGGGAGGUAGAUCUUGUAUAGGGAUGGCAAAUUGGUCCAUCCAAAUUGGAUAUCCAUAUAUCCAAUCCAAUUGGAUUGGAUAAUAUCCAUCCAAAAUCUUCUUGGAUAUGGAUAUGGAUAUUUUUAAAAAUAUCCAAUUAGAUAUUGGAUGGGUAUGGAUAUUUAAUGGAUAUCCAAAAUCCAAUUAAUUUAUCCAUUUAAAGUUAAAAAAAUUUAUAUUGUUAAACUAAAAUAAAAAAAAAAAUCUAAUUUUCUCUUAUAUUAACUAGUGAAAAAUUUAAAUUUCUCUUAUAUUAAAAACUAAAGUUUUCAAAAUUACCCUUUAAUUUUUUAACUUAUUUAAUACUAUUUAUAAUUGUUAUUUUAUUUUAUUGAUUUAAUAUUAUAAAUGGAUUUCCACCGGAAAGUCACCGGACCACCACCGGAGUUCGCCGGACCACCGUCGGAUAUCGCUGGAAUUACCGCCGGACCUCGGCGGAAAGUCACCAGAAGACCGCCAGACCACCGUUGGCUUCACCGGAAGAUUGCCGGACCACCGCCGGAAUUCGCCGGAAGGUCGCCGGACUUUGCCGGAAAGUUGCCGGACCGCCACCACCGACCACCGGACCGCCAUUUUAUUAUAUAUAUAUAUUAUUACUAAUAUAAAUAGUUUAAUAGCCAAAUUUGAUAUUGAAAUUUUAACUAUUUUAUAUUAUUAUUUUUAUAUAAUUAAAAUAAAAUAUCCAUGGAUCUCCAUAAACUAUAUGGAUAAAAUCCAUAUCCAUGUCCAAUAUUAAAUAGUGGAUAUGGAUAUGGAUAUAUCCAUUAUGGAUAAUUAUGGAUUUAUGUUUAUCCAUCCAUCAUUGGAUAUUUGUCAUCCCUAAUCUUGUAUUGUCCAAGUGUUACUUUGCUCUAAAGCUUUAAUCUCUAUAUCCAUAGCAUUGCGCCAAUGAGCAUGUUGAACGGCUUGAGAAUAUGUAGUUGGUUCAACAUCGUGAGAUAUGGCUGAAAGAAAGGCUACAUGAUCACUAGAAAACUUGUCAUAUGAUAAAUACUUGGAUAAUGGAUAUAAAGAACUUACCAAUAGUGGAUGAUUAGUAAAAGUAUUAGAGUUGCCAAAUGUACCGUGAAGUGCAGUAGAGCAAAUAUAAUUCUGAAGAUAAUUUGGAUGACAAGACUGUCGUUGGGACCGUCGAAGAGGUGGAGAAGGGAGAACUACUGAAUCAGAUGUACCUUGGUGGAGUGGCUGCUCAUUGGAAGAAGUUGGAAGGAGCUGUGCAUUUUCAUUGGCAAGAAGUAUGAUAGGAAGAGGUAAAACAUUGUUAUUUUCUUGUUGAUUGGUGAUAGUUUUGAAUGGGAAUUCAGUUUCCACAAAAGUAACAUCACGAGAAAUAAAAGUCUUUUUGUUAAUGAUAUCAUAAACUUUGUAUCCGGGAUACCCAAAUGGGUAACCAACAAAUAUACACUUGGUAGCACGGGGAGCAAAUUUAUGAUGAUUAGCACUGUUGGUAUGAACAUAACAAAGACAACCAAAGACACGAAGACGAUCAUAGUGAGGUUUAGUCUUAAAAAGCAUUUCAUAAGGAGAUUGACCACCAAGAUUAGGAGUGGGUAUACGAUUAAUCAAAUGGGUUGCAGUUAAAACACAAUCUCCCCAGAAAGAUAAAGGUAAAUGUGCUUGAAAACAUAACGCACGUGCAACUUCUAAAAAAUAUGUCGGUGCUUGCGUUCUGCUACCUAAUUUUGUUGAGGUGUUUCAACACAAGUCCGUUCAUGCAAGAUGCCAUGCUCAUGAAAAAAAGAUUGCAUCUGAUUUGAUAAAAAUUCACGUCCUUGAUCAGUACGAAUUUUUUUAAUUUGUGACUGAAAUUGUGUUUUGAUCAAGAAGUAAAAGUUUUUUAAUAAUUGAAAAGCUUCAAACUUGUGCCGCAUGAGGUAAACCCAAGUACAACGAGUAUGGUCAUCAACAAUAGUAAGAAAAUAAUAUGAUCCCGUAUAUGUAGAUGUGCGAUGAGGUCCCCAAAUAUCACAAAAAAUUAAUUGAAAUGGCAUAUCAGAACGAUUUUUAUUCAAUUGAAAUGAACUUCUAGUGUUUUUUGAAAGUUGACAAAUUUCACAACAAGAAUUAAAUGAUGCAAUAUCAUAAAUAAAAGACAAACGCUGCAUUCGGUCUUUAGAAGGGUGACCGAGUCGCAAAUGCCAAAGAUUGGAAUUGGGUUCCUUUGCAACGUUCAUUACUGAAGGAAGGGAAGAAUGACCAUUGAUAUGCUCAUAAUAAUAUAGUACAUCCCGAACUUCACCCUUUCCAAUCAGCUUCUUCGUUGAAAGGUCCUGAAAAACACAAAAUGAAGGGAAAAAUAUAGCAGCACAGUUCAAAUCCUUGGUUAGCUUGCUUACAGAUAAUAGUUAAAAAUUAAAAUGAGGAACUAAUAAGGCAUUAUCUAAAGUCAAAGAGGAGGAUAAUUUAAUGGAUCCACAUUUUGUUGUAGGAACAGUUGUGACAUUUGGUAGUCUCACGGGUUUGACAUGAGACAUGGGCACAAAAUUUUUAAAGGAAGAAAUAUUAGGGUCAUGUGAUCAGAUGCCCCACUAUCAAUUAUCUAAGAAUUAUUAUAUGAGUUAAUAGCAGAAUUGCAAAAAGGAAUGAUUUUACCAGCUAAGUUUACAGUAGAUGGCUGCUUACUUGUUGAAAGUAUAGAUAAUAAAUGUUGAUAUUGUUCAGCCGUGAGACCGGGAAUUUGGAUAGUAGGCUGAGGUGAUGAAUUCUUGUCUUUUGGAAUGGGAUGAUCAUCUAGUUGUUGUGGCUUCGUGGUUGCAGGAGCAGCAACAUGCGAUCGAUUUGAAUGUUUCCAGUUUGGUGGGUAGCCAACAAUUUUGUAACAUUUGGCUUUUAUAUGCCCAUAUUUCUCGCAAUGAUCCCAUAAAGGUCUACCUCGUCCUUGUGUCUCUUGUACUCCAUGCAAUUGGCUAGGAUGUGAAUGAUUUUGACGGCUGGUCAUUUGAGUCUUAUUAUUGGCUGUCAAGGCUGUUGAUUCAAUAGAUGGUUGACUGGAAACAUGGAGAAGUCGUUGACGUUCUUCCUGAUGAAUAAUUGAAUAUGCUUUUCCAACAUUUGGAAGUGGUUCCAUGGCUAAGAUUUGACUUCAUACCGAAGAAUAUGAAUCAUUGAGACCCAUUAGGAAUUGAAACACCUUUUCAGUCUCCAGUAAUCCCUGUAAUUCAUUUGAAGUUUCACACUUGCAAGAAGAAAUAGUGGUUAAUGUGGACAAUUCAUCCCAAUAAAAUUUCAAAGUAUUAAAAUAAAUCACUAAUGAUUUUUGCUCUUGCUGGUGAUUGCAUAUGGCUCUCUUAAGUUCAUAAAUCCGUGGAUUAUUACUUUGUGAAAAACCUUCUUCCAACCCAAGCCAAAGAGAGCGUGGCGUAUCACAAUAGAUGAGGCCAUUGGCAAGAUUUUUCUCUAUUCCAUUGAGCAUCCAUGAAAGGACCAUGUCAUUGCAUCGCUCCCAAGUUUUUAAAUCUUGUGAGGUUGAUGAAGGUUUUUGUAUGCUUCCAUCAAUAAAACCCAAUUUGUUUUUGGCAUUUAAUGCCAUCUUCAUGGAUCUUUUCCAUGUUGAAUAAUUAUCACCCGUUAGCACAUUAGAUACAAGAAUGGCUCCAGGAUGAUCAGAUGAAUGAAGAAAGUAUGGUGAAGAAACAUCGGUAAUGAGGGAAUUUGAUGUUUCUAAUAUUGGAUUCAAACUACUAGACAUGAUUGUCAAAGAGAAAAGCAGAAAUGAGCAAAAUUUGCUCUGAUACCAUGUAAAGAAUUGUGGAAAUGCUCAUAUAUUAUUUGUUGUUGUGUACAAGAUUCUUAUAUACAAAAAUACUGGAAUCAUCUAAGGCAAGUACCAAACGGUCAAAUAAUAGAAAAGGAAAGAAUAUAAAGGAGAAUGAAUAUUACAAUAUGCUAAGUUAGUGGCUAAGAUCAAGGACUGAUUGAUUCUUGUUCUAAUAAUUACGUUGAUCUAACGGUUGGGAUUUGUAAAUGAAUAACGAAGUGGUGUUUUUGGCUACCGUCUGAACCCAUUGCAUCUAAUUGGUUUUGUGAUUUUUCGCUUUCUUCUCUGCAACGCUUGACUAGUUCUAGAAAUAUCGACAGCAAAUUUGGAGCAUGUAUUAUUUUUCAUUAAAAUAAGUUUCCACCACCGUACCAGUAUAUGGAUUUCUGAAUUAAUUAUUAAAAGAAGCAAACAAUACUGAGAAUAUAUUAAUUAUUAAUUUAUAUAAUAAUAUGUUUGCUUCAAAAUAUACUAUUUGAAUUUGAAAUAAUAUUUUUUUAAAAUUUUAAUAUCACAAUAAUAGUCAUGAUCCAAUUGGUUUGAUUUUUUUUUUUCAGAAAAAAUUUGGAAGAAUAGACAAAUAAUGAAGACACAACCUAAGGAGAGCCAAUAAACAGGGGAAAGUGAAUUGCGUACUGUCCUCGAGCUCUCAAUUAUCCAACAUUCUCAAAUUUCUAUGUACAUUUUCGUAAAUUCAUGUCAUAUACUAGAGCUAGUAUUUUGGGUUUUGUUGCAUUAGUUCUCUGGUGUUUAUCUUGUUUUAUUACCUUAUGAUGCAAGAUUCCUGGUAGCCAUACACCUCGAAUAAAACUAUUUUUAUUUUUUUGGCAUUUUUAUUAGCAAAAAUCAUUAUUAAUUAAUGAACCCAUCGAGAUAUUGGUUUCAUUUGUAACAACUUGCUAAUUGCUUAAUACAUUUUUGUAAUUCUAGUCAUGAAGUCAUAAAGAACCUGCAAAUAAAAUCAUAGAUGAGGUACAUUGUGAUGUGAUAAAUCUAAUUCAAAUCUAAACUAAGAGAUGAUUCCUAUACAGGUACAUAUAGAAUAAAGAUAUUUAAACAUAAGCAUUCAAUUUUAUGAUAAACCUAACUGUCAUUGGCUUAUUGCUAUUAAAGGAAGUGAACAGAAAUAGAUGUAGAAAGUCAGAAAUAUGAAUGAGUGGACUUGAUUUCUCGAAUAGAAAAUUAAAUUAAUAUCAUUUUUAAUAAAUGUGAGAUGAUUUAUACUCUAAAAUUUAUUUUGAACACUCAUAUUUUUAUUACAAAAAAUUUCAUAGUUCAAUUUAUUAGUAUGGACAAUUCAAUAUAAGUAAACAAAAUAAUAAUACUUUUGAAACUCAUCUAACCAUAGUGCGCACGCACCCAUAUAAACCUUAAACCAUAAUAAAACGUUCUUCCUCAACAUAAAGACUAAUUCAUUAUUUAAAAGCAUAUAUUAACAAAUUUGUACACACAGAUUCUAUGGUUCUAAUUUCUUUGACUUUAAUUUUUUACUUCUCCACCAAAGGAGGUUCUACACAAAUAAACAACAGCAGAAAAACAAAUAUAAAAUGUGAUUCGUGUGUAGAAGAUAUAUACUCAUCAUAACAAUAACUGAUAAAUUGUAUUAAGAAAUAAAAAUAUUAGUAGUGAUGACAUGAAAGAAGUCUGUUGUCUUCACUUUGACUAAAAAUAAUUUACAAUAAUCGACCAAGCGAAAUUCCUUAAGAAAUGAACUAGGUUGGGAAGGCAGAGCAGCCUCUGUUCUUUUUACUAUAAUGCUAAGAAUUGACUUCAAUUGGGAAGUCAGGCCAAUUGAAGAAGCUCCCCUGUUUUUCACUGAAUCAUAAUCCGAACAAUUUAUAAUUAAAUAAAUCAUUCAAAAUCUCCUUUAAUCGAACCCCCACUUCUGUGGUUUAAUGAAAUAUUAACGUUCAGCUCCUGAAGUUGCCAUUUUAUGUAUUGAAAAAGAAGAAAAUACAAGAAACUGAAAAUUAAUUGAUGCUGCAUCAUGUUGGAUUGUUAGUUGUUAUUAUGAUGGGGAUAUAAUCUUUGCCUUUUAAUUAUCAUCUAGCUAACGCAAGCCCACUAGUUUCAUUUGUGUCCAUCACUAAAAAGUAGAGUUGUUUAAUUCAAUAGUGUCACGUUACAUCACAUAAAGUCACUCAAUUUUCAUUGCCAUAUGUAGCUCAAAAGUGCAUGAACAUUGAACUUUCAACUAACUUAUAUUGAUUAAUUAAUACGACCAUCAGUUCUUAGUACCCAGCAACAUCCAUCAAUAAGAGCAAAAUCCCCAUUAAUUUCAUAAAUAAAAAUAAUAAUAAGUUACAAAGACAAUAUUUGACAAUCACGAAAACAACUAUAAUUCACUCCAAUAAACAACAUAACAGAUACAUUAUCAAUAUUGCAAGUCUUUUUAUGAUUUAAUUAAAAGAGAAAAUAUGAAGGACAUAUUUUUUAUAUAAUUGAAUGUUCUCCUUGAUAAUUAGACAAAAUAACACCAAUCUAACUACCUAAUUCAAUCAUCAUAAUGAUUCAAUUUUCAUUUUUUAAUUAUGUCCAAUCAUGCUAAUUUAAUAAAGAUUACUGAGCACUUAAAGUACCUAUAUCUUCAACAACUUUGGCUAAGUUAGAAAAGUGUUAGAGCUGCAUUUAUGCUUUGUGUUAUUAAGCAGGACAUGAUCAUAUUACGUUGCGUUUUUCCGAAAACUGAAAAUUAUUAAAAAAAAAAUCUGAAAAGAGAUGUUGAAUCGCGAGCUUAAACUGAGUUUUAGACAUGUUUGACUUGUCGGUUGAUAUCCCUGAUUGUGCAUGUGCUGUCGGUUUUUGGACGGAACACAAGAAUAUGACAGCUGUGUGUUGUCGUCUGGAUCACAUGUUCUUCACGUGAUUUCAUUUACCCUAUGCGGCACAUUUGGCAGUCGUUUUGGUCACUCAUUGAAGCACGAAUUAAGAACGUCAUUCAAGGUUGUUCAUUGACCUUUACAAGGCGGGAAAAUUCUGGGUUUGUUUUAACAAACCCAGAAUGCAGCUUGUGAGUGGGGGGAACUUUCUAGAUUCUUCAUGAUCUGUGUAUAUAGUCUUAGAGGCUACAGUUGAGGCAUAUGAAAAGCUUGUAACUUCUUCUUAAUGAUUGUAGUUUGAUCUCGGUGAUGGAGAUAAGAUUGCUGCCCUGUUCUUCACUUGAUAUAGGCUAUCUCCAAGCGGAACCACUUAAAUUGUGCCUCUGUUUUGCUUGUUUCGAGGUGUGUGAUUUGCUUGUCAUUUCUAAAUCAUCAAUUAGAGAGUUUAGUGAGAUCUUGGUGGUUUUAGAAUGAGUUUAAUCGAUCAAGAAUCAACAAGAUGUAAUGAAAGCAAAAUGAGAGACUAUUGCACGCACAUCAUAGCAAUGUUUCAUUCAUUUUCAAUCUAUAUAUACAAAACUUAUAUCUGGUGGUUUGUGUUUGUUUAAUCUAACGGCUAUAACAUGUAUAUUGUCAAAAGUUAGAGCGGCCAACUUUGUUUGUCCUCAUAGCAUCCUUGAUCUAAUAUCAUCCUGGUGAUUCUUGAGAGCUCUUCUCAUUCUCUCGUGUUGAGUCCCUUGCUGAGAUGAUAAAUACUUGAGGGUCCUUCCUUGAUAUAUUUCAGCAAACACUUGAUUCAUUCUAUCAAACAUUUGCAUCACUAAUCAUUAAAUGGUGUAAGAUAGUUCUGUUUUGAAAAAUCAAUAUAAAAUCAAUCACCUUAGAUUUUCUUAGUCUCAGAGCACAAUGGCUGAUGAUUUGAUGAGAAAUAUUAAUAUGCAUGCAUCCCCUGCAUUCGUUAGAGCUGCUCUCAACCUCUGUUUAAUAAGCUAGUCCUCUGCUGUAUCCUAGAAGGUGGAACAUUAUGCUUCCCAGCUGGCUCAAGAGGGAACUAUGCUUCUGCUGCCAAAUUUUUGAAAGCGAACAUCGUGGGAAGAGGUUGAUCUGAAGCCAUUGCAUCUGAUUGGUUUUGUGAUUUUUUGCUUUCUUCUCUGUAACGCUUGACUAGUUCUGGAAAUAUCGACCAUCAUCGAUGGCAAAUCUGGACCAUGUAUUUGCCCACUACUAAGAAAUAAAGUUUCCACCACCGUACCAGUAUGUCGAUUUACGAAUACAUUCAUUCAAAUAUUAAACGUACAGAGAAGAGAGCAAACUGUGGCAGGAUAGCAAAAACUGCGAAUGGUCAUUCCCAACACGAACGCUUAUGGCUGUUUUCCUUUUAAUUUUCUUCUUUGAAUUCUCCUUUUAUUAAUCAUUAGAAAAACUCCCUUUUUUUAAAUCAUGUGUUAUAAACAUUUACAUGGUUAAUGUCAUCGAAAUCAAAUGGUUGUUAUCUACGAAAAGAGAAUUGUUAGAAAUUUUGUAAGUCCCAUUGCAACAAUAUAUUGUUAUAAAUUGCAUUGUUUCCCAUAUAACAAAUAUAAUAAAAUCUCAAUAAAUUAAUAGUUUUGGGACCAUAAAAAAAUUUAUUAAAAUUUAACAAAUAUCAAUUAAUUGGCAAAUUAAUAAAUUAUUAAUUUAUGAAAAUAUUCAUUAUUUUAGAAAAACAUGAUCACGUUUUUAGUAUUGAUUUACCUUGAGUUAGUAUCUAUUAUGUUUUAUUUGUCUCUAUUAGUUUUCUCUUGGGAAGAUUUUUUAAGAGUUAGCUGCUUUAUAUUAACAGUAAUAAAAUUAUUGUAUGGUUUUGUUUUUCCAUGUUAAAGAUCGAUUAGUCCUCUGCUUCUCCUCAGAGUCAUCGAGCACCGCCUGAAUCAUCAACAGCGUGCUCUUCCACUUCAUCAGAUCGUCUUCGAUCUUCUCUUGGCGUGUGUUAAGGAAGUUAAGGAAGCUCAUAUUUGCAGUCAAGCAGAGGAUCACAGCAGCUUCUAUAAUCAGUUGCAAGUUGAUGACAUGUACUGCCAGCUGGCACCAGGUGGUUAUGUAGCUGCUUGUACUUAUACACGUGAUAAGUUUGUUAAUUAGUUUGUAAUUAGUUAGUUAGUUUUGUAACCAUCAGCUGAGAAGCAACACUUGUAUAUAUAUGCUUGUAAUCGUUCAGUAGCAUUUAAAAAAAAAGCUUGAGAAAAUAAAAGAAGAAAGUUUUCUAAAUCUCAGUUUAUUUUCUUAUUAGCCAAACACUCAUUUUCUGUUUUAUAACUUGGUAUCAGAGCCAGUCAUGGCAUCUCUGAAUAUUGCCUCAUCAAAUCACACUUCGAAUAUUCAUACAAACUCAACAAACUUCUCAUUCACAUUCAAUACCCCUGUGAAACUGGAUCAGGCAAACUAUCUGAUCUGGAGGUCCCAAGUUCUAGCUUCCAUACGCGGCAAUAGGCUAGAAAAGUUUAUUGAUGAAAAAUGUCACUCCUCCUCCAUCUCAUAUUGCUCAAAGGAUUGACGAUGAACUUAGAUCUGUUGAGAAUCCAGAUUCAUCAAGCUGGAAAGCACAAGGUCAAGUACUUCUUGGCUGGUUGUUGUCAUCGAUGAGUGAAGGUAUUAUAAGUCUGGUGUUUAAUUUGGAAACUUCUCUUGAGGUAUGGAAAGCUAUUGAAACUCAAUUUGGAUCACAGUCAAAAUCCAGACUCUUACAUUUGAGAUAUUUGAUGAAUUCAACUAGGAAAGAUGAUCUGAAAAUCAAUGAGUAUUUCAUUAAAAUGAAGAAUAUUGCUGAUAACAUGGCUGCGGCAGGAAGUGCCUUAAGCAGUGAUGAUUUAAUUUUGCAUGUACUCUCAGGACUAGGACCAGAUUAUAAUGCUGUUGCUACUUAUAUUACUGGUCAAAUAAGUGGUGAUAAAAUGAAUUUAAAUGAGGCUUAUGCUAUGUUGUUGACUCAAGAAGCUAGAAUUGAGCAACAAGCACAUAUGCUUUCUGGAAUGGAUGUUAAGCAUAAUUUUGAAGCUAAUUUUGCUCAGAACAGAGGUUUCAAGAAAGGAAAUUUCUCAGGUGGUAGAGGAUCUGGUAAUCAUGACUAUUUUACUGGAUUAGAUAAUGCUGGAAAUUUUGGAAAUAAUUACAGAAGUGGCUAUGGAAGAUCUGGUUUCUUUGGUAAUGGUUUUGGAAAUAAUCAUAAUAACCAAUUAAGAGGAUUUCAAAGUGAUAAUCAAAGGGGAUCAGGCUCAGGAAAUUGGAACAAUGGUGGGGGGUGGUAACAAUAACUCUAUCAGGCCUCAAAUGAAUCCAAAACCUCAGUGGAAUGCUUCUAAACCAACUUGUCAAAUCUACUUAAAAACUGGUCAUACUGCAAAUGUCUGCUGGAAGCUUGAAGAAUUCUUUACCUCUGGUGCUUGCAAACCUCCUCCAAACAGAAAUCCCAAAGCUGCAUAUCUAGCUGAUAUGGAUGGUGCAGUUGAUGCCAACUGGUAUCUGGAUAGUGGAGCUACACACCAUCUUACCAAUGACAUGAGGAAUAUGACUAUGGCAGAAUCCUUUGCAGGUAACUCUAAACUCAUCAUUGGAAAUAGUACUGGUUUACAUAUAACACAUGUUGGAAAUGCUGUGUUAAGAAUGCAUAACUCUUCUGCUCAUCAUAUACUCAAAUUAAACACAUGCUUCUUGUUCCACAAAUAUCCAAGAAUCUUAUUGGCAUAUCUCAGCUAACCAAAGAUAACAACAUUGUUAUUGAAUUUACUGAUAAAUCCUGUGUUGUGAAGGACAAGGUGAGGAAUUUGAUCAUACUGCAGGGCAAAGCUGAAAAAGGUUUAUACAGAUUGCUAUUGUUUCCCUCUAAUAAAGUCUCUUCUCAAUCAUGUCAAAGGUCUCUUGAAGCCACUCAAUCCAAAAUUUCAAAUGUUCCUAAUGUCUAUGUUUUCAGUUGUUCAGUCAGUUGUCAAUAAUCAAACAAGUCCUGCUUGCAUACUGCAGCAGAACCUUGUAUCAGUCCAAAUUGUAUGCUGAGUGUUUCUGUUUUGCAUCAGAAACUUGGUCAUCCUAAUUCCAAAGUUUUAAGUCAUGUAAUAAACUCUUGUUCAGCUUUCAAGAAUUUAAAUGGAAGUAACUUUCUUGAUUCAUGUGAUGCAUGUAAAAUGGGAAAAAUGCAUAGAUUACACUUUCCCAGUUUCUACUACAAAAACAAAGCAUGUAUUAGAAGUUUUGCACACUGAUUUAUGGGGACCUGCCCUGUGCUUUCAGUUCAAGGUUACAGAUAUUAUGUGAGUUUUGUGGAUGAUUUUUCGAGGUUCACAUGGAUAUUCCCAUUAAAAACCAAGGAUGAAACACUAGCUGUGUUUAAAAUCUUUAAGAAGCAAAUUGAGAAACAGCUAGAUAGAUCCAUUAAAUGCAUUCAAUCAGAUUGGGGUGGGGAGUAUAGAUCAUUUGUUAAUUUUCUUCAUGAGGAAGGUAUUCAAUUCAGACACUCAUGUCCCUAUACUCACAAUCAGAAUGGCUUAGUUGAGAGAAAACAUAGACACAUAACCGAGCUAGGUCUCACCUUAGUUGCUCAAGCUUCUUUGCCUCUCAAAUUUUGGUGGGAUUCCUUCCAUACAGCCACCUAUAUUAUCGAUAGACUUCCCACACCCAUACUAUCUAUGCAGUCACCUUAUGAAUAUGUCUUUAAAACCAAACCUGAUUACAAAUUUCUCAAGGUCUUUGGUUGUUCAUGCUUUCCAUUCUUAAGGGAUUAUAAUACUCACAAAUUCCAUUUUCAUACCUCAAAAUGUGUAUUUCUUGGUUACAGCCCUUUACAUAAGGGUUACAAGUGUAUGCAUUCUUCUGGAAAGAUUUUUAUAGCCAGUCAUGUGUUAUUUGAUGAAACUUCUUUUCCUUACACAUCAAAUUCACAAUUCUUAACUUCAUCAUUCAAACCCUCUGAUUUCCAUUACAGUCUUCUUCAAUCUUGUACUGUUUCACUUCCCAAUAGCAAUCAAGAAACCUUUGAAGCUAGCUCUGCAGAAAAUGAAGCUCCAUCUCAUCAUUUCAGUGAUCAUUCCUCACCUGACAGUCAUAAUACAACCUUUGAUGUUUCACCUUCUCAAAUACAUCUUCAACCCUCUACCAUAGCUACUUCACAAACACAACAGCCAUCCUCAUCUACUAUUCAAUCCACACAACCAUCCUAACAUCCUCUGCCGAAUCAUCCCAUGAUUACCAGAGCAAAAGCUGGUAUAUUCAAGCCUAAAGCAUUCUUAACAUCACAUAACAGCCUGGAACCAUCUACUGUUGAUGAAGCUUUGUCUGAUUCUAAGUGGAAAGCUGUAAUGCAAUUAGAGUUUGAUGCUUUAACCAGAAAUAAUACCUGGAAUCUAGUACCUAUGACAUCUCAGCACAAGUUGGUUGGUUGUAAAUGGGUCUUUAGAACCAAGUACAAUACAGAUGGUACAGUUUCUAAACACAAAGCAAGAUUGGUAGCCAAGGGCUUUCACCAGNNNNNNNNNNNNNNNNNNNNNNNNNNNNNNNNNNNNNNNNNNNNNNNNNNNNNNNNNNNNNNNNNNNNNNNNNNNNNNNNNNNNNNNNNNNNNNNNNNNNNNNNNNNNNNNNNNNNNNNNNNNNNNNNNNNNNNNNNNNNNNNNNNNNNNNNNNNNNNNNNNNNNNNNNNNNNNNNNNNNNNNNNNNNNNNNNNNNNNNNNNNNNNNNNNNNNNNNNNNNNNNNNNNNNNNNNNNNNNNNNNNNNNNNNNNNNNNNNNNNNNNNNNNNNNNNNNNNNNNNNNNNNNNNNNNNNNNNNNNNNNNNNNNNNNNNNNNNNNNNNNNNNNNNNNNNNNNNNNNNNNNNNNNNNNNNNNNNNNNNNNNNNNNNNNNNNNNNNNNNNNNNNNNNNNNNNNNNNNNNNNNNNNNNNNNNNNNNNNNNNNNNNNNNNNNNNNNNNNNNNNNNNNNNNNNNNNNNNNNNNNNNNNNNNNNNNNNNNNNNNNNNNNNNNNNNNNNNNNNNNNNNNNNNNNNNNNNNNNNNNNNNNNNNNNNNNNNNNNNNNNNNNNNNNNNNNNNNNNNNNNNNNNNNNNNNNNNNNNNNNNNNNNNNNNNNNNNNNNNNNNNNNNNNNNNNNNNNNNNNNNNNNNNNNNNNNNNNNNNNNNNNNNNNNNNNNNNNNNNNNNNNNNNNNNNNNNNNNNNNNNNNNNNNNNNNNNNNNNNNNNNNNNNNNNNNNNNNNNNNNNNNNNNNNNNNNNNNNNNNNNNNNNNNNNNNNNNNNNNNNNNNNNNNNNNNNNNNNNNNNNNNNNNNNNNNNNNNNNNNNNNNNNNNNNNNNNNNNNNNNNNNNNNNNNNNNNNNNNNNNNNNNNNNNNNNNNNNNNNNNNNNNNNNNNNNNNNNNNNNNNNNNNNNNNNNNNNNNNNNNNNNNNNNNNNNNNNNNNNNNNNNNNNNNNNNNNNNNNNNNNNNNNNNNNNNNNNNNNNNNNNNNNNNNNNNNNNNNNNNNNNNNNNNNNNNNNNNNNNNNNNNNNNNNNNNNNNNNNNNNNNNNNNNNNNNNNNNNNNNNNNNNNNNNNNNNNNNNNNNNNNNNNNNNNNNNNNNNNNNNNNNNNNNNNNNNNNNNNNNNNNNNNNNNNNNNNNNNNNNNNNNNNNNNNNNNNNNNNNNNNNNNNNNNNNNNNNNNNNNNNNNNNNNNNNNNNNNNNNNNNNNNNNNNNNNNNNNNNNNNNNNNNNNNNNNNNNNNNNNNNNNNNNNNNNNNNNNNNNNNNNNNNNNNNNNNNNNNNNNNNNNNNNNNNNNNNNNNNNNNNNNNNNNNNNNNNNNNNNNNNNNNNNNNNNNNNNNNNNNNNNNNNNNNNNNNNNNNNNNNNNNNNNNNNNNNNNNNNNNNNNNNNNNNNNNNNNNNNNNNNNNNNNNNNNNNNNNNNNNNNNNNNNNNNNNNNNNNNNNNNNNNNNNNNNNNNNNNNNNNNNNNNNNNNNNNNNNNNNNNNNNNNNNNNNNNNNNNNNNNNNNNNNNNNNNNNNNNNNNNNNNNNNNNNNNNNNNNNNNNNNNNNNNNNNNNNNNNNNNNNNNNNNNNNNNNNNNNNNNNNNNNNNNNNNNNNNNNNNNNNNNNNNNNNNNNNNNNNNNNNNNNNNNNNNNNNNNNNNNNNNNNNNNNNNNNNNNNNNNNNNNNNNNNNNNNNNNNNNNNNNNNNNNNNNNNNNNNNNNNNNNNNNNNNNNNNNNNNNNNNNNNNNNNNNNNNNNNNNNNNNNNNNNNNNNNNNNNNNNNNNNNNNNNNNNNNNNNNNNNNNNNNNNNNNNNNNNNNNNNNNNNNNNNNNNNNNNNNNNNNNNNNNNNNNNNNNNNNNNNNNNNNNNNNNNNNNNNNNNNNNNNNNNNNNNNNNNNNNNNNNNNNNNNNNNNNNNNNNNNNNNNNNNNNNNNNNNNNNNNNNNNNNNNNNNNNNNNNNNNNNNNNNNNNNNNNNNNNNNNNNNNNNNNNNNNNNNNNNNNNNNNNNNNNNNNNNNNNNNNNNNNNNNNNNNNNNNNNNNNNNNNNNNNNNNNNNNNNNNNNNNNNNNNNNNNNNNNNNNNNNNNNNNNNNNNNNNNNNNNNNNNNNNNNNNNNNNNNNNNNNNNNNNNNNNNNNNNNNNNNNNNNNNNNNNNNNNNNNNNNNNNNNNNNNNNNNNNNNNNNNNNNNNNNNNNNNNNNNNNNNNNNNNNNNNNNNNNNNNNNNNNNNNNNNNNNNNNNNNNNNNNNNNNNNNNNNNNNNNNNNNNNNNNNNNNNNNNNNNNNNNNNNNNNNNNNNNNNNNNNNNNNNNNNNNNNNNNNNNNNNNNNNNNNNNNNNNNNNNNNNNNNNNNNNNNNNNNNNNNNNNNNNNNNNNNNNNNNNNNNNNNNNNNNNNNNNNNNNNNNNNNNNNNNNNNNNNNNNNNNNNNNNNNNNNNNNNNNNNNNNNNNNNNNNNNNNNNNNNNNNNNNNNNNNNNNNNNNNNNNNNNNNNNNNNNNNNNNNNNNNNNNNNNNNNNNNNNNNNNNNNNNNNNNNNNNNNNNNNNNNNNNNNNNNNNNNNNNNNNNNNNNNNNNNNNNNNNNNNNNNNNNNNNNNNNNNNNNNNNNNNNNNNNNNNNNNNNNNNNNNNNNNNNNNNNNNNNNNNNNNNNNNNNNNNNNNNNNNNNNNNNNNNNNNNNNNNNNNNNNNNNNNNNNNNNNNNNNNNNNNNNNNNNNNNNNNNNNNNNNNNNNNNNNNNNNNNNNNNNNNNNNNNNNNNNNNNNNNNNNNNNNNNNNNNNNNNNNNNNNNNNNNNNNNNNNNNNNNNNNNNNNNNNNNNNNNNNNNNNNNNNNNNNNNNNNNNNNNNNNNNNNNNNNNNNNNNNNNNNNNNNNNNNNNNNNNNNNNNNNNNNNNNNNNNNNNNNNNNNNNNNNNNNNNNNNNNNNNNNNNNNNNNNNNNNNNNNNNNNNNNNNNNNNNNNNNNNNNNNNNNNNNNNNNNNNNNNNNNNNNNNNNNNNNNNNNNNNNNNNNNNNNNNNNNNNNNNNNNNNNNNNNNNNNNNNNNNNNNNNNNNNNNNNNNNNNNNNNNNNNNNNNNNNNNNNNNNNNNNNNNNNNNNNNNNNNNNNNNNNNNNNNNNNNNNNNNNNNNNNNNNNNNNNNNNNNNNNNNNNNNNNNNNNNNNNNNNNNNNNNNNNNNNNNNNNNNNNNNNNNNNNNNNNNNNNNNNNNNNNNNNNNNNNNNNNNNNNNNNNNNNNNNNNNNNNNNNNNNNNNNNNNNNNNNNNNNNNNNNNNNNNNNNNNNNNNNNNNNNNNNNNNNNNNNNNNNNNNNNNNNNNNNNNNNNNNNNNNNNNNNNNNNNNNNNNNNNNNNNNNNNNNNNNNNNNNNNNNNNNNNNNNNNNNNNNNNNNNNNNNNNNNNNNNNNNNNNNNNNNNNNNNNNNNNNNNNNNNNNNNNNNNNNNNNNNNNNNNNNNNNNNNNNNNNNNNNNNNNNNNNNNNNNNNNNNNNNNNNNNNNNNNNNNNNNNNNNNNNNNNNNNNNNNNNNNNNNNNNNNNNNNNNNNNNNNNNNNNNNAUAACACAUGUUGGAAAUGCUGUGUUAAGAAUGCAUAACUCUUCUGCUCAUCAUAUACUCAAAUUAAACAACAUGCUUCUUGUUCCACAAAUAUCCAAGAAUCUUAUUGGCAUAUCUCAGCUAACCAAAGAUAACAACAUUGUUAUUGAAUUUACUGAUAAAUCCUGUGUUGUGAAGGACAAGGUGAGGAAUUUGAUCAUACUGCAGGGCAAAGCUGAAAAAGGUUUAUACAGAUUGCUAUUGUUUCCCCUAAUAAGUCUCUUCUCAAUCAUGUCAAAGGUCUCUUGAAGCCACUCAAUCCAAAAUUUCAAAUGUUCCUAUGUCUAUGUUUUCAGUUGUUCAGUCAGUUGUCAAUAAUCAAACAAGUCCCUGCUUGCAUACUGCAGCAGAACCUUGUAUCAGUCCAAAUUGUAUGCUGAGUGUUUCUGUUUUGCAUCAGAAACUUGGUCAUCCUAAUUCCAAAGUUUUAAGUCAUGUAAUAAACUCUUGUUCAGCUUUCAAGAAUUUAAAUGGAAGUAACUUUCUUGAUUCAUGUGAUGCAUGUAAAAUGGGAAAAAUGCAUAGAUUACACUUUCCAGUUUCUACUACCAAAACAAAGCAUGUAUUAGAAGUUUUGCACACUGAUUUAUGGGGACCUGCCCCUGUGCUUUCAGUUCAAGGUUACAGAUAUUAUGUGAGUUUUGUGGAUGAUUUUUCGAGGUUCACAUGGAUAUUCCCAUUAAAAACCAAGGAUGAAACACUAGCUGUGUUUAAAAUCUUUAAGAAGCAAAUUGAGAAACAGCUAGAUAGAUCCAUUAAAUGCAUUCAAUCAGAUUGGGGUGGGGAGUAUAGAUCAUUUGUUAAUUUUCUUCAUGAGGAAGGUAUUCAAUUCAGACACUCAUGUCCCUAUACUCACAAUCAGAAUGGCUUAGUUGAGAGAAAACAUAGACACAUAACCGAGCUAGGUCUCACCUUAGUUGCUCAAGCUUCUUUGCCUCUCAAAUUUUGGUGGAUUCCUUCCAUACAGCCACCUAUAUUAUCAAUAGACUUCCCACACCCCAUACUAUCUAUGCAGUCACCUUAUGAAUAUGUCUUUAAAACCAAACCUGAUUACAAAUUUCUCAAGGUCUUUGGUUGUUCAUGCUUUCCAUUCUUAAGGGAUUAUAAUACUCACAAAUUCCAUUUCUCAUACCUCAAAAUGUUGUAUUUCUUGGUUACAGCCCUUUACAUAAGGGUUACAAGUGUAUGCAUUCUUCUGGAAAGAUUUUUAUAGCCAGUCAUGUGUUAUUUGAUGAAACUUCUUUUCCUUACACAUCAAAUUCACAAUUCUUAACUUCAUCAUUCAAACCCUCUGAUUUCCAUUACAGUCUUCUUCAAUCUUGUACUGUUUCACUUCCCAAUAGCAAUCAAGAAACCUUUGAAGCUAGCUCUGCAGAAGAUGAAGCUCCAUCUCAUCAUUUCAGUGAUCAUUCCUCACCUGACAGUCAUAAUACAACCUUUGAUGUUUCACCUUCUCAAAUACAUCUUCAACCCUCUACCAUAGCUACUUCACAAACACAACAGCCAUCCUCAUCUACUAUUCAAUCCACACAACCAUCCCAACAUCCUCUGCCGAAUCAUCCCAUGAUUACCAUAGCAAAAGCUGGUAUAUUCAAGCCUAAAGCAUUCUUAACAUCACAUAACAGCCUGGAACCAUCUACUGUUGAUGAAGCUUUGUCUGAUUCUAAGUGGAAAGCUGUAAUGCAAUUAGAGUUUGAUGCUUUAACCAGAAAUAAUACCUGGAAUCUAGUACCUAUGACAUCUCAGCACAAGUUGGUUGGUUGUAAAUGGGUCUUUAGAACCAAGUACAAUACAGAUGGUACAGUUUCUAAACACAAAGCAAGAUUGGUAGCCAAGGGCUUUCACCAGGCAGCAGGAGUGGAUUAUAAGGAAACUUUUAGUCCUGUGGUAAAGUCUUCUACAGUAAGAACUAUACUAAGUUUGGCAGUGAUGAAAGGUUGGAAAAGUCAGGCAAAUCGAUAUAAAUAAUGCCUUUCUUAAUGGAGAUAUUUCAGAGGAUAUAUACAUGACACAACUAGAGGGCUUCAUCACCAAAGAGGGCUAUGUCUGCAAACUUAGCAAGGCUCUUUAUGGCUUGAAGCAAGCUCCUAGAGCUUGGUAUGACAAACUCAAAGGGUGUCUUACAAGCUGGAAUUUCUUCAACUCCAAGGCUGAUACAUCCCUGUUCAUCAGACAUGACACGAGAGGUAUCAUUCUUGUUCUUAUCUAUGUGGAUGAUAUUCUUAUUACAGGACUAGAUUCUUCCCUGUUGGAAACAUUCAUCACUAAAUUUAGUAAGGUUUUUGCCUUAAAAGAUUUGGGAUUGGUAUCCUAUUUUCUGGGUGUUGAGGUGUGUUAUACUGAUAGUGGGAUGCAUUUAUCACAAACAAAAUAUAUUAAAGACCUCUUAAGUAGAGCUUCAAUGCAGAACUGUAAAGGUUCUGAUACACCUCUCAGCACAGGUCAAAAGUUAGAAAAGGUAGCAAAGGUCUGUUUGGGGAAAGAAUUUGAAGAUCCAACUCUCUAUAGAAGUAUUGUUGGACGGCUCCAAUACUUGAUACUCACCAGACCUGAUAUUGCAUACUCAGUUCAUAAGCUCAGUCAAUAUUUGAGUGCUCCUACACUUCAGCAUUGGCUUGCUGUAAGAAAGUACUUAGAUAUCUUCAAGCAACUGUCACUCAUGGAAUAUAUAUUCAGAAGGAAGGAGAGCUUGAAGUUACAGGUUUGAAUGGAUACUCAGAUGCAGAUUGGGCUUGUAAUACAGAUGAUAGAAAGUCCAUUGGAGCAUAUUGCAUCUAUCUUGGCAACAAUUUAAUUUCAUGGUCCUCUAAGAAACAAGCCAUAGUGGCCAAAUCCAGCACUGAAAGUGAGUAUAGAGCACUGUCAUCAGCAAGUUCAGAAAUCUCUUGGCUUGAAUCUCUAUUUUCUGAGCUCAACAUUGUAAAGCUGCCAACACCAGUGCUUUGGUGUGAUAAUCAGAGUGCUGGGGAAUUAGCCAAAAAUCCUGUGUUUCACUCCAGGUCUAAGCAUAUCGAGUUGGACAUUCAUUACAUUCGAGAUAAGGUACUUCAAAACCAAUUAGAAGUGAGAUACAUUCCUACAGAUGAACAAGUUGCUGAUGUCCUCACCAAAGCUUUAUCACUUCCAAAAUUCAGCUACUUCAGGUCCAAGCUCAAUGUCGUUAGCAGACCCUUGAGCUUGAGGGGGGAUGUUAAGGAAGUUAAGGAAGCUCAUAUUUGCAGUCAAGCAGAGGAUCACAGAGCAAAGGAUCACAGCAGCUUCUAUAAUCAGUUGCAAGUUGAUGACAUGUACAGCCAGCUGGCACCAGGUGGUUAUGUAGCUGCUUGUACUCAUACACGUGAUAAGUUUGUUAAUCAAUUUGUAAUUAGUUAGUUAGUUUUGUAACCAUCAGCUGAGAAGCAACACUUGUAUAUAUAUGCUUGUAAUCGUUCAGUAGCAUUUAAGAAAAAAGCUUGAGAAAAUAAAAGAAGAAAGUUUUCUAAAUCUCAGUUUAUUUUCUUAUUAGCCAAACACUCAUUUUCUAUUUUAUAACUGCGUGCAAACCACCGAAUCCCCUCUGAAGCUAACUUUGGCGUGCAGCUCUUCGAUGAUUGGCUUUUUUUUUCUUUUUUUUUUGGUUGUGUUUUUUUUUGGCUCCUAGUUUGAUUUAACUUUGUUUCGGUUAUUGACAUUGCUGAAGAGGCAGUAAAAGCUUGUUGAAUGUCAUCAAAUGCACAAAUUGGCAAUAUCGGUUGGCUUCUUUAUAGGCGCAUCCAUCACAAAAUGAAAGUAACAACAACCACCAUCGAAAAUUAAUUUUAAGAAUCUUUUUUACCUAAAAUCUUUGAAAAGAAAAAUUAACCUGACAUUUAUUUAUUUAUUUAUUUUUUGGGGGGCAAAGAAAGAAAGGAACAGAAUUAUGAGUUUUGGAAAGGAGAAUGAGAAAAUUGAACAGAUGAGAAAAUGGAUAAUUAACCAGAAUGAAUUUGCGAUUGGUCCAGCAAGCUUAGUAGAAAUCACGCGCUGAUACUUCAUUGACCAAUGACUAAUAAUUUGGCAAUUCACCCAUCACCAGCACUUGGUAAGCAAAACGAAAAUGCUUAGUAAGUGUCAAGGGUCAAGCAAGAUAUGACGUAAAAUGAGGCAAGUCUCCCCACUUGUUGUUCCUUGCAGCUAAGAAAAGAAAAAACAGAGCCCACCACCCAUUAAUAAUUUAGCAAUUCACCAAUCAAUCACCACCACUUGUUACGCAAUUCCAUUAGGUAUUCGUAUGUCAAGCAGUUAAUCCAGUGUCUAUUACCUAGAACCUUCACUUUACAAAUCUUCAUCUCAAAUGCCAAGUUAAAUCAAAACGUUUCUCUCUCACUCUUUCUUUUUAAACUCCGAAAACGUUUCUUUUUAGAAAUAUUUUACUUUAUUCAUGUAAAUAUGUUGUCUAACAAAUAGACACAAUUGAAAUCACUCUAAAGUGCAAAUAAAAAAAAAAAUCCAAUCACCAGUAAUUUAGCAAGCUUCACUUUAUUCCACCAAAGUGUAAAUAAAACCAGGCCUCACCGCCAUUAAUAGUUUUACAAGCUUCACACGCUUGUUGUUGUCUGCUUGACGAACUGGACAUGGGUUCAUCAAGAAUCAAUGAAAGAAUUAAAAAAAAAAACUGAAAUUUUCGAUUCAGAGUAGAACAGUAAUUAAUGCUAAAAUUUACUCCGCUAACAUUUUCAAGAUAUUGUUCUGUAUAAUUCUACAGCAAAUAAGACUAAGUUUUGGACAUUUUCAAAUUCACUACUUUCACAAGCAAUAUUUUGAAACAUUUUACAGAAUUAGCGAUUAUAUAAAGAGAAAAAUGCAAAGUUGCGUAAUUCUAAUGUUUUUCAGGCUGAGCUGCCUUUGGAUUUAACCUGAAAUGAUCCGAAGGCCAGAAAUUGUAACGGCGGGCUUAAAUGUCAACACGCCAAGACAGUUAAUAGCAGCUAAAUUGGAAAAAAAAAAAAAAAGGCAAUAGAAGUAUAGAUGGAACAAUUUUUCGCUUAGGUCAUAGGUGCAAGAUGAAACUAAAAAAAGGUGGCAGGCAAUUUUAUCACAGACGCUCAUGAUCGUUUUUUAUUUGGGUCGUCAACUCGCCAUGACCCAUGAUUGAAUUAGAGUGUCUAGAAAGAAAAUUAAUAAAUAACGGUUUAUAUAUUUGGCCGUCGGAAUAUUGUAAGUGAGAAAGAUUAUCUUUUUUUUUAUUAUUAUUAAUUAGGUUAGUAUUUAUGAUUGAGUGACUCAGAGCUGUAUUUUAGAUUGAGAAUCAAUUGUUCUCUCAUACUGAGAGGCUAUAAGAUUGUCGUUAGCUAUUUCAUCGAUAAGAGAACACCCAAAUUUAUUAAAAGAAGAAAUGUAUAAGGUCUCCUUUAUGAGAAAAUGUAUCUGAUCAUUCUUUUUGACUUGAAAAUCUCAUAUAUAAAAACUUAUUAAUAAAUAACAUAAUAUAUAUAAAAAUGAUACUCAAUGAUCCUGUACUAAAACUAUAAUUUACCUGCACUAGUAGUUUCCAUAAUUUUAAAUUCAAAAGUAAGCAGUUGAACGUGCUCUCUCUUCUGGUUAUAGAUAUCAUAUAUAUAAAUUGAAGUAAUCGCGCGACAAGUAGCAAAACAGAUAAUGCACGGAAGAUAAUGAUCAAUGGCUGAAGUUUAAUUUAAUUGCAGAUAAAAUGUCAAUCAAGAUUAAGGUCUACUUACAAUUUUAUUUUAUUUUUUAUGAUUUUCAAUCUUUACCAAAAGAAACAUAUUUAGUGAUCCCUUUUAUCAACUUGCUUUUAUUGACUUUCUUCCAAUAAUAGAAGUGAAAAGAGAAACAAAGGCCACCACCACCAAGUGUUACCGGAUUCUAUAAAGACAAAAUCAGUGCCCAGCAAAACGAAUCCAACUUUUCGUUAUGUGUUGCUUCCUAUUUAGUACAUGCACAUAUAGAUAUAAGAUAUCCACAUGCACAUGCAGCGCGUCUAUCUAAAAUUUUAAAAACAGAAUUAGAAACCUUCUUGAAUAGGAAUAGAAAUACUCUCUAAUACUUCCUAAAAUAAUUAACCCUAAAUAAUUUGUCCUGCAUCACCAAACUCCGGAUUUUACAAAGCACGCAUAAAGGAUAAUAGACACGUUUGAGGUUUUUUUUUUUAAAAGAAAAAAAGAUUAUGAAAAUAGACAAAUAAUGAAGACACAAGUUAAGCAGAGCAAAUAAAUAGAGGAGAAUGAAUUAAAUACUAUCCUUGAGAACUCAAUUCUUUAAUAAACUCAAUUUUUUAAAUGCAGGGGUAAACUCAUGUCAUAUACUGUAGUCUUUAAUUUGGGCUUUGUUGUAUCAAUUUUUUGGAGUUUAUCUUGUUUUGUUUUUUCGUUUUUAUAGUGCAAGAUUUUCGGUGGAGAUAAAUCAGGAAUAAGAGUGAAAUCCCAAUCUUAAAAUUUGGGAGAAAUGAAAUGCGAUAUGUUUUUUCAUGAAUAAAACAAUUCAAUUUUUUGUUAGCACUUGUAUAUGUUGCAAGUUAAUUACACCGUCAACACCUGCGGGAAAUUUAUAUAUUUUCUGUCAGCACUUGCAUACGUUGCAAUUUUCAAUGACUUCCAAAUCUUCAUAUCAUGAAUUAGCAGGAUUCAGGUCCGACCAACUCCCCGUGGCUAAAGCAAAGGAUUAAUUUUUGAGAAAUUAUAAAGAAAUUAAUACAAGUAAAGUGAGCCUAUUCAUUUGAUUUGAUAAUUGGCUGAGGGUGAUUUCGAUAACGUUUUCAAAGAAGAUAUAGAACAAAGAUCAAAAAGAAAAAACAAGUAAUUUCAGUCGAUGGAAGAAAUGAGCAAGAUUCGCACAUGCAUGCAUGCGUCUGACUAACAGGACAUGGCUUGGAGCAAGGAUCAAUGGACAAGUUUGAGGUUUAUGAAAUAUUGGGAAAACAGACAAAUUAUAAAGCCACUUGUUAGAGUGCAAUUUAUGCACUAGUUUUGCAUUGUUUACUUCCCUUAAUAUCGAUGUUUUGCAUUUAAUAAUAGUGAUUUACUUGUGUUUUACUUUUGUAGGUGCAAUUCUAUUGAUUGGUGAUAAAAUUGAGCUAUAAGAUGAUGUUUAAGGAUGAUUGUUCUCUUGGAGAAAUUAUAAGCGGCAGAAGAACUUUGUUGAUAAGGCGUGGGCGCGUGCUGUCAACUGCGGACCUGCAGUUUUUAGUUUAACGUGUUUUGUAUUUUUGGCUAUUUUUUAAUUACGAAUUUAAUAUUUCAAAUAUUAGUAUUUUAUUUUAAAUAGAACUCUAAAAGAGAAGAGAGAGAGAGUAUUUAAAGGAGGAAUCUAUUGUGAAAAAGGAGGGAAUUUUGAUUGGAGAAAAAGAAAAGAAACCCUAGAUCUAAUUUUUCUCUUCUCUCUAUGAAGAACUAAACUUAUUUUUCUGGUUGAAGAAUAAUGAAGCUUUGAUUCAUCACUACUGUGAGAUCUUUCUUGUGCUUUAAUUGUUUUAUUGCUUUUUGGGUAUUUGUUUAUUCUCUGAAUUAUUUUCAUGAUUAUGUUUGUUAAUUAGAUAAUUGGCCACUAUUUAAUUAUCAACUUAAUCUAUUGUCAAUUAAAGGAUUCAUCGUAUGAAGAAUUUAAUGUUUGUGACAAAUAACAUAGCAGAGAGUUGUGUUGUGAGAAUAAACAAUCUAAUUUAAAUAAAUCAUCAUAUGUGUUGAUUAGGAUUUGGGUCUCUCUGGUUUUUUAGGCUGUCAAUUGAUUAAAUCCUAUGAUCGUAUCUAGGGUUGUCUAUUGAUUAGGGAAAUAUCCAACGGUCGUACCUUGGUUAUCGACUAAUUAAGGAGAGAUUGGCUAUUAGAGGGUCUCAGUAGCUAUAACCGGUCUAUUCAUAAGUAAUAAUAAUUUAUAUUUGAAUCAAUGAUCAGUAGUCGAAUCAAGCUGAGUUAAUUCCUUCAACCAGAGCUUUCUCCAAUUUGAAUCACAACUUUAAUUUACAUUCUCGUUAUUUUAAUUUGAUUUUUAUUAUUGUCAACAAUUCCCCCAUUUUACAUUUUACGUUUCAAAAGGAUUUAAAUAAUUACCGAUCUCUGUGGACACGACCCUGCUCAAUCACUAUACACAAUUUAUUUAGAGUAGGAAUUUAUUUUUGUUGGCUUCGACAACCAUCAAAUUUUGGCGCCGUUGCCGGGGAUUGGUGUCAUUUAUUUAAUCCUUUUUACGUUUUACUUGGUGUAUGGUUCGUUCUUCUCGUACAGGUACACUUUCGUUUGAUCCUGAAAUUGAGAAGACAGCUCGCCAGCUGAGACAGCAGACGAAGCGAGCUAAGCAACGAUCCUCGUCGCCUUUGCUUUCUGAAACAGAUACGGUGCCUGAUUUAGUUCAAUCAUCUAGCGAUUCGGAAGAACAAGUGAUGAAUAGAGCUGCACCUGUAGAAAGAACUCUUAGAGAGUUAGCUGAACCAGACUUGAAUCAGCAACCACUCUGCAUUCAAUAUGUAGACUUGGAGGUAAAUUUUGAAUUAAAGUCUGGUUUUAUUCAUUUAUUACCCAAGUUUCAUGGUUUUGCAGGUGAAGAUCCUCAUAAACAUCUUAAGGAGUUUCAUGUUGUAUGUUCAAGUAUGAGACCACAAGGCGUGACUGAAGAGCAGAUUAAGCUGCGUGCUUUUCCGUUCUCUGUAGAUGGGCUAGCUAAAGAUUGGUUGUACUACUUGCCUCUUGGAUCGAUUACAACGUGGAAUGGUUUGAAGAAGCAGUUCCUCGAGAAGUACUUUCCUGCUUCAAGAGCUGCCAACAUCAGAAAAGAUAUUUGUGGGAUCAGACAACUUCCUGGGGAGACUUUGUAUGAGUAUUGGGAGCGAUUCAAACAAUUGUGUGCCAGUUGUCCUCAGCAUCAGAUUUCUGAUCAACUUCUUAUUCAAUAUUUUUACGAAGGACUGUCAUUGAUGGAUAGGAGUAUGAUAGAUGCUGCUAGUGGAGGCGUGUUAGUGAACAAGACCCCUACUCAAGCAAGGGAGUUGAUAUCAAAUAUGGCUGCCAACGCACAACAAUUUGGCAGCAGGCAAGAUCCUACUUCAAGGAAGGUGAAUGAGGUAAAUAUUUCUUCUGUUGAACAACGUUUAGAUAAACUUACUUCUCUUGUGGAAAAGUUUGUUGUAGGCAAUGUGCAACAGGUGAAGACUUGUGGCAUUUGUUACAAUAUGGGUCAUUCAACUGAUAUGUGUCCUACACUUCAAGAAGAACCUGUUGAACAAGCCAAUGUAGUUGGAGGAUUUCCAGGCAUGCCUCAGAGGAGGUAUGAUCCUUAUGCACAAACAUACAAUCCGGGAUGGAAGGAUCAUCCCAACUUCAGCUAUGGAGUUAGGCCGUCAGGAUUCCCACAACAGUAUCCACCAAGACAACCAGCACCUCCACAGUCAACCUCCAAGUCAGGUAUAUCUCUUGAAGAAAUUGUUAAAUCGCUUGCGACUAAUACUCAACAAUUUCAGCAGGCAACUACAGCAAGCAUUCAGAACUUGGAGAACCAAAUGAGUCAAUUGGCGACUACAGUGAGCCGUCUGGAGUCUCAAGUAUUAGGGAGAUUGCCUUCACAAUCUGAGGUGAAUCCAAAGCAAAACGUUAGUGUUGUCAUCCUUAGAAGUGGGAAGGAGUUGCAAGAGCCUAGUAAGAAAGUGACAGAGCAUGUAGAAGAUGAGCUUAAGAAGAAUGAAUUGAUGCCUCAAUCUCAAGAUGCACAACCCACCAGAGUGAAACCCCUACCUAUUGUGAUACCUCCUCCUUUUCCAAGCCGGUUUGCAAAAUCCAAGAAGGAGGAACAAGAGAAAGACAUCCUUGAGACAUUUCGCAAGGUUGAGGUAAAUAUUCCUUUAUUAGAUGCUAUUAAACAAAUACCUCGAUAUGCUAAAGUCCUUAAGGAACUGUGCACCUCUAAGAGAAAAUUAAGAGGAGAUGAAAAAGUUCAUAUGGGGGAGAAUGUUUCAGCAGCUCUCCAAAAGAAAUUACCUCCCAAGUGCAAGGAUCCAGGUAUGUUUACUAUCCCUUGCAAAAUUGGUAGUGUUAGAGUCGAGAAGGCUAUGUUAGAUCUAGGAGCUUCUAUUAAUGUCAUGCCUCGUUCCAUUUAUUCAUCUUUGAAUGUUGGUCCAUUAAAAAAAACUGGCGUGAUAAUUCAACUAGCUGAUAGGUCUAAUGCAUAUCCUGAUGGGGUAUUAGAAGAUGUCUUAGUACAAGUUAAUGAGUUGGUUUUUCCUGCUGAUUUUUAUGUACUUGAUAUGGAAGAUGAUAACUCCUCUAAUUCUGUCUCAAUUUUGCUAGGAAGACCUUUUCUUAAGACUGCUAGAACUAAAAUGGAUGUACAUAAAGGGACUCUCACUAUGGAGUUUGAUGGAGAGGUUAUAGAAUUCAAUAUGAAUGAUGCCAUGAAAUAUCCUAGUGAGGAACAUUCGGUAUUUUCUGUGGAUGUUAUUAACCCUAUAGUGCAGGAAGUUUUUUACAAGAAAAAAACGAAGACAUUUCAUGAUAGAAUGAUUUUGAGAAAGGAGUUCUCUGUUGGUCAAAAAGUUCUUCUUUUUCAUUCUAAGCUUAAACUUUUUCCGGGUAAAUUACGUUCUUGCUGGGUUGGACCUUUUAUUAUUACUAAUAUUUUUCCUCAUGGUGCAGUUGAGAUUCGGAGUCCGACCUCUGACAAAGUUUUUAAGGUUAACGGUCAUCGCUUAAAACCUUUUUAUGAAGGUUUUUCGGUGAAUAUUGUGGAGGAUGUGGCUCUCGAGAGUCCCAAUUAUGGAGAUUGAUGCAUAAAUGUGUCUAGCCAAAGACAUAAAACAAAGGCGCUUUUUGGGAGGCAACCCAAAGGAUUUAUUUAUUUUGACUUUUGUUAUAUCUUUUAUUUUUAAUUUAGAUUUAGAUUUUUUUUUAUAAUGUUUUUGCUUAUUUUGGUCAGAAGAAAAUUUUUGAUAAGGCGUGCCCACGUCUUAACUAAUAAGUACUUUUGUGAUUUUUAAAGUAAAAUGGUUUUAAGGCGUGCCCACGUCCUUAUUAGAAAAGUACUUCUGAAAUUCUUUGUGUCUCAAAGUGAUUCAUCACUAAAAAAAAAUUAUUUAUUUAUUUGAAAAUUAAAAAAAAGGAAAAAAAAAACUUUUUUUUCCUUUCUUUUCUUGCUUUUUUAUAUAUAUUUUUUUAUUUGAAAAAAAAACGAAAAAAAAUUUACUGUUCACAAAAUCCCUAAUUCACAGAAUUGGUUUUCUUCUCCAGCUUUCACCGACCAGCCCACGCAGCAGCAGCAGCACGCAGAACCAGCGUCAGCCCAGCCCUCGCGUGCAAUCAACCCCAGCACGCAAAUCCAGCAGCCCACUAGCGCAACAGGACCAGCCCCAGCAGCGCACAGCAGAAUCAGCCCCAGUGCACAGCAUCCCGCACGCAACCAGCGUCACCAGCGCGCAACCAGCAAUCCACCAUCGGGCCAAGCUCCAGCCGAGCAGUAAUCGUCCGCAACCAGCCUACGCCCUUAUUCCAGCCGGGUGAAUCGAAAUCCGUGAGUGAAAUUAUUGUAACAAUGCCGAAGAGGAAAGCAUCAACUUCCAAGUCAUCUAAAAAGACACCCGUCGCAAAGAUAUCCAAGAUUGCCGCUCUCAUUACAGUUUCAUGGAACACAGUUUCAGAUUCACGCCAAGUCGUGAGACAAAGAUCGAACCAUGGAAAAGGCAUGAGUGUUUUGCCACUUGCGGAAUCCAAUCUCGGAGGGUGCCUUGAAUUUACGACUCAACAAGAGAAAGAAAGUUUACUGAACCAGGACCCACUCAACCUCCAAAGAAGCUUUAUGCUAGAAGUGGUGCUACCUCUGAUGACGAGUUUGACGACGACACUGCUGCCCCGCCGACUAUUCCUUCUACAUCCACACCACCUUUGAGCAUUCAGUUAGAGAAAAUGGAGCACAAGUUGAACAAGAUGGAGCAGAAUUUGGCCGCAUACUUCAAGAGUGUAGGAUUUAUCCCACCAUUUCCGCCAAGCUCAUAGACGUUAUGAGGAUCAAAGCUCACAAUUCAGGGAAGUUUUUGCCUUUAAUCUUUUAUCCUUACGCUUUAAUUUUUAUGUGAGCUUUGAUUAUCUUACAUUGGGGACAAUGUAAGUUCUUGGUGUGGGGGAGGGAUUUUUGCAUUAUUGAUGUCUGGAAGUAUUAUUUUCACUCUACUAAUCUAUUUUCAUUCUACUCAUCCUUAAAUGAUUUUGGAGUUAGUAUGCUUCAUAUAUUAUUAUUUUUCUUUUCUUUUCUUUCUCACUACUCUUUUUCCAUCUAUCUCAAAUUAUUUACAUCUAUUUUUAUUCUAUCAUACUCUUUCAUCACUCACAUUUUAUCUUUCACUUUUCAUAUUACUACGUACAUCUUUCUCACUUCUUAUCAUUUUUACCUUUCCUUCACUCAUACAUUCUUCUCAUUCUACACCACUAUUGAUGGUUGAUUCAUUUGAAGAGUGUACAUGAUUUGAUGGCAAAUUUACCAACUUUGUGAGGAUUUGAGCCAAUGAGCAACCACUUUGCUCUAAUUAUUUUUGUUAUGUGAAUAUCAAUCUUAGUUUGUUUAUUCUAGAACUUGCUUUGUUAUGCAUGUUGAAGCCACAUUACGGGAUUUUUUGCAUUAAAAUGAUAAGGGCAAACCAUUUACCAUUUUUCUAUUCUCGCAUUUUCCUUUUUCUCUACCCGAAGACCUUUAUUUGCUACCUUUGUUUGAGCCUUAACCAUUACCCAUCUAAUUCUCUCCGUCUACUUAACCAUUUUUCUUCUUUUUGAGCCUCAAUUUAAAGAGAUUUUUGGACUCAUUGUGUGGAUAUAUUUUGUUGCUUUUUCUACCUUGUAUUAAAGUUUCUCAAUUAGAUCAACAAGCAUUAUGCUUGAAUUAAAUUGUGCAAGGUUCGUUUCUUUUGUUUGAUUCAAAAACAAAACAAAAAAAAAGAAAAAAAAGAACAAAAAAAAAGAAAAAAAAGAACAAAAAAAAAGAAGAAAAAGAAAAAUAAAAAAAAAAGAAAAAAAAGUUUACAUUCUUGGUGACUUGAGUAGAAAUAAGCAUUUUGAUAUCACAAGUUCAUUCAAUGAGUUCAUUCUUCUCAUUUUAAUAUCUUUUUCUUUCGUAAACCUUUCUUUUCCAUUCAACCUAUUUAACCUCAUUACAACCCUUAGAUUUUUGCAUUUUAUUCAUGUUUUGUGGAUUGAGAUGUGAUAUAUGAGCAAGCUUAUGGUAAUAGCAUUCUUUGAUUUGAUUUGAGUGCAUAAAUGAUACCCUAAACACUUUGAGUGCAUGGAGUGAAGUUAUUGAGAGGGCUAUUAAAUCUUGUUGCACUUGAAUUUUGAAUGGAUCCUCUUGGUGGUUGAAUGUUCUUAUUCUAUCUUAUGAAAUUCUAUGCUCUAAAAUCCUUGUCUCUCGAAUGUUGAUCGACUUAAUUUCUUGAGGUAUGCUUGCUUAAAAUUGUUUUUGGAUGAGUUGAGAUGAGAAUUGAGUGGAGAUUUGAGAUUAAUCUUGAGUUAUAUGCUUGAGGACAAGCAUCAUCUUGGUGUGGGGGAAUUUGUUAGAGUGCAAUUUAUGCACUAGUUUUGCAUUGUUUACUUCCCUUAAUAUCGAUGUUUUGCAUUUAAUAAUAGUGAUUUACUUGUGUUUUACUUUUGUAGGUGCAAUUCUAUUGAUUGGUGAUAAAAUUGAGCUAUAAGAUGAUGUUUAAGGAUGAUUGUUCUCUUGGAGAAAUUAUGAGCGGCAGAAGAACUUUGUUGAUAAGGCGUGGGCGCGUGCUGUCAACUGCGGACCUGCAGUUUUUAGUUUAACGUGUUUUGUAUUUUUGGCUAUUUUUUAAUUACGAAUUUAAUAUUUCAAAUAUUAGUAUUUUAUUUUAAAUAGAACUCUAAAAGAGAAGAGAGAGAGAGUAUUUAAGGGAGGAAUCUAUUGUGAAAAAGGAGGGAAUUUUGAUUGGAGAAAAAGAAAAGAAACCCUAGAUCUAAUUUUUCUCUUCUCUCUAUGAAGAACUAAACUUAUUUUUCUGGUUGAAGAAUAAUGAAGCUUUGAUUCAUCACUACUGUGAGAUCUUUCUUGUGCUUUAAUUGUUUUAUUGCUUUUUGGGUAUUUGUUUAUUCUCUGAAUUAUUUUCAUGAUUAUGUUUGUUAAUUAGAUAAUUGGCCACUAUUUAAUUAUCAACUUAAUCUAUUGUCAAUUAAAGGAUUCAUCGUAUGAAGAAUUUAAUGUUUGUGACAAAUAACAUAGCAGAGAGUUGUGUUGUGAGAAUAAACAAUCUAAUUUAAAUAAAUCAUCAUAUGUGUUGAUUAGGAUUUGGGUCUCUCUGGUUUUUUAGGCUGUCAAUUGAUUAAAUCCUAUGAUCGUAUCUAGGGUUGUCUAUUGAUUAGGGAAAUAUCCAACGGUCGUACCUUGGUUAUCGACUAAUUAAGGAGAGAUUGACUAUUGAGGGUCUUAGUAGCUAUAACCGGUCUAUUCAUAAGUAAUAAUAAUUUAUAUUUGAAUCAAUGAUCAGUAGUCGAAUCAAGCUGAGUUAAUUCCUUCAACCAGAGCUUUCUCCAAUUUGAAUCACAACUUUAAUUUACAUUCUCGUUAUUUUAAUUUGAUUUUUAUUAUUGUCAACAAUUCCCCCAUUUUACAUUUUACGUUUCAAAAGGAUUUAAAUAAUUACCGAUCUCUGUGGACACGACCCUGCUCAAUCACUAUACACAAUUUAUUUAGAGUAGGAAUUUAUUUUUAUUGGCUUCGACAACCAUCAAAUAAACAGAGAAAAUAACCGAUCAAUUCUUUGUGCAGUGGCCACAGCAACAGCGAAAAUAUGUCUGCAUGACUACAUUAAUUAAUCCUACCAUCACCAUGCAACAUUAAAUCAACAUUUGAUCAUCUAUCAAUUUUCAUGAUAUGAGAUUAGAAACAUUGAGUUCAUAAUUUCGUGUAAUUUCAUGUACUAGAUGUAUAUAAUUGAUUUGAGUUAGUUUAACAUCUAAAGAAAGAGUAAUGGGGAAUGAUGUCGAUGUGGCAUUUGAUGAGUAAUGAUAGACAACAAAUACUGAUCAUGUAAGAAUGAAGUCUGUAUUUACUGAAAAAUAUUUGGCAAUAAAAUGAUGCUUUAAAAAAUUAAUAUUAGUUGCACGAAAAUAAAUUGGCAACUAAAAUUAAUAGAUAUAUAUCCAAUGCUUCGAGUUUAUUUUAUCACUUCGCUAACAAUUUUGUAACUACAUUUUAAUUAUAAUGUCGAAAAGAGAUUUGAUUUUUGUAUUAAAAAAAAUUAGAAAUGAAACAAGUCAAAAUCAAUCAUAAGAACAACAAUAAGAGCAUAUUUUUAUAAAAACCACAAAUACAUAAUAUAAAUUUAGUUUCGAAUUAGGUGAUUAUUAAUUUACAUAGUAAGAGAGUCUUAUAGAAAAAUAGGAAUUUUUUUAAAAGAGAUUUGCUUAAGGAACAAAUUUAGUAAAUUAACAAUCACCAAAUAUGGUAGGGUGGCAGGCAGAGGAAGCGUGGUUCCUAAUCCUAAUCUUGAGUGAUAACUGGCUAUGUAACAUGUGGCAUUCUACAUUCUUGCAAUGCCAUUAAUUUCUUGUUAUGGCAGCAGCGUUCUUUCAUCAUGGCAUCACAAGCAAAUGUUUGAUUUGAAGACUUGCUUAGCUGAGAAAAAUAAGGAGAGCAAAGGUAAUGAAUUUUGGUGUGAUAAAUAUUUUUAUGGAUGUACUAAGAAAAAUAAAGAUAAUAGAAGUGAUGUUAUUGAGGAGCAUUUUGAUAUUUACCAAAGUGUUCAAAGAAAAAAGUUAUUUUUUGAAAUCUAUUUGCUGGUGCACAUAACAAAAGGGCAUUCUGAGUAAAUUUAAAACUACAAAUAGUUUCACUCUUUUAACAAUAUUCUUCAAUUAAUUCUGUUUAUUUCAAAAUAAAUAUUCUAUCUCUUUAUUACUUUCUAACUAGUCAUGCUAAUAUGCUAAUAAUUAUGAAGAACUAGUGUAAUUUAUAUGAUAUAAGAAGCCCUUUAGCACAUUAACCCGAAUUUAGCUAAUACAUGUGCCUAAUAUAGCGAAAUCAACAUUCAGCGCAUUAGAGUGCCAUUAUAUAUAUUGAGAGAGAAAUUAACACAAAAAACUGAAUAUUAAUUGACACUGGAUCAUAUUGGAUUGUCAGUUGUUAAUUAUGAUGGGAAUACAAUCUUCAUCUUUUGAUUAUCAGCUAGCUAAUGCAUGUGCACUUUCAUUUGUGUCUAUCACUGAAAAGUAAAGUUGCUUGAUUGAGUAGUAUCAUAUCACAGGAACUCCAAACUCAAUUUCAUUGCCGGAGCAUACCAUGCCAUAUGUAGCUUAAAAGUGCAGCUAUCUUAUACUAAUUAUUUAAUACGACUAUUAGCUCUUUAUGAUUAAUUAAAAGAGAAAAUGUUUGACAAUCACGAAAAUAAUAACAAUUCACUCCUAUAAACAACAUAACAAAUACAUGGUCUAUAUUGCAAAUCUUUUUAUGAUUAUAAUUAAAAGAGAAAAUACGAAGACAUAUUAUAUAUAAUAAUUGAAUGUUCUCCUUGAUAAUUAGACAAAAUAACACCAAUCUAGCUAAUUAAUCCAAUCAUCAUACUAAUCCAAUUUUCAUUAUUUAAUUAUGUCCAAUCAUGCUAAUUUAAUAAAGAGCACUGAACACUCGAGUACUUAUAUGUUCAGCAACUUUGGCCGAGUUUGAAAAAGAUUAGAGCUGCAUUUAUGCUUUGUGUUAUUACUUACGACAUGAUCAUAUUAUGUCGCAUUUGUCAGAGAACCGAAAACUGUGGGGGGAAAAAAAAUCCUAAAAGAGAUGUAACGAAAACAAAAUGAGAAAAUAAUGCACACACAUCAUAGCAAUGCUUCAUUCAUUUUGAUUCUAUCUAUACAAAAACUUGUAUCCGAUGGUUUACAUUUGUUUAAUCUAACGGCUAUAACAUGUAUACAGUCAAACGCUACUGCUGCCAUCUUUCUUUGUCCUCGUUGUAUCCUUGAUCUUAUAUUAUCCUGGUGAUUCUUGAAAGAUCUUCUCAUUCUCAUAUGCUGAGUCGCUUGCUGGGAUGAUUAAUACUCGAAGGUCCUUCAUUGAGACAUUUCAGCAAACACCUGAUUCAUUAUAUCAAACAUCUGCAUCACUAAUCGCUAAAAGAUAUAAAAUAGUUCUGUUUUGAAAAAUUGAUAUAAACCAGUCACCUUAGAUUUUCUUAGUCUCAGAGGACAACGGGUGAUGAUUCGAUGAGAAAUAUUAAUAUGCAUGCAUCCGCUGCAUUAGUUAGAGCUGCUUGUCAUUUUCUUCUUUCUUUUGGAUACUAUUUUAAAUUUUUAAUCAGUCUAAUUCAGCUGUAUGUUUGCUUUCAGUCCAAAUCGAACUCAGAUAUUAAGUACUUCUACAGGAAUGGACGCACCCAAAAAUCUAUGGGAUCCGUAGUUCUUGCAGAAGCGGCAGAAUGCUGCCAGCAAUUCAGGCAGAUAGAAGCUUGGUUGAGUGGUUGUUCUUCAAUGUGAAAUUCUACAUAAUGGCGAUCCUUUCAAUGGGGUUUAAAUUUUUUUUUUUUUGAGUUGUUGAUUUAGAGCAGAUUAAGUAACAUGUGGCAUUCUAUAUUCUUGCAAUGCCAUUUCUUGUUAUGGUAUCAACAUUCUUGACCAUGGUUUGAUUUGCGUAAUUUUGCUUUCUGUUUUUGAUAUUUUCUUCGCAUUGUUGUUGUGGGAUUUGUAGAUAGUGUAUAUGUAUGAAGAUAACGUAAUAAAGUGCUUUUGAUAAAUUCCCCUGGUUUGUUUACUUCACUAAUUCAUUAAUGAGCAAGUCCUCUAUAGAGCUGUGUUGUGCGUACAAGUUUUGCUACAUGAAAUCGUUAGGUGAGGAGAAUUUUUAAAAGCAUACAUCAAAGUAAUGAUUAAAGGGACAAAAUCAACGUAAAUAUUGAUUAUCUUGAGUUAGAUUAUACAAAGAUGAAAUAAUGAUAAUCUAAUAAAUUUAUCAUAAUACACUACUCAAAAAUGCAUUUUAAUGACACAAAUUUUAUGACAUACAUCUUUAUGUCAUGAAAAUAUUUGCAUGAUGUAUAAUGCUUUCGUGAUUAUUUGAUGAUAAAUUCAUAAUUGCUGCUGAUAUGAAAUGAAGUGAUGAUAGGUAAAUAUUAUGCGAUUUUUUUUUUAUGGGUAAGAAUAUUUGAACCCACCAAAUUACUCUUUAAACUUAUUUUUUUAUUGAUAAUUUUAUUACAAAAUUACCGAUAAUUUGAAUUACUAUUACAGACAAACAAUAAUUAUAUAAAAUUAUUUUAUUUUUACUCAUUGUUUAAACCUACCGCAAAACUCAAUCAAAGUAUGCCUUUUUUUUUCUUCUGCAAGUUUUUAAUAAGUUCAUCCUUCAUCCACAGUUGAGAACUUUCUAAUUUUUUUUUCUUGUUCUAGUAAUUUGGAUAUGCUGUGUUAGAUACUGAAUUUAUUAAAUUUCUUCUUCUCUUUUGAAUAAAAUCUCUUUAAAAUUCAAUUCAUAAAAAAAUAAAAAAUUAAUCUCCUUCUAAUUUAAUAUGUUUCAGCUGUCUUAGUGGAAUGAUGCAAUUUGUUUCCAUCAAAGUUUUGAAGCAUCCUGAAAUUUUGAGAUCGACAUGAUAACAAAUUAAUUUAAUUCAUGGUGUACUCUAAAUUUUCAGCCACAAAAAAAAUAGCCAAAUUGAAGCGUACCUGGGCAAGAAGAAACUGCGAUUAUACAAUUUCAGUGUUUGACUCUAUCAACAAAAAAGAAAAUAAAAAAGAACUCUCAUUGUUCCAUUGUUUUUCCCAUAAAUAAUGAUAUACAGAGAAUUUAGUUUGAUAAAAGGAUAUAAUAAAUAUUUAGGUGAGUUUAUAAAGUAAAUUUUAAAAAUUUUAAAAUUUAGUAAUGGGUUUAUAAAUAAUUGAGUUCAUAUAAUAUUUUAAUGAAUUCAAAUAACCCCACUCCCUUUUUAUUUUUUAAAAAGAUCUAAUUACAAAAAUACCAUUCCAAUCGGCAGCAUUUUAUAUUUUAUUUUAUUUUUAAAUUACUAGUGACGCACGAAACGGCAUCAUUUAUUGAUAUUUUUAAAUUGUUUAAGAUUUGUUUAAUUAGAAAAUUGCCAUCGUUGAUAUUUAAUUAAUUUUAAAAAAUAAAAAUAAUUAAAUUGGUAAGCUCUACUCCAUCAGUGAUGAACGAAUUGACAAAUUUGCAAUAAGUGAUGAACGAAUUGAUAAGCUCUACUCCAUCAGUUCCUUAAUUGAGAAAAAACCCAAGCCCGUGCAGCGCAGCCUCACAAUUGAUAGAGACCCUAAGCCACCAAACUCGACAAUCAUCACUCAACGUCGUCGCAAGCUACCGGUCGCUCAACAAGCACCAGUUCCUUGCUCUACAGCCAUCGCUCAACCGCUGCCAUUACCUGUUAAUUAUUCGCUUGAAUUAGGGUUCUGAUAUUUGGGAAUUUUUUGUUAGUUGUGGAAUUAUGAAGCAAUGAUGACGAUGACGAAGAUGUGGUGGUUGACGACGGCAAUGGCAACGUUGAAUAUUGAGGCACCGGAGGAAAAAGCAUUGGCUAUGUAUCUUGGUCGAUUUGCCUCGAAUUGAUCACUAAACAUGGGGAUAUCGUGGGCCGAGCUUCAACGCAGUCGCAAAUUUCAUCUGGGUAACUGAAAUUUUUGUUUUGUUUAAUUUGUUUAGAGUUCAAUUGUUUAGAUCUAGGCUAAUUUUUAUGAUUAAACUAUAUGAGUAUGCUUAAAUUUUAUUCCUUCAAAUUUAUUUUAUGAUGUUGCAUUUGGUUAGCAAAAAGAUAAAAAUAGUAGAAAAUGUCAGAAUUAUUGUUAUGAAAAUGUUGUUUUAGUCUGAUAUUGGGAAAAUAUCAUUAUACAUAUUGGCAUGAUAUUCAUGGGAGACAAAAUUGAGAAUGAUGACAGACUAUGCAUUGCUCACAACUAAUUUAAAACUCGCUAUUUCUAUUGUUUGUGUUUCAGUAACUUCGGGGGAAUUCCAACUAUAUUUAAUAAGCUAUAAACUUGUUUAGGAUUACUAAUCAAUUUGCUAGAAAGAGUUGCAAACUAAUUAGCUUUCUCUUAUAACUUUUACAGAUCAUCUGUGGAGGAGAACUGCAAGGAGUUGAAGACUCUAGACCCUAAACUUCAUAUCUUGAUUUAUAAGUGCAAUGGGCAUAAGUUCGAAUUAUGGGCUGGAGAUGGUAUAUGUAAUCUUUCUACUCUUGGUGUUUUUUUUUUCCUCUAGUUAUUUUUUGUUCUCUACUCCAUUGUAUAUUUGUAUUCAAAAGUAUUUUUUCUUUGCUUUAAGCUUUUAAAUUUAUGGAGAUGAUCUUAUUAGGUGUUAAAAAAAAUAGCUGUAGAGCUUUACUAAAACUAUGUAAACUCUUAUUGAGAUUUGGGUUUGAUUUUGUAAGAUUGCUAAAAAUUUCAUAUUUUAUACUUGUUUUAUACUUUUCUAGUUGAAUUUCUUGCUUGUGGAAGAUAAAAUAAAAGUCCAAUUCAUGUUGUAAAAUUUUUUUUCCUCCCUUCUUUCUUUCCUUAUAAUCUGGCUCUGGCUUUGGUGCUAUGCUUGGUGCAGUUUAUGGUUUCAAUGCAGGGAACCAAUUUCAUCAUAAUCAUCUUAAAGGAUCAAAAUGGCUUUCUUUUGUAACUGGGUAAGUCAAUGCUACUUCCUGAAUUCGAUUUGGAGUUCUUUCGGAAUAGAUUUCCUUCCCUUACAUCACUUGGCUUCUAGUUGCAUCUUCUUGGCUUUCUCCAGCGGACUUUUUUAUUGGCAAAUUCCUUUGUUUCUAUUGUUUUCAAGUGCUAGUGCUGGAUUUAGAGGUUAAAUGGUGCCUUCAUUUUUAUUUUUUAUUUUUUUAUUUUGGGAGUAUAGUACUGUAAUAUACUUCUUUGUAUAGCUAGUACAAAAUAGUUCUUCAACUUCUUACUUUUGGCUUUAAUGGGUUCGAUAUAUGAUAGCGGAGCCCUAUCACCAUUUGAUGUCAGACAACAAAUAGGGGACAGAUGGGGUUAGAAAAAUAAGAAACAUGACCAAAAUAAAAAUCUAAUCUACUCAUAUAAGCAGCUCAUCAAAUAAGUGUGUCACAUACUUAAGUGAAUAAGAUUCCGUGAUUUCUAGGAAUCCAAGUCAAAUUAUAACAUUCUUUAAAUAAGACUCACAAGCUUAUUAGGUGUUAUAUUGAAUCAUCUAAGUUGAAUAAUCUUUUGGGUUGAAUAUGUUAAUUUCUUAUUCCAUAUGUUUCAGCCUCUCAAUAGUUGAAUUAGCAAUGAAAAUUUGAAAAUGGAAAAACUCAAUGCAAUUAUUUUAGGUGCUUAUCAUAGAUAAGAAUUUCACUUUUUACACUUCAUUGUCUGUUGUCAAAUUUAUUAAGUAUGAACCCGGAUUAGGUUUGUGCUCUCAAGGAUUUAUAAAUAAGUGCUACUUGACUUAGAUGUAAGAAAAUUGAAAAGCAGAGUUGCUUGAUUGAAUAGCUUCAUAUUUUACAUCAUAGAAACUCAAUUUUCAUUGCCAUAUGUAGCUCAAAAGAGCAUGAACAUUGAACAUUCAGCUAAUUUAUACUAAUUAAUUAACACAACUAUCAGUUCUUACUUCUUGGUACCCGGCAACAUCCAUCCAUAAGAGUGAAACCCCCAUUGAUUUCAUAUAUACAAAAUAAAUAACUUACAAAGACAAUACCUGACAAUCACAACAAAAACACCAAUUCACUCCAAUAAACAACAUAACGAAUACAUGGUUUAAAUUGCAAGUCUUGUUACGAUUUUAAUUAAAAGAGAAAAUGUGAAGGACAUGUUAUAUAUAAUUGAAUGUUAUCCUUGAUAAUUAGACAAAAUAGCACUAAUGUAGCUAACUAAUCCAAUCAUUGUAAUAAUUGGAUUUUCUUUUUUUAAUUAUGUCUAUUGAUGCUAAUUUAAUCAGGAACACUGAAUACUUGAGUGUUUUUAUGUUCAACAGCUUUGGCUAAGUUUGAAAAGAUCAUAUUAAUUAUUAAUAUAAAUAAAUAAGCCAACAAGGUACAUAUUACAUAUAUGUGUAGUUGCAAUAAAUACAUAUGUAAUAAAGAUCAUAAAGCUCAGGGCCAUUAAUUCAACAUUACCAAAUCAAUAUCCCAAUAAUGGUUUGAUUACUAAUCUAAGCAUUAAAUGAUCAGCAAACUUUAUUUGGCCAAAACAAAUGCUUCCUUGUUGCCUCCUUGAUCUUUUCCUGGCUGGUGAUUCCUGAAUGUUCUUCUCAUUUUGAUAUGCUGAGUCGUUUGCUGAUUAUAAAUGCUAAUCACCUUGAAUUUUCUUAGUCUUCUUCUUCAUGUGAAAUUCUACCUAAUGGCUAUCCUUUUAUCUGGUUUGAAUUCUUCUUUUUUCUUUGAAUUGUUGAUUUCUAAUGUUCUUGUCAUUCGCACAUGUGACGUUCUGCACUCUUGCAAUGCCAUUUCUUAUUAUGGCAGCAGCAUUCUUGGUCAUGGCAUCACUAGCAAAUGCUUUUGAAUUGCUUUGUUUGAUUUUUGUUUCUAAUAUUUUUUUUUUGGCAUUGUGGGAUACUGUUUCUCUUUUGAUUUUCUGUCUUUGUUGUUAUGGGAUUCUGGCAUAGUAUGCAUCAGUACACGUAUGAAGAUGAUGUGAUAAAGUGCUUUUGAUAAAUUGCCCCAGUCAGUUUACUUCACAAACCAACCAUUAAUGAGCAAAUCCUUCUAAUGACCCUUGUACACAUUAGAAUAAAUACAAUUCUAUUUAUACACAAAAAUAAAUAACUCUCAAGUAUAUUAUUUGAUAAUCGCAAAAGCAACAAUUCACUCCAAUAAAUCUCAUAACACACUCAUGGUCUAUGUUGCAAGUCUUUGUAGAGAAAAAAAUGAAGGACACACAAUUAAAUUUUUUCUAUGAUAAAGAACUCUAAACAAAUUCAUAUACAUAUUGCAGUACCCCUUACAAAUUCAUUUGUUUCUUUUUUUUUUUAGAAGAAAAUAGACUUUCUAUUAAGCAAAAUUUUUAAAAAUACAAGCAAUCUCAUUCGGGAAAGAGUCCAUCCAAACACUAGACUUUUUACUCUUGAGGGCAUACUUAGCUAAUCUAUGAGCAAGUUCAUUGGUGAAUCUAGGGGUGUGUUGAAAGGUAACCUUGUGAAAGUCACCUGUCAUAUCUUGAGCAGCGGAUAUCACCCAGCAAAUUUCUGUUUUACUCCAUUUCUUAUGGUUGACCAGAUCAACAACUUCCUGGCAGUCUGUCUCAAUGAUAAUCGAUGUCAAUUGAACAUCUUUGGCCACUUGAAGUCCCAGCUCGACAGCCUCUGCUUCUGCAAACUGCACGUCCAAGCUUAGUCUUGAUGGUUUAACUGCAGCUGCCACUACUCUUCCUUUAUCAUCCCUGAUAACAGCCCCCAAGCCUACUGAUUUAGCUUCAACAUUGAUAGCAGCAUCCACGUUAAUCUUGAAACUUCCAGCAGGGGGUGCAGUCCACUGAUGAUGCUUCUUGUCUUCUCGGUUUGCAGCUUGAGAGCUUCCACCAUGCUUCACUCUUCGAUAGUCUUCGACUAUAGCUUGGGCCUUUGCAGCUGAGACAUUUGAGUUAAUUUUCUCCCCUUUGAAAAGCAGCCGAUUUCUAGCAUUCCAAGUAAUCCACCAGGUAGCACCUAAUAAUUCCAAAUCUGCUUUGCACAGCCUCUUAGACAUCUGAAACCACACUUCCAGCAUAUCUUGCCCUUUAUAAACUUCAAUGCCUUUAUCAGCUAGGAUUGACUUCUUCCAAAUCUUACCCGCUGCUUUGCACUCGAUCAGGGCAUGAGAAAUAGUUUCCACGCUUCUUCUGCAAAUUUGGCAUAGAGGGGAUGCAGUCACUUUCUUUUUCCAUAAAUUCUCCACCAUUGGUAGCAUGUUUUGAGCAGCUCUCCAUAAGAAGAUUUUUGUUUUUUCAGGCAGCUCCAAUCUCCAUAUGGCCUUCCAGUAACAAGAGCAAUCCUCCGAGGUGCUGGGGAUAUCAGGAUAUUUCAGUCUUAGAGCAAUCUGAUAGCCGCUCUUAACUGUGUACAUGCCUUUCUUGUCAAAAUGCUAGCAAACUUCAUCCAUCUUUGGGCUUCUAGGGAGAGGGAUCCUCAUUAUGGCUGCUGCAUCUUCUUUAUUAAAGUGCUCCAAAAUUAGAUCUGCUUUCCACUGGUUCCUUGCAUCAAUUAGCUCUGCCACUUUAGCAUCCUCCGACAGAGAUGGUACUGAGAAGGGUUUAAACGUAUUUGGCCUUGGGAUCCAAUUACUCUUAUAAACUUGCACCAUAUCGCCUCUACCUAUUCUCCAUCUAGCCCCAUUUUUUAAAACUUGUCUACCCCACAACAAGCUCCUCUAGAGGAAGGAUGGGUUUGAUCCCAAGUUAGCAUUCCAGAAAUCUGAACAUUUAAAGUAUUUGGCUUUUAGAACUUGGGCAGUCAAAGAAUUCGGAUCCUGAAGUAUUCUCCACCCCUGCUUUGCCACCAUCGCUUGGUUGAAACUACAAAAAUCUCUAAAGCCCAUACCACCUCUACACUUUGCAUGGCUUAGUCUCUCCCAUCUUGUCCAGUGAAUUUUGUGUUUGUCUUCCUUGGAGCCCCACCAGAAUUUUGCUACCGCUCUUUGAAUAUCUUCGCACAGCCCGAUAGGGAGCUUAAAAACACUCAUGGCGUAGGCUGGAAUCGCUUGAGCUACUGCCUUAAUUAACACCUCUUUCUCUCCAGUUGAAAAGAAUUUAUCCUGUCAAUUAGAUAUCUUACUCAAUACCCUGAGCUUUACAUCAUUAAAAAAGCUCAUCUUUUUCCGACCAAUCAUCGAAGGCAGCCCCAAAUACUUCUCGUGUCUCGAUAUUACAUUGAGCUGGAAGAUAUUUUUAAUGGUUUCAGCUUGCUGCUCACUCACCUUGCCGCCAAAGAACAACGAUGACUUCUCAUAGUUGAAUAUUUGCCCUGAGGCUGAUGCAUAAGAGUCAAACAAAGCUUUCAACUGAUUACACUCAUUUGUUGAGGCUCUUGCAAAAAUUAAACUGUCAUCAGCAAAUAAUAAGUGAGUGAUGGAGAUCUCCUGCCCAAACCAUAGCCCAUGGAUCAAGUUUUGUCUUUCUGUCUGCAGCAACAGAUUUGAAAAAGCUUCCGCACAUAUAAGGAAUAGAUAUGAAGAUAGAGGGCACCCUUGCCUAAGACCUCUUUGAGCACGGAACAGCCCUUUGGGUUUUCCAUUUAUGAUUAUAGAAAAAUUUGCUGUUGUAAUACAAUUCAAAACUAGCUUUAUCCAUUUAUGCGAAAAGCCUAGCCGCUCCAUAGUUUGUUCAAGGAACCUCCAUUCCACUCUAUCAUAGACCUUACUAAUAUCUAGUUUUAAAGCUACCAACCCCUUUUUUGUACUUUUAUUAUGCCUAAUUUUGUGAAGACAUUCAUACCCAAUAAUAAUGUUAUCUGUGAUAAGUCUAUUAGGAAUAAAAGCACUUUGUGUAGGUGAGAUAACUUGAUGCAGGAUCUAUUUUAGUCCAUUAGCCAUAGUCUUCGCCACUAUUCUGUAAAUCACAUUACACAAAUUUAUUGGCCUAAACUCGGUCACCUUUUUAGGCUUGGCAACCUUCGGGAUAAGAGCUAUAUAAGUGUGGUUAAGUGGAGUAACAUCACCUUGUGCAUUGAGGAUGUGUAAGCAUGUGUCGAUGACUCCGCUGCCGACAAUUUGCCAAUGCUUUUGGAAGAACGCUGCUGGUAGCCCGUUAGGUCCAGGAGCCUUAGUUGGACACAUUUGGAAUAGAGCGUCAAAGAUCUCCUCAACUGUGAAUGGUUGAUCUAAUGCUUUAUUCAUCUCUACAGUCACCUUUGGGUUCAGGCCUGCUAAGACAUCAUUGAUUUGGUUUUGGUUUGGACUUGAGGUUGUGAACAGAUCUUGGAAAUAUUCACCAAACUCUCUCUCAAUCUCUUCUCCAUCUUCCAGCCAAUGCCCUUGCUGAUUUUCAAUGCCAGAGAUCCUAUUCUUUCUCCUUCGCGAUGAAGCUUUAAAGUGAAAAAACUUCAUGUUUUUAUCCCCCUCCUUAAGCCAAUCAGCCCUUGAUCGUUGCUUCCAAUAAAUCUCCUCAUCAGUUAAUAAGUUGUUGAUCUGUCUUUCCAGGUUCUUGAUUUCAGCACCAUUGUCAUACUACAAAUUAUUGCUUACAGCACACUGGAGCUUUUCCAUCAGAAUUUUCAGCCUUUCUUUUCGCUCCCCGAACUCUCCUUUACUCCACCAUUGCAAUUGGGCCAUCGUAGCUUUUGAUAGCCUUUGGCAAAUCUGCAUUGGAUUUAUAUCAUCUUUACAACCAACACCUGACCACACCUCCUUAACAAUAUUUUUACAGCCUUCAUACGGAGUCCAAAAAUCCUCAUAAUGAACUCUAGAGAAAGUUCUUUGAUCAUAGCUUACUCUACUUUUUUUCUCUUGAACAUUCAUCACAAGCAAAUUAUGAUCUGAUUCCCACAUAACCAUGUUUGUCACAGUCUCUUCCUGAAAAAGGUUCCCCCAAUCCUUACUACAUAAAGCUCUAUCCAGCCUCUCUUCAAUAUGGUGAGAUCCGAAUUGUCUAUUGGACCAUGUAUAGGGAUGCCCUUUAUACCCCAUGUCAAUAAGGUUACAUUCAUAAACUACUUCUCUGAAUUCGGAGAUCAUGCUUACAUUUCUAGCAUUCCCACCAGAUUUUUCAUUUGGAUGCAUAAUUUCAUUGAAAUCACCAAUGCAGAGCCAAGGCAGAGGAGACAAACCUUUCAAUCUUCGCAUCAAAGUCCAUGUAUGCCUUUUUUGCUGAGCUUCUGGAUGACCAUAGAUUCCGAUACAUCUCCACCUUUUACCACUCUCAUUUUGAAUUAUGGCGUCAAUAUGAUGGCUACUGUAAGAGGUAAUGUUUACAGUUAUCUCUGAGUUCCACAUCAUUGCCAACCCCCCACUCAUCCCAGUUCUACUAACCGCAAAAUAAUUAUCUAAGUUCAGUCUUCUACACUCUUCAUCUGCUUGCCUAGACAAUAGCUUUGUUUCAUAGAGAAACAAUAGCUGAGGCCUAUGCAAUUGGAGAAUUUUCUUCAUUGCGAGACGCGUUCGGGGAUUCCCCAAACCCCGAACGUUCCAGCUUACGAGUUUCAUGGCUGUCGGCGGGGCUGGCUCCCAGCCUCCGCCGCUGAUUUCUCCAUUUGCUGAACUGUGUCACUUUCAUCAGCCUUUCCUUUGGUUUCCCAGGCCAGCUUCAGCUUUGGCGCUAUGGGAGUUUCCUGGGGGCUCACAUUCUUCAACCUCUUACUGUUUGGACUCGGCCAAUCUAAUUCACUGCAUGACCUUUUCAUAGAAGUAGGUCCACCAGUCAUCUUGGUAGUAAGGUUUGAGUCUCUAGCUUGCGUUUUCCACUUUCGGCUCUUUGAGUGAGAUUUUGGUUUCGUGGGCUCAAGAUUUGAUUCUGUGCCUCUUGAAGACCCCUGGGUUUGGUUUUCGUUUUUGGCAUGUUGGCCCAUCAAGCCCAUUUUUCGUUCCCCACUCCUCAAUGCAUCUACUUUCUCUUUCCCGCCUAAGUUUCCUUUUGUCUUGCCCUCUGCUCUGUGGAUUUCCCCAGUUGUAGCUGCUGCCCCAGCAAGCUUUUCAUAUUCUAGGUACGACUCUCUCGAUUCCUCAGCCGCUUUCAUUAAUGAUUCCUCACCUACUUCUGCCACAUAAGUCACCUCCACUGACAUUUCCUCAUUGGGGCUAUCCAUUUGGGUUGCACCCGAUCCAUCAUGCUUACUCGGGUUUGGGUUUCUUGGUUGCUCUUUCGGUUUUGGUUGUAUCUGUAUCUUAACACUUGUGUUUCCGGUGGUUGCAUCUGGUUGAUCAUCCCUCCUACCUUUUCUGUUUUUGCCUUUGUUGAGCUUAGCUAAUUCAAAAGGGGUAAGUGCUUUCAUCCAUCCUCCAUAACUGAGCUUCUCCUUUGGUUGGCCCUUGUACUGGAUGCAUUCCCUAAACUGAUGUCCAAUAAGUCCACAGCAGAAGCAAAAAUCUAGUAGCCUCUCAUACUUACUAAGCAUCACAAUAUCUUCCUCGACUUCCUGUUUUAGUAUAAGGAUUCUCUUUAAUGGUUUAGUAAUGUCCACUGAAAUUCUCACCCGAGCAAAAGGACCUAUGCAUUCCCCUUCUUCGUCGGUCUCUACUUCCUCCACUCGUCCUAUCUUUUCCCCCAAUUUUUCAAUGGUUCCUUUCACCAUACACUUGAUGGGCAUUCCAUGGAUUUGCACCCAAAAGGAUGUAUGUGUAAAAGGCUGCCAUUUUAUGCUCCCCAUUCCCACAGGUUCUACAAGCACAAUUAAAGCUUUGUCGAAAUGUCAUGGCCCUUCUGUCAGUACUCUCUUUUUAUCGUGUUCUGUAGCAAGCUUAAAGACAAAAAUGUUGUCUCCCUGACUCUCCACCUUAAUCUCCUUAGUGGUUUUCCAAGCUAGUUGCAUUGCGUAUCUCAACCCCUCCUUAUUUACAUCUCUGUUGAGAAGAAUCUUACCCACAAGACAAUGGGCUGCUACCCUUUCUCCAUCCUUUUCCAUUUCUCCGAUGAACAUGACUGCAUCCUCUUCUUCCUCCUUCAAAGUGAUAGACUUACAUCUACGUAUGAACUCCUCUGUAUCCAUUUUCUGAUCUCGUAUUUAAACCUUCCUUAAUAAAUGGCUCUCACCAACCACUACUUUCGCAACAAAUUAAGUUCUUCAGAAAGUAACCAACCACCCGCCAACAGUAGUUAAGCUUCUGUAUUUGACUGCCUUUUACACUACUUCCAGAACUUAAAUGCUGAAAAAACACCCAACAUGUGAGUGACGUAAAUCGGGUUAUGGCAACCCCCCUAUUCUUCCAUACCGAGUUCUUUUUCUAGAGAGGAAAAGAACUCUCAUAGGAGAUCUCCGUUUGAGGCGUAUUUUUAUCACUUAACUUUCUAUUGAAAUUUUCAAAUUCAUUUGUUUCUUCUUUUCCUUUGAUUAAGUGCUAAUUAUAGCCUUGAUAUUUCAUUUGGUUUUAGUUAAUUUUCUAUAGGGUUGUGUUGUGUGAAAUUAAUUACAAAACAAUCUUUAACGAAGUCUUAUGAAAAUACCAUAUUAUAACUACAAAGUUAGGCUUCCUAAUCAAGCUACUGUUCAUCAGAUUGUGUAUUGUGUUACUGGUGAGCUCUUAUGUCAAUUAUGACCAGACGGCGCCUUGGCUAACUGUGAGUUAUGUGCGAACAUAAGAGCUGCAAAUGAGUUAUGUACUAUUUUUAUGUGACAAGGUAUGUGCUCUGUUUUUAUGGUCUUUCUCUCUGUAGUUCGCUCUGUAGUUUUUUUUUUUGGGAUACAUUGAUAAUAAAUUUAGAAGUCUACUAAUAUGUACAACCAGAAACCUAUUAGGGACUUUUUGUCUUUUGAUGCAGUUGUAGGGCACAGCUCAAAUAUUCUUUCCUCAUUUAAUAUUGGAGAAAUCCGACUCCCAAGCGAUUCUGUCUACGGUUGUUGGACAAACUGUAAUGUGAAUUUCUAUCUAAUGGGUGUGAUCAUCCUUGCAGUCAGUUUAGGAUUGUUGAUAUAGAUAUGAUGUUUAGUCUCCAAAAUUCAGAUGAUGAUAAUCUUGUGAGUACUUUUUGUCAUAUUUUCUUUUGUGUUGGUGUUGGGAUCUUAAUUUUGUAUCCAAUGUCAGGACAAUAUGAACCCAUUUUAAGUGAUAUGAUGCAAGUUCAUGUUCAAGAAUCUAUUUAAUGAAACAUUCCAGUGUUUAAUAAUGAUGAAUAAUUGGUUUAAGAUUAAUACCAAAUAUUUUAAGUAACAUGUGGCGUAUUCUAGUGAGAUCCUCCAACUCAGAUUUCUAACUCAAAUGGAAACGUUUCGAAUUUCUUCAGAACAUUCUGCAGAACGGUUCGUCUUGUCUUUACAGUUUCUUUUGUGAAUUUCUCCCAGUUUCUUUUGUGAAGACUUCUGAAUAAGCUUCCAGAUAUUGAGAUACAAUCCAAUCUAAGCCCAUACGUUUAUCCGCCUCACAUUUGUCCAUUUCCCCAGAAAAUCAAAAAGCACUUUAGUUCGAAACAAACACUCUAAAAAAAACCAUCUAGCUACCCAGAUGGCGAAAUCAAGAAUCUUGCAAUGGCAAUGUCAUCUCUUGUUAUGGCAGUAGCAUUGAUGAUCAUGGCAUCACAAGCAAAUGCUCUGAUGCCGUACACACGAUCACCUUUCUUUGACGUGAUGUUCCCAAUGACGGAAGAUCCUUUCAGGGUUCUUGAACAAACCCCGUUAACAAUCCCAAAAGAGCUGAACAUCAUCAAACUCUAGCACUGGCGAGAGCAGACUGAAAGGAGACACCAACAUCACACGUGAUCACACUCGACAUUACAGGGAUGAAGAAAGACGAUGUGAAGAUUGAAGUUGAAGAGAACAGGGUACUGAGAGUGAGUGGGGAGUGGAAGAGCGAUGAUUAUUAUAAGGAGGAAGUUGAAGGAGAAAAAUGGCAGAGUAGAGAGAACAUUUGGCAAGUUUUGGAGGCAGUUCAGGAUGCCUAUGAGUGCUGACUUGGAUCAUGUUAAGGCUCAUUGGGAAAAUGGUGUUCUGAGGAUCACAGUGCCAAAACUCGCUGAGGAGAAGAAGAGGCAGCCUAAGGUUAUUAACAUUGAUGAAGAGCCUGGUAAUUCUUCCGGUGAAAAUAUUAAGGCGGCUAAGGCUCAAAUGUGAUUGAUUAAAGAAAGAAGUACUUGCUUUGCUUGAUGUGCUAUUUGUUUUGUGAUCUUUUCUUGGUUUUGUUGUGGGAUGUUUUUCUUUGGAUGUUCUGUUUAUUGUAUUUUGAUGGAUUUUUAAAGAUGGCUUGUAUGUAUUAACAAUAAUAAAGUGUUUUUUUUAAAUCCGGGUCCUAAAUUUGUAAAAGAAAUUAAUAAUACGCUUGGUUUCUUGUUAAUAAAAAUAAAAAAGAAGUCUCUUUUUCUUUAGCAUAUAUUAUGCAUUUUAAGGAAAAAAAAUUAUCACAUUCUAAUUCAUAAAGAUAUUCCUCUUCUGUCAUAUUAAUGUGUUAAUACCAAGGUCUAUUGGAAUUAUAAUAGUUUAGAUGAAUCCAAAAUAUUCAAUAAUUGAUAAAUAGUAUAUAUAAAUAUUAAUAGCAAUGGCACAUAAUCAAUUAAUUCAAGAAUUUGCCCACAGUGCAUUAAGUUAAAAGAGUAAAAAUAACAUUGCAAUCAGGGAUAUUUAUAACACUGUUGCUGAUGAGGCAGCUGUUAAUUCUUUUGGUGAAGAUGUUAAGGCCACUAAAGCUGGAACGUAAUCAGGGAAAUAUAAUGUAUUCACUUAGUUUGCUAUUUGUGUUUUUAUAUUUGUUUGGCUAAUUCUUUGAUCAGAUUGCUUUUUGUUUUUGAGAUUUUAUUGGCUUAGUCGUGGGAUAUUAUUUAAUCUUUUAAUUUUGUGUUUUUAUUGUUAUGGGAUUUGAUGAUGGCAUACAUAUAGGAAAAUUAUGUAAGAAAGUGCUUUUAAUAAAUUAUGGUCGGUUUACUAUUAAUUAACUAAAUUUAAUUUACUCAAAUUACUCCUAUACACGAUCAAAAUAAUUUCAAUUCCAUGAUAUAAAUACGCCCGUGCGGACACACAAAAUGUAAAUAACUUUCAAAUACAAAAUAUUUAAAAUAAUCAUCAUACUAACAAUUCACAAGUUAGAUUAUAAUAAGGCCACCAAGACUUAAAUGUAAUUGAUUAAAGAAAGAAGUGCUUGCUUUGCUUGAUGUGCCAUUUGUCUAUGAUGUUUUCUUGGUUUUGUUGUGUGAUGCUUCUCUUUAGAUGUGCUGUUUAUUGUAUUUUGAUGGGUUUUUGAGGAUGGUUGUAUGUAUUAGCAACAACAAGGUGCUUUUUUAUAAAUCCGGGUUCUAAUUUUGUAAAAGAAAUUAAUACUCUCGGUUUAUUGUUAAUAAAAAAGAAAAAAGAAAAAACCUUUUUUCUGUGGCAUAUAUUUUGCAUUUUAAGAAAAAAAAAUCACAUUCCAAUUCAUGAAACACAUUCCUUCUGUCAUAUUGAUGUGUUAAUAGAAAGAUCUAUGUGAAUUAUAACAAUUUUAAUGAAUCUAAAUAUUUAAUAACUGAUAAAUUGCAUUUAUAAAUAUUAAUACCGGUGGCACAUAAGCACUUAAUUCAAGAACUCCCCUAUGGUGCAUUAAUUUAAAGAGUAGAAAUAUUUAAUAAAUCAUGCUCGGUUUACUAUUAAUUAAUCAAAUUUAAUUUACUCAAAUUACUCCUCUACAUGAUCAAAGUAAUUUCAAAUAUACAACACACAAAAUGUAAAUGACUUUGAAAUAUAAAAUAUUUAAAAUAAUCACCCCCACUAACAAUUCACCAGCAAGAUUAUAAAUAGUCGAAAUAAUGAUAAUCUAGGAGGUCCAGUCAUAAUAAUUUGAUUUUUAUUUAUAUUAAUUAUAUCGAAUCAUACUAUUUUAAUAAGAAAGAGUACACGAGAUUAUAUAUAUCCAACAGGGGCUAAAAUUUCAAAACAAUAUUUGCCAAAGUCUGAUGAAGAGAAUACAUACAUAUAACAUGCACUCGCACACAUUUUAUUGUUUAAUUAAAAAAUUCGAAAGUCCAUUAUAUACAUGAUAAAGACUCACCGACACCGAACCAUAUUCAUUUAAAGGAAUUGUUUUCAACUGAGAUUUGAAAUUAUAUACACAAACGCAUCCAAUUGAAAAAAAAAAUCAAAAUAAUUAUAAAGUAUUUCAGUCAUCCUCUGUUCAAUCAUAAAAGAAUAAAAUCUAUGCGAACACGCGGUAUAUGGGUUAACAAGUCCCAAUAUUGUCCUCCAUCCUUUCUGCACUUCUCUGCUAUCAACGGACAUGCCUCGAUCUGUAAUUGCAAAAGUGAGGAAGGCAAGCCCUUCUCCGGAAAGUAUUUGAGCUUGGGACAAUCAAUGAGUCGCAAUUCAGUGAGGUUUUGAAGAUCAACAAUUGAAGAAGAUAGGCGUUCCAGAUUUGGAAAUCUACAAAUCCACAGAGAUGUUAGAGAGGCAGGAAGAGGAAGCGCGGUCCCCGAUCCUUUGUCAUCUGCCUUUGGUGGGAAUGACACCAUGUCGUCAUCACAUUUAAUGAUUCUAAGUUUUCGCAGAGAGGAGAAUCUGUGAAAUCCCCGGCCCCACUCAAUCAUUUGUGGGGGACAAUCCUUUCUGUACUUCUCUGCUAUCAACGGACAUCUAUGGAUGUAUAAACGCAAAAGUGAGGAAGGCAGGCCGUUCUCUGGAAAGUAUUUGAGCCUGGGACAAUUAUAGAGUUCCAAUGAAGUGAGGCUUUGAAGAUCAACAAUUGAAGAAGAUAGCCGUUCCAGAUCAACAUUUUUAUGGGGGUACUAAGAAAAAUAAAGAUAAUAUAAGGAAUGUUGUUGAGGAGUAUUUUGAUAUUUACAAAAGUGUUCAAAGUAAAAAUUGAUUUCUUAAAACUCAUUAGCUAGCGCACAUAAUAAUGGGGAGUAAAUUUUAGACUACGAAUAGUCCCACCCAUUUAAUAAUAUUCUUCGAUCAAUUAUGUUUACUUCAAAAAAAAAAAAAAAACCCAUCUGUUUAUUACUUUCUAACUAUUCAUAUUAAUGUGUUAAUAAUUAUGAAGAACCGGUGUAAUUUAUAUGAUGUAGGAAGCACUUUAGGCAAAAUCAUCUGAAUCUCAAAAUUUCGUGAUAUUGUGCCAAAUAUCCAAAACAGAGCUUCCUACAUUGCUAUAGCAGUUUUUAAAAGUUGAGGAGUCCAAAUAUCCAAUAACUGAUAAAUUGUGUUAAGAAAUAAAAAUAUUAAUGGUGAUGACACAUACGCAUGGAAUAUCUAUAUCCAACAGGUAAAAUUUCAAAACACCAUUUGCCAAAGUCUGAUGAAGAGAAUACAAAUACACACGCGCGCGCUCAUAUAUAUAACCGCACAGCAGAAGGAUAUAUAAAAUAAAUUGAAGUUUCAACAGUUGAACAAUGCAAACUCAUUUUAAAAAAGCCUUCUAUUGUUUAAUUAAAAAAUUCGAAAGCCAUUAUAUACAUGAUAAAGACUCACGGACACCGAACCAUAUUAAUUUAAAAUUAUUUUCAACUGAGAUUUGAAUUUUGAAAUUACAUACACCAACACGCCCGAUUUAAAAAAAAACUAAUAAUAAAAUAUUUAAGUCAUCCUCUGUUCAGUCAUCAAAAACCAAUUUACGAUUUAUUUCAACACAAACACACCCGAUCUAAAAUAAAAUCAAAAUAACAAUAAAAUAUUUCAACCGUCCUCUGUUCAGCCGUCAAAAACGGAUUUCCAAUCUAUGCGAACACGCGGUAUAUGGGUUAACAAGUCCCAAUAUUGUCCUCCAUCCUUUCUGCACUUCUCUGCUAUCAACGGACAUGCCUCGAUCUGUAAUUGCAAAAGUGAGGAAGGCAAGCCCUUCUCCGGAAAGUAUUUGAGCUUGGGACAAUCAAUGAGUCGCAAUUCAGUGAGGUUUUGAAGAUCAACAAUUGAAGAAGAUAGGCGUUCCAGAUUUGGAAAUCUACAAAUCCACAGAGAUGUUAGAGAGGCAGGAAGAGGAAGCGCGGUCCCCGAUCCUUUGUCAUCUGCCUUUGGUGGGAAUGACACCAUGUCGUCAUCACAUUUAAUGAUUCUAAGUUUUCGCAGAGAGGAGAAUCUGUGAAAUCCCCGGCCCCACUCAAUCAUUUGUGGGGGACAAUCCUUUCUGUACUUCUCUGCUAUCAACGGACAUCUAUGGAUGUAUAAACGCAAAAGUGAGGAAGGCAGGCCGUUCUCUGGAAAGUAUUUGAGCCUGGGACAAUUAUAGAGUUCCAAUGAAGUGAGGCUUUGAAGAUCAACAAUUGAAGAAGAUAGCCGUUCCAGAUCAACAUUUUUAUGGGGGUACUAAGAAAAAUAAAGAUAAUAUAAGGAAUGUUGUUGAGGAGUAUUUUGAUAUUUACAAAAGUGUUCAAAGUAAAAAUUGAUUUCUUAAAACUCAUUAGCUAGCGCACAUAAUAAUGGGGAGUAAAUUUUAGACUACGAAUAGUCCCACCCAUUUAAUAAUAUUCUUCGAUCAAUUAUGUUUACUUCAAAAAAAAAAAAAAAACCCAUCUGUUUAUUACUUUCUAACUAUUCAUAUUAAUGUGUUAAUAAUUAUGAAGAACCGGUGUAAUUUAUAUGAUGUAGGAAGCACUUUAGGCAAAAUCAUCUGAAUCUCAAAAUUUCGUGAUAUUGUGCCAAAUAUCCAAAACAGAGCUUCCUACAUUGCUAUAGCAGUUUUUAAAAGUUGAGGAGUCCAAAUAUCCAAUAACUGAUAAAUUGUGUUAAGAAAUAAAAAUAUUAAUGGUGAUGACACAUACGCAUGGAAUAUCUAUAUCCAACAGGUAAAAUUUCAAAACACCAUUUGCCAAAGUCUGAUGAAGAGAAUACAAAUACACACGCGCGCGCUCAUAUAUAUAACCGCACAGCAGAAGGAUAUAUAAAAUAAAUUGAAGUUUCAACAGUUGAACAAUGCAAACUCAUUUUAAAAAAGCCUUCUAUUGUUUAAUUAAAAAAUUCGAAAGCCAUUAUAUACAUGAUAAAGACUCACGGACACCGAACCAUAUUAAUUUAAAAUUAUUUUCAACUGAGAUUUGAAUUUUGAAAUUACAUACACCAACACGCCCGAUUUAAAAAAAAACUAAUAAUAAAAUAUUUAAGUCAUCCUCUGUUCAGUCAUCAAAAACCAAUUUACGAUUUAUUUCAACACAAACACACCCGAUCUAAAAUAAAAUCAAAAUAACAAUAAAAUAUUUCAACCGUCCUCUGUUCAGCCGUCAAAAACGGAUUUCCAAUCUAUGCGAACACGCGGUAUAUGGGUUAACAAGUCCCAAUAUUGUCCUCCAUCCUUUCUGCACUUCUCUGCUAUCAACGGACAUGCCUCGAUCUGUAAUUGCAAAAGUGAGGAAGGCAAGCCCUUCUCCGGAAAGUAUUUGAGCUUGGGACAAUCAAUGAGUCGCAAUUCAGUGAGGUUUUGAAGAUCAACAAUUGAAGAAGAUAGGCGUUCCAGAUUUGGAAAUCUACAAAUCCACAGAGAUGUUAGAGAGGCAGGAAGAGGAAGCGCGGUCCCCGAUCCUUUGUCAUCUGCCUUUGGUGGGAAUGACACCAUGUCGUCAUCACAUUUAAUGAUUCUAAGUUUUCGCAGAGAGGAGAAUCUGUGAAAUCCCCGGCCCCACUCAAUCAUUUGUGGGGACAAUCCUUUCUGUACUUCUCUGCUAUCAACGGACAUCUAUGGAUGUAUAAACGCAAAAGUGAGGAAGGCAGGCCGUUCUCUGGAAAGUAUUUGAGCCUGGGACAAUUAUAGAGUUCCAAUGAAGUGAGGCUUUGAAGAUCAACAAUUGAAGAAGAUAGCCGUUCCAGAUCAACAUUUUUAUGGGGGUACUAAGAAAAAUAAAGAUAAUAUAAGGAAUGUUGUUGAGGAGUAUUUUGAUAUUUACAAAAGUGUUCAAAGUAAAAAUUGAUUUCUUAAAACUCAUUAGCUAGCGCACAUAAUAAUGGGGAGUAAAUUUUAGACUACGAAUAGUCCCACCCAUUUAAUAAUAUUCUUCGAUCAAUUAUGUUUACUUCAAAAAAAAAAAAAAACCCAUCUGUUUAUUACUUUCUAACUAUUCAUAUUAAUGUGUUAAUAAUUAUGAAGAACCGGUGUAAUUUAUAUGAUGUAGGAAGCACUUUAGGCAAAAUCAUCUGAAUCUCAAAAUUUCGUGAUAUUGUGCCAAAUAUCCAAAACAGAGCUUCCUACAUUGCUAUAGCAGUUUUUAAAAGUUGAGGAGUCCAAAUAUCCAAUAACUGAUAAAUUGUGUUAAGAAAUAAAAAUAUUAAUGGUGAUGACACAUACGCAUGGAAUAUCUAUAUCCAACAGGUAAAAUUUCAAAACACCAUUUGCCAAAGUCUGAUGAAGAGAAUACAAAUACACACGCGCGCGCUCAUAUAUAUAACCGCACAGCAGAAGGAUAUAUAAAAUAAAUUGAAGUUUCAACAGUUGAACAAUGCAAACUCAUUUUAAAAAAGCCUUCUAUUGUUUAAUUAAAAAAUUCGAAAGCCAUUAUAUACAUGAUAAAGACUCACGGACACCGAACCAUAUUAAUUUAAAAUUAUUUUCAACUGAGAUUUGAAUUUUGAAAUUACAUACACCAACACGCCCGAUUUAAAAAAAAACUAAUAAUAAAAUAUUUAAGUCAUCCACUGUUCAGUCAUCAAAAACCAAUUUACGAUUUAUUUCAACACAAACACACCCGAUCUAAAAUAAAAUCAAAAUAACAAUAAAAUAUUUCAACCGUCCUCUGUUCAGCCGUCAAAAACGGAUUUCCAAUCUAUGCGAACACGCGGUAUAUGGGUUAACAAGUCCCAAUAUUGUCCUCCAUCCUUUCUGCACUUCUCUGCUAUCAACGGACAUGCCUCGAUCUGUAAUUGCAAAAGUGAGGAAGGCAAGCCCUUCUCCGGAAAGUAUUUGAGCUUGGGACAAUCAAUGAGUCGCAAUUCAGUGAGGUUUUGAAGAUCAACAAUUGAAGAAGAUAGGCGUUCCAGAUUUGGAAAUCUACAAAUCCACAGAGAUGUUAGAGAGGCAGGAAGAGGAAGCGCGGUCCCCGAUCCUUUGUCAUCUGCCUUUGGUGGGAAUGACACCAUGUCGUCAUCACAUUUAAUGAUUCUAAGUUUUCGCAGAGAGGAGAAUCUGUGAAAUCCCCGGCCCCGCUCAAUCAUUGACUUCCAAAUCUCCAUAUUACCCCGAAUCCCAAGUAAAUGAAGGUUGGUGGGAAGGCCGUCUUCUUCAAGGCUUGGAAGCUCACCUCCUAUUAUUCUUAAUUCUUGAAGAGAGGUCAGAUUGUGCAAUCCCUUGGGUAAGGCCUCUAGUCUCUCACAGCUUUCGAUCCAGAGCUUAGUCAGUUUCGCACAAGGCAAUCCCCCUUCGGGAAAGGACACCAGAUUUCCACACCUCUGUAUAGUAAUCUCUUGAAGCUGGCGGAGAUUGUGUAAACCACUCGGUAAAAUUUUCAGAUUUUCACAAUCAGAAAUCCUGAUUAUUUCAAGAGAUGUGUUGUUGUCCAACCUUUCUGCUAUUGACUCCAGCUUUGAACAACCCGAUAUCCUUAUCUCUUGAAGCUGGCGGAGAUUAUGUAAACCACUCGGUAAAAAUUUCAGAUUUUCACAAUAAUCAACUGUGAUUGUUUCAAGAGAUGUGUUGUUGUCCAACCUUUCUGCUAUUGACUCCAGCUUUGAACAUUUAUAAACAGAAAGGGACUCAAGCAUGGCAGGUAACUCGUUUUUUGAAAAUAUACAUGUCAGAGACGGACAACUCUCAAUGUGUAAGUGCUCAAGAAGAGAUGAGGUGUACCUUCUGCUGCUGCUGCUGCUACUCUGGAUGCCCUCUUCCACUGUCAAAGUCCUUAUAUUAUCACAAUUCUGGAUGUCCAACUGCUUAAGGCUCGAUGGUAGAUGGACUCCAGCAAUAUAUGUCAACGAAUGGCAAUCCCGAAUCUUCAAGAUCUCGAGAGAUGAAUUGAUGUCGCACAUCCAUGCCUCUGGUAACGAUUUCAGUGCUUCACAAGAACUAAUAUGAAUUUCCCUCAACUUGGAAGGCAGAGCAAUCUCAGGGAAGGAAACAAGGGAACUGCAGUUGCUGAUUUGUAUCUCUCUCAAGGAACUCAGGCUGAGCGAUGAUUGUGGCAGCUUCACAAGGCCUUCGCAUCCGCACAAUGCUAGAUAUUCAAGUCUGCAUGACAACUCGCAGAGCUGCUGUUGUUGGUCUUUCUCUUCCUCCGCCACCAAGGAUUGAAGUUUGGGACAGCUUCUUAUCUCCAGACUUUUGAGAGAGCAAAUGUCUUGUAGUAAUCCGUCAUGACUCUUCCAUAUAUAUGUUUGCUCUUCUGUCGACAAAAAUAAUUCUUCCAAUUUCGGUAGUUGUGGCUUCAAUGGCCCCGCAAGAAACACUUGAUUUGAUGUAUCUCUACAAACCACUGAACUCUGUGAUCCGAGAUGACCAGUUGCACUUUCCCACACAACCUUUUUGCAUCCACCAAUUUCCAAUUUGCAAAGAGCUGGAAGACUCGAAACUGAAACUAACAAUUCUUCACAUCCUUCAAUAACAAGCAUCUCCAAUGCAGGAAGGUGCUCUGGAAAUGUUCCUUUCAGUUUAGAACAUCUUAAAAUGUGAAGCUCUCUCAAUUUAGGAAACCCUUCAACUCCUUGACUGGAUCCAUGAGGAAUCCAGUCUUCCCAUUCUUGCAUGUUUUCAAAAAGAAGAGUCUCCAAGCAUGGAAAAGGAAUUGGAGGAUCAUUCCCAUAGAACUCUGAACCCAACCUCUUUACUCUGCUCAUUCCACAUACUGCAAGAUGCUUUAGAGAGGGUAGUUGCCCGACUGACGGUAGGGCAGUACACAUGUCACAAUUUUCAAAUAUUAGGGUCACCAAAUUUGACAAUGAGGAAUCUCCUAACCAUAUUGGAAAUUUUGUACCUCCAUAGCCACUGAUAAAAAAUUGCUCCAGAUUUUUAUGGGGUUUCAGCAUGUCAAGCACGCCCUUUUGAGUUUCUGCCUCCCUUAAAGAUGAACCAUCGGUACUGUUUGUCCACCGAAGCAUUAACACUUUAAGGUUCUUCUUUCCAUCCAAUUGAGCCUCCUUGGCAUCACCAACGUAUUUUACGUUCUCCAAUUUUGAAAUGGUAAGUGUCCCACGAAGAUGCGUCAACAACUUUAGCUCUCGCAACCGGGAACCACUGUCUUUUCCUACAACAAAAUUACACAAUGUCUGAAGACAAGUCAACUUGCCAAUUCCUAGUGGCAUUUCCUCCAACGAAUCUGUAUUUGAAUUAUUGAGAUGAUGCAACUUGAUGAGAUUUCCCAUGCCUGCACACAACUUCCUCAGUCCCCGACAACCCUCCAACGAAAGGGUGUGCAAAUUGUAAAGCUUGUUGACUGAUUCAGGCAGAGUUCUAAUCUCAGUUCCAGACAAGUUAAGGUACCUUAAAUACCUCAAAUCACCAACUGAAUCCGGCAGCUCAGGGAUGCAGUAUCCACGCAAAGAGAAGACCCUCAAGCGUUGGAGUUUGAGCAACUUAGGAAGAAUGCUAGGAGCCAAGUAGCCAGGCUCACUAUUUGUCAACAUUACUGGUAAAAAAGUUCUCAAAUGUUGGAUAUCAUACAAGUCCCCAAACCUUUGAACGCCAUCAUAAUCUCCACAAAUGUAUGAUAGAUGACGAAGAUUUCUGGAAAAACAUUGUUGCUUGUUAACCUCCGAGGUAUACUCCAGUGUGAAGUAUGUCUCCCCUGCAGCCCAACGGGCAAGGUCGUUGAUAAGAUCGUGCAUAACAAAUCGUGAUGCAUCGGUGGCCGAUUGCUGGAAAAAAGAUCUUGAACAUAGCUCCUUAAAGAAAUCACGACCUAAAUCUUCACUAGGAUUCUCAUCUUCUUUGUGAUCCAAAAAACUGGAGGCACACCAUAAUAAAAUUAUCUCCUCCUCUUCAAAUUCAUAAUCCUUUGGUAACAAUGAGCAGUAUGCAAAGCAUUGUUUCAAAGUUGGAGGAAGAUAAUAAUAGCUCACUGCAAGGGCUGGUAUAAUGCGACACCUCUGUUCUGGUAAUUCCCAUAUCUUGCUACUGAGCACUCUCUCCCAAUAACAUCUGUCAUCGUUUCCUCGCAAAAGUCCUCCAAGUGUUUGCGCCGCCAAGGGCAAGCCAUCGCAUUUGGCCACUAUCUUCUUGCCAAUUUCCUCCAAUAACUUAUCUGACCCCAAAGAAUGUUGAGCGAAUACAGCUAGACAAUCAUCAAAUGACAACUUUUUUAAUUGAUAAGGUGAGGCAGUUCCCAUGAUGUCUGCAACCUGUUGAUUGCGAGUUGUGACAAUAAUCUUACUUCCCUUCGCUCCAGCUUCAAACGGACGGCUGAGGCGAACCCAAUCAUUGUAAUUCUCAUUCCAAACGUCGUCUAAAACAAGCAGAAAUUUCUUUUGAGAUAACUUGUUCUUCAGCUCCUCUUGAAGCAAAUUUAAAUUACUGUCAUCAAUAGUCUGCUUGGUAUCGGAUAUUAGAAUUUUUUUUGUUAGCCUGUUAACGUCGAAAUCCUCAGAGACACAAGUCCAUACCUUCAGAUCAAAAUGAUCCUGCACUCGCUUAUCUUUGUAGACAAGCUGAGCAAGAGUAGUUUUGCCCAGGCCACCCAUACCUAUAAUAGGAAUAACAGAGAAUCCACCAUCGUUGCUUAAAUCAUCCCUCAACAGCAGUUCAACAACAUCCUUCUUUUCUGUUUCCCUGCCAUAUACUGUGGGUUCCUCCACCAAAGAGGUUGUCUCCUCUAGCCUUUGCCUGGCUUUUUUGGACCCCCCAGCUAAACUUUUUAUCAAAUUCAGCGAGCGUAUUCCUUCUUCAAUAUCUUGAAAUCUGCUGUUGGUCUCUUUGAUUUUGGACAUCAUGGCGUAAUCGAACUGAAUCGAUUGUGGAGUAAAAGUGGUGCAGCAAGUAGGAAUGAGCUUCCGAAACUUACUUGUUCUUGUACGACUGCUACUGGGUUGAUCAUGAGCAGCAGCUGGUUCUCCAUUCCCAAGCAGCAACCUCCUCCGGAAAGCCUCAGUUUGAAACUCAUCCAACAAGUCUUCAACAUCAUAAGCCAAGUUCUGAAGCUUGCCAAGCCACUUCUUCACAAACUGAUUAGUCGUCUUCUUCUCCUCAGCAUCAUCAAGCACCGCCUUGAUCAUCUCCAACAUAUUCGCCCACUUCAUUAGAUCGUCUUGGAUCUUCUCUUGGCGUGCAAAAAACAGAAUCCCCUCUGAAGCUAACUUAUUGACCAGCAAAUCAACGGACACAGUUAGGAUUGCCUCUCCGAUGAAUGACAUUUUUUUUUCUUUUUUUGGGCAAAGGAAGAAAGGAGCAGAAUUAUGGGUUAUGGAAAGCAGAAUGAGAAAAUGGAACAUGAGUGAGAAAAUGGAUAAUUAAGCAGAAUGAGUUUGUGAUUGUGAAGGGUCUGGCCCAGCUAGAAAUCACGCGUUUAUACUUUAUUGACCAAUGACUAAUAAUUUGGCAAUUCACUCAUCACCACCACUUGGUGAGGAAAAUGCUUAGUAAUUAAGUGUCAAGGGUCACGCAAAAUACGGCGUCAAACGUGGCAAGUCUCCCCACUUGUUGUUCCUUGCAGCUAAGAAAAGAAAAAACAGAGCCGUAAUUAAUGACAGAAUUUUAAAAAUAAUAAUAAGAGAAAAACCUACAUUUUUUUUUAAUCUCAAUGCGCAGUCGUAUCAUAAUGUUAUAUUCAUGUUGUAAAACGAAAUUUUAGAUAAAACAAAUUCGACUCAUUUGUUAACGAUAUAUAUUUAGUAGGUUUCUAACAUAACUAAUAAAACGUGAUUAUUACACUAAAUGAAAUAAAAGACAGUACUUCCUCUAAUAGUUUAGCAAGUUUCGCAUGCUCGUGUUUCCGGAAACAUUAUAUGGAAUCAAUCAACAGUGAUACAAAGAGAAAAAUGGUAAUCCUAUCGCUGUUUUUUUUUUCUUUUUCAAAAGAGAUGGUGGGGUUGGGUUGUUUGCAAAGUUAAUAGCGUGGGUCUAUUUGUUUUUGUUUUAACUUUAUUAAUCAAUUAGUGAAGCAAACACGUAAUGAUUUGUAAAGAUCACUAGCAUUAGAUUAUUGAGAGGUAUUGCGCUUAGUAUUCACAAUUUUUGUAAGAUGAAUUUGUAAGACUUAUGAAUUUCGAUGAAAAUGUAUGGUUGUUAAGCUAUUAUUUAAUUCAUUAAUUCACUAAUUGUAACAGUAAGUGUGAAUUAAUGAGAAAAAGUGUGAAUUAAUUCGUUAUUAAGCUUUUUUUUUUUUUUUUUUUUGCAAAGAAAGAAACAGAAUUUGGAGUUUUGAAAAGCAAAAUGAGAAAAUUGUAACAGUAAGUGUGAAGGGUCAAGCAAAAUGCGUGUAGCAAGUCUUCCACUUGUUGUUUAUUCCAGUAAAGUGAAAAAUAAAAGGGAGAGCCCACCACCCAUUAAUAAUUUAGCAAUUCACCAAUCACCAGUCACCACCACUCGCUGCCAGAUUCAAUGAAUAUAAAAUCGCACGUUGAUAUUUGUAGGGUCAAGCCACGUUAAUCCAGUGUCCGGGUAAAUGCUGAUUGAAGAGGAAAAUGGAAUGCAUCUACCACGAACCUUCGCUUUACAAAUCUUCAAACUAAAUCAAAACGUUUCUCUCUCUCUCUCUCUCUUUCUGCCAUUAACUUACUUUAUUUAUUGAAUUAAUUUCCAUGCUGAAACGAAGACUUAAAAAGUACACCACAAUUUUUUAAUAAUUACAAUGAGAAUUCCUACCAUCAUGUUAUAUUACUGCCGUGCCAAAAUAAAUUAUAACAAAAUUUUAGCUGACCAUAAAUUUGACUCAUUUAUACUUAAUAAAAUAACAAGACGAUUAAUGUGUCAUCAACUGAAAUAACUCUAAUGUGAAAACAAAAAAAGUCCCGCCACCAAUAAUUUAGCAAACUUCACUUUUUUUUUUUCUUUUUUUUGAAAAAGUAGCAAACUUCACUUUAUUACACUAAAGUGAAACCAAGAGUCAGAAGCAGCCCCCACCACCAUCAAUAAUUUAGCAAGCAUCACGCGCUUGUGCUUCUCUUCUUGACGAACUGGACAUGGGUGGACCAAGCAUCCAUUGAAUAGUUGGAAAAACUAAAAAAUAAAAAUCAGUGCCCCGCAAAAAGAAUCCAUCUCAUAUGUAAUACAAGUGUCAAGAUUUAAUUAGAGUUCACAUAUAUACAUGCGUUUAGUUUUAAUUGUGGGAUAAAUUAAUCAUUAAUACUCAAGUAUUUCUAAAUAAUUGAAACAGUUAUCUGUUGUAAUAACAGUUGUAAAUAUUUUAAUAUUUAAAAAUAAUAAUAUUAUUGAUAUUUACAAAAUUUUUAGGAAGUGAUAACUAAUAUACUAGGGAUAUAUAUUUGUGGGGAAUGGUAAAUAUAGAGAAUAACAAUAAAAAAAUAUUAGAACUGUAAUAUAAAUUACUAUAAGUAAUUAUAUUUAUUUGGUUUGUCUAUUUAUAAAAUUAUGAAAUAAAUUAAAAAUAUAUAUACAUACAUAUAAUGUUAUAAAAUAUAAAAUCCAACCUUUCUAGGGUGAAAUAAAAGCCUAGCCCAAUGUGCCCCAAAAAUAUGUCUGGGUUGGAUCCAGGCAUUGCCAUACCCGAACUUGACCCCUAGUUUUGCCAUUACUCUAGAUCGUUAUAAAUAUUCUAAAUUUCAGUCUAAUUUACUUGUGUGAUGCAAAAAUUACAUUUAUCACUUCUUUCAAAUAAAUACUCAUAAAUUUCACCUAAAUUGUCACCCAAAAAAAGAGAAAAAUGUAUAGUUAAUUUUUCUAUUUCUUUACUCCAUUAUUCAAUGGGAAUAUAAUAAAUUAGGAGAAAGGAGAAAUUAAAGACAAUAUUAGAGUGCUUGUUGCAAUGAUAAAAUCUCAUGCAAAUGCUUAUUUCAGAUGUAAGCGAGGCAUUCAUUAAUUUGACCAAAAAUAAGUGAAUUUAUUUGUAUUUUAAUCAAAAUCGAGGGAUAUAAACAAAAUUUUCCCACUCCAGAUAUUUAUCAUUUUCUCGUUAGAAAAUAAAAUUGCAUAAAAUUAAGAAACCAGUAGGCACUGAAAGAGAGAAACAGACUGAGAAGAGAUCAAAAGAUGGAUUUGGAACUGAAAGAGAGCUUGGGCUGAUUCAUUCAUGAUAAUAUUCUGCGUUCGCUGUGAUAGAGACAAAAGUUGGCUCUUUGUAUGGUUCCCCACUGACGGCGCCAAAUGUCGAUGCCAAAAUUUGGACUAAUUAGUUACAUACUGGAUACCAAAUUUUGCGUCAGCAUUAAAUUUAUUUGUUAGGGAAGCGGCUUACAAAUCACCAAGGACGCCCUGCGAUCACUAGCAGAUAACUCGCAAACACCUGAAAUCAUAAAGAAUGGUAAGAGGCGCCAUAAGUUUUUCCAGCGUGAACUCUCUAACAGUCAAGUUAGUUAUCGGGUUUACAAGAAAAAUAAAAUAUGCAAUUUCUAUUUUUUUUAAUAAAUAAUCUUAAGUAAAUGUAAAAGAAAAAUCAAAAUUGAGAAAGAAAGGUGAGCCUCCCUCUUUAUUUAUUCCCCUAGGGAUUUUUUAUAAAGAUUUAACUUUCCCCCCACUCCCCCCCCCGCCCCCCAACAAAAUCUUUGUGAUCAGAAGAUGGAUGAGAUAAAAUAUGAGCCCCCCAAAAUGAUCUCAAUCAUGGAGGAGUCCUCCCUAGUUUGUUGCCCUAUUUUCGAAUUUGUUCUCCUCUUCUCUCGAAAGUUAAGGAUGAGAUAAAAGUAACCCCUUCACUCUCCAUUUUUUUCCUCACCAAACAGUUACGAAUUUAAAAUAUGAGUAUGAUUUAAUAAGAGAGAAUGAGAAUUGAUGAUGUCCCAAGAGACUGAAAAUAAAAGAUUAUACAAAUUUGCAUGGAGGCAUAUCAUAUAUUAAUCUUAAUUUUUUGUUGUUCAAAUAAUAAAUUAAUUCCAUUAAUCCUUUUUCUAAUUAUAUGGUGUGUAACACAUUGGCCACUUCUGAAUUAUGUUGAAUAUUUGUUAACUCAAAUAAAUAGUACACUUUUCUAUCAAUCUAACUCACUUUAUUAAUAUUCUUCAUCAUUAUGGUUAAUGGCUUAGCAAAUGUAGAACAAGGAGUUUUGAGUUUUCUGUUAUAAUACCAGGUCAUCUGGUCUUGAUUCUUUUCCUAUUUUGUUGCAUUAUUUGUUUAGUUUCCAGCUCUAAGACUAUUAUAAAUAGUCAGUUUUGAGUUGAAUAAAGGGAGCAUUACAGAAACAUUUGUCCUCUCUUUUAUCUCUCUACUUCCUUCUUCUUCUUAACUCUUAUUCUAAAUCAUACUAUAUCAUUUUGUUUCAGAUUUUGGCUGAUACUUGCCCUUUUGAAUGACUCGGGGGUCAAGUAUUGCUUCAAGCUGAGGAAGAAUAAUACAAUCGUCUGAUACAAGAGGAAGUUGAUUUGAAGACGAGGUGUGAAUAGGUGCCAAAUGCUUCCGAAGCAUGCUAACAUGAAACAAGUUAUAAAUUUGUGAGCUUGAGGGUAGAGCCAACCGAUAUGCUAUUGUCCCCACCUUCCCAAUAAUUUGAUAUGGCCCAAAAAAUCAAGGAGCAAGCUUAAUAGAAGCACGAAAGGCCAUUGACGUCUGUCGAUAUGGUUGGAGCUUGAGAUACACAUAGUCACCAACCUCAAAGGAUACCUCUCGAUGUUUUAAACCUGCCCGGCUUUUCAUUCGUUGUCUUGCCAAAGAGAGGUUGUGGCAGAGCUCUCGUAAAAUUGUGUCGCGAUCCCGAAGGUACUCAUCCACUGCUUGGAUAUGGGAAGUGCCAGGAACAUAAGUAAGCAAGUGAGGUGGAGGAAUACCUUAGACAGCUUCAAAUGGGGUCAUUUUGGUGGCAGAAUGGAUGGACGUUUUUUAGUUUAAUUCAGCCCAUGGAAUCCAUUCAACACAUUUUCGUGACUGAUCUCCGGCAAAACAUUGCAAGUAUUGCUCUAAAGUACGGUUCACUACCUCAAUUUGGUCAUCCGUCUGAGGAUGGUAACUAGAACUCAUACUAAGUUUAGUUCCUUGUAAUUGAAAUAAUGCUUGCCAAAAUGAACUUACAAAUACUUUAUCCCGAUCACUUACAAUGUCUGUUGGAAUGCCAUGGAGACGAACCACAUUAGCUACAAAUGCUUUAGCAAUCGUGACUGCCGUGUAUGGAUGUUUGAGAGCCACAAAAUGAGCAUACUUGGAUAAGCGAUCAACAAUUACCAUGAUGACAGUAUAACCAUUUGACGACGGAAGUCCCUCGACAAAAUCCAUUGAUACUUCAGUCCAUAUCUGAAGAGGAAUGGGUACUGGUUGCAGCAAACCGGCCGGACACAUAAAAUCAGAUUUGUACCUUUGGCAGAUGGUACAGUGCUAUAUAAAUUCCUUCACAAUUUUAUGCAAGUUUGGCCACCAGAAGCCGAGUUUAAUACGAGAUAGUGUCUCAUGGAACCCAAAAUGCCCACCAACUGGAGACGAGUGACGAUCAGUCAUGACUUGUGAAAUUAAAGUAGAAGUGGGAUUCAAAUAAAUUCUACCCCUUUUAAACCAUACUCCAUCUCGUUGUGCCAACUGUUGUGAUGAAUGAGAAUGACUCAGUUUCUUAUAAAAAGAGUCAUGUUGUACCUCUCCUUGCAAUUUUUGCCACCAAUCUACAUGUGGUCCCAAAAUAGACAUGAACCGAAAUUCAACAACACUAGAGAGUGAGUUAGCAGCUUGAUUUUCAGGUCCGCGUUUAUACUCAAUUUUGUAGUCAUAACCAAGGAUCUUUGAAAGCCAUCGAGCCUGUGCAGGAGUGGUAAUUCGCUGCUCAAGUAAAUACUUGAGGCUUUUUUUAUCGGUGUGGACAGUAGAUGGUUUCUCGAGGAGAUAUGGGCGCCAUUUCCGAAUUGAUUUGACAACAGCCAACAUUUCUUUCUCAUAGGUAGAUAGUAAUAAUGUCGUCCCUUUCAAAGCUUCACUAUAGUAUGCUAUUGGCUGGUUAUUCUGAGUGAGUACUGCUUUCCAAUCCCGCUAGCAUCACAUUCGAUUACGAAUUGUUGAGAAAAAUCUGGAAGGCUUAGGACUGGUGGAGACGUUAGUGCUUCUUUUAGCUUGGUAAAAGCUAACUCGGCUUCCUCGUUCCACUUGAAUCCUUCAUUUGAUAACAACUGAUAUAAAGGGGCUGCUAUACAUCUGAAGUGGCGGAUAAUUUUUCAGUAACAGCCUGCUAGGCCGAGGAACCCCCGUACUUCUCUGACAGUGGUUGGCGAUGGCUAUUCAAGAACAGCUUGUAUUUUGGAGGGACUUACUACUACUUCUUGUUCUGAAAUGACGUGACCCAAAUAAUCCACCUGAGAAACACCAAACCUGCAUUUUGCUUCCUUAACAAAUAAUUUGUUAGUAUGCAAAAUAGAGAGAACAAUCCGAAGAUGUGCAAGGUGAUCAUUCCAUGUCUUUGAGUACACGAGGAUGUCAUCAAAGAAGACUAAGAUAAACUUCCUUAGAUAAGGGCGAAAAAGAUCAUUCACGAGGCAUUGGAAGGUGGAUGGGGCGUUGGUCAAGCCAAACGGCAUACGAGAUAUUUGUAGUGCCCUUCGUGUGUUCUAAAGGUUGUUUUUGGUAUAUCCGCAUCUUAUACUCGAAUUUGGUGAUACCCAGCCCUUAAAUCUAACUUGGAGAAGAGUUUAGCUCCAUGGAGCUCAUCUAGAAGUUCAUCAAUUACAGGAAUUGGGUAUUUAUCUUUGAUCGUGAUGUUGUUCAAUGCACGGUAAUCCACACAAAAUCGCCAAUCACCAUAUGCUUUUUUUACUAAGAGGACUGGUGAUGAAAAUGGACUUUUACUCGGUCUUACCAGCCCUGAUUGCAAAAUUUCUCUCGCCAUCUUCUCUAUUUGUGUUUUCUGGUAAUAAGGGUAACGGUAGGGUCUUACGUUGACAGGGUGUGUAUUUGGUUGUAGUGGGAUGUAGUGAUCAUGUGGUCUCUUUGGCGGCAGGCCCAUAGGUGGCUUAAAAACAUUAGAGAAUUCGGUUAAAAUCUGAAUUAUGUCACCUAGGUAAAGAUUCGGCUGGAAAUUAUUGGGAGAAAGAGAGAUUUGGAAUAAGAAUCCACUACCUUGAACAGAGUUGAAUUCUUUAUCAGAUAAGGUCGCUAAAGGGGUGUGUUUAAGACCUUGGAAUGUGUAGGUCUCUUAUCCAGCUUUGUAGGUCAUCGUCAACUGCUGGUAAUCCAUCUCUAUUGGUCCAAUAGUCUCUAGCCAUUGCACACCCAAAAUCAAGUGAUAGGCUGCCACAUGAAGCACAAAAAAACAGCAGUAAUUGAUUUACCUUGAAUGGAGAUCGUGAGUGCUUGGCACAGGCCUUUGCAUUCGAUUUGUUCUUGGUUGGCGACCGUCACUUGGAACUUUUUUUUUUUGAAGAACAGGUAGCCCAUAUUUAGUGACUACAGCUUGAUCAAUGAAAUUGUGCGUGCUGCCGCCAUCUAUGAGCACCGUUACCGAUUUGUUCUUCAGUUUACCCAUCACACAGAAUGUUUGCGGAUGACUGGCUCCUGAAAUGGCGUAGGUAGAAACUUCAGGCAUGACUUCAUGGUCCUCAGAUUCAGGUUCGGCAGGUUCCUUAGCAAGGUUUAUUUGAUUCGAAUCCUCUAUCAUGAAUAAUUGCGGCCUUUGGCAACAGUGACCGGGAACAAAUUUUUCGUCACAAUAAUAACAAAGUCCAUUUGCCAUCGUUCUCGUGCCUCUUGAUUUGUGAUGCGUCAAAAUGGAAUUGUUGAAUUGCUGGCAUUUUGGUUUAUUUUGGAAGUUGAUGGGGGCCUAAUACGCCACCGGAAUGGUGUGGUAUGAUUCUUUGUGCUCCUGUAAUUGCGGAUGGACGAAAGGAAGUGCUUAUUUUCUUUUGCAGGUUAUUUCAUUCCUCAACUAGUCGAGCAACUCCAAUAGCAUUAGUUAAUGUUCGCGGCUGCUUGAUUUUGACAUCCAAGCGAAUUUCAUCUUUGAGACCUGCAAUAAAACAACCCACAAAAAAUUUUUCAGGUAAUUCGUCAAUACAGUGGCAUAAUUUUUCGAAAGCCUCCUAGUAAGCCUUUAAAGUUGAGGUCUGUUUUAAUCGUGUGAGAGCUUCAAAGGGAUCUUCAUAGUCUAUUGGGCCAAACCUUUGAAGCAUGGCUUUUGUGAAUUCUUGCCAAGAUAAUGGUCCCUUAAAUUUUGUUAACCACCGAUGCCACUGUAAGGCAAUACCUUCAAGAUGGAAAGAGGCAAGUUGAACUUAUAGGCUUGGUGUAAUGUUUUUAAAUUCAACGUAUUGUUCUGCCUUGUAAAUCCAACCGCUUGGGUCUUCUUCGUUAAAUCAUGGGAAGUGAAGUUUGAGGUGGUGAUAUUGUGCAUUUGGUGUGUGGGGUGUGUUAGUGUUUGUGGUAUGUGAGGUUUCUCUGGGGUAAAAAGGGUUGAUUUCAGGCUAGAUGGUUGGUUGAGGUCGAGACUCACAAAGCUUGUAACUCAGUUAACACCUUAUGCAAGGAAUCAUUGAUCUGAUCAAAAUUGGAUUCAUGUCGAGCUAAGGCUUUGUUGACAUCAUUGCGGAAUUCGGCAUUAGAUUUACCGCGAGUGUCCAUUGACAAACCGACUUUGAUACCAAAAUGAUAUGGUAUAAUUUAGAAUAAGAGUUAAGAAGAAGGAGGAAGCAAAGAGAUAAAAGAGAGGGAAAAUGUUUCUAUAAUUCUCCCUUUAUUCAACUUAGAACUGAUUAUUUAUAAUAGUCUUACAGCUGGAAACUAAACAAAUAAUGCAAACAAAAUAGGAAAAGAAUCAAGCUCAGAUCACCUGGUAUUAUAACAGAAAACUCAAAACAGAAUGUUAAAGACUAGCUCCACUAGUUUAUUAACAGAAUUGAUGACCAAGUCUUACAAAGCACAUGUAUCACUGUUGUAGUUAAAAUAAUUUUAAAACAAGUUAAAACAGUUCCAACUCAAAAUCAGUAGGCUGCAAUUGGGUUGUUACACAUAUUUCUAAAUUUCACUCUAAUUUAAUUGUGUAUGGACAAACUAACUUUGUCACUUCUUUCAUAUUAUUACUCAUAAAUUUCAACCUUAUUAUGAUGAUGCACAAUCUAACUUAACAAAAAUAAUGUUCAAAUUGUCACAAAAUGUUUUUUUCUUAAAAAAGAAAAGAAAAUCAUAUAUAGUAGUUAAUUUUUCUUCAUCUUUACUCCAGGAUCCAACUCCGUACUCCACUUUUUUGUUGUUAUUGUACCCAGCCGUUAGAUUUUAAUUACAUUGAUUUAACGGUUUGGAUUUGUAAAUGAAUAACGACGUAGUGUUUGGCUACCAUAUGAACCCACUGCAUCUAAUUGGUUUUGUGAUUUUUUGCUUUCUUCUCUGUAACGCCUGACUAGUUCUGGAAAUAUCGACCGCCAUCGACAACAAAUCUGAACCAUGUAUUAUUUCUUAGUAGUGGGCAAAUAAAGUUUGCCCACUACUAAGAAAUAAAGUUUCCACCACCGUACCAGUGUGUCGAUUUGCGAAUACAUUCAUUCAAAUAUUAAACAUUCAGAGAAGAAAGCAAACCGUGGCAGGAUAGCAAAACCUGCAAAUGGUCAUUCCCAACACGAACCCCUAUGGCUGUUUUCCUUUUAAUUUUCUUCUUUGAAUUCUCCUUUUAUUAAUCAUUCGAAAAACUCCCUUUUUUUAAAUCAUGUGUUAUUAACAUUUACAUGGUUAAUGUCAUCGAAAUCAAAUGGUUGUUAUCUACGAAAAGAGAAUUGCUAGAAAUUUUGUUAGUCCCAUUGCAACAAUAUAUUGUUAUAAAUUGCAUUGUUUCCCAUAUAACAAAUAUAAUAAAAUCUCAAUAAAUUAAUAGUUUUGGGAACAAUAAAAAAAUUUAUUAAAAUUUAACAAAUAUCAAUUAAUCAAUAAAUUAUUAAAUUAUUAAUUUAUGAAAAUAUUCAUUAUUUUGAAAAAAACAUGAUCACGUUUUUAAUAUUGAUUUCCCUUGAGUUAACAUCUAUUAUGUUUUAUUUGUCUAUUAGUUUUAUCUUGGGAAGAUUUUUUAAGAGUUAGCUGCUUUAUAUUAAGUUAUUAACAGUAAUAAAAUUAUUAGUUGAUACUGGCGAAUUUUCUGACCAAAAUCGUACAAAGUAGUUGAAAGUGUUUAUUUUUGUUAUUUCAUGACAUUCUAACAAACUAUAUGGGGUCACAAAAAGGUUGAUACCCCUACUUCUUGUUCUUUUUUUCCUCAAGGGUCAAGCAAAAUACGACGUAAAAUGUGGCGAGUCUUCCCACUUGUUGUUCUUUGCAGCUAACAAAAGAAAAACAGAGCCCGCCACCCAUUAAUAAUUUAGCAAUUCACCAAUCACAACAAAAUUCCAUUAGAUAUUCGUCGAUCAAGUAGUUAAUCCAGUGUCUGCUACGUAGAGCCUUCACUUUACGAAUCUUCAACUCAUAAACCAAGUUAAAUCAAGACGUUUCUCUCUCUGUAUAUAUAUUUUUUAACUCCUAAAACGUUUCUUUUUAGAAAUAUUUUACUUUAUUCAUCUAAUAUGUUAUCUAACAAAUUGACACAGAUGAAAUCACUCUAAAGUGAAGAUAAAAGGGGAAAAAAAAAACAUUCCAACCACCAAUAAUUUAGCAAGCUUCACUUUUAUUCCACCAAAGUGUAAAUAAAGCCAGCCCCCACCACCAUCAAUAAUUUAGCAAGCUUCACACGCUUGUUGUCUUCUCCUUGUCGAACUGGACGGGGUGGACCAAGAAUCAAUGAAAGAAUUUUAAAAAUAAUAAUAAAAGAAAAACAUAAACAUUUUGGACUCAGAGUAGAACCGUAAUUAAUGCUAAAAUUUACUCCGCUAACGUUUUCAAAAUAUUGUUCUUUAUAAUUGUCCAGCAAAUAAGACUAAGUUUUGGACAUUUUCAUUCUUCACUUACUUUCAAAAGCAAUAUUUCGAAACAUUUUACAGAAUCAAGUAACAGUUAUAUAACGAGAAAAGUGCAAAGUUGUGUAAUUCUAAUGUUUUUUUUAUCACAGACACUCAGAUCAUUUUUUAUUUGGGUCGCCAACUCGCCAAUGAACCCAUGAUUGAAUGAGUGUUUAGAAAGAAAAUCAAUAAAAAACAGUUUAUUUUUGGCCGUCGAAAUAUAGUAAGUGAGAAAGAUUAUUCUUUUUUUUUGUUAAUCAGGUUAGUAAUUAUGAUUGAGUGACUCAGAAUUAUAUUCUAGAUUGAGAAUCAAUGGUUCUCCAAUCUCCCACACUGAGAGGCUGUAAGUUUAAGAUUGUCGUUUGCUAUUAAUUUCAUUGACAAGAGAGCACUUGAAUUUAUUAAAAGGAGAAGGCUAUAAAGGUUUUCCUUUAUGAGAAAUGUAUCUGAUCAUUCCUUUUUACUUGAAAAUUUCAUAUAUAAAAACUUAUUAAUAAAUGAAAGAAUAUGCAUAAACUAUUAAUUCAUUUUAUAGUGAUUAUCGAAUGACAUGUGACCCAUGGAAGCAUGGAGUCUAUAAAAUAAUUCUUUUUUUUUUAUUAAACAAAAAAUCGGUGAUGUUGAAAAGUAAUAUUAUUAUUACUCUAAUUGGGGUGAACAUUCAUAAAAAGAAUGCCGUAUGAAACUAAAUUAUUAAUUCGUUUGAUAGUUGGUUAUUGAAAGAGCAAAGCAGUCACUUCAAAACUAAAUUAUUACACGUGCACAUGCAGCACAUCUAUCUAAAAUUUAAAAAACGGAAUUAGAAAUACAGGAUUUAUGGUAGAAAUACAACAGGAAUAAGAGUGAAAUUCCGAUUUUAAAAUUUGGGAGAAAUGAAAUGCGAUAUUUUUUUAUGAAUAAAAUAAUUUAAUUUUUUUUUUUUAAUUCUACCAGCAAAAACCAUUAACUUGUCAAGUUAUUGGUUUCAUUUACAGCUGACAGUCGGUUUCUUAGUUUCAUUCCUUAAUUCUACAAGAAAAAAAUAGAAUACUUAACAUUUUUUAUUUGACAAUUUUUAAGAAAUGUCAAAAAUAUAUGACAUUUUGUGAAAAACUGAGUAAUUGUGAAAUAUAAAUGACAAUUUAUUUAAACGUCAAAUAAUUAUGACGUUUAUCAAAUAAAUGAUAAAUAUAUUACAUAUUUAUUGAAUAAUUAUUAUUUACCUUUUCCUUUUAUUGACUUGAGAAAAAAACAAAAAAAACUGACUAUACUGCUUUUGUUUUUGUUCUUAGAACAGAUUUUAGUUUCUUUUGAGAAAAUUCAAACUCAUUCCCAUUACUUUCUUUUCAAUAAUCACCUCUCAGGUUUUCGUCAAUCACUCAAUUCCGAAUUUCAUCUCCAUUCUCUUUCGAAGAAGAACGCACGGAGAAUUUUAGCUUGCUUUCGCUGCUUCUCGAAUAUUGGGUAUUGUUUCUGUUGAGUACAUAAAAGCCCCAGGUCGGCCAUGCUACUAUUUCCACCCCGGCAUGGAUCACCUCGGCCAAAUGGUAUGAGCAGAACGCGGGAUGAACACGAGCCAACCAGAGACGAGUACCGGCCAGGGUAAUGUACCGACCAGAAUCUUAUACCGAGCCGACACCAAUUCCCCAAAAAAGCGGGAACACGAUCCCACAGAAUCACGGUAGUUGCGCUUUUCCUAGAACCGUUGUGGGAGAUGCGAGAUCCCACGUUUGCCCACAAUGUAGCAGUUAAAAUCCCAUGAGAGGCUACCACUACUCGAGAAAGGGGGGGAUGAAGGGUGAGUGAAAACGUGGGACAGCGGCUAUAAAAGAAGAAGAAACCGAUGAAGAAAGGGACAGAAAAAUUGAGAGAGGGAAAACGCUGCCAAAUUGCAAUCAGGCCAUUUUCUUACAAGACUCCGAAUAAUUUAGAAACCAUUUUUAGAUCUAAAUUGCACUGUUUUCCCAUAAACACCUUGAGCUAACUUAGGCAUCGGAGGGUUUACGCCGGCAAAACCAUUGGCGACUCUGAUCCGUUUUUGGUGAACGCAGGUCUAGUAAGAGAAAGAAGGGUGAUUCCAACCUCAGAGGUUCGCGCAACAGUUGACAACAUAAACGUUGGUGAAAGAAUCUGGUCGGUCAAAAGGCGAGCAGAUUUAAGCAUCAACAUUUUGGCGCCGUCUGUGGGGAGCUGGAUAAAAAGCUACCACCGAAUUAGUAGUUACCGGAGAAACAGCGAACGAUCAGACAUGGAUUUGCCAAGGAAGGACGCUUUGAGGGAGGAUAACGAAUCGGGGGAGACAAUCACCCUUCGGGAAAUUGCAAAUGAAGCCCGAGAGAGGGUGAUGCAAGAUCGAUUGGAACGGAUGGAGAAGCAAAUGGAGACUCUCGCUACCAUACUGAAUGAGUUGAGAGAUGAACGGAGAAGGGAUGGCGAAAUCCCCGUGGGGAGAGAUGAUGUGGGAGCAGAGCCCAACCUCCGGAGGCGUAGAGUCGAGGAGAUCCCUCCGCCGGCGGACCAACCUUAUGGGGUGGAUCCCCACAGAAGUACUGGUCGGGUUCCUGGAGAACAAGUAGAUGAAGGGAGGAACCAACCUCUCCCCAGGCGAGUACCGGAAGCUGAUGGCCGAGGAGCCAGUGCUGAUGAAGGAGAGUUAAGACAGCGGUUGCAGAAUGUCGAGCAUGAGCGAGAUCAGAUAGAUGCACGUGAUCCUGACCGUGUUGUAGAAUUGGAGGGAGAGGUGCGCAGACUGGCGUAGGUGAUGGAGGAGAUACAAGGCAAGAGAAAGCCCCCGAGCUGGAGGAUAAUGCUGGAUGAGGAAUCCCCGUUGUCAGCCGAGAUCAUGGGUACAGUAAUCCCAAGAGAUUUCCGCUUUCCCGACUUCAAAUACUCCGGUCGAAGUGAUCCCCUGGUGCAUAUUGAGCGUUUUAACGACAUGACGGGGGUGCAGGGGUUGACACCAGCUCAGAGGUGUAGGGUGUUCCCGUUGACUCUCGAGGGGCGAGCCCGAGAAUGGUACCGCAAGCUGCCCCGAGGAGGUAUAAAAAGGUACGAGCAGAUGUGCCAAGAGUUGGUCGAACAGUUCCGAGGUGCAGUAGCCCCAGAGGACGACAUGAUGGAACUGAUGGGGAUGAAACAGGAGGAGGAUGAGUCCCUUCGGGAUUUUGUAAAGCGAUAUCACCAGGCCGUGCUAGACUUGGGAGCUUUUAAUCACCCACAGGCGCUGAGGGGAUUAAAAGAAGGUGUAAGAAUCGGCCGAUUGUGGUAUAACUUGAGAAGCCCCCUUGUGCAGAAUUAUUCGACGGGGUAUGAACAGGCGAGGUGAGACAUAGAGAUCAAAGAGGAGAAAUCGGCAAGGAUAAAGAGUGAACAGCUGGAAGAGCUGAGGCGAAAAGAACGGAGAGUCCCGAUCGGGAGCAGAUCGGGAAAACGAGCUGGGGAAUCAUCAGUUAUGGGCGGAAUAUCAGCUCGGUCCCGCCCUUACCCCAUAGCUCAUAGGCCGCAACAGUUCCAACACAGCCGAGCCCAACCUCCGCGCACCCCGUUUCCGGAGCAGCAACGAGAAUUCAGGCAGAUGGCUGCCCACCCUUAUCACAACACUCCCAGAGGGUUACGUGCAACUGGUUCCAGAUCUGGACGACCAGAUCAGCUAGCAACUAUACCUGCCAGAGAUGACGUUCAUGAUAGCCGAGCAGUUCAGCUGGUAGACCAGAGCUUGGCCUAUAGACAGUACACUCCAUUAAAGAUCUCUAUGGAGGAAUUGUAUGAGAGGAUCGAGGGACGAGGCCUGCUGUACCCUCCCACCUAAUAACAAAACCUGCUCAUCGACGGGAUAAGAGCAGAUUCUGCAAAUUCCACGACACUCACGGUCACACUAUCAGCCAAUGUCGUGACCUGAAGAUUCAGGUGGAGGAUUUAGUAAGGAACCGAUACUUGGAUGAGUAUGUAGACGGAGUGUCCCCUAUCAUUGAGUCAGAGUACACACGGGAUGAAGGAGUUGAGAGGGGUCUGGAACGAGAACAGCCGACCAUCCGUGUGAUAGCAGGAGGGCCAACAUUGGCCGGGGAUUCAAACAGAGCACGGAAGAACUAUAGGAGAUACGCCAUGACUGGCAAAGAGGUGCUUCUAAAUUUGCCAGCAGCCAAGAGAGCAAAAGUGCGGCAAGUUCCCAUUAUGUGGACGGAGGAUGACGAAGAGGGUAUUUUGUAUCCUCAUGAGGAUGCCUUGGUGAUUAAGGCAAUGGUGGCCGGUACAGAAUUGCGACGAAUACUAGUGGACAUGGGCAGCUCAGUCGAUAUUCUGUUUAAGUCGGCCCUAGAUGAUAUGGGAAUUUCAGACCUAAAGCUGGAACGGACGAAUACAUCCUUGAAGGGAUUUAGAGGGGGACGGUUAACUCCCAUGGGGAUCAUUGAACUCCCGAUUACUAUGGAAAUAAAGCCGUUUGAAAGAACGACGAUGCUGGACUUUGUCGUGGUAGAGGAAAGAAGCCCUUACCAGAUGAUAUUAGGGAGGCCAUUCAUGAGGAUAAGCCAAUGCGUUGUAUCCACGCAUUACCUGGCGCUGAAGUAUAGAGUAAACGGAAUGGUUGGUGUAGUCAAAGGCGACCAGAGGAUGGCAAGGAGCUGUUAUGCUACAGCAGCCAAAGAGACACUAUAGGUUACUUCUCUAGAUAAUCGAGGAGAUUCAAAAAAGGGUCGCCAAGAACCUGUUGAGAAGCUAGAGGAGGUUGUGGUAAGCAAAAACAACCCGAGCAGAGUGGUUAGGAUUGGAUCAGGAUUGGUCGGGGCAAUAAAAGGAGAGCUGGUAAAGUGCCUACAGUCCCAUGCAGAUAUAUUCGCCUGGUCUCACGAGGACAUGCCAGGAAUUGAUCGCGGGGUAGCUUGCCACAGGCUGGCGAUCAAGAAAGGGGCGAGGCCGGUGAGGCAGAAGAGGAGGUGCUUUAACCAGGAAAGGUAUGAGGCCAUAAAUGCCGAGGUUGAGAAAUUGUUGAAAGCAAGAUUUAUAAGGGAGGCCAAAUACCCGGAGUGGAUUUCCAAUGCAGUACUGGUAAAGAAGGCCAACGGGAAAUGGAGAAUGUGUGUGGAUUUCACAGACCUUAACAAGGCAUGCCCGAAGGACAGUUUUCCCUUACCAAAGAUAGAUCAAUUGGUGGACUCCACAGCUGGUCACAGUCUGCUCAGCUUCAUGGAUGCCUUUUCAGGAUACAACCAGAUACCCAUGGACGAGCAAGAUGAGGAGAACACCACCUUUAUAACUAACAUGGGUUUGUUUUGCUACAGGGUGAUGCCUUUCGGCAUGAAAAAUACAGGAGCUACCUACCAAAGGUUGGUGAACAAGAUCUUCAAGCCCUUGAUCGGACAUACAAUGGAGGUAUAUGUGGACGAUAUGAUCACAAAGUCCAAAGAAUCGAGGGAUCACGUGAAGCACCUUGAAGAAACCUUUGAAUUACUGAGGAAGUAUGAGAUGAAGCUAAACCCGGAGAAAUGUGCAUUUGGGGUCAGCUCGGGCAAAUUUCUGGGAUUCCUGGUGAGCCACCGAGGGAUUGAGGCCAACCCAGAAAAAAUACGGGCGGUUACGGAGAUGAGGUCUCCACGGACAGUUAAGGAGGUGCAGAGCCUUACAGGGAAGUUGGCAGCGCUGAACCAAUUCAUCUCAAGGGCCACAGAUAAAUGCCACCAUUUCUUCCAAACCAUAAAGAAAGGGAGAAAGAUGGAGUGGACGGCAGAGUGCGAGGAAGCAUUUGGGCAGCUGAAGGAAUAUCUAAUCCGUGCCCCGUUGCUAUCAACUCCGAGAGCGGGUGACCAGCUGUUUCUGUACUUAGCAAUCUCUAAAUGGGCUACCAGCUCAGUUUUGGUCAGGGAAGAAGAAGGAAAGCAACACCCGGUAUACUACACAAGCAAGGCCCUGGUAGACGCAGAAACCAGAUAUCCAUUGCUGGAGAGAUGGGCGUUGGCUCUAAUAACAGCAGCACGAAAACUCCGACCAUAUUUUCAGGCCCACCAGAUUGUUGUGAUGACAGACCAGCCCCUUCGUCAAACGCUUCAAAAACCAGAUGCAUCCAGUCGAUUAGUAAAAUGGUCCGUGGAGCUAAGCGAAUUUGACCUAUCCUACAGGCCCCGAGGAGCAAUCAAAGCUCAAGCUCUGGCAGAAUUUAUGGUAGACCGAGCUGAACCGGGGGAAGAAAUUCGGGAGGAGCAACCGAUAGAACAGGAGAAACCAGAGGGGGUGUGGCUGGUAAUGGUUGACGGAUCAUGUAGUGAGCAAGGACCCGGAACAGGAGUUGUAAUACGAACCCCAGAAGGAAUCGAAAUAACAUAUGCAGUGAAGUUCGAAUUUCAGCUCACAAACAACCAAGCUGAAUAUGAAGCCUUUAUCACCGGGCUCAGAGUGGCGCACACUUUAAGAGCAGAGAGGGUAGAAAUUCGAGCGGACUCCGAAUUAGUAUGUAAUCAGCUCAAUGACCAGUUCCAAGCAAGAUGAGAGAAGAUGGGCCUUUAUCUGAAGAAAGCAAAGCAGAUGGUUGAGCUUUUCCAAGAGGUGGAGGUGAAGCAGAUAUCUCGGAACGAGAAUUACCGAGCAGAUAUAUUGGCUAGGAUGCCUGCAAUUGCAGAUCCGAAAUUACCUAAGUCGGUUCCACUAGAGGUAAAGACCUCGCCAAGUAUAGGAGAGGAGAUAGAGGUGAUGAGAGUAAGCAUUGUAGAAUCAUGGAUGGACCCGAUUCGCGCAUAUAUCCGGGAUGGAAUCUUACCAGAGGACAAACGGCAAGCCAGGAAAUUAAAAUGCCGAGCAGCGAGGUACACUUUACUAGAUGGAGUGCUGUAUCACCGAGGGUUCACCUUGCCCCUUUUGAGAUGUGUGGAUGAUGAGGAGGCAGAUUAUAUACUGAGGGAGAUUCAUGAAGGAAUAUGCGGCAAUCACUCGGGAGCAAGAACUUUAGCCAUCAAGGCACUCCGGCAAGGAUACUUUUGGCCAACUAUGCACCAGGAUGCGCAAAGGAUGGCAAAGAACUGUAAAACCUGCCAAAGCUUCUCUGAGGUUCCUGCACAACCCCCAGAAAAGCUGACCACUAUGACAUCCCCGUGGCCUUUCGCUCAAUGGGGAAUCGACUUGAUUGGUCCGUUACCUAAGGGCCGAGGAGCGGCGACACAUGCAAUUGUGGCAAUAGACUACUUCACUAAGUGGGUAGAAGUGGGAAGCCUCAGCCAAAUCACUGAGAGGAAGACAACAGAUUUUAUUUGGAGGAAUAUCAUCUGCAGAUACGGGAUCCCCUAUGCCAUCAUUACAGACAAUGGGAGACAAUUUGACAACAACAACUUCAGGGAAUUUUGCCGAAAUAUGGGGGUGGACCUGAAGUUCUGCACCCCCGCACACCCCCAGGCAAACGGACAAGUGGAAGCAGCCAAUAAAGUAAUAAAGAAGCUCUUGAAAACUAGAUUGGGAGAGAAGAAGGGAGCCUGAGUUGACGAACUACCAGGAGUAUUGUGGGCCUACCGGACAACUCACAAAACCGCCACAGGGGAAACCCCGUUCGCUUUAGCCUUUGGUCAUGAGGCGGUAAUCCCAGCAGAAAUCGAAGUGGGAACACAUCGAACAGAAUAUUUCGCUGAGGAGCAAAACGACGAGCAGAUCUGCUUAAGCCUGGACCUGCUGGAGGAGAAAAGGGAAGGGGCCUAGCAGAGAGUGGCCCAAUGUCAGCAACGGGUCAUGCGCUAUUACAACAAGAAUGUACGCGUGAGGCAGUUCCGAGCAGGAGAUUGGGUACUUAGGAAGGUGAACCAAAACACCAGGGAUCCUAACCACGGUGCUCUUGGCCCAAAAUGGGAAGGUCCGUACAGGGUGAUACGAGCCACUGGACCAGGAGCUUAUAAGUUAGCGCACCAAGAUGGACGAGACGUGAAGAGGUCAUGGAACGCCGAGCACUUAAAGAAGUAUUUCCAGUGAGCAAAGUGCUCUACUAAAUCUUCAUUUUGACAAGUUAUUUGUGUUAAUUGCAUGAUGUCUUGUUGCACAUGUAUGUAUUCAGUAUUUUUGUAAUACAUUCAAAUUCCGAAUAAAGAUGAAUUCAGCAUGAAAUCCCCCUGUUAGCAAGCCCAACAAAAAUUUUACCAAGGCAAGCAAAUGCCUACUUCUGCUCGGUCAAUGAAAGACCAGCGGCUAAUUUUACGAGAAAUUUACCAAGGCAAGCAAAUGCCUACUUUUGCUCGAUCAACGAAAGACCAGCAGCCAAUCUACUAAGGCAAGUAAAUGCCUGCCUCUGCUCGGUCAACGAAAGACCAGCAGCUAAUCUACUAAGGCAAGAAAGUGUCUGCCUCUGCUCGGUCAACGAAAGACCAGCAGCUAAUUUUACGAGAAAUUUACCAAGGCAAGCAAAUGCCUACUUCUGCUCGAUCAACGAAAGACCAGUAGCCAAUCUACUAAGGCAAGUAAAUGCCUGCCUCUGCUCGGUCAACGAAAGACCAGCAGCUAAUCUACUAAGGCAAGAAAGUGUCUGCCUCUGCUCGGUCAAACGAACGACCAGCAGCUAUUCUACUAAGGCAAGUAAAUGCCCGCCUCUGCUCGUUCAACGAAAGACCAGCAGCUAAUCUACUAAGGCAAGAAAGUGCCUGCCUUUGCUCGGUCAACGAAAGACCAGCAGCUAAUCUACGAAGGCAAGUGAGUGCCUGCUUCUGCUCGGUCAACAAAAGACCAGCAGCUAAUCCUACGAAAAUCCUACUAAGGCAUGAAAGUGCCUACUUCUGCUCGGUCAACGAAGGACCGGCAGCUAAAUUUAUGAGACUUUUGCUAAGGCAAAUAUGUGUCUGCUCCUGCUCAGUCACCGAAGACCAGCAGGCAAUUUUGCGAAAAUUUUUACCAAGGCAAACAGAUGCCUAUUCCUAAUUCGAUGCACUAAAGAACCAACAGGCGAAACCAGACAAGAAAGCCAAUAGAGAGCAUUUAAAAAAUUUUAUAAGCGUUCAAAUGUUUACAAAGCAAAUGAAAAACUAGAGUCUUUACAAAAAUAGACCUAAGGAUUAGGAGGAUCAACGGCCUCAGCAGGUGAAGGGUCAGCUAUCUCGGGAGGUAGAAGAUCAGCAAUAUCGGGAGGAGGAGGCACGGACCCCUGCCCCACUUCAAAAACACGCUGCCCAGCUUCUCCCUCCUGCACCCCAUUCAAAGGAACCUCCACCUGCUCCUGCUCAUCUUGCUCCUUAUCUCCCUAGCCGGCCCCAGCCAUAUACCUCUCCACCCCAUAUUCCAGCUUGCUCAUGUCGAGCUCGGGGUAUUCUUCCUUGAGUACAGACAUGAUGCACUUAUAGCUGAAAGCAACCCCGGAGUUAUACUCAGCAUCCAACCGAUCAUCCACAUCAGCGGAUUUGCCUUUCUCUUCAGCCAGCUGGUCACUCAGGGAUUUGAUCUCUCCCUCAAGGGCGGUCCUCAGAGUAUCUCUUUCACUUUGAGUAGCCUGAAGAUCGGACUUCAGAUCACCCAGCUCACCCUCAAGCUUGGAGGAAGUAGACUCAGCAAUCGCAACUUUCUCCUCAAGCUCCGUAAGCUGCUUGUUCAGCUCGGCCAGCUUCUCCUUGGACCAAUCAGCAGAUUCGACUUUCUUUUUCAACUCCUGGUUAUCAGCUUGAAGCUUCCUCUCAUGACGCGCGGACCCGGUCUUGUAGCACGAGACCAUUGUGGCCAGCCUGAAGGAGACUCUUUGAACAGAAGCAGCUAACUCGGAGAGGUUCAUGCUCUCGAUGUCCUUCACCAUCAUAGGCCCAACCGAUUUUUUGUAAUCUUUCUGAUAUGGGCUCAGGUAGUCACCUUGAUCCCGAGAUGGAAGAGGAGAAGAUCGGUCCCCAAACUGCAAGCUGACCUCAGGACUCUUGUCGGAGGUUUUCUCCCCACCACUCUUACGGGAUGGGGGAGGGGGCAGAACAGGGACAGGAGCCUUGGAGGGGCCGACGCUGUUCUUCUUUGGAGGAGGAGGAGGGUUACUGGAGCUGCUUGGAGCCCGACCACGCUUUCGGGAUAGAGUGCUAAGAAUCUUAUUAUCCAUUCCGGCAGCUAUGUCCACCAAACCCGAACCAACCAGGGCUGUCGGUGACAGGAGAUCUUGGCAGGCAGAUGCGUUCACCAGAGCAGUUUCCACCUGGAGCAGAGGUCGGACUUCAAGCCCCUUUAUCAAACCCCACGACUCUGAAAGAACAAACAAGGUUAAAGAACCCAAUAAGUAACAAGUCGAGAAAGAGUAUAUGCAAAAAAUGAACGACCUGGGGUGACAAAAUGUGUUGGAAGAUAAAUAUCACCACCCAACGAAUGAGCUGCUGGACACCAAGCUCCCCCAGCAAAGAAGAAUUUGUUCUUCCAAUUUUUGCACGAGGAGGGGAAGCCGGUGAUUGGUUUCCUCUUCGCAGAGCUCGACAUGAAGUAAUACCAGCCUGCUUCCUUCGGGCUACUCCUCAGCUGGUAUAGAUGCUUCACUUCAACGAGGGAGGGCUCCUCUGAUCCACACCUCUUCCACAACACAUACAUAGCCGAGAGAACCCUCCACCCAUUGGGAUGUAGCUGACCUGGGGCCAGGUGCAUACCACCCAAUAUCUUAGCAAAAUAACGUUGAAGGGGCAGCCGAGCUCCUAAUUUGAAGCUCUCCAGGUGCAUCGUCACAUACCCCCGCGGAGGUCGACUAGGGACAUCACCUUUUCCUGGAACUACCAGGAGAAUCUCCGCAGGAAUGUCGUAAAGGUUCCUCAGCUUGAAUAGAUUAGUUUGGGUGGUGGCACAAGCUGUGUAGUUAAUAGGGUAAGAAUCCGCCUCUACCCUAUGACCAAGGUGCCUUUUCUGAGGAGGUCCGCUCGGUCCGGAGCUGCUCCCCUCACCAUCACUAACUCCUUCAGGGAUCCCAACCCCAUCAAAGCUGUGGUUCUCACCAGAGCCCGACGCAGGUCCACCUCUAUUCCCUACAAGCUCUAGUUCGGGGGAGGGAGAGACAACCAAAGGGCGUGGGUACUCAAGGGUAUCCCUGCCAUGGGAAGGACCUACACUACUGGAGGGACCUAAGAAAUCGGUGGGUAUUGGCACGUUGAGGCCCGAAUCCCCUGAUUCUUCCUCGCCCUCAUCAACAAUUAACUUUCUUUUCCGGUUUCACAUAUCGGAAUCCCAAAAGAAAGCAAAGAAAACUCGAAUAUACGGAUACAAAAGGGGGCAACACGGAACCCAAUCAACAAUAACCAGAGAAGAGAUUAAAAGCAGUACCUGAGAUUAACUGGCCCUGAUAGCGCUGCCGUGACAGAGAAAAAACCAGCAAGUAGAAACUCCAGACGCAGGAAGUGUGAGUAAAGUUCAGAGAGGAGGCUGGUUAACGGUGGAGAAACGGAUAAACAAAGCAAUGAGGAUUUCAACCUAGGGAUUUGAAGUGAAAAGGGAAAAAAUAGAAGCAUUUAAGCGAUGAGGAUGCCAGCUCACUCACCACAUAUCGAGGGUGGAUAGCCCGUCGUUUCAAAUUUCAAAUACGAAGAGUCUGGUGAUGCCACGUCACUAACCGUUACAAGAGGCCAGGAUAGAUGUAAGCCCAGAUAUGCAAUGGACAUGUUCACUUAGGCCCAUGCUCAGGUCGAAGUCUCCCCAGAAGAAAAAUGGUACAUCAGGUCAGGCCCGUCCCAAUAAACAGAGGACCAGAUGAGAAGCUCCCCGGGUUGGUGAGAUUUGACCAUCAGUUUCUACUCUUAACUCAUUUCACUCGCCAGACCAGAAACUGGGGGACUGGUGUUGAGUACAUAAAAGCCCCAGGUCGGCCAUGCUACUAUUUCCACCCCGGCAUGGAUCACCUCGGCCAAAUGGUAUGAGCAGAACGCGGGAUGAACACGAGCCAACCAGAGACGAGUACCGGCCAGGGUAAUGUACCGACCGGAAUCUUAUACCGAGCCGACACCAAUUCCCCAAAAAAGCGGGAACACGAUCCCACAGAAUCACGGUAGUUGCGCUUUUCCCAGAACCGUUGUGGGAGAUGCGAGAUCCCACGUUUGCCCACAAUGUAGCAGUUAAAAUCCCAUGAGAGGCUACCACUACCCGAGAAAGGGGGGGAAUGAAGGGUGAGUGAAAACGUGGGACAGCGGCUAUAAAAGAAGAAGAAACCGAUGAAGAAAGGGACAAAAAAAUUGAGAGAGGGAAAACGCUGCCAAAUUGCAAUCAGGCCAUUUUCUUACAAGACUCCGAAUAAUUUAGAAACCAUUUUUAGAUCUAAAUUGCAAUGUUUUCCCGUAAACACCUUGAGCUAACUUAGGCAUCGGAGGGUUUACGCCGGCAAAACCACCGGCGACUCUGAUCCGUUUUUGGUGAACGUAGGUCUAGUAAGAGAAAGGAGGGUGAUUCCAGCCUCAGAGGUUCGCGCAACAGUUGACAACAUAAACGUUGGUGAAAGAAUCUGGUCGGUCAAAAGGCGAGCAGAUUUAAGCAUCAACAGUUUCCUCUAAUUUAGAUAUUUUUUUUUUUACAUCUCUCUUUCUAGUUUGAUAAUUUAGGGUUAUACUUGAAUUAAUUGUAUUUUUAAUCAACCAAGGUUGAUUUAAUUGAUUCCAAGUCUCAAUUUCCUGUUCAACAAACAAGGAACGCACAAAUCAUUUUCAUUUUCAUACUCAAUUUUGAAAGAAUUAAUUUAUUUUAUCUUUGGUUAGUACACUUUUGUUCAAUUUUUGUUUAUUUAACUUAAGAUAUAGAUUAUAUUGAGAACAGAGCUUUCUCCUUAAUUCCGCCAAGAGCAACGUUGAUUUCAGGUGAUAAUUGUGUAAUAUUUUCAAUUGAAAUUAAUUGAGUCUCGUAAUAAUAAUAGGGAUUUGAGAUUUACAUCCUGUUGAAAUGAUUUUAGAGUGUUAUUUGAAUGCGCAUUAAUUGUUUGAUUAAAUGUCUCUUUAAAAGAUUAUUUUUAUUUUUAGCAAACAUCUUAAUGCACUUUGCAAAUUGAAUCCAACAAGGGAAAAUUAUAGAACUGCAGCAGUUUUCAAAUUGAUUGCAUAUUAGAAGUAAUGUUAAUUUAUGCUGCAACAGUUCAAUGGGCUGGGCACAAGUUUAGGACUUUAGUUGCUCAAUUAAUGAAUCCACCACUCAUCAGACUUGGAACUUAUAUCUAUUGAAUCAAUAAAAAUAGUUGAUGGAAUCAAUGCCGAAAGCUUCAUUUGAUAUUUAUUUAUAACAUCUGUUAGAUUCUGGACAAUCACAAAGAUAUAGUAGCAGAAACUAUGUUAGAGACACUAUAGUUGCUUAAUUAGUGAAAUUGUGCUCUCAUUGCCCCCUUUUUUUGGUUGAUUCUAUAAUCUUAUUAGUUGUUCUUGUGGUUGUAAACAAUAUCAAUUUCUAAUAUUAAUAAAACUGAAUGAAUAAAAUGUGAUGCAUUUGCAGGAAAGUUAAUAGUUUAAAUAUGGAUAAAUCUUGGAUGUUGGUGGAUAGAAGGUCUGUAGAAUAUGAGAACACGGUAAAUGAGUUUCUCAAGUUUGCAGUACUUCAUGCUAGUCAUCCUGAGCUUUUGAGAUGUCCAUGCCAGGCAUGUCUUAGUUUUUAGGCUCAAACAAUUAAGAGUAUAGAAAAUGCAUGAUAGAACACAGAACUCAUAUUUUAGCAACAAUCCUCAGCUCACUGGCCCUUAGUUUAGAAUGACAAUUCUUAUUAGCCAAAGAUUCAAAAUGAUUUUUAGUUGUUUAUAAGUAGAGCACUAGAUCAACAAAUAAUUGAAGACCUGCAGCUUGGCUAUUGAACUAUAAGAUGAUGGCAAUUCGAAGACUAUAACUUGGCUCUGCCAUUCGAAGUAAGCAACGCAGCUGCCCAAAGUCUGCCAAGCCAUCAAGACUAAGUAUACUUCAAAGCUACAUCCAGACAAUACUAAGGGUGCGUUUGGGAUUGAGGUUGGGUAGCUGUAGCUUAAAAGCUACAGCACUAAAGUGUUUGGUAAACACUAACUGCUGUAGCUUUUAAGCUAUAUUGAUAUAAUUUUUCACUUGUAUAAUACAAAAUCUAUUAUAUCUUUAAUAAUUUUAUCAAAAUUAUUAUUUAAAAUUUAUAUUUACUAUAUAUUAUUAACUUUUGUUUCAUAAUUACAGUUUUUUUUUCACAGCAGCUGUAGCUUAAAAGCUACAGCACCUCAAUCCCAAACGCACCCUAAGAUACAACAUCAAUAAUAAUAACAUCAAGAAAUACAUGGAGGCCAUUACAUGUUACACCCACCCCAAUAAGAAAAAUACAGUCCUAGAAAUUUACAAACCCGUGCAGCAGGAAUAACCAAUUAAUUUAUACAGUUCAAUACUCGUUCCUCUGUUUCAAAUCCAAAUACACUGGUCUACUAUUCAUUAUGACAAUGCAUAUGCCGAUAUUGUCUUCCAUCCUUUUUGUACCUUUCAAUUUAGUGAGGUUUAGACAGGGGUUCCAGAUUUGGUAAAUCAACAAUCACCAGAUAUGUAGAGCGGCCGGAAGAGGAAGCAUGGUUCCUAAUCCUAAUCUUGAUUUAGAGCAGAUUAGGUAACACGUGGCAUUCUACAUUCUUGCAAUGCCAUUUCUUGUUAUGGCAGCGGCAUUCUUGGUCAUGGCAUCACAAGCAAAUGCUUUGAUUUGAAGACUUGCUUGGCUAUGAAAAAUAAGGAGAGCAAAGGUAGUUAAUCUUGGUGUGAUCAACAUUUUUAUGGGGUUACUAAGAAAAAUAAAGAUAAUAUAAGGAAUGUUGUUGAGGAGUAUUUUCAUAUUUACACAAGUGUUCAAAGUAAAAAUUGAUUUCUUAAAACCCAUUAGCUAGCGCACAUAAUAAUGGGGAGACAAUUUUAGACUACGAGUGGUCCCACCCAUUUAAUAAUAUUCUUCAAUCAAUUAUGUUUACUUCAAAAAAAAAAACCCCAUCUCUUUAUUACUUUCUAACUAUUCAUAUUAAUGUGUUAAUAAUUAUGAAGAAACGGUGUAAUUUAUAUGAUGUAGGAAGCACUUUAGGCAAAAUCAUUUGAAUCUCAAAAUUUCGUGAUAUUGUGCCAAAUAUCCAAAACAGAGCUUCCUACAUUUCAUUGCGCUAGCUAAUUUCUUGUACCAAAAUUAGGAAUCACUGAAAAAUAGAGUUACGUGACUGAAUAGUAUCAUAUCACAGAAACUCAAAACUCAAAAGUGCAAUAACAUUGAACAUUCAGCUGGCUAGCUUAUAUUAAUUAAUUAAUACUACUACUAGUUCUUUAUGAUUAAUUAAAAGAUAAAAUAUUUGACAAUCACAAAACAUUAUUCUAUCACUGAAGAGUAGAGCUUCCUACAUUGUUACCCAAGCUCUUUUAUAUCUCCCAAACAUUAUUAGAGUCCCACAUUUGUGGCACAUCAUUAAGUAAAAUGUGCCAAUUAGGAAGAGCUGGCUUCUUUGUUUUGUUUUCUUGGAUGUGUUGCAAUUUUCAAGUAUCAUUCAAAAUUUUACGCCAUCAACACAGGAAAAUUAUAUAUAUUCUGUCAGCACUUGCAUAUGUUGCAAGUGCUGACAGAACUUUUCAUUUGAUUUGAUAAUUGGCUAAGGGUGAUUUCGAUAACGUUUCCAAAGAAGAUAUAGAACAUAGAUCAAAAAGAAAAAUAAGUAAUUUGAUCAGUCGAUGCAAAAAAUGAGCGAGCUUCGUAGUCUGACUAACAGGACAUGGCUUGGAGCAAGGAUCAAUGGACAAGUUUGAGGUUUAUGAAAUAUUGGGAAAAGAGACAAAUAAUAAAGCCACUACAAGUUAAGCAGAUCAAAUAAACAGAACAGAGGAAAUAAGUGAUCAAUUUAUUACUUUGUGCAAUGGCCACAGCAACAGCGAAAAUAUGUCUACAUGACUACAUUAUCCGACUGGCAUGGUACUAUAACCGUGCAGCAUUACACUAACAUUUCCUUAUCAAUCAAUUUUGAUGGUAUGAUAUUAAAAACAUCGAUUUCAUAAUUUUAUGUAAUUCAAGAAUAUGACAGCUGUGUGUUGUCGUCUGGAUCACAUGUUCUUCACGUGAUUUCAUUUACCCUAUACGGCACAUUUGUCAGUCGUUUUGGUCACUCAUUGAAGCACGAAUUAAGGACGUCAUUCAAGGUUGUUAAUUGACCUUUACAAGGCGGAAAAAUUCUGGGUUUGUUUUAACAAACCCUGAAUGCAGCUUGUGAGUGGGGGGAACUUUCUAGAUUCUUCAUGAUCUGUAUAUAUAGUCUUAGAGGCUACAGUUGAGACAUAUGAAAAGCUUGUAACUUCUUCUUAAUGCUUGUAGUUUGAUCUCGGUGAUGGAGAUAAGAUUGCUGCUCUGUUCUUCACUUGAUAUAGGCUAUCUCCAAGCGGAACCACUUAAAUUGUGCCUCUGUUUUGCUUGUUUCAGUUGUUAUUCUUGUGAGGUGUGUGAUUUGCUUGUCAUUUCUAAAUCAUCAAUUAGAGAGUUUAGUGAGUUUAAUCGAUCAAGAAUCAACAAGAUGCUAUGAAAACAAAAUAUAUACAAAACUUAUAUCUGGUGGUUUGUCAAACGUACAGAGAAGAGAGCAAACUGUGGCAGGAUAGCAAAUACUGCGAAUGGUCAUUCUCAACACGAACGCCUAUGGCUGUUUUCCUUUUAAUUUUCUUCUUUGAAUUCUCCUUUUAUUAAUCAUUAGAAAAACUCCCUUUUUUAAAAUCAUGUGUUAUAAACAUUUACAUGGUUAAUGUCAUCGAAAUCAAAUGGUUGUUAUCUACGAAAAAGAGAAUUGCUAGAAAUUUUGUUAGUCCCAUUGCAACAAUAUAUUGUUAUAAAUUGCAUUGUUUCCCAUAUAACAAAUAUAAUAAAAUCUCAAUAAAUUAAUAGUUUUGGGGAUCAUAAAAAAAAUUAUUAAAAUUUAACUAAUAUCAAUUAAUUGGCAAAUUAAUAAAUUAUUAAUUUAUGAAAAUAUUCAUUAUUUUAGAAAAACAUGAUCACGUUUUUAGUAUUGAUUUACCUUGAGCUAGUAUCUAUUAUGUUUUAAUUGGUCCCAAUAAUAGUUUAAUUGUAAAUAAUUAAAUAUAUCAGUAAUGAUUUUUAAAAAAGAUCACUAGCAUCAGAUUAUUGGGCGGUAUUAAGGAGAAGUUAUGCUUAGUAUUUAUAAUUUAUGUAAGAUGAAUUUGUAAGACUUAUUAAUUUCUAUUAAAGAGUUUUUCAGUUAUUAAUUCAUUAAGUUAACUUGAAGUAUUAAUAUUUACUAAUUGUGGUGAUUAAUUCAUUAAAUUAACAUGUCAUAAUUUUCAAUGAAGAAUGAAGUUCAAUCAAUGUACAAAAAAAAGAUAUAUAUAUAUAUAUAUAUAAGAUUUUAAUUCCUAGUUUGAUUUAACUUUGUUUCGGUUAUUGACAUUGCUGAAGAGGCAGUAAAAGCUUGUUGAAUGUCAUCAAAUGCACAAAUUGGCAAUAUCGGUUGGCUUCUUUAUAGGCGCAUCCAUCACAAAAUGAAAGUAACAACAACCACCAUCGAAAAUUAAUUUACCUGAAAUCUUUGAAAAGAAAAAUUAACCUGACAUUUAUUGAUUUAUUUUUUUGGGGGCAAAGAAAGAACGGAACAGAAUUAUGAGUUUUGGAAAGCAGAAUGAGAAAAUUGAACAGAUGAGAAAAUGGAUAAUUAAGCAGAAUGAAUUUGCGACUGUGACGGGUCUGGUCCAGCAAGCUUAGUAGAAAUUACGCGCUGAUACUUCAUUGACCAAUGACUAAUAAUUUGGCAAUUCACCCAUCACCAGCACUUGGUAAGCAAAACGAAAAUGCUUAGUAAGUGUCAAGGGUCAAGCAAGAUACGACGUAAAAUGAGGCAAGUCUCCCCACUUGUUGUUCCUUGCAGCUAAGAAAAGAAAAACAGAGCCCACCACCCAUUAAUAAUUUAGCAAUUCACCAAUCACCACCACUUGUUACGAAAUUCCAUUAGGUAUUCGUAUGUCAAGCAGUUAAUCCAGUGUCUAUUACCUAGAACCUUCACUUUACAAAUCUUCAUCUCAAAUACCAAGUUAAAUCAAAACGUUUCUCUCUCACUCUUUCCUUUUAAACUCCAAAAACGUUUCUUUUUAGAAAUAUUUUACUUUAUUCAUGUAAUAUGUUGUCUAACAAAUAGACACAAUUGAAAUCACUCUAAAGUGCAAAUAAAAAAAUAAAAAAAAUCCAAUCACCAGUAAUUUAGCAGGCUUCACUUUAUUCCACCAAAGUGUAAAUAAAACCAGGCCUCACUGCCAUUAAUAGUUUUACAAGCUUCACACGCUUGUUGUUGUGUCUGCUUGACGAACUGGACAUGGGUGCAUCAAGAAUCAAUGAAAGAAUUUAAAAAAAAAAAAAACUGCACAUUUUCGAUUCAGAGUAGAACGGUAAUUAAUGCUAAAAUUUACUCCGCUAACGUUUUCAAGAUAUUGUUCUUUAUAAUUCUACAGCAAAUAAGACUAAGUUUUGGACAUUUUCAAAUUCACUACUUUCACAAGCAAUAUUUUGAAACAUUUUACAGAAUUAGCGAUUAUAUAAAGAGAAAAGUGCAAAGUUGCGUAAUUCUAAUGUGCCUUUGGAUUUAACCUGAAAUGAUCCGAAGGCCAGAAAUUGUAACGGCGGGCUUAAAUGUCAACACGCCAAGACAGUUAAUAGCAGCUAAAUUGGAAAAAAAAAAAAAAGGCAAUAGAAGUAUAGAUGGAGCAAUUUUUCGCUUAGGUCAUAGGUGCAAGAUGAAACUAAAAAAAGGUGGCAGGCAAUUUUAUCACAGAUGCUCAUGAUCGUUUUUUGUUUGGGUCGUCAACUCGCCAUGAGCCAUGAUUGAAUUAGAGUGUCUAGAAAGAAAAUUAAUAAAUAACGGUUUAUAUAUUUGGUCGUCGGAAUAUUGUAAGUGAGAAAGAUUAUCUUGUUUUUUUAUUAAUUAAGAUUAAGGUCAACUUACAAUUUUAUUUUAUUUUUUUAUGAUUUUCAAUCUUUACCAAAAGAAAAAUAUUUAGUGAUCCCUUUUAUCAACUUGCUUUUAUUGACUUUCUUCCAAUAAUAGAAGUGAAAAGAGAAACAGAGGCCACCACCACCAAGUGUUACCGGAUUCUAUAAAGACAAAAUCAGUGCCCAGCAAAAAGAAUCCAACUUUUCGUUAUGUGUUGCUUCCUAUUUAGUACAUGCACAUAUAGAUAUAAGAUAUCCACAUGCAUAUGCAGCGCGUCUAUCUAAAAUUUGAAAAACAGAAUUAGAAACCUUCUUGAAUAGGAAUAGAAAUACUCUCUAAUACUUCCUAAAAUAAUUAACCCUAAAUAAUUUGUCCUGCAUCACCAAACUCCGGAUUUUACAAAGCACGCAUAAAGGAUAAUAGACACGUUUGAGGUUUUUUUUUUAAAAAGAAAAAAAGAUUAUGAAAAUAGACAAAUAAUGAAGACACAAGUUAAGCAGAGCAAAUAAACAGAGGAGAAUGAAUUCAAUACUAUCCUUGAGAACUCAAUUCUUUAAUAAACUCAAUUUUUUAAAUGUAAUUUCUUUUUGGGGGUUAAACUCAUGUCAUAGACUGUAGUCUUUAAUUUGGGUUUGUUGUAUCAAUUUUUUGGAGUUUAUCUUGUUUUAUUUUUUCGUUUUUAUAGUGCAAGAUUUUCGGUGGAGAUAAAUCAGGAAUAAGAGUGAAAUCCCAAUCUUAAAAUUUGGGAGAAAUGAAAUGCGAUAUGUUUUUUCAUGAAUAAAACAAUUCAAUUUGAUUGAUUUUUGAGAAAUUAUAAAGGAAUUAAUACAAGUAAAGUGAGCCUAUUCAUUUGAUUUGAUAGUUGGCUGAGGGUGAUUUCGAUAACGUUUUCAAAGAAGAUACAGAACAAAGAUAAAAAAGAAAAAACAAUUAAUUUCAGUCGAUGGAAGAAAUGAGCAAGAUUCGCACAUGCAUGCAUGCAUCUGACUAACAGGACAUGGCUUGGAGCAAGGAUCAAUGGAAAAGUUUGAGGUUUAUGAAAUAUUGGGAAAACAGACAAAUAAUAAAGCCACUCCAAGUUAAGCAGAUCAAAUAAACAGAACAGAGGAAAUAACCGAUCAAUUCUUUGUGCAGUGGCCACAGCAACAGCGAAAAUAUGUCUGCAUGACUACAUUAAUUAGAAACAUUGAGUUCAUAAUUUCGUGUAAUUUCAUGUACUAGAUAUAUAUAAUUGAUUUGAGUUAGUUUAACAUCUAAAGAAAGAGUAAUGGGGAAUGAUGUCGAUGUGGCAUCUGAUGAGUAAUGAUAGACAAUAAAUACUGAUCAUGUAAGAAUGAAGUCUGUAUUUACUGAAAAAUAUUUGGUAAUAAAAUGAUGCUUUAAAAAUUUAAUAUUAGUUGCAACAAAAUAAAUUGGCAAUUAAAAUUAAUAUAUAUGUAUCCAAUGCUUCGAGUUUAUUUUAUCACUUCGCUAACAAUUUUGUAACUACAUUUUAAUUAUAAUGUGGAAAGGAGAUUUGAUUUUUGUAUUUAAAAAAUUAGGAAUGAAACAAGUCAAAAUCAAUCACAAGAACAACAAUAAGAGCAUAUUUUAUAAAAACCACAAAUACAUAAUAUAAAUUUAGUUUCGAAUUAAGUAAUUAUUAAUUUGCAUAGUAAGAGAGUCUUAUAGAAAAAUAGGAAUUUUUUUAAAAGAGAUUUGCUUAAGGAACAACUUUAGUUUGGUUUAGUUUGUGAAGGCUCAAGUAAUUGAAAGCAAUGCAAUUGAAGGAAAUACAAGCAUGUGUCUAAUUAGCAAAUGAAUUUCACUUUAACAAAGAAUAAAAGCUAAUUUCAUUGAUGGCAUAUGUUGUGCUUUCUUUUAUUUUAUUUUAUUUUUUUUCCUUUUAGUUAUUGAGGUUACUUUGCAAACUGCUCCAAGCUAAAUACAAAAUUUACUCUUACACUAGGAUCUUUGCAAUGGUCCUGCAAUUUGUAUUCCUUUUGGUCAGAUUGGUUUUCUUAUUUAAAUAAAAUUUCAGGGAUGGGAAAUCUUAUCCAUUGAAUAUCAACUUUGAAUUUUAUUAACAUUCAAACUUAGAAAGUACUUCAGGAACAAAGUGCAUUCAUAGCCGAUUAAACUAUGUCUAGCUACUACAAUGCAAGUUUCACUUUUACUUAAUUAAAUAUACAAAAUUAAAUCACAUGAGCUUGUCGUUUCAUUAUACGUCAAAUUAAAAUUAAAACGCAGAAUUGACGGUAUUGGAGUUUCAUAUUUAAUUUUUCUGUACUCAUGGGGAAUCAGAUGGCCAUCCAUUUUUACGUCUAUUUUAUGUCCAUCCCCACUAAGUAGCUUGGUCAUAUACAAUAUAGAAAAUGCAUGAUAGAAAAUGCAUGAUAGAAUAGAGAACUCAUAUUUUAGCAAUAAUCCUAAGCUCACUGGCCCUUAGUUCAAACUGGCAGUUCUUAUUAGUCAAAGAAUCAAAUUGACUUUUAGUUGUAUAUAAGUAGAGCACUAGAUCAACAAAUAAUUGAAGACUUGCUUGGCUGUGGAACCAUAGGAAGGCAAUUCGUGAACAUCCUUGAUAUUUCGUUUGGUUUUAUUUAAUUCUUUGUAAAGUUGUAUUGUAAGUAAAAUUUUUGUUAAAUGAAAUCCGUAGGUGAAGAGAAUUUUUAAAAGCAACCAUCAAAGUCACGAUCAAAAGGAAGAAAUCAGUAUAAAUAUUGAUUGUCUCAAGUUAGAUUAUACAAAGAUGAAAUAAUGCUAAUCUAAAAAAUUCGAUGAUUAUAAUUUGAUUUCCAUUAUAUUAAUUAUAUUCAAUCAUGCUCUUUAAAUGAAGAACACUCUAGCAUUUAUAUACACUCAGCUUAUGAAAUUAAUUACAAAACGAUCUUUGACAAAGUCUGAUGAAAAAAGUACAAAGUUAGACUUCCCGAUCAUGCAACCACCCAUCGAAUUGUGUAUUGUGUCAUCGUUGAGCUCUUAGAAGGAUUCAGCUGCUGAGGAGAAGAUAUAAUCUGUUUUUGUGUGAGAAGUUAUGUACUCUCCUUUUAUGGUGUUUCUCUUGGUAGUUGUCGGACAAACUGUAAUGUGAAUUUCUAUCUAAUGGGUAUCCUUUUAGUUAGUUUGGGAUUGUUGAUUUAUAUAUGAUGUUUGGUAUCUAAAAUUCAGAUGAUGAUAAUCUUGGCAGUACUUUUGUCAAAUUUUCUUGUGUUGUUGUUGGUUUAAUAAAAUAUCACAAAGGUGCAAAAUACAGUAAAAUUAACAUUGAGCUCAUGAGAUUGCCAUUAGAUAUAUUGAAAAAGAAAUUGACACAAGAAACUGAAAAUUAGUUGUUAAUUAUGAUGGGAAUAUAAUCUUGGUAUUUCAAUUAUAUCAUUUGUACUAAUCUCAUUUGUGUCUAUCAUAAAAGCAGAGUGGCUUGAUUGAAUAGUGUCAUAUUACGUCACAGCAAUCACAGAAACUCACCCAAAAGUGCAUGAGCAUUGAACAUUCAGCUAAUUUAUACUAAUUAAUUAAUAAUACUAACAAGAGUAGUUGGAUCUCGUCUUCUCUUGGAUAUAUCCAAUGACUUUGACUCAAAUAUGCUAUUGCAAGAGGAGAUUUCUAUUUUGUCUGAUUUAAGCCAUAAGACGCGUUUCAAGGUUCAUUCUGAUUGGUUAUCUGUUAGCUUUUUUGUUUUAAGAACUUCUUAUUUACGGAAGCAAAAUUCUCCUUUCCAGGAUGAUCUAGAUUUAGAAGUUGCUUUUGUCAUAUCAGACGAAGAGGCCAUCUUUAAGGCCUUGUCUAAGAUUGUUGAAUUUACUAGAAGGGACUACUGCUCUGAUUCGUCAAAACUACUAUGGCUGUCUUUUUCAUGAGCUUCUAAUAUAGAAUCAGUUUUAAUGGUAUGAUAUUAAAAACACCGAUUUCAUAAUUUUAUGUAAUUUCAUAGAAAAUAUAUAAUUGAUUUGAGUUAGUUUAACGUAUAAAGAAAGAGAGAUGGGGAAUGAUGUCGAUUUGGCAUGUGAUGCGUAAUAAUAGACACCAAAUAUUAAUCAUGUAAUAGUGAAAUAUAUAUUUGCUGAAAAAUAUUUGGCAAUAAAAUAAUGCUUUAAAAAUUUAAUAUUAUUUGCAAGAAAGUAAUUCGACAAUUAAAUGUAAAAGAUGUAUAUGCGACGCUUCAAGCUUAUUUUAUCACUUCAUUAGCCAUUUUGUAACAACAACUUUAAUAGAAGUUCAAUUAAUUCUGAUGCAUUCCAAAAAAAUUAGAGAUGAGGUAAGUUAAAAUCAAUUACAAGAACAACAAUAAGAAUAUAUUUUGUAAAACCCACAAAUAUAUAUAAUAUAAAUUUAAUUUCGAAUUAAGUAAUUACUAAUUUAUAUAGUAAGAGAGUCUUAUUGGAAAGCAGGAAUUUUUUAAAAGAGAUUCGCUUAUGGAAAAAGUUUAGUUUGGUUUAGUUUGUGAAGGCUCAAAUAAUUGAAAGCAAUGCAAUUGAAGGAAAUAUAAGAUUCUAAUUUUUUUAAAGUAAUCGCUAAAAUAUUUGACGAAUAGCUACAAGUUGGCAAUGCAAAUAAACGGAGGAAAACAGGGCAAAUAUUUACUUUCUUCCAAAAAUAAUAAAUGCACAAUCUGCUAUUACUACUAUAGAAUGUUAGCUACUAUAUAUGAGCACGUGUCCAGUUACCAAAUAAUUUCCACUUUAAAAAGGAAUAAAAGCUAAUAUCAUUGUUAGCAAAUUUUAUUUAUUUAUUACAAUUUUUUAUUAUCCUUUUUUUUUUUUGCGCUUUUAGUUAUAGGCCUAAAAAGAUAAAGCUAAAAAUCAAUCCCAAAUCUAAAGUGAAAAAUUGUGUCUAGAACAGAAUCUAUGUUUUGAUGUCUUUGUUUACAAGCUUAAACAAUUCAUAGUAUACAAAAUGCAUGAUAGAGAACAGAACUCAUAUUUUAGCAAUAAUCCUCAGCUCACUGGCCGUUAGUUCAGAAUGACAAUUCUUAUUAGUCAAAGAGUCAAAAUGAUUUUGAGUUGUAUAUAAAUAGAGCACUAGAUCAACAAAGAAUUGAAGACUUGCUUUUGCUAUUAAACCACGCGAUGGCAGUUCGAAGACUACAGCUUAGCUCUGCCAUUCGAAGUAAGCAAUUCAGCUGCCCAAAGACUCUCAAGCCAUCAAGACAAUACCAAGAUACAACAUCAAGAAUCACGUACAGACCGUCACAUAUUACAUUUGUCCUCUGUUUUAAGAGAGAUUUACGAGCCCAUGCAGUAGGAGUAAUUAAUUAAUUUAUACAGUUCAGUACUCAUUCCUCUUUCUUCUGUUUCAAAUCCAAAUCUAGUGCUCCAUCAUUUAUUAUGACGCAAGGUAUAUGGGUUAGCAUGUGUCGAUAUUGUCCUCCAUUCUUUGUGUACCUUUCUUCGAACAAGGGACAACCCGAGAUCUCUAAUCGCAAAAGGGAGGCAGGCAGGCCCUUCUCUGGAAAGUACUUGAGCUUGGGACAAUUACAGAGUUUAAUGAAAUGAGGUUUUGAUGAUCAACAAUUGAGGAAGACAGGCGUUCCAAAUUUAGUAAAUUAACAAUAACCAAAUAUGGUAGGGUGGCAGGCAGAGGAAGUGUGGUUCCUAAUCCUAAUCUUGAUUGAUAACUGGCUAUAAAACAUGUGGCAUUCUACAUUCUUGCAAUGCCAUUAAUUUCUUGUUAUGGCAGCAGCGUUCUUUCAUCAUGGCAUCACAAGCAAAUGUUUGAUUUGAAGACUUGCUUAGCUGAGAAAAAUAAGGAGAGCAAAGGUAAUUAAUUUUGGGGUGAUGAAUAUUUUUAUGGGUGUACUAAGAAAAAUAAAGAUAAUAGAAGUAAUGUUAUUGAGAAGCAUUUUGAUAUUUACAAAAGUGUUCCAAGAAAAAAGUUUUUUUUUGAAAUCUAUUUGCUGGUGCACAUAACAAAAGGGCAUUCUGAGUAAAUUUAAAACUACAAAUAGUCUCACUCUUUUAAUAAUAUUCUUCAAUUAAUUCUGUUUAUUUCAAAAUAAAUAUUCUAUCUCUUUAUUACUUUCUAACUAGUCAUGCUAAUGUGCUAAUAAUUAUGAAGAACUAGUAUAAUUUAUAUGAUAUAAGAACCCCUUUAGCACAUUAACCCGAAUUUAGCUAAUACAUGUGCCUAAUAUAGCGAAAUCAACAUUCAGCGCAUUAGAGUGCUAUUAUAUUUAUUGAGAAAGAAAUUAACACAAAAAACUGAAUAUUAAUUGACACUGGAUCAUGUUGGAUUGUCAGUUGUUAAUUAUGAUGGGAAUACAAUCUUCAUCAUUGCAGCUACUUGACUCAGAUAUGCUAUUGCAAGAGGAGAUUUCUAUUUUGUCUGGUUUAAGCCGUAAGAUGGAUUUCAAGAUUCGUUCUGAUUGGUUAUCUGUUAGCUUUUUGUUUUAAGAAGUUCUUAUUUACGGAAGCCAAAUUCUUCUUUCCAGGUUGGUUCAGAUUCAGAAGUUGCUUUUGUCGUAUCAGAAGAAGAGGCCAUCUUUAAGGCCUUGUCAAAGACUGUGGAAGUACUAGAAGGGACUACUGCGCUGAUUGUCUUUUUCAUGAGCUUCUCUUCCAUUUGAACAUGAGAAUAAUCAGAUGGUUGAUAUUUAUGUUACAAAAGUUGGAAGCAACUUAAGCAAUUCAGUAUCAUUGGAGGACUAUAAUAAUAAGCCGAUUCUUUUGCUUCUUGGAUUUUUUUGUUAAUUCACUCGCUGCAUGCUUAUCCCACCUCUGAUUUUUCUUAAUAUUUCUCUGUAGUUCACUUCACAGCACUUUAGCCGCUACAUUGGCAUUUUCUGCUAUUUGUUAUUGUUCAUUGAAGCAAGUUAGCUUAUGAGAUUGCUUUUUGGUAAAUGUUCUUCAGGGGGGUUGUGAAAGGCCAAAUCAACUGAGAUGACCGAGUUUUCUAGAUCAGCCAUCUCUGUCCUCAACAACUGUCAAUUACUGAGACACCAAACUCUAACCUGAUUCAUAUGGAUGUAGACUAAAGCUUCUUGCCGAUACCAUCCCCAGUCAAAGCUGCUAUCCUUGAAAGUUUUGCAAGAGAAAACAUGUCUGAGUCAGACAUUGACGUCCCCCCAAGCAUCAAACAGUAUAUCAAGAGCAAUGUUGGUUUCCCAGUCGAUACAAAUGCAGAAUUCAUAUAUGCAGAUUGCUCUCAAUCUCUGUUUAAUAAGCUAGUCCUCUGCUGUAUCCUACAAAGUGGAACAAUACAUUAUGCUUCCCAGCAGACUCCAAUGGGAAGUAUGUUUCUGCUGCCAAAUUUUUGAAAGCUAUCAUUGUGAAUAUCCCUCCCCAGUCUGAAGUGGGCUUUGAUACUUGUGACAAUACUCGAUCGAGACUGUAAAGAAGCCGUGGGUGUACAUUUCUGGUCCAACAAUCAAUCCAACUGGCUUGCUUUUACAGCAGGAAAGAGAUAGAGAAUAUAUUAACUGUUUGUGCAGAAUAUGGGGCAAGAGCUUGUUUAGUGUCGUGUCAAAAUAAAUAUAACAAAGUUUUAGCUGAAUAUAAAUUCGACUUAGUUAUUAUAGAUAUUUAAUAAAAUAAUAAAACGAUUAAUAUGUUACCUACAAUUUGGAGAAAUGAACUGCGAUAUGAUACUUCAUGAAAAAAAGAUUUAAUUUAUUAUUUCUACUAGUAAAACUAUUAAUUCAUCAACCCAUCAAGAUUUUUUUUCUUUUUUUCUUUUUUUCUUUUUUUUGAAUUCAACCCAUCAAUCUUUGUUUGUAACUGCCAGACCGUCAGUUUCUUAAGGCUCACGCAGUGCAAGGGUAGUGUAUCGUUUCUUUCUAACUGAAAUGGGAACUCGGAUGCUGAGAAAAUAUGCCUGCAUGACUUCAUUAAUCCAGCAGGCGUGGUACUAUCACUAUGCAACAUUACAUUAACAUUUCCUCAUCAAUCAAUUUUGAUGGUCUGAUAUUGAAAACGUCGAUUUCAUAAUUUUGUGUAAUUUCAUAGAAAAGAUAUAAUUGAUUUUAGUUAGUUUAACAUAUAAUGAAAGAGUAAUGGGGAAUGAUAUCACUGUGGCGUUUGAUGAGUAAUGAUAGACAACAAAUAUGGAUCAUGUAAUAAUGAAAUAUGUAUUUACUGAAAAAAAUUUGGCAACAAAAUGAUGCUUUAAAAAUUUAAUAUUAUUUGCUAGAAAUAAUUUGACAAUUAAAAGUAAAAGAUAUAUUUACAAUGCUUCAAGUUUAUUUUAUCACUUCACUAACCAUUUUGUAACUACAUGUUAAAUAGAAGUUCAAUUAAUUCUGACAAAGGUCUCUAGAAGAGAUUUGGUUUUUGUAUACCAAAAAAUUAGAGAUAAGAUAAGUUAAAAUCAAUUAGAAGAACAACAAUAAGGAUAUGUUUUAUAAAAGCCAAAAAUACAUAUAAUAUAAAUUUAGUUUUGAAUUAGUAAUUAUUAAUUUAUAUAAUAAGAGAGUCUUAUAGGAAAGUGGGAAUUUUUUAAAAGAGAUUUGCUAAGGAAAAAGUUUAGUUUGGUUUAGUUUGUGAAGGCUCAAAGUAAUUGAAAGCAAUACAAGUGAGGGAAACAUAAACUUCUAAUUUUUACAAAGUAAUCGCUAAAAUAUUUGACAAGUUUGAGAUGUUAAAAAAGCUGGGAAAAUAGACAAAUUAAUGAAGACCCUACAAGUUGGCAAAGCAAAUAAACAGAGGAAAACAUAGCAAAUAUUUACCAUUAUACAUAUAUAUAUAUAUAUAUUUUUUUGGGAAAAAGGAUACCGACACUUUUAAGGUUUAGGGAAAUGGUCACAAAUACACCUAAAUUUUCAUCAAGGGACACCAAGACCUCUUUUUAACUGUAAUGUCUUUUGUCUCUAUAAAUCCUAAGAAAAUGACGUCAAAAUUUUAUAAUAAAUAGACAUAUGGCAUAGAAGUAAAUGAAAUAACAUAUACAUCUUAAAAUAAUGUUAAUAUUGAAAGCUAUUUUUAUAUUUUACAAUCUAUUAGACCUAUUUUAUUAACUUAAAGUAAUUUUUAAUAAUAGAUAGAAACAUAAUAUUAAAAUAAAUAAGUUAAAAUUAAAAUUAUUUUGAAUAUUAUGUAAAAGUUAAUUUUAAUAUUAUUAAUAGGGAUUUUUUUAAUUGUAAAAUCUAUGUAACCCAAAGAUUUAUUUAAAAUCUUCAUAAUAUCACAAACAUAUUAUUAAAAUAAAUAUAAUAAUUUAAAUUUUUAAUAUUAUUUUAAAUGUAAAAAAUAAUGUAAUAUUAUUAGUCUACUAGAUAGAUUAUAUUAUUUAUAUUAAAUUUGUAUUAAUUAAAAAUCUUUAAGGUCAAUUUUUUAAUUACUAUAAUCAAAGGAUAUUAUGAGCAAAAAGGGAUUUUGGUGUCUCUUUUUAAAUAAAUAUCAUUUUCUCUUUUUUAUCCAAAAACAAAUGUUGCGAUUUUGUUUUUUUAACAUCUCAAACUUUCAAAAACAAUUGAAAGCGGUACACUUAUCAAAAACCUCAACAGCAUUAUCAACCAACCCAUGUUUACCAAACUCUUCGAUGAUGAGAGAUAGAGUUUGAGGAGAGACGGAGAGAUUGUAGGGUUUCAUGAGUUCGAUGGUCUUCCACAUGGACUGGUAGCGUUUGUGGUGGGCGAGGGUCAGGAUGAGCGGUUCGAAUUCGAGGGAGGUGGGGGAGUAUUGGGGCUGGGAGCGGGCCCAGGUGAAGAAGCCGAGGGAUUCGGAAGGGGAAGUGUAUUGAGGGUGCUUUCUGGAUAUAUGUCGUGACGGACUAUGUUGGCGAUGUGGUUUACGGCUGCAAGGUAAUCGUCUUUUGAGGUUUUAGCCGCGACCGCGGUGCUCAUGGUUUUGAAGGAGAGGAUGAGGUAUUGCCGUAUUGAGUUCGGCUUCUGAAUAGAGAAACUAACACCUGGGAAGGUUUAAUGUGGGAACUUCACAUGCGUUCUAUGUAUUCGAAAGAAUUCCGCAAUAAAAACUGCUCGAGCUGGCAAUCGCACUUGCAUGCUAUAUGUUUGAAUAGAUUCUGUAUUCUGAAAUAUAUGUGGCCAUCACACAAAUUGGCAAUAUCGAUUGGCUUCUUGCAGCCAUCACGAAUUGAAAGGAAAAACACCUACUAUCGAAAAUUAAUUUUAAGAAUCUCUUUUACUUGAAAUCUUUGAAAAGAAAAAUUAACCAAAUUCGGCUAGAGAUAUACAUAAAUCCGGUACUAGUUUAAAAUGUGAGUAUGGUUAAUUUAAUAAGAGAGAACAAGAAUCGAUUAUGUCCCAAAAGAGAGAAAAUUAAAUUAUAUAAAUUUUCAUGCAAAUAUAUCAUAUGUUAAUCUCAAUUUUUUGUUGCUGAAAAAUUAAUUAAUUCCACUACUUCCAUUUUUUUAAUUUUGUGUCGUGUACCACAUUUGCCACUCCUGAAUUACUUAAUUCAAAUAAAGGUUCGGCUACGUUGGAUCAGCUCCAACGUAGCGCCCACUAACACCAGCCAUAUGAUUAUAUAAAUCCGAUCUGACGGUCACGAUUACAUGGACUUAAAAUACAAGAUAUGCACAGGAUUAUGAGUAAUCUUCUUCUACUUCGCUCUUCAUCGGUUGUUUGACCAAAUACAAGAAACGAAUCAAAGAAAGCAGGACAUGCAAAUGAACACUAUAUACAAAAGGGGAGUGGGGGUCUGAAUGCCUCUUCAAUUGAAUCGGCCAAGUGUUGCUUGCAUGCGCUCUACAAACUGCUUUGCUGUCAUCUGAAGCUGAAAGAAUUAUCCCUAGCUCCGUCGGUUUUUUCUGCAAUAAAACGACAAUCCCUGCCUUCACUCAUCUUAAUUCAUCCCCCGGUUAUGUUCCUCCUUUUUUAAUCAAUAAUUAAUUGCUGCCCCCUGUUUCCCCUCUCUCUGUAGACUCUACCCACCAAAACCAUUUGCUAUCUUUCUAUUGAAAGUAACUCGGUAAUAUACAUGUAUACGAUGGAGACGGUGCAAGGACUGUUGGGGAAGCUGGGGCGGCAGUGCUAUGCUGUAUUUUGCUUGGGUGUGAUUCUUGUUGUGUCGGUGACAAUCGCUCAUUAUGUUGAACCAAAGGAUAUUUCCGCAUCAGCUGCUGGUGAAAGUAGAGCCAAGGCCACCCGUCGUCGUCUUCGACCUUUACACGGUCCUCCUCUUCCAGCCUCUCUGAAUUUCUACUGAUCAUCACUCCCCACCAGCCAACCAGCUGCUUUAUGCUACCUUCUAGAAUUCUAAAGACUUUAGUUAACUAAUUAACUUCUUCUAGACUUGUUUCUGGGUUUAAUCAAUUUGCUCCCCCCCAGUUUCUCUGUAAAAUUUUUGCUUAAUUUAAUUAAUUGUUAAUUAACAAAUAACAGAAACGCUAAUUUUCGCGCAAGUUUCAACAAUACUUACUUGGUUGCCUUCUGUUCUCCUGUUUGCGUCUCUGUCUUCCAUUACGAGCACCCAAAGAGGUAUAAUCAACGGUUUGCGAGAUAGCUGCGACUGCAGUAGGUGCCGGCGUCGAUCAUCAACAUGGCGGUGCACGGUAGAAUUAGGUGAGGAGAGAUGGAGAGGUAUAAUCAACGGUUGCUGAUCAAAUUUGAAACUUUCCAGCGAACCGACGGUGAUGAUGAGAUUGAUUCCAAUUAUAAAUCCUGUGCAUAUCCUGUAUAUUGAGUCUAUGUAAUCGUGACCGUCAGAUCGGAUUUAUAUGAUCGUAUGGCUGGUGUUAGUGGGCGCUACGUCGGAUUUAUAUGAUCGUAUUCUUCAUCAUUAUGGUUGAUGGCUUAACAAAUGCAGGAGUAGGGGACAGCCAAAAUAAAACACUUUCUCUUGUAUUAACCUUUGCUAGUCGUCGAAGUUAAAAAUUUUUAGAACAAGUUAAAACAGUUCCAACUCAAAAUCAUUAGUGCACAAUUGGGUUGUUAUAAAUAUUUUUGAAUUUCAGUCUAAUUUGACUUAUUUAAUUAUGUAUGCACAAACUAGUUUCAUCACUUUUUUCGUAUUGAUACCCAAAAUUUUCAACCUUAUUUUAUAUUGAUGCACAAUCUAACUUAAUAAAAAUAAUAUUCAAAUUGUCACAAUUUUUUUUUUUAAAUCAUAUACAAAGUUAAGUUUUCUUCUUCUCUAGGAUCCAGCUCUAUACUCCUCUUUUUUGUCGUUAUGCUGCUCAGUCGUUAAAUUUUAAUUACGUUAAUCUAACGGUCCGGAUUUGUAAUGAAUAAUAUUAAAUGCACCGGUAUAUUUUAAUUACGUUAAUCUAAAGCUGCAAUUAUGUGCCGUAAACAUUGACAUGGUUAAUGUCAUCGAGAUCACAUGGUUGUUAUUUACGAAAAGAGAAUUGCUGGAAAUUUUGUUAAUCCACUAUUGCAACAAUAUAUUGUUAUAAAUUGCAUUGUUUCCCAUAUUUAUAGAUUAAUUUUGAAAAGAAGCAAACAAUGCUAAGAACGUAUUUUACAGAAGCUAUAUAGACAUGUCAUAUGAAUUUCGUUUUUAUACUACGUAAUUAUUAAUUUAUAUAAUAAUAUAUUUCCUUCAAAACAUAGUAUUUGAAUUUGAAAUUAUUUUUUUUAAAUUAGCAUUACGAAAAUAAUCAUGAUUUGAUUGGUUUCAGUUUUAUAAGAAAAAAGUUGGGAAAAUAGACAAACAAUGAAGGAAAAAAUUAAGCAGAGCCAAUAAACAGGGGAAAGUGAAUUAAUGUCCUUGUGCACAUUAAUAAUCUCAUUUUUCCAUGUACAAUUUUGUAAAAUAUUCAUCUCAUAUACUAGAGUCUUUUGGUUUUAUGACGAAAGAGUCAUGGUAGCGAUGUAUCUAGAGUAAAAAGAUUUAAUUUAUUUUUCCUUGUUAUUAGCAAAAAUUAUUAUUAAUUAAUCAACCCAUCGAGAUAUAUUGGUUUCAUUUGUUACAACUAGCCAAUUGCUUAAUACAGUUUUGUACGUCUCACUAUUACUUGUAAAUAAAAUCAUAGAUGUGGUAUGUUGUGAUGUGAUAAAUUUAAAUACAAAUCUUAAUUACGUUGUGAUGUGAUAAAUUUAAUUCAUGUUAGGAAAUUGAGCUUCCUUCCAAGAUCUCUCUAAGCAAUUUAUCAAGCAAAAAAUUAAUAAAAAAAAUUAAAUGGAGAAUACAUUAAUCACACAACACAAGAUUUACGUGGAAAACUUCAAAUUCGGAGAAAAACCACGGCCGUUGUCACAAGACAACUAGAGAAAAAUAUUCCCUAUGUGGAAAAUUAUUAUAACCACUCUUAGAAAUAAUUUUCUCUCACCCAAGCCCCAAAUACAUAAUCUCAAGAAAUAUCCCUUAACAAAGCAAACCCGUAAUACCCAUAAUGAGGAGCCAACUUCUCCUUCAAUAUAACUACAUGCUUAAGAACAUUUCUCUCUCUCAAUUUCUCACCAAAACUUGGAUUCCUUCUCUGGGAUUUUGGGAUACUAAAAUAAGGAGGAGCACUCCUCUAUUUAUAGCCAAAUUAUGGCUUCCUUUUCUUCUUUUUUUUUCUUCUUUCCAUAUCUGGAGAUUUUCAUCAUAGUAGUUUAUUGAAAGUGAAGGCAGCUGAAUACACUUUUUUCUGAUGCAGUCUGUCCCUCUUUGGUGUGAUUAUUUGAAAUUUGUGCAAGAAUAUGAUCCAUCUAUACACGAAUGUGCCUAAUAAAAUAUCACAAAGGUGCCUAAUACAGUGAAAUUAACAUAUUCAGCUCAUGAGAUUGCCAUUAUAUAUAUUGAAAAAGAAAUUAAUACAAGAAACUGAAAAUUAAUUGACACUGGAUCAUGUUGGAUUGUUUGUUAAUUAUGAUGGGAUUAUAAUCUUGGUCUUUUAAUUAUCAUCUAGCUAAUGCAUGUGCACUUUCAUUUGUGUCUAUCACUGGAGAAUAAAGUUGCUUGAUUGAACAGCAUCAUAUGAAGGAAACUCAAAACUCAAUUUCGUUGCCUGAGCAUAUCAUGCUAUAUUUAGCUCAAAAGUGCAAUUAACGUUGAACAUUCAGCUAGCUGGCUCAUACUAAUUAAUUUAUAGGAUUGCUAGUUCUUUAUGAUUAACUAAAAGAGAAAAUAUUUGACAAUUACGAAAACAACAACAAUUCACUCUUAUAAACAACAUAAUAGAUACAUGGUCUAUAUUGCAAUUCUUUUUAUGAUUUUAAUUAAAAGAGAAAAUGCAAAGGAAAUAUUAUAUAUAAUUGAAGGUUCUCCUUGAUAAUUAGACAAAAUGACACCAAUCUGGCUAACUAAUACAAUCAUCAUAAUUAUCCGAUUUUCAUUUUAAUUAUGUCCAAUCAUGCUAAUUUAAUAAAGAAUACUGAAUACACGAGUAUUUAUAUGUUCAACAACUUUGACUUCUGAAAAAUAUAGGAGCUGCAUUUAUGCUUUGUGUUAUUAAGUAGGACAUGACCAUAUUAAGUUGCAUUUGUCAGAAAACUGAAAAUUAUUCAAAAGGAUCUUAAAAGAGGUGUUGAAUUGUGAGCUUAAAAAUGAGUUUAGAAGUUUCUGACAUGUCAGUUUGUAUCCUUAAUUGUGCAUGCCCUGUCAGUUUCUGGAUGAAACAGGAGAAUGUGACAUCUGUGUAUUGUCUUUUACUUCCAGUAAGUGAAUCACAUGUUCUUCACGUGAUUUGACAUACUUUAGACGGAUUUGGCAGUUGUUUUGGUCACUUAUUGAAGCACGAGUUAAGCACGUGAUUCAAGGUUGUUAACUGACCGUUAUAAGGUGGGAAAAUUCUGGGUUUGUUACAACAAACCCAGAAGGCAGCUGGUGAGUGGGGGACGUUUCUGUAUAUAUGGUCUUAGAGGCUAUAGUUGAGCCAUAUGAAAAGCUCCUAACUUCUUAAUGUUUGUAGCUUGUUCGUGGUGAUUGAAAUAAGAUUAUUACUCCGUCCUUCAGCGGAUAUAUGCUAUCUCCAAAAUGUGCCACUUAAAUUGUGCCUCUGUUUUGCUUGUUUCUGUUCUUAUUCUUGUGAGGUGUGUGAUUUGUUUAUCAUUUCUAAAUCAUCAAUUAGAGAGACCAACCAGAUCUUGGUGGUUUUAGAUUGAGUUCAAUCGAUCAAGAAUCAAUAAGAUGUAAUGAAAACAAAAUGACAGAAUAAUGCACGCACAUCACAGCAAUGUUUCAUUCAUUUCGAAUCUAUAUAUACAAAACUUUUAUCUGACAGUUUACAUUUGUUUAAUAUAGCGCUGUAACAUGCGUACCAUCAAAAGCUACAGCCGCCAUCUUUGUUUGUCCUCGUAGCAUCCUUGAUCUUAUUUUAUCGUGGUGAUUCUUGAAAGUUCAUCUCAUUCUCAUGUGCUGAGUCACUUGCUGAGAUGAUGAAUACUUGAGGGUCCUUCCUUGAGACAUUUCAGCAGAAACCUGAUUCAUUCUAUCAAACAUCUGCAUCACUAAUCACUAAAUGAUGUAAGAUAGUUCUGUUUUGAAAUAUUAAUAUGCAUGCAUCCCCCGCGUUAGUUAGAGCUGCUUGUCAUCUUCUAUUUUCUUUUGGGUACAGUUUUGAAUUUUUAAUUAAUUGGCUUUCUCGCGGGAUAUUGUUUUCUCCUUUGAUUUUCUAUUUUUUGAUGAUGGUGUACACAUACAAAGAUCGUGUAAUAAAGUGCUUUUAGUAAAUCAUGGUCGGUUUACUAUUAAUUAAUCAAAUUUAAUUUGCUUUGGUAUUUGUUAACAUCAUUGUUAUUAUAAAGCGGACCUAUACAAUUAUAGAAAGAACGCCAACGGACCAAGCUCUACCAGCAAAUUAAUGAGAUUGCUCUUGUACACGAUUAAAAUAAUUUCAAUUUCAUCGUAUUUAUGUGUGUGUCUAUAUAUAUAGAGAGAGAGAUUGUACAUUGACGAAAUAAUGAUAAUUUAGCAAAUCUAAUUUUCAUUUAUAUUAUUAUGUUAAUUUAUGCUAUUUUAAUAAAGGCCACUCGAACAUUUAUAUAUCCAAUAUGUAAAAUUUUAAAACAAUAUUUGCCAAAGUUUGACGAAGCGACUACCAAAGCUUAGUUGUAAUUAAUCAAAUAAAAAAAAUGUUUGCUUUGCUUGAUGUACUGUUUGCUUAUGAUCUUUUCUUGAUUUUCUUGUGGGAUGUUUCUCUUUGGAUGUUUUGUUUAUUAUAUUAACAACAAUAAAGUGCGUUUUAUAAAUCAUGGUCCUACAGUCAGUAGUAAAAGAAAGGGGAUUCUCACUUUCCCCCUACAGUAAUUAAUAUAUAUCAUUUGUCCCCCUUCUGUUUUUAUAAUGGCAUAAAACUCCCCUGACAACAUAAGUUUACAGUAUUACCCUUAUUUUUAAUUACUUUUUUAUUUACAUUUAUUAUAAAUUAAAUAAAUUACAUGAAUAGAAAUUAAAUAAAAAAAUUAAGUAUUAAAAACAAGAAAUAUAUGUUUUGAUAUGAGCAAAAAAAUUAAUAAUAAUUUUUUUUGUAAUAAUUUAUUUUGUGAACAUUUUCUUAUAAUAAACAUUUUGUAAUAUUUUAAAAUUAAAUGUAAAAAGUAUAGGCAAAAUAUUUGAUUAUUUAUCUUAUAAUAAAUUUUUAUUUUUCAUUCAAAUUUUCUUAUAAUAAUUUUUUUAUCAUUUUAUAAUAACUUUCUUAUAUAUUUAUUAUAAGAAAAAUAUGCACAAAAUAAAUAAGUACAAGAAAAAAAUUUUAUUAUUAAUUUUUUUCUCAUAUCAAAACAUAUAUUUCUUGUUUUUAAUUCUUAAUUUUUUAUUUAGUUUAUAGUCAUGCUAUUUAUUUAAUUUAUAAUAAAUAUAAAUAAAAGAGUAGUUGAAAAUAAGGGUAAUUUUGCAAACUUAUGCUAUUAGGGGGGUUUUUGGCCAUUAUAAAAACAGCAGGAGGAAAUGGUAUAUGUUGAUUACUGUAGGGGGGAAAUUGGCAAUCUCCCUAAAAGAAAUAAUGAGCUUGGUUUUUAUUAAUAAAAAUUAGAAAAAAAAUCUUUUUCUCUAGAACUUAUUAUGGAUUUUAAGCUAAAAAAAAAAAAUACUACCCCAAUUUCUAAAGAUAUUCCCUCUUAUUUCAUAUUGAUUUGUUAAUGCGAAGAUUCAUUGCAAUUAUAACAGUUUUGAUGAAUUUAAAUAUUCAAUAACUGAUAAAUUCUAUUUAUAAAUAUUAAUAGCAAUGACACGGAAACAAUUAAAUCAAAUUAAACAAUUGUUCUACUCACCGCUUUUCCUUUUGUUUCCAAAACCCAUUAACCACCGACAUCGAACCAUAUUAAUUUAAAAUAUUGUUCAACUGAGAUUUGAAUUUUAAAAUUACAUACACAAACACACCCGAUUUUUUUUAAAAAAAAAAGAAUACUGCUAAUAAAAUAUUUCAGCCAUCAAAAGCCACAUACCUAAGGUAUGAUGAGCAAAUCCUCCCAAUGAUCCUGAAAUUACUCUCGCACCCUAUCAAAAUAAUUUUAAUUUCAUCAUAUAUGCACACAGACACACACACAAAAUGUAAAUAAUUUUUGUAUAUAAAAUAUUUGAAAUAAUCACUAAACAACAAUUCACAAGGUAGAUUAUACCCAGACGAAAUAAUGCCAUUUUAAUAAAGAACGCUCGAGCAUUUAUAUAUCUAACAGGUAAGAUUUCAAAACAAAUUUUGCCGAAGGCAAAGUCUGGUGAAGAGAAAUGUUAUAUGUAUAUAACCGUACAGGCGCAGCAGAAGGAUAAGUAAAAAAAAACGAAGUUUCAAUAAGAAAUUAAUUCAUUACUUUCCAAAUGAUCAUCUUAAGGCUCAUUUGGAAAAUGGUGUUCUGAGGAUCACUGUGCCAAAGCUUGCUGAGGAGAAGAAGAGGCAGCCCAAGGUUAUUAACAUUGAUGAAGAAUCUGGUAAUUCUUCCGGUGAAGAUAGUAAGGCCACCAAGGCUCAAAUGUAAUUGAUUAAAGAAAGAAGUGCUUGCUUUGCUUGAUGUGCCAUUUGUUUUGUGAUCUUUUCAUGGUUUUGUUGUGUGAUGCUUCUCUUUAGAUGUUCUGUUUAUUGUAUUUUGAUGGGUUUUUGAGGAUGGUUGUAUGUAUUAACAACAACAAGGUGCUUUUUAUAAAUCCGGUUCCUAAUUUUGUAAAAGAAAUUAAUACUCUUGGUUUAUUUUUAAUGAAAAAUUAAAAAGAAAAAGCUUUUUUCUAUGGCAUAUAUUAUGCAUUUUAAGAAAAAAAAAUAUCACAUUCCAAUUGAUGAAGACAUUUCUUCUGUCAUAUUGAUGUGUUAAUAGAAAGAUCUAUAUGAAUUAUAAUGAUGAAUCUAAAUAUUCAAUAACUGAUAAAUUGUAUUUAUAAAUAUUAAUAGUGGUGGCAUAUAAACAAUUAAUUCAAGGACUCGCCUAUAAUGAAUUAAUUUAAAGAGUAUAAAUAUUUUAAUAAAUCAUACUCGAUUUACUAUUAAUUAAUCAAAUUUAAUUUACUCAAAUUAUUCCUCUACAUGAUCAAAGUAAUUUCAAAUAUACACGCACAGACACAAAAAAUGUAAAUGACUUUGAAAUAUAAAAUAUUUAAAAUAAUCACCAUACUAACAAUUCACAAGUCAGAUUAUAAAUGGUCGAAAUAAUGAUAAUCUAGUGAAUUCAGUCAUAAUAAUUUGAUUUUCAAUUAUAUUAAUUAUGUCGAAUCAUACUAUUUUAAUAAGAAAGAGCACUCGAGAAUAUAUAUAUCCAACAACUAAAAUAAUAGAAUAUAUAUAUAUAUAUAAAAACACGCGCACGCACAUAUAUAUAAUCGUACUGCAGAAGGAUAGAUAAAACCAACAGCUGAAUAAUGCAAACUGACUUUUUUCUUUGAAAAAAAAGGCAUUUUAUUGUUUAAUUCGAAAACCCAUUAUAUACAUGAUAAAGACUCACCGACACCGAACCAUAUUAAUUUAAAAUAGUUUUCAACUGAGAUUUAAAAUUACAUACACAAACACACCCGAUUUGUUUUAAAAAAAACUACUAAUAAUAAAAUACUUCAGUCAUUCUCUGUUCUGCCAUCAAAACCCCAUUUAUAUAUCUAACAUGUAAGAUGUAAAAACAAAUUUUGCCGAAGGCAAAAAGUCUGGUGAAAAGAAAUGUUACAUCUAUUUAACCGUACAGGCACAGCAGAAGGAUAAGUCAAAGAAAAACGAAGUUUCAAUAAGAAAUUAAUUACACAUUUACACUCAAUAAGAAAUUAAUUCAUUACUUUCUACCACUUUUAUUUAAAAAAACGUAGUCUAUUAUUUAAUAAAAAUUCGAAAACCCAUUUACAUGAUAAAAACUCACCUACACCGAACCACAUUAAUUUAAAAUAAUUUUCCACUAGGACUUGAAAAUUACAUUCACAAACGCACCCAAUUGAAAAAAAAAAUUAAAUAAAAUAUUUCAGUCGUCCUCUGUUCAGUCAUCAAAAACCCAUUUAAAAUCUAUACAGACAUAAGAAGUCCCCAUAUUGUCCUCUAUCCUUUCUGCACUUCUCUUUCAUCAACGGACAUUCCGAGAUCCAUAAUUGCAAAAGUGAGGAAGGCAGUUAAGUGAUCAAUUGGUAUUUGUAAGCGUCGUUGUAGUACAACAACAUACUAAUCAACUACUACGCUCUGCCAGCCAAUUAAUCAGCAAAUCCUCCUCAAAUUGGGCUUGUAUACGACCGAUUUUAAUUUCAAAUGAUAGAUGUAUAUAAAUAUAUAUCUAUAUAGAUACACACACAUACACAAAAUGUAAAUAACUUUCAAAUAUAAUAUUCAAUAAUCACUAAAUUAACACUUCGCAGGUUAGAUUAUACAUAGACCAAUGGAUAAUGCUAAUCUAUUCUAAUAAAUUAAGAACACUCGAAUAUUUCUAUGUCCAGUCGGUAAAAUUUCAAACCAACUUUUCCCAAGCUCCUCCUAUGCUGAAUUAAUUAAUACAUUAAAAGGUCCGUCUCUGCUAAAUAAUGCAAUUGCGCUAUUCUGCCCUUUUUUUAAAAAGCAUUCUACUAUUUAAUAAAAAAAAAUUCGAAUGCUCAUCAUAUACAUGAUAAAAACUCACCGAUACCGAGCCAUAUUAAUUUAAAAUAGUUUUCAACUGAGAUUUGAAUUUUAAAAUUACAUACACAAACACACUCAAUUUAAAAAAAGAAAAAAAAAAGAAAAUACUAAUAAUAAAAUAUUUCAGCCGUCCUAUGUGUUAUCGCCAAAAACGGAUUUACCAUCUAUUUCAACGCGCGGUAUAUGGGUUAACAAGUCCCAAUAUUGUCCUCCAUCCUUUCUGCACUUCUCUACUAUCAACGGACAUUCCCAGAUAAUUAAUAGCAAAAGUGAGGAGGGCAGGCCCUUCUCCGGAAAGUAUUUGAGCCUCGGACAAUCCCAGAGUCGCAAAAGUGAGGAAGGCAGGCCCUUCUGUCAUAUUGAUGUGUUAAUAGAAAGAUCUAUGUGAAUUAUAACAAUUUUGAUGAAUCUAAAUAUUCAAUAACUGGUAAAUUGUAUUUAUAAAUAUUAAUAGCGGUGGCACAUAAGCACUUAAUUCAAGAACUCACCUAUAGUGCAUUAAUUUAAAGAGUAGAAAUAUUUAAUAAAUUAAUCAUGCUCGGUUUACUAUUAAUUAAUCAAAUUUAAUUUACUCAAAUUACUCCUCUACAUGAUCAAAGUAAUUUCAAAUAUACAACACACAAAAUGUAAAUGACUUUGAAAUAUAAAAUAAGCACCCCACUAACAAUUCACCAGCAAGAUUAUAAAUAGUCGAAAUAAUGAUAAUCUAGGGGGUCCAGUCAUAAUAAUUUGAUUUUUAUUUAUAUUAAUUAUAUCAAAAAGAGUACUCGUGAUUAUAUAUAUAUCCAACAGCUAAAAUUUCAAAACAAUAUUUGCCAAAGUCUGAUGAAGAGAAUUACAUAUAUAUAACAUGCACUCGCACACAUUCUAUUGUUUAAUUAAAAAAUUUGAAAGCCCAUUAUAUACAUGAUAAAGACUCACCGACGCCGAACCAUUUUCAUUUAAAGGAUUUGUUUUCAACUGAGAUUUGAAAUUAUAUACACAAACACACCUGAUUUUUUUUUUUAAAAAAUUACGAAUAAUAAAAUAUUUCAGUCGUCCUCGGUUCAGUCAUCAAAAACCCAUUUAAAAUCUAUAGCAACACGCGGUAUAUGGGUUAACAAGUCCCAAUAUUGUCCUCCAUCCUUUCUGCACUUCUCUGCUAUCAACGGACAUUCCCAGAUAAUUAAUAGCAAAAGUGAGGAAGGCAGGCCCUUCUCCGGAAAGUAUUUGAGCUUGGGACAUUCCAAGAGAUACAAUGAAGUGAGGUAUUGAAGAUCAACAAUUGAAGAAGAUAGGCGUUCCAGAUUUGGAAAAUUGAAAAUCCACAGAGUUGUUAGAGAGGCAGGAAGAGGAAGCGUGGUCCCCGAUCCUUUGUCAUCUGCCUUUAGUGGGAAUGACACCACGUCAUCACAAUUAAUGAUUGUAAGUUGUCGCAGAGAGGAGAAUCUGUGAAAUCCCCGACCCCGCUCAAUCAUUGACUUCCAAAUCUCCUUAUUACUAUUAAUCUCCAGUGAAUGAAGGUUGGUGGGAAGGCCAUCUUCUUCAAGGCUUGGAAGCUCAACUCCUUUUCCUAUUCUUAAUUGUUGAAGAGAGGUCAGAUUGUGCAAUCCCUUGGGUAAGACCUGUAGUCUCUUACAAUAAGAUAUCUCCAGCCUCGUGAGUUUCGCACAAGGCAAUCCCCCUUGGGGAAAGGACACCAGAUCACAUUCCCAUAUCCCUAUCUCUUGAAGCUGGCGGAGAUUAUGUAAAGCACUCGGUAAAAUUUUCAGAUUUCUACAAAAACUAACUGCGAUUGUUUCAAGAGAUGUGUUGUUGUCCAACCUUUCUGCUAUUGACUCCAGCUUUGAACAUCCACCAACACGAAGGGACUUAAGAGACGGAGGUAGAUUGCCAACUUCAAGGGACUCAAGCGUGGCAGGUAACUCGUUUUUUGAAAAUAUACAUGUCAGUGAUAGACAACCACUAAUUUCCAACUCCUCGAGAAGAGAUGAGGCGUACCUUCUGCUGCUGCUACACUGGAUGCCCUCUUCCACUGUCAAAGUCCUUAGAUUAUAACAAAGGUAGAUCUCCAACCUCUUAAGGCUCGGUGGUAGCUGGACUCCAGCAAUAUAUGUCAACGAAUGGCAAUCCCAAAUCUUCAAGAUCUCGAGAGAGGAAUUGUUGUCGCACAUCCAUGCCUCUGGUAACGAUUUCAGUGCAUCACAUUCUCUAAUCUGAAUUUUCUUCAACUUGGAAGGCAGAGCAACCUCAGGAAAGGAAACAAGGGAACUGCACUUGUAGAUUUCUAUCUCUCUCAAGGAACUGAGGCUGAGCGAUGAUUGUGGCAGCUUCACAAGGCCUUCGCAUCCGCUCAAUGCUAGAUAUUCAAGUCUGCAUGACAACUCGCAGAGCUGCUGUUGUUGGUCUUUCUCUUCCUCCGCCACCAAGGAUUGAAGUUUGGGACAGCUUCUUAUCUCCAGACUUUUGAGAGAGCAAAUGUCUUGUAGUAAUCCGUCAUGACUCUUCCAUAUAUAUGUUUGCUCUUUUGUCGACAAAAUUAAUUCUUCCAAUUUCGGUAGUUGUGGCUUUAAUGGCCCUGCGAGAAACACUUGAUUUGAUGUAUCUCUACAAACCACUGAAUUCUGUGAGCCGAGAUGAUCAGUUGCACUUCUCCACACAACCUUUUUACAUCCACCAAUUAUGAAUUUGCAAAGAGCUGGAAGACUCGAAAUUGAAACUGACAAUUCUUCACAUCCUUCAAUAACAAGCUUCUCCAAUGCAAGAAGGUGCUCUGGAAAUGUUCCUUGUAGCUUAGAACAUCUUAAAAUGUGAAGCUCUCUCAAUUUAGGAAACCCUUCAACUCCCUGACUGGAUCCAUGAGGAAUCCAGUCUUCCCAUCCUUGCAUGUCUUCAAAAUGAAGAGUCUCCAAGCAUGGAAAAGGAAUUGGAGUAUCAUUCCCAUAGAACUCUGAAUCCAACCUCUUUACACUAGCCAUUCCACAUACUGCAAGAUGCUUUAGAGAGGGUAGUUGGCCGACUGACGGCAGGGUAGGACACAUGCCACAAUAUUCAAAUUUUAAGGUCACCAAAUUUGAGAAUGAGGAAUCUCCGAACCAAGUUGGAAAUUUUGCACCUCUAUAGCCGCUGAUACAAAAUUGUUCCAAAUUUUUAUGGGGUUGUAGCAUGUCAAGCACAUCCUUUUCAAUUUCCGCCUCCCUUGAAGACGAGCCAUCGGUACUGAGUGUCCAUCCAAGCAAUAAUUCUGUAAGAUUCUUCUUUCCAUCCAAUUGAGCCUCCUUUGCAUCACCAACGUCUUUUACAUUCUCCAAUUUUGAAAUGUUAAGUGUCCCAUGAAGGUGCGUCAACAACUUUAGCUCUCGUAACCCGGAACCACUACCUUUUCCCACAACAAAAUUACACAACGUCUGAAGACUAGUCAACCUACCAAUUCCUACUGGCAUUUCCUCCAACGACUUCGUAUUUGAAUUCUUAAGAUGAUGCAAUUUGGCGAGGUUUCCCAUGUCUGCACACAACUUCUUCAGUUUCCGACAAUCUUCCAACAAAAGACUAUGCAAAUUGUAAAGCUUGUUGACUGAUUCAGGCAGAGCUCUAAUCUGAGUUCCAGAUAGGUUAAGGUACUUUAAAUACCUCAAAUCACCAACUGAAUCCGGCAGCUCAGGGAUGCGGUAUCCACGCAAAGAGAAGACCCUCAAGCGUCGGAGUUUGAGCAACUUAGGAAGAAUGCUAGGAGCCAAGUAGCCAGGCGAACUUUUUGUCAACAUUACUGGUAAAAAAGUUCUCAAAUGUUGGAUAUCAUACAAGUCCCCAAACCUUUUACCGCCAUCAUAAUAUUCAGUACUGUAUGACAGAUGACGAAGAUUUCUGGAAAAACUUUGUUGCUUGUUAACCUCUGAGGUAUACUCCAUUGUGAAGUAUAUCUCCCCCGCAGCCCAUUGAGCAAGGUCAUUGAUAAGAUCGUGCAUCACAAAUCGUGAUGUAUUGUUGCUUGAUUGCUGGAAAAAAGAUCUUGAACGUAGCUCUUGAAAGAACUUUCGACCUAGAUCUUCGUUGGGAUUCCCACUCUCUUUAUGAUCCAAGAAACCUGAAGCACUCCAUAAUAAAAUUAUCUCCUCCUCUUCAAAUUCAUAAUCCUUCGGAAACAACGAGCAGUAUGCAAAGCAUUGUUUCAAAAUUGGAGGAAGAUAAUAAUAGCUCACUGCAAGAGCUGGUAUAAUGGGACAUCUAUCUUCUGGUAAUUCCCAUAUCUUGCUACUGAGCACAUCUUCCCACACACCUCUGUCAUGUUCUCCACAUAAAAGUCCUCCCAGUGUUUUUGCUGCCAAGGGCAAGCCAUUGCAUUUGAUCACUAUCUUCUUGCCAAUGUCCUCCAAUGACUUGUGUGAACUGAAAUCUCUUGUCCCCAAAGAGUGCUGAGCAAACACAGACAGACAAUCCUCAGUGGACAAGUUUUUCAAUUCAUAAGCUUGAUCCGGCCUCAUGAUUUUUGCAACCUGUUGAUUGCGAGUAGUGACAACAAUCUUACUUCCCUGUGCGCCAGCUUCAAACGGACGGCUCAUGUCAACCCAGUCAUUGUAAUUCUCAUUCCAAACGUCGUCUAAAACAAGCAAAAAUUUCUUUUGAGAUAACUUCUUCUUCAGCUCCUCUUGAAGCUUAUUCAAGUCGUGAUCAUCCACUUUCUGGUCACUAGCAAUUGAAAGUAGGAUUGAUUUUGUAAGCCUGAUAAGAUCAAAAUCAUCAGAGACGCAAGUCCAUGCCUUGAGAUCAAAAUGGUCCUCCACUUGCUUAUCAUUGUAGACAAGCUGAGCAAGAGUGGUUUUACCCAGCCCGCCCAUACCUGUAAUAGAAAUAACAGAGAAUCCACCAUCAUUUCUUGAAUCAUCCUUCAACAACAAUUCAAAAAUUUCCUUCUUUUCUGUUUCCCUGCCAUAUACUUUGGCUUCAUUCACCAAAGAGGUUGUCUCUCGUCUUUGCCUGUCUUCUGUGCUCCUCCCCGCUGAACUUACGUUCAAACCCAGCGAGUUUUUCUGUGUCACAAUUUCUUGAAAUCUGCUGUUGAUCUCUUUGAUUUUGGACAUCAAGCCAUAAUCGAAUUGAAUAGAUUGUGGAGUAAAAGUGGUGCAGCAAGCAGGAAUGAGCUUCCGAAACUUACUUGUUCUUGUACGACUGCUACUGGGUUGAUCAUGAGCAGCAGCUGGUUCUCUAUUUCCGAGCACCAACUUCCUCCGGAAAGCCUCAGUUUGAAACUGAUCCAACAAAUCUUCAACAUCAUAAGCCAAGUUCUGAAGCUUGCCAAGCCACUUCUUCACAAACCGAUUAGUCGUCUUCUUCUCCUCAGCAUCAUCAAGCACCGCCUUGAUCAUCUCCAACAUAUUCUCCCACUCCAUUAGAUCGUCUUGGAUCUUCUCUUGGCGUGCAAAAAACAGAAUCCCCUCUGAAGCUAACUUAUUGACCAGCAAGUCAACGGACGCCGUAAGGAUUGCCUCUCCGAUGAUUGACAUUUUUUUUCUUUUUUAUUUUUGGGCAAAAGGAAGAAAGGAGCAGAAUUAUGAGUUAUGGAAAGCAGAAAGAGAAAAUUGAACGGGUGAGAAAAUGGAUAAUUAAGCAGAAUGAGUUUGUGAUUGUGAAGGGUCUGGCCCAGCAAGCUUAGUAGAAAUCACGCGUUUACACUUUAUUGACCAUUGACUAAUAAUUUGGCAAUUCACUCGUCACCACCACUUGAAAAUUCAAGGGUCACGCAAAAUACACGUAAAACGUGGCAAGUCUUUCCACUUGUUGUUCCUUGCAGUUAAGAAAAGAAAAAACAGAGCCGUAAUUAAUGACAAUUUUUAAAAUAAUAAUAAGAGAAAAACCUACAUUUUUUUUAAAUCUCAAUGCGAAUACGUAUCAUAAUGUUAUGUUCCUGUUGUAAAACGAAAUUUUAGAUAAAACAAAUUCGACUCAUUUGUUAAAGAUAUAUAUUUAGUAGAUUUCUAACAUAACUAACAAAAUGUGAUUAUUACACUAAAUGAAAUAAAAGACAGUACUACCUUUCAUAAUUUAGCAAGUUUCGCAUGGUCGUGUUUCUGAAAACAUUAUAUGGAAUCAAACAACAAGGAUACAAAGAGAAAAAUGGUAAUCAAUUAAUAUUCACUAACUGCGGUGCUGAUUAAUUUACUUAACUUGUCAUUAUUUAUAAUUAAGAAUGAGGUUCAAUCAAUUUAUUGGGAAAAAAAACAAAGAUACUUUUUUUUUUAAUUUUAAUUCUAAAAAUUUGAUUUCACUCUCUUUCGCUUUUUGACUUAUUAAAGAGACAGUAUCUCAUCUCACAAAUUGGCAAUAUUUGUUUGGUAUUGACUUAAGAAGGAAACAGAACUUUGAGUUGUGGAAAGCAAAAUGAGAAAAUUGAGCAGUAAGUGUGAAGGGUCAAGCAAAAUGCGUGUAGCAAGUCUUCCACUUGUUUAUUCCAGUAAAGUGAAAAAUAAAAGCAGAGCCCACCACCCAUUAAUAAUUUAGCAAUUCACCAAUCACCGGUCACCACCACUUGUUACCAGAUUCAAUGAAUAUAAAAUCACACCUCGACAUUUGUAGGGCCAUGCAACAUUAAUCCAGUGUCCGGGUAAACGCUGAAUAAAGUGGAAAAUGGAAUGUAUCUUACUACGAACGUCCCCUUUACAAGUCUUCAAACUCAUAAACCAAGUUAAAAUAAAUUAAAAAAAAAAACGUUUCUCUCUCUCUCUCCUUUUGCCAUAUGAUUACUUUAUUUAUUUAAUUAAUUUCCGUGCUAUAACGAAGACUUAAAAAUACACUAUAAUUUUUUAUAAUCACAAUAGUAAUUUCUACCGGCAUGUUAUAUUAUUGUCGUGUCAAAAUAAAUUAUAACAAAAUUUUAACUGAACAUAAGUUCGACUCAUUUAUUAAACAUAUAUACUUAAUAAAAUAAUAUGACGAUUAAUAUGUUAUCAAUGAUGUAGACACAACUGAAAUAACUCUAAUGUGAAAACAAAAAAAAGUCCCCGCCACCAAUAAUUCAGCAAGCUUCACUUUAUUACACGAAAGUGAAAGCAAAAGCCAGAGGCAGCCCCCACCACCAUCAAUAAUUUAGCAAGCUUCACGCGCUUGUGCUUGUCUGCAUGACGAACCGGACAUGGGUGGACCAAGCACCAUUGAAUAAUUGGAAAAAAUGAAAAAUAAAAACCAGUGUCCAGCAAAAAGAAUCCAUCUUCAUUUGUUGCUUCCUAUUCAGUACAUCUACCUAGCAUUUAAAAAAAUGGAAGUAGAAAUUAAAACUCACUCUUUUAGAUAUGGCUCAUAUAUAUUACAAGUAUCAAAAUUUAAUUAGAGUUCACAUAUUUACAAUGUGUCUAGUUUUAAUGGAGAGAUCAACUAGUCAUUAAUAAUGAGGUUUUUCUAAAUGAUUGAAUAAUGAUAUUAAUUAUUGAUAUUUACAAAAUUUCUAAGAAGUGAUAACUAAUACGUUGGGGAUAUGUAUUUGUGCGGAAUGGCAAACAUAGAGAAUAGCAAUAAAAAUGGUGGAACUUUAAUAUAAUGAAAAAGGUAAACAGUAGAAAAUUAAUAUGUAAUUCAAGACACAUUACAAAUAUUACUUUUCUUAAGACAUUAUUUGCCCCCGCCAAUUCAGUGAUACACAUGAGUUAAGCAAAUAUGUCUUUAGGAUAUAAUGAAACAUUUAUUUAUUUGCUUCCGUUGUGCAUCAACGAAAGUAAACCUGAAUACUCUUGAAUAUUGCAAGUCUGCUAGGAAUCAAUAUGUUGAUUCUGUUAAAAAACAAUGUAUUGGAUAUUUGAUGCAUAAAAAAUAUAUGUUAUUUGAUGAAAUUCAUUUUAAGAAAUAGGGGUAAGAAAAGAGUAGUGCAAGAUUAUCUUAUUCAUAUCUAAAAUUCUAAAUAUAUGAAUUUAUUUAUUAUGGUGACAUAAUAAUAAUUGUAAAUUAAAAAUAAAUUUACUAUUAAAAAAAUAAAAUUUAUUAAUAAAAAUAAGGGUUAUAUAUCUUUUUUAAAAUGUUAAGAAGUUUUAUAUCUCUUUUUUAGAUUAAAUUUUCUAUUUCCUAUUAAGCAAAACCCACGUCAAAAGUGAAAAGGAAAAACAGAGCCCACAGAAUAGAGCCCAUUACAAAUAUAAAAUCGGAGGAGCUCAUGAUCAUGCCUUUUGCUUUACAUACUAAAUUAAAUAAAAGCCAAACCAGAAUCUUGCCUUUCCUUAACAUGAUUAAUUAGGCCCUGCAUCAGAGAGAACAUGAAAGCAAUGAACCAUUUUGUUAAUCUUAAAUGUCAGGAAUAUAAUUAGCUUGGAAUAAAGUUGCAUUCUUCUCCUCUGACUGUCUCUUCAGGUUCAUUUUAAAAGUUUGAAGAGAGUUUCAAUUCUUCUACACUUUAGAAUAUCAAUGUUCUUGCUUUCUUCAAAUGUUGAAUAAAGAGAAAAAAAAAUUGUUGACUGUAGAAGGAAAAUAGAAUGCAUCCACCUUCGCUUUGGAAGUCUUCUACUUAUAAAAGCAAGCUAAAUUAAAAGAUUUUAAUCUCUCUUUUUAUUAUUAUAAGUGCACUGCAUUUUUUUUAAAUAAUCACCUAUACAAAUUUGUAAUGUAAUGAAAUAUUCAUAUUCCUGUAGUGUCGAAAUGAGAUAAAAUGAAAUUUUAAAUAACACAAUUUCGACUCGUUUGUUAAAGGUAUAUACUUAAUAAGCUAAUAACAUAAUUAACAGAACCCUAUUAUUACACUAAAUGAAAUAAAAGACGGUAGCCACCAAUAAUUACACUAGCAAGCUUCGCAUGCUCGUGUUUAAGGAACUGGACAUUGGUGAAUUAAUCACGGAUAAGAAACAAUUUCAAAAAACAAAAUGGAUACUAUACAUUUUCUUUUUUUAAAUUGUACAGAAAAUGGGACUAAUUUUCAAAUAUUUUCAAAUUCACUUAUUAACAAAAGCUAUACAAAAUGAUUUCCUUUUUAUUUUGAAAUAUUAUACGGAAUCAAAUAACAGUGAUUGAGAGAGUGUAAAGUGGUAAUUCUCCGAUUGUAUUUUCUCUCUUUUUUAAAAGGAGAUGGUGGGGUUUGGUUGUUUACAAAACUAUUGGUGUGAGGGUCUAUUUGUUUUUGUUUUCACUUUAUUAAUUAAUUACGAAGCAAACAUGUAAUCAUUUGUAAAGGGGCCACUAGCAUCGGAUCAUGUAAGAUGAAUUCGUAGGACUUAUUAAUUUUGAUGAAAAUGUAGCAUUAUUAAGUUAUUAAUUCAUUAACUUGAGGUACUAAUAUUUACUAAUUGUGGUGAUUAAUUUAUUUAACUUUGUCAUAAUUUUCAAUUGAGAAUGAAGUUCAAUCAAUGUAUAAAAAAAUAAUUUUUUUAGAUUUUUAAUUCCUAUGAUUUAAUUUCUCUCUGUUUCGAUUAUUGACGUGUUAAAAGCUUGCAGAAUAUCAUGAAAUGCUUGUAUCUCACCUCACAAAUUGGCAAAUAUCGGAAGGCUUCCAUGACGAAUUGAAAUUAAAAACAACUACCAUCGAAAUUUAAUUUUAAGAAUCUUUUUUACUUGAAAUUUUUGAAAAAAAAUUAACCAGAUUAAAUUAGAGAUAUCAACCUUAACUUAGUGUUGUGCACCACAUUGGCCACUUCUAAUUGUGAAAAGAAAUAGAACUUUUGUAUCGAUGAAACUUAUUUUAUUAGUAUUAUUCAUCAUAUGGUUAAUGGCUUAGCCGAAGGAGAAGGGGUCAGCCAAAAUAAAUAAAGUACCUUCUCAUGCAUUAACCUUUAUUAACUGUUGUAGUUAAAAUAAUUUUAAAACAAGUUAAAACAGUUCCAAUUCAAAAUCAGUAGGCUGCGAUUGGGUUGUUACACAUAUUUCUAAAUUUCAGUCUAAUUUAAUUGUGUAUGGACAAAUUAACUUUUAUCACUUCUUUUAUAUUAAUACUCAUAAAUUUCAAUCUAACUUAACAAAAAUAAUGUUCAAAUUGUCACAAAAUGUUCUUUUCUUAAAAAAGAAAAGAAAAUCAUAUAUAUAGUAGUUAAUUUUUCUUCUUCUUUACUUCAGGAUCCAACUCCGUACUCCACUUUUUUGUUGUUAUUGUACCUAGCCGUUAGAUUUUAAUUACGUUGUUUUAACGGUUUGGAUUUGUAAAUGAAUAACGACGUAGUGUUUGACUACCAUCUGAACCCACUGCAUCUAAUUGGUUUUGUGAUUUUUUGCUUUCUUCAAUAAAAAAACAGUUUAUUUUUGGUCGUCGAAACAUGGUAAGUGAGAAAGAUUAUUCUGUUUUUUUUUUUGUUAAUUAGGUUAGCAUUUAUGAUUGAGUGACUCAGAACUAUAUUUUAGAUUGAGAAUCAAUGGUUAAGAUUGUCGUUUGCUAUUUUAUCGACAAGAGAGCACUCGAUUUUAUUAAAAGGAGAAAGUCAUAAGAUUUCCUUUAUGAGAAAAUGUAUCUGAUCAUUCCUUUUUACUGGAAAAAUUAAUAUACAAAAACUUACUAAUAAAUGACAUAAUAUACAUAAAUUAUUAAUUCAUUUGAUAGUUGAUUAUCGAAUGACAUUUGAUCCAUGGGAGCAUGCAGUCUAUAAAAUAAUUCUUCUUUUUUUUUUUUUAAACAAAAAAUCGGUGAUGUUGAAAAGCAUUUCUGUAUAUUAUUAUUACUCUAAUUGGAGUGAACAUUUCAUAAAAAGAAUGCCGUAUGAAACUAAAUUAUUAAUUCGUUUGAUAGUUGGUUAUUGAAUGACAUGUGACCCACAGUAAAUAGUUAAAUUUGGCGGCAACAAUAAUUACAAGACGAACUUAAAGCAGCGCAUAGGUUUUUCUUAAAAAUACAUAAACAAUUCGAUAUUUGAAAUUCUAAUAUCUCAAUAAUAUUGAUCAUGAUUCAGUUACCAAUUAGAUCCACUUACAAUUUCUUUUUUUCUUUUUUUUGAUUUCCAAUCUUUACCAAAAGAAAAUAUUUAGUGACCCCUUUUAUCAACUUGGUUUUAUUGACUUUCUUCCAAUCAUAGAAGUGAAAAGAGAAACAGAGGCCAGCACCAAUAAGUGUUACCAGAUUCUGUAAAGACAAAAUCAGUGCCCAGCAAAAAGAAGCUAUGUUUUCGUUAUAUGCUGCUUCCUAUUUAGUACAUGCAUAUAAAGAUAUACACGUGCACAUGCAGCACAUCUAUUUAAAAUUUAAAAAACCGAAUUAGAAAUACAGGAUUUAUGGUAGAAAUACAACAGGAAUAAGAGUGAAAUUCCAAUUUUAAAAUUUGGGAAAAAUGAAAUACGAUAUUUUUUUAUGAAUAAAAUAAUUUAAUUUUUUUUAAUUCUACCAGCAAAAACCAUUAACUUAUCAAGUUUUUGGUUUCAUUUACAGUUGACAGUCGGUUUCUUAGUUUCAUUCCUUAAUUCUACAAGAAAAAAACAGAAUACUUGACAUUUUUUAUUUGACAAUUUUUAAGAAAUGUCAAACAUAUAUGACAUUUUGUGAAAAACUGAGUAAUUGUGAAAUAUAAAUGACAAUUUAUUUAAACGUCAAAUAAUUGUGACGUUUUAUUAAAUAAAUGAUAAAUAUAUUACAUUUUUAUUGAAUAAUUAUCAUUUACCUUUUCCUUUUAUUGACUUGAGAAAAAAAAAAACAAAAAAAUUGACUAUACUGCUUUUGUUUUCGUUCUUAGAACAGAUUUUAGUUUCUUUUGAGAAAAUUCAAACUCAUUCCCAUUACUUUCUUUUCAAAAAUCACCUCUCAAUUUUUCAUCAAUCACUCAAUUCCGAAUUUCAUCUCCAUUCUCUUUCGAAGAAGAAUGCACGAAGAAUUUUAGCUUGCUUUCGCUGCUUCUCGAAUAUUGGGUAUUGUUUCCUUUAGUUUAGAUAAUUUUUUUUUUAUAUCUCUCUUUCUAGUUUGAUAAUUUAGGGUUAUACUUGAAUUAAUUGUAUUUUUAAUCAACCAAGGUUGAUUUAAUUGAUUCCAAGUCUCAAUUUCCUGUUCAACAAACAAGGAACGCACAAAUAAUUUUCAUUUUCAUACUCAACUUUGAAAGAAUCAAUUUAUUUUAUCUUUGGUUAGCACACUUCUGUUCAAUUUUUGUUUAUUUAACUUAAGAUAUCUUUUUCUUUCUUUUCUUCAAGCAGAUUAUAGAUUAUAUUGAGAACAGAGCUUUCUCCUUAAUUCCGCCAAGAGCAACGUUGAUUUCAGGUGAUAAUUGAAUGUGUAAUAUUUUCAAUUGAAAUUAAUUGAGUCUCGUAAUAAUAAUAGGGAUUUGAGAUUUACAUCCUGUUGAAAUAAUUUCAGAGUGUUCUGCUAUUUGAAUGCGCAUUAAUUGUUUGAUUAAAUGUCUCUUUAAAAGAUUAUUUUUGUUUUUAGCAAACAUCUUAAUGCACUUUGCAAAUUGAAUCCAACAAGGGAAAAUUAUAGAACUGCAACAGUUUUCAAAUUGAUUGCAUAUUAGAAGUAAUGUUAAUUUAUGCUGCAACAGUUCAAUGGGCUGGGCACAAGUUUAGGACUUUAGUUGCUCAAUUAAUGAAUCCACCACUCAUCAGACUUGGAACUUAUAUCUAUUGAAUCAAUAAAAAUAGUUGAUGGAAUCAAUGCCGAAAGCUUCAUUUGAUAUUUAUUUAUAACAUCUGUUAGAUUCUGCACAAUCACAAAUAUAUAGUAGCAGAAACUAUGUUAGAGACACUGUAGUUGCUUAAUUAGUGAAAUUGUGAUCUCAUUGCCCCCUUUUUUUGGUUGAUUCUAUAAUUUUAUUAGUUGUUCUUGUGGUUGUAAACAAUAUCAAUUUCUAAUAUUAAUAAAACUGAAUGAAUAAAAUGCGAUGCAUUUGCCGGAAAGUUAAUAGUUUAAAUAUGGAUAAAUCUUGGAUGUUGAUGGAUAGAAGGUCUAUAGAAUAUGAGAACUUCAUGCUAGUCAUGCUAGUCAUCCUGAGCUUUUGAGAUGUCCAUGCCAAGCACGUCUUAGUUUAUAGGCUCAAACAAGUAUAGAAAAUGCAUGAUAGAACACAGAACUCAUAUUUUAGCAACAAUCCUCAGCUCAUUGGCCCUUAGUUCAGAAUGACAAUUCUUAUUAGCCAAAGAUUCAAAAUGAUUUUUAGUUGUUUAUAAGUAGAGCACUAGAUCAACAAAUACUUGAAGACCUGCAGCUUGGCUAUUGAACUAUACGAUGGUGGCAAUUCGAAGACUAGAAGUUGGCUCUGCCAUUCGAAGUAAGCAACGCAGCUGCCCAAAGUCUGCCAAGCCAUCAAGACUCCAUCAAGUAUACUUCAAAGCCACAUCAAGACAAUACUAAGAUACAACAUCAAUAAUAAUAACACCAAGAAAUACAUGGAGGCCAUUACAUGCUACAGCCACCCCAAUAAGAAAUUAAUAAAGACAUUCCUAGAAAGUUACAAACCCAUGCAGUAGGAAUAACUAAUUAAUUUAUACAGUUCAGUACUCGUUCCUCUGUUUCAAAUCCAAAUCCACUGGUCUACCAUUUAUUAUGACGCAAUGUAUAUGCCGAUAUUAUCCUCCCUCCGUUAUGUACCUUUCAAUUUAGUGAGGUUUAGACAGGGGUUCCAGAUUUGGUAAAUCAACAAUCACCAGAUAUGAUAGAGCGGCCGGAAGAGGAAGCAUGGUUCCUAAUCCUAAUCUUGAUUUAGAGCAGAUUAGGUAACAUGUGGCAUUCUACAUUCCUGCAAUGCUAUUUCUUGUUAUGGCAGCGGCAUUCUUGGUCAUGGCAUCACAAGCAAAUGCUUUGAUUUGAAGACUUGCUCGGCUAUGAAAAAUAAGGAGAGCAAAGGUAGUUAAUCUUGGUGUGGUCAACAGUUUAAUGGGGGUACUAAGAAAAAUAAAGAUAAUAUAAGGAAUGUUGUUGAGGAGUAUUUUGAUAUUUACAAAAGUGUUCAAAGUAAAAAUUGAUUUCUUAAAACCCAUUAGCUAGCACACAUAAUAAUGGGGAGAAAAUUUUAGACUACGAAUAGUCCCACCCAUUUAAUAAUAUUCUUCAAUCAAUUAUGUUUAGUUCAAAAAAAAAAAAAAAAACCCAUCUCUUUAUUACUUUCUAACUAUUCAUAUUAAUGUGUUAAUAAUUAUGAAGAACCGGUGUAAUUUAUGUGAUGUAGGAAGCACUUUAGGCAAAAUCAUCUGAAUCUCAAAAUUUCGUGAUAUUGUGCCAAAUAUCCAAAACAGAGCUUCCUACAUUGCUAUAGCAGUUUUUAAAAGUUGAGGACUCCAAAUAUCCAAUAACUGAUAAAUUGUGUUAAGAAAUAUAAAUAUUAAUGGUGACGACACAUAUGUAUGGAAUUCCUCUGUUUUGAGUUUGACUAAAACAACCUGAAUAAUUUCAAACAAUCCAUCAGCCCAAAGUCCUUGAGAGAUUGAACUGGAUUUCAGUGCAUCACAUUUUGAAAUUGAAACUAACAUUAAUUAGAAAGGCCGAACAGCCUCUGUUUUUUACUAUAAUACAAAAUGGGAAGUCAAAAACCAAUUCAAGGAACUCUCCUGUUUUUGACUGAACAUACAUAAUCCGAACAAUUUACAAUUAAAUAAAUCGUCCAAAAUCUCCUUUAGUCCAACCCCCAUUUCCAUGGUUUAAUAGAAUAUCAUAAAGGUAUCCAAUACAGUGAAAUUAACGUUCAGCUCAUGAAGUUUCCGUUAUAUAUAUUGAAAAAGAAAUUAAUAAAAGAAAUUGAAAACCAAUUGACACUGGAUCAUGUAAGAUUGUUAGUUGUUAAUUAUGAUGGAAAUAUACACUUGGUCUAUCAAUUACCAUCUAGCUAAUGCAUGUGCACUUUCAUUUGUGUCUAUCACUGAAGAGUAGAGUUACUUGAUUGAAUAGUAUCAUAUCACAAAAACUCAAAACUCAAUUUCAUUGCGCGAGCAUACCACGCCAUAUGUAACUCAAAAGUGCAAUAACAUUGAACAUUCAGCUAGCUAGCUUAUACUAAUUAAUUAAUACGACUACUAGUUCUUUAUGAUUAAUUAAAAGAUAAAAUAUUUGACAAUCACGAAACAUUAUUCUAUCACUAAAGAUUAGAGCUUCCUACAUUGUUACCCAAACUCUUUUAUAUCUCCCAAACGUUAUUAGAGUCCCACAUUUGUGGGCACAUCAUUAAGUAAAAUGUGCCAAUUAGGAAGAGCUAGCUUUUUUGUUCUGUUUUCUCGAAUGCGUUGCAACUUGCAGGAAAUUUAAACCGUCAACACCUGCAGGAAAUUUAUAUAUAUUCUGUCAGCACUUGCAUACAUUGCAAUUUUCAACGAAUUCCAAAUCUUCAGAUCUUGAAUUAGCUGGACUGACGUCCGACCAACUCCACUGGCUAAAACAAAGGAUUAAUUUUUGAGAAAUUAUAAAGAAAUUAAUACAAGUAAAAUGAACCUAUUCAUUUGAUUUGAUAUAAUUGGCUAAGGGUGAUUUCGAUAACGUUUUCAAAGAAGAUAUAGAACAAAGAUCAAAAUGAAAAAUAAGUAAUUUGAUCAGUCCAUGCAAAAAAGGCGCAAGCUUCGCCCACACAUGCAUGUGUCUGACUAACAGGACAUGGCUUGGAGCAAGGAUCAAUGGACAAGUUUGAGGUUUAUGAAAUAUUGAGAAAAUAGACAAAUAAUAAAGCCACUGCAAGUUAAGCAGAUCAAAUAAACAGAACAAAGGAAAUAAAUGAUCAAUUUAAUUCUUUGUGAAAUGGCCACAGGCCACAGCAACAACGAAAAUAUGUCUACAUGCAGCAUUACAUCAACAUUUGAUCAUCUAUCAAUUUUCAUGAUAUUAGAUUAGAAACAUUGAGUUCAUAAUUUUAUGUAAUUUCAUGUACUAGAUAUAUAUAAUUGAUUGGAGUUAGUUUAAAAUAUAAAGAAAGAGUAAUGGGGAGUGAUGUCAAUGUGGCAUUUGAUGAGUAAAGAUAGACAACAAAUAUUGAUCAGGUAAUAAUGAAAUAUGUAUUUACUGAAAAAUAUUGGCAAUAAAAUGAUGCUAUAAAAAUUUAAUAUUAGUUGCAAGCGAAUAAAUUGACAAUUAAAAUUAAUAGAUAUAUAGGCAAUGCUUUAGGUUUAUUUUAUCAUUUCACACCAUUUUGCAACUACAUUUUAAUUAGAAGUUCAAUUAAUUUUGACCAAAGACUCUAGAGAAUGUCAAAAAGAGAUAUGAUUUUUGUAUACCAAAAAAAAAAUAGAAAUGAAAUAAGUCAAAAUCAAUUACAAGAACAACAAUAAAAGCAUAUUUUAUAAAAGCCACAAAUACAUAAUAAGAGUUUAGUUUUGAGUUACAUAAUUAUUAAUGGGUAAAAGUCCAUUUAGUCACUGUAUUUUAAGAUUAGUGUCCAUUUAGUCCCUGUAUUUUUAAAAAUGUCUCGAAACAUUCCCGUCGUUAAAGUAUUGAUACCCUACUGUUACUUUUUAUUUUUUUGACUUAUUUUUACAUUAUUACCCUUUUAUAAUAAUUUUUUUGUCUGAACAUUAAUAAAAAAAAUUAAAUUACCAAUUUAAUCCUAGAAAAUUAAAAAAAUUAUAUUAAAUUUUUUUUCAAGCACCAUUUGCACACUUGGUAGUUUGCAUACAAUUUUUAACAAUAUAAUUUUUGACAAUUAGAAAUUAAUAUAAUUUUUUUUUAUUUUUAGGGUUAAAUUGGUAAUUUAAUUAUUUUCUUUUUAUUAAUGUCCAAAAAAAAAUUAUUAUAAAAGGGUAAUAUUGUAAAAGUAAGCUAAAAGAAAUAAAAAGUAACGGUAAUAGUAUCAAUACUUUAACAGCAGAGAUGUUUCGAGGCAUUUUUAUAAAUACAUGGAUUAAAUGGAUACUAAUUUUAAAAUAUAAGGACUAAAUGUGCUUUUACCUACUAUUGAUUUAUAUAGUAAGAGAGUUUUAUAGAAAUGUAGGAAUUUUUAAAAGAGUUUUGCUAGAGCAAAAAGUUUAGUUUGGUCUAGUUUGUGGAGGUUUAAGUAGUUGAAAGCCGUGCAAAUGAAGGAAACAUAAACUUCUAAUUUUUUACAAAGUAAUGGCUAAAAUAUUUGAAAAGUUUGAGAUUUUAAAAAGGCUGGGAAAAUAGACAAAUAGUGACGACACUACAAGUUGGCAGAGCAAAUAAACAGAGGAAAACAGGGCAGAUAAUUACCAUUAUACCUAUAAUUUUUAUUUUUUCCAAAAACAAAUGUUGCGAUUUUUUUUUCCAAAAAAGAAGCACAGUCUGCUAUUACCACUAAAGAAUGUUAGCUACUUUAUAUAAGCAUAUGUCUAAUUACCAAAUAAAUUCCACUUUAACAAAGAAUAAAAGUUAAUUUCAUUGAUGGCCCGUGUUGUGCUUUCUUUUUUUAUUAUUUUUCCUUUUAGAUGUUGAAGUUACUUUGUAAACUUCUCCAAGCGAAUUAAAAAAUUUCCGCUUACUCUAGGAUCUUUUCAAUCGGCCUGCAAUUUGUAUUCUUGUCUGUAAGAUUGAUUUUUUUCUUUAAAAAAAUUUAAAAAGGGAUGAGAAAUCUUACCCACUAAAUACCAACUUUGAAUUUUGUUAUUAUUCAAACUUUGUAUUUCUUGCUCAAAGCCAGUUAAACUGUGUCUAACUGUCAUGCAGGUUCCAUUUUUACUUGAUUAACUGUAUAUACAAAACUAAAUCACCUGAGCCUCUGGUUUCACUAUUUUCCAACUAGAAACUUAAACGCAGAAUUGAUGGUAUUGGAGUUCCUUAUUUAUUUUAUGUACUAUUGGCCGCUAGGUAGCUUGGUCAUAUACGUGUAUGGGGAUGUCAUGUUAGGAAAUUGGUGGGUAAAGCAGACACGCAGCUACAAUAAAAUUGGAAGAAAAUAAAGAACAAGCACAAAAGAGAAUACCAGAAAUUACGUGGUUCGGCUUUUAGCCUACGUCCACGGGCGAAGACAGGAGGAAAUAUUAUACUAGUGAAAAGGAGUUACAAGUAUUGUAGUAUUUUAGCUCACUACCCAAAACCCCAAUACACCCAAACUCUCAAAUCACUAAGCACACAAAAUUCUUUGCUCUUGCAAGAAUUACUUCUCUCAACUCUCAAUUCUCUCUACAAAAAUUGCCUCUCAAGAUUGGAAUGAAAAAUGAGUUAGGGAGCUCUUCCUUUUAUAGCCAAAAAAAUGGCUAUUAAAUUAAUAUAUAUAUGUAUAUAUUUCAAAUGUUGUUGCCAACUUCUUCUUUUUCUCCAUUUGGAUGGCACCAUUUUCUUUGGCCGGCUGCACAUUUUCUUUGGCCGGCUUGUCAAAACCAACUUGAAUUGGUUUUGUGGCCACCGGCCUUUGACAUUUCUCCCACUUGGAGAUUUGAUUGAAAAUCAAUCAAUCUCCACAUCAUCCUUUCUGCUUCGCCAUAAUCAUGUUGCCUACGUUUUCGUUAGGCCACUAAAGGAUCUACUCCAGACAAACUUAUCAGUAUUGAUUGGCUUGGUCAAAACAUCUACUAGGUUCUCUUUGGUAUGGAUUUUCUGCAAAUCCACACUUCCGUCUUCCACUACUUCUCGUACGAAGUGAUACUGAACUCCUAUGUGCUUUGUCCUGGAAUGAAAGGCUGGAUUCCUUGCAAUGUGCAAGGCACUCUGACUGUCACAAAACACAGAAAUUUUCUGUUGUUUGUGCCCGAGCUCCUCCAAUAGCCUUUGUAUCCAAAUAGCUUCCUUGCAAGCUUGUGUAGCUGCCAUGUACUCUGCUUCUGUUGUAGAUAAUGCCACAACGGUCUGCAGUUUCGAAACCCAGCUUACAGCUGCUCCCGCAAGUUCAAACACAUAACCAGUAGUGGAUUUCCUUUUAUCAAGGUCUCCUGCAAAAUCUGAAUCCACAUAACCCCUGACAGUAAACUCUGAUCCUCCAUAACAUAAUGCAACAUCUGAGGUUCCUCUGAUGUAUCUCAGAAUCCUCUUCACAGAUAUCCAAUGCUCUUCACCAGGAUUCGCCAUGUAUUGACUGACUGCUCCCACUGCUUGUGCAAUGUCCGGUCUUGUACAUAUCAUAGCGAACAUUAAACUUCCCACUGCUGAUGCAUACGGUACUCGAGACAUCUCCUUCCUCUCUGCUUCAUUGCUAGGACACAUACUUGAGGAUAAUUUGAAAUUAACAGGAAGUGGGGUAGAAAUUGACUUACAAUCUUGCAUGUUGAAGUGUCGCAAGAUUUUCUUCAAAUAAUUCUUCUGCGAAAGCCAAAUCUUCUUGUUAUUUCUGCCUCGGUGAAUUUGCAUCCCUAGAAUCUUGUUUGCUGGUCCCAAGUCCUUCAUUUCAAACUCCCUAUCCAACUGUGCCUUUAAUUCUUGGAUUCGAUCUUUGUUGGGACCUGCUACCAACAUGUCGUCCACAUACAACAGUAAAAUAAUGAAAUCAUUAUCUUCAAACCUCUUGUAAUAUGCACAAUGGUCUGAACUGAGUCUGUUGUAUCCAAGGCUCAUGAUGAAGGAAUCAAAUCUCUUAUACCAACACCUCGGCGCCUGUUUGAGACCGUAAAGAGAUUUGUUCAACUUGCAAACCAAGUUCUCCUUUCCUGUUUCUGCAAAACCUUCUGGUUGAAGCAUAUAUAUUUCUUCUUCAAGUUCUCCAUGAAGAAAUGCAGUUUUCACAUCUAAUUGCUCAAGAUGUAGGUCAAAUGUAGCACACAUCGCCAAGACUAUUCUGACUGUUGUGAGUCGAACCACGGGCGAAAAUAUCUCGUUGAAGUCAAUACCUUCUUUCUGAGCAUAUCCUUUCACCACCAAUCUUGCACGAUAUCGCUCCACUUGGUCAUUGCCAUCACGCUUGAUCUUGUAGACCCAUUUGUUUCCAAUGGCUUUUCUUCCACGUGGUAGUGGUACAAGUUCCCAUGUCUUGUUCUUGUGUAGAGCUUCAAUUUCUUCCUGCAUUGCUGUCAUCCACAAAGCAAUAUCUGAGCUUUCUAAAGCUUUAUGGAAAGUUGAUGGCUCUCCAUCCUCCGUUAGAAGACAGUACGCAACGUUGAUCUCUGUGACAUACUCCGAGUGCCACGUUGGUGGUCGUCUCUCACGAGUUGACCGACAAACUUCUGGAGCCUCGGACUCGACUGGUUCUUGUUCCUUGUGCUCUGGUGCUGCUUCAGAAGAAUCUGAAUCUUCUAGAUUAUUUUCCACAUAUACUGGCACGGUCUCUGACUUUUCUUUUGUAGUGCUAUCAUCCUCAUCUCUCAUUUGCAGUUGAUCUUCUACAAAGAUAACAUCUCUGCUGAUGACGAUCUUGUGGGCAGUGGGGUCCCACAACGAUACCCCUUUACUCCAUCAGCAUACCCCAAGAAGAUACAUCUUCUAGAUUUUGGAUCUAGCUUUGUUCUUUCUUGGGCAUUGUACAUCACGUACACAGGACAUCCAAAUGCAUGUAGGUAGGAAUAAUCAGCUGGCUUUUCAGUCCACAUUUCCAUCGCUGUCUUCAGCCCAAUAGCUGUAGAUGGCGAUCGAUUUACUAUAGAACAUGCAGUUGGCUGCUUCUGCCCAGAAUGAAUUGGGUAGACUAGCAGUCCUCAACAUAGCUCUUAUUCUUUCUGUAAGAGUUCUGUUCAUCCGCUCUGCCACUCCGUUUUGUUGAGAAGUGUAUGCUACCGUGAACUACCUCUGAAUACCUUCUUGCUUACAGAAAGCAAGAAACUCGCCGUCUGUAUACUCUCCACCAUUAUCUGUCCUCAAGCACUUGAUCUUUUUACCAGAUUCAAGUUCCACCCGCGCUUUGUAUUCUUUAAACAAAGGAAAUACAUCUGACUUUUUCUUAAUUGGAUACACCCAACAUCUUCUGGAAUAAUCAUCAAUGAAAGUCACCAUGUACUUUGCACCUCCCAUGGAUAUAUCUGGUGAUUCCCAAACAUCAGAAUGAAUCAAGUCUAGAAUGCAUUUACUUCUAGCAAUAGAUCUACUAAAUUUUAAUCUAUGCUGCUUACUUGUAACACAAUGCUCGCAAAAUGGUAAACUUACCGAUUUGAGCCCCGGAAGCAAUUUUCGCUUAGAGAGAAUCUUCAAGCAUUGUUCUGACAUGUGGCCAAGUUUGAGAUGCCACAUCAUCGUUGAUUCUUCUCCAUUUGACGCGACACACGCAUCAGCCUCCUGUAGUGUUUCUCCUCUAAGCAUGAAUAGAUUAAAACCGAUCUUUUCUGCUUUCAUCAAUACAAGCGCGCCUUUAACGAUCUUCAUAAUUCCAUUCUCCACAUGAGUUUUGUACCCAUGACAAUCCAUUUGUCCCAAAGACAAUAGAUUUUUCUUCAGGCCGUUGACAUAUCGUACCUCCCCAAUUGUGCGAAUUGUACCAUCAAACAUUUUUAUUUUGAUAGUACCAAUACCAGCGAUCUCCAAGGCAUGAUCAUCUCCCAUAUAUACAGAUCCUCCUGAGAUAGGUUCAUAUGUGUGGAACCAUUCUCUCCUAUAGGUCAUGUGCCAGGUAGCUCCUGAGUCUAUAAGCCAGACAUCAGAAAGUCGUUUUCUGCCUUCUGAAAUAGUUGUUGCCUCGCUGUAAAGAAUUUCGCCAUCAUCCGAGGUACUUGCUACACAACCCUGAGCAUUUGAUGACUCAGGUUCUUUGCCCUCUCUUUUCUUCUGGUUACUCCAACACUCUUUCUUGACGUGCCCUCUCUUGCCACAGUUGUAGCAUUUAACAUUCUUCUUACUUCUGGAUUUUGAUCUACCAUGAUUUUGACUCCCACUGGGGCCACGUUCCGUUGAUCUCCCUCUUGUCACCGAUAGCGCUUCUGCUUGCUGCGAACUUGCUUGUCUGUUUUCCUUAUUUUUCCGCCUGCUCUCCUCAUUUAAUACUGAGGUUGCAACAUCGUCGAAAACUAGACUAUCCACUGGAUUGUUGUUCGUCAGGUUGAUGAUGAGUUGAUCAUACGAAUCUGGUAGACUUUGAAGUAGAAGCUCUGCACGUUCAUUUUCCUCUAUAUUAUGACCCAACAUUGUGAGUUGUGAAAAUAGAGUCUUCAAUGUGUUGAUGUGGUCGGUCAUCAUUGUAGAUUCCGCCAUUCGAAGAGUAUAGAGUUUUCUCUUCAAGAAGAUUUUGUUGUGUAGUGACUUGGCCUCGUACAAUUUUGUGACAGUAUCCCAUAUUUCCUUCGCCGUAUUUUUCUCUGCCACACUGGAUAAUACUCCGUCUGCAAGUGCCAAGUGUAGAUCAGAAAUGGCGUUGCCGUCUACCUCGUUCCACUUGUCAUCAGUUAUCUCCAUGGGCCUUUCUCCAAUUGCUGCCAAGCAAUUAUUUUUCCUCAAUACAGCUUUCAUCUUCAUUUUCCACAACGAAAAAUUAUUUCCGUUAAACUUCUCAAUUUCAUACUUUGCCGCCAUUUUGUUGAUAAAUACCGCACACAAGCUAGUGUACCACCUUGAAUAGUUGUGAGUAUGUGUGAGAAUGCACACCAGGAAAGUUCCCAGGAAAGACUGGAGGGGUCACAAUGGUCCCACUUAAAACCCAGACUCCUUAAGCUCUUAUCGCCUUUGUGACAGAACUUUCCUAGACAUGUACAAAACCACACAGUUGCUUUACUCACACCACUAUUCCCUGCUUUGCACCGCAAAAUUCUUGGAUCGCUUCCACCGUUUCACGUGAAUAGUACCGUAUACGUGAAUAGUGCCGUAUACGUGAACAGUAACUGACUCCAAAAAUAUAACCAAUAGCUCUGAUACCACUGUUAGGAAAUUGGUGGGUGAAGCAGACACGCAGCUACAAUAAAAUUGGAAGAAAAUAAAGAACAAGCACAAAAGAGAAUACCAGAAAUUACGUAGUUCGGCUUUUAGCCUACGUCCACGGGCGAAGACAGAAGGAAAUAUUAUACUAGUGAAAAGGAGUUACAAGUAUUGUAGUAUUUUCGCUCACUACCCAAAACUCCAAUACACCCAAACUCUCAAAUCACUAAGCACACAAAAUUCUUUGCUCUUGCAAGAAUUACUUCUCUCAACUCUCAAUUCUCUCUACAAAAAUUGCCUCUCAAGAUUGGAAUGAAAAAUGAGUUAGGGAGCUCUUCCUUUUAUAGCCAAAAAAAUGGCUAUUAAAUUAAUAUAUAUAUAUGUAUAUAUUUCAAAUGUUGUUGCCAACUUCUUCUUUUUCUCCAUUUGGAUGGCACCAUUUUCUUUGGCCGGCUGCACAUUUUCUUUGGCCGGCUUGUCAAAACCAACUUGAAUUGGUUUUGUGGCCACCGGCCUUUGACAUGUCAUGGGGCCUAAAAAAUAAAGGUGAAAAUCAGUCACAAAUCUGAAGUGAAAAACAGUAACUAGAACAGAAUCUAUGUUUUGAUGUCUUUAGUUUAUAGGCUCAAACAAUUAAUAGUAUAGAAAAUGCAUGAUAUAGCACAGAACUCAUGUUUUAGCAAUAAUCCUAAGCUCACUGGCCCUUAGUUCAGAAUGACAAUUCUUAUUAGUCAAAGAAUCAAAAUGAUUUUUAGUUGUUCAUAAGCAGAUCACUAGAUCAACAAAUAAUUGAAGACUGGCUUGGCUAUUGAACCAUACGCGGCAAUUCGAAGACUGAAACUUAACUCUGCCGUUCGAAGUAAGCAACUCAGGUGCCCAAAGGCCGUCAAGCCAUCAAGACAAUAUGAAGAUACAACAUCAAUAAUAAUAACAUCAAGAAAUACAUAGAGGCCAUUACAUAUUACACCUAUCCCAAUUAGAAAUUAGUUAAUACAGUCCUAGCUCCUCUGUUUUAAAAGAAAUUUACAAACCCAUGCAGUAGGAAUAAUUAAUUAAUUUAUACAGUUCGGUACUCAUCCCUCUUCUGUUUCAAAUCCAUAUCCACUGCUCUGCCAUUUAUUACUACGCAAGGUAUAUGGGUUAGCAAGUGCCGACAUUGUCCUCCAUUCUUUGUGUGCCUUUCUUCUAUCAAGGGACAACCCAAGAUCUCUAAUCGCAAGAAAAAUAUUUCAGAGUAAAAAGUGAUUUCUUAAAAUCUAUUAGCUAGUGCACAUAAUAAAAGGGCAUUCAUGGUAAAUUUUAGAUUACAAGUAGUCCAACCUUUUAAUAAUAUUCUGCAAUCAAUUCCGUUUGUUUUAAAAUAAAAGAAAUCCAUCUCUUUAUUACUUUCUAAUUAGUCAUAUUAAUGUGUUAAUAAUUAUGAAGAACCAGCGUAAUUUAUAUGAUGUAGGAAACCCUUUAGGCAAAAUAACCUGAAUUUUUUAGAGUAGCGGCUAGACAUAUUGGGCAUAACCUCAGUUUCUGUUACUUCUUUGACCCUGCCUAAGCUCUUUUAAGGGCUAAUAUCAAAAUUUCGUGAUAUUGUGCCUACAGAGCUUCCAAUUCAAGGAGCUCCCCUGUUUUUGACUGAAACAUAUGUAAUCCGAACAAUUUGUAAUUAGAUAAAUCAUUCAAAAUCUCCCUCAAUCUAACCCACAUUUCUAUGGUUUAAUAACAUAUCACAAAGGUGCCUAAUAUAAUGAAAUUAGCAUUAGUUCACGAGAUUGCCAUUAUAUAUAUUGAAAAAGAAAUUAAUACAAGAAACUGAAAAUUAAUUGACACUGGAUCACGUCGUGUUGUUAGUUUGAUUAUGAUGAGAAUAUAAUCUUGGUCUUUUAAUUACCAUCUAGCUACCGCAUGUGCACUAGUUUCAUUUGUGUCUAUCACUAAAGAGUAGAGUUGCUUGAUUUGAACAGUAUCAUAUCAUAGAAACUCAAAACUCAAUUUCGUUGCCCGAGCAUACCAUGCCAUAUGUAGCUCAAAAGUGCAAUAACAUUGAACAGUCAGCUAGCUAGCUUUUACUAAUUAAUUAAUACGACUAUCAGUUAUUUUUUAUUAAUUAAAAGAGAAAAUAUUUGACAAUCGUGAAAACAACAACAAUUCACUCCAAUAAACAACAUAAUAAACACAUGAUAUAUAUUACAAGUCUUUUUAUGAUGUAGAUUAGAAGGGAAAAUACGAAGGACAUAUUAUAUAUUAUAUAUGAUUGAAUUUAAUCCAUGAUAAUUAGACAAAAUAACACUAAUCUAGCUAACUAAUCCAACCAUCAUAAUAAUUUGAUUUUCAUUAUUUUAUUGUGUCCAAUCAUGCUAAUUUAAUAAGAAAAACACAGAACACUUGAGGAUUUAGAUAUUCAACAACUUUGGCCAAGUUUGAAAAAAAUUAGAGCUUCCUUCAUGCUUUGUGUUCUUAUGUUACACAUGAUCAUAUUAUGUUACAUUUGACAGAAAACUGAAAAUUAUUGAAAAAAAAAAAUCUUAGUUAACACAUAAUCAAAAUGAGAGAAUAAUGCACACACAUCACAACAAUGUUUCAUUCAUUUUGAAUCUAUAUUUACAAAACUUGUAUCCGAUGGUUUACAUUUGUUUAAUCUAACGGCUAUGACGUGUACUGUCAAAACGCUACAGCUGCCAUCUCUGUUUGUCCUUGUUGCAUCCUUGAUCUUAUAUUAUCCUGGAGAUUAUUGAAUGUUCUUCUCAUUCUCAUGUGCUCGAGGGUCCUUUCUUGAGACAUUUCAGCAAACACCUGAUUCAUCCUAUUAAACAUCAGCAUCAUUAAUCAGUAAAUGAUGUAAGGUAGCCCUGUUUUGAGAAGUCAACAUAAAUCAGUCACCUUAGAUUUUCUCAGUCUCAGAGCACAACGGGUGAUGAUUUGAUGAAAAAUGUUAAUAUGCACGCAUCCCCUGAAUUAGCUAGAGCUGGUUGUCAUUUUCUUCUUUCUUUUGGUACUGUUUUAGAUUUUUAAUCAAUCAGAUUCAGCUGCAUGUUUGCUUUUAGUCCAAACCAAAAUAAGAUAUUAAGUACUUUUGCCAGAAUAGACGCAACCAAAAUUCUAUGGGAUCUGUAGUUCCUAGUUCAUGCAGAAGCGGCCGAAUGCUUCCGGCAAUCAGGAGCAGUGGUCACCCAAAGUAAAAGACUUUCUCUUGUAUUAACCUUUGCUAGCCGUCGAAGUUAAAAAAUUUUUUUGAACAAGUUAAAACAGUUCCAACUCAGAAGUAGUAGUGCCCAAUUGGGUUGUUAUAAAUAUUUCGGAAUUUCAGUCUAAGUUGAUUUGUUUAAUUAUGUAUGCACAAACUAGCUUGACCACUUCUUUCAUAUUGAUACCUAUAAAUUGCAACCUUAUUUUACGUUGAUGCACAAUCUAACUUAACAAAAACAAUAUUCAAAUUGUCACAGAAUGUUUUCUUCUUAAAAUAUAUAUAUAUAUAGUAGUUAAUUUUUCUUAUUCUUCACUCCAGGAUCCAGCUCCAUACCCCUCUUUUUUGUCGUUAUGCUGCUCAGCCGUUAGAUUUUAAUUAUGUUAAUCUAACGGUUGAGAUUUGUAAAUGAAUAAUGAAGUGGUGUUUGGCUACUAUCUGAGCCCAUUGCAUCUAUUUGGUGUUGUGAUUUUUCGCUUGACUAGUUCUGAAAAUAUCGGCAGCCAUCGACGGCAAAUCUGAACAAAGGCAACAUGAGGUGAUCGUGGUGAAAAUGUUUUUUGGCAUGCGAAUCUAAUGACUUUCGAAUACGUUCAUUCAAAUAUUAAAUGCAAUUCAGGCAAAUAGAAGCUUGGUUGAUUGAUUGCUCUUCAUGUGAAAUUCUACCUAAUGGCUAUCCUUUUAAUGGUUUAUAUUGUCUUAUAUGCAAAUUAAAUUCGGAAUUCGGAUGAUAAUAAUCUUCAUUUAGAACAGAUUAGGUAACAUGUGGCAUUCUACAUUCUUGCAAUGCCAUUUCUUUUUAUGGCAGCGCCAUUUUUAAAACGGCAUCGUUUUGUCCAUUAAGAUGUUUCAACUUGUCCCGGGCUGGACAUAUGACUCACUUAAUGAUAACAAAACGGCGAGGCAUGAUAUGAAGGUGUUUUGGCUAAAGGCUUAAGUUCUGCAUGUGACAAGCACGUGAGAGAAGAAUCAAGUUAGUUAUAAGUUGUUAUACACGUGGCUGGAUCUGGUGCAAUCUGGGGUAAUGAACACCCGUUAUAUAAGCUGAGCUUUCAGGCAGUUUCAGCAAGAUGUAAAGAGCUUCUAGUGAGAAUGAAGAGAUAGAAAAAGUAUCAUUUUAUUCCUUGUUAGUUUCUCCGUGUGAGCUCUGUAAAAUAAUUAACCCUAAAUAAUUUGUCCUGCAUCACCAAACUCCGGAUUUUACAAAGCACGCAUAAAGGAUAAUAGACACGUUUGAGGUUUUUUUUUUUAAAGAAAAAAGAUAAUGAAAAUAGACAAAUAAUGAAGACACAAGUUAAGCAGAGCAAAUAAACAGAGGAGAAUGAAUUAAAUACUAUCCUUGAGAACUCAAUUCUUUAAUAAACUCAAUUUUUUAAAUGUAAUUUUUUUUGGGGCUUAAACUCAUGUCAUAAACUGUAGUCUUUAAUUUGGGCUUUGUUGUAUCAAUUUUUUGGAGUUUAUCUUGUUUUAUUUUUUCGUUUUUAUAGUGCAAGAUUUUCGGUGGAGAUAAAUCAGGAAUAAGAGUGAAAUCCCAAUCUUAAAAUUUGGAAGAAAUGAAAUGCGAUUUGUUUUUUCAUGAAUAAAACAAUUCAAUUUUUUGUUAGCACUUGCGUAUGCUGCCAGUUAAUUACACCGUCAACACCUGCGGGAAAUUUAUAUAUUUUCUGUCAGGACUUGCAUACGUUGCAAUUUUCAAUGACUUCCAAAUCUUCAUAUCAUGAAUUAGCAGGAUUCACGUCCGACCAACUCCCCGCGGCUAAAUCAAAGGAUUAAUUUUUGAGAAAUUAUAAAGAAAUUAAUGCAAGUAAAGUGAGCCUAUGCAUUUGAUUUGAUAAUUGGCUGAGGGUGAUUUCGAUAACGUUUUCAAAGAAGAAAUAGAACAAAGAUCAAAAAGAAAAAACAAGUAAUUUCAGUCGAUGGAAGAAAUGAGCAAGAUUCGCACAUGCAUGCAUGCGUCUGACUAACAGGACAUGGCUUGGAGCAGGGAUCAAUGGACAAGUUUGAGGUUUAUGAAAUAUUGGGAAACAGACAAAUAAUAAAGCCAAUCCAAGUUAAGCAGAUCAAAUAAACAGAGGAAAUAACCGAUCAAUUCUUUGUGCAGUGGCCACAGCAACAGCGAAAAUAUGUCUGCAUGACUACAUUAAUUAAUCCUACUAUCACAUGCAGCAUUACAUCAACAUUUGAUCAUCUAUCAAUUUUCAUGAUAUGAGAUUAGAAAUAUUGAGUUCGUAAUUUCGUGUAAUUUCAUGUACUAGAUAUAUAUAAUUGAUUUGAGUUAGUUUAACAUCUAAAGAAAGAGUAAUGGGGAAUGAUGUCGAUGUGGCAUCUGAUGAAUAAUGAUAGACAACAAAUACUGAUCAUGUAAGAAUGAAGUCUGUAUUUACUGAAAAAUAUUUGGCAAUAAAAUGAAGAAUAUUUGAUUUUUUUAUUUUUUAUUUUUAUAUCUCCCAAACAUUAUUAGAGUCCCACAUUUGUGACACAUCAUUAAGUAAAAUGUGCCAAUUAGGAAGAAUACUUGACAUUUUUUAUUUUACAAUUUUUAAGAAAUAUCAAAUAUACAUGACAUUUUGUGAAAAAUUAAGUAAUUGUGAAAUAUAAAUGACAAUUUAUUUAAAUGUCAUAUAAUUGUGACGUUUUAUCAAAUAAGUGACAAAUAUAUAAUAUAUUACAUAUUUAUGGCAUAAUUAUCAUUUAUAUUUUCCUUCUAUUGACUUAAGAAAAAAAUUUAAAAACUCACUAUUACCGCUUUUGUUUUCGUUCUUAGAACAGAUUAGUUUCUUUUGAGAAAAUUCAAACUCAUUCCCAUUACUUCCUUUUCAAUAAUCACCUCUCAAUUUUUUCAUCAAUCACUCAAUUUCGACUUUCAUAUCCAUUCUCUUUCGAAGAAGAACGCACGAAGAAUUUUAGCUUGCUUUAGCUGCUUCUCGAAUUUCAGGUAUUGUUUCCUUUAAUUUUGAUUUUUUUUUCUUCUCUCUUUCUAGUUUGAUAAUUUAGGGUUAUAGUUAAAUUAAUUGUAUUUUUAAUCAACCUAGAUUGAUUUAAUUGAUUCCAAGUCUCAAUUUCCUGUUCAACAAACAAGGAACGCACAAAUAAUUUUCAUUUUCAUUCUCAAUUUUGAAAGAAUCAAUCAAUUUAUUUUAUCUUUGGUUAGUACACUUCUGUUCAAUUUUUGUUUAUUUAACUUAAGACAUUAUUUUCAUUCUUAUCUUCAAGCAGAUUAUAGCGUUGCUCCUCUCAUUGAUUAUAUUGAGAACAGUGCUUUCUCUUAAUUCCGCCAAGAACAACGUUGAUUUCAGGUAAUAAUAAUAAUAGGGAUUUGAAGUUUACAUCCUGUUGAAAUGAUUUUAGAGUGUUCUGCUAUUUGAAUGCGCAUUAAUUGUUUGAUUAAAUGUCUCUUUAAAAGAUUAUUUUUGUUUUUAGCAAACAUCUUACUGAGAUGCCUCUCGUAAUAGUAUUACCGUAAUGUAUUUUGCUUCAUUUUGGUCUGUUUAUACACUUUAACCAGGGAAAAUUACAGAACUGCAACAGUUUUCAAAUUGAUUGCAGAUUAGAAGUAAUUUUAAUUUAUGCUGCAACAGUUCAAUGGGCUGGGCACAAGUUUAGGACUUUAGUUGCUCAAUUAAUGAAUCCACCACUCAUCAGACUUGGAACUUAUAUCUAUUGAAUCAAUAAAAAUAGUUGAUGGAAUCAAUGCCGAAAGCUUCAUUUGAUAUUUAUUUAUAACAUCUGUUAGAUUCUGGACAAUCACAAAGAUAUAGCAGCAGAAACUAUGUUGGAGACACUAUAGUUGCUUAAUUAGUGAAAUUGUGCUCUCAUUGCCCCCUUUUUUUGGUUGAUUCUAUAAUUUUAUUAGUUGUUCUUGUGGUUGUAAACAAUAUCAAUUUCUAAUAUUAAUAAAACUGAAUGAAUAAAAUGCGAUGCAUUCGCAGGAAAAUUAAUAGUUUAAAUAUGGAUAAAUCUUGGAUGUUGAUGGAUAGAAGGUCUAUAGAAUAUGAGAACGCGGUAAAUGAGUUUCUCAAGUUUGCAGUACUUCAUGCUAGUAAUCCUGAGCUUUUGAGAUGUCCAUGCCAAGCAUGUCUUAAUUUAUAGGCUCAAACAAUUAAGAGUACAGAAAAUGCAUGAUAGAACACAGAACUCAUAUUUUAGCAACAAUCCUCAGCUCAUUGGCCCUUAGUUCAGAAUGACAAUUCUUAUUAGCCAAAGAUUCAAAAUGAUUUUUAGUUGUUUAUAAGUAGAGCACUAGAUCAACAAAUAAUUGAAGUCGUGCAGCUUGGCUAUGGAACUAUACGAUGGUGGCAAUUCGAAGACUACAACUUGGCUCUGCCAUUCGAAGUAAGCAGCGCAGCUGCCCAAAGUCUGCCAAGCCAUCAAGACUCCAUCAAGUAUACUUCAAAGCCACAUCAAGACAAUACUAAGAUACAACAUCAAUAAUAAUAACACCAAGAAAUACAUGGAGGCCAUUGCAUGCUACAGCCACCCCAAUAAGAAAUUAAUAAAUACAGUCCUAGAAAUUUACAAACCCAUGCAGUAGGAAUAACUAAUUAAUUUAUACAGUUCAGUACUCGUUCCUCUGUUUCAAAUCCAAAUCCACUGGUCUACUAUUCAUUAUGACGCAAUGCAUAUGCCGAUAUUGUCUUCCAUCCUUUAUGUACCUUUCAAUUUAGUGAGGUUUAGACAGGGGUUCCAGAUUUGGUAAAUCAACAAUCACCAGAUAUGAUAGAGAGGCCGGAAGAGAAGCAUGGUUCCUAAUCCUAAUCUUGAUUUAGAGCAGAUUAGGUAACAUGUGGCAUUCUACAUUCCUUCAAUGCCAUUUCUUGUUAUGGCAGCAGCAUUCUUGGUCAUGGCAUCACAAGCAAAUGCUUUGAUUUGAAGACUUGCUUGGCUAUGAAAAAUAAGGAGAGCAAAGGUAAUUAAUCUUGGUGUGAUCAACAGUUUAAUGGGGGUACUAAGAAAAAUAAAGAUAAUAUAAGGAAUGUUGUUGAGGAGUAUUUUCAUAUUUACAAAAGUGUUCAAAGUAAAAAUUGAUUUCUUGAAACCCAUUAGCUAGCGCACAUAAUAAUGGGGAGAAAUUUUUAGACUACGAAUUAGGGGUGGGCAUGGGUUGGUAAAAUCCAACCCAAACCAAACCCUAAAAAUUUGAAUCCAACCCAAACCAACCCAAAUAUUUUUAACCCAACCCAAACCAAACCAUUUGGGUUUGGUUUGAAUUUUAUUAUCAAAAUAAUUUUUAUUUUAAUAAAAUUUAAUUAUAUCAAAAUUAUAAUAAUUAUUAAUUGUUAUUAAUUAUUAAAUUGAUAUUAAAAUAAAUGAAAUAAAUGAUAUUAAAAAUUAACAAUAAUAAGUGAAAUAAAUGCUGAGUAAAAUUUGUGGAGGGUAGCUCCUUAAAAAUGCCACCUAUUAAUGUUAAAUCAUUCAAAUGAGGACACCCAACCGUGUGAUACUUUUGAUACUUUUGGGACCAUCUUCAUCUUUCCUCAAGCAAAUGGCACUCACUAGCAUCUUCAUCCUUAAAUAAGAUAAAUAAAUAAUUUAUAAUGUUGAAUAGUUAUAAAGAUGAGUAAAUUUAAAAAAGGAACAUGAUUCAUACCAAAAUUGUAAGAAUAACAUCAAUCUAAAGUCAUUGCCUCCGUUGUUGCACUUGAUCCAAACUCUACAUUAAAUAAAAAUAAAUUAAUAAAAAAAGACUAGUGAUAAACAAAUAUAUAAUUUUUUUCGCUUGUUAUGAUAAACAGUAGUUACCUGACAUCAUGGCUUCAUAAAACUCAAGCUCCUCCAUCGUUGGUUCAUCUUGUAAUGGGACAAAAGUGUGAAGUAACCAAUUUUGUGAGCAUAUCAAAGCUUCCACCAUCUUUGGACUUAAAGAACUACGAAAUGAAUCAAUGAUGCGUCCUCCAGUACUAAAUGCAGAUUCUGAAGCUACUGUAGAUAUUGGAAUUGCAAACACAUCCUUUGCAAUAUGUGAAAGAACUCGAUAUUUUAUUGAGUUCAUUUUCCACCAUGCCAAAAUCUCAAAGUCAUCGUCAUCAACAUGUUCACAUGGCUCCAACAAGUACCUCUCUACUUCAUUUUUCAUCUCAACACAAUCAUAUUUUCGUAUUCUUUGUUUGAACUUUGCAACACUUGAAAGUUUAGAAAACCCCACCUUUUUAUCAAAUUUCCUACUAUCAACAAUUGACGACUUACCAACAUCACUAGAUGAUCCACAACCACCAAUCUUAGUGUCAAGAUCUUUAUAGUAUUCAUAAAGACGUAUUAAAAGAUUUUUCAUCUUUUCAGACUUCUUCCCAACCUCAUCAAUAACAAAAAUGUCACAUAUUUUAACUUAUAACGUGGAUCAAGAAUAACCGAAAUAAGCAACAAAUUAUUUAACCUAUCAAUUGAACCCCAAUAUUUGUCAUAUUUAUUUUUCAUACUUGUUGCCAUUUUAGAUAAAACAAGAUCAUCACUACUUUCAAUUAAUGAUGUCAAAUCGGAAUGAAUUGAGCACAUUUCAUGAAAAUAUAAGUUUGAAGUCACGUACAUUGAACCACUAAAUUUCAAAAUUAUAUCAUAAAAUGACUUCAAAAACAACACAAAAACAUUAGCAUUUUCCCAAUCAUCACUAUUAGGGGGUCCUCCAUCUUCUUUGAAAUAUGAAACAUAAUGUUGAUCAUCAUCCUCCAUUCUCUCAAAAGCCUUUUGAAAUUUUAAAGCACUCUCCAACACUAAGUAGGUGGAAUUCCACCUAGUGGACACAUCUUGAACCACAAGACCAGCACCUUCAAUUCUUUCAUGCUCCACACAUAUUUUAAAUUUUUUUAGCCUUGCAGGAGAUGACUUUACAUACUUGACAGCAUUACGAAUUCUAGAAAUUGACACAUGUAAGUCUUUCAAUCCUUCAUUCACAAUUAAAUUCAAAAUAUGCGCACAACAUCUCAUAUGUAAAAAAUCACCAUCUAGCACAAGCCCAUUCUCACUCCAAUUCUUCAAUUUCUUUUUGACAUAAUUGAUAGCUAACUCAUUUGAACUAGCAUUAUCAACAGUAAUGGUAAAUACCCUUUCUAUACCCCACUCAAGCAAACAAGAUUCAAUUACCUUUCCAAUUGUCUCCCCCUUAUGGUCAGGUAAUGUGCAAAAAUUUAAAAUUCUUUUCUGCAAUUUCCAUUCACUAUCAAUGAAAUGGGCUGUUAUCACCAUAUAGUAAUAAUUUUGUAUAGACGUCCAUGCAUUUGUGGUUAUACAAACUCUUUGCUUAUUUGAAACAAAAAAGUUCCUUAAUUUUUGCUUUUCUUCCCAAAAACGUUUGUAUACAUCUCUAGCAAGGGUUCUCCUAGACGGUAGAUCAAAGUUUGGCCCCAAUUGCUUACUAUAUUGUUGAAAGCCCUCUUUCUCCACAAAACUAAAGGGUAAUUCAUCAAUAAUAAUUAACCGUGUAAGGGCUUUUCUACAUGCUUCUUUGUCAAACACAUGAGACUUAGAUUCAUCUUUCAUUUCAUGUGAAGUUGUUUGAUUUUCAUCCUCAAAUAUGCUCAAAUAAUCAGGACAACGUAACAAAUGAUUCCUUAAUGUACUAGUCCCAAUUUUAGUCCCAUGUUUAUUCUUACAAGCAUAAUCAUUACCACAAUAAUUACACUUGCAUCUAUUACCUAGAUCGUAUUUAGUGAAAUGAUCCCAUAUUUAUGAUCUCUCUGAUGGCUUUUUCCUCUUGCUUUGAGUAGUUGCAAGCGUGUCCAAGGAACUAGUACCAUGACAACUUGAGUUCUCAUCCAUCUAAAAUUAAAUGAAAAAAAAAAUAAACAACUUUAAGCCAAUUCAACAAAAACUUUUACCAAAUAUAAGGAACAACAACAAUAGUGCCAGUAAGAGCAUCAAGUUUCAAUCCAGCAGGAACAACAAUCUGCAAAUAUUCUACUAGACGAAAAUAUGCCAGAGAAACUAUUAAGUAUCCAACUUUCAUUCCAGCUUUGGAUUCAAAUAUAUUCUUAGUUAUAACCAACAAUCAUCUACAAACGAUAGGAAAAAAAAUUCAUUAAAAAAUAUCUUGAUUUAGGGCCAUCAGAACAGAAUCGAAGCAUUACAGGGCCACACCACAACAACAAAAGAAAAAAAAAAUUGAAGCAGAGCCUGAUUUCAAAUUCAAUUAAACUUUUUUUUUUGGGUCAUCUACAAGCUCCCUCAAAAUUCAAAAACUUUUGGAUUUACCCACUAUCAUAUAUACUUAAUUUAUUAAACAUCUUAUUAUAGAAUAUUUUAUGUUAUUUGUAAUGUAGCAGGGGAGGCUAGCUAUCUGUGGCUAAUCCAAUGUUCAUCUCUCUUCUACUGAAUAAUUUAUUAUUGUAAAAUGAUAGGAGCCCAGCUCUUAUUGCUAUUGCUAGCUAAUAUUGGAUGGAAUAAGUGUCAGGAUGAAGCUGAAACAAGAGUCAAAAUUUCACUAUUAUCUAAAAAUAAGAGCCACCACAACAAUAACAAAAGCAAAAAAAAUUGAAGCAGAGCCUCACCUUAAAUCAUUAGGACGAUAGCAAUCGAAGUGGGGACUUUAGGAGUCGAUGACAAUGAGAGAUCCACCACGUCACUUUUGUCGAUAGGGAUUGUAGAAGAUGGAGAGAGAUUCAGCGGUUUGUUUAUUUUGUUUUCAGCGGUUUGUUUAGUUUUGGAAAUUUUUUCUUAACCCAUAGGUUAACCACACCCAAACCAUUAUAAAAUGGUUUCAUACAUAAAAACCCAAAUUCAACCCAUUUUUUUAAUUUACCCAACCCAAACCAUUUUAUUUGGUUUGAGUUUGGGUAAACCCAUGGGUUGUGGGUUUAUGCCCACCCCUACUACGAAUAGUCCCAUCCAUUUAAUAAUAUUCUUCAAUCAAUUAUGUUUACUUCAAAAAAAAAAACCAUCUCUUUAUUACUUUCUAAUUAUUCAUAUUAAUGUGUUAAUAAUUAUGAAGAACCGGUGUAAUUUAUAUGAUGUAGGAAGCACUUUAGGCAAAAUCAUCAGAAUCUCAAAAUUUCGUGAUAUUGUGCCAAAUAUGCAAAACAAAGCUUCCUACAUUGUUAUAGCAGUUUUUUUAAAGUUGAGGAGUCCAAAUAUCCAAUAACUGAUAAAUUCUGUUAAGAAAUAUAAAUAUUAAUGGUGAUGACACAUACGCAUGGAAUUCCUCUGUUUUGAGUUUGACUUAAAUAACCUGAAUAAUUUCAAACAAUCCAUCAGGACAAAGUCCUUGAGAGAUUGAACUGGAUUUCAGUGCAUCACAUUCUGAAAUUGAAACUAACAUUAAUUAGAAAGGCAGAACAGCCUCUGUUUUUUACUAUAAUACAAAAUGGGAAGUCAAACCAAUUCAAGGAACUCCCCUGUUUUUUUACUGAAACAUACAUAAUCCGAACAAUUUAUAAUUAAAUAAAUCAUUUAAAAUCUCCUUUAAUCGAACCUCCACUUCUAUGGGUUAAUAGAAUAUCAUAAAGGUGCCCAAUACAGCGAAAUUAAUGUUCAGCUCAUGAAGUUGCCAUUAUAUAUAUUGAAAAAGAAAUUAAUACAAGAAACUGAAAAUUAAUUGACAUUGGAUCACGUAAGAUUGUUAGUUGUUAAUUAUGAUGGGAAUAUAUACUUGGUCUAUUAAUUUGUGUCUAUCACUGAAGAGUAGAGUUACAUGACUGAAUAGUAUCAUAUCACAAAAACUCAAAACUCAAUUUCAUUGCGCAAGCAUACCACGCCGUAUGUAGCUCAAAAGUGCAAUAACAUUGAGCAUUCAGCUAGCUAGCUUAUAUUAAUUAAUUAAUACCACUAUUAGUUCUUUAUGAUUAAUUAAAAGAUAAAAUAUUUGACAAUCACGAAACAUUAUUCUAUCACUGAAGAGUAGAGCUUCCUUCCUACAUUGUUACCCAAGCUCUUCUACAUCUCCCAAACAUUAUUAGAGUCCCACAUUUGUGGCACAUCAUUAAGUAAAUUGCUUACGUUGCAAUUUUCAACGAAUUACAAUUCUUCAGAUCUUGAAUUAGCAGGAUUGACGUCCGAUCAACUCCACGUGGCAUGUGUCUGACUAACUGGACAUGGCUUGGAGCAAGGAUCAAUGAACAAGUUUGAGGUUUAUGAAAUAUUGGGAAAAUAGACAAAUAAUAAAGCCACUCCAAGUUAAGCAGAUCAAAUAAACAGAACAGAGGAAAUAACUGAUCAAUUUAAUUCUUUGUGCAAUGGCCACAGCAACAGCGAAAAUAUGCCUACGUGACUUCAUUAAUUAAUCCGACUGGCGUGGAUGUUACUAUCGCCGUGCAGCAUUACAUCAACAUUUGAUCAUCUAUCAAUUUUCAUGAUCUGGGAUUAGAAACAUUGAGUUCAUAAUUUUAUGUAAUUUCAUGUACUAGAUAUAUAUAAUUGAUUUGAGUUAGUUUAAAAUAUAAAGAAAGAGUAAUGGGGAAUGACGUCAAUGUGGCAUUUGAUGAGUAAAGAUAGACAACAAAUAUUGAUCAUGUAAUAAUGAAAUACGUAUUUACUGAAAAAUAUUGGCAAAAAAAUGAUGCUAUAAAAAUUUAAUAUUAGUUGCAAGCGAAUAAAUUGACAAUUAAAAUUAAUAGAUAUAUAUAUGCAAUGCUUCGGGUUUAUUUUAUCGUUUCACACCAUUUUGUAACUACAUGUUACUUAGAAGUUCAAUUAAUUUUGACCAAAGACUAGAGAAUGUCGAAAAGAGAUAUGAUUUUUGUAUACCAAAAAAAAAAUUAGAAAUGAAAUACGUCAAAAUCAAUUACAAGAACAACAAUAAAAGUAUAUUUUAUAAAAGUCACAAAUACAUAAUAAGAGUUUAGUUUUGAAUUACAUAAUUAUUCAUUUAUAUAGUAAGAGAGUCUUAUAGAUAUAUAGGAAUUUUUUUAAAAGAGUUUUGGUAAAGCAAAAAGUUUAGUUUGGUCUAGUUUGUGGAGGUUCAAGUAGUUGAAAGCAGUGCAAGUGAAGGAAACAUAAACUUCUAGUUUUUUACAAAGUAAUGGCUAGAAUAUUUGAAAAGUUUGAGAUUUUAAAAAGGCUGGGAAAAUAGACAAAUAGUGAAGACCCUGCAAGUUGGCAGAGCAAAUAAACAGAGGAAAACAGGCAGAUAAUUUAUAUUAUACAUAUAAGUUUUAUUUUUUCCAGAAACAAAUGUUGCGAUUUUUUUUCCCCUAAAAAAGAAGCACAGUCUGCUAUUACCACUAAAGAAUGUUAGCUACUUUAUAUAAGCACGUGUCUAAUUACCAAAUAAAUUCCACUUUAACAAAGAAUAAAAGUUAAUUUCAUUGAUGGCACGUGUUGUGCUUUCUUUUUUUAUUAUUUUUCCUUUUAGAUGUUGAAGUUACUUUGCAAACUGCUCCAAGCUGAUUACAAAAUUUCCGCUUACUCUAGGAUCUUUUCAAUGGGCUUACAAUUUGUAUUCUUGUCUGUAAGAUUGAUUUUUUUUCUUUAAAAAAAUAAAAAGGGAUGAGAAAUCUUACCAACUAAAUACCAACUUCGAAUUUUGUUAUUAUUCAAACUUUGUAUUUCUUGCUCAUAGCCAGUUAAACUGUGUCUAACUGUCAUGCAGGUUCCAUUUUUAGUUGAUUAACUGUAUAUACAAAAUUAAAUCACCUGAGCCUCUGGUUUCACUAUUUUCCAACUUGAAACUAAAACGCAGAAUUGAUGGGGUAAUUCAUGGGGAAUCAGAUGGCCAUCUAUUUUUAGGUCUAUUUUAUGUACUAUUGGCCGCCAGGUAGCUUGGUCAUAUACGUGUAUUGGGAUGUCAUGGGGCCUAAAAAAUAAAGGUGAAAAUCAGUCACAAAUCUGAAGUGAAAAACAGUAACUAGAACAGAAUCUAUGUUUUGAUGUCUUUAGUUUAUAAGCUCAAACAAUUAAUAGUAUAGAAAAUGCAUGAUAUAGCACAGAACUCAUGUUUUAGCAAUAAUCCUAAGCUCAAUGGCCCUUAGUUCAGAAUGACAAUUCUUAUUAGUCAAAGAAUCAAAAUGAUUUUUAGUUGUUCAUAAGCAGAUCACUAGAUCAACAAAUAAUUGAAGACUGGCUUGGCUAUUGAACCAUACGCGGCAAUUCGAAGACUGAAACUUAACUCUGCCGUUCGAAGUAAGCAACUCAGGUGCCCAAAGGCCGUCAAGCCAUCAAGACAAUAUGAAGAUACAACAUCAAUAAUAAUAACAUCAAGAAAUACAUAGAGGCCAUUACAUAUUACACCUAUCCCAAUUAGAAAUUAGUUAAUACAGUCCUAGCUCCUCUGUUUUAAAAGAAAUUUACAAACCCAUGCAGUAGGAAUAAUUAAUUAAUUUAUACAGUUCGGUACUCAUCCCUCUUCUGUUUCAAAUCCAUAUCCACUGCUCUGCCAUUUAUUACUACGCAAGGUAUAUGGGUUAGCAAGUGCCGACAUUGUCCUCCAUUCUUUGUGUGCCUUUCUUCUAUCAAGGGACAACCCAAGAUCUCUAAUCGCAAGAAAAAUAUUUCAGAGUAAAAAGUGAUUUCUUAAAAUCUAUUAGCUAGUGCACAUAAUAAAAGGGCAUUCAUGGUAAAUUUUAGACUACAAGUAGUCCAACCUUUUAAUAAUAUUCUGCAAUCAAUUCCGUUUGUUUUAAAAUAAAAGAAAUCCAUCUCUUUAUUACUUUCUAAUUAGUCAUAUUAAUGUGUUAAUAAUUAUGAAGAACCAGCGUAAUUUAUAUGAUGUAGGAAACCCUUUAGGCAAAAUAACCUGAAUUUUUUAGAGUAGCGGCUAGACAUAUUGGGCAUAACCUCAGUUUCUGUUACUUCUUUGACCCUGCCUAAGCUCUUUUAAGGGCUAAUAUCAAAAUUUCGUGAUAUUGUGCCUAAAGAGCUUCCAAUUCAAGGAGCUCCCCUGUUUUUGACUGAAACAUAUGUAAUCCGAACAAUUUGUAAUUAGAUAAAUCAUUCAAAAUCUCCCUCAAUCUAACCCACAUUUCUAUGGUUUAAUAACAUAUCACAAAGGUGCCUAAUAUAAUGAAAUUAGCAUUAGUUCACGAGAUUGCCAUUAUAUAUAUUGAAAAAGAAAUUAAUACAAGAAACUGAAAAUUAAUUGACACUGGAUCACGUCGUGUUGUUAGUUUGAUUAUGAUGGGAAUAUAAUCUUGGUCUUUUAAUUAUCAUCUAGCUACCGCAUGUGCACUAGUUUCAUUUGUGUCUAUCACUAAAGAGUAAAGUUGCUUGAUUUGAAUAGUAUCAUAUCAUAGAAACUCAAAACUCAAUUUCGUUGCCCGAGUAUACCAUGCCAUAUGUAGCUCAAAAGUGCAAUAACAUUGAACAGUCAGCUAGCUAGCUUAUACUAAUUAAUUAAUACAACUAUCAGUUAUUUUUUAUUAAUUAAAAGAGAAAAUAUUUGACAAUCGCGAAAACAACAACAAUUCACUCCAAUAAACAACAUAAUAAAUACAUGAUAUAUAUUACAAGUCUUUUUAUGAUGUAGAUUAGAAGGGAAAAUACGAAGGACCUAUUAUAUAUUAUAUAUGAUUGAAUUUAAUCCAUGAUAAUUAGACAAAAUAACACUAAUCUAGCUAACUAAUCCAACCAUCAUAAUAAUUUGAUUUUCAUUAUUUUAUUGUGUCCAAUCAUGCUAAUUUAAUAAAAAAAACACAGAACACUUGAGGAUUUAGAUAUUCAACAACUUUGGCCAAGUUCGAAAAAGAUUAGAGCUUCCUUCAUGCUUUGUGUUCUUAUGUUACACAUGAUCAUAUUAUGUUACAUUUGACAGAAAACUGAAAAUUAUUGAAAAAAAAAAAAAUCUUAGUUAGCACAUGAUCAAAAUGAGAGAAUAAUGCACACACAUCACAACAAUGUUUCAUUCAUUUUGAAUCUAUAUUUACAAAACUUGUAUCCGAUGGUUUACAUUUGUUUAAUCUAACGGCUAUGACAUGUGUACUGUCAAAACGCUACAGCUGCCAUCUCUGUUUGUCCUUGUUGCAUCCUUGAUCUUAUAUUAUCCUGGAGAUUAUUGAAUGUUCUUCUCAUUCUCAUGUGCUCGAGGGUCCUUUCUUGAGACAUUUCAGCAAACACCUGAUUCAUCCUAUUAAACAUCAGCAUCAUUAAUCAGUAAAUGAUGUAAGGUAGCCCUGUUUUGAGAAGUCAACAUAAAUCAGUCACCUUAGAUUUUCUCAGUCUCAGAGCACAACGGGUGAUGAUUUGAUGAGAAAUAUUAAUAUGCAUGCAUCCCCUGAAUUAGCUAGAGCUGGUUGUCAUUUUCUUCUUUCUUUUGGUACGGUUUUAGAUUUUUAAUCAAUCAGAUUCAGCUGCAUGUUUGCUUUUAGUCCAAACCAAAAUAAGAUAUUAAGUACUUUUGCCAGAAUAGACGCAACCAAAAUUCUAUGGGAUCUGUAGUUCCUAGUUCAUGCAGAAGCGGCCGAAUGCUUCCGGCAACUCAGGCAGAUAGAACCCUGGUUGAUUCGUUUUUCUUCAUCUGAAAUUCUACCUAAUGCCUAUCCUCUUAAUUGGUUUAAAUUCUUCUUUUUUUUCUUUGAAUUGUUGAUUUAUAAUGUCUUGUAUGCAAAAUUUAUAAUUUCGGAUGAUGAUAAUCUUGUUUAAGAAGAGAUUUCUAGUUACGGCAGCAGCAUUCUUGAUCAUGGCGCUCUGGUUUGCUUAGUUUCCUUUUUGUCUCUGAUAUUUUCUUGGCAUUCUUGUUCUCUCUUGUAAUAAAGUGCUUUUGAUAAAUUCGCCUGGUCGGUUUACUUCACUGACCAUUAAUGAGCAAAUCCUCCCAGUGACCCUCAAACUCUUCUACACAAUUAUAAUAAUUUCAGUUUUACAUAUACAAAAAUGAACAGCUCUCAAAUAUAUUAUUUGAUAAUGACAAAAACAAUAAUUCACUCCAAUAAAUCUCAUAAUAAAUACAUGAUCUACAUUGCAAGUCUUUUUAGGACGCAUUCAAAGAGAAAACAUAAGGAAUGGCAUUGCAAGAAUAUGGAAUCAGAAUAAAAGGGGAUGGUCGAGUUGGGUUGCUUGCAAAAUUAUUGGUGCGGGGUUCUACUUGUUUUUGUUUCACUUUAUUAAUUAAUUAGCGAAGCACACACGUCAUCAUUUGAAAAAGAAUCACUAGCACCAGCUUAUGAAAAAUAAAUUUGUAAGACAUAUUAAUUUCAAUGAAAAUGUAGCGUGAUUAUGUUAUGAAUUCAUUAACUUACUUCAUAAAUAUUCUUCAUCAUUAUGGUUAAUGGCUUAGCAAAUGCAGGAGCAGGGGUCACCCAAAAGUAAAACACUUUCUCUUGUAUUAACCUUUGCUAGCCGUCGAAGUUAAACAAGUUAAAACAGUUCCAACUCAGAAGUAGUAGUGCCCAAUUGGGUUGUUAUAAAUAUUUCGGAAUUUCAGUCUAAGUUGAUUUGUUUAAUUAUGUAUGCACAAACUAGCUUGACCACUUCUUUCAUAUUGAUACCUAUAAAUUGCAACCUUAUUUUACGUUGAUGCACAAUCUAACUUAACAAAAACAAUAUUCAAAUUGUCACAGAAUGUUUUCUUCUUAAUAUAUAUAUAUAUAUAGUAGUUAAUUUUUCUUAUUCUUCACUCCAGGAUCCAGCUCCAUACCCCUCUUUUUUGUCGUUAUGCUGCUCAGCCGUUAGAUUUUAAUUAUGUUAAUCUAACGGUUGAGAUUUGUAAAUGAAUAAUGAAGUGGUGUUUGGCUACUAUCUGAGCCCAUUGCAUCUAUUUGGUGUUGUGAUUUUUCGCUUGACUGGUUCUGAAAAUAUCGGCAGCCAUCGACAUCAAAUCUGAACAAAGGCAACAGGAGGUGAUCGUGGUGAAAUUGUUUUUUGGCAUGCGAAUCUAACGACUUUCGAAUACGUUCAUUCAAAUAUUAAAUGCAAUUCAGGCAAAUAGAAGCUUGGUUGAUUGAUUGCUCUUCAUGUGAAAUUCUACCUAAUGGCUAUCCUUUUAAUGGUUUAUACUGUCUUAUAUGCAAAUUAAAUUCAGAAUUCGGAUGAUAAUAAUCUUGAUUUAGAACAGAUUAGGUAACAUUUGGCAUUCUACAUUCUUGCAAUGCCAUUUCUUUUUAUGGCAGCACCAUUUUUUAUCAUUGUUUGUGUGGACCUAUUUGCUGAAUUCAAAACUUGGCGUGUUAAAACGGCAUUGUUUUGUCCAUUAAGAUGUUUCAAGUUGUCCCCGGCUGGACAUAUGACUCACUUAAUGAUACCAAAACGGCGAGGCAUGAAGGUGUUUUGGCUAAAGGCUUAAGUUCUGCAUGUGACAAGCACGUGAGAGAAGAAUCAAGUUAGUUAUAAGUUGUUAUACACGUGGGUGGAUCUGGUGCAAUCUGGGGUAAUGAACACCCGUUAUAUAAGCUGAGCUUUCAGACAGUUUCAGCAAGAUGUAAAGAGCUUUCUAGAGAGAAUGAAGAGAGAGAAAAAGUAUCAUGUUAUUCCUUGUUAGUUUCUCCAUGUGAGCUCUGUCAAAUACUUUGAUUCAUAAAUAAAACUCAUUUUAGUCGAUUCUCCCUUGGAUGCAUGUUCUGCCUCAUUGCACGGCCGAACCACGUAAACAGUGCUCGUUUCUGGGUGUGAUUGUUUGUUAAUCUUGCUUAUUUCUUGGCUGAAAUCUUGCUUUAAGUUCUUAAGUCAUCUAUUGAGUUCAUCGAGGUCAUUCAAUUGUUCAUAUGUAGCUAGUUUGAUCUUGUACAGGGUCUUAGGCAGUGUUUUGAUAGCUUGAUUAGCAUUAGCGGCUAUCUUGACAGUACAAUUGGUAUCAGAGCUAGUUCUUCAGAUCAAGAUCCAAGUAUGGCUCCAUCAAAGAUUGAUCUUGAGAAGUUCAAUGGAAAGAAUGACUUUAAUAUGUGGAAGGUUAAGAGGGAAGCAUUGCUGGUAACACAGGGUCUUGGGUAUGCUAUUCAACAAGUAACCAAAAAACAGGAAAGGAGGUAUCUUCGUCAAAGACCCCAGGGCAGGUUGCUGAGAUAGACAAAAGGGCUGGGGGACAAUAAUCUUGAGCCUUGCAGACUCAGUGAUAAGGGAAGUGGCAAAAGAACCACGGUUGUUGACUUAUGGGCUAAGUUGGAGAGUAUGUACAUGAAAAAAUCCCUUGCUAACAGAUUGUACACAUAAAGAAGAGCAUCCCUUGCUAACAGAUUGUACACAUAAAGAAGAGCAUGUUUACAUUAAAGAUGAUUGAAGGCUCAUCUCUUGAUGAUCAUAUUGAUGGGUUCAACAAAGUGUGUGACACUUUGAAAGCAUUGAUGCAGCAUUAAAUGAUGAAGAUAAAGCCUUAUUAUGAAUGAGCUCCCUUCCCAAAGUCCUAUCAGCAUUUUGUUGAUGCCUUGAUGUACACACACACACAUAUAUAUAUCAUAAAUUUUAUUUUAUUUUGUAGUUAAGUCUUUAUGUUUUUUUCAUUUGUGUCUAUCACUAAAAAGCAGAGUACUUGCUUGAUUGAAUAGUGUCAUAUUACAUCACAUAAACUCUCUCAAUUAUUGAAAAAAAAAAAUCUUAAAAGAUCCCUACUUUGUGCUUAAAAAAUCUUUAAAAAAAUCUUUAAAAAUCUUCAAAGUUUUCAAUUAUUGAUAACUGAAAAUUAUUGAAAAAAAAUCUUAAAAGAGAUGUGUUGAAUUGUGAAAUUAAAACUGAGUUUCAGACAUUUCGGACAUGUCGGUUUAUAUCCGUGAUUGUGCAUGCCCUGUCGGUUGCUUGAUGAAACAGGAGAAUAUUGACCUGUGUGUAUUAUCGUUUACUUCCUGCAAUUAAAUCACAUGUUGUUCAUGUGAUUCCAUUUACUCUAUACGGCACAUUUGGCAGUCGUUUUGGUCACUUACUGAAGCACGGGUUAAGUACUUGAUUCAAGGUUGUUAACUGACCUUUACAAGGCGGGAAAAUUCUGGGUUUGUUAUAACAAACCCGGAAUGCAGCUAGUGAGUGGGGGAGUUUUCUAGACUCUUCAUGAUAUGUAUAUAUAGUCUUAGAGGCUAUAGUUGAGACAUAUGAAAAGCUUGUAACUUCUUCUUAAUGUUUGUAGUUUGAUCUCGGUGAUGGAGAUAAGAUUGCUGCCCUGUUCUCCAGGCCGAACCACUUAAAUUGUGCCUCUGUUUUGCUUGAUGACUACCAGUGGUGAGAAAACAGCUACAGAACAAAUCAAGCUUGAUGACUCAAAUAUUAGGGAAGCCAUAGUCAAGGCAUCUGGUUUAUGCAUCAACAGUGGUUCGUGGACUAGAAUUCCUAGCUAUUGCCGCUUCACAAUUGCACUGGAAGAAAGCGAAUUUGAUCGAGCUUUGGAUCGCAUAGCUAAAUUCAAAAGCAUCGUACAAAUAGUUAACUAAAAAACGGUAUUGUCAUUUGUCAUGAUUUAUUUCUAUUGCCUGAUGAUGAUACCCAUCACGCCUUAGUUGUCGUGAAUAAAUCUAAAAUCAACAUUUGUGACGUUAAUAUCCAUUUGUGACGUUUUGAGAUUAUAAUAUAUGACAACACUGAUUAGUGUUGUCUCCCAUGUGAAUUGAGACAAAUUAUUUUCCCAAUUGCGCUUUCAUUUGAACAAUUCCACUGUAGAUUUAUAAAAUAAUGAUCAAAUUGUGUUUUUUAUUAAGUUACGAGUAAUUGGUUAAAUAUUAAUACAAAACUAUUGUGAGAUGAAUGAAUCAAGUUGGUUCUAGAAACGACCGUGUUUUGGAGCUGUAAAGCUUCAUUAAGCUCACGUGCUUCUCAGCUGGUUCUUAACAGAAAACGAACUGAUCGAAACGACAGAGCUCAAGCGCGUUUUGUGUAUCAGUUUAAGUGACCACGUGAGGAAGCAUGUGACAAAGGUUUUCAGAGUUCGUUAAGGUUGUUAAACCACGUGUCAACGAGCGGCUUAUUCUGGAAAUCAAGGAAGCUACCCAAACAGAGUAUAAAGGCUGGUUUUUUGGGGUGAUUCAACAACGAUUUUCAUGAGUCUUGCAGAGAGGGUUUUAUGAGAGAGAAAGUGUGAACUUGUUCUCUGAAAAGUCUGGUGUAAGGUUCUGUAACAAUCUCCAUUACUGUUUCAAUAAAGCUCAUCUUGAGGCUUCUCCCGUGGAUGUAAGCUGAGCAUUCCAUGCUUAGCUGAACCACGUUAAUCUUGGUGUCUGUGGUUCUUUUCUUGGUUCUUGAAUCUUCAGUUUCUUGUUUGUGUUCAUAGCUAUUGUGCUUUGUUGUUCUUGGGUGAAUUAGUCUAAGUAAAUCUUGGGGGUGUGCAACUUGCAUUGACUAAAUCACAAGCAUCCUAGGGCAGUGGCCAGUUUAGCUUUGUUAUAGGCUUGCUGUUUCACUACAACUAUUUUAAGUAACAUGUGGCAUAUUCUAAUUCUAGCCAAGCUUCCAACUAAGAUUCCCAAAUCAAAAGAAUUUCAACCUUCAGAACAUUCUGCAAAACGUUUAGUCUCUACGCAGUGCUAGAAUUUUCCCUAAGUUUCUAUCGCAAAGACUUCUAAAGAACUAUUCAGAUAUCGAGCUAUAAUCCAGUCUAAAGUGUAUAUAUCUCUCUAAUUCACCUCCCUCCAUUUCACCAGAAAAUCGACGAACACUUAGCUUCAAACAAACACUCUCAAAAAGCUAGCUAGCUACCCAGAUGGCAAAACCAAGAAUUCUUGCAAUGACAAUGUUGUUUCUUGUUAUGGCAGCAACAUUGAUGAACAUGGCAUCACAAGCAAACGCUCUGAUGCCGUGCACACAAUCACCUUUCUUUGACAUGAUGUUCCCAAUGACGGAAGAGCCUUUCAGGGUUCUUGAACAAACCCCUUUAACAAUCGCAAAAGGAGCUGAUCAUCAUCAAACUCUAGCCCCAGCGAGAGCAGACUGGAUGGAGACACCAACAGCCCACAUGAUCACGCUCGACAUUCCAGGGAUGAAGAAAGAUAAUAUGAAGAUUGAAGUUGAAGAGAACAGAGUACUGAGAGUGAGUGGGGAGAGGAAGAGUAAUGAUUAUUAUAAGGAGGGAGUUGAAGGAGAGAAAUGGCACAGAGCUGAGAGGACAUUUGGCAAGUUUUGGAGGCAGUUUAGGAUGCAUAUGAGUGCUGACUUGGAUCAUAUUAAGGCUCACAUGGAAAAUGGGAUUCUGAGGGUCACAGUACCAAAGCUUGCUGCGUAGAAGAAGAGGCAGCCUAAGGUUAUUAACAUUGAUGAAGAGUCUGGUAAUUCUUCCAAUGAAGAUAUUAAGGCUACCAAGGCUCAAAUGUAAUUGAUUAAAGAAAGAAGUGAUUGCUUUGCUUGAUGUGCUAUUUGUUUAUGAUCUUUUCUUGGUUUUGUUGUGAGAUGUUUCUAUUUGGAUGCUCUAUUUAAUGUAUUUUGAUGGGUUUUUGAGGAAGGCUUGUAUGUAUUGACAACAAUAAACUGCUUUUUAUAAAUCCUAGUCCUACAACACUAGAAGAAAUUAAUACGCUUGGUUUAUAGUUGAUAAAAAUAUCUUUUUUUUAAAAAAAAAUCUUUUUCUUUGGCAUAUAGUAUGCCUUUUGAGGGGAAAAAUAUUUAUCCCACUCCUAAUUCGUCCUCUUCUGUGAUAUUAAUGUGUUAACACGAAGAUUCAUUGUAAUUGCAACAAUUUUGACGAAUCCAAAAGUUCAAUAACUGUUAAAUUGUAUUUAUAAAUACUAAUAGCGAAGGUACAGAAACGAUUAAUUCAAGAAGUUGCUUAAAGUGCAUUAAAUUAGGGAGUAUAAAUAAUUGUGUGAUACAGUCCAGCCUUCAUCUGCUUAUAAUUAGCAACCAAAAACCACUUUGCAACGCCAUUAAAAAAACAUUUUAACAUUAUUGCUGAGGGAAGAGUCAGCUUAGGCUUAUUAACUCGUAUUAUUAAUGCUGAUGACGCAGCUGGUAAUCCUUUUGGUGAAUAUAUUAAGGCAGCUGAAGCUUAAAAUUAAUUAAGCCCACUAAAGCUUAAAAGUAAUUCUUCUAGUGACGAUGCUUUGCUUAGUUCGCUUUUUGUUUUUAAAUUUUUUUGGGGCCAACGUUUUGCUUAUUUUGCUUUUUAAAUUCUAUUCACUUUCUCCUUCAAUUUUCUGUUUUUGUUGUUAUCGAAUUUGAUGAUGGUUUAUAUGUACGAAGAUUAUGUAAUAAAAUGCUAUAUAUUAUGUAAUAAAGUGCUUUUGUAACUAUAUAUAUAUAUAUAUAGAUAUUUCAACAACUGAGGAAGAGAUGGCCAUUAUACAUUACACAUUUGCACUCAAUAAGAAAUCAAUUCAUUAAUAUAGCCAAUAACAAGCCUGGUUUAUUGUUAAUGAAAAUUAAAAAAGAAAAAAAAAGUCUUUUUCUUUGGCCUUUAUUAUGCAUUUUAAGAGGAAAAAAAUUUAUCCCACUCCAAUUCAUGAAGAUAUUCUCUUUUUUGUCAUAUUGAUGUGUUAAUAUGAAGAUCCAUUGCAGUUGGUGAAUUCAAAUAUUCAGUAACUGAUGAAAUUGUAUUUAUAAAUUCAUACUAAUAGCAAUUGAAGAUUAUAAUUAAUUUUGUAAUAUGGUCUAGCCCUCGUGUGUUUAAUUAGCACUCAAAAACCACUUUACAAUAGGCAUUAAAAGAACAUUAUAACGUCAUUGCUGAUGAGUUCUGGUGAAGAUAUUAAGUUAAGGCCACAAAAAUCGAAAUGUACGUAGCUUCGUUUGUUUUUUGUUUUUGAUUUUUUUUGGGGCAAAUGCUUGGCUUCGUUUGCUUUUUCGUUUUUGAUAUUUUCUUGGCUUUAUUGUGUGGCAUGUUCUUGUUUUCUUUUGAUUUUCUGUUUUGGGUGUUAUAGAAUUUGAUGACGAUGUACAAACACUAAUUAAUUACUAAUAAGAACAUUAACAAUUUUUGUCGAAGUUUGAUCAAGAGAAAUAUUACACAUAUAUAACCGUACAGCUAAAUAAAAGAAAAUGAAGUUUAUUUCUAACGGCUAAGCAUGAGAUACGCAUAAGAAAUUAAUCCAUUAAUUAAUUAAUUAAUAUACAUGUCCCCCGCUGCUAAAAUAAUGCGAGCCCCUUACUCUACUUAACAUUUUUCUUUUUAUUAAUUUAUCAACUGAGAUUUGAAUUUUAAAAUUACAUACACAAACACGCUUGAUUUAAAAGAAAAAAAUUCUAAUAAUAAAAUAUUUUACAUAUGUAACCAUACGGCGGAAGAACAAAUAUAAGAAACUUACAGCUGAGAAUGAGAUAGGCAUAAGAAAUUAAUUAAUAGAGUCCUCCUCCUUUGCUAAAUAAUGCGAGCCCAUUGUUCUUUUUAUUUCGAAAACCCAUUAAUCACCAACACAUAAUACACGCCCAAUUUAAAAAAAAAAAAAAACUACUAAUAAAAUAUUUCAGUCUUCUGUUGAGUCGUCAUCAAAAACCCAUUUACGAUCUAUUACAACAUAAGGUAUAUGGGUUAACAAGUCCCAAUAUUGUCCUCCAUCCUUUCUGCACUUCUCUGCUAUCAACGGACAUCCCCCGAUGUAUAAUUGCAAAAGUGAGGAAGGCAGGCCCUUCUCCGGAAAGUAUUUGAGCUUGGGACAAUCCUCGAGAUACAAUUCAGUGAGGUUUUGAAGAUCAACAAUUGAAGAAGAUAGGCGUUCCAGAUUUGGAAAACUGAAAAUCAACAGAGAUGUUAGAGAGGCAGGAAGAGGAAGCGCGGUCCCCAAUCUUAUGUCAUCUGCCUUUGGUGGGAAUGACACCAUGUCGUCAUCGCAUCCGCUGAUUCUAAGUUGUCGCAGAGAGGAGAAUCUGUGGAAUCCCCGACCCCACUCAAUCGUUGACUUCCAAAUCUCCAUAUUACCCGCAAUCCACAGUGAAUGAAGGUUGGUGGGAAGGCCAUCUUCUUCAAGGCUUGGAAGCUCAACUCCUCUUCCUAUUGUUAAUUCUUGAAGAGAGGUCAGAUUGUGCAAUCCCUUGGGUAAGGCCUCCAGUCUCUCACACCCAUGGAUCCUGAGCUUACUCAGUUUCGCACAAGGCAAUCCCCCUUCGGGAAAGGACUCCAGAUUUCCACACCUUCCAAUACUAAUCUCUUGAAGCUGGUGGAGAUUAUGUAAACCACUCGGUAAAUUUUUCAGAUUUCCACAAUAACAAAUGUCGAUUGUUUCAAGAGAUGUGUUGUUGUCCAACCUUUCUGCUAUUGACUCCAGCUUUGAACAACUAAGAACAUGAAGGGACUUAAGAGACGGAGGUAGAUUGCCAACUUCAAGGGACUCAAGCGUGGCAGGUAACUCGUUUUUUGAAAAUAUACAUGUCAGAGAUCGACAACUCUCAAUUUCCAACUUCUCGAGAAGAGAUGAGGUGUACCUUCUGCUGCUGCUGCUCCUCUGGAUGCCCUCUUCCACUGUCAAAGUCCUUAUAUUAUCACAAUCGCUGAUGCUCAGCUGCUUGAGGCUCGGUGGCAGCUGGACAGCAGCAAUAUAUGUCAACGAAUGGCAGUACAAAAUACUCAAGAUCUCGAGAGAUGAAUUGGUGUCGCACAUCCAUGCCUCUGGUAACGAUUUCAGUGCAUCACAACUGCAAAUCUCAAUUUUCCUCAACUUGGAAGGCAGAGCAACCUCAGGAAAGGAAACAAGGGACCAGCAGCCGUAGAUUUCUAUCUCUCUCAAGGAACUGAGGCUGAGCGAUGAUUGUGGCAGCUUUACAAGGCCUUGGCAGCCGCUCAAUCUUAGAUAUUCAAGUCUGCAUGACAACUCGCAGAGCUGCUGUUGUUGGUCUUUCUCUUCCUCCGCCACCAAGGAUUGAAGUUUGGGACAGCUUGCAAUCGUCAGUCUUUUAAGAGAGCAACUGUCUUGUAGUAAUCCGUUAUGACUCUUCCAGAUAUAUGUAUGCUCUUUCAUAUCAUUUAUCUCCAAUUCUUCCAAUUUUGGCAGUUGCGGCUUUAAUGGCCCUGCGAGAAACACUUGAUUUGAUGCAUCUCUACAAACCACUGAAUUUUGAGAUCCGAGAUGACCAGUUGCACUUUCCCACACAACCUUUUUACAUCCGCCAAUCUGUAAUUUGCAAAGAGCUGGAAGACUCGAAACUGAAACUGACAAUUCUUCACAUCCUUCAAUAACAAGCAUCUCCAAUGCAGGAAGGUGCUCUGGAAAUGGUCCUUUCAAUUUAGAACAUCUUAAAAUGUGAAGCUCUCUCAAUUUAGGAAACCCUUCAACAACUCUUUGACUGGAUCCAUGGGAAAUCCAGUCUUCCCAUUCUCGCAUGUUUUCAAAAAUAAGAGUCUCCAAGCAUGGAAAAGGAAUUGGAGGAUCAUUCCCAUAGAACUCUGAACCCAACCUCUUUACUCUGCUCAUUCCACAUACUGCAAGAUGCUUUAGAGAGGGUAGUUGCCCGACUGACGGCAGGGCAGUACACAUGUCACAAUUUUCAAAUUUUAGGGUCACCAAAUUUGGCAAUGAGGAAUCUCCUAACCAAGCUGGAAAUUUUGUACCUCCAUAGCCACUGAUACAAAAUUGUUCCAAAAUUUCAUGAGGUUUUAGCAUGUCAAGCACAUCGUUUUCAGUUUUUGCCUCCCUUGAAGAUGAGCCAUCGGUAUUGAGUGCCCAUCGAAGCAAUAAUUCUCUAAGAUUCUUCUUUCCAUCCAAUUGAGCCUCCUUUGCAUCACCAACACAUUUUACAUUCUCCAAUUUUGAAAUGUUAAGUGUCCCAUGAAGGUGCGUCAACAACUUUAGCUCUCGUAACCCGGAACCACUGCCUUUUCCCACAACAAAAUUACACAACGUCUGAAGACAAGUCAACCUACCAAUUCCUACUGGCAUUUUCUCUAAAGAAUCUGUAUUUGAAUUCUUAAGAUGAUGCAAUUUGAGGAGAUUUCCCAUGUCUGCACACAACUUCUUCAGUUUCCGACAGUCCUCCAACAGAAGGGUGUGCAAAUUAUAAAGCUUAUUGACUGAUUCAGGCAGAGCUCUAAUCUGAGUUCCAGAUAGGUUAAGGUACCUUAAAUACCUCAAAUCACCAAUUGAAUCCGGCAGCUCAGGGAUGUGGUAUCCACGCAGAGAGAAGGCCCUCAAGCGUUGGAGUUUGAACAACUUAGGAAGAAUGCUAUAAGCCAAGUGUCCACGCGAACUAUUUGACAACGUUACUGGUAAAAAAGUUCGCAAAUGUUGGAUAUCGUACAAGUCCACAAACCUUUUAACGCCAUCACAAUAUUCAGGAAUGUAUGAUAGAUGACGAAGAUUUUCGGAAAAACUUUGCUGCUUGUUAACCUCUGAGGUAUACUCCAUUGUGAAGUAUAUCUCCCCCGCAGCCCAACGGGCAAGGUCAUUGAUAAGAUCGUGCAUCACAAAUCGUGAUAUACUGUUGCUUGAUUGCUGGAAAAAAGAUCUUGCACGUAGCUCUCGAAAGAACUUUCGACCUAGAUCUUCACUAGGAUUCCCGCUCUCUCCGUGAUCCAAGAGACCCACAGCACACCAUAAUAAAAUUAUCUCCUCCUCUUCAAAUUCAUAAUCCUUUGGAAACAAUGAGCAGUAUGCAAAGCAUUGUUUCAAAGGUGCCGAAAGAUAAUAGUAGCUCACUCUAAGCGCAGGUAUAAUGUCACAUCUCUCUUCUGGUAAAUCCCAUAUCUUGCAACUGAGCACAUCUUCCCAAUCACUUCGGUCACGUUUACCACGUAAGAGUCCACCAAGAGUUUUCGCAGCUAAGGGUAAGCCGUUGCAUUUGAUCACUAUAUUCUUGCCAAUGUCCUCCAAUGACUUAUGUGAACUGAAAUCUGUUGUCCCCAAAGAGUGCUGAGCGAACACAGACAGACAGUCCUCAGUUGACAAGCUUUUGAGUUCAUAAGCUUGAUCCAGGCUCAUGAUUUUGGCAACCUCUUCAUUGCGAGUGGUGACAACAAUCUUACUUCCCUGUGCGCCAGCUUGAAAUGGAAGGCUGAGGUGAACCCAGUCAUUGUAAUUCUCAUUCCAAACGUCAUCUAAAACAAGCAAAAAUUUCUUUCCAAAUAGUUGUUUCUUUAGCUCCUCUUGAAGCUUAUUCAAGUCGUGAUUAUCCACAUUCUGGUCACUAGCAAUUGAAAGUAGGAUUGAUUUUGUAAGCCUGCUAACAUCAAAAUCAUCGGAGACGCAAGUCCAUGCCUUGAGAUUAAAAUGAUCCUCCACCUGCUUAUCAUUGUAGACAAGCUGAGCAAGAGUGGUUUUACCCAGCCCGCCCAUACCUAUAAUAGGAAUAACAGAGAAUCCACCAUCAUUUCUUGAAUCAUCCUUCAACAACAAUUCAACAAUUUCCUUCUUUUCUGUUUUCCUGCCAUAUACUUUGGCUUCCUCCACCAAAGAGGUUGUCUCUUGCCUUCGCCUGGCUUUUUUGGAUCCCCCAGCUGAACUUUUUAUCAAAUUCAGCGAGCGUAUUCCUUCUUCAAUAUCUUGAAAUCUGUCGCUGAUCCCUUUGAUUUUGGACAUCAUGGCGUAAUCGAACUGAAUCGAUUGUGGAGUAAAAGUGGGGCAGCAAGUAGGAAUGAGCUUCCGAAACUUACUUUUCGUGCUUGUACGACUGCUGCUGGGUUGAUCAUGAGCAGCAGCUGGUUCUCCAUUUCCAAGCAGCAACUGCCUCCGGAAAGCCUCAGUUUGGAACUCAUCCAACAAGUCUUCAACAUCAUAAGCCAAGUUCUGAAGCUCGCCAAGCCACUUCUUCACAGACCGAUUAGUCGUCUUCUUCUCCUCAGCAUCAUCAAUCAUUAUUUGUAAUUAAAGAAUGAGGUCCAAUCAAUUUAUUGGAGAAAAAUUAAUUUUAAUUCUUAGGAUUUGAUUUCACUCUCUUUUACUUUUUGACGUUGCUAAAGAGACAGUAAAAAACUUACUAAAUGUCAUCAAAUGCUUGUAUAUCAUCUCACACUUUAGCCACAAAUGCUUGAUAUUUUUUUUUUCUUUUUUCCCGUACAGAAAGAAACAGAAUUUUGAGUUCUAAAGCAAAAUGAGAAAAUUGAGCAAAAUGCAUGUAGCAAGUCUUCCGCAUGUUUAUUCCAGUAAAGUGAAAAUAGAUAAUUGAAAAAUGAUAAACGAACGAAAGCGCACGAAGGGACGACAGAAAACGCGUUUCCUCAUCCAAUUUUGUUCUUGUGGACCGAAAAUAAAUAAUAAAAUAUUUUUUUUGGGAACCGAUAACAAAUAGUAAAAUAAAGAAUAAAAAAAAUGGUGUGAACGAACGAAAGCACAACGAAGGAGGAACGACAGAAAACGCGUUCCCUCAUCAAAAUUUUCUUUUAUGGGACCGAUAAUAAAUAAUAAAAUAUUUUUUUGUGGACCGAUUAUAAACAGUAAAAUAAAAAAUGAAAAAAAGGAUAGUGACGACGAACGAAGGCGCGAGGAAGGGACGACAGAAAACGCGUUCCCUCAUUCAAUUUUUCUUUUGUGGGACCGAUAAAAAAUAAUAAAAUAUUCUUUUAUGGGACCGACUAAAAAUAGUAAAAUAAAGAAUAAAAAAAUGAAAAAAAGGAUGUGUGCAAUUUUUCUUUUAAUAAUUUGGCAAUUUUUCGUUGCCAGAUUCAAUGAAUGUAAAAUCGCACCUCGAUUCAAAAUAAAUUUUAGCUGAACAUAAAUUCGCCUCAUUUAUUAAAUAUAUAUACUUAAUAUAAUAACAACGAUAUAGACCCAACUGAAAUAACUCAACGGAGAAAUUGAAACUUACUUUUUUAGUUAUGGCUCAUAUAUAAUACAAGUAUCAAGAUUUAAGUAGAGUUCACAUAUACACAUGCGGCUAGUUUUAACCGAGAGAUAAAUUAAUCAUUAAUACUCAGGUGUUUCUAAAUGAUUGAAUAAUGAUAUUAUACGAACCUUCCCUUUACAAGUCUUCACACUCAUAAACCAAGUUAAAAUAAAAUAAAAUAAAAAACGUUUCUCUCUCUCUCUCUCUCCUUUUGCCAUAUGAUUACUUUAUUUAUUGAAUUAAUUUCCAUGCUAUAAAGAAGACUUAAAAGUACACUAUAAUUUUUUAUAAUCACAACGGUAAUUUCUAUCAUCAUAGUAUAUUAUUGUCGUGUCAAAAUAAAUUAUAACAAAAUUUUAGAUGAACCUAAGUUCGACUCGUUUAUUAAAUAUAUAUACUUAGUAAAAAUAAUAAGACGAUUAAUAUGUUAUCAGGUAUAGGAUCAUUUGGCCACUUGGGCUUGUAGCCCAAUGGUGAACCAUUGUCCUUAAAGUUAAGCAUGACUAUGAGGACAAUGGUUCGAGUCCCCACGGACUCAACCUUCCUCAAUUAAACAUAAUUGUGUGGAGACUUCUUAUAACGUCUUUCUCCCUUGCGAAAUGCGAGUGGAGUAGAGACAUCCCUCCUCUAUGAGGGGUAUUUGGAUGGGCAUGUACUUUAUAGAAUAAAAAUAUAAUAAUAUAAAUCCCAUGUGAGUGGAGUAGAGACAUCCCUCCUCUAUGAGGGGUAUUUGGAUGGACAUGUACUUUAUAGAAUAAAAAUGUAAUAAUAUAAAUCUCAUGUAUAUAUAUCUGAUUGUAAAUAUCAGUAUAAUGACCUGCUAUCAUAACAGUUGUAUAUAUCUCUGUGUAAUUUUAAGUUUAAAAAAAAAAAAAAAAGGUAUAGGAUCAUUUGGGCAAUCCGAAGAGUAUUCCAGAAACCGAACGUGAGAGGCAGAUCUUUUGAUCCAACCAUGGCUUUUAUUGCCCCGUACAAAACUCUACUAUUAAUGUUUUUGUGAACAUUGAAGCAUAUGGACCAUUGACUAAGACAGCGGGACCCCUGAAAAUAGACCGUGGAGAAACGAUAGCAACUUUUAUCGAGAUGUGAACGUACUCACACUCACUACUGGAUCCCUGCCGGCCUUUUAUCUCACCCACCUUCAGACAUUGCCGCUCAAAUCACGAAGGAAAGGCAGUGGAAAGGGUAUGAUUGCUAUCAUUGUCCUACGUCCAUUGGAAAGUUAUAUUUUAAAAAUCACCAACAAGGUAUUUUAGGUCCCCCGUGAAUUAUGUCGUUUUUGUCACCCAUAUUUGCACCGACACUCGGUGGGGUGGUGCGAGGGACUAUUAAGAAUAAAAAUAUGGAGACACCAAUUAGGGAUUAUUAUUAUUAUUAUUAUUAUUAUUAUUAUUAUUAUUAUCAUUGCUUAAAAUCUCUUAAAAAAAUAUAUGUUAACAUUGGGAAGGAUAUAUAAUCUCUUUUUUAUUAGUAAAAUCUGUUUAUUUUAGUAGUAACUUAAUCUUUAAUUUACAUUUACUAUCAUGUCCCUAUAAUAAAUAAAUUAAUAUAUUUAACUUAAGAGAGUGAGCCUUCCAAUUUUACUUCCCAUUUGUCCAAUUGGCUUUCAUUCAUUUACAACCAUGUUUAACAUCUCAUUUUUCCUAAUUGGCAUUGGAAGAAAAUAAAUUUGAUUUUAUUUUUAUCUAUUAUUCAUCAUUUUUUAUCAUUGGUAAGGAUAUAUUCAUAAUUUAAAGUGAAUAAUUUGGACAAAAGAUAAUUAUAUCUUAAUUUUAAGUUGUAAAUAAAAAGUUGUUAGUUUUAUUAUACAUGUCAUCGAUGACAUGUCUUAAAUCAAUAUAUUUAUUUAUUUAUUAUAGGAAUAUAAUAAUAAUUAUAAAUUAUAAAUAAAUUUAUUAUUAAAACAAAUGGAAUUUAUUAACAAAAAUAGGAAUUAUAUAUCUUUUUUAAAAUAUUAAAACAUUAUUUUUUUUUUAGGGUAUCACUGUCCAUUUCCCAUUAAGCAAAAGAAAAAUCAGAGCCCACUAUAAAUAUAAAAUCAAUGGAGCUCAUGAUGAUGCAUUUGCUUUACAUACUAAAUUAAAUAAAAGCCGAACCAAGAAUCUUUGCCUUAGCUUAACAUGAUUAAUUAGGCACUACUUCAUAGAAAACGCAAAAGCAAUGAACCCUUUUUUUAAUCUUAAAUGUCAUGAAUAUAAUUCUUCUGCGUUAAUUAAUCAUUCUUCUCUGACCGUCUCUUCAGGUUCAUUUCAAAAGUUUGAAGAGAGUUUAUCAAUUCUUCUACUUAUAAAAGUAAGUUAAAUUAAAAGAUUUUAAUCUCUCUUCUUAUUACUAUAAGUGCGCUGUGCACGACAUUUUUUUACAAUAAACAAUGCCAAUUUGUAAUGUAAUGUUAUAUUCAUAUUCCCAUCGCGUCGAAAUUUUAAAUAAUGCAAAAUCGACUCGUUUGUUAAAAGGUAUAUAUUUAAUAAACUAAUAACAUAAUUAACAUAACGUAAAUAUUACACUAAUUAAAAUAAAAGACAGUAUCCGCCAACAAUAAUUAAAUUAGCAAGCUUCGCAUGCUCAUGUUUCAAUAAUUAAAUUAGCAAGCUUCGCAUGCUCAUGUUUCAAGAACUUAACAUUGGUGAAUUAACACCAAGGAUCAAUGAAAGAAUUACAAAAUAACAAAAUGGAUACUAUGCAUUUUUUCUUUCAACAGAAAAUGGGACUAAUUUUCAAAUAUUUUCAAAUUCACUUAUUUACAAAAGCAGUACAGAAUGAUUUCCUUUUAUUUUGAAACAUUGUAUGAACACGAAUAACAAUGAUACAAAGAGAAAAGUGGUAAUUCUCUGAUUUUUUUUCUUUUUUCCCUCUUUUUUGAAAGGAGACGUUGGGGUUUGGCUGUUUGCAAAAUUAUUGGUGUGGGGUUCUAUUUGCUUUUGUUUUCACUUUAUUAAUUAACUAGCGAAGCAAACAUGUAAUCAUUUGUAAAGGAGUCACUAGCAUCGGAUUAUGUUAGAUGAAUUUGUAAGACUUAUUAAUUUCAAUGAAAAUGUAGUGUUAUUAAGUUAUUAAUUCACUAAGUUAACUUGAGGUUCUAAUAUUUACUAAUUGUAGUGAUUAAUUUAUUUAACUUGUCAUAAUUUUCAUUUGAGAAUGAAAUUCAAUCAAUGUAUGAAAAAAGAAAAAGAAAAAAGAUAAUUUUUAAAAAUUUUUAAUUUCUAUGAUUUGAUUUCACUUUUUUCUGAAUAUUGACGCUGUAAAAGCUUUCCGAAUGUCAUCAAAUGCUUGUAUCCCAUCUCACAAAUUAGCAAAUAUCGUUUGGUUUCUUUAUACGUGGCCAUCACAAACUAAAAGUAACAACAUCCACCAUAUAUGGAAAAUUAAUUUUGAGAAUACUUUUUACUUUUAAAAGAAAAAUGCGAGUACAAUUUAAUAAGAGAGAACAAGAAUUCAUCAUGUUCCAAGUAACUGAAAAUAAGAUUAUAUAAACUUGAAUGCAGACAUAUCAUAUGUUAAUCUUAAUUUUUUUUGUUGCUGAAAAUUAAUUAAUUAGUUCCACUAUUCCUUUUUUAAUUGUAUGGUGAGAAACACAUUGACCACUUCUGAAUCAUGUUGCAUAUUUGUUAACUCAAAGAAACAGUAUAUUUUUGUAUCAAUCAAACUCACUUUGUUAAUAUUCUUCAUCAUUAUGGUUAAUGGCUUAGCAAAUGUAGGAGGAGUCAACCAAAAUGAAUCACUUUCUCUUGUAUUAACCUUUUAUUAAUUGUUGAAGUUAAAAAAAAUGUUAAAACAAAUUAAAAUAGUUCCAACUCAAAAUCAGUAGGGUGUAAGUAGGUUGUUAUAAAUAUUUUUAAAUUUUAGUCUUUUUUUUUAUUACAUGAGACUAUUGUUUAAACUACAACUCAUAUUACAUGAGACUAUAACUGAUAUUUACAAAUCAGACUAUUAUUGAGACAAACUUUAGCCUAAUUUAAUUGUGUGAUGCACAAACUUUCUCACUUCUUUUAUAUAAAUAAAGGGUAGAACUAUUUGAACUCAUUAAAUCACUUUUUAAAUCCCUCUACUUAUUAAGAUCAUCAUAAAAAUUCAAAAAUCCUUUUUAUACUCACUGCAUCUCUUAAAAAUAUCGCAAAUAUGACACAUUUGUCUUCACCUUCUAUUUAUCUUCAACAUUAACAAUUUUUAUUUGAAUCUGUAAUAUUUUUAACACUGUUCAUUCACUCAUUAGAGUUCCAAUAAUAGAAUAUAGAGAUUAAAAAUAUCAUUAGCAAAUUAUUUGUUUGUGUUCUAUAUGAUAUUCUUGGUUUGGAAAAAGCUUUAUCGGCAAUAUAUGUAAAUAAAAGACUAAGAACUUCCAAUAAUUCAGAUUUGAUCGAAACUUCACAAACUUAUUUUCACUUAAAAAAAUAAAAUAAAGUAAAAGAAAUUCUUGUGUUUUAAAAGAGAAACUGCCAGACAUGUUUCUAAGACAACUAGAAACCAAACUAGGCUUGAAGUAGUGAGUUUUGAAUUAUAAAAAAUACAUAAGUGUAAUUUCACCUAAAUCAAAUGAUGAAUUUCGUGACAACGGAUUUAGACUAUAGACCAAUACACAAAGAAUUGGAUGUUCAUCGCAUUUGUUCUUGAAAUUGUUUUGCGCAAAAAGGUUAACUAUUGUAUUAUAUUGUAUUGCAUUAUUUUAAUACAUGUGUAUUGUAUUAUGCUGUAUUGCAUUAACACUGUAUUAUAUUAAUACUAUACAACGUUUGGUUCUCCAUUGUACUCUAUUAAUUUUUAAUUAUACAUACAUUAUAUUAUGCUAUACUAUAUUAUUUUUUUGGUGGUUAAUUUCAAUUAUAUGUUUGGAAAUAAUAUUUAUUAGUACUUAGCAAAAUAUAAAAUAUAGAACCUUAACUUUUAGAAUAUUUACAUCAUUUUUUUUAGUAUAAAUGUAAAUAAUUAUAAUAAUUCUUCAUAGAACUUAUGUAAAAAUAACAAAUUCUGAAUUUUUGAUAUCGUAACAUUUUUUUUUAACGGCGUUUUUCAAAUGUAUACCUUAUUGAUGAUGCACCAUAAAAAUAAAUAUCAAAAUUUGCGAUCAUGAUCAAGUCGAGUUUUACAUGAUGAAAGCAUGACACAAAAAUUGAAAAAAAAUAAUAGCCGGCAAAAAGUUAUACAAGCAACAACAAAAGUGCUAAUUACUCGGAAAAUAAACAAUCAAGAGCCGCUGAUAGAUAUGAAUCAUAUGACAAGGUAGAGGAAUACAGAUAUCUGCAUACAUUUUUAACAAAGAUCAUCUUUGUAACCAAUUGUUGGCUUUGGCAUUAAAAGAUCAUCUUUGUAACCAACUGGGUAGCUAUAAAAUGAAUACUAAGUCAAUCAAAGGGGAAAGCUUGCUACAAGACUUUGAAGCAUUAUUCUGUUGCAUCACCUUCCUCCUCUGCCUCGCUUCCUGCAUCCCAAAUUAAAGAACAACAAAUAUUAAAUAACAAAAACAAAAUCUUCAAUAGACUUUUCAUACUCCAUAGAGCAAAUCUAUGGGAAUCCACAAAAUAAUUGAAAUACAUCAAUCCUGCAGGUCAUAGUAACAAAUUACAGAUACACAAUCAUGCAUAUGCAACUAAAAAAUGCUUAUGUAUUACAGCCGCUUUUUGGCAUCACUACUUCAUAAGUUAUAUAUGAUAAGAUAACAUUAUUAUUCUAAUCACAUGGUUAUGAUUUUAGUUGGACAUACAAAAGCUACGUGCAUGAAUCUGUAUGAUGCCACCUUUCAUGAGUCCAAAAUUUAAAUCAAAUCAAUUUGGUUGAGCCUUGAAAUUCCUAUUCCAGUCAAAGGAGAUGAUUUUUCCAAAGGUAAAGAAUGAGUCCGAUUACUUAAGCAUAUCAACCUUUUUUCUAGGCUAAAGUUUAUCCCUUUCCAUUUCACUAACUCUCCUCGCAAUACCUUGCGUCAACAUUUGCAUACUUGAUAUACUUUCACAACGGCUAAAAACUCAUUUAGUCUAUGUAUUUUAAGAUUAGUAUCUAUUUAAUCCCUAUAUUUUUAAAAAUACCUCGAAACAUCUCUAUCAUUAAAGUAUUAAUACCCCUACCGUUACUUUUUAUUUUUUUUCGCUUACUUUUACAAUAUUACCCUUUUAUUCUUAAUAAAUCCACUCAUUAAAUUAAACUCAUAUAGAAAGGUUGUAAAAAGAUCCCAAACUAAUUAAAAUUUUUAAAAAUUACCCUACAUCAAAUUAUUUUUUUUGUACCAUAAAACAAAACGAUAGUCGCAAACUUAUUUUGUACUAGGAGUAAUGAUUAUGUACAAAAAUGGGCACAGAAAGGUCUUUGGCUCUACAGUCUACUCGGUGAUUCGUGAAAUGCUUUCAAAGAGGGGGCAAAAAGAAAAAAGAAAAAAGAAAAAAGAAAAUAGAAUAUAUUCUAAUUUUUUAAUUAAAAAAAAAAAACCCUACUAUGUACUUUUAUAAUAACUCCCUCGAGUGCAAUGUCUCAAAGGUUGUCUUCUUCGUCCCGCUGACAACCCAAAAGGCAGAAACGCAAUGUCGUCGAAUUCGAUGGAGUCAUUGAUUCUCCAACUCCACGAGAUCUCGGCGGUUAAAUUCGGAAACUUUAAGCUAAAAUCCGGCAUAUCGUCUCCCGUUUACAUCGACCUCCGACUUGUCGUUUCUUACCCUUCCCUCCUCCGCCAAAUAUCCAAAACCAUCAUCUCCUCCCUCCCCUCCACAACCAAAUACGACCUCGUGUGCGGCGUUCCGUACACCGCCCUCCCAAUCGCCACCUGCGUCUCCGUCUCCAACGACGUCCCCAUGCUCAUGCGGCGCAAGGAAAUCAAAGACUACGGCACCGCCAAGGCCAUCGAAGGCAAUUUCAAGAAGGACGAAAUCUGUCUAAUCAUCGAAGAUUUAGUCACCAGCGGCGCGUCGGUCCUCGAAACGGCGGUGCCAUUGAGAGCGGCGGGGCUGGUGGUGACGGACGCCGUCGUAUUGAUCGACAGAGAGCAGGGAGGGAGGGAGAAUCUGAAGGAGAACGGAAUUGAGUUGCAUGCGAUGAUAAAGCUGAGCGAAAUGGUUAGGGUUUUGAGGGAGAAAGGGAAGCUUGAUGAGGAAACGGAGAGAGUGGUGAUGAAGUUUUUGGAGGAGAACAAGAAAGUGGCGGCUUCGAAUUUAGGUGGGGUUAGGGUUAGCGUUAAGGGUUUGAAGUACGAAGAGAGGGCGAAUUUGAUGAAGAAUGAGACUGGGAGAAAAUUGUUUCAAGUGAUGGUGAAGAAGGAGAGUAAUUUGUGUUUGGCUGCUGAUGUUGCCACUGCUGCUGAGUUGCUUCAAAUUGCCGAGAAGGUUUCUUGUUUUAAGUUAUUCAAUUUUCAAUUUUUGUGCUUUAAAUUGUAGGUACAAAUACUUAUAGCAGAGUGUACAGCUACUUCACAGCAUAAAUUCUGUUGUGAAAUUAUUAUUUUUUUUAAUUUCUGUUUUACAAAUUUCUUUUCCCUGAAAAUUGAGUUCAUUCCUUUCAUGCCCAUUAUUAGAAAUUAGAAACAUCCUAGGCUAGGUCUUGGACACGUGGCACACAUGUGGGUCAUGGCAGCCGCUGCUGGGCCUGAAGUUUAGGCCCAAUCUAUUAAUGGUUUUGUUGCUGGCAAUGCCAUUUGUUAAUUUUUUUUUUUUUUUGGGUUUGACCUUUGCCACCGAAAAAAAAAGAUGAUGUUGACUACAUUAGAGUACUUUACUCUGCCUACUGCCUGUUGCCUGUGGUUUGGUUGUUGAUUUUGUGACAUUUGGAUGUAAUAAUGUAUAAGAAUGUCCAAUAUAAUCAUUCUGGAUUAUCUUUUAGAGUGAUAAAACUGUGGUGCAACUGUGGUACCGUGCCACAGUUGCACCUGGAUUCCCACUUAUUCAAGUGAACCCCACUCAUUUGAGUGGAUCCAACGGCUGGUGCAACUGUAGCACGGUACCACAGUUGCACUGUAGCCUGACCCCUUUUAGAGUGCCAUUUAUUCUUUUGUAGUAGUUCAAUUUUUUCUCACGCAAUUUAAGGGAAAAAGAGGGAAAAAAGAAGUAUAUGCAUCGGUGAUAAUAUUACUUAACUAAUUUAAUAUUGAUUUGUUAAUCAUUAAUAUUUCGUGAAUGAUUUACAUUCAUGUUUUUCACAGGGUUCAUGAUAGCACUGCACAUAAUACGAUGCUUUAUUCAUCUGAUUUUCAUAAGAAAGAUAGUUUGUUUGUUUUUUCUUCUCUCUAAUUCUCAUUUGAGAUUUUCAGGUUGGACCAGAGAUCUGCUUGUUGAAAACCCAUGUCGAUAUAUUGCCUGAUUUCACCCCAGAUUUUGGUUCCAAACUUCGUGCGGUAUAGCUCCUCAACCCAUUUUCUAGGGAAAUAAACUCGACUAUAUUCUGAUUUUGUGGAUUCUUAUGAAAUGUUAAUUAAGCAAUACUAGUUAUAGCUAAAAAAUUUUCAACUCUUGAAGAUUGCAGAAAAGCAUAACUUCCUGAUUUUUGAAGAUCGCAAGUUUGCGGACAUUGGUAACACUGUGACCAUGCAGGCUGAAGGGUAAGACUCUGCGCUUCUAUAUUUCUUAAUUUCUUUGUUCUUUGUGUCCUUGCUUCCUCUUGAGGGUUCCUGUCUCUGUGUCUGCAGUGGUAUAUUUCGUAUAUUGGAUUGGGCCGAUAUAAUAAAUGCUCACAUAAUCUCUGGACCGGGAAUUGUGGAUGGUCUGAAAUUAAAGGUUAGAAUCAACUAUUUGGUAUAACUUUUGUUUGCCAUGAAGUAAUCAACUAAUCUGUUUCUAAUGUCACGCAUACUAUUGAUUUACCAGGGAUUGCCUCGUGGUAGGGGUCUGUUGCUGCUGGCUGAGAUGAGCUCAGCUGGUAACCUAGCAAAGGGAGACUAUACAGCAGCAGCUGUGAACAUUGCCGAGGAUCAUUCUGAUUUUGUCAUUGGAUUCAUCUCAGUUAAUCCAGCAUCAUGGCCAGGGGCACCAGUCAAUCCAGCCUUUAUUCAAGCAACCCCUGGAGUUCAAAUGGUAAAGGGAGGUGAUGAUCUAGGCCAACAAUAUAACACUCCAUACUCGGUAAGUUCUGUUCGUUCACUAGCUCCCCUCAACAUGUUAUUUUUCUAGCAAUACUAUCCAUGAAAACUAUUAAUACAAACUUAUCUAUGCAAAUGAACAUGGGAAUACAAUUAUUAAGGUAAACGUUAAAAGAAAGUCAAUUUAAUUGCCACAUCACCCAUUUUCAUUUGUGGUUUUUUUUUUUUUUACUAAUCAAAUUUCAAUGUGCCAGGUUAGUUUAUAUUGGUUGAGUGUGUAUGUCUAGUGUUUUGAUAAAUUUGUCACAAGUUGUAAAAUAGAUGUAAACUUGAGUGAAGAAUUAGCAAUUGAACAACCAGCUCCAAUCGAAUUAGCAUUUUUGCCUUAUGUUCAAAUUUGAGAAGGCCUAACUGAAACAUUUUUUCUUAGGGUCCCAGGUGCAUUGAGCUAGCCGAAGGACUAAUGGGUGCUAGUUACUUAAUAUAAUCUAAGAAAUAAAAUCAGCAUUUUACAUGUAAUGGAAUUUUAGGCAUGUCAAUGAGGCAUAAGGGGAAGAAGUUUUGAUUGCAAAUUUGGGAGGCCAUCAAAAUGAUUUGUUUUGGUGUGAUAACAAAAAAUUCUAAUGAAUAAACCCAAACCCUGGAAUGUUUUGCCAUAUAUCACUAGAUCCUCAAAAGGUUAGGAAAAUGAGGUAAAGAAGAUCCAUUUUCCUCCUGUUUUAUAUAUGUAGGAACUUUAUCUUUUCAUGGGUACAUCAUUGCUAUCACUAGAUCCCCAAGAGAUUAGGACAAUAAGAUAGAAAAGAUCCAUUUCGUCCUUUUUUUUUCACAUAUAGGAAUUUCAUCUUUUCAUGGGUACUUCAUUUCUAUGGAGCCAAAGAUAUCAUUUGCUCUAGUUUCUGAAAUUGAGCUUCGUAUACCAUGCUUUGAAAUUGACCCUUGACUAGAGAGAAAAAAUUUUCGUUUAUGACCAGAAAUUUUCUGUAAAUUGAAAUGAGAAAAAGUUGGAGAGGAAAAGCUUGGGAUUUAUAAUUUGGUAACAUGUUUUAUCUUUUCUUCAGGCAGUAAGCUUUGCUUAGCUGUGUCUAGAUAUCUUUUUGUCCUUGAUUAGCUGAAUUCCUAGAUAUUUCAUCCUAAAGACUUAUUCGUAUCCAUCUUUUCCCUCCAUACAUUGAACCAAUGUUGUAUCUUGUUUCAAAACAGGUAAUUUCUCCAACUUCAAAUUUAGCCUAGCCAACUAUAAUUUAACCAGGGAACAAGCUAGAAGGGGCAGAGCUAAUGAACUAAGGUUAACUGGUGUUUAAAAUAGUUGUAACUUGUACCUCAGUGAUUUUAUUCGAGAGCCUCACAGCCAUGUGAUAUUCCCUUUGUCACACAUAGUAUGACUAUUAAGAUGCUUCUUGCAGGCUAACUAAUCAAACUUGUUACACCAACAAAACAAUAGCUGAGUGCUCGACUGCUCUUAACCUGUUCUAUUUGGUUGACACUGUUGCAGCUUUAAUAACUUUAACGUAAAAUUGUUCUCCAGGUCAUCUACGAUAGGGGUAGUGACAUAAUUAUUGUGGGUCGUGGAAUUAUAAAGGCAGCAGACCCUGCAUUGGCAGCCCGUGAGUACCGGCUUCAAGGAUGGGAGGCCUACUUGGCUAAGUGCAGCUGAUCCUCCAUUUAGGUCUGGACUUCUGCUCGCUUCAACGGUUGCGAUAAUGAACAGAUGAGUCAAGUUCUGUUUAAUAUACCAUGCAUUGGUAUGUCUUAUGAAACCGAGAGAGUUUGAAGCUUUUGGCUGCAUUGUACUUAUAGUAACUUCUCAAGUCUGGUAAUGCUGCUUGUCUGGUUUUCCCAAUGAAACAUGGUUGCAAGAUUUCUGAGUGUUGUGUUAUCAACAAUAUAUGAAAUUUAUGAACGUGGUGUUUGGAGUUGCCAACCAUCUCAUUCAAAAUUAUCAUAUUGAAUGAUUCGGAUGAUUCCUCUUUUGUGGUUUGGAUGGACACGUGGCAAUGCGCAGUAGAUGCCUUGGAAAUUGGUAUCGGGCAAUCAUCUUUAAAUGUUGAUAUGGUAAAAUGACCAGGAUUACUUUAUGUUUAGCAAAACGAAUCCUUUUCUCUCUAAUAUUUUAUAACCUACAAAUAAUAAUGUUAAAAUGUCAGUUUUUCCAACCGAAACAACUUAUAAUUUAAAAAAAAAAAAUUGAUAGCAGAAUAUUAAAUAAAGGGAUAUUUUUUUUAGAAAAGGAAAAUAGUUAAUUUAGCCAAAUAGAAAGAAGAUACUCAUUUUCCCAAUGGUUUUUUUUAAACUCUCAUUUUCUCAAUAUAUAACUAAUAAUUUAACAAAGUGUUAUUAAUAUUUUAAAAUAUUUCUUAGGAUGAAUUGAUUUUUAAACGCGAGCGAGAAGAAAUUGAUAAGAUUUAAGGGUAAUUUUUAAAAACCUCCCCUGAGGUUUGAGGCUGUUGCAAGUAGAUGGUGAAAAUCAUUUUAUUUGUAAAAAGCCCCCUACCGUUAGUUAAAAUUUUCAUUGACUAACUGUUGACUUUGAAAAGACAAUAUUACCCCCAAUAUUUACAAUUCUAAAUAUUUAUAAUUUCAUAAGUAAUUAAAAUAAUUAUUUUCACCAUGAUCAAGUUAUUGAUAUUUCUUUAAAAUCUUAAAAAAAUAAAAUUACAAAUCUUAAAAUAAUUUUUUUUAAGUUUGUAAUAAAAUUACAAAUCUUAAUUAUUUGAUAUAAAAAUAUAAUUUUUUUUAAGUUUGUAAUUUUAUUUUUUUAAGAUUUUAAGGAAAUUUUAACUGACGUAAACUAUUAUUGGGGGUAAUAUUAUCUUUUUAAAGUCAACAGUUAGUCAAUGAAAAUUUUAACUAACGGUAGGGGGUCUUUUACAAAUAAAAUGAUUUUCACCAUCUACUUGCAACAGCCUCAAACCUCAGGAGAGAUUUUUAAAAAUUACCCUAAGAUUUAAUUAGUAACAUUAAGAUCGGUAAAUGAUAUAAUAUAAAACAAAACUAGUAAAGAACAAAAAGGGCCAACAUGAAGAAAACCCAAAAUUGAAACCUGUCCUUUUUGUAUUUUCUCGAGAAAUUUCUCUCUCCGACUUACAGCUCAACGGCUUUAGUUUGAAAUUCUUCACACUCUUUCAAUUGUCUUUCAACGCGCACACUUCGUAUCCUUCGUUAUUAAUUGUUCACACACGCUCCCCCAACACCGAGCAGACUCUCUCUCUCUCUCUCUCUUCUGUCCGAAUUAGGGUUCUGUUGGGCCGUGAAACAUUAUAAUGCGCUUCUGAUUUCAAAUACUUUUCCAGGUAAUUUAAUCUUUUUUUCCUUUCUUGCUUUCUGGAAUAUUCUAAGAUCUUAAUCUAGAUUUGUUUCCUCAUUUCGGCAUUUUAAAAAAUUUGCUUUUUUUUUUCUCUUACGGUUUAGGGUUCUCAAAAUCAUAUACGAUGCUGUUUUACUGCCACAUUUGUAAUUCGGCCAUUUUUCUUUUUCCUUUUUUUUUUGUGAGUGUUGAAAAGGAAAAAAGUGAUAUUUUCCUUUCUGGGUAUUGCUGGAUUUUGUCCCCAGAAAAAAAACUGUAAUUCCGUCUCUUUGCGUGUAUAUAUGUAUAGGUAUCUUCUACAUUACCAUCUUAUUGGCUUUCCGGGUGACGAAAAUGGGUAGCUUAACUUUCUUAUAAUUGAGUUAUGCUAUGUGGGUUUGUUGUGGUGAUUAAAUACUGAUGGCAGUGUCUAAUGAGAUGAUGAGGGAACUCUAUCUAUGCGAAAAUGCAUGGUGUAUUUCGUGUUUAAAGAUUUUUAUGCAAGUUUUAUUGUAUUACGUUGUUUUAUUAAUAUUACUGUCUCCCAAUAUUUGAGUUCUUGUGUUUAUCGAAUGAUAGAAAAGAGUUUACCCUGAUUUAUGGUUUUGAUUGAGAUGUAAUGGAUAUUUUUAUUUGAUUAUAGGUUGGGAAGUCAAAACUUGACCUUGGUGCCUGCAAGGAAGAAGUCAAGAAGAUUGACUAGGAAACAAGAUCUGUUGGUAAGAAUUCCUUCCCAACGAAAACUUUAAUACUGAUUAAUGUCAUAAACUUGUUGGUUCAUUUUUUUUAAAUUUAAAUUUUCAUUUGCCUGGGCAUGUUUGCUGUACUAUUAUUCAUAAAUUGGGAAUUGAUCUUUGAAUGAGUAUUGGAAUCAAAUAAUGACGAAAGUAUAUAAUGAACAGUUGAAUGUUCUUUGGCCAAAAUAAAUUCACUUUGGCAUGACUCAAGGCUGAAAGAAAAGAUUAUGUAAUGAAAAGAAGACAAUUUUUAUGAUGAUUAUGUAUACAUGUCAAACAAUGUCGUAAAAAGGAAAUAUGUCAUAGAAUGCAGAAAAUGUAGGAAACUACAUUGCCCCUCUUAGAGUUUAUCUAUAUAUAUAGUUUCCUUAUAUAUAUAUAUAUAUAUAUACCCUAAGGACCGGAAAGAGUUAAAGCUUAGGGUGACUGGUAGAAUUUGGAAAGAACAGUGAUGGAUGGAAGUGCUUUUUGUCUUGCAGCUUCGUGCAAUCAUGUUUUGCCGUCAUAGCUGGUAGUUGAGUUUUAUCUUGUUGGUGGGUAGUCCAGUGAGUCCUCUUGUUCAUGUAUUUUUUUGUUAUGUAGAAAGCAAAUUUUCUUUGCAUGUCCUUGCACUGAAUGCAUGAGUGGGGAAGACGUGUCGUGACUCUUUAUGCCUACAAUUGUAAUAUCUAUCUAAAUAUAUUUCAAUGUAUUGCAUUGCUGCAGUGCCAUUAGUUUUCUCUUUGCCUAUGAUGCAUAUGAACGAAGUCAACAGGAAUUAAAGCUUUGUGUCAUUAGUUUAACCAUGAAGCACUUGAAAGAGUUUUGUGGAAAGUUUUUCAAAGAAACAAAUUUUCUUAUUAUCAAUUUGCAAUUGAAUAAAAAAAUGACACAUUAAAUUCUCAAAAAUGACACAUUAAAUUCUCUCUUUUUAAUUAAAAAUUUUAUUAUCAAAAUAAUUUUUAAAAAUUACUUAAUUAAUUCUUUCUUUUUUUUUUCUUCUCAAUUUCAUAAAUUCUCAUAAAUUCAUUCAGAUAUCCUUUUUUAGCUACAAAUAAUCGAUAUCACUAAGUAUUUCAUGUUUGCUUUAUAUGAAAAAAAGGAAUUAUGAAUAAAGUACUUUAGAUAUAUUAUUAUUAUUAUUAUUAUUAUCAUUAUUAUUAUUAUUAUUAUUAUUAUUAUUAUUAUUAUUAUUAUGAUAUACUAAAAAAGGACAAAAUUAAACUAAAAAUAUAGUGAAAUUGAGUGUUUAAUUUGUAAAGAAUAGAGAAAAUAUGCAAUUGUAAGAUAAAGAGAGAAAGUGACAAGUGAAGAGUAAUUUUGAGAAUUUUAAAUUUUUAAUAAUAAAUUUAUUUUUUAAAAUAGGUACAGAGAUAAAUUUAAUUCAAAUAGGAGAGGAAUUUAAUGAGUUCAAAUAGCCUCACCAUUGUAAUAAUAUUAUACAGAAUUUAAUGUUAUACUAUAUUAUAUUUAUUUUUUAUUGAUAUUAUUUAAAUUUAUUAUUAAUUAUAUUAAAUUAUUAACUAAAUAAUUAUUUUAUGUUAAUUAUUUUUAUGUUAAUCAUUAAUAUAUAAAUAUAAUAUAAAAUAGCAUUUUUAAAUAAAACUACAUGAUACCAUAAUUUUAUUUUUAAAUUUUAUUUAUUAUAAUAAUAAAAUUAAUUAAAAUAUAUUUAAUGCCUCAAUUAAGGCAAAAGCUGGUAAUGUUCCACAAUGCAGUUUCCAAAACUUUCAAAUAUAGGUAACCAAUAAAUUAAUGUAAUCCGUAUUUAUAAUAUUAUGCAAUGUUAUGUUCCAAACACACCCUUAAUUUAGUUUUUGCCGCAUUAUCAAAUCUCGUGCCCUCCUUUGUAAAUUGUAUUGGUAACUUUACAACAUAAAAUUAUUUAGUCAAUUAGAAUAUAUUUAAUUCUUACUAUUUUAUAAAAUAUUAAAUUUAAAUGGUAAAAAUAUUGACUAUUGCCAACCAUCACAAUCCACCGCUUGCGAUAUCAUUUUGAUAUCCUUUGACAUCAAUUUAGGAAUUAAUAUAAUCCUUAUUAUUGGAGCUAUACAACGAUAUAUGUAAAACCGAAAAUAGAGCUUCAUUCAUUGUAGAUUUAUGGUCAAAGUUUUGUAUCUCUAAAUUUUGACCGUAUAUUUAUUAUAAUGAUAGGAAACUCUGUUGCUGAUGAGAUAUGCACCAUUGUGUAUAUCGAAUGAUGAAAAUUAUAAUGGUACCGAAAUUGACAUCAAAAGAUACUGGAAUAUGAACACCGAAGAUAGCUCAUGGUGGCCCAUGGGUGACGGUGGUGAGUAAUCUUCUGUCGUUUAUAAAUUUUAAAUAAUAAAUUUAAUAAUUAUAAAUAAUAAAAUUUUUAAGACAUUUAUAAUUAUAAAAAAUAAUUUAAUAUAAGUAAUAAUAUUUAUAUUAUUACAUAUAAUGCUAUACAAUAUAACACCAAAUAUUGUACAAUAUUAAUAUAAUAAAAUGAUAAUGCAAUAUGUCUACACUAUAAUACAAUAUAGUGUGCCAAACACUCUCUACGACUUUACUUAAUGUUGCUCAAUGCCUUUUAUUUCAAUUCCCAAUCAUGAGUUCAUCUCAAUUAAUGCUGGGCCCAAAUGUAGUGUUGUGCAAUGCUGCAAGUCAAACAUACCCUUUGUGUAAUACAUUCACACACGCACUCUCUUUUUUUAAGUAAGAGCAUCCCCACAUUGUUAAAGUAAAAAUGUCACUAAAAUACAAAAGAAUAAAAAUUUCAAUAUAUAUAUUUUUUAUUUGUUAGUAUAAUGAAAAUUGUGUUUUUUGUUUGUUAGUAGCUUCCUCAUUUUAACAAAGUUAGGAUGCUCUCACUAAAAAAUGAUUAUAUAUAUCGGAGUGAGUUUUCAAUUAAAGAUCCAUUAUUAUAUUAAAGUCAAUGAUAAAUUAAAAAUAAAAAAAUACUGGUUAAUAAUAUAUAUGCAUCAGAGUCUGUAAUUUUAUUUUUUAACUUAUUGUUGAUUUUAAUAUAGUUAAGAUUCAUGUAUAUAUAUUUAAAAAGUAGAAGAAGAAAUCAAUUUAAAGGGCCAUUGAGAUCUGGAUCCAAAAGCCCAGAAAACUUCAAAUUGGACUAUGACCCAAACAGAACCCCAGAAUCAACUUACACUCGACCUCUCCCGGAAGCAGUAUCGAGCUGAUUUUGCAGGUGAAAAUCCGUUGAUUUUAAUUUCUUUUUCUCCAAAAUUUUCAUUUCAGUUAUUAUUAUUAUUAUUAUUUUUCAAUAAGUUCAUCGAAUUUGUUCUCUGUUUCUUAACCAAGAAAAUGAUCAAAUAAAGUCUUCUUGUUGAUUCAGGUUUAUACUCGUAAAUAAUAUAUCAUGCCGGACACUCAGGCUCUUGUGAAUGACUUUCUUAACAAGCUUAAAAAACGGUGACGUUUCAGACAGUAUAUUUUAAUUAUUCUUUUUUUUUUUACUGAUUUUAGGAGCUGAUUUUGUUUGUUUGUUUUGUGAGUGGCAGUAAGAUCGAGGGCUCGCAAGCAACGGCAAGGCAGACCGCGGAGCUGCUUCGCUCUGUGAUUUCGCAGCAGCGCGUGCCGUACACAAAUCAGGCUGGAGCUUUAAUUGAUGCUGUCAAAGCUAUUGGCGAGCAGCUCGUUGCUGCCAAUCCUGAUACAAAUAUGGUACUUAGUCAUGUUAGUUAUUUUUAAUAUCAUUGUAAUGAUAUCACCUUUUUUCAGCUGAAUUGAUUUUUAUCAAAAUGUUAUUAACUUGAACUAUGUUAAUUGUUUUCAUCGCUCUUAAUUUAGUUUUGUUGUAAUCCAGCAUCCUCCAAUUAGUAGUUUAGUACAGCUAAUAUAGUGUAUGUGCUGUAGGUAAUUUGGCAUAGUUACCUCUGAGGUUGGGGUCUUGUACAAUUAUUUAUGUUAGGCACCAGAACUUGCAUUUGUUUGGGGCAUGCAUUAGAUAAUCUGGUAUCUACAAAUUUAUUGUACUUCCAUAGCAAAUAUUCUUCUUUUCUUUUUGAAUCACAUGGAUGAAACUAUGCAUUCUGCUGUUGAAAAUUAGUACUGUUGCUAUAUUCACUAUCAAAUGGAUUCGGCAUCGCUAAGAAACCUUUUCUACAAAGUUAUACUUGUUUUUUUAUUUAUGAUUUGUUUCUUUUAUUUCUUUCCCUUUUGUGGCUUUUCAAUUCUCCCUAGCACUUUUUUCCAGAUCCUCUUUCCAAAAUUAAAAAUGAUUAAUUUUCUUCUUUGUUUGUGAUUUAUGUUUUCUUCACUUUUCUGAUUGAUUAAAUGAUAUAUCAAUGCAGAGCUUGCCGUGGGUAAUAUUGUGAGGCGUGUUUUACACAUCAUUAGAGAGGAAGAUCUGUCUUUGACUACGGCUGCUAUUGGUGGGCUGAACUUAUCUGCUGUAAGUGAUGAUGAAAAUGAUGAUGAUCGAGAUGGCGACUCAACUCUAUCAGCAGCUGCUGUUGCUGCUGCUGCUAGAAGUACUUUGCGUCCACCUUCUUUGCAAACUCUGCUCGAGGACACACCUGUCUCUGCAGCUGUUCCUCAGACUUCCUCAUCUGGGGGUGAUUCUGAAGGAAAAAGCAAAUGUGUGUUACUUUUUUUUUUUUUUUUUUAUAAAGUGUUUUUGAUAAUUCUUCAAUCACAGCAUCUUCUGUUAUUUUCCCUAAAUAAGCUUGUCUUAUGUAACACAUGUUUUAAAUAUGCAAUCGGAUGCAUCUUGGUGAUAAACUGGUGUUCCUGAAUGUUUUAGCAUUGAUGAUUUAGUUAAUUCAGCCUUAUGAUGGUAGAUAGUUAACAUACUAGUUUCCUUCACAGCUGCUGAUAAAAGUUCAAGAAGUCGGAAGCUGAAGCAUGAUGUUAUUGAAGCGGUUAAUGAACUUAUUCAAGAUAUUGUCACUUGCCAUGAACAGAUUGCUGAACAAGCAGUGGAGCAUAUACAUCAGAAGUAAUUAUUCCUUUUCCUGAUUUCAACUAGACAAUAUGUUUUUUCUCCAUACUUGGACUUUAUUUUCAGGAGAAUUGGAUGUCUACAUAAUUCCUUUUUACCUGUUAAUUUAGGAUAUAUGUAUUCAGUUUGUUGUUUAUGAAUGUACUACACUUAAAAAUGCAUGCAAUAUCUCAUUUAGAAGCAUAUAUAUAUGCUCUUUUCAUUCUUGUUAGGUUUUUUCUAUGUCACUUUCUUAAGUCUAAAAGAAUAAUGUUGUUUGUCUAUUCUCAUGUUGUCUUCCCAAGGAAUUGUAGGAUGAUAAUUUCAUGUAUCGAUGAUGAACUGUAAGCAGUUUUCAUAUCUGGCUUGCAAGCAUUCCCUUUUAGUAUGAUGUGGAGGUUAGGUUGUCGGAAUUGUUGGUGAUUCAUUGACCUGAGGGCUAAUUACGGUGCUGGCAUGAGUAUAAUUGACUUUAAAUGACUUUUCUGCACAGAACUAAGCUGGGCUGUGUAUUUCUGUAUUGAUCACUCAUUUGUGCUCUUUAGAACUUAGAAGUGCAGGAGGGUAGGUUAUGAGGGGAUUUGGAAAGUAGGAAUUCAAAUGCUUAAAUUGAUAGGCAUACUUGGGCAAUAAGGCGUUUAAAUGCUUCACUUGUAUGAUUUAACUACGAUUUGCAACAAGAGCGGCAUCAUUCAUUUAAACAUAGAAGAUUUAGAAAAAUUGUAUUGGAUGUGUUAGUGCUAAUGAACUUUUAAGCAUUUGGUGUUUCUGCUUUUUUCCUUCUAGGUGAAAGUGAAUAUGUUUUAUUUAACUCAUUCAACAAAUUGCAAAUUUGGUAAGGUGGUAACUGCGACUUUGCUCAUGUUAUUGUUUGACUGCGUAACGAGUUCAACUGUGUGCUUUACUGCCGAGAGAGCUCUAAUGAAGCUGUUUUUUGAUUUUGAGGGGCAACUUCAUUAGCUCUUUCAUUAGGAUAAUAAUAUAUGUAUUAUAUUCGUAUUCUCCUUAGAGAUAAGGAUAAGAGUGUAAUAAGUGUGAUGUGACUUAAAGUAGGUAAUGAGUUGUAAAGUAGAUUCCUUAGUGAUAAGGAUCAAUAAUGCAAAUAGUGGAUCCCUUGAGCCUAUAAAAGAGAGUCCAUGGUUUGUAUCUAGGCAUCGAGUCUUGGAGUGCAAAUAGUGGAUCCCUUGAGCCUAUAAAAGAGAGUCCAUGGUUAGCAGGGGAAAUAUUGUGAUUCAUGGCCUUUAUCUAGUUUGGGUCAGCUAUGGCAUAUUAUAUAUGUUCUCUUGUGUCUUAUCUCCUAUAUUGUCCAAUACAUGUAUAUGCUUAUUUUUAAAUUCUUCAUCUAUGUUUCUUCCUACCAUUUGCUACUUCCAUUAAUUUUAGCUAUUAAAUGUAUUUUCAGUGAGGUAAUAUUAACUUUAGGCAGUUCAAGGACGGUGUUGGAAUUUCUUUUUGCUGCAAAGGAGAAAAAAAGAUCAUUCCGGGUAUUUGUCGCAGAGGGUGCUCCAAGGUUUGUGCAAUGGCUUGCUAUUUGUUGAUUGCAAAGAAAUAUUUCACUGGCUACUUUGGCUCUGAUGUUCUCUCUCUCUCUCUCACAUUCUCUGUUUGGUUGCUGUUCUGCUACUUCUUGUUUUAUAGGUAUCAGGGGCAUCUGCUUGCAAAAGAAUUGGUAGCAAGAGGUUUACAGACCACACUGAUUACUGAUUCUGCAGUUUUUGCCAUGAUUUCCCGAGUAAACAUGGUAUGUUUGGGCCACUUUUCUCGUUUGGUUUUGGAUUUCCUGAAAUGUUUUUAGCUUGAUCUAAAAUUUUGCAAUGUAAAGGUUAUAGUUGGAGCUCAUGCUGUCAUGGCCAAUGGUGGGGUUAUAGCACCUGUUGGGAUGAAUUUGGUUGCACUUGCAGCUCAGAAGCAUGCUGUCCCUUUUGUUGUACUUGCCGGAAGUCACAAGGUAGUUUGGUGCAACAAACUGCUUAACUAGAAAAUUAAGUAAAAUUUAGAAAGCCCAUUUUCCUUAACUGCCAUUCCUAAAUUCGUUGGUCUUGUGUAUGAACUGGUGUGGAGUUUAAGAUGGUGCUCAGUUAUUCAUGUGAAGUGAACUUCCCUUUCAGAUAAAACUGAUCACUAAUGUAAGGAGUAGUAUGUGCAAGAUGCAAAUGUGUUUAUGAAUAGUAUGUGGGUGUAAAAGCUCAUAUUCUUUGUACCAAAUAUUAUUGAAUGUUGGUUGAAUUAAUCUCUGUAGCUGCAGUCCUUUUUAAUGCAUCAACAUGUUUGCUGGGUAUUGAAUUGCAUCUGGUUGUAAUAACAUUGUAGUUGGAGAUAAAUCAUUGAACUCUGGUACUUCAGUUCUGGGUAUGAUCUUUUUGACAAAUGUGGUUGGUCUAUAUGACAGUUAUGCCCCCUCUAUCCGCACAAUCCUGAAGUUUUACUGAAUGAGUUGAGAUCCCCAUCAGAGCUGCUGGACUUUGGAGAAUUCUCAGACUGCAUGGAUUUUGGGAGUGGCAGUGGUUCCCCUCUUCUUCAUGUGGUCAAUCCAGCAUUUGACUAUGUUCCACCGAAACUUGUUAGUCUUUUUAUUACUGACGCGUAAGUUCAACUGCCCUUUUAGCAUGAGACAGAGACAAUCUACACCUUACGUGCAAUUUUUAUGCAAUAUAUAUAUAUACAUUAAGAUUACUUAUUUGAUUUCAUUGUAGAGUACCAGUUUUCUGGCCCCUUUAUUUUCCAUUGGUGUUCCAGUUCUAUCUCUCAAUAUAUUUCAUUUUUUUUCCUCUGCUAUUGCUGUGUUGUUCUGCUAAUUUCUUUUCUUCUUCACAGGGGAGGGCACAAUCCUUCAUACAUGUAUCGGUUGAUUGCUGAUUAUUACUCGGCUGAUGACUUGGUUGUGCAGCGAAGAGCUACUGCUGGGAAUUGAUUUUGGUUUGUAUCAUCUAUUGUGUAAGUAGUCUUUUUGUGCCAAUGCUCUGGUGGAAAAUUGUUGAUUUUAACAAAAAGGAUAAUCUUUUUAAAUUGACAUAACAAUUGGUACUCUUUCUGAUUGUUAUGAUUCCAAUAAACUUAAUUGAUGUUGCAAACUGCUUCAUCUCGGGAUAUACAAUAAUUAAAAGAUGACAAUGAGUGAAUGCUGUAACUUGGUAUAUCAUUUUGAGCUUUGACUUUAUCUAAUCUUUGCCCUAUUUUAAGGUCAGGAAUUUAUUAUGGCAAGAGCAUUAGCUUUGGGUUUGAGAAAUUUCAAAUCACUGAAUUUGGAGCUGAGCUGAUGCUGUAAAAGAACUCAGGGACAUAGCGAUUGCGAGGCAAUGGUGUGAACUUAGUGCAAAUUUUAGGGACGCAAACAAUGAUAGGAUAAUUUUUGUUGGCAGAAAUAUUAAAAUGUAAAAUAGAGGCUAAGAGUUGUACUGAGAUAAAAAGGUGGAUACGGUUGGAUAAUAUUUUUUGAUUGUAUCAAGGUUGGUGGUCAAGUGCUGUAUUCUUCUUCAUCAGUGAUUUUCAGACGGACGGUAUAACAUUGUUGUAUUGCUUGUUGCUUAAAAUUUUCAUAGCAGAACGUAGCUGUUGAGAUGUUUCCUAGAAUAAUUUUCUCGUCUUUGCAUGAAUAACAUUGGAGAAUAAUUAUCUGUUUAACUGUGUGUUUUCUUUCGUUCCUCGACGGUUGAGACAUGUUACUUUUGAGUAAUGAUAUGAGCCCAAAGGUCGACAUAAAUGAGUGCCAUGUGGAUGCCUCCAAGAAAGAAACAGGGCGUCCAAACCGCAUCAUGAGAGUGACAUAACGUUUGUCGGGCUCAAUAUAUCAUUACAUGUUACGUUUUGGAACAUAAACCAAGGAUUUGAAAUGCAUUAUUAUACAUUAAUCCCCCUGACAUAAUAGGCCGAACCCUUUAAGCCAUUUGAGAAGGGUCGAGUGUUAAAAAGGGAGUAACAAGAGCUACGAGACUAGUCUCUUGACUCGCAUUACAAGAGGUUACAUAAAACUUCGAAUAUUAAAAUUAAGGCGCACAUAAUGCAACUUAGAUAAUGAGAAAUCAGCAGUAACUUUGCAAACAUUGGAAAAUGUUACAUAAAAAUGAGAAUACAGUUUUCAUUGAUGGUCUACAUCGAACCAGAAAUACAGAUAAGUCCUGGCAUAUAUAACUCGAACUCGCUGCAGCACUAGAUCUCCACUAGUCAAAACAGCCUUGGCACCUCCUUCAAUUCGAGUAUGCAAAACAGUAACACUAUCACCAUUACUCUUCAUUGGAGUAGAUGUAAUACAGCUACGAGCUGUACUCACGAUUGGGCAUGAGAGGAAGUCCAGUGGAUUCGUCUCACACUGAAGUACACACCCAUCUAUAGUUAACCUUCCACUCCGAUGGAGAAAGCAGCAGCCAAGCUCUGCUUUCACUGUUAAAUUCGCCAGCUUGCAUGUGGAUAGAAACUCCAAGGCACUGCCCAAACAAAACAAAUAUUGCAUAGCAAAUUUUGUUGCUUGAGAUAUUAUGCCGGUCAUUUUCGAGGAUCCUACUUCAUAUUUUUGGAUAACUAAAUCUAAAGGAAGAGGCUUGGUAUAAAACAGCUCAACCUUAAAAUAUAUAACAAGAUCUUGAAAAAGAGCAACCAGCACAUCACAAUUAUUCAUCUUAUGUGAUGAUUUAUUAUAUCUACUUGUGAACCAUGCAUAAAGUCUGUUGAAUUAAAGUGUCACUCCUAUUAACGGUAUCUUCUGUAAAAUCCAACAAUAUGAAAGGGUCCUCAUGUAAUUCUAAUUAAUCUCCACAAAACAGUAUAACUUAAUCUGAAAUAAAAACCAGAAAAUUUACAAACCUGUCCGAACCUCGAGAACAGAUGAGGGUUGUUUCAUCAGGAAGCUCACCUCCACCGACCUGAAAAGUAAGUUCAGAGAAAAGGAAAAAGUGGAAAACAUUUAGAUGACAGAGAUCUUAUUUCUCUCUCUUCUGCUUUCCAACCAAGAAUAGAAAGUGAGAAGCCAUGUUUUUAUCUUCAGUAGGCAAUUACUUUGCGAUCAUAAUACAAAAAGGAAACCAAGGAAAUAAGUGACAAUAGCCAGCUUUCAUGAGUUGCGCUGAAGGCAGAUUUGUCACUCAGACGAAGCUGGUUUACUCAAUCAUAUCGUUUCUCAUAUUGGAUUGAUUCCUUGAACCCGCAUGAUAAUGGGAUAAAUCUGAUGUUGACUUGUGCAAUAAAGUUCCCUAAGGUUAACCAAACUAUGAAUUUCAAAUUCACCAGUCCUCGUAUGACUGCAAAACUUAAUUAGACAUUAUGAGCCCUAUAUGAGAAUAGGGUUUAAAUUUUGGGAUUUAUGGUUUAGGUAUCUGCAUUAAUCUGUGUCUCUAGUAUAGAUAAUUUUUAUUUACUUUUUUUUUUUUUUUGAUGACAUGAGACUAUUGCUCAAAUUACAACUCAAAUUACAACUCAUAUUACAUGAGAGUAUAACUGAUAUGUACAAUCCUAUAUAUAUACUGAGACCUAUUGAUAUUAAUGCUGAUAUGACACUGCUCAGAUUUUUUUUUGUAACCCUCUCAAAUAUUCGAGGGACGUCAAACUCCCCUUCUAGGAGAAAGACUGCCUUCACUCGAGCUCUGGGGCUCCAAGGAAGGAAAUAUAAAUUAAACCCCUACAAUACGCAUGCGGAGGCUCGAACCCCUUCCCUCACAUUUGUGAGGGAGUGGCUCUAGCCACUUGGGCUAAGCACAAGUGGUUUUAUUUACUUUCUAUAUGAGCAUGCCAUUCACUCUUUUUUUCAUUUUGGGAGAAGAAACAGUCAACCUACAAAGAUAAUAAAAUUCAAGCAAAUAUAAUAACAAUUAAUGUCAACAAUAGCCCCAAGAGGUGAAGAAAUUUUACCCAUCACCUCACACAGUUUUACCACAAGUCAGAGUUAAUCCAAAUUCAUUAGUUGGGGGCAACGCCUCAUGUCAACUUUGAAUCAACUUCAGAAGAAUAACCUUCCAUCAAUAACUUAUACAAUUCAUUUUUAAAUUAAUUUUAACAAUAAGUCUGUAUCAAACAUAUCUUGCAGCUCAUUAUGUAGAAUAUAAAUUAAAGAAUAAGAAUUCUGUUGGACUAAAUGACUGUAAUGAAAUAUGUACAGUAAAAGGACAAAUAGUGUGCCCCUCUUUUUUCUUUUUGCCUUUUUAAAUUUUCAUGAUAUUAACAGUCCAAGAGACUUUCCUAACCAAGUUUCUAUAGUGUAAAUUACAUCGCGGAAUGGGAAUAAUCCUUUAAUUGUUCACAUGAGUGUAUUAUUGAGAACAAGGAACGAUUGAAUAACGACCAAAUUAAGUCAGGCACAGUGGUUUGUAUUCGCACACAUAUAUGAAAUAAUGUUUUAUAAAACAAACAACAUACCAGGCACAGUUAUUUUUUUACUGAAUAUUAGAGACAGGAUGACUAUCGCCUGCUGCAAUUAAAAUGGUGUCGCCCGAUCUAUGAGGAACAAUAUGAAGAUCAGGUUUUAUAGUCCUAGCGUAUCCCACUUCUAUUGUUAUAGUUUAGAAGUUAAGUUAAUUUUAUUCCAUAAUUUUAUGAUAAAAAUUUAUAAUGUCUUGACUAUUUUAUUAAAAUUAUUAAAAAUUAUAUUUACUACACAUUAUCAAUUUUUAUUUCACAAUUAUAUGAAUUUUUUUACAGCAAUCGUAAUGUUUGAGUUAAAGCACCUCAAUAUUAAAUAAAUAUUUAACCUACAUCUUUUGUGUAAAAAAAAAAAACCACAAUUCUUGCUGAAUGUUUGAUAAAUCACUUGCCAUACAAUAAAAUUUCAUGAUAUUUAUAAAAAAUAAUUAUGAAAAUUUAUCAAAGAAUUUGAUAUUAGUAACAUUUUUAUUCAAUAAUACUAACUAUACUUUUUUUAAGAAAAAGUUGGGCCAGAUAUCAAAGCCCAGCUGGCUCGUUUUGGGCGAAAACUUAAAAGCAACUCUGGUGGCCAACAUUGGGCGUAACUCAGAAGUAAUUUCGUGGGUGGCGUGGGUCAUGUCGGUUUCUUGUGGGUGGUGAAUGAGAAUAUUGGGUGCUGUUAGUGUUGUCGGUUAGUCAAAUACUUGAUGAUGGUCAAACAUAGCAAACCUUAAAAGAAAGAUUUUGAUUCAGUGAACAGUCGACUUGGAGUUUGUUGAACAAGUGGAAGAUGAAGAGAAGAUAAACAGUGAACGAAGUACUAAACGAUUCAAAAGCAAAACUAUGAAAAAUAAUUCUUUUAUUGCUCCAAUAAACAAUCUUGAUGAUGGCUGCCUUAUGCACGUAUUCAGCUUCUUAUCCCCAAUUCCAGGUGACUAUCUUUUUUUGGGGAAUUAUUUGUAUUUAAUUAAAAAAAAUCUUCUCUUUCUUAUAAAUGUUUAGUGUCAUUAAGUUAUGUAGUAUUUGUGACCUGAAUGUUGCUGGCCUUUUUAGAAGUUUGCUUCGGGUUUUUGACUUUUGUGUUGGGAGUCUUAUUUAUUUUCCCUAUUGGGUUUUGCCCAAUUCAUCACUUUUCCUGAAAUUUAUUUUGUACAUUGAGAGGAUUAUUUAUUUUUUUAAAAAAAACAAAAAUUUUAUAUUUAUGCGGAAUUUCAGAAUAUGGGCAUUUCUGUUGUGAACAAUUGUCUAUUAAUUUUAAAUUCCUGUUUCAAAAACUCUAUGUGCUAAAUUUAUGUUAUUGAUACUCUUUUGUGCGUAAAAUAGUAUAUUGUGUCCCUUAGAAGGGCUGUAUAUCCUCAUUCUUCACAUGCCUUAAAAGAAAUCUAGAAGGAUCGGAUAGAAAUUAUUGUCAAAGAACAUGAUAAUUACAUCAAGAUUUCUGGGGUUUAAUAGAUAUUGUUGAGUAAGCUUGACAUAUUUUAUGCAUAAUUGUCUUUAUGAUGAUUUUGACAUAUUUUAUAUGUAAUUGUCUUUAUGAUGAUUGUUUGGCAUUGAGAUGGAUGUUUUAGAUGUUUGCCAAAUGCAUGUAUGAUAUAAUUUUGUGCGAUCUCUUUCACAGUUGUUAUGGAGCUUGCAGAUCGGUAUAACACAGCACUCGUUUGCCACAGAUGGAAUUAUUUGGCAUGUCAUCCUCGCUUGUGGCUGCGGGUAGAUCAGUCUGUUAAGGAUCUCUCAGAGCCUGGAGUUUUCCCCGACCUUAAGACAGCCGUAUCUGUGGCAAGGUUUGUAAUGUUGUGACUGCCUGUAUGUGAUUUUAAACACUUUAGGCCCUAUUUGGAGUGUUGUCAAGUAGCUUGAUUGCCAUAAUGGAGUACUUACUCAUUUAUUGCUACAACUUUUAAGGUACAGUGUCCAGCACAAUACUAAACAGAAUUAAAUAAUCCAAAACAAAUUGUAAAUGUUAACAAUGUUUAAAUAUAGCUAAGAACAUCAAUAUAUAUAGAGUUUGUAAAUAACACAUACCCAAAAAAGUAUAGAAAGGCAAAGAUAGCCUCAAGUUUUGUACUAAAUUGGAGAAAAAAAAUAAAAUGAUUUUUUCCAAAAAUAACCACAGAGUUGUUAGUAAUAAGUAGAGAUGGUAAAAUGAGUUGUUAUCAUGACACGAUAACACAACAUGGAUGUGGCACGAAUUUUGUAUAUUCAUGUUGAUAAAUAUUGAUACAAUUAAUUAAAUAGUUGAUACUAUACGACACAAUAAAUAACCGUAUGGUUUUCAUGUUGGAUCACCUCAGCAUGAUUACAUGUUUAUGGCAUGAAUAUCAAUUAAUAUAAGUAAUAUUAUUAAAAAAAUUCACACACACACACACACACAUAUAUAUAUUUGUGUUGAUAAAUAUUGAAAUGAUUAAUAAAAUGGUUGAUACGAUACGAGACGAUAAAUAACCGUAUUGUUUCAUGUUAGACCACCCUAACAUGAUUACAUGUUUAUGACAUGAAUAUCAAUUAAUAUAUGGUAAUAUUAUUAAAAAAAUUAACAUAUAUAUAAACGAUCAAUAAAUGAGUCAUACCCAUAUUUUGGUAUUUUAAUAUUGAUGUUUUGAUAUUUUGAUACAAUUAAAAAAAAAUAGAUCAUGUCAGUGUUUUCUUAACUUGAUACGACAUAGUUUAACUCAAUUAAGUAACUCACAUGUUAAAAAUUCUCUAGUAUUCUCACAAACUCUGUAGCUCCGCCAGUGGCUAGUAGUGUGGGAGUCAUUGUGUGAGCCUUUGUUAUUGUCUUUGACACUAUUUGUUUUUUAAUUGUUAUUUAUGCCUUUCUAAGUUUCUAACUAUUUUUAUAAGUUCGCGAUGAAGAUUUCAAACUAGUUAAAUUGUGUGGCUCACUUUUGUUGAAAGAAACAGUUGCUAUGAUUGCGGUUUCAGACAAGACAUAUCGUUAUGGAAAUGUGUUGGCUGCCACUAGUUUAGUGAGAAACGUUUUGACGUAAUCGGUGAAUAAGGAUGUCUUUAUUUGUAGCGUUGCUCUGAUUUGAAAGUUCAUCAAGGAUGUUGGGAGUAGAGCAUUUAGAACAAAAUAUAUUCUUGUUUCCUUUUCCUAAUGAGAAUGAUCACUGUCAUAGUUUGUUAGUGAGACCUUGGCAUUUUUUUUUGAAUUACAUGAGACUAAUGCUCCAAUUACAACUCAUAUUAUAUGAGAUUUACAACUGAUAUUUACAAUCAGACAAUUAUUGGGCCUAAUUUACAUUAAUUCUUAUAUAGCACUACCCAUAUUUUACCCUCUCUAAUAUUCGAGAGGUGUCUACUCCACUCACAUUUCGAAAGGGAGAAGACUGCCUUCACUUAAUAAUUAAGGAAGGAAAUAAACCCCUACAUGCGUCGCGGGGGCUUGAACCGCUGCGCUCACAGUUGUUAGUGCAGGGUCCUAGCCACUGGGCCAAGGCCCAGUUGGUUAGACCUUGGCAUUUUAAUCGUUCUUUAUUGGCUCUCUUUCCUUUAGCUAGCAAUAGAGAAUAGUCUAGUCAACAAUUUACUAUAGUUUUUUUUUGGGUUCAUAUUUACAAUAUGUCGUUAUGUUACAUGUCGAAGGAAAUGGUUGAUUUCCUCGGAGGAAUGCUUGGAGGAGUGAAGAAUUUGGAUGCUGGUCUUAGUUGUGUUUUGUAUGAAAGUUCUUUUGCAUUCAAGUUUUAAUUGAUGUCUCUAGGCCACUUAAACUUGGUUUGCUAAUUCGGUUUCGCACUAAUGAUGAUGUUCCUGUGCUCCUAGUGGUUUAUAAAAGGUUAUCAUAUUUUUGUUAAUAUUGCGAUUGUAUAGAUAAUUUAUUUCCAGAUUGUUCCGCAUUUGACUUAUCUAAAGUGGAGCAGGGUGUGGUCAUGGAGUAUGGAUGCAGGCUAAUGCUGGCAGUGUUUGUCGGAAGUCAGAGGGUCGUAGACAAGUAAAUCAUAGUGGUAGAGAAUUGGAUUUGGGAUAUCAUGAGGUGGUUUUUAACGCGACAAUAAAUGCUUCAAGUGUUACGAAUAAUCAUGAGAGUAAUGAUAUAAGAAAAGAGGAUAGUGGGAGAAAUGAGCAUGUCUGUGUGAAUAAUGCUUAUAUUUAUGAGAUAGUGAACGAGAGAAAUCAAGUUCAGUAAUAAAAAGACAAAUCGUGGAUGCGUUUAUAAGAAUUUCAAAUUUUGAUUGUAUAUGUGUUUUACAACCUUUUAUUACUAAUAGUCACUUGCCUAAGGAAACAAAGAAGGCAUCAUGCGCAGAAUUUGUUAAAGAUUUUGUGAAGGAUUGAAUGGAGUUGAUGGUAGUGACGUGGUUGGCCAUGGGCCUUAUGUGCCCCAAACUGGAGCUAUGGCUUCUUGUCUUGGUGAUGAUUCGAGUGACAAAAAUGAAUCUAGUAAUGUUGCAAGAUUGAAAAAUUAGAGAGAGUAAAGAGAAAAAAUUUACCACAAUGUGAAGGGGCUAUGAAAAGGAAAAAAUGAAAGCGACUGGCACGAAAAAUUCUAAAAGAAAAAUCUCAUAUUUCUCUAACUUUGGGAUCUAAGUAUGGUAAUGAGAAGGAUAUUAGAGAUUGGUCUAAUCAAUGGAAAUGAGGCAGGAUGGUUGCUAUUGAAUCGGAGGACGGUGAUGAUGGCGUUUGUGCAGACAAUAAUUUGGUUGUGUAGUCUAUGGCUUUGUCAAAUUUAUCAACAAGAGUUAACGUUGAUCAGCCCCACCGAUUGCCAUGAUAUCCUAACCUAAAAUGUCCAAGGUUUAGGGAAUCCUUUGGAUCCCACACUCUUUAUAAAAUGCUCCGUGAGGUUAGACCUUCUGUUGUCUUUUUAUGCGAAACUAGAUUAAUGGCGGCAAAGAUGAAUUGUAUUAGUAUGACAUUGGGUUUGGACAAUUGUUUAGAUAUUGAUUUGGUUAGUUUUUGGAGUGGCUUAGCAUUACUUUGGAAAAAGAAAGCUCAGGUUGUUGUGAAUUCCUAUAGUACCCAUGCAAUAUAACAGUGAUCAAUUGUUAUGCUAACAUUAGAUAUAGCAUUAAAUGUUCUAGGUUUCAUUUACCCUACAAGGUCAAUCCCCACGUCAAGUUCUUCACUAAUUUUAUAUUAAGUAUUACCCUAUUCAAAUUAAGAUUCACUCAACUUGGGAAACCCAAUCUAAAACCUAGUAUUGUCUUAAUUUGUUCCACUAAGUUGGCCAUUUUCAAGGCUCUUUAUUAGCUAGUAUCCAUUAAAUGUGUGAUCAGCCAAAAUAGAGAAUUGAAAUAAACACAAUUAAGACAAAAUGCUAUAACAAAUACAGAGCAACACACCUAUGUCAGUCAAACAGAUCGUUUAUCACUCAACCACAACAAAUUCAAUUUGUGAUUUGCGAUAGAACAGUAAAUAAAAUUGUUUCAGCCAUCAAAUACAUCCCCAUAAUUAAAUAAACAACAAGAAGAUAAGAAGAAGAACUGAAGUAUGCUCGAUCUUAGUGAUAUCUUCUUUAUUUCCUCUUUGAAUCUUCUAUUACAUCCUUCGAUUUAUCUCUUAAUGUUUUGUUUUCUUAUUGUUUCUUUUCGGUAUUCCCCUUAGGUGAUGGCUCUUUAAUUUUUUUCUUUUCAUGUGUGCUCAUUUUAUAACUUAGAAUUAAGGCAACUAAAAGUGUGUGACGCGUAUCCUCCAUUUUUAGAAACUUUAUAUCGCAAUAUUUUAGUUAUUGCGCACGAAAUCCAGUCUGUCAUUGCUCCAGGAUUGCUACAGCAACUGCUAUAGCAUCUUCAGUGUUCCAGACUUAUUUCAAUUCCUCUGCAGUCAAGAUAUUUUGUCACUUUUGCAAGUUUGUUGCAGCAACAUUUCAUCCUUAAAACUUGAGCUUUUCGGUCACCUACAAUUAUGCACAUAAUCUAAGCACAAAAUAAUCUAAAAACAAACUUAAUUUAUUAAAAAUAAAUUAAAAUGGAUGCUUAUGCCAAAUGUAACUAAUAUGUCAUAAAAAUACAUUAUUUACUUUCUAAGUAAUAUUGAUUUAAGUCUAAAAGUAUCAUGAUAACUUUCAGUUCAUAAAGUUAUCAAUUAGCAAAUUGAGUAAUUUGAAAUUAGCUUCCCAAGACUAAAUUGUUUACUUUCUUUUAGGAAUUAUCUCUAUAAAUUGUGAAUCUCACGUUGCACAUAGUCACUUGGAUGCAUCUUAAGAGAUCGCAAGAUAUCAUCUAAUGCUUGUUUACAUGGACCAUCCUUAAUAAAUUUAAUUUUAUCUUCACGAUUUUAAAAACCAUUCCUAAAGUUGUACAAUACGCUUCACAAGAAAGUCUUUCACAUUUAUGAUAUUUAGAGCCAAUCCAUUUAGCUCUUCUUUUUUUAGCAAAUAAUAUCAUAUAAGUCCAAUGAACCAAUUAACACAUACAAUCCAUUCUUCUUUUCACCUUUCAUCACAAUAGAACCCUCCUUAGUCACUUUUAUGCCAUCACUAUCUAACUUAAAUGAAUAUCUAGAGCUGUCCAACAUGCCUGAAGAGAUCAAAUUUCCCUUUAACUCAGGAGCAUGUCUAAGCCUAUGUAAAGUUAUGAUGAUCCCAUCAAAUAUUUUAAUCUUAACAAACCUUAUUCCAACAAUUUAACACUUAUUGGUGUUUCCCACAAAACCUCUACCACCAUCAAUAAACUCAUAUUGAUGAAAAAGUGACUUAUUAGGCAUAUGUGAAAAGAACAACCCAAGUUUAAUACCCACUGACCUUCUAAGUUGCCUUUUGAGGUUAUAAAUAUAUCAGCCCUAUAAUAACCAUCAUCAAAGGAGAUAUUUAAAGCCACAGCCACACCUCCUAACCUUUAUUGACUUUCCUUCUUAUUUUUCUCUGCACUUUCUCUGAUGUAAUGCAUUUGUUUCUUACAAAAAAGCAUUUCCUCUUGUUUUUCUUCUUUUUGCAUUCUCUUGGUUCUUUCCUCUUUUUGAUUCUUGUUCUACUGUUCCUUCUUCUUUCGGUUCUGGCAAUUAGCCCUUCACCAUUACUUACUUCACGGCCAUCAUGCUUUUCAAUCUCUUUUGAGCUUAGUGAUGUCGUGACAUCUUCCAAAGUCAAGGUUUUCUUCUAUACAACAUUGUAUCCACAAAACCUUCAUAUGAUUGUGGCAAUGAACUUAAAAAGAAAAUGAUUUUGUCUUCAUCUCUAAUCUUCACAUUUUCAACCUCUUCAAGAUCAAGAAUGAUCUUGUUGAAAGUGUCAAUGUGUUCUUAAAUAGACACCCCUUAUAUCAUUGAAAAAGUGUACAACUGUUUCUUCAAGAACAACUUGUGAGCCAAAGAUUUCUUCAUACAAAGGCCUCCACCUUAUUCUAUAUCCCAAGGUAUGUUUUUGUUUAGAGAUUUCCCUCAAGAUUGAGUCAGUAAGACUCAAAAUUAUUGUUUUGAAGGCUCUAUUUUAAAUAUGUUUCUUCUUUUCAUCAGGUUUAAAGCUUGUUGCCUUAUCAGGAUCUUCUUCUUCUAAGACGAAUUCAAGGCCCUGAUGCACAAGUAGAGCCCUCAUCUUCAUCUUCCAAAGUGAGAAAUCACCACUCAGCUUCGCAAUUUCUGGUUUUAAUAAGUGACAUGGUCAAGGUUCACUAAGUCUCUGAUACCAAUUAUUGUAAUUAAUGGUUAACAAUCAAGAACUCAACCAAUCUUUCGAGCUUUAAUCAAACAAGAUUAAUUGAAAUCAAGAUUGAAGAAAAACAUAGCAAGAACAAAGAAAUAGAACUCAAUCACAAAGAACAAACUUCUCUGUUUGAAGGGAAAAACUGGCACACUUUUACUAAUCCAGCUUAUCACAAAUUGAUCACACAUUACAAAAGAGGUUGCAAGCUUUAGAAAUAAACAAAAAGCACAUAAUUUGGUUAAGAAACAAGAGAGAAAAGGUUCACACAUUAGAGGUUGUGCACUAGCCUAUUUAUUUUGGAAAUUUUCAAAAACUAUCUAACAACCUUUAACGAACUAUAGCCAUGUCAGCAAAAAUUUACAAAACGACCCUAAGCUAAAGUCGAUCUGUACAAUGGCCCAACAAAUCUCCUUCAUUUUACUUUAAUUCCCAAAAACAGAAUAUAUAUCUUCACAUUUAUAAUGGUUGGCUUAAAAGAAAAUAUAGAGAUUGUAUAUAAAAUAAAAAACUACUAAAUUGUAAAAAUGAAAAAUAGGCAAACUCAAAAAAUAAUAAUAAUAAUAGGUUCAAAAACUCGCUUCAAACUUGUUAUGACAUAUACAUUCAUUCAAAUAACUUAAUCAAUUUCACUCAUCAAAUCUCUUAAUUCAUAGUUGUCACUAACAUCAUCAUGCAAAGUUGCUAACGCGGUGUAGCGUAACUCAAAACCAAAGAUAAUAUAAGUCAUCAUGUCAUCCAAUGUCAAAUGAUCAUACAAGAUGCCUAGAAAACUUUAAUAAUCUUUUUAAUUUUUUUUAUAAAAAUACCUCACCCUCAAACUUAUUCUAAACAUUAUCCUUAAUGUUUCUUAUUCUAAAGAAGUGCAUGUCAAUGUGUAAAAAUACAAAGAAGAUAUGAAUGCCAAUAGUAAGAGAAAUAAGUAGGAGAGAUUGCACCUAAAUUGGCGAUCGCUCUUAAAUUGGCUGCAAAAUAUUCUAGAAAAAAAUCUAAAGAAAACGUUAAAAUAAAUAUAAAGAAUAAAAUACAAAAAGCAAAAUAUUAGAGGUUUUUAAUCUAUAAAAGGAUGAUGGUAGUGAUACUCUUUAAUGUCAUACAGCUUAGGCCACACCUGUCUUAAGCUUAUUUGAAAGCUAUCUUACUACUUUAUUCAUGUCAAAAUGUGACUUAUCUUGUGCUGCUUUAGGAAGUAGCUCUAGUUUGAAUGGUUUUUCUUCAAGAGGAAAUAGCUUAAUCUUUUCUUUCCACUUAGUUAAAACCAUGAUAUGGGCAAAGAAAGUAAAAUAUUAACUUCUAGGAAAAUUAUCAUUCGUAUACUUUAAAUUUGUACUUUUAUCAAAAAUACUACAACAUUUUAAGGGUGUAUGAAUCGUCCACCUUAAAUUGACAAACGUUAUCUACCGACCACUAAACCUCUAGCUACCAUUUGAAAGUUAAUGGAACUAUAGUGAAUUGACGAUUUUACCCUUGAAAAUUAUCACUUGUAUACUCUUAAAAUCUCUUAUUAUCAUUUAGAUACCCUUAAAUUAUCACUUGUAUCAUAUGAAAAUACCAUACUACCCCUCUAAUGUUAUCAUAUUUAAACAGCAACUAACGGUUUGGUAGACGGUAGAUAUAUUUUGUCAACUUAGGGUGGACGAUUGAUAUACCCUAAAAGUGUUGUAGUAAAUUUGAUAAAAGAGUAAACUAAGGGUAUACGAUUGAUAAUUUCCCUAACUUCUAAAAUAGCACUAUCAACAUCAAAAGAUAAAACAAAGUGAAUUAAGUAUGUCUUUAGAAGAUCAUCAUAAUGGUUAGAAAUAAAUCAAUCAUUAACUUGUGCUUCUAUCAUAUCUACUUCAACACUUCAUCAUCUUCUUGUGCCUGCUUGAGAACAUUAAAAAUAUUCAAUUUCAUACCCGUGUUACCAACAGACAAUUGCAUGUUUCUAGUCCUACAACUAAUAUAAUCAUCUACUAUCGCCCAAAAAGGACAACUUAAAAUAACAAGAGUGUGCUUUGUAUGAUUCUGCACAGGUUGAGUAUCAAUAAUAAUAAAAUCAAUAGAAGAAUAAAAUUUAUCAAUCUGCAUGAACACAUCCUCUAUAAUACCACAAGAUAUUUUUAUUGACCUAUCAGUAAGUUGUAAAAUAAUAGAAAUUGAAUGUAAUUGACCUAGCCCAAGUUACUUAUAAACAGAAUAAGGCAAAAUAUUAACACUAACUCGUAGAUUCAACAAAGCUUUAUCAAACAAUUAGAUCCUUAUAACAUUUGAGAUAGUAAAAGAACCUAAAUCCUUAAAUUUUGGUCGCAUUUUAUAUUGAAAUAAAUUGCUAGUUUGUUCAAUUAGAAAUGCCUUCUUAAUAACAUGCAAAUUUCUCUUUCUAGUCUUCAAAAACUCAGCAUAUGAGGAACGUUGCUUGAUAGCGUCAUGUAAAGCAAACUUUAUAUUUACCUACUUGAAGAUUUUCAUGAUCUCACCUGUUUUUUUUUCUCUCUCUCUCUUCCUUUCUGCCAUAAAAUUACUUUAUUGAUUGAAUUAAUUUCCAUGCUAAAACGAAGACUUAAAAAGUACACUACAUUUUUUUAUAAUAAUCCCAAUGGUAAUUCCGACCGUUACGUUAUAAUACUGUCGUGUCAAAAUAAAUUAUAACAAAAUUUUAGUUCGACUUAUUUAUUUUUUUGAAAUUGAUUAAUCAUCAUGUUAUUAUAUUACAUAGAGAUAUAUAUAAUUGUUAUGACAAUAGAUCAUUACACUGAUAUUUACAAUCAGAUAUAUAUACAUGAAAUUUAUAUUAUUAUAUUUUUAUUUUAUGAAGUACAUGUUCAUUCAAAUACUCCUCACGGAGGAGAGAUGUCUUUACUCCACUCGUAUUUUAUAAGGAAGAAAAACAUUAUAAAAAAUCUCCACAUAAUUAUAUUUGAUUGAGAGAAGUUGAGUCCGUAGAGACUAUGAUUCACCACUGAACUACAAGCUCAAAUAACAAAUUCGACUUAUUUAGUAAAUAGAUAUACUUAAUAAAAUAACAAAACGAUUAAUGUGUAUCAAUGAUAUAGACACAACUGAAAUAACUCAUAAUGUGAAAACAAGAAAAGUCCCGCCACCAAUAAUUCAGAGGCAGGCCCCACCGCCAUCAAUAAUUCAGCAAGCUUCACAUGCUUCUGCUUGACGAACCGGACAUGGGUGGACCAAGCACCAUUGAAUAAUUGCAAAAAAAUGAAAAAUAAAAAUCAGUGUCCAGCAAAAAGAAUCCAUAUUCAUGUGUUGCUUCCUACUCAGUACAUCUACUUAGCAUUUAAAAAAAAAUGGAAGUAGAAAUUAAAACUCACUUUUUUAGAUAUGGCUCAUAUAUAUUACAAGUAUCAAGAUUUAAUUAAAGUUCACAUAUUUACAAUGUGUCUAGUUUUAAUUGAGAGAUAAAGUGAUAAACUAUUCAUUAAUAAUGAGGUUUUUCUAAAUGAUUGAAUAAUGAUAUUAAUUAUUGAUAUUUACAAAAUUUCUAAGAAGUGAUAGCUAAUACGUUGGGGAUAUGUAUUUGCGCGGAAUGGCAAACAUAGGGAAUAGUAAUAAAAAUAGUGGAAUUAAUAUGAUGAAAAAAGGUAAACAGUAGAAAAUUAAUAUGUAAUUCGAGGCGCGUUACAAAUAUCACUUUUUUUAAGACAUUAUUUACGCCCACCAAUUAAGUGAUGCAUAUGAGUUAAACAAAUAUAUCUCUAUGAUAUAAUGAAACGCUUCUUCAUUUGUUUGCGUUGUGUAUCGAAUAAAGUAAACCUGAAUAUAUAUAUGAAUGUUGCAAGCUUGCUAAGAAUCAAUAUGUUGAUUCUGUUGAAAAACAAUGUAUUGGAUAUUUGAUGCAUAAAAAAUAGAUGUUAUUUGAUUAAAUUCAUUUUAGGAAAUAGGGCUAAUAAAAGAGUGGUGUAGGAUUAUCUUAUUCAUAUCUAAAAUUUUAAAUAUAUUGAUUUAUUUAUUAUGGUGACGUAAUAGUAAUUAUAAAUUAAAAAUAAAUUUAUUAUUAAAAUAAAUAAAAUUUAUUAAUAAAAAUAAGGGUCAUAUAUCUUUUUUAAAAUGUUAAAAAAAUUUAUGUCCUUUUUUGGGAGUGAAUUUUCUUUUCUCAUUAAGCAAAACCCACCGCAAAAGUGAAAAGAAAAAAUAGAGGCCACAAAACAGAGCCCACUACAAAUAUAUAAUCGGAGGAGCUCAUGAUCAUGCCUAUGCUUUACAUACUAAAUUAAAUAAAAGCCGAACCAAGAAUCUUGCAUUUGCUUAACAUGCUUAAUUAGGCACUACUUCAAAGAGAACUUGAAAGCAACGAACCCUUUUGUUAAUCUUAAAUGUCAGGAAUCUAAUUAGCUUGGAAUAAAGCUACAUUCUUCUCCUCUGACCGUCUCUUGAGGUUUAUUUCAAAAGUUUGAAGAGAAUUUAUCAAUUCUUCUUAUAAAAGCAAGCUAAAUUAAAGGAUUUUAAUCUCUCUUCUUAUUACUAUAAGUGCACUGCAUUUUUUUAUAAUCAACAAUGUCAAUUUGUAGUGUAAUGUUAUAUUCAUAUUUCUGUCGCGUCGAAAUAAGGUAAAACAAAAUUUUAAAUAACACAUAUUCGACUUGUUUGUAAAAGGUAUAUAUUUAAUAAGCUAAUACCUUAAUUAACAUAACACUAUUAUUACGCUAAAUGAAAUAAAAGAUGGUACCCACCACCAAUAAUGACAUUAGCAAGCUCCGCAUGCUCGUGUUUUAGGAACUAGACAUUGGUUAAUUAAUCAAGGAUAACGAAACAAUUUCAAAAAACAAAAUAGAUACUAUGCAUUUUCUUUUUUUAGUCGUACAGAAAAUGGGACUAAUUUUCAGAAAUUUUCAAAUUCACUCUUUUACAAAAGCCAUACAAAAUGAUUUCCUUUAUAUUUUGAAACAUUCUAUGGAAUCAAAUAAUAGUGAUACAAAGAGCGCAAAGUAGUAAUUCUCUUGUUGUAUUUUUUUUUUCUUUUUUAAAAGGAGAUGGUGUGGUUUGGUUGUUUGCAAAAUUAUUGGUGUGGGAUCUAUUUGUUUUCAAUUUCACUUUAUUAAUUAAUUAGCAAAGCAAACAUGUAAUCAUUUGUAAUGGGGCCACUGGCAUCGGAUUAUAUAAGAUGAAUUCGUAAGGCUUACUAAUUUCGAUUAAAAGGUAGCGUUAUUAAAUUAUUAAUUCAUUAACUUGAGUACCAAUAUUUCCUAACUGUGGUGAUUAAUUUAUUUAACUUGUUAUAAUUUUCAAUUGAGAAUGAACUUCAAUUAAUGUAUGAAAAAUUAAAAAGAUAACUUUUCUUUUUUUUUUUUCAAAUUUUUAAUUCCUAUGAUUUGAUUUCACUCUUUUUGUCGAUUAUUGACUUGUGAGAGCUUGUUGAAUGUCAUCAAAUGCUUAUAUCUCUUAUCCAAAUUGGCAGAUAUCAUUUGGUUUCUUUAUAGGCGGCAAUCACGAAUGAAAGUAACAACCCCACCAUAUAUCGAAAAUUAAUUUUAAGAAUUUUUUUACUUGAAGUCUUUGAAAAGAAAAAUUAAUCAGAUUAGAUUAGCGAUAUACAUAAAUUCGGUACCAAUUUAAAAAUGCGAGCAUGAUUUAAUAAGAAAGGAUGAGAAUUGAUCAUGUCCCAAAAGACUCAAAAUAAAAUUAUACAAAAUUACAUGCAGGCAUAUCAUAUGUUAAUCUUAAUUUUUUUUGCGGCUGAAAAUUAAUUAAUUAAUUCCACUACUUCUUUUUUUUAAUUGUAUGGUGUGUAACACAUAGUGAAUUAUGUUGUAUAUUUGUUAAUUCAAAGAAAUAAUACUUUUGUAUCCACCAAACUUUAUUAAUAUUCUUCAUCAUUAUGGUUAAUGGCUUAGCAAAUUUAGGAGGAGGAGUCAGCCAAAAUAAAGUAUUUUCUAUUACAUUAACCUUUAUUAAUUGCAGAAGUUAAAAAAAAUUAAAACGAGUUAAAACAGUUCCAACUCAAAAUCAAUAGUUUAUAACGCAGGGGUGUAAAAAAUAUCUGUCCGGACUGAAUUCGGACCGGAUCCGAGCUAGUUUAGGGAUGUGCCGGUCUAGUCUCGGGCAUCAUUGGAGAAGUCCAAUGUCCUCCAAGUCCAAGGUCCGGCCAAGAACUUAAAUUUUAUAGAAAAAAUAAUAAAUAUAUAUUAUUGUAAGUAAUUAUGUUUAUUUGACUCGUCUAUUACAUAUAUUUAAAAUUUUAAACAUUUAUAUUUUGUGUCCAGUUUCAUUUAAAUAAGAUUUAAAAAUUAUAAAAUUAUGAAAUAAAUUUAAAAAAUACAUUCAUACAUAUAAUGUUAUAAAAUAUAAAAUCCAACCUUUCUAGGGUGAAAUAAAAAGCCUAGCCCAAUGUGUCCAAAAAAUAUGUCUGGGUUGGAUCCAGGCAUUGCCAUACCUGAACUUGACCCCGAGUUUUGCAAUUAUUCUAGAUCGUUAUAAAUGUUUCCAAAUUUCAGUCUAAUUUACUUGUGUGAUGCAAAAAUUACCUUUAUCACUUUUUUCAAAUAAAUACUCAUAAAUUUCACCUAAAUUGUCACCCAAAAAAAGAGAAAAAUCGUGUAGUUAAUUUUUCUACUUCUUUACUCUAUUAUUUAAUGGGAAUAUAAUAAGUUAGGAGAAAGGAGAAAUUAAGGAGAAAAUUAGAGUGCUUGUUCAAAUGAUAAAAACUCAUGCAAAUGCGUAUUUCAGAUGUAAGUGUGGCAUUCAUUAAUUUGACAAAAAAUAAGUGAAUUUAUUUAUAUUUUAAUCCAAAUCGAGGGAUAUAAACAAAAUUUUCCCGCUCCAGAUAUUUAUCAUUUUCUUGUUAGAAAAAAAACUGCAUAAAAUUAAGGAACCAGUAGGCACUGAAAGAGAGAAACAGACUGAGAAGAGAUCAAAAGAUGGAUUUGGAACUGAAAGAGAGAAACAGACUGAGAAGAGAUCAAAAGAUGGAUUUGGAACUGAAAGAGAGCUUGGGCUGAUCAUUCAUGAUAAUAUUCCGCGUUCGCUAUUAUAGAGACGAAAGUUUGCUUUUUGUAUGGUUCUCCACUGACGGUGCCAAAUGUCGACGCCAAAAUUUGGACUAGUUAGUUACAUAUUGGAAACCAAAUUUUGCGUCAGCAUUAAAUUUAUUUGUUAGGGAAGCGACUUACCAAUCACCAAGGACGCCCUGCGAUCACUAGCAAAUAACUCUCAAAUACCUGAAAUCAUAAAAAAAAUGGUAAGAGACGCCAGAAGUUUUUCCGGCGUGAACCCUCCAGUGUUCAAGUCAGUUAUCGGGUUUACAAGAGAAACAAAAUAUGCAAUUUCUAGUUUUUUUAAAAAAUAAUCUUAAGUCAAUGUAAUAGAAAAAUCAAAAUUGAGAAAGAAAGUUGAACCUCCCUCUUUAUUCAUUCCCCUAGGGAUUUUUUUAUAAAGGUUUAAGUUUCCCCCCACUCCAACCCCCCCAAAAAAAAUCUUUGUGAUCAUAAGAUGGAUGAGAUAAAAUAUGAGCCCCCAAAAUGAUCUCAAUCAUGGAGGAGUCCUCCCUGGUUUGUUGCCCUAUUUUCUUAUUUGUUCUCCUCCACUCUCGAAAGUUAAGAAUGAGAUAAAAGUAACCUUUUCACUCUCUAUUUUUUCCUCCAUUUUUUUUCCUCACCAAAUAGUUACGAAUUUAAAAUAUGAGUAUGAUUUAAUAAGAGAGAACGAGAAUUGAUAAUGUCCCAAGAGACUGAAAAUAAAAGAUUACACAAAUUUGCAUGCAGGCAUAUCAUAAGUUAGUCUUAAUUUUUUGUUGUUCAAAUAAUAAAUUAAUUCCACUAAUCCUUUUUCUAAUUAUAUGGUGUGUAACACAUUGGCCACUUCUGAAUUAUGUUGGAUAUUUGUUAACUCAAAGAAAUAGUACACUUUUCUAUCAAUCUAACUCAUUUUAUUAAUAUUCUUCAUCAUUAUGGUUAAUGGCUUGGCAAAUGUAGAAUAAGGAGUCAGCCAAAAUGAAUUACUUUCUCUUGUACUAACCUUUGUUAAUUGUUGACAUUAAAAAUAUUUUAAAAUAGUUCCAACUCAAAAUCAGUAGGUUGUAUGUAGAUUGUUAUAAAUAUUUCUAAAUUUCAGUCUAAUUUAAUUGUGGAUGCAUAAACUUGACUUUUUCACUUCUUUCAUGUAAAUGGAGGGUAGAACUAUUUGAACUCAUUAAACUACUUUUUAAAUUCCUUUACUCAUUAAACCCAUCAUGAAAAUUCAAAAAUCUUUGUGUAUACUCAUUGCACCUCUUAAUAUCACAAAUAUGAAUCAUUUGUCUUCACUUUUGUUUGUCUUCAACAUUCACAAAUUUUAUUUGAAUCUGCAAUAUUUUUACCACUAUUCAUUCAUUUAUUAGAGUUUCAAUAUAAGAAUAUAGAGAUUAAAAAUAUCAUUAACGAAUUAUUUCUUUGUUUUCUAUAUGAUAUUCUUGGUUUGGAAAAAGCUUCAUUGGCAAUGUAUGUAAAUAAAAGACUAAGAACUUCCAAUAAUCCACAUUUGAUGGAAACUUGUUAUACUUGUUUUCACUUUAAAAAAUAAAAGGAAAAUUAUCAUCCGUAUACUCUAAAUUUACAUUUUUAUAAAAAAUACUACAACACUUUAAUCGUAUUUCAAUCGUCCACUCUAAAUUGAUAAAAGUUAUCUGCCGACCAUUAAACCGUUAACUGCAAUUUAAAAGUUAACAGAACUGUAGCGAAUUGAUGAUUUUACCCUUGAAAAUUAUCACUUGUAUACCCUUAAAAUCUCUUAUUUUCACUUAUAUACCAUUAAAUUAUCACUUGUAUUAUAUGAAAGACCAGAUUAUUUCUAUGACGUUAUCAUAUUUAAACAGUAACUAACGGUUUGGUGGACGACAUAUACAUUUUGUCAAGACGACUGAUAUACCUUGAAAGUGUUGUAGUAAAUUUGAUAACGAAGUAAAAUAAGGGUAUACGAUUGAUAAUUUUCCAAAAUAAAAUAAAUAAAACAAAAGAAAUUCUUGUGUUUUAAAAGAAAAAAAACUUCUAAAACAACUAUAAACCAAACUAGGUUUGACGUGGUGAGUUUUGGAUCAUAAAGAAUACAUAAUUGAAAUUUCACCUAAAUCAAAUAAUGAAUUUCAUAACAAUGGAUUUAGACUAUAGACCAGUAUACAUAGAAUUGGAUGUUCUUGGCAUUUGUUCUUGAAGUUGUUUUGCCCAAAAAAGUUAACUAUUGUCCUUAGGAGUAAUUUUGGUUAGGGAGAAAUUUGUAAUAAAUUUUUUAAUGAAUUAAUAUUUUUUGUGAGUAAAAUUAUGGGUUCAUAUACACUCAUUCAUAAAUAAUUAUUCAUAAAUUGAACCCUUCUUUUAUGUUGAUGCACAACCUAAUUUAACAAAAAUAAUGUUCAAAUUGUCAUAAAAUUUUAAAAAAAUCAUUAAGCUAAUUUUUCUUCUACUUCACUCCAUUAUUCAAUGGGCAAAUAAUAAUUUAGGUGAGGGGAGAAAUAAUGGGGAAAAUUAUAGUGAUUGUCGCUAGAUACACCGGUACAAAUGCUUGGGUGUGCGCGCGCGUGCAACGUUCUUUAAUUUGGCAAAAAAUAAAUGAAUUUAUUUGUAUUUUUAAUCAAAUUCAAGUGUCCAAACAAAAUUUUUCUGGGAAAAAGAUAAACAUGUACACCCUCAAUAUUUAAAUAAAGAGAUAAAAAUAUUCCUAACGUUUUAAAAAAAUAUUUACACCUUAAUUUACUAACAAAAACAGUAAUUUUUAACAAAAAUUACUAUUAUACCCUUUUAACAUAUAAAAAAAUUAUAUAUACAAGUUUAAUUUAUAAUAUUAAUACCAUAAAAUUUUAUUUAAAUUUUAAACUUAUAUAUUUAACAAUUCUCCACAUGUUAUUAUUUAAAUUUGUAUAUUUAUAACUAAUUUUUUAUGUUAUUUAUUAUGGUAUUUAAAAUUGAAAUACAAGUCAUUAAUAACUAAUUUUAUUUAUUUUUAUUCUUAAGUAAUGAAUUAAAUUUAUUUAACUUGAAGAGAGAAUUUGAUAAAAAUUUAAAUAAAAAAAUUGAAUAAUGAGGAUAUAUUUAUAAUUUUAUUAAUAAUAUAUAGAUAAAUUAAAUAAUUAAUAAUUUUUUAUAUACUAUAAAGGUAUAAUAAUAAUUUUCAUUAAAAAUUACUGUUUUCGUUAAUGAAUUAAAAUGUUAAUUUUUUUUUAAAAUGUUAAAGAAUUUUUACCUCUUUACCUAAACGUCGUGACUGUAUUUUGCCCUUUUCCCAAAUUUUCCACUCUGGAGUCGACAUUUAUCAUUUUCUCGUUAACAAAAAAAAUUGCAUAAAAUUAAAAAACCAUCAGGCACUGAAAGAGGGAAACAAAGAAGAUGGAACCUAAAGAAGAAACCCUAGCAACAAUCCCAGAAGAAGAAGAAGAAGAUGGAGACACGGUUAUUCCCGACGUUGAGAACAACCCUAAACCAACAACAAAAGACAACUCUUCGGACUCGAGCGAUGCCUCUGACUCAGACUCCGACUCGGACUCUGAAUCAGAAGACGAAGCAAAACAGAGCAUGGAGCUUCAAACCCUACAGUAUCAACUAUCCAACGAACCCUCCAAUUACGACACCCAUGUUCAAGUAACUUCAAUACACAUAUUUAUUGAGUGAUUUUGUGGAUACCCGUUUGCUUGUUCUUCUUGGGUUGCGAUAAAAAUGGUUUUUAUUUUUAUUUUUUCAGUAUAUAAAGGUUUUGAGAAAAAUGGGUGAGAUAGAGAAGUUGAGACAAGCAAGGGAAGCCAUGAAUGAGAUUUUUCCAUUGACUCCUGCUAUGUGGCAAGAAUGGGCGAGAGAUGAAGCCUCUAUUUCAACUGGGUAUCUGUCAUUUCCUUUUUGCAGUGGUUUUUGAUUUAACAAAUGUUUUUUCGCUUAGAGAUAUGGAUGUUUAUGCUAGUUAUUUGCUAAUGUAAAAAGGAACAAAACCUGCUUAAAAGGUAUUAAAGAAAGAAAAAAAAAAAGAACCAAUUUGAAGAAGGGGAUACUUAUGGUGGGAGUUCUAUUCUUUGGGGUUUAAUUGAUGGGAAGAAGAAAUAGCUUAUAUGUUUACAGAAUUAGACAUUUGAUCGCGGAGUUAGUUGAGGUAGAUAAUUAAUCAGAAUGUCGGAUGUUUUUUCUGUUGGCCUCAGCUAAUUGUUAAGAUUUCAUACUUUUUUUCUGGUUUUACAUAGCUGUGACCUAAAGCUUAAUGUAUAUAUUGAUAAUUACACAAUCCGUUUCUUGCUGAUACUUGGCUUUAAUUUGUAGACCUGAGGCUCUUUUGGGAGUUGAGAAGAUUUACGAAAGAGGAGUUUCUGAUUAUCUGGUUUGUUCCCUUUAUGCUUACAGAAUUUGAAUUAACACUAUGCAUGAAUUUAUGAUUCUUUUUAUUUUUUAUUUUUUAUUUUUUGAGAAAGAUUUUAUCAAAUUGAAGCAUUGUAGUAAAGCGUACUAGUUGUAAUCUUGAUUCACUUUGUUUUUAUUUUAUUACCAAGAGGUGCUAACAGUUCAUGAUGCACAAAAGAUUGGGGGGGGGGGGUUGGGGGAAUCUUGUUGGUACAUACAUAAAUUUUAGUACCAAAAAAAUAAUUUUACAGUGGCUGAAGAGCAGCAUUUUCAUUUAUAUGAAAGUUGAAUUGUUGUAUCAUCUGUUUCCGUCUCCUUUGCGGUAAAUAAAGUCCUUGAUGAUGGCAAUAAGAAUCACAGAAGAAGUUGUUAAGUUCAUAUCUGGAGAUUUUCAUCAUAGCAGUUCAUUGAAAGUGAAGGCAGCUGAAAACACUUUUUUCUGAUGCAGUCUGUCCCUCUUUGGUGUGAUUAUUUGAAAUUUGUGCAAGAAUAUGAUCCAUCUAUAUGCGAAUUUUUACCCGAUGGCUUUUGAAAGGCAAGGAAUUUAUUUGAGCGGGCUAUUACUGCUGCUGGUCUGCAUGUUUCAGAAGGCAGUAAAAUAUGGGAAUUGUACAGAGAAUUUGAGCUAGCCAUAUUUUGUAGGAUCGAUGAGACUAACUUGAAGGUGAGAUAUUUCAAUUUAUUUUACUUUUUAUUUGGGGGGUUAAAUAACGAGUUUAUUGCCAUCUAAAGAAAGAAAAAGGGAAGACUUUUUUUUUUGGGGGGGGGGUUGCCAACCCUAGCACAUGAGAAGCAUUCCAAGAUCCUUCCUGCUUGUUUUGCAGGAAAAGGAAAAACAGGUUCAGCGGAUUCGAAGUAUAUUUCGUCACCAGUUGUCUGUUCCCCUUGCUAACUCAAGUACAACUUUUCUUGCCUACAAGUCUUGGGAGGUCGAACAGGGGGCUGUUCUUGAUGUUGAAUCUAGUAAUCUAGACGGAAUGUCUUCUAAUGUUGCCUCAGCAUACCAAAAGGCAUUGGAGAUGUGUAAUGCACGAGCUUAUCUUGAAGAGCUGAUUUCCAGGCAGGAUUUAUCUGACUCAGAGAAAUUUCAGCAAUACAUGGUAGAUGACUUUACUAUCAUCAUUUGAUAGCUUUUUAUAAUAAGUAAAAUCUAGCUGUAAAAAUUUAUUAAUUUCAACUUUUUUUUGGUGGAUUUCUUCUUAUGGCAUUAGUAUUUUGGUUUUUGGUAGCUUACAAAUAAUAUCUGCACUUUAAAUAUCAUCUGUUGUUUCUUAGCAAAUAAUAGUAAUAAUAAUAAGUAAUAAAUAAUUAAUAUCUGCUCUUUAACUCUUUGGCCCGGGGGGGGGGGGCGCCUGGGGGAUGCAGUGUCAUUAUUUUCCUUCUUCUCCUUUUUCUGUUUUGUGCUUUUUCAAGUCCAAUAUUAUUAGAUUAAUCUGUUAUUGUGGUAGAUAUACUUGAACUAUGAGCAAUCUUCUGGAGAUCCUGGUCGAGUUCAACUUCUUUAUGAACGUGCUAUUACCGGCUUUCCUGUAUCAAGUGAUCUCUGGCUUGAUUAUACUCGUUAUCUUGACAAAACAUUAAAGGUUUAUCCUUCUAUUUUCUAUUUUAAUUCUUCUGUUGCAGCUUUUUGUAUACUAAUCCACUCUCCUCUUCAGGUAGGUAAUGUUGUGAGAGAUGUUUAUUCCAGGGCUACAAGAAAUUGUCCCUGGGUUGGAGAACUUUGGGUACGAUCUUUGCUUUCUCUGGAAUGUAGCUGUGCUUCUGAGGAGGAGAUAUCCACUGUAGGUUUAAUUGUUACCCUUCAUUCUGAGCUUAAUCUAUUUUUCUGAAUGUAAUUAAUUUUGAUUGUUUGAAGUUAAAGAAAUAAUCAGCUUCCUAGGCAAAUUUCUUGGCAAGCACUUGAUUGUGGGAGUAACUGAGGAGAAGCAUUCCCUAGUGUUUUUUUGUUCUUCCCCUCCCCUGAAAUUGCACUAUAUUUCCCUUGAAGACUAAUUUUUGCUUUAGCAUUUACACUUCUGUACAGAAGCAAACAUGAAUCAGAGAGAUUUAGUGGGCAAAUACACCUGGGCAAAAAAAUUAAUGCAUAUUAAAUACCGUGGUGGUUGUUGGAAUGCUUCAAAAAAAGUGUUUUCUUGGUGCUCCUGCUCCUUUUAUACUUUCAUAGCAUUUUAAUAACUGGGUUGUUUAAACGUCUUGUACUUAUUUUCUUUACAAAUGUCUGUAUUUUUUAAAUUUAUACAAGAUUUUUCUAAUUAUAUUAAUAGCAAUAAAUUGCAUAAACUCAAAUCUUAAUUUCAUUCUGCCCCUAUUGCAUACAUAUGGGAUUCACCCAUUAUUUCAUCAAAUUUUCCGUUGCUAAUUUCAGGUCUUUGAGAAGUCCCUACUAUGUGCAUUUUCAACCUUUGAGGAGGUAAAGAUAUAAAUUUAUGUCUACUGUACAUACCUUGAUUUCUUGAGCUGUAUGAUUUGGUAUAUAUCUACUUCUGAUUCAUCAUGUAUUUUUUUGUUAACUGGUUCUUUUUUAUUUCAGUACCUAGAUCUAUUCCUUACUUGAAUAGAUGGUUUGAGGCGGAGAAUUUUAUUCUCUGGUGAAGUUGAGGGCGUCUUGGAUUAUUCAUUGAUAAGGGAAACUUCAGGUUUGUAAACUUAUACCGUUUGCUAUUCAAUAUUAAAAUUGGUUAUACUCCUUAAUAUCAAGAAAUUGAAGCUUUCCAAAUCAUACCCAAAAAAUGCUCAAUUGUGAAUUACUGGAUGGAGCUAGUUGCUAGAUGAUACUUCUAAGAUUCAAGACAAAUGUUGUUUUAUGUAUGGCUAUCAAGUACUUUGGCCCACAAUUGUGGCAUAUUGGUCUUAUGCCAGCAUCAGGUAUAACAUUGUGUCUGGCAUAUAUACCAUUGGAAUUCUGGGUUUCUGUUGAAUGGGCUCCAACAGCUAUAUCUGUGUCCAAUGUUGUGGGGUCCUCUUCUUUGGUGCUUUUAAGUGAGGUUUUAAGUUUUCUUGUUAAAAUUUUGUUACAUAUCAAGUAGAAGGCACUGCACUGAAGCAUUGGUACUUCUAGAUCGCUUGUUCUGGAUGGUAGAUUUCAAUCCAUUGCUUUUAUUUCUUGGAUCAUGUGUAUCAUUGAGGACUUUCCUGGCCAGUGAUAGAGCUGGUAGGGGAAAAAAGUCAAAAUUCCUAUGGGAUGCUUUCUGACUUAGGGAAGAUGUCUUCAACAAUUUGUGGAUUUAAGUCUUCACAUGAUGUUAACUCUUGAUAGUCUAACCUUGGUUCAGGAUGUAUAGCUGUCUUCAAAGUUUGUGCUCAUAAACGAGUAACCUCUCUGUCUUUAUGAUACCAGUUAAAUUUGUUAGCUUUCUAGGAUUUGGAGGGUGUAAAUGUCCAUAAACAACAAUGUAUUCUCUUCCUUACAGCGUGCAUCAGAUUACUUGUCAGAACAGAUGAAGAGUACCAACGGUUUGCUGCAUUUGUAUGCUUAUUGGGCGCGUCUUGAACAAAGUAUGGGAAAAGAUAUGGUUUCAGCUCGUAGUGUCUGGGAGAGGCUACUUAAGAUCAGGUUCAACAAUUUUAAUUUUUGCCAGUGCAUACAUAGCAUAAUUUCUUUAUAUCUAUAUAUAUUUUCAGAUAACUUAUGCUUCUCUUAAUGCAGUGGUACAAUGUUGGAAGCCUGGCAAAGUUAUAUAUCUAUGGAAAUUGAAUUGGGUCAUAUUAAUGAAGCUAGAUCCAUCUACAAGAGAUGCUACAGUAAAAGAUUUACAAGAACAGGUUCAGAGGUAAAUUUCCUUCGUCCAGCUUCUUUAAUUAAUAUUAACUGCUUGACAACGUACCUUGUUGUUUCCAUCUUGUUUGUUUAAUUGGUCUUAUUUGUAAACACCUGAAAUCAUACAUCUUAAUUUCUGAUAAUUAGAUGUUAUUUUAGAUAUCUGUAUCUGUUAACGUUCUUUCAAGUCUAAUUCCAAUGCAUAUUUAGUUAAACUGCUCUUUACUGCAUUUUGGAUUAGUUAAUGUCUUCCUUUCCUAAAAAACAGAAUCAUUCAGGACAUAUGCCAUGCUUGGCUGUGAUUUUAACGGGAAUUUUGUAAUCAAAUUUUUAAUGAAUUUAUGGGUUUGUUGAGUAAAAUUAUGGGGUCAUACAGACUCACCCAUAAAUUGAACCCUUAUUUUAUGUUGAUGCAUAACUUAACUUAACAAAAAUAAUGUUCAAAUUGUCACAAAAUUUGAAAAAAAAAAAUCACAGUUAAUUUUUCUUCUACUUUACUCCAUUAUUCAAUGGGCAUAUAAUAAAUUAGGAGAGGGGAGAAAUAAAGGGGAAAAUUAGAGUGAUUGUCGCAAUGAUACACUGAUACAAAUGCUUAUGUAUGUGUAGUGUGUGUGUGUGUUGGUGGGGGGGGGGGGGUUCUUUAAUUUAACCAAAAAUAAAUGCAUUUAUUUGUAUUUUUAAUCAAAAUCGAGGGAUACAAACAAAAUUUUUACCACUCCAGAGUCUAGACAUGUAUCAUUAUCUCUUUUAAAAAAAAAAACAUUAGUAGCUGAAAGAGAGAAACAAAUUAAGAUGGAACCCAAAGAGAAAACCCUAGCAACAAUCCCAAAAGAAGAAGAAGAUGGAGACAUUGCCAUGCCCGACGUUAAGAACAACCCUAAACCAACAACAAAAGCAACUCUUCGGACUCGAGCGAUGCCUCUGACUCGGACUCUGACUCUGACUCAGAAGAUGAAGCAGAACAGAACAUGGAGCUUCAAACCCUAUAGUAUCAGCUAUCCAAUGAACCCUCCAAUUACUACACCUAUGUUCAAGUAACUUCAAUACACAUAUUUAUUGAGUGAUUUUGUGGAUAAUCAUUUGUUUGUUCUUUCUUGGGUUGCGAUAAAAAUGGUUUUUAUUUUAUUUUUCUUUUUCAUUAAAUAAAGGUUUUGAGAAAAAUGGGUGAGAUAGAGAAGUUGAGACAAGGUAGGGAAGCCAUGAAUGGGCGAGUGAUGAAGCCUCUAUUUCAACUGGGUAUCUGUCAUUUCCUAUUGCAAUGGUUUUUGAUUUUGUGAACAAAUGUUUUUUUGCUUAAGAGAUAUAGAUGUUUAUGUUAGUUAUUUGCUAAUGUAAAAAGGAACAAAACCUGCUUAAAAGGUAUUAAAGAAAGAAAAAAGGAACCAAUUUGAAGGGGAUACUUAUAGUGGGAGUUCUACUUUGGGGUUUAAUUGAUGGAAAGAAGAAAUAGCUUAUAUGUUUACAGAAUUAGACAUUUGAUCGCUGAGUUAGUUGAGGAAGAUGUUUAAUCACAAUGUCUGAUGUUGUUUCUGUUGGCCUGAGCUAGUUGUUAAGAUUUCAUACUUUCAUUCAACAAUGCAAUAGACUUUGGUUGGGUCCACCGUAGUUGGGUGUUCUGAGGAAUCAAUGAGUGUCUUGAGAAAACUUGGGCGGAGUGCUGGUCAUUUUCAGGAUUCAGUUUCCAAGAAAACAAAAACGAAGUCAAUAGUUGUAGUUUAAAUUAAUUUAUGUUUUUAUCUUUUUCAUUGAGCCCAGUGAGCUUUUAUUUUUACUUUGUUCGCUUUUGUUUCUUUCCCUUCUUUUCCUACUGUUUCUUGACAAUCAAACAGAUCAGGAUUAAGUGUUUACUUUUGGUGUAAUUAUUCACUCUAACUCGAAUAAUACUUAGGUUUAGUGCUAACAAAAUAGGAAGUGAAUUAAUAGCUGAAGCUGACUUAGGAGUGGAAUGAAUGUUACCAAAAAUAUACUAUAUGGUAGAUAGAAUUUGCGUUUUAGGUAAGACUAAAAUAAUUACAGCUGUUAAUUUAUUUCAAUAAGUUCGUACAUCAUUCAAUAAUAAGUCCAAGAUUUUAAUGGUUUUGUUUCCUGAAAAUUUGUCAUGAGUGCAUGAACAAAGUUCUAUGGAUGAACUUCUCCUAGUUAAUUUUAGUUCAAUGUCGCAGUUCCUCAUAUUAACUGUAUAAAACACUAAUCUUGCUCUUUACUUUGAAGCAUUUUAAUAAUUGAUGCUAAUUCCUUAGCCAUUUUAUUCAUCUUGUGCAUAAAUUAUGCAAUCAAUAAACCAACUCAACUUUCAUCUUUAUUUAGUGCAAAUUUUGCAAGGCCACUAGGAGGUUUUUGUAUGUCUCAUGCUAACAUGGUCGCCAUGGUUUCACUAUGUAAAUUUUCCCUACUGAAAUUCAUGAUCCGUCAUAUACCACUGAUGAAGCUGUUUCUGGGGCUUUAAAAGCACCAAAUUUUAGUUUUAUCCUUUCUAGCUUAUUAACCUGUCCGCAUCUGCAUUAUUAUCUUUCCUGUCAUACGAAAGUUUCAUUUAUCAUCUUCCCAACAAAACCAUCGAUAGGUUAUUGUUGACUUUUUUUUUUUCCAUUUAGAUUCAUGCCAGAUUAUGGUUGCUGGAUUUUCUGCUUUGACACUUUAUUGUUUCUAAGUAUAGGCUACCAAGGGAGGAAAAAAAUUGACACUGAUGGUCAUCCCCAGCAUUUUUAUCCCAGGAGACUGGUCAAUUCACUUUCUAUGAAGGACUAAAUAGAAUUCCAGACUCUAUUUUGAAGGACAAAGCUGUGGCUGAGCUUGGUUGUGGAAAUGGAUGGAUAACCAUUGCCGUAGCUGAGAAGUGGUUGCCUUUGAAGUUUUGUUGGUUUGUCGUCCUUAUGCCAUGUGAGAGCUUUUGUUUCCUUCCUUACCAGUGCCUUCAGGGGCUCCAUCAUGAUUUCUCUCAUCAUUUUCUAUCUCUGUGUUUUGCAAGGCUAUUUGAUAUUUAUAACAGCAUUGGCACCAGGUUAUGGUGAUUUAAUGCAUUCCUAUUAGGAAAAAUUACAUAAUUAUCAACUCUGUCCUUGUCCAAAAGUCUUUGUUGGAGUAUGUUGAAAAUAUAACCUUGUAGCAGUUCUUAUAUGCUGUCUGAAUAUCGUUUUGCAGUCUAUGGCCUUGAUAUUAAUCCCAGAGCAAUAAAGAUCUCUUGGAUACAAUUGUACUUAAAUGCAUUAGAUGAAUCUUUUUCUAAGCUUUUCCGUCACUGUCACUGCAAAAGGUCUUUUGUAUUGAUGGUUAUCUGUGGGGCCAGGAAAGAAGGUCAGCCCGUCUAUGAUGCGGUGAAGAAAACCUUACUGGAUAGGGUGGAGUUUGAUGAAUCUGAUCUCCUAGCGUAUUGUUGACAUCAUGACAUUCAACUUGAAUGACUAGUGGGGUGCAGACCUCAGGUACUCUCACUUUCUGCAACUCAUGAUAUUUCUAGGGGAUUAAAUUUUGGUGAAGUUUGUUUACCCAACAUCAAGUUGGAAUUUUAGUGUGCCCACAUGGAUUACUUUUAACUCCUAGUUUAACUUAUUCUGUUUUCUCCAUGCAGGUUCUCAACUCCAAUUCCAAUGCAAUGUCGAAAAUAAUCAAUGAAAAUGCAAGCGAGGAAUUUCUGUAUUCAUUGAGUAACUAUUGUGGACUGCAGGUUGGAGGAUAUUCUAAAUAAUUUAAUUUUGAUGCGCAAUUGCAAAUUUCCGGGAAGUUAGCACUUACAGGCUUCUUCUGGUUUCACUUAUUUCUAAGCAUACUUGUUAUAACUUUGGUUUGAAGCUUGCAUACCUUAGGUAAGGUUGUUGUCUUUAGUUGGUCAAUAUCAAUUGGGAAAUAUAGCAAACCAGUGAAGACAGUGGGAAAAGGAUAAUGUGAGUUUGACAGAUGCUGAGAGGAGAUAGGGAAACUUGGAUCUGAAAGUUUUUUUUUUUUUUUCUUAACGUGUAACCUCUUCACAAUGCCAUUGAUUCCCAUAGUUCAUGUUGCUAGGUGAACUUAACAACAACUAUCUGUUAUGCCUUGUGGAUAACUGAGAAAGUUUAUUGAUUUUGACAGAUUGCUUUUUGAAAUAGAGUGCAAGUAGAUUGACUAAUAAUGAACAUACUGUAUCAAGUUGUUACAUUUGAACAUGUUAAGGUCAUAUGAAGCAUACUUCUUGUAACUUUUUUUUUUUUUUUGCCCUCCCCAUUUCCCUGUAUGGAGGGUUUCAUGGAGGAUCAGUUUGGCUCAGGUCUAAUUGCUGGAGCAGUUGAGGAAGGAAUUACUGUUAUCAAAAUAAAGAUUCAUCUCACUCACUAGCCAGUUGAGCAGCUCGUCACUAGUCGAAUUCAUUGCCGAUUGCGGCCCGUAUCCAUUGCCCAUCACUGUUUGGAUUCGUCGGUUCUAUCAUGUUGGUUCAGUAGCUCAUCGCCGCUGUCAUGGUCGGCCUCUUUGUUGUCAUUGAAGAACCAAUCGAUAAAUAUGAUGAUAAUUUUUUAUGACAAUAAUUAGGAUGAUUGAUGAUGAUGAUUACCAUUGUUUUUUUUUUUUUUGAAGGAUUACCAUUGUUGAUGAUUAAUAUUAUUGAUGAUGAUUUUUUAUGACAAUAAUUUUGAUGAUGAUGAUGAAGAUGAUGUAAUUGCGAUGAGAUAAUGAAGAUGAAACUGAAUUGUGAUGUUGAUAAUGAAAUCGGCGGAAGGAAGAAGAUAAUUGUGGUGAUGAUGAUGAUGUUGAUGGAGAAGAAGAAAUUAACAUGAUUGAUGACGAAGUAAGGAGGAAUUUAUAAAACAGAGAGAAAAAGAAAAAAGAGAAGAUGAAGAGGAUAAAAAGAACAAAUAAAAAAAUAAAAAAAGGAAAAAAACAGGAGAGAAAAUAAUAAUAAAAACAAAAGAGGAAAAUAAUAAUAAUUAUUAUUAUAAAAUAAGUUAAAUAUUAUUAUUAUUAUUAUUAACAAUAAUUUUAUUGAUAACCAUAAUCAUUUAAUAGAUAAUAAAAAUAAUGGUAAUAAUGAAUUACGGGUAUUUUAAUAAUUUAAAUAAUUCAUUGUGAUUUAAAAAUAAAAUAAAUAUAUUAAUAGUAUGUCUUUUUUAGACGGCCAUCCAAUUUUAUGUCUUUUUUAUGGCCAUCCACUUAGUAGCUUGGUUAGACGUAUUGGGAUGUCGUAGGCCUUAAAAGAUAAGAGCAAAAAAUCAAUUCCAAAUCUAAAGUGAAAAACACUAGCUAGAAAAAAAUCUAUGUUCUGAUGUCUUAGUUUGUAAGCUCAAACAAUGAAUAGUAUACAUACAGCGCAUUAUAAAACACAAAACUCAUGUAGAUUUUUAGUUUCGAAAUUCAUUUCAGAAAAUCUGUUCUGUUCAACAGGUUAAAGUAGAUUAUCAACUAAACUCUACCCACAUACUUGCAUACAAUUAGAGCACUAGGUCAACAAAGGAGCACAUCUUUCGGAAGAUAAUUGAAGACUUGUUUGGCAAUUUGAAGAUUACAUCUUAGCUCUGCCAUUGGAAGCAAGCAACUCAGCUGCCCAAAGACCGCCAUGCCAUCAAGACAAUACCUAGAUACAACAUCAAUAAUAAUAACAUCAAGAAUUACAUAGAGGCCGUCGCACGUUACACCCACCCCAAUAAGAAACUAAUUAAUACCGUCUUAGCUCCUCUGUUUUAAAAGAAAUUAACACACCCAUGAAGUAGGAAUAAUUAAUUAAUUUAUACAGUUCAGUACUCAUUCGACCUCUGUUUCAAAUCCAAAUCCACUGCUCGACCAUUUACUAUGACGUAAGGUAUAUGGAUUAAUUAACAAGUGCCGAUAUUGUCCUCCAUCCUUUUGUGUACCUUUCUUCUGGCAAGGCCUUUUCUGGAAAGUAUUUGAGCUCCAGACAAUUACAGAAUUUCAAUUUGCUGAGGUUUUGAUGAUCAGCAAUUGAAGAAGACAAGCGUUAAUAAUUAUGAAGAACUGGUGUAAUUUAUAUCAUGUAGGAAGCCCUUCAGUUACUUCUUUGACUGUGCCCAAACUCUUUUAAGGGCUAAUAUCAAAAUUUCGUGAUAUUGUGCCUGAAGAGCUUCAUACCUCAUUGUAACUGUUUCUAAAAGUUGAUGAGCCCAAAUAUCCAAUAACUGAUAAAUUAUGUUGAGAAAUAGAAAUAUUAAUAGUACUGAUACAGACGCAUGGAAGUCCCCCGUUUUGAGUUUAUGCUUGUGCUUGUCUACUUGACAAAAAGGACAUAGGUGGAAAGUGGACUAAGCAUCAUUGGAUAACUUGGAGGAAAAAUAGUGUCCAGCAUAAAGAAUCCAUCGUUAUGUGCCGCUUCCUAUUUAAUUACAUUUAUCUAACAUUUAAAAGAUGGAAGUAGAAAAUUAACUCAGUUUUUCAGAUAUGGCUCAUAUACAAUGCAAGUAUCAAGAUUUAAUUAGAGUUCACAUAUAUACAUGCGUCUAGUUUUUAUUGAGAGAUUAACUAAUCAUAAAUACUCGUGUUCUAAAUGAUUGAAUAAUGACAUUAUUGUUAUUUAUAAAUUUAUAAGGAUAAAUUUAUACCGAAAAGGGUCCCCAACAUAACUUGAACAACUUUACUUGUGUUUGCUCAUUGAAUAAUGUUAUAAAAAAUAAAUACAUAUGUUAGAAGAUUCAUAGUAUAUUGGAGUGUUUUUUGUACUUGAAUGAUAAUGAAUGAAGGUAUGUUAAUUUACUUUAAAUAGAAACCUUCCUAAAAGGAAUAGAAAUGCUCUAUAACAUACCAAAUACUACCUUAAUCAAAAUUUAGUAGGCAAAAAUUUUAAAAAUGGAAUAAUUAACCCUAAUUAAAUAAUUGUCUUACAUCACCAAACUCUUUUUUUUUUUUUUUAAUUAAGGCAUCACAAAACUCUGUAAAGCAUAAAAUAUAAUAGGCAAAUUUGAGCUAAAAAAAAAUGAAGUUAGGAAAAUGACUUGCAUACUGUCUUUGAUGAGCGCAUAAUUUUCUUGAAAAAAAAGGAUUUUUGUGUUUUUUUUUUUUUUGGUAAAUUCGUGUCGUUUACUAGUCUUUUGGGUUUUGUUGUAUAAUUCUUUGGUACGUGUUUAUCUUGCUUUUGUAUAUGUUAGGAAACGGAGUGAAAUCCCAAUAUUAAAAUAUGGAGAAAUGAUUUUUCAUGAAUAAAAUGAUUUAAUUUAUUUUUAUUUCUACAACAAAAAUUAUUAAGUUAUCAACAUAUUGAUUUCAUCUGUAAGUUCCAGUCAGUCAGUUUCUCACGUUCCAUUGUUAUCUUUUAAAAGAUACUGCAAUGCUUUAAGUGUAUUUGAUCACUUCACUAAUAAUUUGAUAUUUACAAAUUGAAAAAAUAAAUUAUUUCUGACCAAAGACACUAGAGAAUGUCGAAAAGAGUUUGAGUAAUUUUUGUAUACACACACAACACAAAAUUAAAUUACGUGGCAAUGUUGAUAGUGAGUCGUUUUUGGGAAUCCAUAAGUUCACAUGUGCACAGACGUCGGUUGCCUGCCAGCCCUUUCCUUUUUUUUUUUUAAUAUCUCCAAAUCAUUUAUUAGAGUCCCAAAUUUAUCACACAUCAUUAAGUAAAAUGUGCCAAUUAGUAAGAGCCAGCUUCUUUCCUCUGUUUUCUUGCGUAUGCUGCAUUCAAGUAUCACUGAAAAUUUUAAUUAUACCGUCAACAGCUGCAGGAAAAUUAUAUACAUUCUAUCAACACCUGCAUGCUGCAAUCCUCAAUGACUGCCAAAUCUUCAUACCAUGAAUAUCAAGUAACUUCCAACUCUUCAUAUAGUGAAUCAGCAGGAUUCACGUCCGACCAACUCCACAGGCACGGCUAAAGCGAAAGAUUAUUUUUUCAGAUAUUAUCAAGAAAUUAAUUUAAGUGAAAUAAGCUAAGAGUGAUUUCGAUAAGGUUUUCAGAGAAGAUAUAGAAAGAAGAUAAAAUAAAUAAAUAAGUAAUUUCAGUCGAUGCAAAAAAUGGGCAUGUGUCUGACUAACAGGACAUGGCUUGGAGCAAAUAUCAAUGGAGGAAAUAUCAGCUUAUAAUUUUAUAAAAUAAGCAUCAAAAUAUUCGACAAGUUUGAGGUUUAUGAAAUAUUGGGAAAAUAGACAAAUAACAAAGACGCUCACACUACAAGUUAAGCAGAUCAAAUAAACAGAACAAAGGAAAUAACUGAUCAAUUUAAUUCUUUGUGCAAUGGCCACGGCAACAGAGAAAAUAUGUCUACAUGACUAUAUUAAUGCUACUGGCGUGGAUGGUACCAUCACCAUGAUGAUAUGAGAUUAAAAACAUUGACUUCAUAAUUUUAUAAAAUUUCAUAUAGAAGAUAUAAUUGAUUUGAGUUAGUUUAACAGAGAAAAAAGAAUAAUAAGGAAUUACAUUGAUGUGGCGUGUGAUGAGAAUUGAUAGAGAAGAAAUAUUGAUCAUGUAAUAAUGAAAUAUGUAUUUACUGAAAAAUAUUUGGCAAUAAAAUGAUGCUAUAAAAAUUUAACAUUGUUUGCAAGAAAAUAGUUUGACAACUAAAAGACAUAUAUAUGCAAUGCUUUGAGUUUAUUUUAUCGCUUCACUAACCAUUUUGUAACUACAUAUUAAAUAUAAGUUGAAUUAAUUCUGAUCUAAGACUCUAGAGAAUGUAGCUAGAAAAAUGAUUUGAUUUUGUAUAUAAACAAUAUUAGAGAUGAGAUAUGUCAAAAUCAAUUACAAGAACAAUAAUAAGAACAUAUUCUGCAAAAGUUAUAAAUACAUAUAAAAUAAAUUUAAUUUCAAAUUAGGAAAUUAUUAAUUUGUAUAGUAAGAGAGUCCAAUAGAAAAAUAGAAAUUUUUUUGAAAGAGAUUUGCUUAGGGAACAACUUUAGUUUGGUUUAGUUUGUGAAGGAUCAAGUAAUUGAACGCAAUUGAAGGAAAUUCAAACUUUUGAUUUUGACAAAGUAAUCGUUAAAAUGCUAAAAAUACUGGGACAAUAGACAAAUAAUGAAGAUCCUAAAAGUUGGUGGAGCAAAUAAACAGAGUAAAACAGAGCAAAUAUUUACCGUUAUACAUAUAUUUUUAUUUUUUUCAAAAAUGAAUGUGUCUAAUAUAUAACCACAGUCCGCUAUUACUGAUGUAUUAUAUAAGCACGUGUCUAAUUACCAAAUAAAUUCCACUUUGACAAAGAACAAAAGCUAAUUUUAUUGUUACCGCCUGCAGUUGUGCUUUCUUUUAUUUAUUUUCGUUUUGUUAUUUUCGUUUUGAAUGGUCCUGCAAUUUGUAUUCCUUUCUGUGGGAUUGGUUUUUGUGAUAAAUAUUAUUCAAACUGCUCAACAGGUGGAUUGUCCUGCAAUUUGUAUUUUCGUUUUAGUGAUAAGAACAUGGCUUGGAGCAAAUAUCAAUGGAGGAAAUAUCAGCUCAUAAUUUUAUAAAAUAAGCAUCAAAAUAUUCGACAAGUUUGAGGUUUAUGAAAUAUUGGGAAAAUAGACAAAUAACAAAGACGCUCACACUACAAGUUAAGCAGAUCAAAUAAACAGAACAAAGGAAAUAACUGAUCAAUUUAAUUCUUUGUGCAAUGGCCACGGCAACAGCGAAAAUAUGUCUACAUGACUUUAAUGCUACUGGCGCGGAUGGUACCAUCACCGUGAUGAUAUGAGAUUAAAAGCAUUGAUUUCAUAAUUUUAUAAAAUUUCAUAUAGAAGAUAUAAUUGAUUUGAGUUAGUUUAACAUUGAAAGAAAGAAUAAUAAGGAAUGAUAUCGAUGUGGCGUGUAAUGAGAAUUGAUAGAGACAAAUAUUGAUCAUGUAAUAAUGAAAUAUUUAGUUACUGAAAAAUAUUUGGCAAUAAAAUGAUGCUAUAAAAAUUUAACAUUGUUUACAAGAAAAUAGUUUGCAAUUAAAAGAGAUAUAUAUGCAAUGCUUUGAGUUUAUUUUAUCAUUUCACUAACCAUUUUGUAACUACAUAUUAAAUAGAAGUUGAAUUAAUUCUGAUCUAAGACUCUAGAGAAUGUAGAAAAAUGAUUUGAUUAUGUAUACAAACAAUAUUGGAGAUGAGAUAUCAGAUAUGUCAAAAUCAAUGACAAGAACAAUAAUAAGAACAUAUUCUACAAAAGUUAUAAAUACAUAUAAUAUAAAUUUAGUUUCAAAUUACGAAAUUAUGAAUUUGUAUAGUAAAAGAGUCCAAUAGAAAAAUGGAAAUUUUUUAAAAAGAGAUUUGCUUAGGGAAAAACUUUAGCUUGGUUUGGUUAGUGAAGGCUCGAGUAAUUGAAAGCAACGCAAUUGAAGGAAAUACAAACUUCCGCUUUUGACAAAGUAAUCGCUAAAAUGCUAAAAAUGUUGGGAAAAUAGACAAAUAAUGAAGACCCUACAGGUUUGCGGAGCAAAUAAAUAGAGUAAAAUAGAGCAAAUAUUUACCAUUAUACAUUUACUGCAGAAACAAAGUGCCUUCAUAACACCAGUUAAACUGUGUCUAGCUACCAUGCUGGUUCUACUUUUACUUUAUUAAAUAUAUACAGCAUUAAAUCACCUGAGCCUCCAGUUUCUCUAGUUUCCAACUUGAAAUUAAAACGUAGAAUUGAUGGUAAUGGAGUUCCUUAUUUAAUUUUGCUGUAGGUCAUGGGCAAUUAGACGGCCAUCCAUUUUUAUGUCUAUUUUAUGUACUAUUGGCCACUAAGUAGCUUGGAUAUUUUAUACGUAGUUUGAAAUAAGUCAAAAUCAAUUACUAGAACAACAAUAAAAGCAUAUUUUAUAAAGGCCAAAAAUACAUAAUAUAAAUUUAGUUUUGAAUUUUGUAAUUAUUAAUUCAUAUAUUAAGAGAGUCUUAUAGAAAAAUAGGAAUUUUUUGAAAGAGAUUUGCUAAAGUAAAAAAUUUCGUUUGGUUUAGUUUGUGAAGGCUCAAGUAAUUGAAAGCAAUGCAAGUGAAGGAUAUAUGAACUUGUAAUUUUUACAAAGUAAUUGCUAAAAUAUUUGACAAGCUUGAGAUUUUAAAAAGGCUGGGAAAAUAGAAAAACAAUGAAGACCCUACGAGUUGGCAGAGCAAAUAAACAGAGGAAAACAUGACAAAUAUUAUGUUGAUGCACAAUCUUAUUUUAUGUUGAUGCACAAUCCAACUUUUUAACAAAAAUAAUAUUUAAAUUGUCACAAAACGUAUUAUUCUUUAAAAAAAAUUCAUAUACAGUAGUUAAUUUUUCUUUACUCCAGGAUCCAACUACAUACCCCUCUUGUUUGUCGUUAUUCUGCUCAGUCGUUAGAUUUUAAUUACUGUAAAGAAUUGUGGAAAUGCUCAUAUAUUAUUUGUUGCUGUGUACAAGAUCCUUAUAUACAAAAAUACUAGAAUCAUCUAAGGCAAGUACCAAACGGUCAAAUAAUAGAAAAGGAAAGAAUAUAAAGGAGAAUGAAUAUUACAAUAUGCUAAGUUAGUGGCUAAGAUCAAGGACUGAUUGAUUCUUGUUCUAAUACUCCCCCUCAAGUUGGGAAGUGAAGAUCCGUAACUCCCAACUUGCCAAGAAGAUAUUGAAAUUGAUGUUUACCAAGAGCUUUGGUAAAAAUGUCAGCCAAUUGUUGUCGUGAAGGCACAUAAGUUAAGGAAAUGAUUUUGGCAUGAAGCUUUACACGAACAAGAUGGCAGUCUAUUUCUAUGUGCUUGGUACGCUCAUUGAAGAUGGGAUUGGCAGCGAUAUGAAGCGCAACUUGAUUGUCACAAUGUAAAGUUAUAGGCAUUGGAUGGGUCACAUGAAGAUCACGAAGUAGAGUUUUCAACCAAACCAAUUCACAUGUUGUUGUCGCCAUGGCUCGAUAUUCGGCUUCAGCGGAAGAGCGCGAUACAACUGGUUGCUUCUUGGUUUUCCAAGAAAUAGGACUAUUGCCAAGCAUGAUAAAAUAUCCAGUAGUGGAUCGACGGGUCAUGGGGCAACUUGCCCAAUCUGAAUCUGAGAAGGCAGAGAGUUCCAAAGAGUUAGUGGAGGACAAGAGGAUACCAGCGCCGGGAGAAAAUUUGAUGUAACGUAAGACACGCAGGGCAGCAUCAUAAUGUGGUCAUCUUGGAGUGUGCAUAAAUUGACUAAGUAUGUUCACAGCAUAUGUAAUUUAUGGCCGGGUGAUUGUCAAAUAGAUGAGACGUCCUACAAGUCGUCGGUAUUGGUCAGGAUUUUGACAAAGGGUUCCUUGAUCGUUAGAGAGCUUCAAGUUUUGUUCCAUUGGAAAAGAAGAUGGCCGUGUGCCUAAUUGUCCACUGUCUUGAAGUAUAUCUAAAGCAUAUUUCCUUUGAUUGAAGAAAAUCCCUUGCUUUGAGCGAGCCACUUCAAUUCCUAAAAAAGAUUUCAAAGUUCCCAAGUCUUUAAUAUGAAAUUGAGCCUGCAAAAACAUCUUCAAUGCAGUUAUAGUGUCAAGAUGGUUACCAGCAAUUAUUAUAUCACCAACAUACACAAGCACCAAUGUAAAAUGAGAAUCAUGCAUUUUAGUAAACAAACAAGAAUCAACAUAAAAUUGAAUGUAACCAAUUUGUUUAAGAGCGGAUGAGAAUUUUUCAAACCAAUUUCGAGAAGCUUGCUUGAGACCAUAAAGGGACUUGUUUAACUGACAAAAUUGAUAAGACUCCCCCUGUUUACAAACUCCUGGAGGUAAGGUCAUAUAAAUUUCCUCAUGCAAGUCACCAUGAAGAAAUGCAUUAUGAACAUCUAACUGAAAUAAUAACCACCCUCGAAUAGCUGCCAUUGCCAAUACACAUCUAACAGUCACAAGUUUUGCAACAGGUGCAAAUAUCUUAUGGUAAUCCAAACCUUCAGUUUGUGUGUAUCCUUUAGCAACAAGGCGUGCUUUGUAUCUCUCAAUAGAACCAUCAGCUUUUCUUUUAAUUUUGAACACCCAUUUACAACCAAUUGGUUUCUUGCCGGGAGGUAGAUCUUGUAUAGGGAUGGCAAAUUGGUCCAUCCAAAUUGGAUAUCCAUAUAUCCAAUCCAAUUGGAUUGGAUAAUAUCCAUCCAAAAUCUUCUUGGAUAUGGAUAUGGAUAUUUUUAAAAAUAUCCAAUUAGAUAUUGGAUGGGUAUGGAUAUUUAAUGGAUAUCCAAAAUCCAAUUAAUUUAUCCAUUUAAAGUUAAAAAAAUUUAUAUUGUUCAACUAAAAUAAAAAAAAAAUCUAAUUUUCUCUUAUAUUAACUAGUGAAAAAUUUAAAUUUCUCUUAUAUUAAAAACUAAAGUUUUCAAAAUUACCCUUUAAUUUUUUAACUUAUUUAAUACUAUUUAUAAUUGUUAUUUUAUUUUAUUGAUUUAAUAUUAUAAAUGGAUUUCCACCGGAAAGUCACCGGACCACCACCGGAGUUCGCCGGACCACCGUCGGAUAUCGCUGGAAUUACCGCCGGACCUCGGCGGAAAGUCACCAGAAGACCGCCAGACCACCGUUGGCUUCACCGGAAGAUUGCCGGACCACCGCCGGAAUUCGCCGGAAGGUCGCCGGACUUUGCCGGAAAGUUGCCGGACCGCCACCACCGACCACCGGACCGCCAUUUUAUUAUAUAUAUAUAUUAUUACUAAUAUAAAUAGUUUAAUAGCCAAAUUUGAUAUUGAAAUUUUAACUAUUUUAUAUUAUUAUUUUUAUAUAAUUAAAAUAAAAUAUCCAUGGAUCUCCAUAAACUAUAUGGAUAAAAUCCAUAUCCAUGUCCAAUAUUAAAUAGUGGAUAUGGAUAUGGAUAUAUCCAUUAUGGAUAAUUAUGGAUUUAUGUUUAUCCAUCCAUCAUUGGAUAUUUGUCAUCCCUAAUCUUGUAUUGUCCAAGUGUUACUUUGCUCUAAAGCUUUAAUCUCUAUAUCCAUAGCAUUGCGCCAAUGAGCAUGUUGAACGGCUUGAGAAUAUGUAGUUGGUUCAACAUCGUGAGAUAUGGCUGAAAGAAAGGCUACAUGAUCACUAGAAAACUUGUCAUAUGAUAAAUACUUGGAUAAUGGAUAUAAAGAACUUACCAAUAGUGGAUGAUUAGUAAAAGUAUUAGAGUUGCCAAAUGUACCGUGAAGUGCAGUAGAGCAAAUAUAAUUCUGAAGAUAAUUUGGAUGACAAGACUGUCGUUGGGACCGUCGAAGAGGUGGAGAAGGGAGAACUACUGAAUCAGAUGUACCUUGGUGGAGUGGCUGCUCAUUGGAAGAAGUUGGAAGGAGCUGUGCAUUUUCAUUGGCAAGAAGUAUGAUAGGAAGAGGUAAAACAUUGUUAUUUUCUUGUUGAUUGGUGAUAGUUUUGAAUGGGAAUUCAGUUUCCACAAAAGUAACAUCACGAGAAAUAAAAGUCUUUUUGUUAAUGAUAUCAUAAACUUUGUAUCCGGGAUACCCAAAUGGGUAACCAACAAAUAUACACUUGGUAGCACGGGGAGCAAAUUUAUGAUGAUUAGCACUGUUGGUAUGAACAUAACAAAGACAACCAAAGACACGAAGACGAUCAUAGUGAGGUUUAGUCUUAAAAAGCAUUUCAUAAGGAGAUUGACCACCAAGAUUAGGAGUGGGUAUACGAUUAAUCAAAUGGGUUGCAGUUAAAACACAAUCUCCCCAGAAAGAUAAAGGUAAAUGUACUUGAAAACAUAACGCACGUGCAACUUCUAAAAAAUAUGUCGGUGCUUGCGUUCUGCUACCUAAUUUUGUUGAGGUGUUUCAACACAAGUCCGUUCAUGCAAGAUGCCAUGCUCAUGAAAAAAAGAUUGCAUCUGAUUUGAUAAAAAUUCACGUCCUUGAUCAGUACGAAUUUUUUUAAUUUGUGACUGAAAUUGUGUUUUGAUCAAGAAGUAAAAGUUUUUUAAUAAUUGAAAAGCUUCAAACUUGUGCCGCAUGAGGUAAACCCAAGUACAACGAGUAUGGUCAUCAACAAUAGUAAGAAAAUAAUAUGAUCCCGUAUAUGUAGAUGUGCGAUGAGGUCCCCAAAUAUCACAAAAAAUUAAUUGAAAUGGCAUAUCAGAACGAUUUUUAUUCAAUUGAAAUGAACUUCUAGUGUUUUUUGAAAGUUGACAAAUUUCACAACAAGAAUUAAAUGAUGCAAUAUCAUAAAUAAAAGACAAACGCUGCAUUCGGUCUUUAGAAGGGUGACCGAGUCGCAAAUGCCAAAGAUUGGAAUUGGGUUCCUUUGCAACGUUCAUUACUGAAGGAAGGGAAGAAUGACCAUUGAUAUGCUCAUAAUAAUAUAGUACAUCCCGAACUUCACCCUUUCCAAUCAGCUUCUUCGUUGAAAGGUCCUGAAAAACACAAAAUGAAGGGAAAAAUAUAGCAGCACAGUUCAAAUCCUUGGUUAGCUUGCUUACAGAUAAUAGUUAAAAAUUAAAAUGAGGAACUAAUAAGGCAUUAUCUAAAGUCAAAGAGGAGGAUAAUUUAAUGGAUCCACAUUUUGUUGUAGGAACAGUUGUGACAUUUGGUAGUCUCACGGGUUUGACAUGAGACAUGGGCACAAAAUUUUUAAAGGAAGAAAUAUUAGGGUCAUGUGAUCAGAUGCCCCACUAUCAAUUAUCUAAGAAUUAUUAUAUGAGUUAAUAGCAGAAUUGCAAAAAGGAAUGAUUUUACCAGCUAAGUUUACAGUAGAUGGCUGCUUACUUGUUGAAAGUAUAGAUAAUAAAUGUUGAUAUUGUUCAGCCGUGAGACCGGGAAUUUGGAUAGUAGGCUGAGAUGAUGAAUUCUUGUCUUUUGGAAUGGGAUGAUCAUCUAGUUGUUGUGGCUUCGUGGUUGCAGGAGCAGCAACAUGCGAUCGAUUUGAAUGUUUCCAGUUUGGUGGGUAGCCAACAAUUUUGUAACAUUUGGCUUUUAUAUGCCCAUAUUUCUCGCAAUGAUCCCAUAAAGGUCUACCUCGUCCUUGUGUCUCUUGUACUCCAUGCAAUUGGCUAGGAUGUGAAUGAUUUUGACGGCUGGUCAUUUGAGUCUUAUUAUUGGCUGUCAAGGCUGUUGAUUCAAUAGAUGGUUGACUGGAAACAUGGAGAAGUCGUUGACGUUCUUCCUGAUGAAUAAUUGAAUAUGCUUUUCCAACAUUUGGAAGUGGUUCCAUGGCUAAGAUUUGACUUCAUACCGAAGAAUAUGAAUCAUUGAGACCCAUUAGGAAUUGAAACACCUUUUCAGUCUCCAGUAAUCCCUGUAAUUCAUUUGAAGUUUCACACUUGCAAGAAGAAAUAGUGGUUAAUGUGGACAAUUCAUCCCAAUAAAAUUUCAAAGUAUUAAAAUAAAUCACUAAUGAUUUUUGCUCUUGCUGGUGAUUGCAUAUGGCUCUCUUAAGUUCAUAAAUCCGUGGAUUAUUACUUUGUGAAAAACCUUCUUCCAACCCAAGCCAAAGAGAGCGUGGCGUAUCACAAUAGAUGAGGCCAUUGGCAAGAUUUUUCUCUAUUCCAUUGAGCAUCCAUGAAAGGACCAUGUCAUUGCAUCGCUCCCAAGUUUUUAAAUCUUGUGAGGUUGAUGAAGGUUUUUGUAUGCUUCCAUCAAUAAAACCCAAUUUGUUUUUGGCAUUUAAUGCCAUCUUCAUGGAUCUUUUCCAUGUUGAAUAAUUAUCACCCGUUAGCACAUUAGAUACAAGAAUGGCUCCAGGAUGAUCAGAUGAAUGAAGAAAGUAUGGUGAAGAAACAUCGGUAAUGAGGGAAUUUGAUGUUUCUAAUAUUGGAUUCAAACUACUAGACAUGAUUGUCAAAGAGAAAAGCAGAAAUGAGCAAAAUUUGCUCUGAUACCAUGUAAAGAAUUGUGGAAAUGCUCAUAUAUUAUUUGUUGUUGUGUACAAGAUCCUUAUAUACAAAAAUAUUGGAAUCAUCUAAGGCAAGUACCAAACGGUCAAAUAAUAGAAAAGGAAAGAAUAUAAAGGAGAAUGAAUAUUACAAUAUGCUAAGUUAGUGGCUAAGAUCAAGGACUGAUUGAUUCUUGUUCUAAUAAUUACGUUGAUCUAACGGUUGGGAUUUGUAAAUGAAUAACGAAGUGGUGUUUUUGGCUACCGUCUGAACCCAUUGCAUCUAAUUGGUUUUGUGAUUUUUCGCUUUCUUCUCUGCAACGCUUGACUAGUUCUAGAAAUAUCGACAGCAAAUUUGGAGCAUGUAUUAUUUUUCAUUAAAAUAAGUUUCCACCACCGUACCAGUAUAUGGAUUUCUGAAUUAAUUAUUAAAAGAAGCAAACAAUACUGAGAAUAUAUUAAUUAUUAAUUUAUAUAAUAAAAUGUUUGCUUCAAAAUAUACUAUUUGAAUUUGAAAUAAUAUUUUUUAAAAAUUUUAAUAUCACAAUAAUAGUCAUGAUCCAAUUGGUUUGAUUUUUUUUUUUCAGAAAAAAUUUGGAAGAAUAGACAAAUAAUGAAGACACAACCUAAGGAGAGCCAAUAAACAGGGGAAAGUGAAUUGCGUACUGUCCUCGAGCUCUCAAUUAUCCAACAUUCUCAAAUUUCUAUGUACAUUUUCGUAAAUUCAUGUCAUAUACUAGAGCUAGUAUUUUGGGUUUUGUUGCAUUAGUUCUCUGGUGUUUAUCUUGUUUUAUUACCUUAUGAUGCAAGAUUCGUGGUAGCGAUACACCUCGAAUAAAACUAUUUUUGUUUUUUUGGCAUUUUUAUUAGCACAAAUCAUUAUUAAUUACUGAACCCAUCGAGAUAUUGGUUUCAUUUGUAACAACUUGCUAAUUGCUUAAUACAUUUUUGUAAUUCUCGUCAUGAAGUCACAAAGAACCUGCAAAUAAAAGAUGAUUCAUAUACAGGUACAUAUAGAAUAAAGAUAUUUAAACAUAAACAUUCAAUUUUAUGAUAAACCUAACUGUCAUUGAGUUAUUGCUAUUAAAGGAAGUGAACAGAAAUAGAUGUAGAAAGUCAGAAAUAUGAAUGAGUGCACUUGAUGAUUUCUCGAAUAGAAAAUUAAAGUAAUAUCAUUUUUAAUAAAUGUGAGAUGAUUUAUACUCUAGAAUUUAUUUUGAACACUUAUAUUUUUAUUAUGAAAAAUCUCAUAGUUCAAUUUAUUAGUAUGGACAAUUCAAUAUAAGUAAACAGAAUAAUAAUACUUUUGAAACUCAUCUAACCAUAGUGCGCACGCACCCAUAUAAACCUUAAACCAUAAUAAAACGUUCUUCCUCAACAUAAAGACUAAUUCAUUAUUUAAAAGCAUAUAUUAACAAAUUUGUACACACAGAUUCUAUGGUUCUAAUUUCUUUGACUUUAAUUUUUCACUUCUCCACCAAAGGAGGUUCUACACAAAUAAACAACAGCAGAAAAACAAAUAUAAAAUGUGAUUCGUGUGUAGAAGAUAUAUACUCAUCAUAACAAUAACUGAUAAAUUGUAUUAAGAAAUAAAAAUAUUAGUAGUGAUGACAUGAAAGAAGUCUGUUGUCUUCACUUUGACUAAAAAUAAUUUAAAAUAAUCGACCAAGCGAAAUUCCUUAAGAAAUGAACUAGGUUGGGAAGGCAGAGCAGCCUCUGUUCUUUUUACUAUAAUGCUAAGAAUUGACUUCAAUUGGGAAGUCAGGCCAAUUGAAGAAGCUCCCCUGUUUUUCACUGAAUCAUAAUCCGAACAAUUUAUAAUUAAAUAAAUCAUUCAAAAUCUCCUUUAAUCGAACCCCCACUUCUGUGGUUUAAUGAAAUAUUAACGUUCAGCUCCUGAAGUUGCCAUUUUAUGUAUUGAAAAAGAAGAAAAUACAAGAAACUGAAAAUUAAUUGAUGCUGCAUCAUGUUGGAUUGUUAGUUGUUAUUAUGAUGGGGAUAUAAUCUUUGCCUUUUAAUUAUCAUCUAGCUAACGCAAGCCCACUAGUUUCAUUUGUGUCCAUCACUAAAAAGUAGAGUUGUUUAAUUCAAUAGUGUCACGUUACAUCACAUAAAGUCACUCAAUUUUCAUUGCCAUAUGUAGCUCAAAAGUGCAUGAACAUUGAACUUUCAACUAACUUAUAUUGAUUAAUUAAUACGACCAUCAGUUCUUAGUACCCAACAACAUCCAUCAAUAAGAGCAAAAUCCCCAUUAAUUUCAUAAAUAAAAAUAAUAAUAAGUUACAAAGACAAUAUUUGACAAUCACAAAAACAACUAUAAUUCACUCCAAUAAACAACAUAACAGAUACAUUAUCAAUAUUGCAAGUCGUUUUAUGAUUUAAUUAAAAGAGAAAAUAUGAAGGACAUAUUUUUUAUAUAAUUGAAUGUUCUCCUUGAUAAUUAGACAAAAUAACACCAAUCUAACUACCUAAUUCAAUCAUCAUAAUGAUUCAAUUUUCAUUUUUUAAUUAUGUCCAAUCAUGCUAAUUUAAUAAAGAUUACUGAGCACUUAAAGUACCUAUAUCUUCAACAACUUUGGCUAAGUUAGAAAAGUGUUAGAGCUGCAUUUAUGCUUUGUGUUAUUAAGCAGGACAUGAUCAUAUUACGUUGCGUUUUUCCGAAAACUGAAAAUUAUUAAAAAAAAAAUCUGAAAAGAGAUGUUGAAUCGCGAGCUUAAACUGAGUUUUAGACAUGUUUGACUUGUCGGUUGAUAUCCCUGAUUGUGCAUGUGCUGUCGGUUUUUGGACGGAACACAAGAAUAUGACAGCUGUGUGUUGUCGUCUGGAUCACAUGUUCUUCACGUGAUUUCACUUACCCUAUGCGGCACAUUUGGCAGUCGUUUUGGUCACUCAUUGAAGCACGAAUUAAGAACGUCAUUCAAGGUUGUUCAUUGACCUUUACAAGGCGGGAAAAUUCUGGGUUUGUUUUAACAAACCCAGAAUGCAGCUUGUGAGUGGGGGGAACUUUCUAGAUUCUUCAUGAUCUGUGUAUAUAGUCUUAGAGGCUACAGUUGAGGCAUAUGAAAAGCUUGUAACUUCUUCUUAAUGAUUGUAGUUUGAUCUCGGUGAUGGAGAUAAGAUUGCUGCCCUGUUCUUCACUUGAUAUAGGCUAUCUCCAAGCGGAACCACUUAAAUUGUGCCUCUGUUUUGCUUGUUUCGAGGUGUGUGAUUUGCUUGUCAUUUCUAAAUCAUCAAUUAGAGAGUUUAGUGAGAUCUUGGUGGUUUUAGAAUGAGUUUAAUCGAUCAAGAAUCAACAAGAUGCUAUGAAAACAAAAUAAGAGACUAUUGCACGCACAUCAUAGCAAUGUUUCAUUCAUUUCGAAUCUAUAUAUACAAAACUUAUAUCUGGUGGUUUCUGUUUGUUUAAUCUAACGGCUAUAACAUGUAUAUUGUCAAAAGCUACAGCGGCCAACUUUGUUUGUCCUCUUAGCAUCCUUGAUCUUAUAUCAUCCUGGUGAUUCUUGAGAGCUCUUCUCAUUCUCUCGUGUUGAGUCCCUUGCUGAGAUGAUAAAUACUUGAGGGUCCUUCCUUGAUAUAUUUCAGCAAACACUUGAUUCAUUCUAUCAAACAUUUGCAUCACUAAUCAUUAAAUGGUGUAAGAUAGUUCUGUUUUGAAAAAUCAAUAUAAAAUCAAUCACCUUAGAUUUUCUUAGUCUCAGAGCACAAUGGCUGAUGAUUUGAUGAGAAAUAUUAAUAUGCAUGCAUCCCCUGCAUUCGUUAGAGCUGCUCUCAACCUCUGUUUAAUAAGCUAGUCCUCUGCUGUAUCCUAGAAGGUGGAACAUUAUGCUUCCCAGCUGGCUCAAGAGGGAACUAUGCUUCUGCUGCCAAAUUUUUGAAAGCGAACAUCGUGGGAAGAGGUUGAUCUGAAGCCAUUGCAUCUGAUUGGUUUUGUGAUUUUUUGCUUUCUUCUCUGUAACGCUUGACUAGUUCUGGAAAUAUCGACCAUCAUCGAUGGCAAAUCUGGACCAUGUAUUUGCCCACUACUAAGAAAUAAAGUUUCCACCACCGUACCAGUAUGUCGAUUUACGAAUACAUUCAUUCAAAUAUUAAACGUACAGAGAAGAGAGCAAACUGUGGCAGGAUAGCAAAAACUGCGAAUGGUCAUUCCCAACACGAACGCUUAUGGCUGUUUUCCUUUUAAUUUUCUUCUUUGAAUUCUCCUUUUAUUAAUCAUUAGAAAAACUCCCUUUUUUUAAAUCAUGUGUUAUAAACAUUUACAUGGUUAAUGUCAUCGAAAUCAAAUGGUUGUUAUCUACGAAAAGAGAAUUGUUAGAAAUUUUGUAAGUCCCAUUGCAACAAUAUAUUGUUAUAAAUUGCAUUGUUUCCCAUAUAACAAAUAUAAUAAAAUCUCAAUAAAUUAAUAGUUUUGGGGACCAUAAAAAAAUUUAUUAAAAUUUAACAAAUAUCAAUUAAUUGGCAAAUUAAUAAAUUAUUAAUUUAUGAAAAUAUUCAUUAUUUUAGAAAAACAUGAUCACGUUUUUAGUAUUGAUUUACCUUGAGUUAGUAUCUAUUAUGUUUUAUUUGUCUCUAUUAGUUUUCUCUUGGGAAGAUUUUUUAAGAGUUAGCUGCUUUAUAUUAACAGUAAUAAAAUUAUUGUAUGGUUUUGUUUUUCCAUGUUAAAGAUCGAUUAGUCCUCUGCUUCUCCUCAGAGUCAUCGAGCACCGCCUGAAUCAUCAACAACGUGCUCUUCCACUUCAUCAGAUCGUCUUCGAUCUUCUCUUGGCGUGUGUUAAGGAAGUUAAGGAAGCUCAUAUUUGCAGUCAAGCAGAGGAUCACAGCAGCUUCUAUAAUCAGUUGCAAGUUGAUGACAUGUACUGCCAGCUGGCACUAGGUGGUUAUGUAGCUGCUUGUACUUAUACACGUGAUAAGUUUGUUAAUUAGUUUGUAAUUAGUUAGUUAGUUUUGUAACCAUCAGCUGAGAAGCAACACUUGUAUAUAUAUGCUUGUAAUCGUUCAGUAGCAUUUAAAAAAAAAGCUUGAGAAAAUAAAAGAAGAAAGUUUUCUAAAUCUCAGUUUAUUUUCUUAUUAGCCAAACACUCAUUUUCUGUUUUAUAACUUGGUAUCAGAGCCAGUCAUGGCAUCUCUGAAUAUUGCCUCAUCAAAUCACACUUCGAAUAUUCAUACAAACUCAACAAACUUCUCAUUCACAUUCAAUACCCCUGUGAAACUGGAUCAGGCAAACUAUCUGAUCUGGAGGUCCCCAGUUCUAGCUUCCAUACGCGGCAAUAGGCUAGAAAAGUUUAUUGAUGAAAAUGUCACUCCUCCUCCAUCUCAUAUUGCUCAAAGGAUUGACGAUGAACUUAGAUCUGUUGAGAAUCCAGAUUCAUCAAGCUGGAAAGCACAAGGUCAAGUACUUCUUGGCUGGUUGUUGUCAUCGAUGAGUGAAGGUAUUAUAAGUCUGGUGUUUAAUUUGGAAACUUCUCUUGAGGUAUGGAAAGCUAUUGAAACUCAAUUUGGAUCACAGUCAAAAUCCAGACUCUUACAUUUGAGAUAUUUGAUGAAUUCAACUAGGAAAGAUGAUCUGAAAAUCAAUGAGUAUUUCAUUAAAAUGAAGAAUAUUGCUGAUAACAUGGCUGCGGCAGGAAGUGCCUUAAGCAGUGAUGAUUUAAUUUUGCAUGUACUCUCAGGACUAGGACCAGAUUAUAAUGCUGUUGCUACUUAUAUUACUGGUCAAAUAAGUGGUGAUAAAAUGAAUUUAAAUGAGGCUUAUGCUAUGUUGUUGACUCAAGAAGCUAGAAUUGAGCAACAAGCACAUAUGCUUUCUGGAAUGGAUGUUAAGCAUAAUUUUGAAGCUAAUUUUGCUCAGAACAGAGGUUUCAAGAAAGGAAAUUUCUCAGGUGGUAGAGGAUCUGGUAAUCAUGACUAUUUUACUGGAUUAGAUAAUGCUGGAAAUUUUGGAAAUAAUUACAGAAGUGGCUAUGGAAGAUCUGGUUUCUUUGGUAAUGGUUUUGGAAAUAAUCAUAAUAACCAAUUAAGAGGAUUUCAAAGUGAUAAUCAAAGGGGAUCAGGCUCAGGAAAUUGGAACAAUGGUGGGGGUGGUAACAAUAACUCUAUCAGGCCUCAAAUGAAUCCAAAACCUCAGUGGAAUGCUUCUAAACCAACUUGUCAAAUCUGCUUAAAAACUGGUCAUACUGCAAAUGUCUGCUGGAAGCUUGAAGAAUUCUUUACCUCUGGUGCUUGCAAACCUCCUCCAAACAGAAAUCCCAAAGCUGCAUAUCUAGCUGAUAUGGAUGGUGCAGUUGAUGCCAACUGGUAUCUGGAUAGUGGAGCUACACACCAUCUUACCAAUGACAUGAGGAAUAUGACUAUGGCAGAAUCCUUUGCAGGUAACUCUAAACUCAUCAUUGGAAAUAGUACUGGUUUACAUAUAACACAUGUUGGAAAUGCUGUGUUAAGAAUGCAUAACUCUUCUGCUCAUCAUAUACUCAAAUUAAACAACAUGCUUCUUGUUCCACAAAUAUCCAAGAAUCUUAUUGGCAUAUCUCAGCUAACCAAAGAUAACAACAUUGUUAUUGAAUUUACUGAUAAAUCCUGUGUUGUGAAGGACAAGGUGAGGAAUUUGAUCAUACUGCAGGGCAAAGCUGAAAAAGGUUUAUACAGAUUGCUAUUGUUUCCCUCUAAUAAAGUCUCUUCUCAAUCAUGUCAAAGGUCUCUUGAAGCCACUCAAUCCAAAAUUUCAAAUGUUCCUAUGUCUAUGUUUUCAGUUGUUCAGUCAGUUGUCAAUAAUCAAACAAGUCCCUGCUUGCAUACUGCAGCAGAACCUUGUAUCAGUCCAAAUUGUAUGCUGAGUGUUUCUGUUUUGCAUCAGAAACUUGGUCAUCCUAAUUCCAAAGUUUUAAGUCAUGUAAUAAACUCUUGUUCAGCUUUCAAGAAUUUAAAUGGAAGUAACUUUCUUGAUUCAUGUGAUGCAUGUAAAAUGGGAAAAAUGCAUAGAUUACACUUUCCAGUUUCUACUACCAAAACAAAGCAUGUAUUAGAAGUUUUGCACACUGAUUUAUGGGGACCUGCCCCUGUGCUUUCAGUUCAAGGUUACAGAUAUUAUGUGAGUUUUGUGGAUGAUUUUUCGAGGUUCACAUGGAUAUUCCCAUUAAAAACCAAGGAUGAAACACUAGCUGUGUUUAAAAUCUUUAAGAAGCAAAUUGAGAAACAGCUAGAUAGAUCCAUUAAAUGCAUUCAAUCAGAUUGGGGUGGGGAGUAUAGAUCAUUUGUUAAUUUUCUUCAUGAGGAAGGUAUUCAAUUCAGACACUCAUGUCCCUAUACUCACAAUCAGAAUGGCUUAGUUGAGAGAAAACAUAGACACAUAACCGAGCUAGGUCUCACCUUAGUUGCUCAAGCUUCUUUGCCUCUCAAAUUUUGGUGGGAUUCCUUCCAUACAGCCACCUAUAUUAUCGAUAGACUUCCCACACCCAUACUAUCUAUGCAGUCACCUUAUGAAUAUGUCUUCAAAACCAAACCUGAUUACAAAUUUCUCAAGGUCUUUGGUUGUUCAUGCUUUCCAUUCUUAAGGGAUUAUAAUACUCACAAAUUCCAUUUUCAUACCUCAAAAUGUGUAUUUCUUGGUUACAGCCCUUUACAUAAGGGUUACAAGUGUAUGCAUUCUUCUGGAAAGAUUUUUAUAGCCAGUCAUGUGUUAUUUGAUGAAACUUCUUUUCCUUACACAUCAAAUUCACAAUUCUUAACUUCAUCAUUCAAACCCUCUGAUUUCCAUUACAGUCUUCUUCAAUCUUGUACUGUUUCACUUCCCAAUAGCAAUCAAGAAACCUUUGAAGCUAGCUCUGCAGAAAAUGAAGCUCCAUCUCAUCAUUUCAGUGAUCAUUCCUCACCUGACAGUCAUAAUACAACCUUUGAUGUUUCACCUUCUCAAAUACAUCUUCAACCCUCUACCAUAGCUACUUCACAAACACAACAGCCAUCCUCAUCUACUAUUCAAUCCACACAACCAUCCUAACAUCCUCUGCCGAAUCAUCCCAUGAUUACCAGAGCAAAAGCUGGUAUAUUCAAGCCUAAAGCAUUCUUAACAUCACAUAACAGCCUGGAACCAUCUACUGUUGAUGAAGCUUUGUCUGAUUCUAAGUGGAAAGCUGUAAUGCAAUUAGAGUUUGAUGCUUUAACCAGAAAUAAUACCUGGAAUCUAGUACCUAUGACAUCUCAGCACAAGUUGGUUGGUUGUAAAUGGGUCUUUAGAACCAAGUACAAUACAGAUGGUACAGUUUCUAAACACAAAGCAAGAUUGGUAGCCAAGGGCUUUCACCAGGCAGCAUGAGUGGAUUAUAAGGAAACUUUUAGUCCUGUGGUAAAGUCUUCUACAGUAAGAACUAUACUAAGUUUGGCAGUGAUGAAAGGUUGGAAAGUCAGGCAAAUCGAUAUAAAUAAUGCCUUUCUUAAUGGAGAUAUUUCAGAGGAUAUAUACAUGACACAACUAGAGGGCUUCAUCACCAAAGAGGGCUAUGUCUGCAAACUUAGCAAGGCUCUUUAUGGCUUGAAGCAAGCUCCUAGAGCUUGGUAUGACAAACUCAAAGGGUGUCUUACAAGCUGGAAUUUCUUCAACUCCAAGGCUGAUACAUCCUUGUUCAUCAGACAUGACACGAGAGGUAUCAUUCUUGUUCUUAUCUAUGUGGAUGAUAUUCUUAUUACAGGACCAGAUUCUUCCCUGUUGGAAACAUUCAUCACUAAAUUUAGUAAGGUUUUUGCCUUAAAACAUUUGGGAUUGGUAUCCUAUUUUCUGGGUGUUGAGGUGUGUUAUACUGAUAGUGGGAUGCAUUUAUCACAAACAAAAUAUAUUAAAGACCUCUUAAGUAGAGCUUCAAUGCAGAACUGUAAAGGUUCUGAUACACCUCUCAGCACAGGUCAAAAGUUAGAAAAGGUAGCAAAGGUCUGUUUGGGGAAAGAAUUUGAAGAUCCAACUCUCUAUAGAAGUAUUGUUGGAGGGCUCCAAUACUUGAUACUCACCAGACCUGAUAUUGCAUACUCAGUUCAUAAGCUCAGUCAAUAUUUGAGUGCUCAUACACUUCAGCAUUGGCUUGCUUGUAAGAAAGUACUUAGAUAUCUUCAAGCAACUGUCACUCAUGGAAUAUAUAUUCAGAAGGAAGGAGAGCUUGAAGUUACAGGUUUGAAUGGAUACUCAGAUGCAGAUUGGGCUUGUAAUACAGAUGAUAGAAAGUCCAUUGGAGCAUAUUGCAUCUAUCUUGGCAACAAUUUAAUUUCAUGGUCCUCUAAGAAACAAGCCAUAGUGGCCAAAUCCAGCACUGAAAGUGAGUAUAGAGCACUGUCAUCAGCAAGUUCAGAAAUCUCUUGGCUUGAAUCUCUAUUUUCUGAGCUCAACAUUGUAAAGCUGCCAACACCAGUGCUUUGGUGUGAUAAUCAGAGUGCUGGGGAAUUAGCCAAAAAUCCUGUGUUUCACUCCAGGUCUAAGCAUAUCGAGUUGGACAUUCAUUACAUUCGAGAUAAGGUACUUCAAAACCAAUUAGAAGUGAGAUACAUUCCUACAGAUGAACAAGUUGCUGAUGUCCUCACCAAAGCUUUAUCACUUCCAAAAUUCAGCUACUUCAGGUCCAAGCUCAAUGUCGUUAGCAGACCCUUGAGCUUGAGGGGGGAUGUUAAGGAAGUUAAGGAAGCUCAUAUUUGCAGUCAAGCAGAGGAUCACAGAGCAAAGGAUCACAGCAGCUUCUAUAAUCAGUUGCAAGUUGAUGACAUGUACUGCCAGCUGGCACCAGGUGGUUAUGUAGCUGCUUGUACUCGUACACGUGAUAAGUUUGUUAAUCAAUUUGUAAUUAGUUAGUUAGUUUUGUAACCAUCAGCUGAGAAGCAACACUUGUAUAUAUAUGCUUGUAAUCGUUCAGUAGCAUUUAAGAAAAAAGCUUGAGAAAAUAAAAGAAGAAAGUUUUCUAAAUCUCAGUUUAUUUUCUUAUUAGCCAAACACUCAUUUUCUGUUUUAUAACUGCGUGCAAACCACCGAAUCCCCUCUGAAGCUAACUUUGGCGUGCAGCUCUUCGAUGAUUGGCUUUUUUUUUCUUUUUUUUUUGGUUGUGUUUUUUUUUGGCUCCUAGUUUGAUUUAACUUUGUUUCGGUUAUUGACAUUGCUGAAGAGGCAGUAAAAGCUUGUUGAAUGUCAUCAAAUGCACAAAUUGGCAAUAUCGGUUGGCUUCUUUAUAGGCGCAUCCAUCACAAAAUGAAAGUAACAACAACCACCAUCGAAAAUUAAUUUUAAGAAUCUUUUUUACCUGAAAUCUUUGAAAAGAAAAAUUAACCUGACAUUUAUUUAUUUAUUUAUUUUUUGGGGGCAAAGAAAGAAAGGAACAGAAUUAUGAGUUUUGGAAAGGAGAAUGAGAAAAUUGAACAGAUGAGAAAAUGGAUAAUUAACCAGAAUGAAUUUGCGAUUGGUCCAGCAAGCUUAGUAGAAAUCACGCGCUGAUACUUCAUUGACCAAUGACUAAUAAUUUGGCAAUUCACCCAUCACCAGCACUUGGUAAGCAAAACGAAAAUGCUUAGUAAGUGUCAAGGGUCAGGCAAGAUAUGACGUAAAAUGAGGCAAGUCUCCCCACUUGUUGUUCCUUGCAGCUAAGAAAAGAAAAAACAGAGCCCACCACCCAUUAAUAAUUUAGCAAUUCACCAAUCAAUCACCACCACUUGUUACGCAAUUCCAUUAGGUAUUCGUUUGUCAAGCAGUUAAUCCAGUGUCUAUUACCUAGAACCUUCACUUUACAAAUCUUCAUCUCAAAUGCCAAGUUAAAUCAAAACGUUUCUCUCUCACUCUUUCUUUUUAAACUCCGAAAACGUUUCUUUUUAGAAAUAUUUUACUUUAUUCAUGUAAAUAUGUUGUCUAACAAAUAGACACAAUUGAAAUCACUCUAAAGUGCAAAUAAAAAAAAAAAUCCAAUCACCAGUAAUUUAGCAAGCUUCACUUUAUUCCACCAAAGUGUAAAUAAAACCAGGCCUCACCGCCAUUAAUAGUUUUACAAGCUUCACACGCUUGUUGUUGUCUGCUUGACGAACUGGACAUGGGUUCAUCAAGAAUCAAUGAAAGAAUUAAAAAAAAAAAACUGAAAUUUUCGAUUCAGAGUAGAACAGUAAUUAAUGCUAAAAUUUACUCCGCUAACAUUUUCAAGAUAUUGUUCUGUAUAAUUCUACAGCAAAUAAGACUAAGUUUUGGACAUUUUCAAAUUCACUACUUUCACAAGCAAUAUUUUGAAACAUUUUACAGAAUUAGCGAUUAUAUAAAGAGAAAAAUGCAAAGUUGCGUAAUUCUAAUGUUUUUCAGGCUGAGCUGCCUUUGGAUUUAACCUGAAAUGAUCCGAAGGCCAGAAAUUGUAACGGCGGGCUUAAAUGUCAACACGCCAAGACAGUUAAUAGCAGCUAAAUUGGAAAAAAAAAAAAAGGCAAUAGAAGUAUAGAUGGAACAAUUUUUCGCUUAGGUCAUAGGUGCAAGAUGAAACUAAAAAAAGGUGGCAGGCAAUUUUAUCACAGACGCUCAUGAUCGUUUUUUAUUUGGGUCGUCAACUCGCCAUGACCCAUGAUUGAAUUAGAGUGUCUAGAAAGAAAAUUAAUAAAUAACGGUUUAUAUAUUUGGCCGUCGGAAUAUUGUAAGUGAGAAAGAUUAUCUUUUUUUUUAUUAUUAUUAAUUAGGUUAGUAUUUAUGAUUGAGUGACUCAGAGCUGUAUUUUAGAUUGAGAAUCAAUUGUUCUCUCAUACUGAGAGGCUAUAAGAUUGUCGUUAGCUAUUUCAUCGAUAAGAGAACACCCAAAUUUAUUAAAAGAAGAAAUGUAUAAGGUCUCCUUUAUGAGAAAAUGUAUCUGAUCAUUCUUUUUGACUUGAAAAUCUCAUAUAUAAAAACUUAUUAAUAAAUAACAUAAUAUAUAUAAAAAUGAUACUCAAUGAUCCUGUACUAAAACUAUAAUUUACCUGCACUAGUAGUUUCCAUAAUUUUCAAUUCAAAAGUAAGCAGUUGAACGUGCUCUCUCUUCUGGUUAUAGAUAUCAUAUAUAUAAAUUGAAGUAAUCGCGCGACAAGUAGCAAAACAGAUAAUGCACGGAAGAUAAUGAUCAAUGGCUGAAGUUUAAUUUAAUUGCAGAUAAAAUGUCAAUCAAGAUUAAGGUCUACUUACAAUUUUAUUUUAUUUUUUAUGAUUUUCAAUCUUUACCAAAAGAAACAUAUUUAGUGAUCCCUUUUAUCAACUUGCUUUUAUUGACUUUCUUCCAAUAAUAGAAGUGAAAAGAGAAACAAAGGCCACCACCACCAAGUGUUACCGGAUUCUAUAAAGACAAAAUCAGUGCCCAGCAAAACGAAUCCAACUUUUCGUUAUGUGUUGCUUCCUAUUUAGUACAUGCACAUAUAGAUAUAAGAUAUCCACAUGCACAUGCAGCGCGUCUAUCUAAAAUUUUAAAAACAGAAUUAGAAACCUUCUUGAAUAGGAAUAGAAAUACUCUCUAAUACUUCCUAAAAUAAUUAACCCUAAAUAAUUUGUCCUGCAUCACCAAACUCCGGAUUUUACAAAGCACGCAUAAAGGAUAAUAGACACGUUUGAGGUUUUUUUUUUAAAAGAAAAAAAGAUUAUGAAAAUAGACAAAUAAUGAAGACACAAGUUAAGCAGAGCAAAUAAAUAGAGGAGAAUGAAUUAAAUACUAUCCUUGAGAACUCAAUUCUUUAAUAAACUCAAUUUUUUAAAUGCAGGGGUAAACUCAUGUCAUAUACUGUAGUCUUUAAUUUGGGCUUUGUUGUAUCAAUUUUUUGGAGUUUAUCUUGUUUUGUUUUUUCGUUUUUAUAGUGCAAGAUUUUCGGUGGAGAUAAAUCAGGAAUAAGAGUGAAAUCCCAAUCUUAAAAUUUGGGAGAAAUGAAAUGCGAUAUGUUUUUUCAUGAAUAAAACAAUUCAAUUUUUUGUUAGCACUUGUAUAUGUUGCAAGUUAAUUACACCGUCAACACCUGCGGGAAAUUUAUAUAUUUUCUGUCAGCACUUGCAUACGUUGCAAUUUUCAAUGACUUCCAAAUCUUCAUAUCAUGAAUUAGCAGGAUUCAGGUCCGACCAACUCCCCGUGGCUAAAGCAAAGGAUUAAUUUUUGAGAAAUUAUAAAGAAAUUAAUACAAGUAAAGUGAGCCUAUUCAUUUGAUUUGAUAAUUGGCUGAGGGUGAUUUCGAUAACGUUUUCAAAGAAGAUAUAGAACAAAGAUCAAAAAGAAAAAACAAGUAAUUUCAGUCGAUGGAAGAAAUGAGCAAGCUUCGCACAUGCAUGCAUGCGUCUGACUAACAGGACAUGGCUUGGAGCAAGGAUCAAUGGACAAGUUUGAGGUUUAUGAAAUAUUGGGAAAACAGACAAAUUAUAAAGCCACUUGUUAGAGUGCAAUUUAUGCACUAGUUUUGCAUUGUUUACUUCCCUUAAUAUCGAUGUUUUGCAUUUAAUAAUAGUGAUUUACUUGUGUUUUACUUUUGUAGGUGCAAUUCUAUUGAUUGGUGAUAAAAUUGAGCUAUAAGAUGAUGUUUAAGGAUGAUUGUUCUCUUGGAGAAAUUAUGAGCGGCAGAAGAACUUUGUUGAUAAGGCGUGGGCGCGUGCUGUCAACUGCGGACCUGCAGUUUUUAGUUUAACGUGUUUUGUAUUUUUGGCUAUUUUUUAAUUACGAAUUUAAUAUUUCAAAUAUUAGUAUUUUAUUUUAAAUAGAACUCUAAAAGAGAAGAGAGAGAGAGUAUUUAAGGGAGGAAUCUAUUGUGAAAAAGGAGGGAAUUUUGAUUGGAGAAAAAGAAAAGAAACCCUAGAUCUAAUUUUUCUCUUCUCUCUAUGAAGAACUAAACUUAUUUUUCUGGUUGAAGAAUAAUGAAGCUUUGAUUCAUCACUACUGUGAGAUCUUUCUUGUGCUUUAAUUGUUUUAUUGCUUUUUGGGUAUUUGUUUAUUCUCUGAAUUAUUUUCAUGAUUAUGUUUGUUAAUUAGAUAAUUGGCCACUAUUUAAUUAUCAACUUAAUCUAUUGUCAAUUAAAGGAUUCAUCGUAUGAAGAAUUUAAUGUUUGUGACAAAUAACAUAGCAGAGAGUUGUGUUGUGAGAAUAAACAAUCUAAUUUAAAUAAAUCAUCAUAUGUGUUGAUUAGGAUUUGGGUCUCUCUGGUUUUUUAGGCUGUCAAUUGAUUAAAUCCUAUGAUCGUAUCUAGGGUUGUCUAUUGAUUAGGGAAAUAUCCAACGGUCGUACCUUGGUUAUCGACUAAUUAAGGAGAGAUUGGCUAUUAGAGGGUCUCAGUAGCUAUAACCAGUCUAUUCAUAAGUAAUAAUAAUUUAUAUUUGAAUCAAUGAUCAGUAGUCGAAUCAAGCUGAGUUAAUUCCUUCAACCAAAGCUUUCUCCAAUUUGAAUCACAACUUUAAUUUACAUUCUUGUUAUUUUAAUUUGAUUUUUAUUAUUGUCAACAAUUCCCCCAUUUUACAUUUUACGUUUCAAAAGGAUUUAAAUAAUUACCGAUCUCUGUGGACACGACCCUGCUCAAUCACUAUACACAAUUUAUUUAGAGUAGGAAUUUAUUUUUGUUGGCUUCGACAACCAUCAAAUUUUGGCGCCGUUGCCGGGGAUUGGUGUCAUUUAUUUAAUCCUUUUUACGUUUUACUUGGUGUAUGGUUCGUUCUUCUCGUACAGGUACACUUUCGUUUGAUCCUGAAAUUGAGAAGACAGCUCGCCAGCUGAGACAGCAGACGAAGCGAGCUAAGCAACGAUCCUCGUCGCCUUUGCUUUCUGAAACAGAUACGGUGCCUGAUUUAGUUCAAUCAUCUAGCGAUUCGGAAGAACAAGUGAUGAAUAGAGCUGCACCUGUAGAAAGAACUCUUAGAGAGUUAGCUGAACCAGACUUGAAUCAGCAACCACUCUGCAUUCAAUAUGUAGACUUGGAGGUAAAUUUUGAAUUAAAGUCUGGUUUUAUUCAUUUAUUACCCAAGUUUCAUGGUUUUGCAGGUGAAGAUCCUCAUAAACAUCUUAAGGAGUUUCAUGUUGUAUGUUCAAGUAUGAGACCACAAGGCGUGACUGAAGAGCAGAUUAAGCUGCGUGCUUUUCCGUUCUCUGUAGAUGGGCUAGCUAAAGAUUGGUUGUACUACUUGCCUCUUGGAUCGAUUACAACGUGGAAUGGUUUGAAGAAGCAGUUCCUCGAGAAGUACUUUCCUGCUUCAAGAGCUGCCAACAUCAGAAAAGAUAUUUGUGGGAUCAGACAACUUCCUGGGGAGACUUUGUAUGAGUAUUGGGAGCGAUUCAAACAAUUGUGUGCCAGUUGUCCUCAGCAUCAGAUUUCUGAUCAACUUCUUAUUCAAUAUUUUUACGAAGGACUGUCAUUGAUGGAUAGGAGUAUGAUAGAUGCUGCUAGUGGAGGCGUGUUAGUGAACAAGACCCCUACUCAAGCAAGGGAGUUGAUAUCAAAUAUGGCUGCCAACGCACAACAAUUUGGCAGCAGGCAAGAUCCUACUUCAAGGAAGGUGAAUGAGGUAAAUAUUUCUUCUGUUGAACAACGUUUAGAUAAACUUACUUCUCUUGUGGAAAAGUUUGUUGUAGGCAAUGUGCAACAGGUGAAGACUUGUGGCAUUUGUUAUAAUAUGGGUCAUUCAACUGAUAUGUGUCCUACACUUCAAGAAGAACCUGUUGAACAAGCCAAUGUAGUUGGAGGAUUUCCAGGCAUGCCUCAGAGGAGGUAUGAUCCUUAUGCACAAACAUACAAUCCGGGAUGGAAGGAUCAUCCCAACUUCAGCUAUGGAGUUAGGCCGUCAGGAUUCCCACAACAGUAUCCACCAAGACAACCAGCACCUCCACAGUCAACCUCCAAGUCAGGUAUAUCUCUUGAAGAAAUUGUUAAAUCGCUUGCGACUAAUACUCAACAAUUUCAGCAGGCAACUACAGCAAGCAUUCAGAACUUGGAGAACCAAAUGAGUCAAUUGGCGACUACAGUGAGCCGUCUGGAGUCUCAAGUAUUAGGGAGAUUGCCUUCACAAUCUGAGGUGAAUCCAAAGCAAAACGUUAGUGUUGUCAUCCUUAGAAGUGGGAAGGAGUUGCAAGAGCCUAGUAAGAAAGUGACAGAGCAUGUAGAAGAUGAGCUUAAGAAGAAUGAAUUGAUGCCUCAAUCUCAAGAUGCACAACCCACCAGAGUGAAACCCCUACCUAUUGUGAUACCUCCUCCUUUUCCAAGCCGGUUUGCAAAAUCCAAGAAGGAGGAACAAGAGAAAGACAUCCUUGAGACAUUUCGCAAGGUUGAGGUAAAUAUUCCUUUAUUAGAUGCUAUUAAACAAAUACCUCGAUAUGCUAAAGUCCUUAAGGAACUGUGCACCUCUAAGAGAAAAUUAAGAGGAGAUGAAAAAGUUCAUAUGGGGGAGAAUGUUUCAGCAGCUCUCCAAAAGAAAUUACCUCCCAAGUGCAAGGAUCCAAGUAUGUUUACUAUCCCUUGCAAAAUUGGUAGUGUUAGAGUCGAGAAGGCUAUGUUAGAUCUAGGAGCUUCUAUUAAUGUCAUGCCUCGUUCCAUUUAUUCAUCUUUGAAUGUUGGUCCAUUAAAAAAAACUGGCGUGAUAAUUCAACUAGCUGAUAGGUCUAAUGCAUAUCCUGAUGGGGUAUUAGAAGAUGUCUUAGUACAAGUUAAUGAGUUGGUUUUUCCUGCUGAUUUUUAUGUACUUGAUAUGGAAGAUGAUAACUCCUCUAAUUCUGUCUCAAUUUUGCUAGGAAGACCUUUUCUUAAGACUGCUAGAACUAAAAUGGAUGUACAUAAAGGGACUCUCACUAUGGAGUUUGAUGGAGAGGUUAUAGAAUUCAAUAUGAAUGAUGCCAUGAAAUAUCUUAGUGAGGAACAUUCGGUAUUUUCUGUGGAUGUUAUUAACCCUAUAGUGCAGGAAGUUUUUUACAAGAAAAAAACGAAGACAUUUCAUGAUAGAAUGAUUUUGAGAAAGGAGUUCUCUGUUGGUCAAAAAGUUCUUCUUUUUCAUUCUAAGCUUAAACUUUUUCCGGGUAAAUUACGUUCUUGCUGGGUUGGACCUUUUAUUAUUACUAAUAUUUUUCCUCAUGGUGCAGUUGAGAUUCGGAGUCCGACCUCUGACAAAGUUUUUAAGGUUAACGGUCAUCGCUUAAAACCUUUUUAUGAAGGUUUUUCGGUGAAUAUUGUGGAGGAUGUGGCUCUCGAGAGUCCCAAUUAUGGAGAUUGAUGCAUAAAUGUGUCUAGCCAAAGACAUAAAACAAAGGCGCUUUUUGGGAGGCAACCCAAAGGAUUUAUUUAUUUUGACUUUUGUUAUAUCUUUUAUUUUUAAUUUAGAUUUAGAUUUUUUUUUAUAAUGUUUUUGCUUAUUUUGGUCAGAAGAAAAUUUUUGAUAAGGCGUGCCCACGUCUUAACUAAUAAGUACUUUUGUGAUUUUUAAAGUAAAAUGGUUUUAAGGCGUGCCCACGUCCUUAUUAGAAAAGUACUUCUGAAAUUCUUUGUGUCUCAAAGUGAUUCAUCACUAAAAAAAAAUUAUUUAUUUAUUUGAAAAUUAAAAAAAAGGAAAAAAAAACUUUUUUUUCCUUUCUUUUCUUGCUUUUUUAUAUAUAUUUUUUUAUUUGAAAAAAAAACGAAAAAAAAUUUACUGUUCAUAAAAUCCCUAAUUCACAGAAUUGGUUUUCUUCUCCAGCUUUCACCGACCAGCCCACGCAGCAGCAGCAGCACGCAGAACCAGCGUCAGCCCAGCCCUCGCGUGCAAUCAACCCCAGCACGCAAAUCCAGCAGCCCACUAGCGCAGCAGGACCAGCCCCAGCAGCGCACAGCAGAAUCAGCCCCAGUGCACAGCAUCCCGCACGCAACCAGCGUCACCAGCGCGCAACCAGCAAUCCACCAUCGGGCCAAGCUCCAGCCGAGCAGUAAUCGUCCGCAACCAGCCUACGCCCUUAUUCCAGCCGGGUGAAUCGAAAUCCGUGAGUGAAAUUAUUGUAACAAUGCCGAAGAGGAAAGCAUCAACUUCCAAGUCAUCUAAAAAGACACCCGUCGCAAAGAUAUCCAAGAUUGCCGCUCUCAUUACAGUUUCAUGGAACACAGUUUCAGAUUCACGCCGAGUCGUGAGACAAAGAUCGAACCAUGGAAAAGGCAUGAGUGUUUUGCCACUUGCGGAAUCCAAUCUCGGAGGGUGCCUUGAAUUUACGACUCAACAAGAGAAAGAAAGUUUACUGAACCAGGACCCACUCAACCUCCAAAGAAGCUUUAUGCUAGAAGUGGUGCUACCUCUGAUGACGAGUUUGACGACGACACUGCUGCCCCGCCGACUAUUCCUUCUACAUCCACACCACCUUUGAGCAUUCAGUUAGAGAAAAUGGAGCCCAAGUUGAACAAGAUGGAGCAGAAUUUGGCCGCAUACUUCAAGAGUGUAGGAUUUAUCCCACCAUUUCCGCCAAGCCCAUAGACGUUAUGAGGAUCAAAGCUCACAAUUCAGGGAAGUUUUUGCCUUUAAUCUUUUAUCCUUAUGCUUUAAUUUUUAUGUGAGCUUUGAUUAUCUUACAUUGGGGACAAUGUAAGUUCUUGGUGUGGGGGAGGGAUUUUUGCAUUAUUGAUGUCUGGAAGUAUUAUUUUCACUCUACUAAUCUAUUUUCAUUCUACUCAUCCUUAAAUGAUUUUGGAGUUAGUAUGCUUCAUAUAUUAUUAUUUUUCUUUUCUUUUCUUUCUCACUACUCUUUUUCCAUCUAUCUCAAAUUAUUUACAUCUAUUUUUAUUCUAUCAUACUCUUUCAUCACUCACAUUUUAUCUUUCACUUUUCAUAUUACUACAUACAUCUUUCUCACUUCUUAUCAUUUUUACCUUUACUUCACUCAUACAUUCUUCUCAUUCUACACCACUAUUGAUGGUUGAUUCAUUUGAAGAGUGUACAUGAUUUGAUGGCAAAUUUACCAACUUUGUGAGGAUUUGAGCCAAUGAGCAACCACUUUGCUCUAAUUAUUUUUGUUAUGUGAAUAUCAAUCUUAGUUUGUUUAUUCUAGAACUUGCUUUGUUAUGCAUGUUGAAGCCACAUUACGGGAUUUUUUGCAUUAAAAUGAUAAGGGCAAACCAUUUGCCAUUUUUCUAUUCUCGCAUUUUCCUUUUUCUCUACCCGAAGACCUUUAUUUGCUACCUUUGUUUGAGCCUUAACCAUUACCCAUCUAAUUCUCUCCGUCUACUUAACCAUUUUUCUUCUUUUUGAGCCUCAAUUUAAAGAGAUUUUUGGACUCAUUGUGUGGAUAUAUUUUGUUGCUUUUUCUACCUUGUAUUAAAGUUUCUCAAUUAGAUCAACAAGCAUUAUGCUUGAAUUAAAUUGUGCAAGGUUCGUUUCUUUUGUUUGAUUAAAAAACAAAACAAAAAAAAAGAAAAAAAAGAACAAAAAAAAAAGAAAAAAAAGAAAAAAAAAAGAAGAAAAAGAAAAAUAAAAAAAAAGAAAAAAAAAGUUUACAUUCUUGGUGACUUGAGUAGAAAUAAGCAUUUUGAUAUCACAAGUUCAUUCAAUGAGUUCAUUCUUCUCAUUUUAAUCUCUUUUUCUUUCGUAAACCUUUCUUUUCCAUUCAACCUAUUUAACCUCAUUACAACCCUUAGAUUUUUGCAUUUUAUUCAUGUUUUGUGGAUUGAGAUGUGAUAUAUGAGCAAGCUUAUGGUAAUAGCAUUCUUUGAUUUGAUUUGAGUGCAUAAAUGAUACCCUAAACACUUUGAGUGCAUGGAGUGAAGUUAUUGAGAGGGCUAUUAAAUCUUGUUGCACUUGAAUUUUGAAUGGAUCCUCUUGGUGGUUGAAUGUUCUUAUUCUAUCUUAUGAAAUUCUAUGCUCUAAAAUCCUUGUCUCUCGAAUGUUGAUCGACUUAAUUUCUUGAGGUAUGCUUGCUUAAAAUUGUUUUUGGAUGAGUUGAGAUGAGAAUUGAGUGGAGAUUUGAGAUUAAUCUUGAGUUAUAUGCUUGAGGACAAGCAUCAUCUUGGUGUGGGGGAAUUUGUUAGAGUGCAAUUUAUGCACUAGUUUUGCAUUGUUUACUUCCCUUAAUAUCGAUGUUUUGCAUUUAAUAAUAGUGAUUUACUUGUGUUUUACUUUUGUAGGUGCAAUUCUAUUGAUUGGUGAUAAAAUUGAGCUAUAAGAUGAUGUUUAAGGAUGAUUGUUCUCUUGGAGAAAUUAUGAGCGGCAGAAGAACUUUGUUGAUAAGGCGUGGGCGCGUGCUGUCAACUGCGGACCUGCAGUUUUUAGUUUAACGUGUUUUGUAUUUUUGGCUAUUUUUUAAUUACGAAUUUAAUAUUUCAAAUAUUAGUAUUUUAUUUUAAAUAGAACUCUAAAAGAGAAGAGAGAGAGAGUAUUUAAGGGAGGAAUCUAUUGUGAAAAAGGAGGGAAUUUUGAUUGGAGAAAAAGAAAAGAAACCCUAGAUCUAAUUUUUCUCUUCUCUCUAUGAAGAACUAAACUUAUUUUUCUGGUUGAAGAAUAAUGAAGCUUUGAUUCAUCACUACUGUGAGAUCUUUCUUGUGCUUUAAUUGUUUUAUUGCUUUUUGGGUAUUUGUUUAUUCUCUGAAUUAUUUUCAUGAUUAUGUUUGUUAAUUAGAUAAUUGGCCACUAUUUAAUUAUCAACUUAAUCUAUUGUCAAUUAAAGGAUUCAUCGUAUGAAGAAUUUAAUGUUUGUGACAAAUAACAUAGCAGAGAGUUGUGUUGUGAGAAUAAACAAUCUAAUUUAAAUAAAUCAUCAUAUGUGUUGAUUAGGAUUUGGGUCUCUCUGGUUUUUUAGGCUGUCAAUUGAUUAAAUCCUAUGAUCGUAUCUAGGGUUGUCUAUUGAUUAGGGAAAUCGACUAAUUAAGGAGAGAUUGACUAUUAGAGGGUCUCAGUAGCUAUAACCGGUCUAUUCAUAAGUAAUAAUAAUUUAUAUAUGAAUCAAUGAUCAGUAGUCGAAUCAAGCUGAGUUAAUUCCUUCAACCAGAGCUUUCUCCAAUUUGAAUCACAACUUUAAUUUACAUUCUCGUUAUUUUAAUUUGAUUUUUAUUAUUGUCAACAAUUCCCCCAUUUUACAUUUUACGUUUCAAAAGGAUUUAAAUAAUUACCGAUCUCUGUGGACACGACCCUGCUCAAUCACUAUACACAAUUUAUUUAGAGUAGGAAUUUAUUUUUGUUGGCUUCGACAACCAUCAAAUAAACAGAGAAAAUAACCGAUCAAUUCUUUGUGCAGUGGCCACAGCAACAGCGAAAAUAUGUCUGCAUGACUACAUUAAUUAAUCCUACCAUCACCAUGCAACAUUAAAUCAACAUUUGAUCAUCUAUCAAUUUUCAUGAUAUGAGAUUAGAAACAUUGAGUUCAUAAUUUCGUGUAAUUUCAUGUACUAGAUGUAUAUAAUUGAUUUGAGUUAGUUUAACAUCUAAAGAAAGAGUAAUGGGGAAUGAUGUCGAUGUGGCAUUUGAUGAGUAAUGAUAGACAACAAAUACUGAUCAUGUAAGAAUGAAGUCUGUAUUUACUGAAAAAUAUUUGGCAAUAAAAUGAUGCUUUAAAAAAUUAAUAUUAGUUGCACGAAAAUAAAUUGGCAACUAAAAUUAAUAGAUAUAUAUCCAAUGCUUCGAGUUUAUUUUAUCACUUCGCUAACAAUUUUGUAACUACAUUUUAAUUAUAAUGUCGAAAAGAGAUUUGAUUUUUGUAUUAAAAAAAAUUAGAAAUGAAACAAGUCAAAAUCAAUCAUAAGAACAACAAUAAGAGCAUAUUUUAUAAAAACCACAAAUACAUAAUAUAAAUUUAGUUUCGAAUUAGGUGAUUAUUAAUUUACAUAGUAAGAGAGUCUUAUAGAAAAAUAGGAAUUUUUUUAAAAGAGAUUUGCUUAAGGAACAAAUUUAGUAAAUUAACAAUCACCAAAUAUGGUAGGGUGGCAGGCAGAGGAAGCGUGGUUCCUAAUCCUAAUCUUGAGUGAUAACUGGCUAUGUAACAUGUGGCAUUCUACAUUCUUGCAAUGCCAUUAAUUUCUUGUUAUGGCAGCAGCGUUCUUUCAUCAUGGCAUCACAAGCAAAUGUUUGAUUUGAAGACUUGCUUAGCUGAGAAAAAUAAGGAGAGCAAAGGUAAUGAAUUUUGGUGUGAUAAAUAUUUUUAUGGAUGUACUAAGAAAAAUAAAGAUAAUAGAAGUGAUGUUAUUGAGGAGCAUUUUGAUAUUUACCAAAGUGUUCAAAGAAAAAAGUUAUUUUUUGAAAUCUAUUUGCUGGUGCACAUAACAAAAGGGCAUUCUGAGUAAAUUUAAAACUACAAAUAGUUUCACUCUUUUAACAAUAUUCUUCAAUUAAUUCUGUUUAUUUCAAAAUAAAUAUUCUAUCUCUUUAUUACUUUCUAACUAGUCAUGCUAAUAUGCUAAUAAUUAUGAAGAACUAGUGUAAUUUAUAUGAUAUAAGAAGCCCUUUAGCACAUUAACCCGAAUUUAGCUAAUACAUGUGCCUAAUAUAGCGAAAUCAACAUUCAGCGCAUUAGAGUGCCAUUAUAUAUAUUGAGAGAGAAAUUAACACAAAAAACUGAAUAUUAAUUGACACUGGAUCAUAUUGGAUUGUCAGUUGUUAAUUAUGAUGGGAAUACAAUCUUCAUCUUUUGAUUAUCAGCUAGCUAAUGCAUGUGCACUUUCAUUUGUGUCUAUCACUGAAAAGUAAAGUUGCUUGAUUGAGUAGUAUCAUAUCACAGGAACUCCAAACUCAAUUUCAUUGCCGGAGCAUACCAUGCCAUAUGUAGCUUAAAAGUGCAGCUAUCUUAUACUAAUUAUUUAAUACGACUAUUAGCUCUUUAUGAUUAAUUAAAAGAGAAAAUGUUUGACAAUCACGAAAAUAAUAACAAUUCACUCCUAUAAACAACAUAACAAAUACAUGGUCUAUAUUGCAAAUCUUUUUAUGAUUAUAAUUAAAAGAGAAAAUACGAAGACAUAUUAUAUAUAAUAAUUGAAUGUUCUCCUUGAUAAUUAGACAAAAUAACACCAAUCUAGCUAAUUAAUCCAAUCAUCAUACUAAUUCAAUUUUCAUUAUUUAAUUAUGUCCAAUCAUGCUAAUUUAAUAAAGAGCACUGAACACUCGAGUACUUAUAUGUUCAGCAACUUUGGCCGAGUUUGAAAAAGAUUAGAGCUGCAUUUAUGCUUUGUGUUAUUACUUACGACAUGAUCAUAUUAUGUCGCAUUUGUCAGAGAACCGAAAACUGUGGGGGGAAAAAAAAUCCUAAAAGAGAUGUAACGAAAACAAAAUGAGAAAAUAAUGCACACACAUCAUAGCAAUGCUUCAUUCAUUUUGAUUCUAUCUAUACAAAAACUUGUAUCCGAUGGUUUACAUUUGUUUAAUCUAACGGCUAUAACAUGUAUACAGUCAAACGCUACUGCUGCCAUCUUUCUUUGUCCUCGUUGUAUCCUUGAUCUUAUAUUAUCCUGGUGAUUCUUGAAAGAUCUUCUCAUUCUCAUAUGCUGAGUCGCUUGCUGGGAUGAUUAAUACUCGAAGGUCCUUCAUUGAGACAUUUCAGCAAACACCUGAUUCAUUAUAUCAAACAUCUGCAUCACUAAUCGCUAAAAGAUAUAAAAUAGUUCUGUUUUGAAAAAUUGAUAUAAACCAGUCACCUUAGAUUUUCUUAGUCUCAGAGGACAACGGGUGAUGAUUCGAUGAGAAAUAUUAAUAUGCAUGCAUCCGCUGCAUUAGUUAGAGCUGCUUGUCAUUUUCUUCUUUCUUUUGGAUACUAUUUUAAAUUUUUAAUCAGUCUAAUUCAGCUGUAUGUUUGCUUUCAGUCCAAAUCGAACUCAGAUAUUAAGUACUUCUACAGGAAUGGACGCACCCAAAAAUCUAUGGGAUCCGUAGUUCUUGCAGAAGCGGCAGAAUGCUGCCAGCAAUUCAGGCAGAUAGAAGCUUGGUUGAGUGGUUGUUCUUCAAUGUGAAAUUCUACAUAAUGGGGAUCCUUUCAAUGGGGUUUAAAUUCUUUUUUUUUUUGAGUUGUUGAUUUAGAGCAGAUUAAGUAACAUGUGGCAUUCUAUAUUCUUGCAAUGCCAUUUCUUGUUAUGGUAUCAACAUUCUUGACCAUGGUUUGAUUUGCGUAAUUUUGCUUUCUGUUUUUGAUAUUUUCUUCGCAUUGUUGUUGUGGGAUUUGUAGAUAGUGUAUAUGUAUGAAGAUAACGUAAUAAAGUGCUUUUGAUAAAUUCCCCUGGUUUGUUUACUUCACUAAUUCAUUAAUGAGCAAGUCCUCUAUAGAGCUGUGUUGUGCGUACAAGUUUUGCUACAUGAAAUCGUUAGGUGAGGAGAAUUUUUAAAAGCAUACAUCAAAGUAAUGAUUAAAGGGACAAAAUCAACGUAAAUAUUGAUUAUCUUGAGUUAGAUUAUACAAAGAUGAAAUAAUGAUAAUCUAAUAAAUUUAUCAUAAUACACUACUCAAAAAUGCAUUUUAAUGACACAAAUUUUAUGACAUACAUCUUUAUGUCAUGAAAAUAUUUGCAUGAUGUAUAAUGCUUUCGUGAUUAUUUGAUGAUAAAUUCAUAAUUGCUGCUGAUAUGAAAUGAAGUGAUGAUAGGUAAAUAUUAUGCGAUUUUUUUUUUAUGGGUAAGAAUAUUUGAACCCACCAAAUUACUCUUUAAACUUAUUUUUUUAUUGAUAAUUUUAUUACAAAAUUACCGAUAAUUUGAAUUACUAUUACAGACAAACAAUAAUUAUAUAAAAUUAUUUUAUUUUUACUCAUUGUUUAAACCUACCGCAAAACUCAAUCAAAGUAUGCCUUUUUUUUUCUUCUGCAAGUUUUUAAUAAGUUCAUCCUUCAUCCACAGUUGAGAACUUUCUAAUUUUUUUUCUUGUUCUAGUAAUUUGGAUAUGCUGUGUUAGAUACUGAAUUUAUUAAAUUUCUUCUUCUCUUUUGAAUAAAAUCUCUUUAAAAUUCAAUUCAUAAAAAAAUAAAAAAUUAAUCUCCUUAUAAUUUAAUAUGUUUCAGCUGUCUUAGUGGAAUGAUGCAAUUUGUUUCCAUCAAAGUUUUGAAGCAUCCUGAAAUUUUGAGAUCGACAUGAUAACAAAUUAAUUUAAUUCAUGGUGUACUCUAAAUUUUCAGCCACAAAAAAAAUAGCCAAAUUGAAGUGUACCUGGGCAAGAAGAAACUGCGAUUAUACAAUUUCAGUGUUCGACUCUAUCAAUAAAAAAGAAAAUAAAAAAGAACUCUCAUUGUUCCAUUAUUUUUCCCAUAAAUAAUGAUAUACAGAGAAUUUAGUUUGAUAUGGGAUAUAAUAAGUAUUUAGGUGAGUUUAUAAAGUAAAUUUUAAAAUUUUAAAAUUUAGUAAUGGGUUUAUAAAUAAUUGAGUUCAUAUAAUAUUUUAAUAAAUUCAAAUAACCCACCCUUUUUUUUUUUAAAAAAAGAUCUAAUUACAAAAAUACCAUUCCAAUCGGCAGCAUUUUAUAUUUUAUUUUAUUAAAUAUUAUUUUAUUUUUAAAUUACUAGUGACGCAAGAAACGGCAUCAUUUAUUGAUAUUUUUAAAUUGUUUAAGAUUUGUUUAAUUAGAAAAUUGCCAUUGUUGAUAUUUAAUUAAUUUUAAAAAAUAAAAAUAAUAAAAUUGGUAAGCUCUACUCCAUAAGUGAUGAACGAAUUGACAAAUUUGCAGUAAGUGAUGAACGAAUUGAUAAGCUCUACUCCAUCGGCUCCUUAAUUGAGAAAAAACCCAAGCCCGUGCAGCGCAGCCUCACAAUUGAUAGAGACCCUAAGCCACCAAACUCGACAAUCAUCACUCAACGUCGUCGCAAGCUACCGGUCGCUCAACAAGCACCAGUUCCUUGCUCUACAGCCAUCGCUCAACCGCUGCCAUUACCUGUUAAUUAUUCGCUUGAAUUAGGGUUCUGAUAUUUUGGGAUUUUUUGUUAGUCGUGGAAUUAUGAAGCAAGGACGACGAUGACGAAGAUGUGGUGGUUGACGACGGCAAUGGCAACGUUGAAUAUUGAGGCACCGGAGGAAAAAGCAUUGGCUAUGUAUCUUGGUCGAUUUGCCUCGAAUUGAUCACUAAACAUGGGGAUAUCGUGGGCCGAGCUUCAACGCAGUGGCAAAUUUCAUUUGGGUAACUGAAUUUUUUUUUUGUUUAAUUUGUUUAGAGUUCAAUUGUUUAGAUCUAGGCUAAUUUUUAAUGAUAAUUUUUAUGAUUAAAUUAUAUGAGUAUGCUUAAAUUUUUUUUCCUUCAAAUUUAUUUUCUGAUGUUGCAUUUGGUUAGCAAAAAGAUAAAAAUAGUAGAAAAUGUCAGAAUUAUUGUUAUGAAAAUGUUGUUUUAGUCUGAUAUUGGGAAAAUAUCAUUAUACAUAUUGGCAUGAUAUUCAUGGGAGACAAAAUUGAGAAUGAUGACAGACUAUGCAUUGCUCACAACUAAUUUAAAACUCACUAUUUCUAUUGUUUGUGUUUCAGUAACUUUGGGGGAAUUCCAACUAUAGUUAAUAAGCUAUAAACUUGUUUAGGAUUGCUGAUCAAUUUGCUAGAAAGAGUUGCAAAGUAAUUAGCUUUCUCUUAUAACUUUUACAGAUCAUCUGUGGAGGAGAACUGCAAGGAGUUGAAGACUCUAGACCCUAAACUUCAUAUCUUGAUUUAUAAGUGCAAUGGGCAUAAGUCCGAAUUAUGGGCUGGAGAUGGUAUAUGUAAUCUUUCUACUCUUGGUGUUUUUUUUUCCUCUAGUUAUUUUUUGUUCUCUACUCCAUUGUAUAUUUGUAUUCAAAAGUAUUUUUUCUUUGUUUUAAGCUUUUAAAUUUAUGGAGAUGAUCUUAUUAGGUGUUAAAAAAAAUAGUUGUAGAGCUUUACUAAAACUAUGUAAACUCCUAUUGAGAUUUGGGUUUGAUUUUGUAAGAUUGCUAAAAAUUUCAUAUUUUAUACUUGUUUUAUACUUUUCUAGUUGAAUUUCUUGCUUGUGGAAGAUAAAAUAAAAGUCCAAUUCAUGUUGUAAAAUUUUUUUUCCUCCCUUCUUUCUUUCCUUAUAAUCUGGCUCUGGCUUUGGUGCUAUGCUUGGUGCAGUUUAUGGUUUCAAUGCAGGGAACCAAUUUCAUCAUAAUCAUCUUAAAGGAUCAAAAUGGCUUUCUUUUGUAACUGGGUAAGUCAAUGCUACUUCCUGAAUUCGAUUUGGAGUUCUUUCGGAAUAGAUUUCCUUCCCUUACAUCACUUGGCUUCUAGUUGCAUCUUCUUGGCUUUCUCCAGCGGACUUUUUUAUUGGCAAAAUUCCUUUGUUUCUAUUGUUUUCAAGUGCUAGUGCUGGAUUUAGAGGUAUGAAUGGUGCCUUCAUUUUUAUUUUUUUAUUUUUAUUUUGUACUGUAAUAUACUUCUUUGUAUAGCUAGUACAAAAUAGUUCUUCAACUUCUUACUUUUGGCUUUAAUGGGUUCGAUAUAUGAUAGCGGAGCCCUAUCAGCAUUUGAUGUCAGACAACAAAUAGGGGACAGAUGGGAUUAGAAAAAUAAGUAACAUGACCAAAAUAAAAAUCUAAUCUACUCAUAUAAGCAACUCAUCAAAUAAGUGUAUCACAUACUUAAGUGAAUAAGAUUCCGUGAUUUCUAGGAAUCCAAGUCAAAUUAUAACAUUCUUUAAAUAAGACUCACAAGCUUAUUAGGUGUUAUAUUGAAUCAUCUAAGUUGAAUAAUCUUUUGGGUUGAAUAUGUUAAUUUCUUAUUCCAUAUGUUUCAGCCUCUCAAUAGUUGAAUUAGCAAUGAAAAUUUGAAAAUGGAAAAACUCAGUGCAAUUAUUUUAGGUGCUUAUCAUAGAUAAGAAUUUCACUUUUUACACUUCAUUGUCUGUUGUCAAAUUUAUUAAGUAUGAACCCGGAUUAGGUUUGUGCUCUCAAGGAUUUAUAAAUAAGUGCUACUUGACUUAGAUGUAAGAAAAUUGAAAAGCAGAGUUGCUUGAUUGAAUAGCUUCAUAUUUUACAUCACAGAAACUCAAUUUUCAUUGCCAUAUGUAGCUCAAAAGAGCAUGAACAUUGAACAUUCAGCUAAUUUAUACUAAUUAAUUAACACAACUAUCAGUUCUUACUUCUUGGUACCCGGCAACAUCCAUCCAUAAGAGUGAAACCCCCAUUGAUUUCAUAUAUACAAAAUAAAUAACUUACAAAGACAAUACCUGACAAUCACAACAAAAACACUAAUUCACUCCAAUAAACAACAUAACGAAUACAUGGUCUAAAUUGCAAGUCUUGUUAUGAUUUUAAUUAAAAGAGAAAAUGUGAAGGACAUGUUAUAUAUAAUUGAAUGUUAUCCUUGAUAAUUAGACAAAAUAACACUAAUGUAGCUAACUAAUCCAAUCAUUGUAAUAAUUGGAUUUUCUUUUUUUAAUUAUGUCUAUUGAUGCUAAUUUAAUCAAGAACACUGAAUACUUGAGUGUUUUUAUGUUCAACAACUUUGGCUAAGUUUGAAAAGAUCAUAUUAAUUAUUAAUAUAAAUAAAUAAGCCAACAAGGUACAUAUUACAUAUAUGUGUAGUUGCAAUAAAUACAUAUGUAAUAAAGAUCAUAAAGCUCAGGGCCAUUAAUUCAACAUUACCAAAUCAAUAUCCCAAUAAUGGUUUGAUUACUAAUCUAAGCAUUAAAUGAUCAGCAAACUUUAUUUGGCCAAAACAAAUGCUUCCUUGUUGCCUCCUUGAUCUUUUCCUGGCUGGUGAUUCUUGAAUGUUCUUCUCAUUUUGAUAUGCUGAGUCGUUUGCUGAUUAUAAAUGCUAAUCACCUUAAAUUUUCUUAGUCUUCUUCUUCAUGUGAAAUUCUACCUAAUGGCUAUCCUUUUAUCUGGUUUGAAUUCUUCUUUUUUCUUUGAAUUGUUGAUUUCUAAUGUUCUUGUCAUUCGCACAUGUGGCGUUCUGCACUCUUGCAAUGCCAUUUCUUAUUAUGGCAGCAGCAUUCUUGGUCAUGGCAUCACAAGCAAAUGCUUUUGAAUUGCUUUGUUUGAUUUUUGUUUCUAAUAUUUUUUUUUUUUGGCAUUGUGGGAUACUGUUUCUCUUUUGAUUUUCUGUCUUUGUUGUUAUGGGAUUCUGGUAUAGUAUGCAUCAGUACACGUAUGAAGAUGAUGUGAUAAAGUGCUUUUGAUAAAUUGCCCCAGUCAGUUUACUUCACAAACCAACCAUUAAUGAGCAAAUCCUUCUAAUGACCCUUGUACACAUUAGAAUAAAUACAAUUCUAUAUAUACACAAAAAUAAAUAACUCUCAAGUAUAUUAUUUGAUAAUCGCAAAAGCAACAAUUCACUCCAAUAAAUCUUAUAACACACUCAUGGUCUAUGUUGCAAGUCUUUGUAGAGAAAAAAUGAAGGACACACAAUUGAAUUUUUUCUAUGAUAAAGAACUCUAAACAAAUUCAUCUACAUAUCGCAGUACCCCUUACAAAUUCAUUUGUUUCUUCUUUUCCUUUGAUCAAGUGCUAAUUACAGCCUUGAUAUUUCAUUUGGUUUUAGUUAAUUUUCUAUAGGGUUGUGUUGUGUGAAAUUAAUUACAAAACAAUCUUUAACGAAGUCUUAUGAAAAUACCAUAUUAUAACUACAAAGUUAGGCUUCCUAAUCAAGCUACUGUUCAUCAGAUUGUGUAUUGUGUUACUGGUGAGCUCUUAUGUCAAUUAUGACCAGACGGCGCCUUGGCUAACUGUGAGUUAUGUGCGAACAUAAGAGCUGCAAAUGAAUUAUGUACUAUUUUUAUGUGACAAGGUAUGUGCUCUGUUUUUAUGGUCUUUCUCUCUGUAGUUCCCUCUGUAGUUUUUUUUUUUUGGGAUACAUUGAUAAUAAAAUUAGAAGUCUACUAAUAUGUACAACCAGAAACCUAUUGGGGACUUUUUGUCUUUUGAUGCAGUUGUAGGGCACAGCUCAAAUAUUCUUUCCUCAUUUAAUAUUGGAGAAAUCCGACUCCCAAGCGAUUCUGUCUACGGUUGUUGGACAAACUGUAAUGUGAAUUUCUAUCUAAUGGGUGUAUCAUUCUUGCAGUCAGUUUGGGAUUGUUGAUAUAGAUAUGAUGUUUAGUCUCCAAAAUUCAGAUGAUGAUAAUCUUGUGAGUACUUUUUGUCAUAUUUUCUUUUGUGUUGGUGUUGGGAUCUUAAUUUUGUAUCCAAUGUUAGGACAAUAUGAACCCAUUUUAAGUGAUAUGAUGCAAGUUCAUGUUCAAGAAUCCAUUUAAUGAAACAUUCCAGUGUUUAAUAAUGAGUAAUUGGUUUAAGAUUAAUACCAAAUAUUUUAAGUAACAUGUGGCGUAUUCUAGUGAGAUCCUCCAACUCAGAUUUCUAACUCAAAUGGAAACGUUUCGAAUUUCUUCAGAACAUUCUGCAGAACGGUUCGUCUUGUCUUUACAGUUUCUUUUGUGAAUUUCUCCCAGUUUCUUUUGUGAAGACUUCUGAAUAAGCUUCCAGAUAUUGAGAUACAAUCCAAUCUAAGCCCAUACGUAUAUCCGCCUCACAUUUGUCCAUUUCCCCAGAAAAUCAAAAAGCACUUUAGUUCGAAACAAACACUCUAAAAAAAACCAUCUAGCUACCCAGAUGGCGAAAUCAAGAAUCUUGCAAUGGCAAUGCCAUUUCUUGUUAUGGCAGUAGCAUUGAUGAUCAUGGCAUCACAAGCAAAUGCUCUGAUGCCGUACACACGAUCACCUUUCUUUGACGUGAUGUUCCCAAUGACGGAAGAUCCUUUCAGGGUUCUUGAACAAACCCCGUUAACAACCCAAAAGGAGCUGAACAUCAUCAAACUCUAGCACUGGCGAGAGCAGACUGAAAGGAGACACCAACAUCACACGUGAUCACACUCGACAUUACAGGGAUGAAGAAAGACGAUGUGAAGAUUGAAGUUGAAGAGAACAGGGUACUGAGAGUGAGUGGGGAGAGGAAGAGCGAUGAUUAUUAUAAGGAGGAAGUUGAAGGAGAAAAAUGACACAGAGCUGAGAGAACAUUUGGCAAGUUUUGGAGGCAGUUUAGGAUGCCUAUGAGUGCUGACUUGGAUCAUGUUAAGGCUCAUUUGGAAAAUGGUUCUAAGGAUCACAGUGCCAAAACUUGCUGAGGGGAAGAAGAGGCAGCCUAAGGUUAUUAACAUUGAUGAAGAGCCUGGUAAUUCUUCCGGUGAAGAUAUUAAGGCCGCCAAGGCUCAAAUGUGAUUGAUUAAAGAAAGAAGUGCUUACUUUGCUUGAUGUGCUAUUUGUUUUGUAAUCUUUUCUUGGUUUUGUUGUGGGAUGUUUUUCUUUGGAUGUUCUGUUUAUUGUAUUUUGAUGGAUUUUUAAAGAUGGCUUGUAUGUAUUAACAACAAUAAAGUAUUUUUUAUAAAUCCGGGUCCUAAAUUUGUAAAAGAAAUUAAUAAUACGCUUGGUUUAUUGUUAAUAAAAAAAAAAAAGACGUCUCUUUUUCUUUAGCAUAUAUUAUGCAUUUUAAGGGAAAAAAAAUUAUCACAUUCUAAUUUAUAAAGCAUUCCUCUUCUGUCAUAUUAAUGUGUUAAUACGAAGGUCUAUUGGAAUUAUAAUAGUUUAGAUGAAUCCAAAAUAUUCAAUAAUUGAUAAAUAGUAUAUAUAAAUAUUAAUAGCAAUGGCACAUAAUCAAUUAAUUCAAGAACUUGCCCAUAGUGCAUUAAGUUAAAAGAGUAAAAAUAACAUUGCAAAACAGGCCAGACCUUACGUGUUUAAUUAGCAAUUGAAAACUACUUUACCGUACAACACCAUUAAGAGAUAUUUAUAACACUGUUGUUGAUGAGGCAGCUGUUAAUUCUUUUGGUGAAGAUGUUAAGGCCACUAAAGCUGGAACGUAAUCAGGGAAAUAUAAUGUAUUCACUUAGUUUGCUAUUUGUGUUUUUAUAUUUGUUUGGCUAAUUCUUUUAUCAGAUUGCUUUUUGUUUUUGAGAUUUUAUUGGCUUAGUCGUGGGAUAUUAUUUAAUCUUUUAAUUUUGUGUUUUUAUUGUUAUGGGAUUUGAUGAUGGCAUACAUAUAGGAAAAUUAUGUAAGAAAGUGCUUUUAAUAAAUUAUGGUCGGUUUACUAUUAAUUAACCAAAUUUAAUUUACUCAAAUUACUCCUAUACACGAUUAAAAUAAUUUCAAUUCCAUGAUAUAAAUACGCGCGUGCGGACACACAAAAUGUAAAUAACUUUCAAAUACAAAAUAUUUAAAAUAAUCAUCAUACUAACAAUUCACAAGUUAGAUUAUAUUAAGGCCACCAAGGCUUAAAUGUAAUUGAUUAAAGAAAGAAGUGCUUGCUUUGCCUGAUGUGCCAUUUGUCUAUGAUGUUUUCCUGGUUUUGUUGUGUGAUGCUUCUCUUUAGAUGUGUUGUUUAUUGUAUUUUGAUGGGUUUUUGAGGAUGGUUGUAUGUAUUAGCAACAACAAGGUGCUUUUUAUAAAAUCCGGGUUCUAAUUUUGUAAAAGAAAUUAAUACUCUCGGUUUAUUGUCAAUAAAAAAGAAAAAGGAAAAAGCCUUUUUCUGUGGCAUAUAUUAUGCAUUUUAAGGAAAAAAAAAUCACAUUCCAAUUCAUGAAAGACAUUCCUUCUGUCAUAUUGAUGUGUUAAUAGAAAGAUCUCAUAACAAUUUUGAUGAAUCUAAAUAUUUAAUAAUUGAUAAAUUGUAUUUAUAAAUAUUAAUGCCGGUGGCACAUAAGCACUUAAUUCAAGAACUCGCCUAUAGUGCAUUAAUUUAAAGAGUAAAAAUAUUUAAUAAAUCAUGCUUAGUUUACUAUUAAUUAAUCAAAUUUAAUUUACUCAAAUUACUCCUCUACAUGAUCAAAGUAAUUUCAAAUAUACAACACAGAAAAUGUAAAUGACUUUGAAAUAUAAAAUAUUUAAAAUAAUCACCCCACUAACAAUUCACCAGCAAGAUUAUAAAUAGUCGAAAUAAUGAUAAUCUAGGGGGUCCAGUCAUAAUAAUUUGAUUUUUAUUUAUAUUAAUUAUAUCAGAAAGAGUACUCGAGAUUAUAUAUAUCCAACAACUAAAAUUUCAAAACAAUAUUUGCCAAAGUCUGAUGAAGAGAAUACAUAUAUAUAUAACAUGCACUCGCACACAUUCUAUUGUUUAAUUAAAAAAUUCGAAAGCCCAUUAUAUACAUGAUAAAGACUCACCGACACCGAACCAUAUUCAUUUAAAGGAAUUGUUUUUAACUGAGAUUUGAAAUUAUAUACACAAACACACCUGUUUUUUUUUUUUAAAAAAUUACUAAUAAUAAAAUAUUUCGGCAAAACAAAUUUUGCCGAAAGCAAAAAGUCUGGUGAAAAGAAAUGUUAUGUGCAUAUAACCGUACAGGCGCAGCAGAAGGAUAAGUCAAAGAAAAACGAAGUUUCAAUAAGAAAUUAAUUACACAUUUACACUCAAUAAGAAAAUCAAUUCAUUACUUUCUAGCGCUUUUAUUUAAAAAGCGCAGUCUAUUUUUUAAUUAAAAAAAUUCGAAAACCGAUUACAUGAUAAAAACUCACCGACACCGAACCUUAUUAAUUUAAAAUAGUUUUCAACUAAGAUUUGAAAUUACAUUCACAAACACACCCAACUAAAAAAGAAAAAUUCUAAUAAUAAAACAUUUCAGUCAUCAAAAACCCAUUUAUAAUUUAUUUCAACACGCGGUAUAUGGGUUAACAAGUCCCAAUAUUGUCCUCCAUCCUUUCUGCACUUCUCUUCUAUCAACGGACAUCCCUCGAUGUAUAAACACAAAAGUGAGGAAGGCAGGCCCUUCUCCGGAAAGUAUUUGAGCUUGGGACAAUCCCAGAGAUGCAAUUGAGUGAGGUUUUGAAGAUCAACAAUUGAAGAAGAUAGGCGUUCCAGAUUUGGAAAUCUGAAAAUCCACAGAGAUGUUAGAGAGGCAGGAAGAGGAAGCGCGGUCCCCAAUCUUAUGUCCUCCGGUGGGAACGACACCGUGUCCUCAUCACAUCCUUCGAUUCUAAGUUCUCGCAGAGAGGAGAAUCUGUGAAAUCCUCUGCUCCGCUCAAUCAUUGACUUCCAAAUUUUCGUAUUACCAUCAAUCUCCAGUGAAUGAAGGUUGGUGGGAAGGCCAUCUUCUUCAAGGCUUGGAAGCUCACCUCCUGUUCCUAUUCUUAAUUCUUGAAGAGAGCUCAGAUUGUGCAAUCCCUUGGGUAAGGCCUCUAGUCUCUCACAAUCAGAUGUCUCCAGCGUCCUGAGUUUCGCACAAGGCAAUCCCCCUUCGGGAAAGGACACCAGAUUUCCACAAUUCCAUAUCUUAAUCUCUUGAAGCUGGCGGAGAUUAUGUAAACCACUCGGUAAAAUUUUCAGAUUUUCACAAUUAGAAAUGUCGAUUGUUUCAAGAGAUGUGUUGUUGUCCAACCUUUCUGCUAUUGACUCCAGCUUUGAACAACUCCGAACAUUAAGGCUCUUAAGAGACGGAGGUAGAUUGCCAACUUCAAGGGACUCAAGCGUGGCAGGUAACUCGUUUUUUGAAAAUAUACAUGUCAGUGAUGGACAAACUGCAAUUAAUAAGUGCUCAAGAAGAGAUGAGGUGUACCUUCUGCUGCUGCUGCUGCUGUGGAUGCCCUCUUCCACUGUCAAAGUCCUUAUGUUACUGCACCACUGGAUGUCCAACCUCUUAAGGCUUGAUGGUAGCUGGACUCCAGCAAUAUAUGUCAACGAACGGCAAUCCUCAAUAUACAAGAUCUCGAGAGACGAAUUGGUGUCGCACAUCCAUGCCUCCGGUAACGAUUUCAGUGCGUCACAUUCCCUAAUCUCAAUUUGCUUCAACUUGGAAGGCAGAGCAACCUCAGGAAAGGAAACAAGGGAACUGCACUUGUAGAUUUCUAUCUCUCUCAAGGAACUGAGGCUGAGAGAUGAUUGUGGCAGCUUCACAAGGCCUUCGCAAUAUCUCAAUCUUAGAUAUUCGAGUCUGCAUGACAACUGGCAGAGCUGCUGUUGUUGGUCUUUCUCUUCCUCCGCCACCAAGGAUUGAAGUUUGGGACACCGUCUAAUCGUCAAUCUUUUGAGAGAGCAAAUGUCUUGUAGUAAUCCGUCAUGACUCUUCCAUAUAUAUGUUUGCUCUUUUGUCGACAAAAUUAAUUCUUCCAAUUUCGAUAGUUGUGGCUUCAAGGGCCCCGCAAGAAACACUUGAUUUGAUGUAUCUCUACAAACCACUGAAUUCUGUGAUCCGAGAUGACCAGUUGCACUUUCCCACACAACCUUUUUGCAUCCACCAAUCUGUAAUUUGCAAAGAGCUGGAAGACUCGAAACUGAAACUACCAAUUCUUCACAUCCUUCAAUAACAAGCAUCUCCAAUGCAGGAAGGUGCUCUGGAAAUGUUCCUUUCAGUUUAGAACAUCUUAAAAUGUGAAGCUCUCUCAAUUUAGGAAACCGUUCAACUCCCUGACUGGAUCCAUGAGGAAUCCAGUCUUCCCAUUCUCGCAUGUUUUCAAAACGAAGAGUCUCCAAACAUGGAGGAUCAUUCCCACAGAACUCUGAACCCAACCUUUUUACUCUGCUCAUUCCACGCACUGUAAGAUGCUUUAGAGAGGGCAGUUGCCCGACAGACGGCAGGGCAGUACACAUGCCGCAAUCUUCAAAUUCAAGUGUUACUAAAUUUGAGAACAAGGAAUCUCCUAACCAUGUUGGAAAUUUCAUACCUCCAUAGCCUUUGAUACAAAAUUGCUCCAGAUUUGUAUGAGGUUUUAGCAUGUCAAGCACGCCCAUUUCAGUUUCUGCCUCCCUUGAAGAAGAACCAUCGGUACUGCAAGUCCAUUUAAGCGAUAAUUCUUUCAGAUUCUUCUUUCCAUCCAUUUGAGCCUCCAUGGCAUCACCAACGCAUUUUACAUUCUCCAAUUUUGAAAUGCUAAGUGUCCCAUGAAGGUGCGUCAACAACUUUAGCUCUCGUAAACCGGAACCACUGCCUUUUCCCACAACAAAAUUACACAACGUCUGAAGACUAGUCAACCUACCAAUUCCUACUGGCAUUUCCUCCAACGACUUCGUAUUUGAAUUCUUAAGAUGAUGCAAUUUGAUGAGGUUCCCCAUGUCUGCACACAACUUCUUCAGCCGAUCACAAUCUUCCAACAAAAGACUAUGCAAAUUGUAAAGCUUGUUGACUGAUUCAGGCAGAGUUCUAAUCUCAGUUCUAGACAGGUUAAGGUACCUUAAAUACCUCAAAUCACCAAUUGAAUCUGGCAGCUCAGGGAUGCGGUAUCCACGCAAAGAGAAGACCCUCAAGCGUUGAAGUUUGAGCAACUUAGGAAGAAUGCUAGGAGCCAAGUAGCCAGGCCAUCUAUUUGUCAACAUUACUGGUAAAAAAGUUCUCAAAUGUUGGAUAUCAUACAAGUCCCCAAACCUUUGAACGCCAUCAUAAUCUCCACAAAUGUAUGAUAGAUGACGAAGAUUUCUGGAAAAACAUUGUUGCUUGUUAACCUCCGAGGUAUACUCCAGUGUGAAGUAUGUCUCCCCUGCAGCCCAACGGGCAAGGUCGUUGAUAAGAUCGUGCAUAACAAAUAGUGAUGCAUCGGUGGCCGAUUGCUGGAAAAAAGAUCUUGAACAUAGCUCCUUAAAGAAAUCACGACCUAAAUCUUCACUAGGAUUCUCAUCUUCUUUGUGAUCCAAAAAACCGGAGGCACACCAUAAUAAAAUUAUCUCCUCCUCUUCAAAUUCAUAAUCCUUUGGUAACAAUGAGCAGUAUGCAAAGCAUUGUUUCAAAGUUGGAGGAAGAUAAUAAUAGCUCACUGCAAGGGCUGGUAUAAUGCGACACCUCUGUUCUGGUAAUUCCCAUAUCUUGCUACCGAGCACACCUUCCCAUACCCGUCUGUCAUGUCUUCCACGUAAUAGUCCUCCAAGUGUUUGUGCAGCUAAGGGCAAGCCAUCGCAUUUGGUCACUAUCUUCUUGCCAAUUUCCUCCAAUAACUCAUGCGGCCCCAGAGAAUGUUGAGCGAAUAUAGCUAGACAGUCAUUAUCUGACAAUUUUUUUAAUGGAUGAGGUGGAAGAGUCCCCAUGAUUGUUGCAACAUCCUGAUUGUGAGUAGUAACAAUAAUCUUACUUCCCUGUGCACCAGCUUCAAAUGGAAGGCUGAGCUGAAUCCAAUCAUCGUAACUAUCAUUCCAUACGUCGUCUAAAACAAGCAAAAAUUUCUUUCGAGACAACUGCUUCUUUAGCUCCUCUUGAAGAAAAUUUAAAUCAUUAUUAUCAACAGUCUGCUUAGUAAUGGAGCUUAGAAUUGUUCUUGUUAGCCUGAUAAGAUCAAAAUCAUCAGAGACACAAGUCCAUGCCUUGAGAUCAAAAUGAUCCUCCACUUGCUUGUAGACAAGCUGAGCAAGAGUGGUUUUACCCAGCCCGCCCAUACCUAUAAUGGGAAUAACUGCGAAUCCACCAUCCUUUCUUGAAUCAUCCUUCAACAACAAUUCAACAAUUUCCUUCUUUUCUGUUUCCCUGCCAUAUACUUUGGCUUCCUCCACCAAAGAGGUUGUCUCUUGCCUUUGCCUGGCUUUUUUGGACCCCCCAGCUAAACUUUUUAUCAAAUUCAGCGAGCGUAUUCCUUCUUCAAUAUCUUGAAAUCUGUCGUUGAUCUUUUUGAUUUUGGACAUCAAGGCGAAAUCGAACUGAAUCGAUUGUAGAGUAAAAGUGGUACAGCAAGUAGGAAUGAGCUUCCGAAACUUACUCUUCGUGCUUGUACGACUGCUGCUGGGUUGAUCAUGAGCAGCAGCUGGUUCUCCAUUUCCAAGCAGCAACUUCCUCCGGAAAGCCUCAGUUUGGAACUCAUCCAACAAGUCUUCAACGUCAUAAGCCAAGUUCUGAAGCUCGCCAAGCCACAACUUCACAUAAUCAUCAGUCGUCUUCUUCUCCUCAGCAUCAUCAAGCACCGCCUUGAUCGUCACCAACUUAUUCUUCCACUUCACUAGAUCGUCUUUGAUUCGACCUUGGCGUGCAAAACGCAGAAUCCCCUUUGAAGCUAACUUAUUGACCAGCAACUCAACGGACGCCGUCAGGAUUGCCUCUCCGAUGAUUGACAUUUUUUCUUUUUUCUUUUUUUUUGGGUUUUUUUGGACAAAGAAAAAAACUAAAUUAUGAGUUUGUGGAAAGCAAAAUGAGAAAAGUGAAUAAGCGGAAUGUGUUUGUGAUUGUGUCUAGCAAGCCUAGAAAUCAAGAAAAAUCCACCGUAAAAGUGAAAAGUAAAACGGAGCCCACCACAAAUAUAAAAUCAGAGGAGCACAGAAUAAAAAAAAAAACAAAAGAAAAGAAAAAGCCAAGCCAAGAAUCAUAUGCCAUUGCUUUACAUAUUAAAUUAAAACAAAAGCCAUGCCAGGAAUCCUGCCUUUGCUUGAUAUUUGACAAGAUUAAUUGGACAUUACACAUUAUUUCACAGAGAAUAAAACUUGUAAAGAACCAAACCCAUCAAACCCUUUCUUUAUCUUAAAUGUCAGAAAUAUAUAAUUAGCUUGGAAUAAAGCUAUACUCUUCUCCUUUUUCCAUUUCUACAGGUUCAUAUAGGCAUAUCAUAUGGAUUUUGUUUUAUGCUAGGUAAUUAUUAAUUUAUAUAAUAAUAUAUUUCCCUCAAAAUAUACUAUUUGAAUUUGAAAUAAUUUUUUAAAAUAAUUUAAUAUCACAAUAAUAGUCAUGAUUCAAUUCGGUUCAGUUUAAUUUUUUUAGAGAAAAAAUUUGAGAAAAUAGACAAAUAAUGAAGACGCAAUUGAAGCACAGCCAAUAAACAGGGUAAAGUGAAUUGCGUCCUGUCCUUGAGCACUCAAUUCUCUUCAAUCUCAAAUUUAUACGUACAUUUUUGUAAAUUCAUGUCAUAUACUAGAGUCUUUUGGGUUCUGUUACAUCAAUUGUUUCGUGUCUAUCUUGUUUUAUUAAUUUAUGGAGCAAGAUUGCUAGUAGCGAUAAACCUGGAAUAAAACGAUUUAUUUAUUUUAUAUAUAUAUUGCGUUGUUAUCAGCAAAAAAUAUGAUGGGUUUCGUUUGUAACAACUAGCUAAUUGCUUAAUACAUUUUUGUACUUCUCGUCAUGAAGUCACGAGGAACUUGUAAAUAAGAUCAUAGACGUGGUACGAUGUGACGUGAUAAAUUUAAAUCAAAUCUAAACUAAGAUGGUUCAUAUAUAGGUACAUACUGAAUAAAGAUAUUUAAAGCAUUCAAUUUUAUGACAUACCUAAUAGUCAUUGGCUUAUUGUUAUUAAAGGAAGUGAAUAGAAAUAGAUGUAGAAAGUGAAAAAGAUGAACUAGCGCACAUGAUGAUUUCUCAGAUAAAAAGUUAAAUUUAUAUUCUUUUUUUUAAUAAGUGUGAGAUGAUUUACACCCUAAAAUUUAUUUUGAACACUCAUAUUUUUAUUACAAAAAACCCCAUAGUUCAAUUUACUGGUAUGGACAAUUCAAUAAAAAUACAUAGAACAAUAAUACUUUUGACACCCAUCUGGCUAUAUUUAACAAGUUUGCACGCACAGACUCUAUGAUUCUAAUUUCUUUGACUUGGUUUUAGUUUUUGUUGAAUAUAUAUCUACCUAUAUAAAGUGUUAGUGAUUUUUCACUUCUCUACCAAGGAGAUUCUACACGAAUAAACAACCGCAGAAAAAAAAAUAUAAAAAACCUGAUACAGGUGAAGAAGAUAUUCAUCAUAACAGUUUUUUAAAGUUGAUGAGUCCAAAUAUCCAAUAACUGAUAAAUUGUGUUAAGAAAUAAAAAAUAUUAAUAGUGAUGACACAAAGGAAGUCCCGUGUUUUGAGUUUGACUAAAAUAAUCUGAAUAAUUUAAAAUAAUCGAUCAGGCCAAAUUGCUGAAGAGAUGAACGGCCUCUGUUUUUUACCAUAAUACUAGGAAUUGACUUCAAUUGGGAAGUCAGGCCAAUCGAAGGAGCUCCCCUGUUUCUGACUGAAACAUAAUCCUAACAAUUUACAAUUAAAUAAAUCAUUCAAAAUUUCUCCUUUAAUCGAACCCCCACUUCUAUGACUUAAUAAAAUAUUACAAAAGUUCUUAAUACAGUGAAAUUAACGUUCAGCUCAUGAAGUCGCCAUUAUAUAUAUUGAAAAAGAGAUUAGUACAAGACAUUGAAAAUUAAUUGACAUUGAAUCACGUUGGAUCCUUAGUUGUUAAUUAUGAUCUUGGUCUUUUAAUUAUCAUCUAGCCAACGCAGGUCCACUAGUUUCAUUUGUGUCAAUCACUGAAAAGUAGAGCUUUAUUGAACACCGCAUAUUACAGAAACUCACUCGAUUUUCAUUGCCAUACAUGUAGCUCAAAAGUACAUAUUAUAUCAGUGAACAUGGAACAUUCAGCUAACCUAUAACAAAUAUAAUAAAAUCUCAAUAAAUUAAUAGUUCUGGGACCAAUGAAAAAUUAGUUAAAAUUUCAUGAAUAUCAAUUAGUCGAUAAGUUAAUAAAUUAUUAAUUUAUGAAAAUAUUCAUUAUUUUGGAAAAAAAUGAUUACGUUUAUAGUAUUGAUUUACGUUGAGUUAGAAUCUAUUAUUUUUUAUUUGAAUAUUAAUUUUCUUUUAAGAAGAUUUUUUAAUAGUUAACUACUUUAUAAUAAGACUAUUGUAUGAUUUUUAUUUUUCCAUGUUAGAGAUGAUAGUUCUGCUAUGCAAGCUGUUUCGAUCAAAGGAUUAGAUGAUAUUGACAUUGAAUAAUUUUUUGUUGCAAAAUGACAACACCAAUUAGAAUUUCUUUUCGCAUUACAAAAGAAAAAAAUGAGAUCCAAUUCUAAAUUAAUUUAAAAAGAAAUAAACGAUGCUGAGAAUAAAUUUUACACAAGCCAUAUAGACAUAUCAUAUGGAUUUUGUUUUAUAUUAGGUAAUUAUUAAUCUAUGUAGUAAUAUAUUUCCUUCAAAAUGUACUAUUUGAUUUUGAAAUUAUUUUUGAAAAAUUUAAUAUCAUAAUAAUAGUCAUGAUUCCAUCGGUUUGAGGUUUUUUUUUUUUUUUUGGUUUAAGAAAAAAGAUGGGACAAUAGUCAAAUGAUGAAAACACAAGCUAAGCAGAGCCAAUAAACAGGGGAAAGUGAAUUACUGUCCUUGAACACGUUCUCUAAUAAUCUCAAUAUUCUACGUACAUUUUUGUAAAUUCAUGUCGCAUACAAAAGCCUUAUGGGUUUUGUUGCAUCAAUUCUUUGGGGAUUUAUCUUGUUUUAUUAUUUUGCGACGCAAGAGUCCUCGAAGCAAUACAUUUGGAAUAAAACGAUUCAAUUUAUUUUUCGUUGUUAUUAACAAAAACUAUAUAUUAUUAAUUAAUCAACUCAUCGAGAUAUUGGUUUCAUUUGUAACAAGUAGCUAAUUGCUCAGUACAUUGUUGUACUUACUCAUUAUCAUAUCAAGACGAACUUGUAAAUAAGAACAUAGACGUGGUACACUGUGAUGUGAUAUAUUUAAUUCAAAUCUAAAUUAAGAGAUGAUUCAUAUAUAUAGGUACAUACUGAAAAAAGAUAUUCAAACAUAAACACUCCAUUUUAUGAUAUACCUAACAAUAAUCGGUUUAUUGUCCAUAGGAAAUGGAGUGAAUAGAAACAGAUGUAGAAAGUCAAAAAGAUGAACGAGCGCACAUGACGAUUUAUAAAAUAAUAAAUUAAAUUUAUAUCGUUUUUAAUAAGUGUGAGAUUAUUUACAUUUUCAAAUUUAUUUUGAAUGCUCUUAUUUUUUACUACAAAACCUCAUAAUUCAAUUUACUAUUAAGAGCAAUUCAAUAUAAAUAAAUAGAACAAUAAUACCUUUGACACCCACCUAGAGCGCACACACCCAUGUAAAAUUAUUAAACCUUAAACCGAAGAACAUUCUUCCUCAACAUUAAAACUCGUGCAUUAUUUAAAACCAUAUUUAACAAAUUUUCACAAAGAGACGCCAUGAUUCUAAUUUCUUUGACUUACAUUUCAAUUUUUGUGGAAUAUAUAUCUAUUCCAUAUUAAGAGAUUCUGAAUCUUUCACUCGGCUGUCAAGGAGAUUGUACUGAAUAAACAACAGCAGAAAAACAAAUAAAAAACUUGAUACACGUGUAGAAUAUACUCAUUAAAUUUUAAUUUUCGGCACAAUUAUGAGCUGCAUAUUUAUACACACACACAAAUAACUGUUCUGCAAAUAUGUACAAAUCAAUUUCAGCCAUCCAACUUUUUUUCGAAUUUUAAUGAAUAUAAAUUUUAUAAGUUGGGCAACUAUGAAACAUAAAAUUAGCAAAAUGAUAUUAUUAACAAAUAAGGAGAGCAAAAGGUAAUUAUAUCUUGGUGUGCUAAAUAUUUUUAUGGGUGUAGUGAAAAAACUAAAGAUAAUGGAAGAAAUGUUAUUGAGGAGUAAGUGAAAAGUGAUUUCCUAAAAUCUAUUAACUAAUGCGCAAAAUAGAAGGGCAUUUUGAGAAAAUUUUAGAUUAAAAAUAGUCCCAUCCUUUUAAUAAUAUUCUUCAAUCAAUCUGUUUAUUUCAAAAUAAAAAUCCAUCUCAUUUUUACUUUCUAAUUAGUCAUAUUAAUGUGUUAAUAAUUACGAAGAACCAGUAUUAUUUGUAUGAUGUAGGAAGCCCUUUCGACACAAUAACCCAAAUUUCUAAGAGUAGCGGCUGGACUUGAUUGGGAACAACUUCGAUUCAGUUUAAAAGGUUAAUCUCAAAAUUUCGUGAUAUUGUGCCUAAAGAGCUUCCUGCAUCAGUAUAACAGUUUCUAAAUUAAUAUAAUUGUGUGUUCAUUUUUUAUGAUUUUCCUUUAAUUUUUUUUUUAGAAACUGUUGUUCUUCAAUAAUUAUUCUAACAAUGUUGCUUUAAAGUGAUGUUGAUACGGGAGUCGAUGAGUCUUUAUCUGAAACAAAAAUUUACAAAAAAAAAUAUUAAAUUAAAAAAAAAGUACAUCAAAUAUUGGGCUCCCCCAAGUUUUACAUUUGUCUUCCACAAUGAGACAAGCCCUUUUUUCAAGUGAAGACUUUUGAUGUACAAUUUGUAAAGGAAAUUUGCCCCAUAUAAUUUUCCUUUCUACAACUUGCAAGCUUAUGUAAAUCAUAUCAACUUAAAAGAUUCCAAGAUUUGGUAUUUUGGUGAUUUGAGUAUCCAAUGGUGAUGACACAUACGCAUGGAAGUCCCCUGAUUUGAGUUUGACUAAAAUAAUCUGAAUAAUUUAAAACAACACAUCAGGCCAAAGUCCUUAAGAGAUGAACUGGAUUUCAGUGCAUCACAUUCCGAAAUUGAUACUAACCUUAACUGGGAAGGCAGAACAGCCUCUCUUUCCUACUGUUGCACAAAAUGGCAAGUCAAGCCAAUUCAAGGAACUUCCCUGUUUUUUACUGAAAAAUACAUAAUCUGAACAAUUUAUAAUCAAAUAAAUCAUUCAAAAUAUCCUUUAAUCGAACCCCCGUUUCCAUGGUUUAAUAAAAUAUCACAAAGGUGCCUAAUACAGUGGAAUUAACACUCAGCUCAUGGGAUUGCCAUUAUAUAUAUUGAAACAGAAAUUAAUACAAGAAACUGAAAAUUAGUUGACACUGGAUCACGUUGGAUCGUUAGUUGUUAAUUAUGAUGGAAAUAUAAUCUUGGUCUCUUACUUAUCAUCUAGCUAAUGCAUGUGCACUAGUUUUAAUUGUGUCUAUCACUGUAAAUAGUAGAGUUGCUUGAUUGAAUAGUAUCAUAUUACAUCACAGAAACUCGCUCAAUUUUCAUUGCCAUAUGUAUCUCAAAAGUGCAUGAACAUUGAACAUUCAGCUAACUUAUACCCAACAACAUCCAUCAGUCAGAGUGAAACCCCAAUUGAUUUCAUAAAUACAAAAUAAAUAACUCGCAAAGGCAAUCUUUGACAAUCACAAAAGCAACAACAAUUCACUCCAACAAACAACAUAACAAUUAUAUGGUCUAAAUUGCAGGUCUUUUUAUGAUUUUAAUUGAAAGAGAAAGCACGAGGGACAUAUUAUAUAUAAUUGAAUGUUAUGAUUGAUAAUUGGGCAAAAUAAUACUAAUCUAGCUAACUAGUCCAAUCAUCAUAAUAAUCUGAUUUUCAUUAUUUAAUUAUGUUCAAUCAUGUUAUUUUAAUAAAGAACACUGAACGCUUGAGUAUUUAUAUGUUCAACAACUUCGGCUAAAUUUGAAAAAAAAAAAGUAUUAAUUAUGAAUAGUAAUAAAUUACCCUACAAGCCACAUAUUGCGUACAUAUGCAGUUGCAACAAAUAUAUGUGUAAUAAAAAGAUCAUAUGUGCUUAGAAAAUGAAGCAUCAUUGAAUAAAUGGAAAAAAAAGAAAGAAAAUUAAAAUCAGCGUCCAGCGGAAAGAAUCCAUCUUUACGUGUUGCCUCCAAUUUGGUACAUCUAUCUGACUUUAAAAAAAUUGCAGUAGAAAUUAGAGCUCAUUUUUUUAGAUAUGGCUCAUAUACAAUACAAGUGUCAAGAUGUAAUUAGAGUUUACAUAUAUACACGUGUCUAAUUCUAAUUGACAGACAAACUAAUCAUAAAUACUCAGGUGUUUCUAAAUGAUUGAAUAAUGAUAUUGUAGUGACUUGAUUGCUUUGUUCUCUGAUUAGAAAUAAAUCACUGUCCAAGAACCUUUGUCAAGAUCUGUUCAAGUUGCAAUUAAACCAACACCAAUCUGAGGCUUCAAUGCUGAUUCACACCAUAGCUCUAGGUUAAUGGAGGUUGAAAACAGAAGAUUAAAUUGAACUAGAAGCAGCACACACUCACACAAAGAACAGGAUUUAACGUGGUUCGAUUAUGCAUAAAUGCACAAUCUACAUCCUUGGGAGAAGCCACAGAGCUAAUACAGAGGAGAUUACAAGGAACAAGAAGACUCUUUCUCUCUUUCUAAGAUCUCUCUGGAAAGCUCUCAAAAUCCUAUGCAAUGUUUUUCAACAACCAGCCUCUUUACACCCCUGAUAUUGAAACCCAGAUUGCAUAGCUUUUGGACGCGUGUAUAACGGCUUCAUAACGAAUUUGAUUCCCUUCUCACAUGCGGUCUCACGUGCUUCACUUAAACUUGCUCAAAACGACUGAAAGUAGCGUCGUUUUUCCUUAAGAUUAGUGAAGAAGAUAGCAUGUGUGUUGCACGUGAGUCGUAAGUGGAUUCGCUUACUCAAAACACAGCCGCUUUAGGGCUUCGAGUUUUGGAUUCAUGGCACUCUAGUCCAGAGAUAUUAUUGGUAUUUAUAAAUUUCAAAGUGGUGAUAACAGAUUCACAACAUAUUGGAGUUUUGGAUUCAUGGCACUUAUGGUUUCUCAUCAAAUAAUGUUAUAAAAAAAAAUACAUAAGUUAGAAGAUUCACAACAUAUUGGAGUGUAAUUUCCACUUGAGUGACAAUGAAUGAAGUUAUGUUAAUUUAGAUUAAGUACAAGCCUUCCUAAAUAGGAUUAGAAAUACUCUAUUAACAUAUCGAAUACUACCUUAGUAAAAAUUUAGUUGACAAAAAUUAAAAAAAAAAAAGCCUUGAAGGCUUGAAACAAUUAACACCAACUAAAUAAUUGUCUUACAUCACCAAUUUUUUUUUUUUCAUUUUAAUAAGACAUCACCACACUCCUGACUUUAUAAAGUGACUUUAUAAAGUAAAGCAUAAAAUAUAAUAGAGAAGUUUGAGUUUAAAAAAAUAAAGUUGGGAGAAUGACUUGUCACGCUGUCUUUGAUCAUUGAGCACACAAUUAUCUGAGAAAAAAAAACUCUAUUGUAUUUGUGUUUGUUGUAGAUUCAUGUCAUUUACUAGUCCUUUGGGUUUUGUUGUAUCAAUUCUUUGGUAAAUGUUUAUCUCGUUUUCAUUCUUUUAUGAUGUGAGAUUCCUGGUUAUAUUAGGAAUCAGAGUGAAAUCCAAUCUUAAAAUUUGGAGAAAUAAAACGUAAUAUGAUUUUUAAAAUUUAGAGAAAUAAAAUGUAAUAUGAUUUUUUAAUGAAUAAAACGAUUUAAUUUAUUUCUUUUCUACUAGUAAAAAUUAUUAAUUUAUUAACCCAUCAAGCUAUUGGUUUCAUUUGUAAGCUGGUCAGUCAGUUUUUUAUUUUGAGUUGUUAUCUUUCAAAAGAUAUUAGAAAAAUCUUACUUUGAGUGUACUUGAUCACUUCACUAAUUAUAGGGUAUUUACAAGUUAGAAAAAUAAAUUAUUUCUGGCCGAAGACACUAGAAAUUAAAGUUCAUAUGACUUUGUAAUACUGUUUGGUAAGUGAGAAAAUUGCCGAGAAAAUACAGAGCAAAUAGAAUCUUUAAGAAGAUCUAAAUUUCUGUAUUUUAUUGAUCUAAAAAAAUGAUACAAGCUCUUAUAUACAAUUGUAAGAUUCUACACACUCACAAUGAAAUAUCACGCUACUAGUAAUUAACAACCCUUAUAACAAACUCAACUGAUUCAGGCUGACUCCAGAGAAUGUCGAAAAGCGUUUGGCUAAUUUUUGUAUACACACACAUAACACAAAAUUAAAUUAGUUGGCAGCGUUGACAGUGAGUCGUUUUUGGCCAUCCAUAAGUUCACAUGUGCAUGGACAUCUGUUGCCAGCCCUUUCAUUAUUUUAAAUCUCCAUAACAUUAUUAGAGUCCCACAUUUAUCACACAUCAUUAAGUAGAAUGCGCUAAUUAGGAAGAGCUAGUUUCUUUGUUCUGUUUUCUUGCAUAUGUUGCAAUUUUCGAGUAUCACUGAAAAUUUUAGACCGUCAAACCUGCAGGAAAAUUAUAUACAUAUUCUAUCAUUCAACCUCAACAAAUAAAUUCUUUUCACUGGAAUCCAACAAUCGUUAAGUGUUAACCUUGUAGUUCUCAAGAGCAGAAAUUGUUGUAUUAAUUUUUUCAAAGUGUCUCUCUUAAAAGAACACUAAAGAUAGGAGAGUGAAAUUUCAACUGAGAUCUUGCCACAUAAGACGAUCGAUUUAAUCCGACAAAAUGUGCGUUAGGUUAAUAAGAGCCAAUACUGCCCUGAUCCUUUCUGCAUCUUUCUUCUAUCAGCGGACAAUCCUUGAUAUACAGUUGCAAGAGCGAGGUAGGCACGCUCUUGUCCAAAAAGUAUUUUGGCUUCGGACGAAUAUAAAGCCAAAGAUACACCAACGACGUGAGAUUUUGACCAAUUGAAGGCAGGCAUUCCAUGCUUUGGAAAUCAUAAAUCCACAAAAGGGUUCCUAACUCCUGUGGCGAAAUGACACCACGUCAUGAAGUCCUCCGAUUGACAGUCGUUGUAGAGAUGAGAAUCUGUUCAAUCCCCCUUCCCCCCCACCCCAUCGAUGGCUUCCAAAUCUUCAUAUCAUGAAUAUAAAGUGACUGAAGGUUGCUGGGAAACCUACCAUCAUCUGCCUCAACUGGGAAGCAAUACCAUAUAUGCUUGCCAGACCUCCUCUGUUUCAUUCUUGAAGACUGUGCAUGUCCUUGGGUAAGGCCUCUAGCUUAUCACACCACGUUAUCCGGAGCUUAGACAGUUCCGCAGAAGGCAAUCCUCCUUCAGGAAAGGGUCAUUUCAAUAAAAGCACAGUACAAUUGCUUAACUAAUUUUUUGAAAACAGAGAUAUGAGAGAUUGACAAUUUACAAUUGCUUAACUGCUCAAGAAGAGAGCACGCUUGAAUUAUGAAAUACGAAAAAGAGAGCACAAAUGAAAAAUCUUAAGGAAUCAGCAGGAUUCACAUCCGACCAACUCCACGCUGCUAAAGCAAAGGAUUAAUUUUUGAGAAAUUGUAAAGAAAUUAAUACAAGUGAAAUGAGAGCCUGUUCAUUUGAUUAUUGGCCAAGGGUGAUUUCAAUAACGUUUUCAAAGAAGAUAUAGGACAAAGAUCAGAACGAAAAAUAAGUAAUUUCAGUCGUUGAAAAAAAAGAGCAAGCUUCACACAUGCAUGCAUGUGUCGGACCAACAGAACAUGGCUUGUGUCAAGGAUCAAUCAAAGACAUAUAAACUCAGUUUUAUAAAGUAAGCAUCAAAAUGUUUGACAAGUUUUAGAUUUGUAGAAUAUUGGGAAAGCAGACAAAUAAUCAAUGAAGACACUGCAAGUUAAGCAGAUCAAUUAAACAGAGGAAAUAGCUGAUCAAUUCUUUGUGCAAUGGCCACAGCAACUGUGAGGUUAUAAGUUGCUGAUGUGUUGGGCUUCAAUACAAGAUUCGAAGAGUUCUUGGGGCUGUGUGAAGACUGACUUCAGUUGGAGGGGUCUUAUUGUAAAUUUUAUGCUGAUGUGGCAGAGUUCGUUGAGAAUUCGUUAUGCCUUUUCCAGAAAUAUCAGAAUAAAAGGCGCUGGUGAUUAGCCCCUGAUCUGAGAUCAAUAUCUUCUUCAUUUCUUGUUCAUUUUGUUGGAAAUUUGGUUCUCUGUGAUCCUUGUAAUUGCCUCUUCAUAAUCAACCUGUAUCUAGAUUGUUAUGAUCAACAAAAGAGCAGUUGUUUCCUUCAUUGAUUUGUGUACUUGAAACAGUGCUCUGUGUUCUAUUCUUGGAAUUGCUUUCUUGUUUGGUUGAUCUGGUUUGAUUCUUUCAAGUCCGAUUCAUCAAGUUCUUCACGAAUUAACUUGUGUAGCCAUUAAAGUUUCAACAGCAACAGAUUAAAUAUAUCUACAAGACUACAUUAAUCCUAAUGGCAUGGUAGCAUCUCCAUGCAACAUUACAUUAACAUUUCAUCAUCAAUCAAUUUUGAUGAUAUGAUAUUAAAAACAUUGACUUCAUAAUUUAACAUAUAAAGAAAAAGUAAUACUUAUUUGAUGAGUAUGAUAGACAGCAAAUAUGGAUCAUGCAAUAAUGAAACAUGUAUUUAUAGAAAAAUGUUUGGGAGUAAAAUGAUGCUAUAAAGUUUAAUAUUAGUUGCAAGAAAAAAAAAUUGGCAAUUAAGAUUAACAGAUACAUAUGCAAUGCUUCGAGUUUAUUUUAUGACUUCCGUAACGAUUUUGUAACUACAUAUUGAUUAGAAGUUCGAUUAAUUUUGACCAAAAACUCUAGAGCAAGUCGAAAAGAGAUUUGAUUUUUUGUAUACAAAAAAAAUAAUCAAUAAAAGCAAGCUCUGGUGUUGUUAAGCUAAGGAUACAGGGGUUAAAAUUACUCACCACUCAAUGGAAUCCACCAAAGAGAUACAGAGUUUGAUAAUAACUCAAAGUUCAUCCAAUUUCCAAAAUUAAUCUCUGUCCUUUGGUUACAACUACAUAAGCUUAAAUAGCUUUCUUGGAACAAUCCUCCAAGCAUAGAUUUACUACAAAGAAACCCUUCAAAUAACUUGACUUUAAAGACCAACAUUAAAGCUAGACAUUAAUAAAACAUUGGUAUGCUUAAAACACAACAAAAAAAAUUAAAAAAAAAUCCAAGUCCCGAAAUAUUCUUCUUGACUCAAAACUGAACAGUCUGCACUUAACUGAUCAUAACUUACUGUAGAAAACUCCAAAUUUAGAUUAGUAAAAUUCAUUGGAAAACUAACAGAAAUAUCUUUCCAAUGAUGUAUGGCUCGAAAAUUAAUUCGAUCUCAUGCAGUACAGUUGAAUUCCCAAAGAUGCCCCUUCUGCACAGAAAUUCUGCUCACUUGAUUAAUGUAAGAACUUGAGCUGCACUUGGUAUAACUUGAUUACCAAAUAUUUCAAACGCCCGUGUUAUUUUCACUGGUGGCCGUAGGUCUCAUGACAGACUGAACCACGUUGUCUCUGUUUUCCCUGUGAUUUUGUCUCUGAUUCUUCUUGUUCUUUCUUCUUGAUUCUAUUUCUUGGAAGUUUAAGUCUGGUUUGUUGAAUAUUGAGUUGAUUCAGAUUCGGUUCGGUGCUUGUGCAUCUUGUGUUAGUCUCAUUCAAGAUCUUGGGCAGAGUCUUUGGUUUGACAAGUUAAUUAGAUCGUCCAAAGCUCUACGUUUUUUUUUUUUUUUUAAACAAAAAAGAAGCACAGUCUGCUAUUAAUACUGUAGCAUGUUAGCUACUAUAAAAGCUCGUGUCUAAUUACCAAAUAAAUUCCACUUUAACAAAGAAUAGAAGCUAAUUUUAUUUUUUCUUUUUGUUAUUGAAGUUACCUCGCAAACUUCUCGGAAGCUUAUUACAAAAUUUCCUUUUACUCUAGGAUCUCUUGAAUGGUCCUGCAAUUUGUAUUCUUUUAUGUGGGAUUGGUUUUUUCUUUAAACAAAAUUUCAAGGAUAAGAAACCUUUCCCAUUGAAUACCAACUUUGAAUUUUAUUAUCAUUUGAACUUAGAAAACUGCAGAAACAAAGCGCGUUCAUAGCACCAGCUAAGCUAGCUGUGUCUUGGUACCAUGCUGGUUCUAUUUUUACUUUAUUAAAUAUAUACAAAAUUAAAUCUCCUGAGCCUCUAGCUUCACUAGUUUCCAACUUGAAAUUAAAACGCGGAAUUAAUGGCAUUGGAGUUCGUUAUUUAAUUUUGCUUUGGUUCAUGGGGAAUCAGAUGGCCAUCCAAUUUUUUGUCUAUUUUAAGUACUAUUGGCCACUAAGUAGCUUGCUUAUAUAUGUGUAUUGGGAUGUCAUAGGCCUUAAAGCUGAAAAUCAAUCCCCAAUCUAAAGUGAAAAACAGUAGCUAGAACAUAAUCUAUGUUUUGAUGUCUUAGUUUAUAAGCUCAAACAAUUAGUAGUAUAUAGAAAAUGCCCGAUAGAACCCAAAACUUGUAGUGAUUUUUAGUUUCGAAAUUCAUUUCAGAAAAUCUGUUCCGUUCAACACAUUCAACUAAACUCUAGCCAUGUACUUGUAUGUAUACAGGUAGAGCACUAGGGCAACAAAGGAGUCCAUCCUUAAGGCCUUGUCUAAGACUGGUUGUCUUUUUCAUGAGCUUCUGGCUUUCCAGCUUGCUGAGCGACGUACACAUAAAGAGGUUAUCCUUUUCUUUUUUUCUUUGUUUUUAUAUGACAGAAUCCAUUUUUGAAUAUAUAUAUAUAUAUAUGUUUAGGUACACAAACACACACAUGAAUAUGCAUGUUUUUAUGAGUUCAUUUAAGUAUAUCCAAUGUUGAAUAACUCUUCCAUUUGAACUUGACAGUAAUCAGGUAGUUGAUAUUUAUGUUACAAAAAUUGGAAGUGUUAGAUAUGAGACUCAAAUCUGAACUUGAGAACACAUACGACAAGUCACGUGGAUCUUUGUAUUAAAUGUGACAUGUCAUGCGUAGGAGUUCACGGAGCUGUAUGACAUUCUUGCUCUGUCGGGAAAACGAGUAAGUAACACACGUGACGUAACACGUGCAUAACUUACUCAAAACGACAGGAGUUUGUGCCGCUUUGUGCUCAAGAGCUUGUGAAGGUGUAACACGUGGCUACCAGAGGUUCAAAAGGCCGUUAAAGGUUGUUAUGACGCGGGCAAAAACUGGGGUUCUUCACAAGCAGCCCAGGUGGCGUUAACAGCUGACUGGUGAAGGGUCUUUCUAGAUCCUUUUCUUACUAUAUAUAUGCCUUUAUGGUGAGAUCUCGCGUAGAGUGAUUCUGUAACACCUUCUUAAGAACUUUGUAUCUUUAAUAAGCUCAGAUAGUGGAAUUCUUCUUCUCCUUCACAGUAGAUGUAGGCUCACUCUAUGGCCGAACCACUAUAAAUCAUUUAGUGGAACUCUCCUUCUCCUUCACAGUGGAUGUAGGCUGACUCUGUGGCCGAACCACUAUAAAUCAUUGGUGUCAAGUGUGUGUGUAUUUUUGUCUCGGUUCUCUUUGAGUUUCUUGCUUUGGUUACAACUGAUUCAUCAGCCAUUAAAGCUAAGUAUAUUCUGAAAUCUUGAGUUCAUAAAGGUCGUUCUUGGGGGGUCUAAAUUGGUGCUUAAUCCGGUUUAGUUUCAACAAGAAGCAACAAAAGCAAUUCAGAAUCAUGCAAGGACUUGGAUUUUUUUGUUAAUUCACUGGGCAUAUGUUUAUCCAACCUCUGAUUUUUCUUAAUAUGUCUCAGUAGUUCAUUUCACGCCACUUUUAGCCGCUCCAUUGGCAUUUUCUGCCAUUUGCUUUUGUUCAUUGGAGCAAGUUAGCUUAUUAAAUUGCUUUUCGAUAAAUGUUCUUCAGAGGGAAUGUGAAAAGGCCAAAUGAACCGAGAUGAUCGGGUUUUCUAGAUCAGCCAUCUCUGUCCUCAACGGUGCUGAACCGUCAAUUACUGAGACACCAAACUCUGACCUGAUUCAUAUGGGAUGUAGACCAAAGCUUCUUGCCAUACCAUCUCUGGUCAAAGCUGCUAUCUUUGAAAGUUUUGCAGGACAAAACAUGUCGGAGUCAGAAAUUGACGUCACCCCUAGCAUAAAACGGUGUAUCAAGAGCAAUUUUGGUUUCCCAGUCGAUACAGAUACAGAAUUCAUAUAAGCAGGUUGCUCUCAAUCUCUGUUUAAUAAGCUUCCUCUGCUGUAUCCUAGAACGUUAUGCUUCCCAGCUGGCUAGAAUGGGAACUAUGUUUCUGCUGCAAAAUUUUUGAAAGCGAGCAUUGUGAAUAUCCCGACUGUGUAUGAAGUGGGCCUUAAGAAGACAGAGAGGACACUUGUGACAAUACUCGAGACUGUAAAGAAGCCGUGGGUAUACAUUUCUGGUCCAACAGUCAAUCCAACUGGCUUGCUUUAUAGCAACAAAGAGAUAGAGAAUAUAUUAACUGUUUGUGUAAAAUAUGGGCCAAGAGUUGUGAUUGAUGCUUCAUUCUCGGGAUUGCAAUUCAAAUACGAGGGUUGGGGUGGCUGCAAUCUGGAAGGCUGUUUAUCGAAGCUGUAUCGUCUCUCUCUGUGUCUCUGCUGGAGGGCUGUCUCCGAAGAUGCUUACUGGAGCCCUCACAUUUGGAUUUCCGGUUCCAAACCAACGUCAUUUAGUUGAUGCAUUUAGUAGCUUUCCGGGAUUAAGAAUAUAUUUUAUGCUAUGAAGAAUACAUUUUUGAUAAAUUAACCUCAAUUCUGAAUUUUAAUUUAGAGAAUGUCGAGAAGAGAUUUGAUUUUUCAUAUAGAAAAAAAUUAGACAUGAAAUAAGUCAAAAUCAAUUACAAGAACAACAAUAAGAAUGUAUUUUUUAAAAGCCACAAAUACAUAAAAUAUAAAUUUAGUUUAAGAUUAGGUAAUUAUUAAUUUGCAUAGUAAGAGGUUCUCGUUGGAGAAAUCCAUUAACCUUCGGCUAAUUUGAUGCAAGGUAUAAUUUUGCAAUGCCCAAUAAUAUAUAGCUGUAUGGUAUUUCUGUAUUAUAUAUACUCCUAAUGAAAAUGAAGCAAAUACGUAAUACUACUACUAUGACAUAACUUUCAUGAUUGCCAACUGCCAAAACCAGCCACCUCUCAUACGUGCCUUAUUGAGCAUGGAAACACCUUAUAUUAUAAUUUCCGUUCACCCAUAGAAGAAUUUCAGGGCCAUUAAUUCAACAAUUACCAAACCAAUAUCCCAAUGAUAGUUGGAUUACUAAUCUUAGCAUUAAAAGAUCUACAAUUUUUAUUUGGCCAAAAUAAAGGUUUUCUUACUGCCUUCUUGAUCUUUUCCUGCCUGGUGAUUCCUGAAUGUUCCUCCCAUUCUCAUAUGCUGAGUCGCUUGCUGAGAUGAUAAAUACUCGAGGGUCCUUCCAUAAGACAAUUCAGCAGACACCUGAUUCAUUCUAUCAAACAUCAGCAUCACUAAUAACUAAAUGGUGUAAGAUAGUCUGGUUUGAAAAUUCUAUAUAAAUCAAAUUUUUAUUUUUCAUCAUUAUGGUUAAUGGCUUAGCAAAUGCAGGAGUACGGAUCAGACAAAAUGAAGCACUUUCUCUCGUAUUAAGCUUUAUUAGUCGUUGAAGCUAACAAAUUUUAAAACAAGUCAAAACAGUUCCAACUCAGAAUCAGUAGGCCGUAAUUGGGUUGUUAUAAAUAUUUCAAAGUUUCAGUUUAAUUUAAUUGUGUAUGCACAAACUAACUUUAUCACUUCUUUCAUAUUAAUAUUCAUAAAUUUCAACCUUAUUUUAUGUUGAUGCACAAAAUGUUUUUUUGUUAUAUAUAUAUUCAAAUAGUCAAAUUUCUUCUUCUUUACUCCAGGAUCCAGCUCUGUACCCCACUUUUUUGUCGUCAUUCUACCCCGCUGUUAGAUUUUAAUUCCGUUGAUCUAAUGGUUGGGAUUUGUAAGUGAAUAACGAAGUGCUGUUUGGCUACCGUCUGAUAGCAAAUCUGAAGCAAAUGUAAUCACCACCAUGCCGGUAUAUUCAUUCAAAUAUUAAACGUACAGAGAAGAAAGCAAAUUGUGGCAGGAUAGCGAAAAUUGCAAACGGUCAUUCCCAACACGAACACCUGUGGCUGUUUUCCUUUAAUUUUCUUCUUUGAAUUUUCCUUUGAUUAAUCAUUAGAAAAACUGCUUUUUUUUUUUCAAAAUCAUGUGUUAUUAACAUUUACAUAGUUAAUUCAUCAAAAUCAAAUGGUUGUUAUCUACGAAAAGACAUUGAAAAUUUCCUUGUCACAAGUCUUUUCGUAUUACAAAAGCAUAUUUAACAAAAUUGCACUCACAGAUUCUAUGAUUCUAAUUUCUUUGACUUGAUUUUAGUUUUUGCUGAACAUAUAUGUAUCCCAUAUAAAGUGUUAGUGAAUUUUUCAUUUCUCUAGCAAGGAGGUUCUGCACGAAUAAACAACAGCAGAAAAUAUAUAUAUAUAAAACGUGAUACGAGUGUUUGUACUUUGCUAAUGGCGUUGCACUCUCCAAACAUGAAGAGUGCAUUAAGGUGCAUUAAGCAUUGGCUGAUUAGAAUCAUUCAUGUUAAGAAAUAAAAAUAUUAAUAGUGAUGACUCAAAGGAAGUCCCGUGUUUUGAGUUUGACUAAAAUAAUCUGAAUAAUUCAAAAUAAUCCAUCAGGCCAAAGGAAGUCUCGUGUUGAACUGCAUUGGGAAGGCAGAGCAGCCUCUGUUUUUUCACUAUAAUACUAAGGAUUGACUUCAAUUGAGAAGUCAGGCCAAUUGAAGAAGCUCCCCUGUUUUUGACUGAAACAUACUCCGAACAAUUUAUCAUUAAAUAAAUUAUUCAAAAUCUCCUUUAAUCGAACCCCCAUGUCUAUGGUUUAAUAAAAUAUUAAAAAGGUACCUAAAACAGUGAAAUUAACACUCAGCUCUUAAAGUUGCCACUUUAUGUAUUGAAAAAUGUACUUGAAAACGAAUGUUGAGAUUUUUUUCCCCAAUGAUUUCAUAAACACAAAAUAAAGAUCAUAUAUACUUUGAAAAUGAAGUUUCAGCAGCUGAGAAAGCUAGCCGUUACUAACAUAUUACACCCACCCACCCCACCAAGAAAUCCAUUAAUCUUGGGUUAAUCUGACACAAGGUAUAAUUUUGCAAUGGCCAAUUAUAUAUAGUUGUAUGGUAUUUCCGUAUUAUAUAUACUCCUAAUGAAAAUGAAGCAAGUACGUAAUACUACUACUAUGACAUAACUUUCAUGAUUGCCAACUGUCAAUACCAGCUACCUUUUAUACGUGCCUUAUUGAGCAUGGAAACAUCUUAUAUUAUAAUUUCCGUUCACCCAUAGAAGAAGUUCAGGGCCAUUAAUUCAACAAUUGCGAAACCAAUAUCCCAAUAAUAGUUUGAUUACUAAUCUUAGCAUUAAAAGAUCUGCAAUUUUUUUUUGGCCAAAAUACAUGCUUUCUUACUGCCUUGUUGAUCUUAUCCUGCCUGGUGAUUCCCGAAUGUUCUUCUCAUUCUCCUAUGCUGAGUCGCUUGCUGAGAUGAUGAAUGCUCGAGGGUCCUUCCUUGAGACAUUUCAGCGAACACCUAAUUCAUUCGGUCAAACAUCAGCAUCACUAAUCACUAAAUGAUGUAAGAUAGUUCUGGUUUGAAAAAUCAAUAUAAAUCAACCACCUUAGAUUUUCUUAGUCUCAGAGCACAAUGGGCGAUGAUUUGAUGAGAAAUACUAAUAACAUGCAUCCCCUGUAUUAGUUAGAGCUGCUUGUCAUUUUCUUUUUUCUUUUGGGUACUGUUUUAAAUUUUUAAUCAAUCGGAUUGAGCUGCAUGUUUGCUUUCAGUCCAAACUGAAAUCAGACAUUAAGUAUUUUUGCUAGAAUGAAUGCAACCAAGAUUCUAUGGGAUAUGUAUGAAGAUGAUGUAAUAAAGUGCUUUUGAUAUAUUCCCCUAGUCGGUUUACUUCACUAACCAUUAACGAGCAAAUCCUCCCAAUGACCCUCAAAACUCUUGUGCACAAUUAAAAUAAUUUCAAUUAUAUAUAUAUAUAUAUAUAUAUAUAUAUAUAUAAAUAAACUCUCAAAUAUGUUAUUUGAUAAUCACCAAAAAAAAAAACAAUUCACCCCAAUAAAUCACAUUACAGUCUAUGUUGCAAGUCUUUUUAGGACUAAUUCAAAGAGAAAAUGCGAAGGACAUGUAAUUGAAUUUGGGACACAGAAUAUAUUCCCAAUUACCCUUUAGUGUAAACAGUUCCACUUCAGAUAUAUAUAAUGAUGAUGAAAUUUUGUUUUCUCAUAGCAAUCAUUCUAGUGUUUUACAAUGAGUAAUUGGUUCAAUAUUAACACAACACUAUUUUAACAUGUGACAUAUUCUAUCGUAGUGUGCUUCAACUCAUACUUCUAACUCAAAUAGAAAAGUUUCCAUUUUAAUUUUAUUCAAUCUAAUGGUGCACGUUUUUAGUCAAAAAGCCACAAUAAGUCAUCGUUAUUCUUCUACUAUUGAAAUGAAUAUAUCAAAUGGAUGAAAAUUAAAUUAAAAGAUUGAAAUGACUAUGUGGAAGAAAAUUGAUGUAAAAUGUUGAAGUUAAGAAGCCCUCCGAAUUAUAGAAGAAACGAAAUAUAUUGACACACAACAGUUUAUUUAUUAAUUAAGAGAGACAAAAUAUAUAAAUACAAACAAAGAAAAUCUCUUGCAUAUAUCAAACUUACGCUCACGUAAUUGACAGGUAAUAACAAUACCCAUUUUUUUUAUUUCAUAAAACAUAGUAUGAAAGAGAACACUUCAUGCAUUUAACCACUAUAAUUAGGAUUUCUCUCAUAUUGAGAGACUAUUAAAAGAUCAAGAUUGUCAUCUUUUAUAUCCUCGUCACGACAAUACUAAACACACGAUGAUGCCUUCAACCCUCCAACCCAUCGAUCUUACCUGAAAAAAUUAUAAUUAAUAGGAAACUUAUUCACAAAUGCAUAUAUUUAGAAAAGAAUUACAAAUGAACGAACUCAGCCUAAAAAUUAACCUGCACAAGCAAAGAAAUUAUAUACCAUUUUUGACUUGCGAACAAAAGCGAAGCAAUAAUGCAUGGUAUAGACAUAAGCCAUUUUUAAAAGACUAUAUUCAUCAUGCGGAAGUUAGAAAACUUACCUCCUGCCAUAGUUAUCAGAUUUAAUUGUACACAACUUUUCUACUAGAAUGCAAACAAAACCAACGAAAACAAGCGAUGCUUUGUAAUCAGAAUUUUCUAGUCUAUCUAACACUUAAUUCCUGAGAGUAGAUGGUAUACACAAGCUCUGUUGUUAGACCAGGGACCCUCAAUAUUUUUUUUGAAAAAACUUGACCGUAAGUCAUCUCCCAUCAAGAUGACAUGUUUAAAUAAAAGAGGAAGUUAUGAGCCAUUAUCCCUUUGAUUUUAGGAAACCACCCGUAACGUGUAUGAGAGAUAUUAAGAAGAGUUGUUUUAUCUUUAUUCCAAUUUUAAACCAAAACCAACGUUUUGAAAUUAAACUAGAUAAAGAUAAUUAUCAAUUUAAAUUAGAAAACUAAUAAUUAAAAUAAAUUAGAUGGCCAUAUUAUACACGUUUUGAAAACGUGUCUAACAAUUUUUACUUUAUUGCAAAUGUGAUCAUAUGGCCUGAUGCGGUCCACAAAAUAUAUAGUUGUCAAAAAGAAGACGAACAAAGCAAUUGAUCAUAAGCCAUUUUUACUUUAUUGCAAUAAAGCAUGAUUAACGCUUAUUGCAAUCACUAAAGAAAGAGAGAUUCUAGAGUACAUAGAAUUAUUACGCUUGAUUAAUAUAUAUAUAUAUAUAUAUAUAUAUAUAUAUAUAUAUAUAUAUAUAUAUAUAUAUAUAUAUAUAUAUAUAUAUAUAUAUAUAUGUAAUUUCCCUAACGAAUAUGUCUAAUUCAGGAACUAAUUACUUUUUCAGGCCUAUGAAGUCAUUUCAAUAUUUUAAUUUUUUAAUCAUUUAUUUACUAUUUACAUAUUAAUAUUUUGAUUGUUAAUUUUUUACAUUUCCAAUUACUUAACAUAUAUCAAUUAUUUUUGUUGCCUUUACAAAGUCGUUACAAGAAUAUUAUGUUAGAGUGGAGAUACUUUCAUACUUUCAUGAGUUAACGGCGGUCAAUGGUUAAAGAUAACGAGUUUUGGGGUAGAUUGAUGUUUUCAAUAGUAAGAGGGGGAAAUUUGAAGAUUGUCAAUUCCCUAAGGGUAAUUAGAAAUUAACCCAUAUAUAUAAUAGGUACAUUUGAUAUGAAACGUAUAAUUUAAUUAAAUAUAUCUAUUAAUUACAUUUUAAUUUUUUAAAAUAAAUAUACACAUAAUAUAUAUGUAUUAAUUUAUAUAAAAAUAUAUAAAGAAAAUUAUUAUGUAGCACAAAUUCCCGCCCUAUUAAAGAUCUCAUGAUAUCCAAAAAAAUAAUUAUAUAUUUAUAGCAAAGUGUUGGUAUAUUUUGAAGGAACGAGUUCGGUACGGAAAUGUAAUAGUAUGUGUUUUUAAUGACGUUUAUAAAGUCAUUAAAUGUCAAAAGGAAUGAAUUUAGUGAUCAAUUAAUAAUUAGAUAGGUAAACAUGAAAUCUCUCGGUCUAUUAAUGUAGUAUAGUUUCUCCCUCAGUUAUUAUCAUUAAAUUAAUUUGUAAAUCUCGUUUCCCGCUACUCCUUCCAAAUAUACAUGAGUAGUGAUAUUUGGCCCUUUUAUUAUAACUCACAAUCUCCUAUUUUUUUGUUAACCCCAUUAAAUAUUUUUAAAUAAAUUUUUAUCUCUCAACAUAUCACACAUAAUUAUGGAUUUACAUUUAUUAUAAUUUCUAUCUUUUUUUCCAAGCACUCACUAUAUAAAAUUUAUAAAAUCUAUUUAAAAAAAAAACUCUCAUAAUCACUAUAAUCUCUUUUUUUAAAAAAAAAAAAUUUAUCCGUCGUUGUCAUAAUCAUUAAAAAGAAAAAGGCACCAUCCUUUAUUGAAAUCUCUCGGUCUAUUAAUGUAGUAUAUUUUCUCCCUCAGCUAUUAUCAUUAAAUUAAUUUGUAAAUCUCCUUUCCGGCUACUCCUUCCAAAUAUACAUGAGUAGUGAUAUUUGGCCCUUUUAUUAUAACUCACAAUCUCCUAUUUUUUUGUUAACCCCAUUAAAUAUUUUUAAAUAAAUCUUUAUCUCUCAACAUAUCACACAUAAUUAUGGAUUUACCUUUAUUAUAAUUUCUAUCUUUUUUCCAAGCACUCACUAUAUAAAAUUUAUAAAAUCUAUUUUAAAAAGAGAAAAAAACUUUCAUAAUCACUAUAAUAUCUCUUUUCAAAAAGAAAAUUUAUUCGUCGUUGUCAUAAUCAUUAAAAAGAACAAGGCACCAUCCUUUAUUGAAUAUUGAGUACUGUAAAUUAAUUUCUUUCACGAUUACAAAAAAAGAGUAUACAAUAUUUGAGAAAAAAAUAAUGAUUUAAAAAGUUAAAAAAAUUAGAGUUUAAGAAAUUAGAUUAGCUAAAUUCGAUAUUAAUAGAAAUUGUCAUAUGAGUGCACUUAAAAGUUAUUUACCCUUUUAAAUCAUUUCACAUAAUAAUAAAAUAUGUACUAACAUAAAAGUGAUUAGUAGAGACUGAUGAGAUAUAAUGAGUCAAAUAUCAAAUUCUACAUAUAUAUAAUAGCUAAUAUAAUUGUUUAAAUAGGAUUGUAAUUAAACUCAUUAAUUAACUACCUUUAAUUUUUCAGUAGGCGAUAUUUUUGAAACGUGAUGAUCAUGUGUGAAUAUUAUUCGAAAGUAAUGAUUUUACUAAAAUCUUCGUCUACAAUGAUGUUACAGUACUGAUGCUCAUUUAUUAGCUGUUGUCUUACCUCUUAAUUAAUUUUUUGCAUUUGCACUUGGAAUUAAUCAUUUGGCCGUGAUAGUAAUGCUACAGCCAGCGGAAUUUGAGCCUCCCUUCUUCAAUGCCUGGUACGAGAAUGAAGCUAACAAUCGGGAUGGACAGAACAUUCUGUUAUGGCAAACGUGUUUACUUCACUUUCAUUAACAAGACUUAAGCAACCCACAAAACCAGAGUUUGCAGAAACAAGAUUAAGAAACAAAACAAAAGAAGUAUCAAGCAAUCAAAGAUACUCAACACACCAAGAAUCUAACGUGGUUCAGCUCCACAAAGGAACCUACAUCCACGGCUGUAAAACCAGCAAGGGCAGAAGCUUUAUUGAACAACAAGAAGAUCGUUUACAACUGAGUCACCAAUUACAGAUUAAAGCCUAUCGAAUGUUUUCUCUCUGUAAAUCCUCUCUGUUUUUCUAUAUAUGUUUUACUAGCUUAGAGACAACUUAUAUAUGUAAGCUUCUCACGUGUGUUCCACUUGCAAUGAGUCAGUCUGUUAUUUAACUAACUAACCAACUCUUGACUUGAAUCCCACUUAUGCCAGCUCAUACGACACCUCAGCAUGUCCAUAACAGAUUAUAACUAAUCUCGGCUUCACAAAUCUCCACCUUAGUUCUAAUCUGAUUAUGCUUCUCCCUUCACUGCAACACAUCACCAGAAAGCUUGUUUCAUAAGCUAACACUUCCAAUCAGAUUCAGUAAGUCCCUGAACCUGACUGAUGGCAAAGGCUUGGUUAACAUGUCAGCUGGAUUUACUUCAGAUGGCACCUUAACUACAUUUACUACUCCUUUGCUGAUUUCAUCCCUUAUAAAGUGCAUUCUAACAUCAAUAUGUUUAGUUCUCUCAUGAUACUUAGGAUUUUUACUUAGCUGAAUAGCACUUAAGCUAUCACAGCCAACUACAACAACUUCUUGUUUAAACCCCAACUCAGAGACUAGUCCUCUCAGCCAUAUUGCCUCUUUGACAGCUUCUGUAAGUGCAAUAUAUUCAGCUUCUGUUGUUGAGAGGGCAACCACUGAUUGCAGGGAAGACUUCCAACUUAUAGCACCUCCACACAUGGUAAACACAAAACCUGUGAUGGAUCUUCUUCUAUCUUUGUCUGCUGCAUAGUCUGAGUCCACAAAUCCAGCUACUUCAGGUGAUGCUCCACUUAAUUUCCCAAACAUAAUGGCAGUGACAGCAGACCCUUUGAGAUACCUUAGUACCCAUUUCACUGCAUUCCAGUGACCCUUCCCUGGAUUCCCCAUAAACCUACUGAUGACUCCAACUCCAUGAGCCAAGUCAGGUCUGGUGCACACCAUGGCAUACAUGAUGCUGCCAACUGCACUGGAGUAAGGUAUCUCCUUCAUGUAGUUGAAAUCAUCAUCAGUGGUAGGUUCCAGUGACUUGGAUAACUGAAAGUGAGUUGACAGAGGUGUUGAAACAGGCUUUGAAUCUUCCAUAUUGAACCUGGUUAAUACCAUCUUCACAUAAUCCUCCUGAGAUAGAUACAAAACUUUGGACUCCUUAUCUCUCUUUAUCUGCAUUCCUAGAAUCUUUGUAGCUGCACCCAAAUCCUUCAUUUCAAAUUCAGUGCUGAGCUCCACCUUAAGCUUCUUUACUUCUUCCUUUUGUUUACAUGCAAUAAGCAUGUCAUCCACAUACAGAAGUAAGUAGAUGCCUCUACCAUUUGUCAGGAAUUUAAAAUACACACAAUUAUCAAAUCUGCUCCUACAGUAUCCAUGGCUUAGCAUGAAUUCAUCAAACUUUAAAUACCAUUGCCUUGGAGAUUGCUUGAGGCCAUACAAACUCUUCUUCAAUAAGCACACUUUAUCCUCUGAUCCUCUCUCAAUGAACCCUUCUGGUUGUGCCAUGAAAAUCUCUUCAUCAAGACUGCCAUGUAAAAAGGCAGUUUUAACAUCCAUCUGCUCCAGCUCCAGGUCAUGAUAUGCAGAGAGGGCCAGCAGCAACCUAAUUGAGCUAUAUUUGACUACAGGUGAGAACACUUCAUUGAAGUCAACUCCCUCUCUCUGUGUGAAUCCCUUUGCUACAAGUCUGGCUUUAUAUCUUGGUGGUUCAUUUUCUGAAGCUCCAGCCUUCAACUUGAAAAUCCACUUGCUGCCAACUAGUUUCUUGUUAGAUGGUCUGUCCACUAAGAUCCAAGUAUUAUUUUUCUUUAAAGAGACUAUUUCAUCCUGCAUUGCAGCAUACCAUUUCAGCUUAUCCUCACAUCUCAUAGCUUCUUUAUAGCUCAAAGGUUCUCCACCAGUUACUUCAUCACCUACUGUUAGUGCAUAGGAAAUGAGGUCAGCUAUGCCAUACUUCUUUGGCAUUUUGAUGGCUCUCCUCUCUCUGUCCCUAGCAAGCUGAUAUGUUUCCAGUUCUGGUGGUUGUUUUCUUUCCUUGGUCUGGUCUGAUGGUUGUUCAGGAGGCUUACAACUAUCAGAAUGCUUUACCAUCUGUCCAGCACUUUCUUCUUCCUCUGUUUCAGCAGCUUCAAUCUCAGUUUCUACCUUUGACUGGAGCAUUUGCUCUUCAUCAAAGGUGACAUCCCUGCUGAUUAAUAUCCUAGAUGGUUUCCCAUUAAGGGUCCAUAUCUUGUAUCCAUUAAUGCCCUCAGGAUAUCCCAAGAAAUACCCUUUAACAGCCCUUGGUUCAAGCUUACCUUGCUUUAAGUGUGCAUAAGCUGGACACCCAAAGAUCCUCAAAUUGCUCAAGUCUGGUGGCUUUCCAGACCAAAGCUCCUAAGGUGUCUUGAAACCUAAAGCUGAGGAUGAGCUUCUGUUUAUCAGGUAAGCAGCUGUGGUGACUGCUUCUGCCCAAAAACCUUUGGAUAUGUUUGCAUUCAGCAGCAUGCAUCUUACCCUCUCUAUUAUGGUUCUGUUCAUCCUUUCUGCCAGUCCAUUUUGUUGUGGAGUGUAGGUGACAGUUCUAUGCCUUGCAAUGCCCUUAUAUUUGCAGAAAUCUUCAAACUCUUUUCUGCAAUACUCUAGCCCAUUGUCUGUUCUGAGCCUUUUUAUUUUCUUACUAGUUUGGUUUUCAAUGAGAGUAACCCACUCUUUGAACUUCCCUAGUGCUCCACUUUUGUGUUUCAACACAUAGAUCCAAACCUUCCUAGAGUAGUCAUCUAUGAAGGACACAAAGUACCUAGCUCCACCUAAAGAUGGAACUUGUGAUGGCCCCCAAAGGUCUGAGUGGAUGUAAUCUAGUGUCUGUUUGGUUUCUUUUCUCCCUGAACUGAAUUUCAGUCUUGUGGCCUUCCCAAACACACAUUUCUCACAGAAUUCUAAGGAAGUAACUUUAUCAUUACCAAGCAAACCUUGAUUGCUUAGCUCCUUGAGGCCUCUUUCACUGAUAUGAGCUAGUCUCAUGUGCCAGAGUUUGGUUUUAUCUCUGGUCACACUUGCUGAGAUCCCUUGCACAGGUGAGGAUCCAACUAGUAUGUACAGCCCAUUUUUCCUAACCCCUUUCAUAACAAUUUUACCCUGAUCCAAGACCUGUAUCUCUCCAUUUUCAGCCUUAAUAGUACACCCUGAUUGGUCAACCAUUCCUAGAGAUAUCAGGUUUCUUUUCAGUUCAGGGACAAAUCUCACUUGGUGUAAAUCUCUAGUGACACCAUCAUGCAAUUUUAAGCUAAUGGUUCAUAUCCCAGCCACCUUGCAAGCUAGGUUAUUUCCCAACAACACCUUUCCACCAUUUACACUUUCAAAGGUCUUAAAGAAACUUUUAUUUGGACACAUGUGGAAUGAGCAACCAGAGUCCAGAAUCCACUCACCAGUUGGGUGCCUCUCUGCAGCCACCAAGACAUCUGCUUCAUCAUAGUCACAUUCAUCUUCAGAGGCAACAACAGCCUUUCCAUUUGAUUUCUUUUAUAGUUCUUCUAAUUUCUUUUUCUCGAAGCAAUCUUUAAUGUAGUGUCCCUCUUUCUGACAGAAGUAACACUUCCUCUUCUUCUUUUUCUUUUCAGCUUUAUCUUUCUUGUUGUUGUUCUUUGUUUGCUUAUUGUGUUUCUUUUCUGGCUUUCCUUUGACAACCAAACCUUCUACAUUAUUUUGAUCUUUCAUGUCUGAUCUUUUCUUCAAAUCCUUGGAUUCCAGAGCAUCUUUGACAUCUUUCAAAGAGAGGGUUUGUCUGCCAUAGAGGAGGGUAUCUACAAAAUGUUCAUAAGAUUCUGGAAGAGAACUUAAGAGGAUGAGUGCCCUGUCUUCAUCUUCAAGAAUUAUGUUGACAUUCUCGAGAUCAAGAAUGAGUUUGUUGAACUCAUCCACGUGAUCUUUCAUGGCUACUCCAUCUUUCAUUGAGAAUGUGUAUAACCUCCUCUUCAUAUACAGUCUCUUAGCCAAUGAUUUUUUCAGAAACAUUUCUUCUAACUUGCUCCACAAACCAGCUGCAGAUCUUUCUUUGGAUACUUCUCUCAAGACUUCAUCAGAGAGGUGCAAGAUAAUGGUGCUAUGGGCCUUAUUGUUUAUGAUCCUCUGAUCUGCACUAAAGCUUGAAGAGCCUUCUCCAUUCUCUUUCUUGGCCAUCGGAUCUUCUCCAUCAUCGAGGGCACUGUCAAGCCCUUGUUGAAUAAGUAUCGCUCUCAUCUUCAAACUCCAGAGAUAGAAAUCAUUGUCUCCAUUGAAUUUUUCAAGAUCCACUCUGGUGCUUGCCAUCUUUGAGUCUGAUCCCAACCGACACCAGGCUCUGAUACCAGUUUGUUAUGGCAAACGUGUUUACUUCACUUUCUUUAACAAGACUUAAGCAACCCACAAAACCAGAGUUUGCAGAAACAAGAUUAAGAAACAAAACAAAAGAAGUAUCAAGCAAUCAAAGAUACUCAACACACCAAGAAUCUAACGUGGUUCAGCUCCACAAAGGAACCUACAUCCACGGCUGUAAAACCAGCAAGGGCAGAAGCUUUAUUGAACAACAAGAAGAUCGUUUACAACUGAGUCACCAAUUACAGAUUAAAGCCUAUCGAAUGUUUUCUCUCUGUAAAUCCUCUCUGUUUUUCUAUAUAUGUUUUACUAGCUUAGAGACAACUUAUAUAUGUAAGCUUCUCACGUGUGUUCCACUUGCAAUGAGUCAGUCUGUUAUUUAACUAACUAACCAACUCUUGACUUGAAUCCCACUUAUGCCAGCUCAUACGACACCUCAGCAUGUCCAUAACAGAUUAUAACUAAUCUCGGCUUCACACAUUCUUUAGACAUAGAGGUCAAAUUAAGAUAAGGGGGGUCAAGAUUUUUUGUUAAAUUUUAUAAGAUAUGAUGAUGGUUGCUUGUAAUAUGUUGUAAUGGGCAAACUAUGGAAGCAUAACAUCUGCAAAGACUUGCUUUUGUCUUUAAUGGACAACUAGCAAGUAAAAACCUUGCUUGAUAUGCUGCUUUUAGAAACCAAUUUGCAAUCCAAUUCAAUAUUACUAUUCAUUUUUCAGGUACAUACAAGUUGGGAAUGCUGUAGCAAUUCCAGUUGGUAUUGUAUUGGGAUACGCUUUUGGUCAAGCUUGCCAAGGAUUAGCCGAUGAUGAUCAGCCAUUGACUAUACUCCCUUUCAAGUUUCCCAAUUGUCUUGCACAGUCAUCUUCAACACUUGCAGAAGAAGAUUCUGAUUGAAAUUGUAAGGAAAACAUAAAUAUGAUUCAUCAAAUUAUACUCUUGUUAGUUGCGAGUUAUUACCAAUUUGAUUUUUAAUUUGCUAUUGAUGUACGGACAAGCAUGUUCAAUGCAUUAUUUGUUAUUGAAGAUGUUUCGAGGUAGGAAUUAGAAUAUGUUGCAUCUUUUAAUUAGUGUUUUAGAUAUAUAUACUUUAUGCUUUUUCAGUCUGUAAUCACAUGUAUCAAAUAAAAGGUUUAGUUUUAGGGUUAAUUUUGGUAUCAAUCAUAAAUGUCUAUAUCAUUAUUGAAAGGGUGUUAAAUUAAAUGCUAAAAGGAUGAAUUUUUUUCCCUCAAGUGUGAGGGAUGUUUAUGAAAGUGACACCAUCAUAUGGCAUGGAGUCAUACUAUUAACAUAUUAUUUGAAUAUUAUUCACCAAAUAUCACAUAAUCAUGCCUUUUAUACAAGUGUAUAUAUGUAGAUGUAGUACAUACUCUUAUAUGUAGCCAUGAGAUCGAAUCAUGUCUUAGUAAAUGAAAAGUUGCUUCUUGUAAUCUUAUACUACGUUCUUUGAUAAAGACUUUCGCUUUUUGCUUUGAAAUGGUAACUAGGGGUGGGCAAAAAAAACCGUAGUCUUAAAAAAACCGAACCGAAUAGACGAUUUUUUCUAAUUCGGUUCGGUUUUUAUUUAAAAAAAAAACCGAAUAUACCGUUUGUAAAAAACAACCGACCCGAAAAACCGAAUUAUUGAUGAAGAUCGGAGAAUGUUGUUGGCGUUUGUUUGUAAUUUUAUUUUUUAUUUUUUGUUGUAAGUUGUAAUUGUUGUUAUUUUUAUUUCUCUUUAUAACAUUAUGAUUAUGUUUAUAUAGAUGGAGUAUUGGAGUUUGGUUAUGUAUUUUGAAAUUUUAAUAUUUCAUAUUUUGGGAGUAUCUUAUUAAUAGUUAGUAAAAUAUUAGUGAUAAAAUGUGUUUUGAAUACUUUGUAUUUAUUGUUAAUAAUUGUAAUAAAAUUAGGAUAAAUUAAUUGUUGAAAAAAAUUAUUACAUUCAUGAGGCCCAAUGGGCUAAAAAUUUAAAAAUUCAAAAUAGGCCCUAUGAGCCCAUAACCAAAAAAACCGAACCGAACCGAACCGAACCGAACCGAUUCGAAAAGAACCGUUUGAGUUCGGUUCUUAUUCGGUUCUACUUAAUUUCGAACCGAACCGAACCGAACCGUGCCCACCCCAAUGACAACUACAUAAUAAAGUAAAGACUUUCGCUUUCAUUCUUUAGUGGCAUUCUAUGAUGAAUUGACACAUUUUGUGACCCAUGCUUAAACCAUGUGGUGCUUUUUAUCAUCAUUAUUCCCAUUUCCAUUCUGCUUUUGGCUUUUAGGAAUUAAGGGUAUGCAACUUGCGAGCUUCUUUUGUCACCAACCCAAAAGGCCAAAACCAAUAAAAGAAAGCAACUCUCCUUCUUGUUCUAUCAUUCAUGUUUCAUUCUCUAGAUUGCCGUGCUCUUUGGUUUAUGAAAACGACAAAAUAUAGAACUUUAAUUAAUUUGAUAUGAUUUCAAAGCAUAAUGAGGAUGCAAUACGACAAAAUAUAAACAUUUAUUAAUUUGAUUAAAUUCCAAAGGAUAAUGAGAAUGAGGGAACAAUGCAUUGGAAAUUGCACUAGAAUUGGAUGUGGAUAAAAAUAAAAUGCGUUUUCUUUGGGGUUUUAAUUCAAAAGAGAGAAAUAUAAGUUGUAUUUUACUAAUUAAUCGAAAAAAAAAUUUAAAAAGUAUUUAUUCGUCAAUGGAAAAAAAAUUAUGAAAAGAUUUAAAACAAAUUUCACCAGUAUUUUCUCAAACCAAGAAUGGUUACUACGAACAUCAGGCAACAAACAGACAAUUUCCAAUUUAAUUAUUAGUUUUAUAUUUAUAUAUAUAUAUAAGUUCGUUUUGAUUUUUUAAUGAAUUAUAUAAGUGGGCCAUUUGUCUAAAGUCAGACAGUCAAUAACCACCGGCAUUGUUAUAUAAAACUUCUGUUUUAAAAUUUUUAACACCUAAUGUGAAAAUAUCCUCAAGGGGCCCUAGACUUUAUAAAAUAUAAUAUUAAAUCUAGUGCUAAAAAAUACUACAACUUAGAUCUACCUUAUAUUCUUGUUAUUACAAGGUGAUAAAAAUCUGUUUGCAAUUUUUGCCAUGUAGUUUGGAUUCAUAAUAAAAACACUAUUUUUUAGAUUUAUUUUGAUGUUCGAACUUGGUAAAAAUAUUUAUUUAAAUUAUUAGUACAUAGCUAGGUUAUUUGAUAAAUACAGGCAAAUUUUCUAACCAAAAUCGUCCAAAGAAGUUGAAAGUGUUUAUUGUUGUUAUUUCAUGACAUUCUAACAAACUGUAAGGGGUCACAGAAAGGUUGGUACCCCUACUUCUUGUUCUUUUUCUUUUCUCACUUUCUCAUAAGUUGACUUUAAAGGAAUACCCAUAAAAAGUGAUUGAAAAAGAUAUUCCACGUAGACUACACCAUCCACUCAGGAUGCACCACGUGUAAAACAUCAUGACCUUUUCUCUUUCUCGGCAUAAAAAUAUUUAAAAAAAUAAAUAUUAAAUAAAUAAAAUAAUAGAUGUAUGUAUAUAUAUGUGUGUACACACGCACGCGCUAAAAUACCGGGAACGAGAAAACAGACUUCCUACUUUCUUCUUUCAAUUUUCUAAGCUCACGCUAGCUUUCUCUCUCUAAAAGUAGGAACCGUAAAUUGAGUGAACGUGCGGAAUGACGGCAGCGACGCCGGCGGCGGAGGCGGUGGAGAAGUUCUUGAGGAAAUGCGAGGCGUCGGGUGACGAGGCGUACGGUGCGUUUCGGUCGGUGUUGGAGAAGCUGGAGGAUCCGAGUAGUCGGACGCAGGCUCGGGUCUUCCUUUCGGAUCUUCAGAAACGGGUCGAUGACUCGGACGAGUGUCUAAACAAGUACCAUUUCCGGAUCCAAGAUGUCGUCUUGGACCAAUACGAAGGUCCAUUUCUCUUGCUUCAUUUUUUCUUGUUUAAUUCGGUUGAUUUUUUUUUUUUUUUGAGCUAGUGGUUUGACUUUCUUUGAAUUAGGGACUAAAAAGUGAUUGUUUGUUUUUUAGUUUGGGGAGUGGUUUUAUGGAAGAUAGUUCGGAGGAAAAAGUGCUUUUGAUAUUAAGUGAUUUUUGGGAAAGUAAUUAAGUGCUUAUGUGACAUAAGAAGUGCAUUGUAGAAAAGCAAUUGUGCUUUUCGUAUGUUUUAAAGAAUUUUUGAGUAGUUCAGUUUGGUGCUUCUAAUUAAGUGUUUUUUCAGAAUGUGAUUUAUGUUCUUUUUUUUCUUCAAUUCAAGAAGUGCGUUUUAGAGAUGUAACUGUUAGAAAUUUUUCUGAAAGAAGCCCAAAAAAACGUAUGCUCUUUUUUUUUUUUUUUUUGUAGUUCAGCUGGAAACUUAAAGAAAAUGCAGAACUUACUUUUUUUUAAGAAAAAUCUGAUUUGAUUACUUGAAAACAUUUAUGAUUGUGAGUGCUAUUAAUUAUUUGCAUUUUUUUUAUGCAUUAACUUUCUUAACUUAGGGUGUUUAUUUUAUCAUGAUUAUUUUCAUUCAACAAUACAAUAGACUUUGGUUGGGUCCACCUUAGUUGGGUGUUUCUGAGCAACCAAUUAGGGUCUGGAGAAAACUUGGGUGGAGUGCCGAUCGUUUUCAGGAUUCAGUCCCAAGAAAAUACAAACGAAGUCGUAGUUGUAGUUUAAAUUAAUUUAUAUUUUUGUCUUUUUCUGUGAGCCCAGUGGGCUUUUGUUUUUACUUUGUUCUCUUUUGUUUCUUCCCCUUCUUUUCCUACUGUUUCUUGACAAUCAAAACAGACCAGGAUUUGUUUCAUUUAAACGUUUACUUUUGGUGUAAUUAUUCACUCUAACUCGAAUAAUGCAUAGGUUUAGUGCUAACAAAAUAGAAAGUGAAUUAAUAUCUAAAGCUGAUUUGGGAGUGGAAUGUAUGUUACUAAAAAUAUACUAUAUAGUAGAUAGAAUUUGCUUUUUAGGUAACACUGAAAUAAUAACUGCUGUUAACUUAUUUCAAUAAGCUUGUAAAUCAUUUCAUAAUAAGUCCUAGAUUUUAAUGGUUUUUUUUCCUGAAAUUUUUCGUCAGUGCAUGAGCAAAGUUCAAUGGAUGAACUUCUCUUUCAAUGUCACUGCUCCUCAUAUUAACUGUAUGAAACAGUAAUCUUGCUCUGUACUUUGGAGCAUUUUAAUAGUUGUUGCCAAUUCCUUAGCCAUUUUAUUCACCUCGUGCACAAAUUAUGCAAUCAAUAAGCCAACUCAACUUUCAUCUUUCUUCAGUGAAAAAUUUGCAAGGCCACUAGGAGGUUUUUGUACAUCUUAUGUAACUUGGCCGCCGUGGUUUUACCAUGUAAAUUUUCCCUAUUGGAAUUCAUGAUCCCUCAUAUGCCACUCGUGAAGCUGCUUCUGCCGCUUUAAAAGCACCAAAUUUCAGUUUUAUCCUUUCUAGCUUAUUAACUUGUCUGCAUACGCAUUAUUAUCUUUGUUAUUGUACGAAAGUUUCAUUUAUCAUCUUCCCAACAUAAACAUCCAUAGGUCAUUGUUCACUUUUUUCCUUUAGAGUCAUGCCCGAUUAUGGUUGCCGGAUUUUCUGCUCUGACAAUAUUGUUUCUAAGUAUAGGCUACCAAGGGAGAAAAAAAUUGACAAUGAUGGUCAUCCCCAGCAUUUUUAUCCCAGAAGACUGGUAGUUUACUUUCUAUGAAGGACUGAAUAGACAUCCUGACUCUAUUUUGAAGGACAAGACUGUUGCUGAGCUUGGUUGUGGAAAUGGAUGGAUAACCAUUGCCAUAGCUGAGAAGUGGUUGCCUUCGAAGGUUUGUUGGUUUGUCAUCUUUUGCCAUGUGGGAGCUUUUGUUUGCUUCCUUACCAGUGCCUUCAGGAGCUCCAUCGUGAUUUCUCUCCUCAUCGUUUUCUAUCUCCUUGUUUUGCAAGGCCACUUGUUAUUUAUAAGUAACAGUGUUGGCACCAGAUUAUGGUGUUUUAGUGCCCUCCUAUUCAGAAAAAUUACAUAUAAAUGAACAUGUGAAUUAUCAAGUCUGUCCUUGUCCAAAAGUCUUGAUUGGAGAAUGUUGAAAAUAUAACCUUGUAGCAGUUCUUUUAUGCUGUCUGAAUAUUCUUUUGCAGGUCUAUGGCCUUGAUAUUAAUCCCAGAGCAAUAAGGAUCUCUUGGAUAAAUUUGUACUUAAAUGCAUUAGAUGAAAAAGGUCAGCCCAUCUAUGAUGCGGAGAAGAAAACUUUACUGGACAGGGUGGAGUUUCAUGAAUCUGAUCUUCUCGCUUAUUGCAGAGAUCAUGACAUUCAACUUGAACGAAUAGUGGGAUGCAUACCUCAGGUAUUAUCACUAUCUGCAACUCAUGAUAUUUCUCGGGGCUUAAAUUUUGGUGAAGUUUGUUUUUCCAACACCAUGUUCGAAUUUUAGAGUGGCCACAUGGAUAACCUUUUAACUCCUAGUUUAACUUAUUCUGUUUUCUCCAUGCAGAUUCUUAACCCCAAUCCCGAUGCAAUGUCCAAAAUAAUCACUGAAAAUGCAAGCGAGGAAUUUCUGUAUUCAUUGAGUAACUAUUGUGCGCUGCAGGUUAGAAGAUAUUCUAAAUAAUUUAAUUGUGAUUGCAAAUUGCGGGGAAGUUAGCAAUUAAGUUGACAGGCUUCCUCUACUUUCACAUAUUUAGAAGUAUACAUGUUAUAAUUUUGGUUUGAAUCUUGCAUAACUUAGUUAAGGUUGAUGUCUUUAGUUGUUCAAUAUCAAUUGGGAAAUAAAGCAAACCAGUGAAGACCGUGGGAAAAGGAUAAUGUGAGUUUGACAGAUGCUGAGAGGAGAUAGGGAAACUUGAUCUAAAAGAUUUUUUUUCUUUUUCUUUUCCCUGAUUUUUGUUUUUUCUUAGUGUUUAGCCUCUUUACAAUAACAUUGAUUCCCAUAGUUCAUGUUUCUUGUUGAAAAUAAAGAUUCAAAGUUAGGAUUUAUUUGUAAUCUAGGCUAUUUUAGGAAUAAGUUAAAUUAUAAUGGGAAGAUUCAUUAGGAUUCUUUCCAGAUUUUGUUUCCUAUUAUUUAGGAAAGGAUAGAUGUAGUCUCCUAUUUUCUCUCCUAUUUUGCUGUAUAUAUUCCCUGUACAUACUGUUCUGGAAAGUAAGAAAAAGAGGAACCAAUUCACCGUUUUCUUCAUAGGUGCACUCAACAACUAUCUGUUAUGUCUUGUGGAUGACUGAGAAAGUUUAUUCAUUUUGACAAAUUGCUUUUUGAAUAGAGUACAAGUAGAUUGACUAAUAAUGAAUAUAUUGUAUCAAGUUGUUGCAUUUGAAAACUGUGCAUGACUGCGGUCUUUAUCACUUUUAUUCUCAAGGUUCAUGUUGACCUAAAUUUAAAAGCCUUGGACGUUUGGAAAAUCUAUAGCACUGAGUUUGCGAAACCUUUUAGUGCCCUGAAAGAUUGACUGCUUCAAUUGUGUUUUCAAUAUCUUGUUAUUAACAUAUUUGUAUAUAUGUUAAUAUCUUGUGGAUGACUGAGAAAGUUUAUUCAUUUUGACAGAUUGCUUUUUGAAUAGAGUACAAGUAGAUUGACUAAUAAUGAAUAUAUUGUAUCAAGUUGUUGCAUUUGAAAACUGUGCAUGACUGCGGUCUUUAUCACUUUUAUUCUCAAGGUUCAUGUUGACCUAAAUUUAAAAGCCUUGGACGUUUGGAAAAUCUAUAGCACUGAGUUUGCGAAACCUUUUAGUGCCCUGAAAGAUUGACUGCUUCAAUUGUGUUUUCAAUAUCUUGUUAUUAACAUAUUUGUAUAUAUUAUGAAGGCUAAGCUGUGUAAAUGAGAGAUAAAACAUAAAAGGUCAAUACACAGCUGUGUCACCUUUUACUUCUUCUUUAUUUAUUUAUUUAUUUUCUCUGUAUGCAGGGUUUUGUGGAGGAUCAGUUUGGCUUAGGUCUAAUUGCUAGAGCAGUUGAGGAAGGAAUUGGUGUCAUCAAACCUUCCGGGAUUAUGAUCUUCAAUAUGGGUGGUCGUCCAGGACAGGGCGUUUGCGUGUCGACAAGCUUUGGCAGACUAAAAUUCUUCAGGCAAGUGAACCUUUUUUUGUGGAAAUUCAUUAUCUAUCCCAAAUAUCCACCUCUUGAAUGUGUUUUUGCAGGCUUCUGACACAGAUAUUUCAGCUUUAGUUGAAAUUGAGAAGAAUAGUCCUCAUCGUUUUGAGUUCUUCAUGGGACUUUCUGGUGACUUACCUAUUUGUGCUCGAACAGCAUGGGCCUACGGAAAGGCUGGUGGACGUAUCUCUCAUGCUUUAUCAGUUUAUAGUUGUCAACUCCGUCAACCAAACCAGGUCUACAUUUCAUUUGGGUUUUAUUGAUAAAGUGGGUAAUUGCUCUGACCAGGGAAGUGAGCUAAAAUGAUAUCAACUUAUAUUUAUGGACAGGUUAAGAAAAUUUUUAAGUUUCUGAAAAAUGGCUUCCAUGAGAUCAGCAGUUCUUUGGAUUUAUCUUUUGAAGAUGAUUCAGUUGCUGAUGAGAAGAUUCCAUUCCUGGCUUAUCUUGCCAGUGUUCUGAAAGAGCGUUCUUUUUUCCCCUAUGAGCCACCAGCUGGAAGCAAAAGAUUCAGGAACCUGAUUGCUGACUUCAUGAAAAAGUACCACCAUAUUCCGCUCAAUGCUGAUGUGAGAAAACCUUAACUACUCAUCUAUUUUUGUACUUCUCUGGACAAGUAACUUUUGUGUUCUGUCCGUCCUAGGUUCUGUUUUCCCUGAUGCAUUUUUUCAAUUUCUUUGCAUGUGAACUCCUAGGUUCUGUUUCUCCUGAUGCAUUAUCUCAAUUUCUUUGCAUGUGAGCUUGGUGCAUUCAUAUUAGUUUAGGAGGGAAUCUAUUGGUCAUUUACUUGUUUGUGACGAAUAACGUAUGAAACAAUCUUGUUAUUUUUUGUUCUCAAUACGUAGAGCUCUAUGGACCAAUUGCUUAUCUUCUUUUAUCCUCAUUAGAAUUUCUUCAGACAACUUCUACUUCAUGCAAUUUGUGAUAAUUUGCAUUGUUUUUGUGGUCAUUCUUAUGUCUAUUGGACAAAUACUGUAAUGUGAAAUUCUGUCUAAUGGUAUCCCUUAUUCCUUUUGCAUCAUGUCCCCUCAAGUAGUUAAAUGCAUUUUUGGAUUUGUCAAUUUUUUUGGUUUGAUGAAAUCUUGAUUCUCAUGUUACCUAUCUGUUCAUUUAAUUUGACCGUGGAAUGUGUUGUUGCUGUGAGUUAUGCUGCACAUGCUUGUUAUUCGUCCAGUCUUUUUGUGUAAACAUAGAGUUUUGUACAUACUUAUAUAUGUACUGGACCUGAGAUAUUUGCACCUGACCUACUUAUUAAUGUACAUGACAAAUGAAGAACUUUUUGAGAUCUGGAAUGGAUCAAGACCUGCAACUUUCUACUUGUAGAUUUUCCACUGUCCAGUCCAAUUGUAAAAUACAGUUUGUGAUUGCUGCAUGCAUAAAUUAGCCAAACUUAAAGAUGUUGUAGUUGCCUUUUUCUCUUUUUUUGUAUGAGUAAAACAAUCCACAUUCUUAACUUUUCUUCUCCACUUGUUUCUCAAGAACGUUGUUGUUUUUCCUUCAAGAGAUGUGGCAAUUGAGAAUGCUCUUCGAUUAUUUUCACCUCGCCUUGCAAUUGUUGAUGAACGUCUAACCAGACACUUACCAAAGCAAUGGUUAACAAGUUUAACAAUUAAGGUAUGAUCUAUUUCUGAUUUAUUUUCUGUUAUUUUUGACAUAGUUGAAAAUUUCAUUUUUGGGCAGAUUUUCUUUGCUAUUCUUGGAACAAGUAAUAGUGCUCAUUCCCUUGCUUGAACACAUACUAGUUCAGUCGCACCGCGGAAUUUGUUAGAUGAUAAAAUAUCAGAUAUGAACUCAGCACAUUGUUAUACUGUUGCCUUUAUUCCUCAAGUGACAGUAAAAACUAGUAAUUGCAGUAGAUGAUAUAUUUAAUGAAAAUUACUGGGGCGACCAGACUUUUGUGUUGACAUUGAAGGGGGAGAUGGAGAAAGACCGCAGGAACAUAGCGAGCAGGGAUAGCUUUGUCUUAUGUUGUGAUGUUUGAUUUUCGCAGCCUUGACUAGUGGAGCUAAGAAGUUUAUUCCAAUCCCUAGUGCACUGAGAACAUUUCAUUUUUAUUUGUAGUUGCUGCAUUUAUGGUCCUGGCUACAAUCUUGUUCGAAGACCUUUCCUCAACCCACUUCCUUUGAAUUUCUUUGUUGUCAGUUGUCAUCUUGUGCUGCAUAACUACAAAAACAUCCUUCUUGCAGGGUACAGAUACUGAAAACUCUUCGGAGCAUGAACUAACAGUAAUUGAAGCACCACGCCAGUCAGAUUUGAUGGUGGAGCUGAUAAAGAAGCUGAAGCCUCAGGUGGUAAUUUCUGGGAUUGGUGAUUUUGAGGCUGUUACCAGUUCAGCCUUUGUACAUCUUCUAGAUGUUACAAGAGAAGUUGGAUCUCGUCUUUUCUUGGAUAUAUCUGAUCACUUUGAGCUCUCCAGCCUCCCAAGUUCCAAUGGGGUCCUUAAAUAUCUUGCUGGAAAUGUUCUUCCUUCACACGCGGCAGUUAUUUGUGGCCUUGUUAAAAAUCAGGUGAUUGUUUUUCAUUAUACUGGCCACUUGACUGUUAUGCUAUUACAAGAAGAGAUUUCUGUUUGUUCUGAUCAAGUCAUAAGAUGGGUUUCAAGAUUCGUUCUCAGUGGUUAUCUGUUAGCUUUUUGUUCUUAUUUAUGGAAGCCAAAUUCAUCUUUGCAGGUUUAUUCAGAUUUAGAAGUUGCUUUUGUAAUCUCAGAAGAAGAGGCCAUCUUUAAGGCCUUGUCUAAGACUGGAAGUACUAGAAGGGACUACUGCACUGAUUAGUCAAAACUACUAUGGUUGUCUUUUUCAUGAGCUUCUGGCUUUCCAGCUUGUGGAGCGACAUACGCAUAAAGAGGUUAUCCUUCUCUCUUUUUUUGCUGUUUUCAUAUCACAGAAUCCAUUUUUGAAUAUAUGUAUUUAGGUACAGAAGCACAUGAAUAUUCAUGUUUUUAUGAGUAUAUUUAAGUAUAUCCAAUGUUGAUUAACUCGUCCAUUUGAGCAUGAGAUAAUUAGAUAGUUGAUAUUUAUGUUACAAAAUUCAGAAGCAACAUUAGCACUGCAGUAUCAUGCAAGGACUGUAACAACCUGGAUUCUUUUUCCACCUGGAUUUUUUUGUUGAUUCACUUGGCAUAUGUUUAUCCAACCUCUGAUUUUUCUUAAUAUUUCUCUGUAGUUCAUUUCACGGCACGUUUAGUUGCUACAUUGGCAUUUUCUGCUAUUUGUUUUUAUUCAUUGAAGCAAGUUAGCUCAUGAAAUUGCUAUUUGAUAAAUGUUGUUCAGAGGGAUUGCGAAAAGGUCAAAUCAACUGAGAUGAUCGGGUUUUCUAGAUCAGCCAUCUCUGUCCUCAACAGUGCUGAACUGUCAAUUACUGACACACCAAACUCUGGCCUGAUUCAUAUGGAUGUAGACCAAAGCUUCUUGCCCAUACCAUCUCUGGUCAAAGCUGCUAUCUUUGAAAGUUUCGCAAGACAAAACAUGUCUGAGUCAGAAAUUGAUGUCACCCCCAGCAUCCAACAGUAUAUCAAGAGCAAUUUUGGUUUUCCAAUUGAUAUCAAUGCAGAAUUCAUAUAUGCAGAUUGCUCUCAAUCUCUGUUUAAUAAGCUAGUCCUCUGUUGUAUCCUAGAAGGUGGAACAUUAUGCUUCCCAGCUGGCUCAAAUGGGAACUAUGUUUCUGCUGCCAGAUUUUUGAAAGCGAACAUUGUGAAUAUUCCUACUGAGUCUGAAGUGGGCUUUAAGAUGACAGAGAAGACACUUGUGACGAUACUCGAGACCGUGAAGAAGCCGUGGGUGUACAUUUCUGGUCCAACAAUCAAUCCAACUGGCUUGCUUUAUAGCAACAAAGAGAUGGAGAAUAUAUUAACUGUUUGUGCAGAGUAUGGGGCAAGAGUUGUGAUUGAUACUACAUUCUCAGGAUUGGAAUUCAACUACGAGGGUUGGGGUGGCUGGGAUUUGGAAGGCUGUUUGUCAAAGCUGUAUUCUUCCGCCAAUUUGUCUUUCAAUGUGUCGCUGCUCGGAGGGCUGUCUCUGAAGAUGCUGACUGGAGCACUCAAAUUUGGGUUUCUGGUUCUAAAUCAUCCUCAGUUGGUUGAUGCAUUUAGUAGCUUUCCGGGAUUAAGAAAGCCUCAUAGCACAGUCAGAUACGCUAUAAAGAAGUUGCUUGGUCUGAGAGAGCGAAAAGCAAGAGACUUGAUGAAUGCUGUUGCAGAACAUAUAAGAAACUUGGAAAGUAGAUCAAAGCGCUUGAAAGAGGUACUUCUAUCUGUCCUCUUACAAGAAAUUUUGAAUUAACCAAUUACAUGUAGUACAUAAUCUUUGAAUUAUAUUACUCAAUUCUAAAUAUAUGUCCUACCAUUUUCUCCAUGGUGAUCUUUCUGCAACAGGCACUUGAGAAUUGUGGGUGGGAAGUGGUUCAAUCCUGCAGUGGUGUUUCAAUGGUGGCGAAGCCCUCUGCCUAUCUCAACAAAACUGUAAAGAUCAGCCGGCAUUCAGCUGGCAGUGGUGAGAAAACUGCUACAGAACAAAUCAAGCUUGAUGACUCAAAUAUCAGGGAAGCCAUAGUCAAGGCAACUGGUUUGUGCAUCAACAGUGGUUCGUGGACCGGAAUUCCUGGCUAUUGUCGCUUCACAAUUGCACUGGAAGAAAGCGAAUUUGAACGAGCUUUGGAUUGCAUAGCUAAAUUCAAAAGCAUCGUUCUUACACGUAGUUAACUAAAAAAUGGUAUUGUCAUUUGUCAUGAUUUAUUUCUAUUGCCUGAUGAUGGUACCCAUCACGCCUUAGUUGUCGUGAAUAAAUCGAAAAUCAAAUUGCACUGGUUUUUACCGGUUAUCAACAAUUGUGAUGUUUUGAGAUUAUAACAUACUUGACAACGUUGACUAGCGUUCUCUCCUAUGUGAAUUGGGACAAAAAUUAUUUUCCCAAUCACGCUUUCGUUUGAACAAUUCUACUUCAGAUAUAUAAAAUAAUGAUGAAAUUGUGUUUUAUAAUUAGUUACGAGUAAUUGGUUCAAUAUUAAUACAAAACUAUUUUAAGUAACACGUGGCAUAUUCUAAUUCCAGUGAGCUUCUAACUCAGAUUCCCAAAUCAAAAGAAACGUUUCAAUUUUCUCCAGAACAUUCUGCAAAACGUUUCUUCGAGUCUCUACGCUGUGCUAUAAUUUUCUCUCAGUUUCUUUUGCAAAGACUUCUAAAGAACUGUCCAGAUACCGAAAUAUAAGGGGUUUUUAAUUAAAUACCCUUUAAUAGUUUCAAAAUUAUUUAAAUAUCCCCUCCCUUUUUUGUUUUCAUGGAUACCCUAACAAAUGUGAGUAAAGUCGGAAAUACCCUUAAUGAAUACAUCAAAUUCACUCAAUGAAUUAUCUUCAUAUUUCUUUCCUCAUUUCUUUCACCCAACUCCAUUUUUGCUGCCGAUUCUUUCAAAAUCUCUUAGAAUCUCUCAAAAUCUCUCAUAACUUCUUACACAAAUACAAUUAUGUAUUCAUUUCUUUAACACCCACUCUUUCUUUAAAGGUGCAUUGCUUAUUAAACAACCCAAUAAGGUAUGUUAAUGUUGUUGGGUUUUAAAUUUUUUAAUUUUUAGGAAAAUUUAGAAAUUUUCCUCACAUUACAAUGUUUUAUUUUCACCAUUUUUUCUUAUACGUAGAAAUAUAUGCAAUGUAGGUUGUUUAAUUAUUUUUUUCAGCAAUAUAACUUAUUUAUGGCGAAAAUGUUUCGAGUCGUGCAUUCUUUUGAUACCGUGUACGUCAUAUAGUUAGUUAUGUAGGUCGUGUAAGUAAUAUAGUCGUGUAAGUCGUGUAGGUCAUGUAAGAAAUAUAGUCGUGUAGGUCAUGUAAGAAAUAUAGUCCUGUAAGUCGUGUAAGUAAUAUAGUCGUGUAGGUCAUGUAGGUCGUGUAGUUACUUGUAUAUGAAAUUUAAUAUUAUUGUUUUUAUUGUAUCAUCAGAUAUGGUUUUGGUACGUGUGCCUAUUCUCUUCAAUGGUGAAUGGAUUGAGCAAAAUGACGAGUAUAAGUUCAAAGGUUCAAAAGCUAAAGGGAUAAUGAUACCACGAUCGACAACAUAUGCCGAAUUGGUGGAGAAGAUAGCUGAAGUUAUUGAUAUAGAUACUUCGGAAUUCGAAAUCACAAUGAAGUUCAAACUUAAGACAUCUGAUCCUAUGCCACUAGUUACAAUUCAAACCAAAAAAUUCGUGUAAUUUUAAAGUCGCAAUUAAACAUAUUACAGCUAUUUAAAAAGUUUUUUUUUUUUUUAUCUUCAAAGUGCUUUCUUCCUCUGGCCAAGCAUACAAGCAUACAUGAGGAAUGUCUGCAUAUAAUUAAUCCAUGAAAUCAAUUAAGAAAAAAAAAUAUCAACCAUAGGAAAUUAAUGUAAUGUUAUACACAUAAGAACACCAUUCGCAGUGAUAAAAUAUUUCCACUCAUAACUAGACAUAUCAUGACUUACCAUGGCUUAUAAUUGGAAAUUAAGAAUCUCUCUAACUAAUGAUAUUUCACAAGGUAAAGGUAUAUGCACCAUUCCAAUUUAUUGUGAGCCUAAUUAAACUAAAUGUAAUGUGUAGAUUCUAUUGACAAGAAACAAAAUGUGGAAUUGAAGGUCGUGUAAUUGUGUAAUACAAGAAGAUCGUGUAAUUGUAUAAUACAUGAAGGUCGUAUAAACAUGCAAUACAUGAAGGUCGUGUAAACGUGCAAUACAUGAAGGUCGUGUAAACGUGCAAUACAUGAAGGUCGUGUAAUCGUGCAAUACAUGAAGGUCGUGUAAUACACAACCUUGAAUAUUACAUAACCUUACACGACCAAAUCUUAUGUUACAUAACAAAAUUAUAAUCAGCACAAUCCAUUAAUUUUUCACAAUUUGCAUGCAGCAAAACAACUAGAAAUUUGUUUUCGAACAUGUUAUGAGAGACCCACAACUAAUUAAUCUAUUUUUUCAAUAUAAAACCCUAACUUUUUAUUUUUUUUCCCUUGAAUAUUAACAAGAAAACUAAUUACACGGAAUUACUUGUCUCAACUAGUUACAUUCUGACAAUUUUGCAGUAAAUGAUCAACUCUCUCCGGCGAUUAUGUAGUGACGAACUAUGCUUCACUUUCUCAGUUGUGGCAGCUUCCCCUUCUCAGGCUUAGUUUGCUCGUGUUGAAGUUCGAUUUACCAUGUAUGGAGAAUGAAUGUUUGUUUCGGUAGAGGUGAUGCCGGUGAGGGAAUUGUAGAGGUGAUGUCGAUGAGGGAAUUGCAGUAUUUGUUUGUUUGAGUUUGAUAAUGGAGGGAAUUGCAGCAGAUGAGUGUUUGUUUGCUUCAGUAGAGAAGGGAGAGGUGCUGUCUAUUGAGUUGAAAUGUUUUAAAAUGAGGAUAGCUUAGUAAUUUCCUAUCAGUUUUUAAAGGGUAUCGAUGAAAAUUUUGGCAAAAACAGAUUUUAGGGUAUUGAGAUAAUUUUUGAAGUAUGGAGGUGUACCGGGCGCAAUUGGCUCGAAAUAUAAUCCAAUCUAAGUGUAUAUAUCUCUCUACGUAAAGAUAUUCUAAUUCUAAUUAUCACAUUCUAAUUCAUAAAGAUAUUCCUCUUCUGUCAUAUUAAUGUGCUAAUACGAAGGUCUAUUGGAAUUAUAAUAGUUCAGAUGAAUCCAAAAUAUUCAAUAAUUGAUAAAUAGUAUAUAUAAAUAUUAAUAGCAAUGGCACAUAAUCAAUUAAUUCAAGAACUUGCCCAUAGUGCAUUAAGUUAAAAGAGUAAAAAUAACAUUGCAAAACAUGCCAGACCUUACGUGUUUAAUUAGCAAUUGAAAACUAUUUUACCGUACAACACCAUAAAGAGAUAUUUAUAACACUGUUGCUGCAGCUGUUAAUUCUUUUGGUGAAGAUGUUAAGGCCACUAAAGCUGGAACGUAAUUAGGGAAAUAUAAUGCAUUCACUUAGUUUGCUAUUUGUGUUUUUAUAUUUGUUUGGCUAAUUCUUUGCUCAGAUUGCUUUUUGUUUGAGAUUUUAUUGGCUUAGUCGUGGGAUAUUAUUUAAUCUUUUAAUUUUGUGUUUUUAUUGUUAUGGGAUUUGAUGAUGGUAUACAUAUAGGAAAAUUAUGCAAGAAAGUGCUUUUAAUAAAUUAUGGUCGGUUUACUAUUAAUUAACCAAAUUUAAUUUACUCAAAUUACUCCUAUACACGAUCAAAAUAAUUUCAAUUCCAUGAUAUAAAUACGCGCGUGCGGACACACAAAAUGUAAAUAACUUUCAAAUAUAAAAUAUUUAAAAUAAUCAUCAUACUCACAAUUCACAAGUUAGAUUAUAUUAAGGCCACCAAGGCUUAAAUGUAAUUGAUUGAAGAAAGAAGUGCUUGCUUUGCUUGAUGUGCCAUUUGUCUAUGAUGUUUUAUAAAUGGCCGAAAUAAUGAUAAUCUAGUGAAUCUGGUCAUAUUAAUUUGAUUUUCAUUUAUAUUAAUUAUGUCGAAUCAUACUAUUUUAAUAAGAAAGAGCACUCGAGAAUAUAUAUAUCUAACAACUAAAAUUUCAAAACAAUAUUUGCCAAAGUCUGAUGAAGAGAAUACAUAUAUAUAUAUAACAUGCACUCGCACACAUUCUAUUGUUUAAUUAAAAAAUUCGAAAGCCCAUUAUAUACAUGAUAAAGACUCACCGACACCGAACCAUAUUCAUUUAAAGGAAUUGUUUUCAACUGAGAUUUGAAAUUAUAUACACAAACACACCCGAUUUUUUAUUUUUUUUAAAAAAAUUACUAAUAAUAAAAUAUUUCAGUCGUCCUCUGUUCAGCUGUCAAAAACGCAUUUAAAAUCUAUAGCAACAUGCGGUAUAUGGGUUAACAAGUCCCAAUAUUGUCCUCCAUCCUUUCUGCACUUCUCUGCCAUCAACGGACAUCGAUAGAUACUUAAUCGCAAAAGUGAGGAAGGCAGGCCCUUCUCCGGAAAGUAUUUGAGCUUGGGACAAUACUGGAGAUCCAAGUGAGUGAGGUUUUGAAGAUCAACAAUUGAAGAAGAUAGGCGUUCCAGAUUUGGAAAAUUAGAAAUCUCCAGAAAUGUUAGAGAGGCAGGAAGAGGAAGCGCGGUCCCCAAUCUUAUGUCCUCCGGUGGGAAUGACACCAUGUCGCCAUCGCAUCGGCUGAUUGUGAGUUGUCGCAGAGAGGAGAAUCUGUGGAAUCCCCGACCCCGCCCAAUCGUUGACUUCCAAAUCUUCGUAUUACCAUCAAUCUCCAGUGAAUGAAGGUUGGUGGGAAGGGCAUCUUCUUCAAGGCUUGGAAGCUCACCUCCUUUUCCUAUUUUUAAUUGUUGAAGAGAGGUCAGAUUGUGCAAUCCCUUGGGUAAGGCCUCUAGUCUCUCACAAUCAGAUAUCUCCAGCGUAGUCAGUUUCGCACAAGGCAAUCCCCCUUCGGGAAAGGACUCCAGAUUUCCACAUUUCUCUAUGCUAAUCUCUUGAAGCUGGCGGAGAUUAUGUAAACCACUCGGUAAAGUUUUCAGAUUUCCACAAUCAGAAAUCUUGAUUGUUUCAAGAGAUGUGUUGUUGUCCAACCUUUCUGCUAUAGACUCCAGCUUUGAACAUCCCCAAACACCAAGGAACUCAAGAGACGGAGGUAGAUUGCCAACUUCAAGGGACUCAAGCGUGGCAGGUAACUCGUUUUUUGAAAAUAUACAUGUCAGUGAUGGACAGCUGUUAAUACGCAACUGCUCAAGAAGAGAUGAGGUGUACCUUCUGCUGCUGCUACUCUGGAUGCCCUCUUCCACUGUCAAGGUCCUUAUAUUAUCGCAAUUGUAAAUCACCAACUGCUUAAGGCUCCGUGGUAGCUGGACUCCACCAAUAUAUAUCAACGAAUGGCAAACCCAAAUCUCCAAGAUCUCGAGAGAUGAAUUGGUGUCGCACAUCCAUGCCUCUGGUAACGAUUUCAGUGCAUCACAAGCCGAAAUGAAUAUUCUCCUCAACUUGGAAGGCAGAGCAACCUCAGGAAAGGAAACAAGGGAACUGCACUCGUAGAUUUCUAUCUCUCUCAAGGAACUGAGGAUGAGCGAUGAUUGUGGCAGCUUUACAAGGCAUUGGCAACGGCUCAAUCUUAGAUAUUCGAGUCUGCAUGACAACUCGCAGAGCUGCUGUUGUUGGUCUUUCUCUUCCUCCGCCACCAAGGAUUGAAGUUUGGGACAGCAGUAGAUCUCCAGUCUUUUGAGAGAGCAAAUGUCUUGUAGUAAUCCGUCAUGACUCUUCCAUAUAUAUGUUUGCUCUUUUGUCGACAAAAUUAAUUCUUCCAAUUUCUGUAGUUGUGGCUUCAAUGGCCCCGCAAGAAACACUUGAUUUGAUGUAUCUCUACAAACCACUGAAUUCUGUGAUCCGAGAUGACCAGUUGCACUUUCCCACACAACCUUUUUGCAUCCACCAAUUUCCAAUUUGCAAAGAGCUGGAAGACUCGAAACUGAAACUAACAAUUCUUCACAUCCUUCAAUAACAAGCAUCUCCAAUGCAGGAAGGUGCUCUGGAAAUGUUCCUUUCAGUUUAGAACAUCUUAAAAUGUGAAGCUCUCUCAAUUUAGGAAACCCUUCAACUCCUUGACUGGAUCCAUGAGGAAUCCAGUCUUCCCAUUCUCGCAUGUUUUCAAAACGAAGAGUCUCCAAGCAUGGAAAAGGAAUUGGAGCAUCAUUCCCAUAGAACUCUGAACCCAACCUCUUUACUCUGCUCAUUCCACAUACUGCAAGAUGCUUUAGAGAGGGUAGUUGCCCGACUGACGGCAGGGCAGUACACAUGUCACAAUUUUCAAAUUUUAGCGUCACCAAAUUUGACAAUGAGGAAUCUCCUAACCAAGCUGGAAAUUUUGUACCUCCAUAGCCACUGAUACAAAAUUGUUCCAAAAUUUCAUGAGGUUUUAGCAUGUCAAGCACAUCCUUUUCAGUUUCUGCCUCACUUGAAGAUGAGCCAUCGAUACUGAGUGUCCAUCGAAGCAAUAAUUCUCUAAGAUUCUUCUUUCCAUCCAAUUGAGCCUCCUUCGCAUCACCAACGUCUUUUACAUUCUCCAAUUUUGAAAUGUUAAGUGUCCCAUGAAGGUGCGUCAACAACUUUAGCUCUCGUAACCCGGAACCACUGUCUUUUCCCACAACAAAAUUACACAACGUCUGAAGGCAAGUCAGCCUGCCAAUUCCUAGUGCCAUUUCCUCCAACGAAUCUGUUUUUGAAUUAAUGAGAUGAUGCAAUUUGAUGAGAUUUCCCAUGUCUGCACAUAACUUCUUCAGCCGAUCACAAUCUUCCAACAAAAGACUAUGCAAAUUGUAAAGCUUGUUGACUGAUUCAGGCAGAGUUCUAAUCUUAGUUCCAGACAGGUUAAGGUACCUUAAAUACCUCAAAUCACCAAUUGAAUCCGGCAGCUCAGGGAUGCGGUAUCCACGCAAAGAGAAGACCCUCAAGCGUUGGAGUUUGAGCAACUUAGGAAGAAUGCUAGGAGCCAAGUAGCCAGGCAAACUAUUUGUCAACAUUACUGGUAAAAAAGUUCUCAAAUGUUGGAUAUCAUACAAGUCCCCAAACCUUUUACCGCCAUCACAAUAUUCAGGAAUGUAUGAUAGAUGACGAAGAUUUUCGGAAAAACUUUGCUGCUUGUUAACCUCUGAGGUAUACUCCAUUGUGAAGUAUAUCUCCCCCGCAGCCCAACGGGCAAGGUCAUUGAUAAGAUCGUGCAUCACAAAUCGUGAUGUAUUGUUGCUUGAUUGCUGCAAAAAAGAUCUUGAUCGUAGCUCUUGAAAGAACUUUCGACCUAGAUCUUCGUUAGGAUUCCCACUCUCUUUAUGAUCCAAGAAACCCGAAGCACUCCAUAAUAAAAUUAUCUCCUCCUCUUCAAAUUCAUAAUCCUUCGGAAACAACGAGCAAUACGCAAAGCAUUGUUUCAAAAUUGGAGGAAGAUAAUAAUAGCUCACUGCAAGAGCUGGUAUAAUGGGACAUUUAUCUUCUGGUAAUUCCCAUAUCUUGCUACUGAGCACACCUUUCCACUCACGUUUGUAAGGUUUUCCAUGUAAAAGUCCUCCCAGUGUUUUUGCUGCCAAGGGCAAGCCGUUGCAUUUGAUCACUAUCUCCUUGCCAAUUUCCUCCAAUGACUUAUGUGAACUGAAAUCUGCUGUCUCCAAAGAGUGCUGAGCGAGUACAGACAGACAGUCCUCAGUUGACAAGCUUUUGAGUUCAUAAGCUUGAUCCAGGCUCAUGAUUUUGGCAACCUCUUCAUUGCGAGUGGUGACAACAACCUUACUUCCCUGUGCGCCAGCUUGAAAUGGAAGGCUGAGGUGAACCCAAUCAGUGUAAUUCUCAUUCCAAACGUCAUCUAAAACAAGCAAAAAUUUCUUUCGAGACAACUGCUUCUUUAGCUCCUCUUGAAGAAAAUUUAAAUCAUUAUUAUCAACAGUCUGCUUAGUAAUGGAGCUUAGAAUUGUUCUUGUUAGCCUGAUAAGAUCAAAAUCAUCAGAGACACAAGUCCAUGCCUUGAGAUCAAAAUGAUCCUCCACUUGCUUAUCAUUGUAGACAAGCUGAGCAAGAGUGGUUUUACCCAGCCCGCCCAUACCUAUAAUAGGAAUAACUGCGAAUCCACCAUCCUUUCUUGAAUCAUCCUUCAACAACAAUUCAACAAUUUCCUUCUUUUCUGUUUCCCUGCCAUAAACUUUGGCUUCCUCCACCAAAGAAGUUGUAUCUCGCCUUUGCCUGGCUUUUUGGGACCCCCCAGCUGAACUUUUUAUCAAUUUCAGCGAGCCUAUUCCUUCUUCAAUAUCUCGAAAUCUGUCGUUGAUCUUUUUGAUUUUGGACAUCAUCGAGUAAUCGAACUGAAUCGAUUGCAGAGUAAAAGUGGGGCAGCAAGUAGGAAUGAGCUUCCGAAACUUACUCUUCGUGCUUGUACGACUGCUGCUGGGUUGAUCAUGAGCAGCAGCUGGUUCUCCAUUUCCAAGCAGCAACUUCCUCCGGAAAGCCUCAGUUUGGAACUCAUCCAACAAGUCUUCAACGUCAUAAGCCAAGUUCUGAAGCUCGCCAAGCCACAACUUCACAGAAUCAUCAGUCGUCUUCUUCUGCUCAGCAUCAUCAAGCACCGCCUUGAUCGUCACCAACUUCUUCUUCCACUUCACUAGAUCGUCUUUGAUUCGACCUUGGCGUUCAAAUAAACGAAGCCCCUCCGAAGAUAACUUAUUGAUCAGCAUCUCAACGGACGCCUUCAGGAUUGCCUCUCCGAUGAUCGACAUUUUUUCUUUUUUCUUUUUUUUGGGUUUUUUGGACAGAGAAAGAAACUGAAUUAUGAGUUUGUGGAAAGCAAAAUGAGAAAAGUGAAGAAGCGGAAUGAGUUUGUGAUUGUGUCUAGCAAAGCCUAUAAAUCAAGAAAAAUCCACCGUAAAAGUGAAAAGUCAAACGGAGCCCACCACAAAUAUAAAAUCAGAGGAGCACAGAAAUUAAAAAAAAAAAAAAUCAAACAUGUAAUGAUUUGUAAAGUUAUUAGCGAUUUGUAAAAAUCAAACAUGCGUCUUCUUCCUCUGAGUGUAUUUUUUUUUUCUUUUUCAAAAGAGAUGGUGGGGUUGUGUUGUUUGCAAAGUUAAUAGCGUGGGUCUAUUUGUUUUUGUUUUAACUUUAUUAAUUAAUUAGUGAAGCAAACAUGUAAUGAUUUGUAAAGAUCACCGGCAUCAGAUUAUUGAGAGGUAUUGCGCUUAGUAUUCACAAUUUCUUGUAAGAAGAAUUUGUAAGACUUAUUAAUUUCGAUGAAAAUGUAUCAUUAUUAUUUAAUUCAUUAAGUUAACUUGAGGUAUUAAUAUUCACUAAUUGUGGUGCUGGUGAAUUUACUUAACUUGUCAUUAUUUGUAAUUAAAGAAUGAGGUUCAAUCAAUUUAUUGGAGAAAAAUUGAUUUUAAUUCUUAGUAUUUGAUUUCACUCUCUUUUACUUUUUGACGUUGCUAAAGAGACAGUAAAAAACUUGCUAAAUGUCAUCAAAUACUUGUAUCUCAUCUCACAAAUUGGCAAUAUUUGUUUGGUAUUUCAUCUUAACGGGACGCCGUAAGGAUUGCCUCUCCAAUGAUUGAUAUUUUUUUUUUCUUUUUUUCCCGCACAGAAAGAAACAGAAUUUUGAGUUUUAAAGCAAAAUGAGAAAAUUGAGCAAAAUGCAUGUGGCAAGUCUCCUGCUUGAUUAUUCCAGUAAAGUGAAAAUAAAAGCAGAGCCCACCACCCAUUGAUAAUUGGAAAAUGAUAAACGAACGAAAAGCGCGACGAAGGGACGACAGAAAACGCGUUUCCUCAUCAAAUUUUGUUUUUGUGUACCGACAAUAAAUAAUAAAAUAUUUUUUGUGAGAGCGAUAACAAAUAGUAAAAUAAAGAAUUAAAAAAAAAGAUAGUGUAAACGAACGAAAGCGCGACGAAGGAACGACAGAAAACGCGUUCCCUCAUGAAAAUUUUUUUUUGUGGGAUCGAUAAUAAAUAAUAAAAUAUUUUUUUGUGGGACCGAUUAUAAAUAGUAAAAUAAAGAAUAAAAAAUAAAAAAAUGGAUGGUGAAAACGAACGAAAGCGCGACAAAGGGAUAACAGAAAACGCGUUCCUCAUCCAAUUUUUCUUUUGUCGGACCGAUAACAAAUAAUAAAAUAUUCUUUUGUGGGACCGACUAAAAAUAGUAAAAUAAAGAAUGAAAAAAAGGAUAGUGUGCAAUUUUUCUUUUAAUAGAAUUUAGCAAUUCACCAAUCACCAAUCACCACCACUUGUUACCAGAUUCAAUAAAUGUAAAAUCGCACCUGGACAUUUGUAGGGUCAAGCAACAUUAAUCCAGUGUCCGGGUAAAUGCUGAAUAAAGGGGAAAAUGGGAUGUAAAUUUACUAUUAAAACAAAUAAAAUUUAUUAAUAAAAAUAAGGGUUAUAUAUAUUUUUUAAAAUGUUAAGAAGUUUUAUAUCUUUUUUGGAUUAAAUUUUCUAUUUCCUAUUAAGCAAAACCCACGUCAAAAGUGAAAAAGAAAAAUAGAGCCCACAGAACAGAGCCCAUUACAAAUAUAAAAUCGGAGGAGCUCAUGAUCAUGCCUUUUGUUUUACAUACUAAAUUUAAUAAAAGCCAAACCAAAAUCUUGCCUUUACUUAACAUGAUUAAUUAGGCACUGCAUCAGAGAGAACACGAAAGCUAUGAACCAUUUUGUUAAUCUUAAAUGUCAGGAAUAUAAUUAGCUUGGAAUAAAGUUGCAUUCUUCUCCUCUGACCGCAAGAUAUGGACUGGGCCACUCCAAAGAGAUUGGUAAUGCUGUAUCAGUAUAAUUAGCUUGGAAUAAAGUUACAUACAUUCUCCUCCUCUUACUGUCUCUUUAGGUUCAUUUCAAAAGUUUGAAGAGAGUAUCAAUUCUUCUACACUUUAGAAUGUCAAUGUUUUUGCUUUCUUCAAAUGUUGAAUAAAGAGAAAAAAAAAAUGUUGAAUGUAGAAGGAAAAUGGAAUGCAUCCACCUUCGCUUUGGAAGUCUUCUACUUAUAAAAGCAAGCUAAAUUAAAAGAUUUAAAUCUCUCUUUUUAUUACUAUAAGUGCACUGCAUUUUUUUUUUUAAAUAAUCACCUAUACAAAUUUGUAACGUAAUGAAAUAUUCAUAUUCCUGUCGUGUCGAAAUGAGAUAAAAUGAAAUUUUAAAUAACACAAAUUCGACUCAUUUGUUAAAAGUAUAUACUUAAUAAGCUAAUAACAUAAUUAACAUAACGCUAUUAUUAUACUAAAUGAAAUAAAAGACGGUAGCCACCAAUAAUUACACUAGCAAGCUUCGCAUGCUCGUGUUUAAGGAAUUGGACAUUGGUGAAUUAAUCAAGGAUAAGAAACAAUUUCAAAAAACAAAAUGGAUACUAUACAUUUUCUUUUUUUAAUUGCACAGAAAAUGGGACUAAUUUUCAAAUAUUUUCAAAUUCACUUAUUAACAAAAGCUAUACAAAAUAAUUUCCUUUUUAUUUUGAAACAUUAUACGGAAUCAAAUAACAGUGAUUCAAAGAGUGUAAAGUGGUAAUUCUCUGAUUGUAUUUUCUCUCUUUUUUAAAAGGAGAUGGUGGGGUUUGGUUGUUUGCAAAAUUAUUGGUGUGAGGGUCUAUUUGUUUUUGUUUUCACUUUAUUAAUUAAUUACGAAGCAAACAUGUAAUCAUUUGUAAAGGGGUCACUAGCAUUGGGUUGUGUAAGAUGAAUUCGUAAGACUUAUUAAUUUCGAUGAAAAUGUAGCGUUAUUAAGUUGUCAAUUCAUUAACUUGAGGUACUAAUAUUUACUAAUUGUGGUGAUUAAUUUAUUUAACUUUGUCAUAAUUUUCAAUUGAGAAUGAAGUUCAAUCAAUGUAUGAAAAAAAUAAUUUUUUUAGAUUUUUAACUCCUAUGAUUUAAUUUCCAUCUGUUUCGAUUAUUGACGUGUUAAAAGCUUGUAGAAUAUCAUGAAAUGCUUGUAUCUCACCUCACAAAUUGACAAAAAUUGGUUGGUUUCUCCAAAGGCUGCCAUGACGAAUUGAAAGUAAAAACAACCACCAUUGAAAAUUAAUUUUAAAAAUCUUUUUUACUUGAAAAUUUUUAAAAGAAAAAUUAAGCAAAUUAGAUUGCAGAUAUCAAUCUUAAUAUUUUGUUGAUGAAAAUUAAUUAAUUAAUCCCAGUACUUUCUUAAUUUUGUGUUGUGCACCGCAUUGGCCACUUCUGAUUGUGUUGCAUAUUUGUUAAUUCAAAGAAAUAGAUCUUUUGUAUCGAUCAAACUUAUUUUAUUAGUAUUAUUCAUCAUAUGGUUAAUGGCUUAGCCAAUGAAGGAGAAGGGGUCAGCCAAAAUAAAUAAAGUACUUUCUCAUGCAUUAACCUUUAUUAAAAAGCUUUAUUAACUGUUGUAGUUAAAACAAUUUUAAAACAAGUUAAAACAGUUCCAACUCAAAAUCUGUAGGCUGCAAUUGGGUUGUUACACAUAUUUCUAAAUUUCAGUCUAAUUUAAUUGUGUAUGGACAAACUGACUUUAUCACUCCUUUCAUAUUAAUACUCAUAAAUUUCAACCUUUUUUUAUGAUGAUGCACAAUCUAACUUAACAAAAAUAAUGUUCAAAUUGUCAAAAAAUGUUCUUUUCUUAAAAAAGAAAAGAAAAUCAUAUAUAGUAGUUAAUUUUUCUUCCUCUUUACUCCAAGAUCCAACUUCGUACUCCACUUUUUUGUUGUUAUUGUACCCAGCCGUUAGAUUUUAAUUACAUUAAUUUAAUGGUUUGGAUUUGUAAAUGAAUAACGACGUAGUGUUUGGCUACCAUCUGAACCCACUGCAUCUAAUUGGUUUUGUGAUUUUUUGCUUUCUUCUCUGUAACACUUGACUAGUUCUGAAAAUAUCGACCGCCAUCAACAAUAAAUCUGAUCCAUGUAUUAUUUCUUAGUAGUGGGCAAAUUAAUAAAGUUUCCACCACCGUACCAGUAUGUCGAUUUGCGAAUACAUUCAUUCAAAUAUUAAACAUUCAGAGAAGAAAGCAAACCGUGGCAGGAUAGAAUGCUGCGUUCUGUGCUAACUAUAAAUUCUCACAGUGGCACGCAUAUCACAUGACACACAGAGCUCAGACAACACGCUCAACUGCCACAACACUCACCAAAUCUUCACCCAACUCAUGCAUCUCACCUCUCUGUGCUCUCUCUGUUGGCUCUCUCUCUCCCUCUCUCUCCCCCCGUCGCUCACGCAUCUCACCAUGCUCUCUUUUCACCGUCGACUUUCUCUCUCUCUCUCCCCAUGGGUCUUUCCACAGCUGGCGCGGGUCUCCAUCGAGAAUGCUUCGAACUCAUCAAGAGUGGUAGUAAAAGCAACAGUUUCAAUCGAGAACGGCGUCGUCUCGGCUCGGAAGAAGUAAUAACAGUGGUAUUUGGCGGGGGUUUUGGGUACUUUUUGUUCCUGUUUGUCCAUUAAUUAAUUAAUUUGGAAAAAGAACGGUGUAUUUGACAAAUAAAUAAUGGGGAUGGUUGGAUGUAAUUAAGGGGAUGAUGAACAUAAUAAUGGUUUAAGAAGACCAGGAUUUUGUUAACUUUUUUCUAGGUUUCUUGAAGAAUGUAACUUAAAAUAAAUGCAUCAAAUUAAGUAAACAUAAAAUCAUAAUAAUAAUAAUAAUAAUAAUUGGACUCAAUAAUUAUAUGUGAAAUUUACAUAUGUGUCAAGUAGGAGCAUGAUAUCAUCAUUUACACACACACACACCACACACACACACACACAUAUAUAUAUAUAAAUGACAAUUUAUUUAAAAGUCAAAUAAUUGUGACGUUUUAUCAAAUAAGUGACAAAUAUAUAAUAUAUUACAUAUUUAUUGAAUAAUUAUCAUUUACCUUUUCCUUUUAUUGACUUAAGAAAAAAAACAAAAAACUUGCUAUACCGCUUCUGUUUUCGUUCUUAGAACAUAUUAGUUUCUUUUGAGAAAAGUCAAACUCAUUCCCAUUACUUUCUUUUCAAUAAUCACCUCUCAGUUUUUCAUCAGUCACUCAAUUUCGAAUUUCAUCUCCAUUCUCUUUCAAAGAAGAACACACGAAGAAUUUUAGCUUGCUUUACCUGCUUCUCGAAUUUCAGGUAUUGUUUCCUUUAAUUUUGAUUUUUUUUUUUACCUCUCUGUUUCUAGUUUGAUAAUUUAGGGUUAUACUUGAAUUAAUUGUAUUUUUAAUCAUCCUAGGUUGAUUUAAUUGAUUCCAAGUCUCAAUUUCCUGUUCAACAAACAAGGAACGCACGAGUAAUUUUCAUUUUCAUUCUCAAUUUUGAAAGAAUCAAUUUAUUUUAUGUGUUCAAUUUUGUUUAUUUAACUUAGGAUAUCUUUUUCAUUCUCGUCUUCAAGCAGACUAUAGCGUUGCUCCUCUCAUUGAUUAUAUUGAGAACAAUGCUUUCUCCUUAAUUCCACCAAGAACAACGUUGAUGUCAGGUGAUAAUUGAAUGUGUAAUAUUUUCAAUUGAAAUUAAUUGAGUCUCGUAAUAAUAAUAGGGAUUUGAGAUUUACAUCCUGUUGAAAUGAUUUUAGAGUGUUCUGCUAUUUGAAUGGGCAUUAUUUUUUUAUUUUCAAUUAAUUGAGUCUCUUUAAAAGAUUAUUUUUGUUUUUAGCAAACAUCUUAAUGCACUUUGCAAAUUGAAUCCAACAAGGGAAAAUUACAGAACUGCAACAGUUUUCAAAUUGAUUGCAUAUUAGAAGUAAUGUUAAUUUAUGCUGCAACAGUUCAAUGGGCUGGGCACAAGUUUAGGACUUUAGUUGCUCAAUUAAUGAAUCCACCACUCAUCGGACUUGGAACUUAUAUCAACUGAAUCAAUAAAAAUAGUUGACGUAAUCAAUACUGAAAGCUUCAUUUGAUUAAUAAUGAACUACAGACAUUUAUUUAUAACAUCUGCUAGAUUCUGGACAAUCACAAAUAUAUAGUAGCAGAAACUAUGUUAGAGACACUGUAGUUGCUUAAUUAGUGAAAUUGUGAUCUCGUUGCCCCCUUUUUUUGGUUGAUUCUAUAAUUUUAUUAGUUGUUCUUGUGGUUGUAAACAAUAUCAAUUUCUAAUAUUAAUAAAACUGAAUGAAUAAAAUGCGAUACAUUUGCAGGAAAGUUAAUAGUUUAAAUAUGGAUAAAUCUUGGAUGUUGAUGGAUAGAAGGUCUAAAGAAUAUGAGAACACGGUAAAUGAGUUUCUCAAGUUUAAUGUGUUAAUAAUUAUGAAGAACCGGUGUAAUUUAUAUGAUGUAGGAAGCACUUUAGGCAAAAUCAUCUGAAUCUCAAAAUUUCGUGAUAUUGUGCCAAAUAUCCAAAACAGAGCUUCCUACAUUGCUAUAGCAGUUUUUAAAAGUUGAGGACUCCAAAUAUCCAAUAACUGAUCAAUUCUGUUAAGAAAUAUAAAUAUUAAUGGUGAUGACACAUACGCAUUGAAUUCCUUCGUUUUGAGUUUGACUAAAAUAACCUGAAUAGUUUCAAACAAUCCAUCAGCCCAAAGUCCUUGAGAGAUUGAACUCGAGAAUAUAUAUAUCCAACAGGUAAAAUUUCAAAACACCAUUUGCCAAAGUCUGAUGAAGAGAAUACAUAUACACACACGCGCGCUCAUAUGUAUAACCGCACAGCAGAAGGAUAGAUAAAAUAAAUUGAAGUUUCAACAGUUGAACAAUGCAAACUCAUUUUAAAAAAGCAUUCUAUUGUUUAAUUAAAAAUUCGAAAGCCCAUCAUAUACAUGAUAAAGACUCACCGACACCGAACCAUAUUAAUUUAAAAUUGUUUUCAACUGAGAUUUGAAUUUUGAAAUUACAUACACCAACACGCCCGAUUUAAAAAACAAACUAAUAAUAAAAUAUUUAAGUUGUCUAUGUUCAGUCAUCAAAAACCAAUUUACGAUUUAUUUCAACACAAACACACCCGAUCUAUAAAAAAAAUCAAAAUAAUAAUAAAAUAUUUCAGUCGUCCUCUGUUGAGUCGUCAUCAAAAACCCAUUUACGAUCUAUUUCAACAAGAGGUAUAUGGGUUAACAAGUCCCAAUAUUGUCCUCCAUCCUUUCUGUACUUCUCUGCUAUUAACGGACAUCUAUGGAUGUAUAAACGCAAAAGUGAGGAAGGCAGGCCGUUCUCUGGAAAGUAUUUAAGCCUGGGACAAUUAUAGAGUUCCAAUGAAGUGAGGUUUUGAAGAUCAACAAUUGAAGAAGAUAGCCGUUCCAGAUUUGGAAAAUCUUCAAUCUGCAGAGAUGUUAGAGAGAGGCAGGAAGAGGAAGCGUGGUCCCCCAUCUUAUGUCCUCUGGUGGAAAUGACACCAUGUUGUCAUCACAUCCUGUGAUUCUAAGUUCACGCAGAGAGGAGAAGCUGUGAAAUCCCCGGCCCCACUCAAUCAUUGACUUCCAAAUCUUCGUAUUACCAUUAAUCUCCAGUGAAUGAAGGUUGGGAGGAAGGCCAUGUUCUUUGACGCUUGGAUGCUCACCUCCUAUAAUUAAUUGUCGAAGAGAGUUCAGAUUGUGCAAUCCCUUAGGUAAUGCCUCUAGUCUCCCACACUCAUACAUCAUGAGCUCAGUCAGUUUCGUACAAGGCAAUCCCCCUUCGGGAAACGACACCAGAUUUCCACACCCCUAAAAUCUAAUCUCUCGAAGCUGGCGGAGAUUAUGUAAACCACUCGGUAAAUUUUUCAGAUUUUUACAACUAAUGAUAGUGAUUGUUUCAAGAGAUGUGUUGUUGUCCAACCUUUCUGCUAUUGACUCCAGCUUGGAACAUCCCCAAACAAAAAGUGACUUAAGAGACGGAGGUAGAUUGCCAACUUCAAGGGACUCAAGCGUGGCAGGUAACUCGUUUUUUGAAAAUAUACAUGUCAGAGACGGACAACUCUCAAUGUGUAAGUGCUCAAGAAGAGAUGAGGUGUACCUUCUGCUGCUGCUACUCUGGAUGCCCUCUUCCACUGUCAAAGUCCUUACAUUAUCGCAAUUCCGGAUGACCAAGUUCUUAAGGCUCGGUGGUAGCUGGACUUCAGCAAUAUAUGUCAACGAAUGACAACGCGAAAUCGUCAAGAUCUCGAGAGAUAAAUUGGCGUCGCACAUCCAUGCCUCCGGUAACGAUUUCAGUGCAUCACAACGGUGAAUUGAAAUGCUCCUCACCUUGGAAGGCAGAGCAACCUCAGGGAAGGAAACAAAGGAACUGCAGUUGUAGAUUUCUAUCUCUCUCAAGGAGCUGAGGCUGAGCAAUGAUUGUGGCAGCUUCACAAGGCCUUUGCAAUCAUUUAAUAGCAGAUAUUCAAGUCUGCAUGACAACUCGCAGAGCUGUUGCUGGUCUUUUUCUUCCUCCGCCACCAAGGAUUGAAGUGUGGGACACCAUCCAAUCGUCAGCCUUUUGAGAGAGCUAAUGUCUUGCAGAAAUCCGUUAUGACUCUUCCAUAUAUAUGUUUCAUUUUUAAUAUUGCUUAUCUCCAAUUCUUCCAAUUUUGGUAGUCGCGGCUUCAAUGGCCCUGCAAGCAACACUUGAUUUAAUGUAUCGCUACAAACCACUGAAUUCUGUGACUCGAGAUGAUCAGUUUCACUUCUCCACACAACCUUUUUACAUCCACCAAUCUCUAAUUUGCAAAGAGCUGGAAGACUCGUAAUUGAAACUAACAAUUCUUCACAUCCUCCAAUAACAAGCAUCUCCAAUGCAGGAAGGUGUUCUGGAAAUGUUCCUUUCAGUUUAGAACAUCCUAUAACUUCAAGCUCUCUCAAUUUAGGAAAUCCUUCAACUCCCUGAGUAGAUCCAUGAGGAAUCCAGUCUUCCCAUUCUAGCAGGUUUUCAAAACGAAGAGUCUCCAAGCAUGGAAAAGGAAUUGGAGUAUCAUUCCCAUAGAACUCCGAACCCAAUCUCCUUACUCUGCUCAUUCUACGUACUGCAAGAUGCUUUAGAGAGGGUAGUUGCCCGACCGACGGCAGUGUGGUACACAUGCCACAAUCUUCAAAUUUAAGUGUUACUAAAUUUGAGAAUGAGGAAUCUCCUAACCAUAUUGGAAAUUUUGUACCUCCAUAGCCACUGAUAAAAAAUUGCUCCAGAUUUUUAUGGGGUUUCAGCAUGUCAAGCACGCCCUUUUGAGUUUCUGCCUCCCUUAAAGAUGAACCAUCGGUACUGUUUGUCCACCGAAGCAUUAACACUUUAAGGUUCUUCUUUCCAUCCAAUUGAGCCUCCUUGGCAUCACCAACGUAUUUUACGUUCUCCAAUUUUGAAACGGUAAGUGUCCCACGAAGAUGCGUCAACAACUUUAGCUCUCGCAACCGGGAACCACUGUCUUUUCCUACAACAAAAUUACACAAUGUCUGAAGACAAGUCAACUUGCCAAUUCCUAGUGGCAUUUCCUCCAACGAAUCUGUAUUUGAAUUAUUGAGAUGAUGCAAUUUGAUGAGAUUUCCCAUGCCUGCACACAACUUCCUCAGUCCCCGACAACCCUCCAACGAAAGGGUGUGCAAAUUGUAAAGCUUGUUGACUGAUUCAGGCAGAGUUCUAAUCUGAGUUCCAGAUAGGUUGAGGUACCUUAAAUACCUCAAAUCACCAAUUGAAUCUGGCAGCUCGGAGAUCCAAUAUCCACACAAAGAGAAGACCCUCAGGCGUUGAAGUUUGAACAACUUAGGAAGAAUGCUAUGAGCCAAGAAUCCUUGCGAACUAUUUGACAGACAUACUGGUAGAAAAGUUCGCAAAUGCUGGAUAUUGUACAAGUCUUCAAACCUUUUAACGCCAUCAUAUUUUCCACAGAUGCAUGAUAGAUGACGAAGAUUUUUGGAAAAACUUUGUUGUUUGUUAACCUCUGAAGUAUAAUCCAUUGUGAAGUAAAUUUCCCCCGCAGCCCAAUGGGCAAGGUCAUUGAUAAGAUCGUGCAUCACAAAUAGUGAUUUAUUGUUGCUUGAUUGCUGGAAAAAGGAUCUUGCACGUAGCUCUUGAAAGAACUUUCGACCUAGAUCUUCACAUGGAUUCUCGCUCUUCCGAUGAUCCAAGAAACCCACAGCACUCCACAAUAAAAUUAUCUCCUCCUCUUCAAAUUCAUAAUCAUUUGGAAACAAUGAGCAGUAUGCAAAGCACUGUUUCAAAGGUGCCGAGAGAUAAUUGUAGCUCACUCUAAGCGCCGGUAUAAUGUCACAUCUCUCUUCUGGUAAAUCCCAUAUGUUGCAACUGAGCACACCUUCCCAAUCACUUCGGUCACAUUUACCACGUAAGAGUCCACCAAGGGUUUUCGCAGCUAAGGGCAGGCCGUCGCAUUUGAUCACUAUCUUCUUGCCAAUUUCCUCCAAUGGCUUAUUUGAACUGAAAUCUCUUGUCCCCAAAGAGUGGUGAGCGAACACGGACAAACAAUCAUCAAUUGACAACUUUUUUAAUUGAUAAGCUGAAGCAGUCCCCAUUAUGGCUGCAACCUCUUGAUUGCGAGUUGUGACAAUAAUCUUACUUCCCGGUGCGCCAGCUUCAAACGGACGGCUCAUGUCAACCCAAUCAUUGUAACUCUCAUUCCAAACGUCAUCUAAAACAAGCAAAAAUUUCUUUCGAGACAACUGCAUCUUUAGCUCCUCUUGAAGCAAAUUUAAAUCACUAUUAUCAACAGUCUGCUUAGUAAUGGAGCUUAGAAUUGUUCUUGUUAGCCUGAUAACAUCAAAAUCAUCAGAGACACAAGUCCAUGCCUUGAGAUCAAAAUGACCCUGCACUCGAUCUUCAUUAUAGACAAGCUGAGCAAGAGUGGUUUUGCCCAGCCCGCCCAUACCUAUAAUAGGAAUAACUGAGAAUUCGCCAUCAUUUCUUAAAUCAUCCCUCAACAACAAUUCAACGAUUUCCUUUUUUUCUGUUUCCCUACCAUAUACCUUUGCUCCGUUCACCAAAGAGGUUGUGGGUAGUCUUUGCCUGACUUUUUUGGAUCUCCCCGCUGAACUUUCUUUCAAACCCAACGAGUCUUUCUGUGUUGCAACAUCUUGAAAUCUGUCGUUGAUCUCUUUGAUUUUGGACAUCAUGGUGUAAUCGAACUGAAUCGAUUGUGGAGUAAAAGUGGUGCAGCAAGUAGGAAUGAGCUUCCGAAUUCUGGUAUGACUGCUACUAGGUUGAUCAUGAGCCGCAACUGGUUCUCCAUUUCCAAGCAGCAACCUCCUCCGGAACGCCUCAGUUUGAAACUCAUCCAACAAGUCUUCAACAUCAUAAGCCAAGUUCUGAAGCUCGCCAAGCCACAACUUCACAGACUGAUCAGUCUUCUUCUCCUCAGCAUCAUCAAGCACCGCCUUGAUCAUCACCAACAUAUUCUUCCACUUCUUUAGGUCGGCCUGGAUUUGCUCUUGGCGUCCGAACAACCGAAUCCCCUCUGAAGCUAACUUAUUGACCAGCAAAUCAACGGACGCCGUAAGGAUUGCCUCUCCGAUGAUUGACAUUUUUUUCUUUUUUAACGCACAGAAAGAAACAGAAUUUUGAGUUUCAAAGAGCAAAAUGAGAAAAUUGAGCAGUAAGUGUGAAGGGUCAAGCAAAUUGCACGCAACAAGUCUUCCACUUGUUGUUUACUCUAGUAAAGUGCAAAUAGAAACGGAGCCCACCACCCAUUAAAAAUUUAGCGAUUCACCAAUCACCAGUCACCACCACUUGUUACCAGAUUAAAUGAAUGUAAAAUCGCACCUCGACAUUUGUAGGGUCAAGCAACAUUAAUCCAAUUGUCCGGGUAAAUGCUGAAUAAAGUGGACAAUUGGAUGUAUCUACUACGAACCUUCCCUUUACAAAUCUUCAAACUCAUAAACCAUGUUAAAAUGAAAAACGUUUCUCUCUUUCUCUCUCCCUUUCUGCCGUAAAAUUACUUUAUGGAUUGAAUUAAUUUCCAUGCUAAAACGAAGACUUAAAAGUACGAUACAAUUUUUUAUAAUAAUCCCAAUGGAAUUUCUACCGUCACGUUACAUUACUGUAGUGUCAAAAUAAAUUAUAAUAAAAUUUUAGCUGAACAUAAAUUCGACUCAUUUAUUAAAUAUAUAUACUUAAUAAAAUAACAACGAUAUUUUAUUACCUGGCUUCUCCCCAAAAAGAUAAUUUUCAAAAUUGUUCAUGGAGAAGUCUAUGUUGCAGAUUCUGUAACAUACGCACCCAAUGCAUGCACCACACUUGUUCUGUGCAUGGAGAAAAAGCAUGCAAAUGCUUUUGUUAGGUAGCUGGCUUAAAGCAGAAUCAGUAAGUUACAGAGUCUGUAACUUAGCCUGCUCCAUGUGAAAACAAAAAAAGUCCUGCCACCAAUAAUUCAGAAAGCUUCACUUUAUUACACGAAGGUGAAAGCAAAAAGCCAAAAACAGCCCCCACCACCAUCAAUAAUUUAGCAAGCUUCACAUGCUAGCGCCUGUCUACCUGACGAACUGCACACAGCACAUGGGUGGACCAAGCAUCAUUGAAUAGUUGUAAAAAAUAAAAAAUAAAAAAUAAAAAUCAGUGUCCCGCAAAAAGAAUCCAUCUUUAUGUGUUGAUAUGCACAUCUACCGAACAUCCAAAAAAUGGAAGUAGAAAUUGAAACUUACUUUUUUAGUUAUGGCUCAUAUAUAAUACAAGUAUCAAGAUUUAAGUAGAGUUCACAUAUACACAUGCGUCUACAAAAUUUUUAGGAAGUGAUAACUAAUAUGUUGGGAUAUAUAUUUGUGGGAAAUGACAAAUAUAGAGAAUAGCAGUAAAAAUGUUGGAAGUUUAAUAUAAUGAAAAAAGGUAAAUUGCAAAAAAUUAAUAUGUAAUUUAAAGCACAUUACAAAUUGAGUAAUGUACAUGGGUUAAGCAAAUAUACCUCAAUGAUACAAUGAGACACUUAUUUGUUUGUUUGCUUUGUGCAUCGACAAAAAUAAAUUAGAAUACUCUUUAAUGUUGCAAAAACAAUAUAUUGGAUAUUUGAUGCAUAAAAAAGAAAGUUAUUUGAUGAAAUUCAUUCUAGGAAAUAGAGCUAAGAAAAGAGCGGUGUAGGAUUAUCUUAUUCAUAUUUAAAAUUCUAAAUAUAUUGAUUUACUUAUCAUAGUGAUAUAAUAGUAAUUGUAAAUUAAAAAUAAAUUUAAUAUUAAAACAAAUAGAAUUUACUAAUAAAAAUAAAGUUAUAUAUCUUUUUUCGAAAUAUUUAAGAAUUUUAUGUCCUUUUUUUUUUCAAAACGUUUGGAGUGAAUUUCCAUUUCCCAUUAAGCAAAACCCACCGCAAAAGUGAAAAGAAAAAACAGAGCCCACUACAAAUCUAAAUCAGAGGAGCUCAUGAUCGUGCCUUUGCUUCACACACUAAAUUAAAUAAAAGCCGAACCAAGAAUUGCCUUUGCUUAACAUGAUUAAUUAGGCACUACAUCAAAGAGAACACGAAACCAAUGGACCCUUUUGUUAAUCUUAAAUGUCAGGAAUAUGAUUAGCUUGGAAUAAAGUUACAUACUUUCUCCUCCUCUUACUGUCUCUUUAUGUUCAUUUCAAAAGUUUGAAGAGAGUAUCAAUUCUUCUACACUUUAGAAUGUCAAUGUUCUUGCUUUCUUCAAAUGUUGAAUAAAGAGAAAAAAAAAUGUUGAAUGUAGAAGGAAAAUGGAAUGCAUCCACCUUCGCUUUGGAAGUCUUCUACUUAUAAAAGCAAGCUAAAUUAAAAGAUUUAAAUCUCUCUUUUUAUUACUAUAAGUGCACUGCAUUUUUUUUUUUAAAUAAUCACCUAUACAAAUUUGUAAUGUAAUGAAAUAUUCAUAUUCCUGUCGUGUCGAAAUGAGAUAAAAUGAAAUUUCAAAUAACACAAAUUCGACUCAUUUGUUAAAGGUAUAUACUUAAUAAGCUAAUAACAUAAUUAACAUAACGCUAUUAUUACACUAAAUGAAAUAAAAGACGGUAGCCACUAAAUGAAAUUUUGUUGUUAUUGUACGUUGAUUUAAUGGUUUGAUUUUCCACUAAAUGAAAUAAAGCCGUUAGAUUUUAAUUACGUUGAUUUAAUGGUUUGGAUUUAUAAAUGAAUAACGACGUGGUGUUUGGCUACCAUCUGAACCCACUGCAUCUAAUUGGUUUUGUGAUUUUUUGCUUUCUUCUUUGUAACGCUUGACUAUUUCUGGAAAUAUCGACCGCCAUCGACAGCAAAUCUGAACCAUGCAUUAUUUCUUAGUACUAAGAAAUAAAGUUUCCACCACCGUACCAGUAUGUCGAUUUGCGAAUACAUUCAUUCAAAUAUUAAACGUUCAGAGAAGAAAGCAAACCGUGGCAGGAUAGCAAAAACUGCGAAUGGUCAUUCCCAACACAAACCCCUAUGGCUGUUUUCCUUUUAAUUUUCUUCUUUGAAUUCUCCUUUUAUUAAUCAUUAGAAAACUCCCUUUUUUUUUUUUAAAUCAUGUGUUAUUAACAUUUACAUGGUUAAUGUCAUCGAAAUCAAAUGGUUGUUAUCUACGAAAAGAGAAUUGCUAGAAAUUUUGUUAGUCCCAUUGCAACAAUAUAUUGUUAUAAAUUGCAUUGUGUCCCAUAUAACAAAUAUAAUAAAAUCUCAAUAAAUUAAUAGUUUUGGGAACCAUAAAAAAAUUUAUUAAAAUUUAACAAAUAUCAAUUAAUCAGUAAAUUGAUAAAUUAUUAAUUUAUGAAAAUAUUCAUUAUUUUGAAAAAACAUGAUCACGUUUUUAAUAUUGAUUUACCCUGAGUUAAUAUCUAUUAUGUUUUAUUUGUCUAUUAGUUUUAUCUUGGGAAGAUUUUUUAAGAGUUAGCUGCUUUAUAUUAAGUUAUUAACAGUAAUAAAAUUAUUAGUUGAUACAGGCGAAUUUUCUGACCAAAAUCGUACAAAGAAGUUGAAAGUGUUUAUUUUUGUUAUUUCAAGACAUUCUAACAAACUAUAAGGGGUCACAAAAAGGUUGAUACGACGUAAAAUGUGGCAAGUCUUCCCACUUGUUAACAGUAAUAAAACUACUUCUUGUUCUUUUUGUCCUCAAGGGUCAAGCAAAAUACGACGUAAAAUGUGGCAAGUCUUCCCACUUGUUGUUCUUUGCAGCUAAGAAAAGAAAAACAAAUCCCGCAAUGGAGUCCCCUUAAGUGGCUUGCCUGGGUUUGCUCCCCAGUUCGAGUCGCAAGGAAGUCGCCUUUGUUGGGAGAACCUGUGUCCUCCAGUUCGAGCGGGGACUUCUAGUCUGAGUUGUGGUACGGGCUUAAAGGCGUCUCCCACAGUUGGGCCCUCCCCAGGAUACCUCGUGGUUAAGAAAAAAAAAAAAACAAGAAAAAAAGAGCCCGCCACCCAUUAAUAAUUUAGCAAUUCACCAAUCACCACAAAAUUCCAUUAGAUAUUCGUCGAUCAAGUAGUUAAUCCAGUGUCUGUUACGUAGAGCCUUCACUUUACAAAUCUUCAACUCAUAAACCAAGUUAAAUCAAGACGUUUCUCUGUAUAUAUAUAUAUAUAUAUAUAUAUAUUUUUUUUUUUUAACUCCUAAAACGUUUCUUUUUAGAAAUAUUUUACUUUAUUCAUCUAAUAUGUUAUCUAACAAAUAGACACAGAUGAAAUCACUCUAAAGUGAAGAUGAAAGGGGAAAAAAAAACAUUCCAACCACCAAUAAUUUAGCAAGCUUCACUUUUAUUCCACCAAAGUGUAAACAAAGCCAGCCCCCACCACCAUCGAUAAUUUUGCAAGCUUCACACGCUUGUUGUCUUCUCCUUGACGAACUGGACGUGGGUGGACCAAGAAUCAGUGAAAGAAUUUUAAAAAUAAUAAUAAUAAAAGAAAAACCUAAACAUUUUCGACUUAGAGUAGAACCGUAAUUAAUGCUAAAAUUUACUCCGCUAACGUUUUCAAAAUAUUGUUCUUUAUCAUUGUACAGCAAAUAAGACUAAGUUUUGGACAUUUUCAUUAUUCACUUACUUUCAAAAGUAGUAUUUCAAAACAUUUUACAUAAUCAAGUUACAGUUAUAUAACGAGAAAAGUGCAAAGUUGUGUAAUUCUAAUGUUUUUUUUAUCACAGACACUCAGAUCAUUUUUUAUUUGGGUCGCCAACUCGCCAAUGAACCCAUGAUUGAAUGAGUGUUUAGAAAGAAAAUCAAUAAAAAACAGUUUAUUUUUUGUCGUCGAAAUAUAGUAAGUGAGAAAGAAUAUUCUUUUUUUUUUUUGUUAGUAUUUAUGAUUGAGUGACUCAGAACUAUAUUUUAGAUUGAGAAUCAAUGGUUCUCCCACACUGAGAGGCUGUAAGUUUAAGAUUGUCGUUUGCUAUUUCAUCGACAAGAGAACACUUGAAUUUUAUUAAAAGGAGAAGGCCAUAAAGGUUUUCCUUUAUGAGAAAUGUAUCUGAUCAUUCAUUUUUACUUGAAAAUUUCAUAUAUAAAAACUCAUUAAUAAAUGACAGAAUAUGUUGAAAAGUCAUGCAUGUGGCAUCCAAAUUCAAGAAAGCAUGCAAAUUUCAAAGUGCUACCAAACAAUUGAAGAAAAAAAUGAAAAGUUGGCAAAUUUUGCAAAUUUGCCAAAUGGACACCAUUGACAAUUUGCUUAAGUUAGGUGGAAUAGUAGAGGGGUUGGUGCACUUCUUCCAUUUUAAUCAUCUCAAAAUUGUUAAGCUUAUAAGUUUCUAAGCUUUUGAGAGAAGUGAGAGAAGUGUGUAUGGGGAAUUUAUCUUUCCUGCAGAGUGUGAGAGUAUUGGGUAUAUUUGGGUUUCUGGGAAGUGAGAUUCGUUACUCAAAUAUUGUACUCUAUUAAUUGUUAAAUAAACAAUUAUUCUUUCUUGCCUCCGUGGAUGUAGGUUUAAUUACCGAACCAUGUAAUUCUUGUGUCCUUUAUUUUUCUAUAAUUAUUUGGUGCGCUUGAUUUCGCAUUCCGCGCACAACAAAAUAUACAUAAAUUAUUAAUUCAUUUGAUAGUUGAUUAUCGAAGGACAUGUGACCCAUGGGAGCAUGCAGUCUAUAAAAUAAUUCUUUUUUUAUUAAACAAAAAAUUGGUGAUGUUGAAAAGCAAUAUUAUUAUUAUUCUAAUUGGGGUGAACAUUCAUAAAAAGAAUGCCGUAUGAAACUAAAUUAUUAAUUCGUUUGAUAGUUGGUUAUCGAAUGACAUGUGACCCACAAUAAAUAGUUAAAUUUGGCGGCAACAAUAAUUACAAGACGAACUUAAAGCAGCGCAUAGUUUUUUCUUAAAAAUACAUAAACAAUUCGAUAUUUGAAAUUCUAAUAUCUCAAUAAUAUUGAUCAUGAUUCAGUUACCAAUUAGAUCCACUUACAAUUUCUUUUUUUCUUUUUUCUGGUUUCCAAUCUUUACCAAAAGAAAAUAUUUAGUGAUCCCUUUUAUCAACUUGGUUUUAUUGACUUUCUUCCAAUCAUAGAAGUGUUACCAGAUUCUGUAAAGACAAGAUCAGUGCCCAGCAAAAGAAGCUAUGUUUUCGUUUAUAUGCUGCUUCCUAUUUAGUACAUGCAUAUAAAGAUAUACACGUGCACAUGCAGCACAUCUAUCUAAAAUUUAAAAAACGGAAUUAGAAAUACAGGAUUUAUGGUAGAAAUACAACAGGAAUAAGAGUGAAAUUCCAAUUUUAAAAUUUGGGAGAAAUGAAAUGCGAUAUUUUUUUUAUUAAUAAAAUAAUUUAAUUUUUUUUAAUUCUACCAGCAAAAACCAUUAACUUAUCAAGUUAUUGGUUUCAUUCACAGUUGACAGUCGGUUUCUUAGUUUCAUUCCUUAAUUCUACAAGAAAAAAACAGAAUACUUGACAUUUUUUAUUUGACAGUUUUUAAGAAAUGUCAAACAUAUAUGACAUUUUGUGAAAAACUGAGUAAUUGUGAAAUAUAAAUGACAAUUUAUUUAAACGUCAAAUAAUUGUGACGUUUUAUCAAAUAAAUGAUAAAUAUAUUACAUAUUUAUUGAAUAAUUAUCAUUUACCUUUUCCUUUUAUUGACUUGAGAAAAAAAACAAAAACAUUGACUAUACUGCUUUUGUUUUCGUUCUUAGAACAGAUUUUAGUUUCUUUUGAGAAAAUUCAAACUCAUUCCCAUUACUUUCUUUUCAAUAAUCACCUCUCAGUUUUUCAUCAAUCACUCAAUUCCGAAUUUCAUCUCCAUUCUCUUUCGAAGAAGAACGCACAAAGAAUUUUAGCUUGCUUUCGCUGCUUCUCGAAUAUUGGGUAUUGUUUCCUUUAAUUUAGAUAAUUUUUUUUUUUAUAUCUCCCUUUCUAGUUUGAUAAUUUAGGGUUAUACUUGAAUUAAUUGUAUUUUUAAUCAACCAAGGUUGAUUUAAUUGAUUCCAAGUCUCAAUUUCCUGUCCAACAAACAAGGAACGCACAAAUAAUUUUCAUUUUCAUACUCCAUUUUGAAAGAAUCAAUUUAUUUUAUCUUUGGUUAGUACACUUCUGUUCAAUUUUUGUUUAUUUAACUUAAGAUAUCUUUUUCUUUCUUUUCUUCAAGCAGAUUAUAGAUUAUAUUGAGAACAGAGCUUUCUCCUUAAUUCCGCCAAGAGCAACGUUGAUUUCAGGUGAUAAUUGAAUGUGUAAUAUUUUCAAUUGAAAUUAAUUGAGAUUUACAUCCUGUUGAAAUGAUUUUAGAGUGUUCUGCUAUUUGAAUGCGCAUUAAUUGUUCCUCUGUUUCAAAUCCAAAUCCACUGGUCUACUAUUCAUUAUGACAAUGCAUAUGCCGAUAUUGUCUUCCAUCCUUUUUGUACCUUUCAAUUAGUGAGGUUUAGACAGGGGUUCCAGAUUUGGUAAAUCAACAAUCACCAGAUAUGUAGAGCGGCCGGAAGAGGAAGCAUGGUUCCUAAUCCUAAUCUUGAUUUAGAGCAGAUUAGGUAACAUGUGGCAUUCUACAUUCUUGCAAUGCCAUUUCUUGUUAUGGCAGCAGCAUUCUUGGUCAUGGCAUCACAAGCAAAUGCUUUGAUUUGAAGACUUGCUUGGCUAUGAAAAAUAAGGAGAGCAAAGGUAAUCAAUCUUGGUCUGAUCAACAUUUUUAUGGGGGUACUAAGAAAAAUAAAGAUAAUAUAAAGAAUGUUGUUGAGGAGUAUUUUCAUAUUUACACAAGUGUUCAAAGUAAAAAUUGAUUUCUUAAAACCCAUUAGCUAGCGCACAUAAUAAUGGGGAGAAAAUUUUAGACUACGAAUGGUCCCACCCAUUUAAUAAUAUUCUUCAAUCAAUUAUGUUUACUUCAAAAAAACAAACCCAUCUCUUUAUUACUUUCUAACUAUUCAUAUUAAUGUGUUAAUAAUUAUGAAGAACCGGUGUAAUUUAUAUGAUGUAGGAAGCACUUUAGGCAAAAUCAUUUGAAUCUAAAAAUUUCAUGAUAUUGUACCAAAUAUCCAAAACAGAGCUUCCUACAUUUCAUUGCGCUAGCUAAUUUCUUGUACCAAAAUUAGGAAUCAUUGAAGAGUGGAGUUACGUGACUGAAUAGUAUCAUAUCACAGAAACUCAAAACUCAAAAGUGCAAUAACAUUGAACAUUCAGCUGGCUAGCUUAUAUUAAUUAAUUAAUACUACUACUAGUUCUUUAUGAUUAAUUAAAAGAUAAAAUAUUUGACAAUCACAAAACAUUAUUCCAUCACUCAAGAGUAGAGCUUCCUACAUUGUUACCCAGCUCUUUUAUAUCUCCCAAACAUUAUUAGAGUCCCACAUUUGUGGCACAUCAUUAAGUAAAAUGUGCCAAUUAGGAAGAGCUGGCUUCUUUGUUUUGUUUUCUUGGAUGUGCUGCAAUUUUCAAGUAUCAUUCAAAAUUUUACGCCAUCAACACGGGAAAAUUAUAUAUAUUCUGUCAGCACUUGCAUAUGUUGCAAGUGCUGACAGAACUUUUCAUUUGAUUUGAUAAUUGGCUAAGGGUGAUUUCGAUAACGUUUCCAAAGAAGAUAUAGAACAUAGAUCAAAAAGAAAAAUAAGUAAUUUGAUCAGUAGAUGCAAAAAAUGAGCGAGCUUCGUAGUCUGACUAACAGGACAUGGCUUGGAGCAGGGAUCAAUGGACAAGUUUGAGGUUUAUGAAAUAUUGGGAAAACAGACAAAUAAUAAAGCCACUACAAGUUAAGCAGAUCAAAUAAACAGAACAGAGGAAAUAAGUGAUCAAUUUAUUACUUUGUGCAAUGGCCACAGCAACAGCGAAAAUAUGUCUACAUGACUACAUUAUCCGACUGGCAUGGUACUAUAACCGUGCAGCAUUACACUAACAUUUCCUUAUCAAUCAAUUUUGAUGGUAUGAUAUUAAAAACAUCGAUUUCAUAAUUUUAUGUAAUUCAAAGAAAAGAUAUAAUUGAUUUUAGUUAGUUUAACAUAUAAGGAAAGAGUAAUGGGGAAUGAUGUCGAUGUGGCACGUGAUGAGUAAAGAUAGACAACAAAUAUUGAUCAUGUAAUAAUGAAAUAUGUAUUUAUUGAAAAUAAAUUGACAAUUAAAAUUAAUAGAUAUAUAUCCAAUGCACCGAGUUUAUUUUAUCACUUCGCUAACCAUUUUGUAACUACAUGUUAAUUAGAAGUUGAAUUAAUUUUGACCAAAGACUCUAGAGAAUGUUGAAAAGAGAUUUGAUUUUUGUCUUUAAAAAUAUUAGAAAUGAAAUAAGUCAAAAUCAAUCACAAGAACAACAAUAAGAGCAUAUUUUGUAAAACCACAAAUACAUAUUAUAAAUUUAGUUUCGAAUUAGAUCAUUAUUAAUUUGUAUUGUAAGAGAGUCUUAUAGAAAAAUAUGAAUUUUUUAAAAGGAGAUUUGCUUAAGGAACAACUUUAGUUUGGUUUAAUUUGUGAAGGCUCAAGUAAUUGAAAGCAACGCAAUGGAAGGAAAUACAAGUUUGAUUUUGACAAAGUAAUCACUAAAAUAUUUGACAAGUUUGAGAUGUUAAAAAACUGGAAAAAUAGACAAAUAAAGAAAACCCUACAAGUUGGCAAAGCAAAUAAACAGAGGAAAACAGAGCAAAUAUUUACCGUUAUGCAUAUAUAUUUUUUAAAUUUCCGAAAAAGAAUGUUGCGAUAUUUUUUCCCAAAAAGAAGCACAGUUUGGCAUAUGUUGUGCUUUAUUUUAUUUUAUUUUAUUUUAUUGAAGUUACUUUGUAAACUGCUCCAGCAAUUUGUAUUUCCUUUCGGUGAGGUUGGUUUUUUUCUUUAAAUAAAAUUUCAGGGAUGAGAAUGCAAGUUUAGAAAGUACUGCAGCAACAAAGUGCAUUCAUAGCCAUAGCCGGUUACACUAUGUCUAGCUACAAUGCAAGUUUCACUUUUACUUAAUUAAAUAUACAAAAUUAAAUCACUUGAGCCUCUCGUUUCAUUAUACUUCAACUCAAAAUUAAAACGCAGAAUUGAUGGUAUUGGAGUUUCAUAUUUAAUUGUGCUGUAGUCAUGGGGAAUCAUAUGGCCAUCCAUUUUGACGUCUGUUUUAUGGCCAUCCCCACUAAGUAGCUUGGUCAUAUACAAUAUGUGUGUGCGUGUAUGUAUGUGUAUAUUGGGAUGUCAAAGGCCCUAAAAGAUAAAGCUGAACAUCAAUCCCAAAUCUAAAGUGAAAAACAGUAGCUGGAACAGAAUCUUUGUUUUGAUGUCUAAGCUCAAACAAUUGAUAGUAUAGAAAAUGCAUGAUAGAAUAGAGAACCCAUAUUUUAGCAAUAAUCCUAAGCUCACUGGCCCUUAGUUCAGAGUGGCAGUUCUUAUUCGUCAAAGAAUCAAAUUUACUUUUAGUUGUAUACAAGUAGAGCACUAGAUCAACAAAUAAUUGAAGACUUGCUUGGCUGUGGAACCAUAGGAAGGCAAUUCGUGAACAGCCUUGAUAUUUCAUUUGGUUUUAUCUAAUUCUUUGUAAAGUUGUCUUGUGUAUAAAAUUUUUGUUACAUGAAAUCGGUAGGUGAAGAGAAUUUUUAAAAGCAAACGUCAAAGUCACGAUCAAAGGGACGAAAUCAGUAUAAAUAUUGAUUGUCUCAAGUUAGAUUAUACAAAGAUGAAAUAAUGCUAAUCUAAAAAUUCGAUGAUUAUAAUUUGAUUUCCAUUAUAUUAAUUAUAUUCAAUCAUACUAUUUAAAUGAAGAACACUCCAGCAUUUAUAUACACUCAGCUUAUGAAAUUAAUUACAAAAUGAUAUUUGACAAAGUAUGAUGAAAAAGGUACAAAGUUAGACUUCCCGAUCAUGCAACCACCCAUCGAAUUGUGUAUUGUGUCAUCGUUGAGCUCUUAGAAGGAUUCAGCUGCUGAGGAGAAGAUAUAAUCGGUUUUUGUGUGAGAAGCUAUGUACUAUGCUUUUAUGGUGUUUCUCUUGGUAGUUGUCGGACAAACUGUAAUGUGAAUUUCUAUCUAAUGGGUAUCCUUUUAGUUAGUUUGGGAUUGUUGAUUUAUAUAUGAUGUUUGGUAUCUAAAAUUCAGAUGAUGAUAAUCUUGGCAGUACUUUUGUCAAAUUUUCUUGUGUUGUUGUUGGUUUAAUAAAAUAUCACAAAGGUGCAAAAUACAGUAAAAUUAACAUUAGAUAUAUUGAAAAAGAAAUUGACACAAGAAACUGAAAAUUAGUUGUUAAUUAUGAUGGGAAUAUAAUCUUGGUAUUUCAAUUAUAUCAUUUGCACUAAUCUCAUUGUGUCUAUCACUGAAAAGCAGAGUGGCUUGAUUAAAUAGUGUCAUAUUACGUCACAGCAAUCACAGAAACUUACCCAAAAGUGCAUGAGCAUUGAACAUUCAGCUAAUUUAUACUAAUUAAUUAAUAAUACUAACAAGAGAAGUUGGAUCUCGUCUUCUCUUGGAUAUAUCCGAUGACUUUGAGCUCUCCAGCCUCGCAACCGGAAAUGUUCUUCCUUCACAUUCGGUGAUUGUUUUUCAUUAUUGCGGCUACUUGACUCAAAUAUGCUAUUGCAAGAGGAGAUUUCUAUUUUGUCUGAUUUAAGCCAUAAGACGGGUUUCAAGGUUCAUUCUGAUUGUUUAUCUGUUAGCUUUUUUUGUUUUAAGAACUUCUUAUUUACGGAAGCAAAAUUCUCCUUUCCAGGAUGAUCUAGAUUUAGAAGUUGCUUUUGUCAUAUCAGACGAAGAGGCCAUCUUUAAGGCCUUGUCUAAGAUUGUUGAAUUUAGUAGAAGGGACUACUGCUCUGAUUGGUCAAAACUACUAUGGCUGUCUUUUUCAUGAGCUUCUAAUAUCGAAUCAGUUUUAAUGGUAUGAUAUUAAAAACAUCGAUUUCAUAAUUUUAUGUAAUUUCAUAGAAAAGAUAUAAUUGAUUUGAGUUAGUUUAACGUAUAAAGAAAGAGAGAUGGGGAAUAAUGUCGAUUUGGCAUGUGAUGCGUAAUAAUAGACACCAAAUAUUAAUAAUGUAAUAUUGAAAUAUAUAUUUGCUGAAAAAUAUUUGGCAAUAGAAUAAUGCUUUAAAAAUUUAAUAUUUUUUGCAAGAAAGUAAUUCGACAAUUAAAGUAAAAGAUGUAAAUGUUAUGCUUUCUUUUAUUUUCUUUUAUUGAAGUUACAUUGUAAACUGCUCGAAGCUAAAUACAAUAUUUACUCUUACACUAGGAUCUUUGCAAUGGUCUAGCAAUUUGUAUUCCUUUCGGUGAGGUUGGUUUUUUUCUUUAAAUAAAAUUUCAGGGAUGAGAAAUCUUAUCCAUUGAACAUCAACUUUGAAUUUUGUUAAUAUUCAAACUUAGAAAGUACUGCAGGAACAAAGUGCAUUCAUAGCCGGUUAAACUAUGUCUAGCUACAAUGCAAGUUUCACUUUUACUUAAUUAAAUAUACAAAAUUAAAUCACAUGAGCCUGUCGUUUCAUUAUACGUCAACUUAAAAUUAAAACGCAGAAUUGACGGUAUUGGAGUUUCAUAUUUAAUUUUUCUGUACUCAUGGGGAAUCAGAUGGCCAUCCAUUUUUACGUCUAUUUUAUGGCCAUCCCCACUAAGUAGCUUGGUCAUAUACAAUAUGUGUGUGCGUGUGUGUAUGUGUGUACUGGGAUGUCACAGGCCCUAAAAGAUAAAGCUGAACAUCAAUCCGAAAUCUAAAGUGAAAAACAGUACCUAGAACAGAAUCUUUGUUUUGAUGUCUGGAAAAUGCAUGAUAGAACAGAGAACUCAUAUUUUAGCAAUAAUCCUAAGCUCACUGGCCCUUAGUUCAAACUGGCAGUUCUUAUUAGUCAAAGAAUCAAAUUGACUUUUAGUUGUAUACAAGUAGAGCACUAGAUCAACAAAUAAUUGAAGACUUGCUUGGCUAUUGAACCAUAGGAAGGCAAUUCGUGAACAGCCUUGAUAUUUCAUUUGCUUUUAUCUAAUUCUCUGUAAAGUUGUCUUGUGUGUAAAAUUUUUGUUGCAUGAAAUCGGUAGGUGAAGAGAAUUUUUAAAAGCAAACAUCAAAGUCACGAUCAAAGGGACGAAAUCAGUAUAAAUAUUGAUUGUCUCAAGUUAGAUUAUGCAAAGAUGAAAUAAUGCUAAUCUAGAAAAUUCGAUCAUUAUAAUUUGAUUUCCAUUAUAUUAAUUAUGUUCAAUCUUGCUAUUUUAAUGAAAACACUCGAGGAUUUAUAGACACUCAGCUUAUGAAAUUAAUUACAAAACGAUCUUUGACCAAAUCUGAUGAAAAGAUCAUAUUAUAAGUGCAAAGUUAGACUUCCCGAUCAUGCAACUAUCUAUCGAAUUGUGGAUUGUGUUAUCGUUGAGCUCUUAGGAAGAUUCAGCUGCUGGGUAGAAGAUAUAAUCUGUUUUUAUGUGACAAGCCAUGUACUCUGCUUUUAUGGUGUUUCUCUUGGUAGUUUUUGGACAAACUGUAAUGUAAAUUUCUAUCUUAAGGGAUUCCUAAUCCUUUUAGUUAGUUUGGGAUUGUUGAUUUAUCUAUGAUGUUUGGUAUCCAAAAUUCAGGUGAUGAUAAUCUUGGCAGUACUUUUGUCAAAUUUUCUUUUAUGUUGGUGUUGUUUUAAUUAAAUAUCACAAAGGUGCAAAAUACGGUAAAAUUAACAUUGAGCUCAUGAGAUUGCCAUUAGAUAUAUUGAAAAAGAAAUUGAUACAAGAAACUGAAAAUUAGUUGUUAAUUAUGAUGGGAAUAUAAUCUUUGAAUUAUAAUUAUAUCUAUCUAACGCAUGUGCACUAAUCUUAUUUAUCUCUAUCACUGAAAAAGCAGAGUGGCCUGAUUGAAUAGUAUGAUAUUAUGUCACAGCAAUCACAAAAACUCACUCAACAUUAUGCUAAUUUAUACUAAUUAAUUAAUACGACUAACAGGAAAAGUUGGAUCUCGCCUUGCUAAAAAUCAGGUGAUUGUUUUUCAUUUUUGCGGCUACUUGACUCAAUUAUGUUAUUGCAAGAGGAGAUUUCUAUUUUGUCCGGUUUAAGCCAUAAGAUGGGUUUCAAGAUUCAUUCUGAUUGGUUAUCUGUUAGCUUUUUGUUUUAAGAACUUCUUAUUUACGAAAGCCAAAUUCUUCUUUCUAGGUUUAUUCAUAUUCAGAAGUUGCUUUUGUCAUAUCAGAAGAAGAGGCUAAGACUGUUUAAGUACUAGAAGGGACUACUGCGCUGAUUGUCUUUUUCAUGAGCUUCUAAUAUCCAAUGUUGAUUAACUCUUCCAUUUGAACAGGAGAGUAAUCAGAUAGUUGAUAUUUAUGUUAAAAAAGUUGGAAGCCACUUAAGCAAUUCAGUAUCAUGCGAGGACUAUAAUAACCCCGAUUCUUUUGCCUCUUGGAUUUUUGUGUUAAUUCACUUGCUGUAUGCUUAUCCGACCUCUGAUUUUUUCUUAAUCUUUCUUUGUAGUUCACUUCACAGCACUUAUAGCCGAUGCAUUGGCAUUUUCUGCUAUUUGUUAUUGUUCAUUGAAGCAAGUUAGCUUACGAGAUUUCUUUUUGAUAAAUGUUCUUCAGAGGGUUGUGAGAGGCCAAAUCAAUUGAGAUGACCGGGUUUUCUAGAUCAGCCAUCUUUGUCGUCAACAGUGCUAAACUGUCAAUUACUGAGACACCAAACUCUAACCUGAUUCAUAUGGAUGUAGACUAAAGCUUCUUGCCGAUACCAUCCCCAGUCAAAGCUGCUAUCUUUGAAAGUUUCGCAAGACAAAACAAUGUUGGUUUCCCAGUCGAUACAAAUACAGAUUUCAUAUAUGCAGAUUGCUCUCAAUCUCUGUUUAAUUAGCUAGUCCUCUGCUGUAUCCUAGAAGGUGGAACAAUACAUUAUGCUUCCCAGCAGGCUCCAAUGGGAUCUAUAUAUGUUUCUGCAGCCAAAUUUUUUAAAGCGAUCAUUGUGAAUAUCCCUACCCAGUCUGAAGUGGGCUUUGAUACUUGUUACAAUACUCGAUCGAGGCUGUAAAGAAGCUGUGGGUGUACAUUUCUGGCCCAACAAUCAAUCUAACUGGCUUACUUUACAGCAAAAAAGAGAUAGAGAAUAUAUUAACUGCUUGUGCAGAAUAUGGAGCAAGAGCUUAUUUAGUGUCGGGUCAAAAUAAAUAUAGCAAAGUUUUAGCUGAAUAUAAAUUGUUAAUUACAGGCAGAGCAAGUUGAGUUUAAAAAAUGCGAAACACCCAGUCCCAAAACAGAGAAGCUUGACGUUGGCCGGCAGGAUUAAUAUUAUUUUUUUUUAACAACAAUCAAAGCCAGUUGGGAAUUUAUUAAGAGGUUAAUUCGUUGAAGUAUAAAAAAGGAAUUAGCAGGAUUCACGCCCGACCAAAUCCACAUGUCCAAAGCAAAGGAUUAAGUUUGAGAGAUUAUAAUGAAAUAUAAGUAAGCGUCGUACAUGCAUGCGUCUGACUGACAGAACAAAUGAAGGAAACAUAAACUUAUCAUUUUUAAGAUGUAAGCAUCAAAACAAUCGACAAGUUUGAGGUUCGUGAGAUAUUGGGAAAAUAUACAAAUAAUAAAGCCACUACAAGUUAAGCAGAGCAAAUAAACAGAGGAAAUAACUGAUCAAUUUAGUUCUUUGUGCAAUGGCCACAGCAACAGAGAAAAUAUGCCUACACGACUACAUUAAUCCUACUGGCGUGGUACUAUCACCAUGCAAAUUAACAUUAACAUUUCAUCAUCAAUCAGUUCUGAUGACAUGAUAUCAAAAACAUUGAUUUCAUAAUUUUAUGUAAUUCAUAUAAAAGAUAUAUAUAGUCGAUUUGAGUUAGUUUAACAUAUGAAGAAAGAGUAAUGGGGAAUGAUAUCACUGUAGCGUGUGAUGAGUAAUGAAAGACACCAAAUAUGGAUCAUGUAAUAAUGAAAUAUGUAUUUACUGAAAAAUAUUUGGCAAUAAAAUGGUGCUUUAAAAAUUUAAUAUUGUUUGCUAAAAAAUAAUUUGACAAUUAAAAGUAAAAGAUGUAUAUGCAAAACUUUGACCUUAUUUUAUCACUUCACUAACCAUUUUGUAAGUACAUCUUAAAUCGAAGUUCAAUUAAUGCUGACGAAAGACUCCAGAGAAUGUCGAGAAGAGAUUUGAUUUUUGUAUACCAAAAAAUUACAGAUGAGAUAAGUUAAAAUCAAUUACAAGAACAACAAAAAGAAUACAUUUUAUAAAAGCCACAAAUACAUAAAAUAUAUAAUCAGUUUCGAAUUAAGUAAUUAUUAACUUAUAUAGUGAGAGAGUGUUAUAGGAAAGUUUGGAAUUUUUUAAAAGAGAUUUGCGAAGGAAAAAGUUUAGUUUAGUUUAGUUUGUGAAGGCUCAAGUAAUUCAAAGCAAUGCAAUUGAAGGAAAUAUAAACUUCUAAUUUUUACAAAGUAAUCGCUAAAAUAUUUGACAAGUUUGAGAUUUUCAAAAAGCUGAAAAAAAUAGACAAAUAAUGGAGACCCUACAGAUUGGUAGCGCAAAUAAACGGAGGAAAAUAGGGCAAACAUUUAUAUUUUCCAAAAAGAAUAAAAGCACGUGUCAAUUACCAAAUAACUUCCACUUUAAAAAAGAAUAAAUGCUAAUAUCAUUGUUAGCACAUGUUGUGCAUUUUUCAUUUAUUUAUUUAUUUCUUUGCUUUUACUUAUUGAAGUUACUUUGCAAACUGCUCCAAGCAAACUACAAAAUUUCUUCUCACUCUAGGAUCUUUGCAAUGGUCCUGCAAUUUGUUUUCCUUUCUAUUAGGUUAGCUUUUUAUUCCAAAAAAAAAAAAAAAAAAAUUGGGCAGAUGGAAACCUCACCCACUAAAUACAGAUUUUGAAUUUUAUUAUUAUUCAAAAUUAGAUAACUAUGCAAAUAAUGUGCGGUUAUAACCAGUGAAACUGUGUCUAGCUACGAUGCAGGUUUAAUUUUCACUUGAUUAAAUAUAAACAAAACUAAAUCACCUGGGCCUCUGGUUUCACUAUUUUUCAACUUGAAAUUAAAACGUAAAAAUUGAUGGUAUUGGAGUUCGUUGUUUAGUUUUGCUGUAGGUCAUGGGAAAUCAAAUGGCCAUCCAUUUUUAUGUCUAUUUUAUGUACUAUUGGUCACUAAGUAGCUUGGUCAUAUAUGUGUAUUGGGAUGUCAUGGGACCUAAAAGAUAAAGCUGAAAAUCAAUCCCCAAUCUAAAGCGGAAAACAGUAGCUAGAACAGAAUCUAUGGUUUGAUGUCUUAGUUUAUAGGCUUAAACAAUUAAUAGUACAGAAAAUGCAUGAUAGAACUCAUCUUUUAGCAAUAAUCAUCCGCUCACUGGCCGUCAGUUCAGAAUGACAAUUCUUAUUAGUCAAAGAAUCAAGAUGAUUUUUAGUUGUAUAUGAAUAGAGCACUAGAUCAACAAAUAAUUGAAGACUUGCUUGGCUGUUGAACCAUGCCGAUGGCAAUUCAAAGACUACAGCUUAGCUCUGCCAUUCAAAGUAAGCAACUCAGCUGCCCAAAGACUGCCAAGCCAUCAAGACAAUACCAAGAUACAACAUCAAGAAUCACGUACAGGCCGUCACAUAUUACAUUUGUCCUCUGUUUUAAGAGAGAUUUACGAACCCAUGCAGUAGGAGUAAUUAAUUAAUUUAUACGUUCAGUACUCAUUCCUCUUUCUUCUGUUUCAAAUCCAAAUCUAGUGCUCCAUCAUUUAUUAUGACGCAAGGUAUAUGGGUUAGCAUGUGUCGAUAUUGUCCUCCAUUCUUUGUGUACCUUUCUUCGAACAAGGGACAACCCGAGAUCUCCAAUCGCAAAAGAGAGGCAGGCAGGCCCUUCUCUGGAAAGUACUUGAGCUUGGGACAAUUACAGAGUUUGAUCAAAUGAGGUUUUAAUGAUCAACAAUUGAAGAAGACAGGCGUUCCAAAUUUAGUAAAUUAACAAUCACCAAAUAUGGUAGGGUGGCAGGCAGAGGAAGCGUGGUUCCUAAUCCUAAUCUUGAGUGAUAACUGGCUAUGUAACAUGUGGCAUUCUACAUUCUUGCAAUGCCAUUAAUUUCUUGUUAUGGCAGCAGCGUUCUUUCAUCAUGGCAUCACAAGCAAAUGUUUGAUUUGAAGACUUGCUUAGCUGAGGAAAAUAAGGAGAGCAAAGGUAAUUAAUUUUGGGGUGAUGAAUAUUUUUAUGGGUGUACUAAGAAAAAUAAAGAUAAUAGAAGUAAUGUUAUUGAGAAGCAUUUUGAUAUUUACAAAAGUGUUCAAAGAAAAAAGUUAUUUUUUGAAAUCUAUUUGCUGGUGCACAUAACAAAAGGGCAUUCUGAGUAAAUUUAAAACUACAAAUAGUCUCACUCUUUUAAUAAUAUUCAAUUAAUUCUGUUUAUUUCAAAAUAAAUAUUCUAUCUCUUUAUUACUUUCUAACUAGUCAUGCUAAUGUGCUAAUAAUUAUGAAGAACUAGUGUAAUUUAUAUGAUAUAAGAAGCCCUUUAGCACAUUAACCCGAAUUUAGCUAAUACAUGUGCCUAAUAUAGCGAAAUCAACAUUCAGCGCAUUAGAGUGCUAUUAUAUAUAUUGAGAAAGAAAUUAACACAAAAAACUGAAUAUUAAUUGACACUGGAUCAUGUUGGAUUGUCAGUUGUUAAUUAUGAUGGGAAUACAAUCUUCAUCAUUGCGGCUACUUGACUCAAUUAUGCUAUUGCAAGAGGAGAUUUAUAUUUUGUCUGGUUUAAGCCAUAAGAUGGGUUUCAAGAUUCAUUCUGAUUGGUUAUCUGUUAGCUUUUUGUUUUAAGAACUUCUUAUUUACGGAAGCCAAAUUCUUCUUUCCAGGUUGAUUCAGAUUCAGAAGUUGCUUUUGUCGUAUCAGAAGAAGAGGCCAUCUUUAAGGCCUUGUCUAACACUGUGGAAGUACUAGAAGGGACUACUGCGCUGAUUGUCUUUUUCAUGAGCUUCUCUUCCAUUUGAACACGAGAGUAAUCAGAUAGUUGACAUUUAUGUUUCAAAAGUUGGAAGCAACUUAAGCAAUUCAGUAUCAUGUGAGGACUAUAAUAAUAAGCCGAUUCUUUUGCUUGGAUUUUUUUGUUAAUUCACUCGCUGCAUGCUUAUCCCUCCUCUGAUUUUUCUUAAUAUUUCUCUGUAGUUCACUUCACAGCACUUUAGCCGCUACAUUGGUGAAAAGAUAUUAUGCUCAAAAUAUUUUCUUUGUAUAUCGAAGAACGAGAGAGUUACAAGCUUAUAUACAACUAUUAAGGUCAGCCAAAUCUCUUAGAGUAACGGCUAGACAGGCUGUCCUAUUUAUGACUACAUACAUUAAGGAAUGAAAUCAUUUGUACAUAAGGAAUAUUAAUAUUAUCAAGUGAUACUUGCUCAAAAUAAAGAUUGUGUCUAGAAUAAGGGAUUGCCGAUGCCAAAUCUUGCUGCUAAUAAUAUUCGGUGAGCUAUAGCUACUGAUUGUAUGGUUUAUCAUCCCCCCUCAAGCUGGUGUGCGGAAGCGGAAAAAUCCCAAGCUUGCGACGAAGAUUAAGAAACUGAAAUUUUGAGAGAGCCUUCGUGAAGACAUCGGCGAUCUGCUUAAAUGAAGGGACAUAAUGUGUAGAAAGCUGACCAGCAGUUACUUUCUCCCGAACAAAAUGAUAGUCCAGUUCUAUAUGUUUUGAUCGAGCAUGAAAAACUGGAUUUUUUGACAUGUGUAAAGCACUUUGAUUAUCACAUAGUAUCCUUGGGGGUUGAAGAAGAAAUAGGCCAAUGUCCAUAAACAAAUAAGUAAGCCAAGUGAUUUCAGCUGCAGUUGACGCCAUGGCACGGUAUUCAGCUUCUGCACUAGAACGGGAAACAGUUGGUUGUUUCUUAGAUGCCCAAGAUACACAAUUAGCACCAAUAUACACACAGUAACCGGUAGUGCUUCUUCUAGUGUCCUUGCAUCCAGCCCAAUCUGCAUCACAAAAGGCAACAAUUUUUAAAGGACUUUGAGAUGUAUAUCGAAUGCCAAAUUGAAUGGUUCCCUUUAGAUAUCGAAGUAUUCUCUUGACAGCUCGCAUAUUAGCCUCGUUGGGGGCUUGAAAGUUUUGACAAACUUUGUUUACAGCAUGUACAAUAUCAGGCCUAGUAAAGGUCAAAUAUUGUAAUGCUCCCACAAUGCUACGAUAUGUUGUUGGAUCGACUGGUGUAAGAUCAUUUGGAUGUUCUUGAGGUUUUACUGCAAUUGGAGUGGAGAGAUGUGUGCUGUCCAGCAUUUUAGUCCUGCAAAGUAGAUCAUAAGUAUAAUUUGUUUGAGAGAUAAAUAUGCCAUCAGAAAGAUAAUUUAUUUCAAGUCCUAAAAAAUAAUGUAAGGGGCCUAAAUCUUUGAUGGCAAACUCUUUGCUGAGAAGAGAGAUAAGUUUCUCUAAAAGUAGCUCAUUAUUUCCUGCAAGGACAAUAUCGUCAACAUAAACAAGCAUAAGAGUUAUAGUGUUGUGUGUGUGUAGGACAAAUAACGAAGAAUCUGCCUUACUGCAUUUGAAGCCAUUCUGAAGUAAAAAUUGAGACAACCUUUCAAACCAAGCACGAGGUGCUUGCUUUAGUCCAUAAAGUGAUCGCUUUAAUUUACAUACAUGGUUGGGAAAUCUAGCAUCUGUAAAUCCUGGAGGUUGUUCCAUGUAUAUUGUUUCUUUUAAGAAACCAUGAAGAAAUGCAUUCUUCACAUCAAGUUGUCGCAUCACCCAUUUUUCAGUUACAGCUAAGGAUAAAAUGACUCGAAUGGUGGUGUGUUUAAUAACCGGACUAAAGGUUUCUCCAAAGUCCAGUCCCGGUAUUUGAGUAUAUCCCUGUGCCACCAAUUGUGCUUUAUGUCGAUCAAGAGUUCCAUUUUUCUUGAAUUUAUUUUUGAACACCCAUUUUGAUCCUACAACAUUCAAGUCCUCUGGGCGAGGAACUAGAACCCAAGUCUCAUUAUGUUCAAGAGCUCGAAUUUCUUCUUCCAUAGCAGAUUUCCAAUGUGGCUGCUUAAUUGCGGAUUUCCAUGAUUUUGGCUCAACUUGAACAUUAAGUGCCAUUUGAUCAGCAAGUUCAGGAUUAUUUUUCAAUCGACGCCUUGUGAUCAUAUGGUGAGGAGCUGUCAAGUUUUGAUUUGAUGAUGAUGACUGAGAAGAGUGCCCGCUUUCAUGUGGUAUUCUUAGGUCCACAUAGAUGUUGAUUCCUUCUGGACUGGUCUCUGAAGAAUUUGCUGUGACAUCUUGAGUGCUUUCUUUAGAGUUAUCUGAUCUUGUGGGCUCAAUAGCGUCUGACACCACCAAAGGAAUGUCAUCACUUGUUAUAGGAAUAUUAAUAUUAUCAAGUGAUACUUGCUCAAAAUAAAGAUUGUGUCUAGAAUAAGGGAUUGCCGAUGCCAAAUCUUGCUGCUAAUAAUAUUCGGUGAGCUAUAGCUACUGAUUGUAUGGUUUAUCAAUUGGCAUUUAAAUGCUAUUUGUUAUUGUUCCUUGAAGCAAGUUAACUUAUGGAAUUGCUUUUUGGUAAAUGUUCUUCACAGGACUGUGAAAGGCCAAAACAACUGAGAUGACCGGGUUUUCUAGAUCAGCCAUCUCUGUCCUCAACAGGGCUGAACUGUCAAUUACUGAGACACCAAACUCUAACCUGAUUCAUAUGGAUGUAGACUAAAGCUUCUUGCCGAAACCAUCCCCAAUCAAAGCUGCUAUCUUUCAAAGUUCUGCAAGAGAAAACAUGUCUGAGUCAGACAUUGACGUCCCCCCAAGAAUCAAACAGUAUAUCAAGAGCAAUGUUGGUUUCCCAGUCGAUACAAAUGCAGAAUUCAUAUAUGCAGAUUGCUCUCAAUCUCUGUUUAAUAAGCUAGUCCUCUGCUGUAUCCUACAAAGUGGAACAAUACAUUAUGCUUCCCAGCAGACUCCAAUGGGAAGCAUGUUUCUGCUGCCAAAUUUUUGAAAGCUAUCAUUGUGAAUAUCCCUCCCCAGUCUGAAGUGGGCUUUGAUACUUGUGACAAUACUCGAUCGAGACUGUAAAGAAGCCGUGGGUGUACAUUUCUGGUCCAACAAUCAAUCCAACUGGCUUGCUUUUACAGCAGGAAAGAGAUAGAGAAUAUAUUAACUGUUUGUGCAGAAUAUGGGGCAAGAGCUUGUUUAGUUAUUAUAGAUAUUUAAUAAAAUAAUAACACGAUUAAUAUGUUACUAAACAAAUAAACACAAUUGAAAUAGCCGUAAUGUGAAAACAAAACAACUCCAUUGUUUUUGUGUUUUUUUGUAAAUUCUUGUCAUUUAGAGUUUUUUGGGCUUUACUGCAUCAAUUAUUUGGUGUUUAUCUUGUUUUAUUCUUUUACGAUGUAAGAUUCUUGGUAGUGAUACAUCUGGAAUAAGAGUGAAAUCGCAAUCUUACAAUUUGGAGAAAUGAACUGCGAUAUGAUACUUCAUGAAAAAAAGAUUUAAUUUAUUAUUUCUACUACUAAAAACUAUUAAUUCAUCAAACCAUCAAGAUUUUUUUUCUUUUUUUUUUUUGAAUUCAACCCAUCAAUCUUUGUUUGUAACUGCCAGACCGUCAGUUUCUUUCUAUCACUAUGCAACAUUACAUUAACAUUUCCUCAUCAAUCAAUUUUGAUGGUCUGAUAUUGAAAACGUCGAUUUCAUAAUUUUGUGUAAUUGCAUAGAAAAUAUGUAAUUUCAUAAUGAAAGAGUAAUGGGGAAUGAUAUCACUGUGGCGUUUGAUGAGUAAUGAUAGACAACAAAUAUGGAUCAUGUAAUAAUGAAAUAUGUAUUUAUUGAAAAAAAUUUUGCAACAAAAUGAUGCUUUAAAAAUUUAAUAUUAUUUGCUAGAAAUAAUUUGACAAUUAAAAGUAAAAGAUAUAUUUGCAAUCCUUCGAGUUUAUUUUAUCACUUCACUGACCAUUUUGUAACUACAUGUUAAAUAGAAGUUCAAUUAAUAGAAGUUCAAUUAAUCGUCGUCUUCGACCUUUACACGGUCCUCCCCUUCCAGCCUCUCUGAAUUUCUACUGAUCAUCACUCCCCACCAGCCAACCAGCUUCUCUAUGCUACCUUCUAGAAUUCUAAAGACUUUAAUUAACUUCUAGACUUGUUUCUGGGUUUAAUCAAUUUGCUCCCCCCCAGUUUCCAUGUAAAAAUUCUGCUUAAUUUAAUUAAUUGUUAAUUAACAAAUAACAGAAACGCUAAUUUUCGCGCAAGUUUCAACAUUACUUACUUGGUUGCCUUCUGUUCUCCUGUUUGCGUCUCUGUCUUCCAUUACGAGCACCCAAAGAGGUAUAAUCAACGGUUUGCGAGAUAGCUGCGACUGCAGUAGGUGCCAGCGUCGAUCAUCAACAUGGCGGUGCACGGUAGAAUUAGGUGAGGAGAGAUGGAGAGGUAUAAUCAACGGUUGCUGAUCAAAUUUGAAACUUUCCAGCGAACCGACGGUGAUGACGAGAUUGAUUCCGAUUAUAAAUCCUGUGCAUAUCUUGCAUAUUGAGUCUAUGUAAUCGUGACCGUCAGAUCGGAUUUUUAUGAUCGUAUGGCUGGUGUUAGUGGGCGCUACGUUGGAGCUGAUCCAACAUAGCCGAACCCUUCAAAUAAAUAGAACUUUUGUGUCAGUCAAACUUACUUCAUUAAUAUUCUUCAUCAUUAUGGUUAAGCCAAAAUAAAACACUUUCUCUUGUAUUAACCUUUGCUAGUCGUCGAAAUUAAAAAUUUUUAGAACAAGUUAAAACAGUUCCAACUCAAAAUCAUUAGUGCGCAAUUGGGUUGUUAUAAAUAUUUCUGAAUUUCAGUCUAAUUUGAAUUAUUUAAUUGUGUAUGCACAAACUAGUUUUAUCACUUUUUUCGUAUUGAUACCCAAAAAUUUCAACCUUAUUUUAUAUUGAUGCACAAUCUAACUUAACAAAAAUAAUAUUCAAAUUGUCUCAAUUUUUUUUAAAAAAAAUUAUAUACAAAGUUAAGUUUUCUUCUUCUCUAAGAUCUAGCUCUAUACUAAGUUUUCUUCUUCUCUAGGAUCUAGCUCUAUACCCCUCUUCUUUGUCGUUAUGCUGCUCAGUCGUUAGAUUUGAAUUAUGUUAAUCUAACGGUCCGGAUUUGUAAUGAAUAAUAUUAAAUGCACCGGUAUAUGGAUGUACAAUUUUGGUAAAUUCAUCUCAUAUAUUAGAGUCUUUUGGUUUUAUGACGAAAGAGUCAUGGUAGCGAUGUAUCUAGAGUAAAAAUAUUUAAUUUAUUUUUCCUUGUUAUUAGCAAAAAUUAUUAUUAAUUAAUCAGCCUAUCGAGAUAUAUUGGUUUCAUUUGUUACAACUAGCCAAUUGCUUAAUACGGUUUUGUACGUCUCACUAUGAAAUCAUGAAGUACUUGUAAAUAAAAUCAUAGGUGUGGUAUGUUGUGAUGUGAUAAAUUUAAAUACAAAUCUUAAUUACGUUGUGAUGUGAUAAAUUUAAUUCAUAUCUAAAAAUUAAGAGAUGAUUCAUAUAUAGGUACAUACUUAAUAAAGAUAUUUAAAUACAAGCAUUCAAUUCCAUGAUACACCUAACGAUCAAGGGGACUGAAUAGAAAUAGAUGUAAAAAGUCAAAUAGAUGAACAAGUACACAUGAUGAUUUAUUAAAUAAAAAAUUAAAUUUAUAUCCUUUUUAAUAAGUGUGAAAUUAUUUACACUCUAAUAUUUAUUUAAAACACUCAUAAUUUUUUAUUACUAAAAACUUCAUAAUUCAAUCUAUAAAUAAGAACAAUUCAAUAUAAGUAAAUAGGACAAUAAUAUUUUUGACAUUCAUAUAUCUAACGUUCACACACCCAUGUAAAAUUGCUAAACCUUAAAUCGUAGAACGUUCUUCAAAACUCAUCAAUUAUUUAAAAGUAUAUUUAACAAAUUUGCAAGACACAGACUCCAUGUUUCUAAUUUCUUUGGCUUUAGAUUUCAAUUUUUGUUGAACAUAUAUCUAUUCCAUAUAAAGAGUUUCUGAAUUUUUAAUUUCUCUGCCAAAGAGGUUCUAUGGGAAUAAACAACUGUUAAAAACAAAUAAAAAAUCAGAUACAAGUGUAGAAUAUACUCAUUAAAUUUUAAUUCUUUGCACAGACACGACCUGCAUAUAUACACAAAUAACUGUUCUACGAAUAUGUAGAAGCAAUCUCAACUGUCCAUUUUUUUUUUGAAAUUUUAACGAAUAUAAAUUUUAUAUGUUGGAUAACUAUGGAAAAUAAGAUUAGGAAAAUAAUAUUAUCAACAACUAGGGAGAGAAAAGGCAGUUAAUAUUAGUGCAAUGAAUAUUUUUAUGGGUCUAAUAAGAAAAAUAAAGAUAAUAAAAGGAAUGCUAUUGAUAAUAUUAAUAGCAUUCUUUCAUAUGAUGCACAAAUUACCUUAAUCACUUCUUUCAUAUAAAUACUCAUAAAUUUCAUCUAAAUUAUAAAAAAGGGAAGAAAAAAAAAUCAUAUAGUUAAUUUUUCUUCUUCUUUACCCCAUUAUUCAGUGGGAGUAUUGUUGCAAUGAUAAGAACUCCGGCAAGUGCUUAUUUCGGAUACAUGUGUGGCAUUCAUUAAGGAAUGAUAAGAACGCCGGUGACCAAGAAUAAAUGAAUUUAUUUGUAUUUUAACAUCAACAAAAUUUUUCCAUUCCGGAUAUUUAUCAUUUUCUCGUUAAAAAAAAUUGCAUAAAAUUAAGAAAGCAGCAGUCCCUGAACGGGAGAAACAGAGUAAGGGAGUUCAAAUUUCAAAAGAUGGAACCCCGUAGAAGAAGCCCUAGCAACAAUCCCAGAAGAAGAAGAAGAUGGUGAUGAAGACACGGCCAUGCCCAACGUUAAGCACAACCCUGCAAAAAAAAAAAAAAAACAAAAGACAACUCUUCGGACUCGAGCGAUGCUCUGACUCCGACUAGGAUUCUGACUCAGAAGACGAAGCAAAACAGAACAUGGAGCUUCAAAACCUAGAGUUUCAGCUAUCCAGUGAACCUUUCAAUUACGACAACCAUGUUCAAGUAACCUCAAUACGCAUACUUAUUGGGUGAUUUUGUGGAUGCCCAUUCGCUUUUCUUUCUUAGUUGGGUUGCGAUAAAAAUGGCUUUUUUUCUUUCAGUAUAUAAAGGUUUUGAGAAAAAUGGGUGAGAUGGAGAAGCUGAGACAAGCUAGGGAAGCGAUGAAGAGAUUUUUCCAUUGACUCCUGCUAUGCGGCAAUAAUGGGCGAGAGAUGAAACCUCUAUUUCAACUGGGUAUCUGUCAUUUCCUUUUUGCAGUGGUUUUCGAUUUUGUGAACAAAUAUUUUUUCGCUUAGAGAUAUAGAUGUUUAUAUUCGUUAUUUGCUAGUGUAAAAAGGAACAAAACCUGCUUAAAAGGUGUUAAAGAAAGAAAAAGGAACCAAUUUGCAGAAGGGGAUACUUAUAGUGGGAGUUCUAUUCUUUGGGGUUUAAUUGAUGGGAGAAGAAACAGCUUAUAUGUUUACAGAAUUAGACAUUUGAUCGCUGAGUUAGUUGAGGAAGAUAUUUAAUCACAAUGUCUGAUGUUGUUUCUGUUGGCCUCAGCUAAUUUUUAAGAUUUCAUGCUUUCAUUCAACAAAGCAAUAGGCUUUCGUUGGGU
rnacentral:lncRNA from 1 species